UUUGCUUGGUUGUGGUCAGAUUUUGGUUUCUCAAAUGGUGUAUGAAUUCUUCAACUGUGCCUGUACAGGAUAGCUGGAUAAGGUAUUAAUUUGGAUGGAAUUCAUGCUAUGUUGUUCGAUUUCAGUUUAUUAAAAUUUUUUUAUCAACUAUUUGGAAUUCAUGUUCUAGCUCUGUUUGGAUAGGUAACAAUAUUUUUUGGGAUCCUAAAAUAUUUAUGCACAGGCAGCACUUAACCUGCAGCUGCUGAUUAAUGUUGUAGUCAUAUGUGCUGCUUUCCAGCUCUCUUGUUUGGAAGUUUAUUUAUUUUAUGUGAUACUAAUAUUUGCCAACCAACCAAUCUCUAGUCUUCUUCUUGAGGAGUUCUGUAAAUGCUGGUUUGGUUUUCUGUCCUCACUAUGCCCUUGCACAUGGGAUGCAAUUUUUUAUUUCCCAGCUGUUUAGUUUAUUGUUUCCUUUGAUGGUGAGGCAUUAAUUCUGGAGAUGCAAUUUUCUUGCUCACAAUAAUACAAUGAAUGAUGGCAUCUCUAUGCUACUUUGAACCAAAUUAUAUAUAUUCCCUCUGUUAAUUAUUUUUCUGUUUUGGGUGAUUGAGUGUAUUCAUUCAUUUUUCAGUAUAGAUGGUUGAAUUGCUUUCACUUCAUAUUAAUAACUAUUCUGUCACACAAUGGAAAUUUGCUGCUGUCCUAACUAAUUAAGUAGAAGCUUGGAUUGCUGCUGUAUGGUCUCUUCCUGACAUUAAAUCCUCCUCUGUUUGUGCUGUCUGAACCAGGUAGCAGCAACCAACUAUUCUGCUGCUGCAGUCUUCUUCGCCGCCAAAAGGAAAAGAUGCUCUACAAAAUCCACUCCCAUGCCGAAAUCCAAGCCCUGCAGGCCUGCACCGAUGAGCUGGGCCACUCCAAUGAGGACAUGCUUGUGAAUCUUGUCUCUCUGGAGUCGGUGCGCAUAGCGUGCGAGUCGUAUGCACUCCUCUGGCCGCUGAUCAAGGAGUUGUCCUGGGCAUGCCCGAAGCUGGAAAACCUCUCGGUCGUGGCAGCCUUGUCGCUGGAAAUCCAAAAGCUCGAGCAUGAUGUGUUACCCCAGCUCAUGGUUCAGGAGGCCAAGCUGGAAAGGGGCGCCCUGCAAGCCGUCCUAGUCAUGCAGAACUCAGCAGUUAAGCUCUUACAUCUGGCGAAGUGCUAUAAGGAAGCCUUGGGUAGAUUGCAGGAUCUGGUCUCACGCCGAGCCGAAGAUGUGAGCAUAAUGCUAGAUGAUAUUGUUGUUCAUGUACUCGAAGGUAAUUGCAACAUUUUCUGGCUUCAGGCGCGUCUCCUGGUGCUGUUCCGGAUGGUCACCAUUAUGUUGGAGACCCCGGUUUGUUUCUGUGAUCCUGUUGAGUAUUCUGAUGAGUAGACUUAUCAGCCAGCUCGAGGCUGUUGUGAUGAGUAUUUCUUUGGGGCGUGGCAAACAGUUUAGAAUCAACCCUUUAUGUUUGGAUGUGUUAUUAAUGGAUUUUAAAUGAUAUGUAUGUUGGGUAGUGUUUUCUCAUUCUGUGUUACUUUCAGUCUUUUUUUUUGAGAAAUACAGUCACAUGGAGGUAUUCGCUCUUUUUGGGGAAUAUAUGCCAAAAGAAUAUAGUAUCUUAGAAAAGAAAUCCCAAAUAUAAGUCUUUUAAGAGGUUUCACUAAAAGACUACAUACGGAUGAAUAUAGGCAUACUUUAGAAUGUGGAUGGAUUCACUCAUUUCGCUCCGUAUAUAGUUUUCUACUAGUGAAAUCUCUUAAAAGACAUAUAUUUAGGAACGGAGGGAUCUGUGAGUGUCCAUGAUUAAAGCUUUGCAAAUACCAUAAACAAAACAUCACCUUGUACAUAUAAAGUGAUGAUUAUUUUUAAACUAACCGGUUUGGCAAGUAGUACUUCCUCCAUAAAUAAAGAAACAUAAGAGUGUUUGGAUUAUCAUUUCUUUAGAGAGGGAGUAGUAUAUAUAUAUAUAAUUGAAUUAAUAAUCUCUACUCCUAAAGUAUCAGUUGGUAGUCUCCGUUCACCGGUUAAUUUUCGUCCCACCAACACCGAUUUUUUUCGUCCUCCCACCCAACCCCCGGGCCAUCGAAAAAAUAAGGGCUGGCUUAGCUAUGCCCCCACAAAGUCAAGGGGCCAAACCUCCGAUCGAAACAGAGAGAACCGGAUGAAAAAAAAUCUACGAAAAAAGACCUACGAAAUUAAACCAGCGAAAAAAACGAAUCGCACGCAGGUAUACGAGCGAUUCCUCCUUCCUUCGAACCACUCGCACGCUUGCUCCUUCCCUUCGCCCCCGCCGCUUGAUCCCUUCGCCGCCGCCCUCCCACAUCAAAGCCGCCACCGAUAUGCCCCGCCGGAUCUCGCCUCAGCCCCGCCGUCUUGUGAUCUGGAGUUCACAGCCUCCGCCGCCGAUAUCCUCGCAUGCAUUAGGGUUCCUGCACGCGUUAGGGUUCCUGCGCCGCCGCCACACAGUAGCUCGUCGACCAGCCCAGCGUCCUGCUGCUCCGCGCUUGCUUCCUUCGUCGGUCGCCUUUGGACCCCUCGCUUCGGACUCCGCGCCAAGCCGCCGCCUCUUCGCCGAGAAAGAGGGCUCCCGAUCUCCGCCGUGGUCGACCAUCAGCGCGACGGGCAGAGCACCCAGCCCGUAGGCUCAUCCCCUUCUCCGAUCCACUCCGGCAGCGGCCAUCGUCGGUACGUUCCGCUCAUGAUAUAUUGGUGUAGGCUCAUCCCCUUCUCUUUAUCUAAAAAGGCUAUUCUACAUACGCCGAGGAGAAGAUGCUCACCUUCUUGCCCCUCACCCUACCGUGAUGUACGUGGAUGAAUCCGACGGCAACGACGACGACCUCGUAGGAUCCAGCCACGGUUGUGCGGAAUUUCGCGGGGACGAAUCUACCUGGCCUCUCGUCCUAUCCGCCGCCGGUAGAGGCAUCCAUGGCCGAUGGUGUGAAUUUUGGCUGGUUCCAUGAGCACUUCGUUCCCUGCCGUGUAGUCUUCGUUGAUUCGGGAAGAUGGUGGUUGUCUGUUUAGCCAUUUCAAUCUGCUAUUAAUCAUGCUCAUUCUUGUUAUAUUCAGUUAUAUUGGAAACACCAUCUGAUUCAGUUAUAUUCUUGAUCAUGCUCAUGCUCAUCCUUAUUCAAAUAAGAAUACUUCUAUUUGGAGAGCUCGGGCGUCAGCUGUGUGGAAGCACCAGCUGAUUUGUAACUGGUCGGAAGAUGAGCUUCUCAUACUCGCUGCCGUCGAAGCACAGCACCUCGCCGCCACUUAUGUUGCUGUUGUUGUGCUGUAGGUCCUUGGGGUUGGGUGCGGCAACUCGCGACUCGAAGACAUUUCGUGCAUGUGCUCCCCUGCGCUUGGUGACCAAUACAUCUACUCCGUCGUGAACAUGUGCUUCGUGUCAUACAGGUCGCCGCCAAGGGUGAGCUCGUGCAGCGGUACAGGUAUAGAUGUGCAUCCCAUAAGGGCAGCUACAUUUUCUUUCAUAAAGUUAUUUGUGUGAGUGCCCUGCAUAUUGAAGUAAACUGGAUCGGCUAAUCUUGAGUUCCUCCACCAAGUUAUAUUACUUCGACAAGAAAAAGUGCAGAAAGACCAUAUAAAGUACUCUGGUGACUCUCUCAAUUGAACUAGAAUUUUUUUAGAUGCGUGAAACAUGCACAACGAUUUGCUCUAUUGAGUCUAUGUAUGUUGAACUAGCACUCGAAAUUAUAGCUCAUGCCGGUAUGCUAAUUUUCUCUUUCUCAUAUCAGCUCUCCUUCUUUUUGUCCAUUUUUCUUCACUACUACCUGAAGGAAACUGUACUGGAUAGCAGCCUAUCAUAUAUAGUUACAUGUACCGAGUGAUUUAGCUUCAUUUUAAUGAUACUGUCAACAACUAACUACUGCUGCGACAUAUUUGAUGCAACCUGUAAAAUAUUUUUUGUUUAAUUUCAGCAUAUCAUUUAUAUACUGAAGUCUUUUCUGGACAUGUUGUCUAAUUGCGUCAUGUAUGUUAGAUAUUUGUUCUAUAAUACUUGCCAUUGACUAUUUUUCUUUUAUUUAGGUUAUGUGCAUUAUUGAUCAGCCAAUCUUGAGAGAGAGAUGGGUUGGCGUGAAUGGGAAGAAAACUACAUUGAAUGGACAAGAAGUAUGCCCUCAACUUUUUCAUGGUAUGUCUUACUUAUUGUUCUUGUGAUUUUUCCAUCAGUUUCACUUUACAUUUCUUCUUUGCUUUUUCAUGGCAUCGGGAUGCCCACUGCCGACGGCGCUGCGUUGCUACCAAAGGGGCACCCUGCCGCGGCCGGGGACUCGCUGCUGUCGAAGCACGACACCUUGCCGUCAUGUAUGUUGGGUGUUGUGGUGCUGCAGGUCCUUGGGGUUGGGUGCGGCAACUCGAGACUCGAAGACGAUCUUCUGUGGUAGGGCGUCGCCGGCGGCGGCGGCACCUGUAUAGACCGUCUCGGUGUGACAGAAGAGUUCAGAGUUCACUCCGAGAAAGAAUUGCUUUGCAUGUACAUUUGCUGAAAGACUGAUGUGCUGAACUUUCGAUGAUUUCGAUUGGUCUCUAACAUAACCUUUAUUCUUUUUGUUGAUAUGUCCAAAAGAGAUCCUUAUUUCACCUUUUGUUUAUAGGUAUUCAACUUGAGGAAUUUCAUACUUUUGGAGUGGAGCUAUCAAAUAUAUGUGUGCUCGAUGUUGGUGUUUUAAUCUGGAUCUCUCGCUGAAGGUGCUCGAUGUUGGUGUUUGAAUACUGCUACCGUACUUCAAGGUCUGUAGCAGCUCUUACAAUGGAUUCUUUUUAAUGACAGUACAAUUUAUUUUUGUUUCGAUUUGGUAUUGUUGUUCUGUUCACUUAACCCAGUCUGUAGCAGCAGCUUUUCAUGUCGUUUCCUCGCCAACAAAUGUCAUAAUUUAUCACGUACGUGUGCAAAUGGUUUUUUGGCUAUAGUAUGAGUAUAUGGUUCAGAGAAGUUCGGUCAGAUGCAAAGCAUGCUUAGCAUCUCAUAGUCGUAGGCUAUUCCUUUUAAAAUUGAAGCCAUCCAGGUUUUCAAUUAUGGAGAUGAUUUGGAAACUCAGCAUAGAAAAUUAUUUACUCUAAUGCAGAUUACACAUAUUAAGGCCUUUAUUCUUUUAUAUUAAGGUCUCCAGUGCAAGCAUUAGCCCAUCUUUAGCUGCUCAUAAGCAGUAUCAGUGAUAUAUAUAUAUAAGUACACUCUUGCUAAGGUUAAUCUUUGAUAUAUAUAAUUCAUUGCCUGGAUAUAGUUUGCUUUGAAUGUUUUUUUGCUCUUUAGUCUAUGAAGAAUUGCAAGGAGGAGGAUAAUAGAGCAGCAACCAGAGCUGACAAUUGGCCUGUAAAUGCAGCAAAGUUCUCCUAGAGGUGUGAUGUUGGUGGUGAUUUUCUUAUCCGGGGAUAUGGAUGUGGCGGGUCUGUGGGCACCAUGCUGACGCGGAGAAGGAGGUGCAGGUAGCGGGGCGCUUGAGGUGAGGUGGCUGCAGGGUCGCUCGAGAAGAACAGGCUCAUCAGCACCACCUGGAUGCCUUCGUCAUCAGCAAUGUGGACAAGGUGCAAAAGGGAUAUCUCCCUUACCUCUUAUUCAGUCUGGAAAAUUAUGCAAUGUUUGGUUUGGCAGAUUUAACAAUCGCUGGUUUGGAAAUUUGUUACCUAUAGAAGUAUAGGAAUAACAUGACUAAUAUUUAUUUAAUUUAUAGAGUUACUAUUUUUUUUCUACAAAGUCAUUUGUUACAUUAGGAAGAACAUCGUCUAAAAUCUUGACAACAUAAAGGAGCAUAGAGUUAAUAGAUUAUGAAAUCCUGUAGUGCAUCAGAUGCACCCUUCACUAAUUUUUGAACACAUUUAUAUUAUCCAGGUUCCGACCUCAUUCGCUGUGAUGUUUGUCUUUUUUAUGUGGGCGAGGAAAACAUUUUUAGGAGUGAUACUCCCAAACUUUGAUUUCUUGGUUGUCGAAUCAUGGUGCUGAUUAAAUUUUACUUAACCUUAAUUAAUCUAUUUAUAUUGCGGCUUUGCCUUUUAGCUCAUCUUUUAGUUUCUCUUCUCCACUUCACACAAGAUUUUAUUGUAGGCUACCAAGUACAGUUAUACCACUUAUACUCUUUCUAUCUGAUUAUGCAAAGCUUGAUCUAUAUUCAUUGAACUUUGUUAGAUAGUAGGCCCUCCUAUUAGUGUGCCUAAAUAUAAUUGUUUCUCUGUGUCUAUAGUAUCUUAGUCCAGUAGAAUGAAUGUUCUCGAGUAAUUAGAGGUAGUUGGAUCAAGUGAAUGUCUGAAUACCACUAAAAUCGAAAUCAUAAUUAAAAAAUACUGACCUUUUUCUUCAGGGCGUCUGUUCCUCCUCCCAUGGUCAGCACCACCACCUACUCUGAAUCUCCGAUCAAAAUAGUAUGAACUAUUAAAUAGGGAACUUAAUGCUUAUCAUUGUUGAUGUACAUAUGUACAACUAACGAUGUUUGUGCUGCAACCAGCUUACUUUAUUCCUUGCUGAAAUUUAUCUUGAUUUAUUUCACAUCAGAUAGUUCUGAACCUAGAUGAUCUCAAUUAAGGUCAUUGAAAUUUGUUAAAUUAUUUUUAUCCGCUCUUCUGAACGAGCGUAUACGAUGAUCUGAUUUGUAUAUCAUAUUACUGAGGCAGUGCUGGGCCAUGCUGUGGUGAGAACAUACGAGAGAUAAUUGGGGUGUGUGGCUGAUUGCUUCAUAUGCUGCUAAUGAUAUAUGUAGACUGCUGAUUGCUCCUGAUAUACAGUGUCGAUUGCAGAUGAUAGUAGGAUUGUACUCAAUUUGAUAGGUAAAGUGGGAUGGCGGGAUUGUAUAGUGCUCAUAAGCCAGUCCGGGCAUUGUCCUUCCUCGAAUGAAUCUGAGACUACUCCUCAUAUGUUAAUCAGUUGCUCCUCCCUAGCUUUGGUUUGGUCUGAACUUCAAAGUUUUCAUCCACUCAAUGUUGAUUCAGUCAAAGAUCUCUUGGAAAAAUUAUUUCGACAAGAUUCACUCUAUAAUGUUGUUAUCAUUGUCCUCUGGAAUAUAUGGAAGCGCAAAAACUCCAAGGUCUCCCGGGAUGUUUUUGAGGAAUUGCACAUUACUGCUAGCAAGAUUGCUGAUGAUUGAUACCAUGGUCCAACAGGUAUUCACAUGAAAUUAAUAAAUGGCACCUUACGGAUUGGAGUACUCUACUGUAUCACCUAUCUGGGAGAUUUUAAUUUUUUCCUUCUAUUAUUUCUCUUAAUCCCUGUGUACUCAUUGGACUUUGUAUAGUUCUCAGUUUUAUGAAGUGGUUCAGGCUGGUGUAAGCCGCCAUAGUCCCAGUAAAAAAAGGCUACAAGCUUCGCUUCGGCCUUUCGGAACUAAAUAUUAUGUAGUUUUAUUGAGAUUAUUGAUAGUGCUUCUCUACUAUCAAAGAAGGUAAUAGUCUCUUAUGUGUUUCUUUUUGUCCUUUUGAAUGCACUCCAUUUUUUAGUGUAUUAAUUAACAUCAAACCUCCCAUUCUUUCUAGAGUGCUGAUGUAUUAUUAUUUUUAGCUUAACACAUCUAACUUCCUAUAGAUUUCAUGGUUUAUGUAGAUAAACUGAGCUAAGAAUUUUUGUGAAGCUAAAGCUGGUGAUAAGAUGAAAGCCGCUAUGUAUAUAUUUGAAACAGUUAGAUACAUGCUUGACAAACUAUAUAGGGGUGAUCAAAACCAUGCAAAGCAUUAUGGGACAAGUUUCUCUACCUUAAAUAAGUGUUCGUUCUCUCAUGUUUACUAUUCGUUUAAGGGUCAUCAACCCGUGUGUUUAUUUUCAUUGACCAAGUUUUACAUUUUUCUUCAGUAGUGUUCAUUGUGCAGUUCUAGAUUGUUAAGAGAGUAGAGUUUAUUGAUUUAUUACAUGGAGAGACCAGUAGUGUCGUAGUGGUCUUGACAUAAUUGCUAACAUUUUCUACUAGCCAAAGUUUAAUUGCACUAAAUACAAAUUAGAACAUGCAUAGACAUUUAUCUUCUUUCUACAGAAUGGUUAGUGUAAACGUACUUUGAGUUGUACAUGAUUCUGUAUCUGACCAUUUUAUCUCAUAUGUUGAUGUGGUUGCAGAUAUGAACUUCAAAUUAUCCUGCAAUGUAUUGACUGCUCGGAGCUAACUUGACUACGCCAGUUUUCUUUUAUGGCUCAAAGUAGUUAGUGUCCCCCCUUAUUAUGAGAGAGGUACUACUUCAAACAUCUCUUCUUAAUGUUUUAUGUCAUGGCAUCCAGUAUGAGGGAGUGUUAGUUGGCUUGACUUUCGUGGCACUCAUUGAUAACCUUUCAGUUUAGGAGUUUUUGUGGCCUCUUAAUCCAUGAGAGUAUGCUCAUGUUGAAGAAGUUAGUCAUAAUGAGGGGCACCAUAAAUGUUUGUUAUCUGGCACAAAUUCCUAAUGAAUAUCACAUGUGAACCUUUUACUGUUGUGUUAUUCAAAUUUCAUUGUACUAUUCAUACAGUAAAAUAUGAGUGCCAUGUCAGAAUAUGGUUCUCGAUUUGAAAGAUCAUAUUCGAAAUUGCAGGUUCUAUGGCAGUGGAGUAAUGUUCGUAAAUUAUAUAUUGCUUUCAAGUUUGGAGCUGGAAUAAUAUAUGUGCUGCAUUCAGUUAUAGUCUUAUAGAUAUACAUGAACAUCCAUUGUAUAUUUCUUGCAAGACAUGGUAACUACUAUUAUUUUGAUUGUUUCCGUGAACUAUUUUGACCUUGAUUAAGAAGUAGAAAGUUUUUAGCCUCGUAGGUUGUUUGAUCUACUAUAUCAAGGGGCACUUGGCUUCUCAUGGCUCUCCUCGCAUUUGCGAAAACAAAGUUAGUACACACUACCUAGAGCUCUGGAAAUUAGAACUGAAAAAUGGUCAUGCGGUUUAUUAGCUGAUAUAAAUCAUGCACAAUCCUCUACAUUUAAAAAUAAACCGGACACAAAGCAGUAUACUUUUUUCCGAGUACUACCUUGAGAGAGCCAAGGGGUUCUGCAUUUUAUAAAGAAGAAGAAAGCUGCCCGGUUCCAUACAUGCUUAUCUGAGAAAUAUAUCUUAUCUAUUUAGUGGAAACCAGGCAAAAACCUACAGAUACAAAAGGCACAAAGUCCCCCACCGGUUGUGACCGAACUACUGUUUUUGGAAAUAUCACAUGAGCUAGAUUACUAACAUUGAUGUAAUGCUUGUAUGGCAACCUAUUCCUUUAUCGGUUCAAUUACAGAGUUUUGUUAUUAUGUGAAUGGCGUAAUGGAGAGCUAAGAAAAAACAAGGUAACAGUUAGUGUUACUCUUGCGAGGUAGUUUCAAUCAUAUCAUUGUUUGCUUUCCCUUUUCUCCUGCCUAGGUAUGUACAAUUAUUCCAACCCAGGUUUCUUUCAAGAAGGAUAUGGGUAUGUAUUUGAGGAAUGUCUACAUGAUAAAACACACCUUCAAGUUUGGUGAUAGUUAUGCUAUCAAACUUACAAUGGGGGUCUUAAUCUGUAUUUUUAAUAGAGCACUGGGUUCAUUGGUGAGACUUGUAAGGAUAUGCCUAGGCUAAAGAUGGCUGCUAUGUCGGUACCAAGUGGCAUGUGUUUAAAUGGAGUAUCCUUGUCAGGAGAGCUGAUUUCUGAAAUAUCGUACUUUAUGGGUGCAAGGAUUCACCAUGUUGCGGUCUUCGUCAGCGGAGUGGUCUCCUAGGAAUUAGUCAAGGCCGCUAUGUUGUUUUAAGCUGAUAUUCUAUCGUACUUGUAUAUAUUUUUUUGCUUAUCUAGCUGUUUGCUAUGCAGUUCUCGUUGUUGGUGGGAACAUUUGUUGUCUAAGAUCGACCUCAAAUAUCUGGUGGCACUAUAGCAUGGCUUUUGAUAUUCUAAUGUAUAUCUCUUACAAAAUAUUUCAAGAGCCCAUGGCAAUGCACGGGCAUUAUACUAGUGUAAGUAAGGAUGGAGAUGAAGAUGGUGUGGCGACAAGGAUAUAACAAAACGCCUGGUUCCUUCAGCCAAAAGUUGGCGACGUUCCUUGUUACACACGCUCCGCCCAACAAAUGCUCCAAAAGCCAAAAUACAAUUCCUCAAAAAACGGCCAAAGACUACUUCCCCACAUGGAAAAGAAAUACGCACAUGGCGUUACAAUGUUGGCUACUCAUGUCUGAGUUCCUAAACCCUUGCAAAACAGAAAGAAAGGUUGUUUGCUAAACAAAAGAAAGGCCAACACAAUCCUAUCCAAACACUCCACAUUUUUACUAUGUGGCAAAAAUAUGCAACUUUUUUUUGUUUUUAGGUACAUACCAAUUUUUUAAAAAUAACACAAUUUUUUUAUGUUCACACGCCAAGGUAUUUUGUACACAUGGCAAAAUUUUCCGAAGAAGAAAAAUCUCACGACCCCAUGGAUAAUUCAUAACUUUUUGUCUUUCAAACAGGGCAAUUUUAAGUCAUUUUGUAAUGCUAUUGUGGCAAACGAUGGGAUUUUUAAUCAAUUUUCAUGGAGAAUUUGGGAUUCUUUUCCCUACUUUUCCACAUGGCAAUUUUAUUAUGAUUAAAAUGGAGAUCCUAUUAUUCAAAACAUGGCAGCUUUACUAUUAAGAGCAUGGCAAUUUAAGUAUGAUAGAAUCUCCUCCCCUGCUCGGUCUACCCCACAUGCAUGGCGUAUAACAUCCUUUAGCCCCAACUGCCGCCAAACCUCUCUAGCCUUAUGGCAUCGAAAUAGUACAUGAAACACAUCUUCUGCUCCUUGUUUACAUGCAGGACACGUCGGCCGGACUGGGAUGUGUCUAUUAGCAAGAACCACAUUGCAUGGCAGUGUUCCGUGUAAGGUUCUCCAAAGAAAAUUUUUAACUUUCGCCGGACAAUUCAGUUUCCAAACCUUUUCGCAUGUUGGGUUAGCACUAGUGGCUCCCAAACCAUCUGUCCUCUGCAAUUUACGGCCAUGCUGAAAGUACCAUAGAGCAUGGUAGGCCGAUUUCACUGUAAAAAUUCCAUGUUUAUUUAAACUCCAUGCUACAAAGUCACUCAUAUCAUGUGUAGGUAGUGGUAAAGCAAGGACCCGUUCCACAUCAAUCGGCCAGAAGGUUUGCUCCACACGUGGCACAUCCCAGUGACCUGUAGCUGGAUCAAUUAAAUCACUCACCUUUGAUAGUAACUGGUUACCUCUUGGGGUAAUAAUCAUUCUGGAUGGUGAGUUAGGAAUCCGCGCAUCCCUCCAAAUAUUUAUUUUUUCACCAUCCCCUACUCUCCAAAUGUAUCCAUGUUUCAGGGUAUUCACCCCCACUAGUAGAAAAGGGGGCAAUGGUCUAGGCCGGGUCAGCCCAUUAGUCCCGGUUCUGCCACGAACCGGGACCAAUGAAGGUAUUUGUCCCGGUUCGUGAUCCCAGGGGGCCGGCCGGGGCCUCGUGGGCAUUGGUCCUGGUUCGUCUGGCCCUUUUGGUCCCGGUUGGUGGGAUGAACUGGGACCAAUGGGCCUCGCUCCUGGCCCACCACCAUUGGUCCCGGUUGGUGGCUUGAACCGGGACCAAAGGCUCCCCUUUAGUCCUGGUUCAUGCCACCAACCGGGACCAAUGAGGUGCCUAUAUAUACCCCCUCGCGUAAGAGCAGAGCACACUGCUCUAUUUUUUCUCGCCACCGAGGGGGAGAGGGCUUGGUGGUGCUCUAGCUCACCUCCUAUGCACACAAGGUGUUCGAUGGAAUGCCCGAGCCACACUACUUAAGCUUUCUCCUCUCCAAGCUCGACCUCCAAGCUCCUUUUUCCUAAAUAUUUGUCUAGGUUUAGCAGUCCGUCACGCCCCGUCCCCGUCUUCACCGCCGUCGAUCACCCGCGCCGAUCUCAUCGCCGGCACCACCGUGGUGAGCCUCUUGUUCUUAUCUUCUUUCCGAAAGGAAAAAUAUUCUUACUUGUAUGUUUAGAUAGAUACUUGUAUUAUUUUCUUACAUUUAUUAUUGCAUCUUAUAUAGUGCGAUGGUUUUGGUAUCCGCCCCCGUCGGCCCUCGUCCUGUCUAUGAUUCGGAUGUGGUAUAUAUUAUCUUUUCAUAACUAUUGGUUCAUUUAUUGUUUAUGAAAAUUAUGCCGACCAACGUGACAUAGAUUUUAUUUAUCUAGGAGGUUGUUGAACCGGAAAUUCCAAGCUACCCUAUUGUCGAGAGGUUAAAUUUAGUUGAAGAAGAAAACAAUUUCUUGAAGGAAAAAAUAAAAAAAACUUGAGGAGGAGAAUAUGAUAUUGGAGUUGCAUGUUGCGGAUGUCGUCGAUGAUCACAAGAUCAAGAUGGAUGCAAUGCGCUUGAAGAUUAGAAAGAUUAGAAAAUAUGUCAUUCAUACCGAGGCUUGGUAUCAUUAUGCCAUUGGAUCAGUUGUUACCUUGGUUGCGAUUAUGAUCGCAUUUGUUUUCGCAUUGAAAUGUUUUACAUAGUUUCAAUGUAUGGUUUAAUUAAUUUAGAUGCUCUGCAGAGCUUUAUGUUGUUAGAUGAGAACUAUGUAUGUACUUUGGUUUUGAUGUGAUGAUGAACUUCUAUUAAUUUGGUCACUUAAUUAUCUAUUCAUGAUGUUCUAUAAUGAUUUUUGACACACUUAAUUAUAUAUAAUGCACGCAGAUGAACCGGCAAUGGAUGUAUAGUGAUAGACACACCUCCGAGUACAUUAAGGGCGUGCAUGAUUUUCUCGAAGUGGCCGAGGCAAACAAGCAGAAUGGUUUUAUGUGUUGUCCAUGCCCUAUAUGUGGGAAUACGAAGUCUUACUCUGACCGGAAAAUCCUUCACACCCACCUACUUUACAAGGGUUUCAUGCCACACUAUAAUGUUUGGACGAGGCACAGAGAAAUAGGGGUUAUGAUGGAAGACGGCAAAGAAGAAGAGUACGAUGACAACUAUGUGCCCCCUGAAUACGGUGAUGCUACUGAACAUCAAGAGGAACCAGACGAUGUGCACGAUGAUGCUGCAACAGGCGAAGCUGCUGAAGAUCAAGAGGAACCAGACGAUGUGCCCGAUGAUGAUGAUCUCCGCCGGGUCAUUGUCGAUGCAAGGACGCAAUGCGAAAGUCAAAAGGAGAAGCUGAAGUUCGAUCGCAUGUUAGAGGAUCACAAAAAAGGGUUGUACCCCAAUUGCGAAGAUGGCAACACAAAGCUCGGUACCGUACUAGAAUUGCUGCAGUAGAAGGCAAAGAAUGCUGUGCCUGAUGAAGGAUUUGAGAAGCUACUGAAAAUAUUGAAGAAGAAGCUUCCAAAGGAUAACGAAUUGCCCGACAGUACAUACGCAGCAAAGAAGGUCGUAUUCCCUCUAGGAUUAGAGGUGCAGAAGAUACAUGCAUGCCCUAAUGACUUCAUCCUCUACCGCGGUGCAUACAAGGAUCUGAACGCAUGCCCGGUAUGCGGUGCAUUGCGGUAUAAGAUCAGACGAGAUGACCCUAGUGAUGUUGAUGGCGAGCCUCCCAGGAAGAGGGACCCUGUGAAGGUGAUGUGGUAUGCUCCUAUAAUACCACGGUUGAAACGUCUGUUCAGAAAUGGAGAGCAUGCCAAGUUGAUGUGAUGGCACAGUGAGGACCGUAAGAAAGACGGGAAGUUGAGAGCACCCGCUGACGGGUCGCAGUGGAGAAAAAUUGAGAGAAAGUACUGGGAUGAGUUUGCAAAGGACCCAAGGAACGUAUGGUUUGCUUUAAGCACGGAUGGCAUUAAUCCUUUCGGGGAGCAGAGCAGCAAUCACAGCACCUGGCCCGUGACUCUAUGUAUGUAUAACCUUCCUCUCUGGAUGUGCAUGAAGCGGAAGUUCAUUAUGAUGCCAGUUCUCAUCCAAGGCCCUAAGCAACCCGGCAACGACAUUGAUGUGUACAUACGUGGAAUGGAAACGGUGUACGUACGUGGGAUGAGCACAAACAGGAGGAAUUUGACCUAAAGGCGUUGCUGUUCGUGACCAUCAACGAUUGGCCCGCUCUCAGUAACCUUUCAGGACAGACAAACAAGGGAUACCAUGCAUGCACGCACUGUUUACUUGACACCGAUAGUAUAUACCUGGGAAGCUGCAGGAAGAAUGUGUACCUGGGCCAUCGUCGAUUUCUUCCGACCAACCAUCAAUGUCGAAAGAAAGGCAAGCAUUUCAAAGGCGAGGCAGAUCACCGGAAGAAGCCCGGCAUGCGUACCGGUGAUCACGUACUUGCUAUGGUCAAUGAUUUACACGUAAUCUUUGGAAAGGGUCCCGGCGGACUAGCUGUUCCGAAUGACGCUGAGAAACACGCACCCAUGUGGAAGAAGAAAUCUAUAUUUUGGGACCUACCCUACUGGAAAGACCUAGAGGUCCGCUCUUCGAUCGACGUGAUGCACGUGAUGAAGAACCUUUGCGUGAACCUGCUAGGCUUCUUGGGCGUGUAUGGGAAGACAAAAGAUACACCUGAGGCACGGGAGGACCUGCAAUGCUUGCACGAAAAAGAGGGCAUGCCUCCAAAGCAGUAUGAAGGUCCUGCCAGCUACGCUCUUACGAAAGAAGAGAAAGAAAUCUUCUUUGAAUGCCUGCUCAUUAUGAAGAUCCCGACUGGCUUCUCGUCGAGUAUAAAGGGAAUAAUAAAUAUGCCAGAGAAAAAGUUCCAGAACCUAAAGUCUCAUGACUGCCACGUGAUUAUGAUGCAACUGCUUCCGGUUGCAUUGAGGGGGCUUCUACCGGAAAACGUCCGAUUAGCCAUUGUGAAGCUAUGUGCAUUCCUCAAUGCAAUAUCUCAGAAGGUGAUCGAUCCAGAAAUCGUACCAACGCUAAGGAGUGAUGUGGCGCAAUGUCUUGUCAGUUUCGAGCUGGUGUUCCCACCAUCCUUCUUCAAUAUCAUGACGCACGUCCUAGUUCAUCUAGUCGACGAGAUUGUCAUUCUGGGGCCCGUAUUUCUACACAAUAUGUUCCCCUUUGAGAGGUUCAUGGGAGCCCUAAAGAAAUAUGUCCGUAACCGCGCUAGGCCAGAAGGAAGCAUCUCCAUGGGCCAUCAAACAGAGGAUAUCAUCGGGUUUUGUGUUGACUUCAUUCCUGGCCUUAAGAAGAUAGGUCUCCCUAAAUUGCGGUAUGAGUGGAGACUGACUGGAAAAGGCACGCUUGGAAGGGACUCAAUAAUAUGCAGGGACGGAUAUUCUUGGUCUCAAGCACACUACACAGUUCUACAGAACUCUACCUUGGUGACCCCGUAUGUCGAUGAACACAAGAACAGUCUGCGCUCCAAACACCCGGAGCAGUGCGACGACUGGAUUACAUGUGAACACAUCAGGACUUUCAGCAGUUGGUUGGAAACACGUCUCAGAGGUGACAGCACUGUUUGUGGUGAGCUGUACUUGUUGUCCAGGGGACCAUCUUCGACUGUAAUGAAUUGGAAAGGAUACGAGAUAAAUGGGAAUACAUUUUACACAAUUGACCAAGAUCAAAAGAGCACCAACCAAAACAGCGGUGUCCGCUUUGAUGCAACAACCGAGAGGGGAAAGGACACAUAUUAUGGUUACAUAGUGGACAUAUGGGAACUUGACUAUGGACAUAAUUUUAAGGUCCCUUUGUUUAAGUGCAAAUGGGUCAGUCUGUCAGGAGGCGGGGUACAGGUAGACCCACAGUACGGAAUGACAACAGUGGAUCUGAAAAAUCUUGGGUACACUGACGAACCGUUCGUCCUAGCCAAUGAUGUGGCACAGGUUAUCUAUGUGAAGGACAUGUCUACCAGACCGAGAAAAAGAAAAGAUAAGGAAGAGAAUACAUCAUACGAUGAGCCAAAGCGCCACACAGUUCUUUCAGGAAAAAGGGACAUCCUGGGAGUGGAGGGCAAGACAGACAUGUCUGAAGAGUAUGAAAAGUUUCAUGAAAUUCCUCCCUUCAAAGUCAAGGCUGACCCAAGCAUCCUGAUAAACGAUGAAGAUUAUCCAUGGUUACGGCGCAAUAAGCAAAUGACACAAGCGAAGAAAAAGUGAAGACUUUCUCCCGCAACUAUUAUGAUGAUACCAUGCCAACUUUGUAACAGACGAGUAUGAUACCAUUGUCCGCUUUGUACAUGCACAUGCUAUGCCAACUUUUCCAGAGUUCAUUUUAAAACUAAGAAAUCACUAAAAAACUAUAAGCAUUUAGUUCUAAGUAGAAAUGAAAAAAUAAAUAGCAAAAAAGAAAAAAAAUGCCACCUACUGGGCCAGCACGGCCUGAAUAUGACUAGAAACCUAACCAUGGGCCAGGAUUCAGGCCCGCAGCAGGCCCAGUAGGCCCACAGGCAUUGCAGUGUCCGAUUAGGCCCGUAAGCCAACAGUUCAGAGGAGUUCGAAAGGGAACACAGAGCAGGGCUUAUAAACAGGUGCGGGAGCUCUUCGGCUAGCGAGGUGGGACUAAAAAUCCCACCACCGCGCCAGCGCAAGGCCUUUGGUCCCGGUUGGUGGCACCAACCGGGACUAAAGGGCGCAUUGGUCCCGGUUCGUGGCACAAACCGGGACCAAUGCCCCCUUUUGUCCCGGUUGGUGCCACCAACCAGGACCAAAGGCCGCCUCUUCCCGCCCUUUGGGCUGCUGAAAAGAGGCCUUUGGUCCCGGUUGGUGGCACCAACCGGGACUAAAGGGGGANNNNNNNNNNNNNNNNNNNNNNNNNNNNNNNNNNNNNNNNNNNNNNNNNNNNNNNNNNNNNNNNNNNNNNNNNNNNNNNNNNNNNNNNNNNNNNNNNNNNNNNNNNNNNNNNNNNNNNNNNNNNNNNNNNNNNNNNNNNNNNNNNNNNNNNNNNNNNNNNNNNNNNNNNNNNNNNNNNNNNNNNNNNNNNNNNNNNNNNNNNNNNNNNNNNNNNNNNNNNNNNNNNNNNNNNNNNNNNNNNNNNNNNNNNNNNNNNNNNNNNNNNNNNNNNNNNNNNNNNNNNNNNNNNNNNNNNNNNNNNNNNNNNNNNNNNNNNNNNNNNNNNNNNNNNNNNNNNNNNNNNNNNNNNNNNNNNNNNNNNNNNNNNNNNNNNNNNNNNNNNNNNNNNNNNNNNNNNNNNNNNNNNNNNNNNNNNNNNNNNNNNNNNNNNNNNNNNNNNNNNNNNNNNNNNNNNNNNNNNNNNNNNNNNNNNNNNNNNNNNNNNNNNNNNNNNNNNNNNNNNNNNNNNNNNNNNNNNNNNNNNNNNNNNNNNNNNNNNNNNNNNNNNNNNNNNNNNNNNNNNNNNNNNNNNNNNNNNNNNNNNNNNNNNNNNNNNNNNNNNNNNNNNNNNNNNNNNNNNNNNNNNNNNNNNNNNNNNNNNNNNNNNNNNNNNNNNNNNNNNNNNNNNNNNNNNNNNNNNNNNNNNNNNNNNNNNNNNNNNNNNNNNNNNNNNNNNNNNNNNNNNNNNNNNNNNNNNNNNNNNNNNNNNNNNNNNNNNNNNNNNNNNNNNNNNNNNNNNNNNNNNNNNNNNNNNNNNNNNNNNNNNNNNNNNNNNNNNNNNNNNNNNNNNNGUCGCCCUCGCCCUCGCCCUCGCCGACCCCGAGCCCGUCUUCGUCGCCGUCGCCCCCGACACCGGCUGCCCGCGUCUCCUCCCGAUCCCGCCGGGAGAGGUAGCUACCGCCCCAUCCUCCCCCCUUCCUUCCCCUGUUCCUUUGCAAAAUAUAUCUAUGUAUGUAUGAGUUGGGGAGAAAGUUUAUAAUUUUUGUUCAUAUAUACUGUAGAUGUAUGUAUGAUGAAUUUUGAUUUUUUUUUGUUCAUAUAUAAUGUAGAUGUCUAUGUAUGUAUGGAAUGAUAUCGAUGGAUGUAUGUAUAUAGAACAUUCGUACAAAAUAUGACGAAUCCGAUAUGACCAAUGUCCCCCUCAGGUUAACUCGGGAACACUAACUCUCUCGGAGAAAAAAAUGUUAUCGGGGAAAAAAUGUUAUCAGGGUCGAGGGUCAUCGAACAUGAGAGGAAGAAGAGGAUAAAAAAGAAGAGGAAGAAGAAAAAAAAGAGGAGAAGAAAGAAUAGAGGAGUUCUUCUCCUCUAUUCUUUCUUCUCCUCUUUUUUUUCUUCUUCCUCUUUUUUUAUCAGGAACUAGGGUCGUCGAGGGUCGCCGAGCGGUAGAGGAACCCGAAUUAAAUAGCAAGUAUCGUCGGUGUGAGAUACAUGUGGCCGUCGGCAUCGGACACUACAUCCACGUCCCACAAGUGAAGCAGGCGUCGAUGCCCACGUCACUUGUGGGACAUAGAUGUAGUGUUCAACGCCGAUGCCGACGUCUCAUUCUUUUUUUCUAAAAUUUCUAUUUGAACAUUAUUUUAAGAAAACAAGCAAUACUACUUCAUGUAUUUUUAAGAAGGAAAAAAUAAGCAUAUUAUUUUCCCAUGUACGUAUGUCGUCGUUGUCGAUAUACCCCCUCCCAAUAGCUUCAACACGUGGGGGGUCGAUAUUACCCCCUCCUUGAAGCGUUCUCGAGGCCACCCCUAACCCUUGAAGCGUUGUCGAGGCCACCCGAAACCCUAGAGAAGCAGCGUCGAGGCCACUAAUUAAUAUGAUUCCUUAUUGUGAUUAGCUAGCUAGUUCUACGUUUGCCACUAAUAUAUCCAUCUGUCAUGUUUGAAUAAUAAUUGCCAUGUUGUAAAUAUUUGUAGAAAAUGUGGACACCCCCCGAGACGAAGCACAAGAAGCGUUGUUGAGGGACAUAAUCGCAGAAGGAAGUGAUGACGUCUGCUCGUUGAUGUUUCUCAAUGACACCGAUGGUCUGGAAGGAGAGGGUGAAGAAGCAGCUGGCUAUGAUUAUGAUGGCUCCGAUGACCCAAUGUCGGUGCAAGAAGUAGACCGUGAGGACGGCUCCGGUGACCGAACCGAGUACGGCCAGGUAUAUAUAUUAGUUAAGCCUGUGCUGACUAGCUAAUUGAUGCAUUCAUUGUUUUGGUAUGUACACAUAUUAAUUAACUCUCAUCUUUGUUCUUUUUCUAGCCCUCCGGAUCGAGCACAACUUCGGUAAAGAGACGAGGCCCGAAGAAAAAGUUGAGCUCGGAUGAAAGGUUUGAGAUCAUAGCAAUCGCGCGCGACGGCCAACCGAUUGAACCCAUCCGGACAAAGAAGGCAUUUGUUGCUCAGUGCGGGGUUCUGGUUAGGGACAAGAUCCCGAUCAGCAUCCAGCAAUGGUAUAAGCCUAAGAACGAAGACCCUGAGGUGUCUUAUGUCAAUGAUAUGCAGAAAAAUGAUCUUUGGACUGAGCUGAAGUCAAAUUUCACCCUACCGCCAGAGGAUGAUCCGGAGAAGCCAGUUAAAGAGCAAUUAAUCAAGUCUUUUGCUCUUAAGAAGAUGGCAAACCUAUUCAUGAAUUGGAAGAAAGACCUGAAUAGGUUUGUCGAUAAAAAAGAGACACCAAAAUUCAAGGGCAAAUAUGAGAAGAUCAGAGAUGACUGGCCCGCAUUUGUGGCCCACAAGACAUCGAAAAAGAGUAAAAAGAUGUCAGCGACAAACAAGAAAAAUGCUGCGAAGAAGAAGCUUCACCAUCGCACGGGGUCAGGUGGCUACCUCAUAGCCCGGCCUAAGUGGGCCAAGGCUGAGAAUGAUCUGCUUGAUAAAGGGAUCGAACCAGAGACAAUGAACUGGCCAGACCAUUGCCGGACUUGGUUCUUCGGGGCUGGCGGAACCUUGGACCCUCUAUCAGGGAGGUGCAUUUGGACGGACGAUCAAUUGGACAUACCAGUCAAGAGGCUUCAGCAAUAUAUCGAAGCAGCACAACAAGGGGCGUUCGUUCCAGACAGAGAGAACGAUGAGCUCACAAUGGCCCUCGGGAAUCCUGAGCACCCUGGACGGACACGAGGCACGCCAGGCUCCGUUUCGUGGAAGGUUGGGUUUCCGGACGCAGGCGGUUACAAAUGCCAGGAGAGGAGGAAGAAAGUGCAGCAGACUGAACUGCAGGCGCUGCAUGCAAGGGUACAAGUGAUAGAGGAACGAGAAGCAAAUCGCAGCAAACGACCUGCCGAAGCUUCCCCCGAAGCUACCCCGCCAUCUCAGCGGAGAAGCAGCGUGGCUUCCACCGAGCUGCUUCAGCCGGAGCAUGCCUUGACGGCUCCUGCCAGCUAUCCCGUGGAUGCUAUCACGGAGGCUCAAAAUUGCCACCUUAUGGCGCAAUGGAUGAAUUUGAAGGUCAAGGAGGCUGUUGGCUCUGUUUAUCCUACUGAAUCCAGCGCAACUUUUCACUGCCGGCCGAUUCCAGAAGGAUAUGCUAGGGUGAUGGUGGAUGAAAUAACGGAGGUAUUUGAGGAUCUCCGGCUUGACCACCUACCCGUGAAGGGGAGACUCGGCUGGGUUCUGCUCUGAAGACUCCAUGCCUAUCGCGGAAGGAUCUCAUCAACCUUCCGAACUGGACGCCUCCGCCUCCUCCUCCUCCUCCAGAGAGUCCGGGCACUUCGCCUCCUCCACCGCCUCCUCCUCCGGCGAGUGACGAUCAGGGCACUCGGCCGGCUCCUUCUCCAGUGCGUGGCGGCACUCCGCCUCCUUCUCUUCCUGCGCCAGCGCGCCUGAGCAGCCAGCCUCCUCCCUCUCCGCCUCGUCAGCAAGGGCGAAAGAGACCCACCGCCGCUCCGGCUGCUCCAGCGCGUCGUAGUCCUUCUCCUCCUCCUCGUAAGAAAGAAAAGAAUACAUCCGCUCUAUCUGCUCUGCCGGUGUCUAGCAGUACAGCCAAAGGCGGGAUGACAUACAGAUUCAGUUCUUCUCUGAAGACUCCAGAGAAAUUACCAUACGAGAUGACACCGGAGGAGAACGUGAAGAUCGCGCGAACCGAAGUGAAGGACUGGUUUCAAGGGUUGAAAGCAUAGAGACAUCCACCUCCGGAGGAGAAGGUAGAUCCGGUGAAAGCGAAGCGCAUUCUGGCUGCCCUGACAAAACCACCCAAGUCUCUGCCGAAAGGCAACUAUGAGCGCAUUAUUGGAAAGGCAUUUGCCGAAGCGGAGAGGUCGAGAAGUACUGUCAGUCAUCAAAGGAUGAAAGAACGACGAGCUGGGAAACAAAUUGCCCAGCUCGGCGAACAAGUGAAGCAAUCGUGCCCCCCACUCAAGGUGCCUGUUAGCGACAUCGUCGAUCCGAGGAUGGUGCCCGGUUAUAGCAAUCUUGGAGAUUACCACUAGAAGAAAUAUGUCAACUAGUGACCUUCUGUCAGUGACCCUGGAAGAAUUGGUCAUAGAUCUAUGACCAUUUCAGACCAAUUGGUCAAAAGCUGUUCGGGGGGCUCCAAACCCUAAACCAUUGCGACCAUUUUGGUCAGAAAGGUCGUAAUUUCCUUACACGAAAUGGUCAUAAAGCAAACAGCGCUAGUCCGCUGCCUUAUUUCUAGUUGUUAACGACCAAUAUAGAUGGUCCUAGCUUUGUAAAUUGUGGUGGGUUGCUAUGACUAGGCGCCACCUCAUCAGUUUUGCCUAUGUGUCAUGUCCAUGUGGCAGUUUUUGCCCUAGGUUGUGAAGCAACCUAUGUUUCUGUCAUUCCCAAAAUUCCCAAAAAAAUCUCAUAAAUUCUUUGGGUCAUAUCUUCGUCAAAUAUGUAAAUACCUUCCUUGCCUAGUUCAAAAAUAAUUCAAAAAUAUUAAUUUUCCUAUCCUGUUCAGAACAACAGUUUGUGAAGGAAGUACCACUUUGGCAUGUCCAAAUAGUAUCCAUUUUCUACAGUGCUUUCCUAUGCCCAAAUAACCAUCCUCAACCAAAUGCCAGCUCAAUCCAUUCAUUAUUUUGAGCCGAGCUUCAACAUUCGUAGUUAUGUCCAGUGUGGUAGUUUGCAAAGCAAGUACCACCUAGGCUCCUCCUUUUGAGCUGAAAAUUUGUGAACACGGUCUUCUUAGUAACUGGUCAUCCUCACCAAAACUCACGCCCAUUAGCCAUGUACAUUUCCCGUACCGCUAAUCAAACACUUGGCUGCUAAUUCAUGUUUGAGCAUCGAUCGGUCUCCUCGUGAGAAUCUUAUGUUGUAAUUUUCUUCCUAGCACCAACCUGGGGAGUGCCCAACCCACUAGACAUGCCUAGGCCGCCAAGAACACAUGGCAACGCCACGGUCACGCGGUGACCACGCGGUGGGCAUGCGAGUUUACGCGCUCUAGAGUUGGGGCCCUCGGCCACCGCCCAAACCUCGACGUAUCGCUACCAAACCAUGUAUUUAUGAUUAAAUAGAUCCUUAUGUAACUAGAAAUGAUUUUUGGAAAAAAUAAAUAGAAAACUAUGAGGCAGCUGCAGUUCAAAUUUGACCCGCUUCCAGCUGAAUCGGCGGAAAUUUGUCUUUUUCACGAGAAGUGGAUCAAAAAAAUUUACACCCAACCAUUUUGUAAAUUGUUCAUUAAAUAUGGCCUAGUAUUUUAUAAAAAUGAUUUGGUCCAAUUUUGCAACAAUUAUUUGGUAGUUCCUUCACAAAAAAAUCUCCUUUCGGGCACUCGAAAAAUGGAAAAUGGUUUUUUCGUCCAACAAAAAUGAAAACUUCCUUAGGCAACAUCGUUUGCCAUUCCAAUAUGCACCCUUGUGCACAAUAUGAGAUCAUUUGAACAAACUAUGCCAUGAAUGUGGCCAUAAGAUUCAUCAUUUGGCUUGAAAGCCAUUGAUCUCCACACGUGAUAGCUCGUUUCUGAGAACACUUUUUUAAAAUAAUUGUCGUAUUACAAGUUUAUUAUUUUUCCUGGGAACUUGGCCACAUAUUAUGACACAAUGCGAAGGUUUCCCAACUUUUUGAUUUUUUUUUAAAUUUUUUAUGCUCGUUUCAAAAUGCGGUCAAAACGGCGGGAAUGACCAUUCCUAGCUAGUGGUUGAAUCUUGGAAUUUUUUUGGUGUUUCUCUAAUUAAAUAGAUACUUAUGUACCUACAAAUGAUUUUCGAAAAAAAUAAAGAGCAGACUAUGAGGCAGCUGCAGUUCAAAUUUGACCCGCUUCCAACUAAAUCGGUGGAAAUUUGUCUUUUUCACCAGAGGUGGAUAAAAACUUUUGACACCCAACCAUUUGGUUAAUUGUGAAUCAAAUAUGUCCUAGUAUUUUAGAAAAAUGAUUUGGUCCAAUUUUGCAACAAAUAUAUGGUAGGUCCUUCACAAAAAGAACUCAUUUCGGGCACUCAAAAAAUGAAAAAUGAAUUUUUCGUGUAAAGAAAAUGAAAACUCCCUUAGGCAACAUUGUUUGGAAUUCCAAGAUGCACCCUUGUGCAUAUAUGAGAUCAUUUGAACAAACUAUGCCAUGAAUGUGGCCAUAAGAUUGAUCAUUUGGCUAGAAAACCCUGAAUCUUCACGCGUGAUAGCUCAUUUCUGAGAACACUUUUUUAAAAUAAUUUCCGUAUUAUAAGUUUAUAUUUUUCCUGGAAACUUGGUCACAUAUAAUGACACAUUGCGAAGGUUUCCCAAUUUUUUGAUUUUUUUUUAAUUUUUUAUGCCCGUUUCAAAAUGCGGUCAAAACGGCGGGCAUGACCGUUCCUAGCUAGUGAUUGAAUCUUGGAAUUUUUUUGGUGUUUCUCUGAUUAAAUAGAUACUUUUGUACCUAGAAAUGAUUUUUGGAAAAAAUAAAGAGCAAACUAUGAGGCAGCUGCAGUUCAAAUUUGACCCGCUUCCAACUAAAUCGACGGGAAUUUGUCUUUUUCACCAGAGGUGGAUCAAAAGUUUUGACACCCAACCAUUUGGUUAGCUGUGAAUAAAAUAUGACCUAGUAUUUUAUAAAAAUGAUUUGGUCCAAUUUUGCAACAAAUAUAUGGUAGGUCCUUCACAAAAAAAAGUCAUUUCGGGCACUCGAAAAAUGGAAAAUGAAAUUUCAGUCCAAUGAAAAUGAAAACUUCCUUAGGCAACAUUGUUUGCCAUUCCAAGAUGCACCCUUUUGCACAAUACGAUAUCAUUUGAACAAACUUUGCCAUGAAUGUGGCCAUAAGAUUGAUCAUUUGGCUUGAAAGCCAUGAAUCUUCACGCAUGACAGCUCAUUUCUGAGAACAUUUUUUAAAAAUAAUUUCCGUAUUACAAGUUUAUUAUUUUUCCUGGAAACUUGGUCACAUAUAAUGACACAAUGCGAAGAUUUUCUAAUUUUUUGAAUUUUUUUGAAUUUUUUAUGCCCAUUUCAAAAUACGGUCAAAACGGCGGGAAUGACCAUUCCUAGCUACUGGCUGAAUCUUGGAAAAAGUUUGAUGUUUCUCUGAUUAAAUAGAUACUUAUGUACCUAGAAAUGAUUUUAGGAAAAAAUAAAAAGCAAACUAUGAGGCAGCCGCAGUUCAAAUUUGACCCGCUUCCAGCUGAAUCAGCGGAAAUUUGUCUUUUUCACAAGAGGUGGAUCAUAACUUUUCACACCCAACCAUUUGGUCAAUUGUGCAUUAAAUAUGGCCUAGUAUUUUAUAAAAAUGAUAUGGUCCAAUUUUGCAAGAAAUAUAUGGUAGGUCCUUCACAAAAAAACUUAUUUUGGGCACUCGAAAAAUGGAAAAUUGAAUUUUCGUGCAAAGAAAAUAAAAACUCUCUUUGUCAAUAUUGUUUGCCAAUCCAAAAUGCAAACUUUGUGCAAAAUAUGGUACCAUUUGAAAAAUAUUUGGUUGAUCCUUUAAAAAAUACUCAUUUUAAGCACUCAAAAAAUGAAAAGGAAGUUUUCAUGAAAAUUUUUAUCUUUAAUCUAAUUGAUUUCGACCAAUUUAGAUGGUCAUAAAAUGUUUAAAUUGCUUGCUGCGUUUUGAUUGGUCUAGGAGCCUAUCACGUGGAUCAUGCAUCAGAACCGUCGGAUGCUCCGGAAUUCAACGGCAGCCCUCACCCCUCACCCUCUCACCCACGCCCCCACUCCCCACCGUACCCGCAGACCCCACGCACCCACUCACCACCGUACCCGCAGACCCCACGCACCCACUCACCACCGUUCCAAACCUCACGCACCCACUCACCACCAUUCCAAACCCCACGCACGCACUCACCAUCGUUCCAAUCCCGCACCCGCACCCGCUCGCCGAAACCCUAGCCGCCGCCGCCGCCCCCUCCCCGUCCCCUCUACCAAGAUCGCACCAACCACCCCGAUGACCGCCGCUGCACCGCCGCACGCCUCGGCGCUCCUGGACGCCCUCCCCCUNNNNNNNNNNNNNNNNNNNNNNNNNNNNNNNNNNNNNNNNNNNNNNNNNNNNNNNNNNNNNNNNNNNNNNNNNNNNNNNNNNNNNNNNNNNNNNNNNNNNNNNNNNNNNNNNNNNNNNNNNNNNNNNNNNNNNNNNNNNNNNNNNNNNNNNNNNNNNNNNNNNNNNNNNNNNNNNNNNNNNNNNNNNNNNNNNNNNNNNNNNNNNNNNNNNNNNNNNNNNNNNNNNNNNNNNNNNNNNNNNNNNNNNNNNNNNNNNNNNNNNNNNNNNNNNNNNNNNNNNNNNNNNNNNNNNNNNNNNNNNNNNNNNNNNNNNNNNNNNNNNNNNNNNNNNNNNNNNNNNNNNNNNNNNNNNNNNNNNNNNNNNNNNNNNNNNNNNNNNNNNNNNNNNNNNNNNNNNNNNNNNNNNNNNNNNNNNNNNNNNNNNNNNNNNNNNNNNNNNNNNNNNNNNNNNNNNNNNNNNNNNNNNNNNNNNNNNNNNNNNNNNNNNNNNNNNNNNNNNNNNNNNCCGCGUCCACAGAACCAGAACCCCUCGUGCCCCGCGGCUCCUCGUCGUCCUCAUCUCCCCCGACUCCCUCGCUCUCCUCCCCUCCCCCCUGCAGCAGUCCCACGCGCCCAUGCGCAUCUACCUCCACCCGUUGAGCAGCAGCAGGUCAGGCGGCGGCCAGAUCCGCCGCGUUGCUUCCGGAUCCGCGCCCUCGUCACGCGCGCUUGACACCAUGGUACUCGUCAACAAGGUCGUCUCUCGCCCUCUUCUCUUGUCCUUUCAAUUCGAUCUGGAUGUUGCUCACACAUGCCCGAUUUGUUUUUCUUCCUCACACAGGUCGUCGUCAAGCCCUCGAUCUGGCUGCGACCUCCAGCCAUCGCGAGAUCUGAAGGACUCGCGCAACCCUUCUCGCCGCAUCCUACUCGGCGGCCACCAUGGUGCCCUUCGACCCGCCCUUCCCUCUGCUUUGCGCGCCAGUCCCUUCCUCUUCCUCCGCCGCCUCCGCCGAGCCCCCCGGCCUCGCCUUCCGCGACGCCGCGAGCUGGCGAGCCGCCUAGGAGGCCGUCGAGGCCAGCCUCUUCUCCUAGUGCGAGGUAACCCGUUCCCUCUCAUCUCAUAUCCAUCCUAAUCUGUGUCUGUUUCGCAUGCCUGAAUCAUCGCAUGACUAGACGCCGAUUGUUUGGACUUACUUGACGCUGGUUGUUUAGAUCUGUAAGGUAGACGCUGAUUGCUGAUGGCAGUGCGAUUCCUAGCACCAGUAGUAUUUGUCCUCUUUUUGUUCUUGCAGCUGGCCGAGCUGCCUCGCGCUAGUCAAUGCCAGGCAGCAAGUUUAGCAGCUACGUACAUCAAACAGUGCUGACAAACCCCUGGCUAGUGCCCAAGAUUACUUACUAUUCGGAGUUUCCGUAACAUGGCAUAUAUUCCGCGUGCGUGUUUUACUUCUGCGGUGUUGCUACUAUGCUAAUUCUCAGUCGACCGAGAUGUUCUUGGGUCUCAAUUGAUUUCUCGGAAGACCAGGAAUGUUUACUUUUGUAGCUGGCCGAGCUGACUUGCUCUAGUACUGCUAGUCGGUAAAUUUCUCAGCUGAGCACAGUGAAGAGAGCAAAAACCACUUCAUGGCUGCUUAGCAUUAGCUAUCUUGGUUGGUGAUGCUCUACAGUUGAUCUGGAUCGAACUGAAACAUGUAUAGUUAAGGAAUUCUAAUCAAUAAUCGCACAAUCUAGAAUAGAUGAAGUAUCAGCAGCUGCGUAUGGUCUACACAGCUGGUUCCAGUCUUGCUUUUCAAUUUUGUAUCAGCAGCUGCGUAUGGUCUACACAGUUGGUUCCAGUCUUGCUUCUGAAUAGAUGAAGUAUUUUAUUUAUAUCACUGGAAGUCCUUUUUUUGUCCAAGUAAUUAGUGCUUUGGUGGCAGAUUAAAUAAAUAAAUAAUACUUUUAAGCAUUUAAGUGUUGAUACUCACUAGUUUUAACCCGCUCGGAAUGUGGCAGACAUUGUUACAUCUGUCUGUCUACAGGCGUCGUUUUAGUACUACCUAAUUAAGUCAUCUACUGUCAUGUGCCUGCGCAAUGUUUCCUCCUUAUAUCACCUUUAAUCCAAGGCAAAAUCUGGACCAACGAGUACCUAUUGCACUAAUGGGUGAUUAGUACGCUGACAGAGAUAUUUGGAAAUAGGAAUUCUACAGCGCAUACUAUUCAGAGCAGAACGGUAAUUUCCUUAAUGAAGUAGGUGACUGUAAUUUGUAUAAUAACCACGCAGGCUACUUUAAUUAAUGUUUCCACUUUUCUUUGAUUAAAUGGUUUAGUUUUGAUUAAUAACUCAUUGGAUUUUAAAUAUGGUAGUAAGAAGUUGCAACAGUGCUAUGUGGCGUUUGCACAAAUUCCUUGAUUUUCUAGCAUAGCAGGUGCUCGGACUUGUCAAACAAGAGUUUAGUUUCCAUAGAAGUAUACUCAGUUAUAUGAGAUACUUGGUUGGCAUAGUAAACCAAACCAUGUUACUGAUAAUUUUUUUGCUCCUUCUCAGGACUGCUCCCGUGUGGUGGCCUCCUUGAGACUUGGCACUUAGCAGCAGAAUCUAAUUAAUUAUACUGAUUUCUUUGUUCUUCCAGAAUCUUGGCACUUUGCUUGUCUAUGGAUCAUCUUCCACUUGAUAGCUGGCAGGAGGUCAUUAUUCCGUUGCUGCCUCAUCACUUACCUCCAGUUCUGAAUUUGUGUGAUAAAUGCUUCUGAAUUCCAAUGACAAGUGCUACUGAAAAUUUUCUGUUCUUGUUUCUUUAAUACGCAUGUUCAUGAAUAAUCGCUUCAGUUAUUUGUUCUUCUGAAAACUUCAGUAUGCAAGUACCUAUUCCUGGUACAGCAAGUACCAGUUCUUGAGCAUUUGCACAGUUUUCAUUAUUUGUUCUUCUGAAAAUUUGCUCUAUUGUGAAUCAUAGUAGUAUGCACUAGCAGCAAUCUGUCAAUGUUUGAUUCAAGCUUACUCUCGUUAUAAUGUAUUGUGUAGUUGUUGUUUCAAAUUGUUUUGCUACAAGUACCAUAAUUUGCAUUGAAGAUAUUGUAUUCUGUUGAUGUAUCAUUGUUUAAUAAAACCACAGCAUGAUGCUCACAUGAGAUAUCCACAUGUUUUUGUGCUGUUUCUUUCCAGCAUGAUGCUCUCGUUAUAAUGUAUUCUGUUGCUGUUUUGCUACAAGUUGUGUGUUGAUUUGAUAACAGGAGUUUCCUUGUCCUGGUCCUAUACUGCAUUUUGACUCCUAUGUUUCUAUGCGUGUGUGUUUAAUUGAUGUUCUUUCAACUUUGAACCGCUUCUGCAUAUGCCCUAUACUGCAAUUGAGAUUUAAAUUUGUGGUUGUUCCUCUUUUACAGAUGCUCAAGUGUGAAGUGUGAAGCAAGUGUGAAGUUGUGAAGUGUGAAGCCAUCAAGUUCUACUUAGUGAAGAGUAGCAUAUUGUAGCAUAUAUGUGUUGUAAAGAUUGUAAUAGAUUUAUUUAGUGGUAUAUUUGAUGAAAUUUAUGUGUUCUUUUUGAUUAUGUAUGUGAUCUGAAAACUUGUGAAAUGGAAACUUGACCAAUGGGUCCACUUAUGAAAAUAAUCUGUCAAAUUUGUACAUUUCUGAUACGUGGGACCAAUUUGAGAGAUGAUCAUGACAAGUGGGACCCAUCUGACUAGUGGGACCAGCUUGAAUAUAUAAUGGCUGAAAAUAGAAAAGCAAUAAAUAAUAAAAGGCCACGGGCCAACAAUAAAAAAGGCUACAACGUUGCGCUUGGCCCAUGAAGCGGACCAGAAUAACAAGGAAAAAUAAUAAUAAAAGGCUGAAUUAAUGGGCUCGGCCAUGUAAAACACCUAAUCGGACCGGGACCGGGCUGAUUCUUGUGCCACAUCAGAUUGCCACGUCAAAUGCCUACGUGGCCUGAGGAGGCUGCUAGUGACCAAAACAAAACAGUAGGCCUAUUUUGGUUGUAAAUGUCUACGACCUUCUCACAGAGAAGGUCUCUAUAGUCAGUUUACGACUGCCAGCUUUUGACCUUCUGUUUUUGGUCACAAAAAGGCCGCAAAUGAAAAACCAUGACCUUUCAGUGACCAAUAGUAGAGGUCACAAGUUGACAUAUUUCUUGUAGUGUACUUGUCCGACGAUGUACAUUAUGAUUUCUUGGAGGUGCAGAUACAAAGAUACGAGUACGGGAAGCCUCUCGUCAAAGAUGAAAGAUCUCUAUCAACGAUGAUGCAAAGAUUACAUGAUUGGUACAUGAAAACCUGCAGAGACACUGAGGGGAGGAGUACUUUGUAUGUGAGAGUUAAAAAGGAGCAUGACCUCGUUGGAAUUGAACUGUUGCCUGUUCCAUUUGAGGAGUUCUUUCAGUUUUUCAAUCAAUUGGCCCUCGAUAAAGCAACGGUCACCUGCUACUGUCUAUAAGUAGUACUACUUCUGUCAUUAAGUCUCUCUAUAUAACUCAGCUCUUUCAUUGCAUGUAUUUAUAAUUAUCCUCACUAUAUUAUGCAGAUUGAAGAUCGCCGAAUUGAAGAAAAGACAAGUGGGUAAUAUUGGGUUCAUUAACACAUAUCUCAUAGAUGCAACUGAGGUUAAAUAUCAUGCCGAAGAUACCGAGGCCAACUUGUUACGAUCGUUGGUAAUAAAUGAACACAAAGAUAUAAUACUCUUUCCUUACAACUUCAAGUGAGUGUUACUUUCUUGUGGCAUAUUCGGUUUCCCUUAUUAGUCCAGGUUAUAGUAAUGUAAUUGAUGAGUUAUGCAUGCGUGCGCAGGUUCCACUAUAUUCUCCUAGAGAUUAAGCUUGAGCAGGGAGUAGUAACUGUCUUCGACUCGAGACAAAAAGAUCCCAAGGAGUAUGCGGACAUGACUCAAAUGCUCGAGAAGUAAGUUAAAUCAAUCAUUAUCCACCAUAUCAGCAACUUUGUUCAUUUCUGAUAUCAAGUAAUUGUUUUCUUUGUAUGGCAGGGUUUGGAGAAAAUUCACCAAAAAAGCUCCGGGACUGCCGAAGAAGCUGCAAUUUAGACACCCGAAAGUAAGUACUAUAGUAGCAUGUUCCACGCAUCUCCUAGUGAUUCAAGCGCUAGUUUCAUCAAUACCAUUUGGCAUUCUUGCUUAUCAGUUUGAUAGACCUCUAUUUCUUGUAAAGUGGUUGUGGCAGGAACAAGGGAACGAUUUCUGUGGAUACUACGUUUGCGAGUCGAUCCGCCACAUGACCUGUGAGCGGGGCUACUCUGACGAACAAUAUGAAGUGCGUAAAUAACAAUAUUCACAAUUUUAUUUUAUUACCAUCAUUUGUGUUGAGUUUCAUUCAUUCAUAUAUAUAUAUAUAUAUAUAUAUAUAUAUAUAUAUAUAUAUAUAUAUAUAUGUAUAUGUAUUGACCCCCUUCUUAAAAUUAGAUGUUUCGGAUGCGGAAUGAACUCCGAGCACUAGAUCGCAUGCGAGCAAUUCAAGAGGAAUUGGCGGCAUUCUUUCUUGACCACGUGAUCGCUGAAGACGGAGAAUACUAUGUGGACCACGCGCCCGUAUGUUAGGAGAUUAUAUUUGUAAAAGAUAAUUAUUGUAUAUAUGUAGCCGGUAGUGUCGGAUAGAUAUACGAGAACUUGUUGUUCAACCAAUCUCUCGGAGAAGGAGAGGUAGUCGAUAUCACUUGUCUCUGUAUGCAUAUAUGUUCAUGACGAUCUUCUGUUUCCUUCGUUUGCUUACUAUCUAGCUAGCGUGUCUAGCUAGUCCUCUCUAUACGUAUGUAUAGUACGUAGCGUCGACCAAGCACGGACAAAAGAGAGGACACUUCUCUCUAUUAAUUAGCUAGCUAACACAAUAUAUGAAACACCUAAAUUAACCCCCCAAAACCCCCAACCCCCCCCCCCUUCAAAAAAACAAAAACAUAAGCCACAGAAAUGCUGACGCGUGGAUGCCUAUUGGUCCCGAUUGGUGACACCAACUGGGACCAAAGGCCCUCCUGCCUGGGCUCGGCGCACAGGCCACGUGGAGGCCCAUCUGUCCUGGUUCUGGACUGAACCGGAACUAAAGGGCCAGGGCAUUAGUAUCGACCCUUUAGUCCCGGUUCAGGAACCGGGACUAAAGGCCCUUACCAACCGGGACAAUAGGCCCUUUUUCUACCAGCCCUUGCAUAAUGCUCUGCCAAGUGUAGGAGGAAUUCUUUUUCAGCUUAAUUAAUUUACCAGCACAAGAAGUGGCCGUGCUGGGAGUGAAAAACUUCCAUGACUUGAUGUCCACUUGCUGCUGGUACCUUUGGUGGGAGAGGAGAAAGCUUGUGCACAAUGAGCCGGUACAAGAUGCGAAGAGAGUUGCGCAAGCGGUAUGUGCUUUAGCUGCUAACUAUGCUAUUGCAUGUGACCCAAAGGCCUCGUUAAAGAGGGGAGGUUGGUGCAAACCCCCUAGUGGAUAUGUCAAGUUGAAUGUUGAUGCGGCCUUUGAUUGGGAUUUGCUUCAGGGGGCGAUGGGAGCAGUCAUCCGAGAUGAUAGAGGACAUAUGGUUGUAGCUGGAAACAAGCUCAUUGAUUCCUGUUAUGAUGUACUAACUGUUGAGGCAAUGGCUCUGAAGUUUGGGUUGAAUAUGGCGCUCACAGCUGGGUGCAAUAGACUGAUUGUCAACUCGGAUAAUAUGGAACUCAUGGAAAUAAUGAAUAAGGAUGGCCAAUAUGCUGGAGAUGCCGUGGCCAUUGUUGAUGAUUGUUUUUUUUUUUGACAUGGAAGACUGCAGGGCUAACACCCCACAGCAAUUUAUUAAAGCUUCAAACAAUAAGUACAAGAAAUGUUCCUCAAGAUAAGGAACUAAAAAGAAAAGAAGAAAACUGUACAAGCUAGUCUAAACAAAGGAAGAAAAGUCUAACUAGAAAAAAGAAAGAAGUACAAAUGCAUGAUCUCUCAAUGAGGUAGGAAAUCUAUCCAUUUGAUCAAUGCUUCUCUGUGUCUGGACUUGAUUCUGUGAGCCAAGAGGGAUAUGUCAUGGAUAAAUCCAUUCCUCCACUGCCUGAAAGAGGGUCUGAUAUGCCUAAAGGCUUUGUCAUUUCUGACUUUCCAAAUAUUCCACCAAGUGAGGAAGACCACCUCAGAGAAGAAAGGCUUAUUGAAAUCCUUCCUAGCAUGAUGUGCAAUCUGAACCAUAUCCUGACUAUCUAACCAGGUAAUUUGAAGGUAGUUCCACACUCUCAUACUAAAGUUGCACUGAAAGAAUAAAUGAUUCCUGGCUUCCAGUGCACCAGUGGGACAGAGAACACAUUCAGGCCCAUCAUUAAUCUUCCACUUCCUGCGCUAAAUCAUAUCCUUGGUGUUUACUCUAUCCAUAAUGACAAAGCCAGGCAAACUUUUUAAUUGACAUUGUACAACAAGACCUCCAUAUCCAACUAAGAAUAGGGUUGGCAGUCAUUGGCUGGUGAACGAAGUCAUAAUAUUUCUUUGCUGAAAACCCAGCCUUUUCCCAUGUCUCCAUUUCCAAGAAUCAUUAGAAGCCACAUCCAGAGAGAACCCAGCCAAAACUUCAGUCAGUUGAUUGAACUCCCUAAAGGCCAACUCUGACAAGGGCAAGGAAAACAAACUCUGCAACUCACCAGUCUGCAACACUUCACAAACAGAGGAAUUCUUUUGUAAGUAGAAAGAAAACAGUCUAGGGAAUCUGUUAUGUAGUGGGAUGCAUGAAUUAUCAAUCUCCCAAGAAUCAGACCAGAAAAGCAAAGAAUCUCCUCUUCCAACUGUGACUGAAGUAAGAGCCCUGAAUUUGUCCAUUAAUUUGCAUAUGUCCCUCCACCAAAAGGAGCCACAUAAAGCAGUAUCAUGACGCACUCUCUGAUAAUAAUAAGAAUCCCAGAUCAAAUGAACCCAAGGCACAUCAUCUUUGUUAUAGAACUUGUUGAGGAAUUUCAUUAACAAAGCUUCAUUUUGCAAACCCAGGUUAAGUAUGCCAAGCCCACCUUUAAGUUUGGGCCUGCAUACCAGAGGCCAAGCAGCCAAAGAAUUCCCCUUCUCCUGACCAUAUUUUCUCGACAGACAUUGUCUCUGAAUUCUUUCUAGUUGCUUUAAAAUCCCUUGUGGUAUAGAUAAACUACAAAGGAAGAAAAUUGGCAAAGAAGAGAUAACAGAGCUUACCAACUACAAUCUGCUACCUUGGGGCAUAAACCAUGUACUAGCAGUCAAUCUCCUUUCCAUACAGUCAAACUAGAGGUAGGAGGUCCACAAUUUUGGGCCUAGUUGUGCCCACAGGCAAACCCAAAUAUGUAAAGGGUAAAACCCCAUGCUGACACCCAAGCUGAGCAGCAAAAGCAGUGGCAGCAGUGGCUUCCACAUUGAUUGGGUACAUUGAAGAUUUAUGGUAGUUGAUCUGCAAACCAGUUGACAGGGAGAAAGAGUGCAGAACAAAUUUCAACACCUCCAACUGAGCUGAGUCAGCAGAAACAAACAGCAAAGUGACAUCUACAUACUGUACCACUGGGAAGUCAGGGUCAUGAGUUACCAGGGGUAGAGAAAGAAGGCCUUUACUCAGGGAAUCAUUAAUCAUAGUCUGUAGCAGAUCAGCAACAAUCACAGACAACAAAGGUGAAAUGGGAUCACCUUGCUUUACCCCACACUUGCACUUGAAGUGAUUUCCUCGUACCCCAUUGAGCAGAAUUGAGGAGGUUGCAGAUGAUAAUAACUGCUGUAUCCAGGAGAUCCAUUUGUUAUCAAAACCCUUUGCCACCAAGAUUUUUAUAAUUGCCUCAUGUUGAAUGGAAUCAAAAGCUUUUUCAAAAUCAAGCUUGAGUAACAUGAUUGGCCUUUUUGACUGGUUGCAUUGAUGGAUAUACUCAAAGGCCCAGGCAAUACAAUCCUGAAUGGUUCUAGACUUGAUAAAGCCAUAUUGAUUCUUAUGCACACACUUGGUGAUUUCAUCUUGGAAUCUGUUAGAAGCAAGCUUAGUUAGGAAUUUCAAUCCCACACUAGUCAAAGAAAUUGGCCUAAAAUCUCCAGCAGUUUCUGGUGACAACUUCUUAGGGACCAAAGUUAUGAAAGCCUCACUCAGAUUUUCCAGCUGUGCUCUUCCAGCAUGAAACUCAUUCACCAAUGUAAUGAAAUCACUAGAGAUGAUGGGCCAACAUUUCUUCAUAAAAAGGCCAUUAAAUCCAUCAGGUCCAGGAGACUUGUCAAUUGGCAAUUCCUUCACAACCUGCUCAAUUUCUCUCACCUCAAAAGGCCUUGUGAGCACUUCCAGCCCCUGCACCCUGGGGAUAAUAGAGAGUAUAUCAUUACCCAGAGAAAUUGGCUUCAGUUCCCAUUCUGCCCUUAAAAAUAUCAAGAAAUUCCUUUGCAAUUCUGUCAUGGUUUGGAGAAACUAUACCAUCAGAUAACUGCAGGGUGGCAAUUGAAUUUUUCCUGUAUCUUUCAGUUGCCAUGGCUUCGAAGAAUUUAGAGUUUUCCUCACCCACUUUGAUAUAUCUAAUAGUGCAUCUCUUCUUCCUGUAUAGGAACUGCAGGUGUAGAAGAUGUUCAUGAUGCAACUUUACAAGUUUUCUGAAAUUGGAUUCAGAAUGGAAUCAAGUCCUGGAGUCUUCCAAGUCAUCAAGCCAAAGGAUCACCCAGUUGAACUUCUCAAUCAGCACUUUAAUAUGUGACAAACCCUUCUGCCACUUCUUAAGGGCAUACCUCAAAGACUUAUGUUUGUCCAUUAUAAUUGUUGAUAUGUGAGUUUUAUGAGAAUGUUGUUGCCAAACCUUCUGAACACACUCCAUAAAACCUGGUUGAUGAAUCCAAAAAUUUCAAAUCUAAAGAGGUGGGUUUUGGGAUGUUGGUACAUAUAGAAACCACACAUGGAACAUGGUCUGAAGCAGUCUUGGCCAAAGGUGUGACUUGAGUAUUUGGGUACUGACAAAUCCAGCUGGCAGAGGUAAAGAACCAAUCCGACUGCUCAAGAAGUGGGGCAUCCUGCAUAUUAGACCAUGUGAAUCUUCUUCCCUUUAAAGGCAGUUCUAGCAGACCCAAAUGUCCAAUGACCUCAUUAAACAUGAAAAUGUCAUUAACAUCACCACUAGGAAGGUUUCUAUUAUCCAAGGAUCUUAUGAAGUUAAAAUCUCCCAACAACAUCCAAUUCUGUUCAGGUUCCACAUUAAGAUUGUAAAGCCAAUUAACAAAUUCAUCCCUUAAAAUACCCUGGCAAGGACCAUAAACAUUGACCAGGUACCAUGGGUCACCAUUGUGCACCGAUUUGAAAUUAAUCACCAUCCCAUAGGAUUUAACUUCAAUUAAGGUGCCUAAGUUGUCGAUGAUUGUUAUCAUCUGGCUUGCGAAUUUAGCUCUAUUGUCUUCGAAUUUUGCCCCAGAGAGUCAAAUGGGGUUGCACAUGAACUAGCUAGGAUUGCUAGAAGUUCGCUUUGUAAUGAGUGGUUAGAUAAUGCUCCUUCUGAGCUUCUUCCCCUACUACUUAAAGAUGUAAGUCUGAUCACGAGUGAAUAAAGAGGAAGUAAAGUUGUCAAAAAAAAGAGCAUGGCAAUUUUAUUUUUAAUGGCAUGUCAUUCUUACCUUUUUUUGAGAAAAGCAUGUCAUCUUUACUAUGUCCUUUCCGCCUGCUGUAUGAAGUAGGCGGACCCUAGAUGGGCUUUCCCAAUAUGGGUUCCUGGGACCGGGUUCCUGCAGAGUUUCUUUUUCCUUUUCGUCUUGUGUGUUUCCUGGUCCAAUUUUCAUCUUUUUGUUUGGUUUUCUGUCUUAUGUGUUUCUUUAUGGAUUUUAUUUCUUUCCCAAUACAUGUCCAUUUUUCUAAAUACAAAGUGUAAAAAUUUACACAUCUUGAACAUUUUUUAUUAAUUGGCAUAAACCUAUUUUUGGAGUGUGUGAGCAUUUUUUAAUUGUCAUGUACAUUUUUCUGAAAGGCAGUAUUUAUUUUGUUGAAUUACGUGAGCAUUCUAUACACAUCUUGAACAUUUGUCCAUAUUUUUUUGAAACACAUGAACAUAUUUUUGAAUGCUAUAAGCAUUUUUUAUAUCAUGCUGCAUUUGGUCUAUAUUAGUUUAAACUAAGUCAGUGACAAUUAAUAUGGAUCAUAGAGAGUACAAUUUUGUACAUGAAGUUUAUACUUUUAUAUUUCACUUUCAACUUUUUUAUUUAUUAAACUCUAUUGUGUUUUUGGAAUAAGUGUAUUUAGAAUAUUUUUUAAAAAAUGUAAAUAAAAUGGAGCGAAUGAAGAAGUAGAGAAGAAAAACGAAGGCCGGCCAAAUGUAUGGCGUUCCCUGCCUCAUACCUGCAAAUCAAGCUAAGCAGCGGGUGAUAAUUUUUUACACAAUGUUUAUAGUUUUCUAUUUCACUUUGAACAUUUCAAAAUUUUAAGGAAAUUAUUAUUUUUAAAUAAAUGUUUUUAGGUUUUUUUAAUAAAAAGGUGAAAAAAAGGAAAUUGAGCGAAUGAAGAAGCAGAGAAGAAAAACGCCCUUUCUUUCAUCAACUGAACUACGUGCGUGCAUGGAAGGGCUAUCAUCUGCCCUUAAGAGGAGUGACUUACCUAUCAUUGUGGAGAUGGACUCUAUUCUUGCAUAGAAAUGUUAGUACUCAAAAUGUGCGACCAAUAGUGAUGGUAUUGAACUACGGUCACAUCUAUUUAGGAAUGAUGGUAAAAUAUUUACUAUUUGUCCUUAGUGCAUAUUUUGCAUACAUAUUUUUUUGCUAAACUUUCAUUGCUAAGUAUAUUAAUUAAGUACUAUACGAUGUUCUUCAACAGGGACUCCCGAUGAUAGUUGUGCCUCAGGGGAUCGAGACUAAAGGUCAGAUGUCAAUUGUUAGCUUACGGCCAAGAUAUCCUGCAUUGCACAUGAAUGCAUUCAGGAUUUCUAGAAGCGAUGAAUGCUUAAUAGUGAAAGAUUGGAGGAAAAUUGUUAAUGAUCGUAGAGAAGUACUAGGGGGCAGCAAUGAGAAGCGCAGCCCACGAUUAGGAGACAGGUUCAACGGCAUGCUUCAGUAUGAUCAAUCAGGAGAGCUAUACAUGUUCUAUGCUAUUUUACCAGAGAGAGAGUAGCUAGCAGGAGUGAUUUAGCUAGUUCUUCAUGCUGCUCUUAAUUAGUACUUGUCCUUUCAUGUCCAUGUUCUUCGUUCUGAACUUAGGUGAUUUGCUUUUGUGGUGUUAUAUAUGAACGCUUAUAAUAUCAUGACAAUCAUGUUGAACUCGAUGAUUGGUUCUACUAGAAAUUAUAUAUAUAUAUAUAUAUAUAUAUAUAUAUAUAUAUAUAUAUAUAUAUAUAUAUAUAACGUGUACAAUGUGUAGUAUCGUAAAAUACCAGCAAAUGAAAAAGAAUUAAAAUGGAAACACAAAAUUAAAUGAAAAAGAAAUCAUAAAACUAAAAAAAACCCAAACCUUAUAGUACCGGUUGGUCUUACCAACCGGUACUAAAGGGCUCCAGGCCCCCGGAGCUGCCUCGUGCCACAUGGUUGCCCUUUAGCACCGGUUCGUGCUGAACCGGUACUAAAGGGGGGCCUUUAGUGACCAUAAUUUAGUGCCGGUUAUAUAACCGGCACUAAAGGGCCUUACGAACCGGUGCUAUUGCCCAGUUCUACACUAGUUCUUUUACCCCUGAACCCCUCUUGCCCUCCUAUAAUAUAAAAGCCGCCCGCCUCCGUCUCUCCCCCGCACUCCAUCGCCUCGCCGCCGUUCCCCGCAACCUAUCGACCCAAUCUCACAUCACCCGACGGGACGGGACCUGGCGCCUCGUCCUCUCCAGAUCUUACGCCCGCCCGAGGUGAGCACUUGUACAUCCCGAUCAGCUCGUCCCGAUUAUUUGCCAAUGUCAGAUUGACCAUUAUUAACAUGCCAAUUUUACCUAAAUCCCCAUGGCAAUAUUUAACCUUUAUCGCCAUGGCAAGUUUUGCUUUUUAUUUGCCAUGGAUAAUUUACCUUUAUUAAGAUGGCAAAUUUACCUAAAUUCCCAUGGUAAUUUUUAACUUGUAUUGCCAUUGCAAGAUUUACUAUUUAUUUGACCUUUAUUAAGAUGGCAUAUUUUACCUUUUUAUUGCCAUGUGAAUUAUAUGCACAUUUUAAUAUGAUUUUGGUUAUGGUGUAUUUUCUUUGUUCUUUUUUUGUUUUUUCAACUUUUUUGUGGUUUUCACACACGACAUUUUUCUCAUACAUUACAUGUAAUUUUAAGAAAAUUACCAUUACAUUUUGUGCUAUGAAUUUGCCAUUUGCAAAUUAUUUUGUGCUGUAUGAUGGAAAUUGCCUUGACUUCCUUUUCCUUUUAUGGGUUAUUGUUAAAAUAUAUUCACCCAUGUCAAUUUUCCGCGUUUGAAAAUUGAUGGCAGUUUUACUUAACAAAGCAAAAAAAUUGUUCCUUUUUACCACAGCAAAAAGAAAAGAAAUAUCCGGGUGUUUUCUUUUUUUCAUUACUAGUCUUUUUAUUCACCUUUUUGGGCUGUUGGGGGCUGGGGAGGUGUUCAGGCUAGGGCUUUUAUCAUUCCGAACGAGUGGGUUCGACAGUUGCCCCUCCCAUACUGAACGAAACAUUCAAUCUGGGGUGCUCCCAAACCGUUCGUCAGCGCCAUAUCGGGUCCUAAAUUUAAAUAUAUAUUUUUGCCAUCGCAAUCCUCAAUUGGCAUGACAAAUUUUAGCUAAAUAUAAUGGCAAAUUUUCACAUUUAUUUUCAUGGCAUUUCUUACUCUUUUUAUUUGCCAUGGCAAUUUUAACAAAUUUUCAUGCCUAAAUUACCUAUAUCUACAUGGAAAAUAUUUAACUAUUAUUGCCAUGGAACUUUCAUAUUUAUUUUCUUACCAAUACUACCUUGGAAAAUUUACUUAAACCGCCUUGGUAAUUUAUACUCUUUAUUUUCCAUGGCUAAAUUAUGUAUAUCAACAUGGGAACAUGGAAAAUUUCACUUUCAUCUUUUUUCAAGGGAUUUUUGCUUACAAAGCAACUUGCCAUGACAUUUUUUAUGUGCCAUUGCAUCUUUUUGUCCAUGGAAAAAUCUUUUUUGUGAAAGACGAAUGUCAUUCUCUGGUUUGCAUCAAUGGGAUUUUUUAGUUCUCAAUUUCCCCCUUUUUAAUGGCUUUUUUUUUUGCAUAGCAUAGCAAAGUCUGGUCUUUAUUUCACAAGCUUAAAAUAUGUCUUUUAGUCAUAGUACAAACUGGGCCAUAUUGGGCUCUGUGCUUUUACCCCUCUUGAUUGAUAACCCCUCUUGCCCUCCGUCCCUCCUAUAUCAUAAAAGCCGCCCGCACUCCAUCGCCUCACCUCGUCGCCGUUCCCCGCAACCCGCUAUCUGUCGACCCAAUCUCACAUCGAUCACCCGACGGGACCGUCCUCUCCAGAUCUUACGCCCGCCCGCCCGCCCGCCCGAGGUGAGCACUUGUUGGAGUUCCGAUUGAUUGGUUGGUAGGCGCUGAUUCGUAGGUCUGGGAUCCAGCCAGCGUGGUCUCCCUCCGCCUCCGGAGUUGCUCGUUCCGAUUGUGGUUGGUAGGCGCGGCGCGGCGCCGUCUUGUAUCCUGCCCGGCUCUGGAUUUGGUUUCUCAAAUGGUGUAUGAAUUCUUCAACUGUGCCUGUCGCGAUUUUGGUUUUCUGUGCUCACUAUGCCCUUGCACAUGGGAUGCAAUUUUUUUAUUUCCCUGCUGUUUAGUUUAUUGUUUCCUUUGAUGGAGAUGCAAUUUUCUUGCUCACACAAUAAUACAAUGAAUGAUAGCAUCUCUAUCUACUUUGAACCAAAUUAUAUUAUAUUCCCCCCUCUGUUAAUUAUUUUUCUGUUUUGGGUAUUCAUUUUGUUUAGUUGCCUAUCAGUAUAAAUACAUGGCUGGAUUGCUUUCACUUCAUAUUAAUAACUAUUCUGUCGCACAUUGCAAAUAUAUAUAUGCUGUCCUAACUAAUUAAGUAGAAGCUUGGAUUGGUGCUGUAUGGUCUCUAACUGACAUUAAAUUCUCCUCUGUUUGUGCUGUACUGUUCUGCUGCUGCAGCCUUCUUCGCCGCCAAAAGGAAAUGAUGCUCUACAAAAUCCACUCCCAUGCCCAAAUCCAAGACCUGCAGGCCCGCUCCGAUGAGCUGGGCCACUCCAAUGAGCACAUGGAUGUGAAGCUUUUCUCUCUGGAGUCGGUGCGCAUAGCGCUUGAGUCGUAUGCACUCCUCCGCCCGCUGAUCAUGGAGUCCAGGAUGUGGUUUUGCCCGGAGCUGGAAAUCCUCUCGGAGGUGGCAGGCUUGUCGCUGUAAAUCCAAAAGCUCGAGCAUGAUGUGUUACCCCAGCUCACGGUUUAGGAGGCUAAGCUGGAACCGGGCGCCCUGGAAGCCCUCCUACUCAUGAACAACUCAGCUGUUGCGCUCUUACAUAUGAGGAAGUGCUUUAAGGAAGCCUUGGGCUUUUUUCUUCGCGAGGAUUAUGUGGUCUCAGCCAAAGUCAAAAAGCUGAGCAAAAUGCUAAAGGAUAUUGCUGUCCCGUUGCUUCAGGAGCAUGAAUGCAACAUUGUCUGGCUUCAGGAGCGUGUCCCGUUGCGGGUCCAGCUGGUCACCGAUGUGUUGGAGACCCGGUUAAUUUCUGUGAUUCUGAUGAGUCUUCUGAUGAUGAGUCUUCUGAUGAGUAUUCUGAUGAGUAGACUUAUCAGCCAGCUCGAGGCUGUUGUGAUGAGUAUUUCUUAGGGGCAUGGCAAACAGUUUAGAAUCAAAUGUUGCGAUGUAUUUCUUGGAACCUCCUUUAUGUUUGGAUGUGUUAUUAAUGGAUUUUAAAUGAUAUGUAUUUUGGGUAGUGUUUUCUCAUUCUGUCCUAGUAGGGUACAACUUGCAAUUACUUUCAUUUUUUUUAGAAACAUCCAUUCUGUGUUUUACAUGGAGGUAUUCGCUCUUUUUAGGGAAUAUAUGCCAAAAGAAUAUAGUAUGUUAGAAAAGAAAUCCCAAAUUUAAGUCUUUUAAGAGGUUUAACUAAAAGACUACAUACGGAUGAAUAUAGACAUACUUUAGAAUGUGGGUUUACUCAUUUUGCUCCGUAUGUAGUUUGGAUGAAUAUAGACAUACUUUACAACGUGGGUUUACUCAUUUUGCUCCGUAUGUAGUUUGGAUGAAUAUAGACAUACUUUAGAACGUGGAUUCACUCAUUUUGCUCCGUAUGUAGUUUCCUAGUGAAAUCUCUUAAAAGCUUAGUCCCUGUUUGUUUAAAAAGUCCUAGGACUUUUUUUAGUCUCAAGUAAAAAGUCUCUAGUCCCUAUCUGUUUGUUUCAAGGAACUAAACAUGGACUAGAGGAUAAUAAAUGACAUGCUAAAAGAUCAUGUUGCCCCUAAACAUGAACUAGAGGAUAAUGAACUAGUAGUUGCGGGGGCAGAUCAGGGAAAAGUCUCGAAAAGACUCUCAUAUAGGAUCUUCUUCUUUUUAGUCUCAAAUGCCUAGUUUAGUCCCUAAAAGUCCCUCUCAUUUGGUUAAAAAGUCUCUAAGAGGGACUUUUUCUAGUCCCUACACCAAAAAGUCCCUGGAAACAAACACCCUCUUAUAUUUAGGAACCGAGGGAGUAGUGCUUAUCUGUGAGUGUCCAUGAUUAAAGCUUUGCAAAUACCAUAAACAAAACUUCACCUUGUACUUGAAGCUGAAUUGAAUUGAAAUGUGAUUAGCCUUCCACUAGCCAGCCAAGGAGGAAGGAGCCCACCGUUCCAUCCUCCCUAUCUCUAUUUCCUCUUGUUGCGCCCACCUUCCCCUUCUCCUGACACGUAAAUCUAGUUGAGGACUGCAGCAGAUCUAGUUGCGUUGGUCACCGCGCAACAACCCUAGCCACGACGAGCUCCACCACCGUGCGGUCCGAGAGCCACGUCGCAGUCCUCAACUAAACUAGGCUGCUCCACCUUGCCGUCACCAGCCCCUUCUCCGCCCACCUCCCCCUUCUCCUAACACGUAGAUCUAGUUGCAUCGGUCGCCGUGCAACAACCCUAGCCACGACGAGCUCCACCACCNNNNNNNNNNNNNNNNNNNNNNNNNNNNNNNNNNNNNNNNNNNNNNNNNNNNNNNNNNNNNNNNNNNNNNNNNNNNNNNNNNNNNNNNNNNNNNNNNNNNNNNNNNNNNNNNNNNNNNNNNNNNNNNNNNNNNNNNNNNNNNNNNNNNNNNNNNNNNNNNNNNNNNNNNNNNNNNNNNNNNNNNNNNNNNNNNNNNNNNNNNNNNNNNNNNNNNNNNNNNNNNNNNNNNNNNNNNNNNNNNNNNNNNNNNNNNNNNNNNNNNNNNNNNNNNAACUAGGCUGCUCCACCUUGCCGUCACCAGCCCCUUCUCCGCGCACCUCCCCCUUCUCCUUGACACGCGGAUCUAGUUGUGUCGGUCGCCGCGCAACAAGCCUAGCCAUGACGAGCUCCACCACCGUGCGGUCCGGGAGCCGCGCUGCAGUCCUCAACUAAACUAGGCUGCUCCACCAUGCCGUCACCAGCCCUUUCUCCGCCCACCUCCCCCUUCUCCUGACACGCACUAAACCCCCUCGAUCUUAAAAGCCUCGUAUCUUUAUUCUGUUAGGUUUUUGGGGAUUCUAAAAAUCUCCAACGCGGUUCCCCCAGUAGAAUUCGAACGUAACUUUUCGAGUAGAUGAUUUUUCAUAUAAAAAAAUUUUUAAUCCGAGUUCGUAUGCAAAAGUUAUGCCCAUUUUACUAAAUUCCAGAGAGAUUUUGUAAAUAAAGUCGAAAUUCAUAUUUGUAAAUUUUCCCAACAACUAGACCACAUAUCACAUGGGAAACUUAUUUUCUUUUAUUUUUUCGACAUUUCCAUCAUUUUCUUUUAUUUUAUUUUUUUUAACUGAAAAGGCGGUCCACAAGGGGGUGCAUUUAGUAAUGACGCACCUUCACAAAGUGCGCCAUUACUAUGUGUAUGACUUGGUCAAACCUUGGUCAAAGUUAGUAAUGGCGCACUUUGUAUAGGUGCGCCAUUACUAAGUUUGACAUAGUAAUGGCGCACAUAUGCAAAGUGCGCCAUUACUAAGUUUGACCAAGGUUUGACCCAGUCAUACACAUAGUUAUGGUGCACUUUGUAAAGGUGCGCUAUUACUAUGUCAACUUAGUAAUGGCGCACGUAUAAAAAGUGGGCCAUUACUAUGUGUAUAACUGGGUGGAACCUUGGUCAAACUUGGUAAUGGAGCACUUUUCACCUAGUGCGUCAUUACUGUUUUGGUUACUAAUGGCGUACAUACACAUGACGCGCCAGAUGUAUAGUGUGUCAUUAGUGUCCAUAUUAGCUAUAGCUGUUUUUCUAGUAGUGUGCUAUAUGCCUAGACUCAUUGCAGCCUCGUCGAUCAAACUAAGCUGCCAUCCAGAGGCUACGGAUUCAAGUACACAGGUAGGAAGAACAUAUUGCAGAGAAUCAAAUUAAGCAAGUGGCAAGUAAUGAUGAAUGAAAUUCAGCAAUCUUACCCUAAACAUAGCUACGGCCGCCGUUCAGACGAGGAGAGCGGCGAGGGAAGCGUGGAGAACGGCGGGGAAGCGAUGUCGCAACCAUUGUCCUCCUCCUCUUGUGCUUCGGAGUCAUCUUCGACUCGGUUGGAGGCUCCACAAUCUGCAACGGCACCUCGUGCACCGUGGGUUCCUGAUCUAGUGGAUUCUCUACCUUGGAUCUGAACAUCCCACCACCUUCGCCAGGUCCAUGGGCUGGACGAAUCGGCCUGCUUCAUCGCCCAGAGGAGGAUCUCGACGAAGUGCAUCGGUUGUGCGGGUGGGGGGAGGAAGCUUUGCCUUCUCCCUACUCGUCAUUUGCUUCAAAGUGGCCAUUGCCGUCCAGUGCAUCUGACUUGUGUUGUGAAACCAAGAACGGAUCUCCGUCAACCUUCUCAUCUUGACCUGGUCGCCGCAGGCGAUCUCUAUGAAGUCAGCGUUCUCGCUGCCGGCGAUCUGCUCGAUCUGCUGCUCCAUCGAGGUUUUUGCGUGGAUGGAAGAGGGGGAUGGAUGUGGAAACUGGGAAGAGCAAAGUUGCGGCCGCGAGAAGGAGGAGAAGGGUAGGAGAUGGUCACGGUUGUAAUGGUGAUGGAAGAGGGGAAGUUUCACGGCGGUGGCCAUUUGCAUUGGACGAGAGGGGCGGCGGUUUUGAAUUGGACGAGAGGGCCACCUUAUCAUAUUUUUCCUAGGACUAAAAUGCCCCUAGAUUAAAAGGUGUCCCCACCUUGUCAUUAGUACUUUCGAAUACUUUCAUCUGCGUACUUUCGAGUACCACGUAUGUAUAUAUGCACUGUUAGAUCGAGGCAAACGAACGGCUCCAAAAAACGCCAACUACUGUAAAAGUUGUACUGAAGUAAUUAUCAUAUCUCAUGUUCAUGUACCCUUUUGUCCCAAAAUAAGUGUCAUGGUUUUAGUUUUAAAUUUAAACUAAAAGCACGCCACUUAUCAAGGAGUACUUAGUACAUAGUUAGUACAGAAUAUUUACCUGCAAAAAAAAAGUUAGUACAGAAUAUAAGCGUCAGCAAAGCUUUCUCUUCUUGUGCUUGGAGGUUUUAGUACAUGCGCUCACCAGCCUCUUCUUAUAGGCAGACAGGUGCGCUACCUUGUCAGUGAGAGUAGAAGAGUGGGCCGCGAGCUUGGACAUCAACUCCUUCAACAGAGCAGGGCAGCUUCUGGAGACAUGAUCGAUCGAAGUCGUGUUCGAUCGCCAUGGCCUCGUCUAGCUUUUUUUUUUUGAGGGGGAGGCCUCGUCUAGUUUGGUNNNNNNNNNNNNNNNNNNNNNNNNNNNNNNNNNNNNNNNNNNNNNNNNNNNNNNNNNNNNNNNNNNNNNNNNNNNNNNNNNNNNNNNNNNNNNNNNNNNNNNNNNNNNNNNNNNNNNNNNNNNNNNNNNNNNNNNNNNNNNNNNNNNNNNNNNNNNNNNNNNNNNNNNNNNNNNNNNNNNNNNNNNNNNNNNNNNNNNNNNNNNNNNNNNNNNNNNNNNNNNNNNNNNNNNNNNNNNNNNNNNNNNNNNNNNNNNNNNNNNNNNNNNNNNNNNNNNNNNNNNNNNNNNNNNNNNNNNNNNNNNNNNNNNNNNNNNNNNNNNNNNNNNNNNNNNNNNNNNNNNNNNNNNNNNNNNNNNNNNNNNNNNNNNNNNNNNNNNNNNNNNNNNNNNNNNNNNNNNNNNNNNNNNNNNNNNNNNNNNNNNNNNNNNNNNNNNNNNNNNNNNNNNNNNNNNNNNNNNNNNNNNNNNNNNNNNNNNNNNNNNNNNNNNNNNNNNNNNNNNNNNNNNNNNNNNNNNNNNNNNNNNNNNNNNNNNNNNNNNNNNNNNNNNNNNNNNNNNNNNNNNNNNNNNNNNNNNNNNNNNNNNNNNNNNNNNNNNNNNNNNNNNNNNNNNNNNNNNNNNCGCGUGGGGCGCGGCGGCUCGCCGGCGCUGGCAGGCCUUGGGGCGGGCCACCGUGGGGGGGGGCGGGGCAGGCUGGUCGGGACGCGGCUGUUUCGGCCGGCGUCUGCAGGCACGUGGCGGCGGCGGUGUGCCACGAGUGAGGACGGCGACGCUGCGGCGUCGCACGGGACGGGCGGCGCGCAGCUUCUCUUCUGCGGCCGGUGGAGGCGUGGCUGCACUUCCUCGAGGGAGGCUGUGUGGUGAUGCAUGGACGAGCCUGCCAGCCCUGUGGUGCGGGGGUGGGCUCGGGCGGCGGCUUCGGCCGCGAGGGGCGUGGCAGGACGUCGCGAGGACGCCCUGGUGAUGCACGGGUCGAGGGCCCGGGUUGUCGGCGAAGAGCGCCCCAGCUCUGGGUGAUGCUGAUUCGUCGUUGGGCAGCUCCGAUGGUGGUGGUGGUUGGUGGGCUCGCUGGUGCCGGUGCAGGAUGAUGUGUGGCUGAGGUGGUGUGGGAGCUUCGGUGAAGACCCUGUCCCGGUCUUGUGCCGUGACCAAUGAUGGCGGCGGUUGUGGCCGUCGUUGACCUUCCUGGAGGCAUCGCUGUUUUGUUGCCGCUCCCCUCCUGCACGGAUCCGGCCAUCUCGGCCUCUUCGGGGGAAACCCUUGAUCUGUGAUCGGACGAUGGCGGCGCCUUGGCGUCGUUUUCCCUCUUGGGGGCUUCGUCUUGGGAGCCCGGCAUCGGUGGGCGGGACCCGUGGAUGGCGGCGGUUGUGGCGACCAGGCUUCUGUAGCAACGAUGAUGGUGGGAGCGAUGUCGACGACGCGGCAAUGGUUGCGGUAGUCGGCUCUUCUCCGGCGUGUCCGCAGUUUUGCCUCGGGUUGUUUGUUGCUGCGGAGUUGAAGCUGUAGUGGCGGGGCCCUGUGGUAUACGAUGACCGGCUGCAGGUGGCCCGUUCGGCGAUCUCCCGUGGCGCCAGCCGUGCAUGGUUUUGUUCUUCAGAGUUCUCCGUUAGAGUCGGAGCUGCGCUGUCUGGCCGCAGGUGGCUGAGAUUUGGUGCAGAUCUUCAUGUAGCUUCACACGUCCGCUUUGGUGUGGGUUGAGUCGACGAUCGCCUGCGGUGAAGUCGAAGUCGUUUGCUCAGAGUGUAGGGAUGGCGAUGACGCCUCUAGGGGAGGAGUGAUGACGAUGAUGCCUGCGUGCUGUCUCGACGAGACCCUCUUUGGAGUGGUGUGUGUGGGUAUCUUAUGUGUGCAGCUCAGCUGUUGUGAGGGUUUUCGAUCGGUUCUCCAUAAUUAACCGUGCAAUCUGGUUUUCGCUCGGUUUUCCUUAAUUAACCGAGCAACUCUCUUCUGCUUAUUUAAUCGAUGAGGCAAAACUUUUGCCUCCGUUUUAAAAAAAAAGCACGCGUCCUUGAGCCCUUGGCCAGUGAUGCUGCUCAGCGUGGUUGCCACGGUGCUCACGUCCAUGUGCGGCCCAGUAGCCCAAUAAGCCAGGGUAGGCCAACAUAAAAAUAUAUUUUUUCGUAAUAUUUUUUACCAUUUUUCCUAUGCUAUAAAGCUUUUCAAAAAAUCCCAGGGUGGGCCUCUACCUCCGCCACUGCAUGUGCCUCCACAAUCUAUCCUCGCAAACCAGCUUGAGACUCUCCAUGUCCGCGACCUCCAUGAGAUGCUGAGCCAUGGCGACCCCAUCCCCUUCUUCCUCUGGCUGACAGCGAGUGGGUGUACACGAAAUGCAGCAGAUGCCUGAAUACCUCUCCUCGCAUGCCGUCGAUUUGCACGCCGCUCUCUUUCAUUGCGCCAUAAAGCUCCGCCCUGAGGACCGUGGACCGUGCCGCGAGCACGCACCGAAGGUCUCCCAGCCGAUCACGUUCGCCGCUCCGGAGGAGGCCACGGAAAUGGUGAGGCCAAUCAAACGGCCACGCCGACGACGGACCAUUCGAUCGUAUUCAUAUGCGAGGACCUCGAUGACCGUGAAGCAGUCGUCCUUGAGGAGGUGUGGCGCUCCACCUCCAGGUCGGCCCUCUCGACCAAGUCGUCGCAGCUCCAGUAGGCGCCGGCGCCCACCAAGUCGCGCACCUCGCCGCUGGUCCUAGCGUAGCGCGGCACCGGCCGGGUUGGCGUGGUGGUCGAGCACGUCGAACGCGACCACGGCCUUUGUUAGAGUUGUGUCGAAUAUAGUGUACAAGGUAGGUUACAAUUGGACUUGUAGUUGUAUUGUGUUUAGAUAGGAUAUGAAGUUGUGUCGUAAUAGGACACUUGUAUCCUAGGCCUCUAAUAUAUAGCGGGGCUAGACACACGAUGUAACCUAUGCCAACAUAAUAGCACCGGAACGCAAGGGAAGCCGGCGGCAUGUGUCGGUGUCCAGGGCGACCGGGUGCGGUAUUGUAGCGGUGUCAUGGGGAGGAGCGCCCAUAGUCAGGCCCCGGGGAUGUAGCCAUAUCGGUGAACCUCGUUAACAAAUCUCGGUGUCGCGCUCGUGUGAUUGCUUGGUCCUCGGAUGAUCGACGGUAUGCCUCGAAUUUAUUCUAACAAGUGGUAUCAUGAGCAAAGUUACGAGGAGGCUGUGGAUUGUUGAUCUGGAGGAAGGUUUGAUGUGUUGAUCGGUAUCAUGAAGUCGCCGUAGAGCAAGUGGUGUGCGCGUUGUGAAUGAUUGGAAAAUAUGUCAGACGAAGGCAAUCUCGACGAGUUGUAGAGAUCGGAUUGUGAGUUGUCAGCAGACGCAGGAGGCAACGCUAGACAGCGUGUACGGCUCGAUCGCAAGGUGAUGCGUUGCGUUCCAGAGGCGCGCGACGCUCGACAGGCCAAGCGGCCGAAGUCGUGGCGCGCGCGGUGUGGGCUGGCCCAACGGGGCUAGCUGGUGCACGUGGUGUGCCGGCGGACGUGCGGAAGGCUGCCUAGCGCUAAGCGGCAGGGCUGCAAUGCAGGUUCGAUCGACUCACCAGAUUUGUUAUGAAGAAAAGGAGGACACGGACGGAGGCAGCAUCAGAUCAAAUCGAGCAGAAAAAUAAUUCAUUGAUACACAUGCAUCGGGAAGGCUAAGGCGAGGCAAAAGCAAUUAGCUUAGCAUUGAAAGUUGUGCCUGGGUGCUAAUACAUGUGAGUACUGGUAGGAAUUUGUUGCUCGUGCACCUCGUGUACUUGAGCACGUGUUGGAAGCUCGUGUAUUUUUCGCAAGGUCAGCCGUACAAAGAAUCAUGGCACCAAUAGGUACCAGGUUUGAGGUGGAGAAGUUCGUUAAAACCGAAAACUUUGGGUUAUGGCAGACAAGAGUGAAAAAUUGUUGGCACGAUAGGGAUGCUUGAAGGAGUUGCGGGAAGUCAGUUUAGCUAGGAUGGAAUUGUGAUGUGAUGGAUGGAAAUUCGCAGAAGACGAUUUGAGAGCCUGAAGUGUGUCAUGCAGCCGAACAAGUACGGCUGGGUCGGACUAGAUAGUCUGACGGAUCGACGUGAGUCGGUUGGAACAGAAGACGGUGGUGGGAUCAGCGACAGCGACAUAGGAGCGUGAUGCUGAUGGUGACCGACUUCUGGGGUGUGGAAACACGUGGCGCGGGCCCAAGGGCUUGUGUGGCUUCGACAAGACUAUGGCGCGAGGUUGAUUCAAGGUGGUGUACACACGGAGCUUGAAGUCGACGGGGCGCGAGGGUGGACUGAUCAUCUGCUAUGGAGCCAUGUUGAAGGUGGAGCUGGAUUGAGGGGCUACGGUGUAAGGAUCCAUGGAAUCGAAGCCUAUUCAGCAAGGAGGAAAAGCGAGUGACAUGCAGUUCGAACUGGAGCCCAGUGGUCUGAUGGAAGCGUGAAACUCGUCAUCGGUCGGUGAUGAUCGGUGGUACUCUGCAGUGGGGGUCGAAUGGUGUGGGUUCGCGACCCUUGAGACUCGAACGGGACAGCGGAGGUCGACGCGGUGAUAGCGGCGAGGUGUGCGGUACGCACGGGACAUGGAGACGGGCCAGGGCUCUGGUGGUCAUACAUGUGGUGAGACAACUGCGAAUUUGACUCGGGAUGACUACAAGCAACGGUGAAAUUCUUUCAAGUUUCAGACAGGCGGUCAAGAAAGGAGCGGUGAUGUUGAGUUCAGGUAACUCUUAUGUGUGACAUCCAACAUGUGAGUUGUUCACUUUCAUGCAGGUCAGUGAUCGGUGUGUGAUGGCGUUGACGGAUACUCUGGAAGUUGGGAGCACACACUAGAGUAACAAGGAACUUAAUUUUGCUCGAGUGUUGACUGUAGUCAAGAAAAGAAGGGACUACAAGUUGCAGGUGGAGUCACAUGGAGUCUUUGGAGUAGCAGCGAUACUCACGGAAUAAGCUCAAGUCCAAUCUACAUGGAAGUUUGAUGCAUGGACAAAUGCAGGAUGGUGGAGUAUAUUCGCCAAGGUGGAGUUUGUUGGAGUUGUGUCGAAUAUAGUGUACAAGGUAGGUUACAAUUGGACUUGUAGUUGUAUUGUGUUUAGAUAGGAUAUGGAGUUGUGUCCUAAUAGGACACUUGUAUCCUAGGCCUCUAAUAUAUAGCAGGGCUAGACACACGAUGUAACCUAUGCCAACAUAAUAGCACCGGAAUGCAGGGGAAGCCGGCGGCAUGUGCCGAUGUCCAGGGUGACCGGGUGUGGUAUUGUAGCGGUGUCAUGGGGAGGAGCGCCCAUAGUCAGGCCCCGGGGAUGUAGCCAUAUCGGUGAACCUCGUUAAUAAAUCUCGGUGUCGCGCUCGUGUGAUUGCUUGGUCCUCGGAUGAUCGACGGUAUGCCUCGGAUUUAUUCUAACAAGAUAGGCGGCGUCGAGGACGGCCUUGACAGACACGAAACCAGUGGUUUCCGGGGUGGUGCCGCUGGGGUAGAAGCCGCGAGGUGCCGUCUCCGACGCGGAAGGAAGGAGAUGAGACGCCACAGCUGUUGGGGUUGCUCUUCCUCAUCCACGUACGAGUAGCCUUGGAUCUUCAUCAUGCAUGUGGAUGUGGAUGUGGUGCGUCGUCGGCGUCGUAGCACAGAGAAUGGAGGCCGAGUCGCCGUUCGCAGCAGCCAUGACGGCGUACCUGGGUCCGGUCCGGCGGCCGUCCAGCUCUGACGACCUAGGACUAGGAGCGAGUGAGACAGCUUGAUGAGGUCGGACUUGUCUCCGAUCGAAGAGUCUGUAAGAUGAAAAGCGUUCCCUACCCCUUGAGGGGGAGUCGCAGGCUGUAUAUAUUGAUGUGGCCGAAGCCAGCCUUGGCGUACAAGGAAGAUUUACAAGAGUUUGAGUAGAACAAGUAAAGGAAGGAGUUGGAGACUACUACGGAAACUAUAUUCGCUAACACCCUCCCUUAAUCUUAACUACCCUAGAUUAAGAUUACUCUUGAACUCCUCAAACGGUCUUGCUGGUAAAGCCUUUGUAAAGCCGUCCGCCAUUUGGUCCUUAGAGGGAAUAAACCGUAUCUCAAAAUUCGUUGCUGCAACCCUCUCUCGCACAAAGUGAAAAUCAAUUUCUAUGUGCUUUGUUCUUGCAUGAAACACAGGGUUUGCAGACAAGUAUGUUGCUCCCAAGUUAUCACACCAUAAACAUGAGAUACGAUUUUUCUUGAUCCCCAAUUCCUCAAGAAGUGAUUCAACCCAAAUGAUUUCAGCAGUUGCAUUCGCCAAGGACUUGUAUUAAGCUUCUGUGCUUGAUCGUGACACAGUUGCUUGCUUUCUAGCACUCCAAGAAAUAAGAUUGGACCCAAAGAACACUGCAAAGCCUCCAGUUGAUCUUCUAUCAUCACUGCAUCUUGUCCAAUUAGCAUCAGAGAAUGCACUCACAAGAGAGGAGCCAGAACAUUUGAAGUGAAGUCCUGUUCCCAUAGUAUGCUUCACAUAUCUUACAAUUCUCCUUACAGCUGACCAAUGUGCGGAAGUGGGAGCAUGAAGAUAUUGACAAACUUUAUUAACAGCAAAUAAGAUAUCUGGACGUAUGAGAGUUAUAUAUUGUAAUGCUCCCACAGUACUUCUGUACCUUGUGCUCUCUUCUUCUUGAAGUGGCUCACCUUCAUAUGCUGAGAGUUUUUCUGAGGAAGAUAAAGGUGUAGGUACUGGCUUGCAAUUCUUUAUUCCCAUGCGAGACAAAAACUCAAUGAUGUAUUUCUCCUGAUUUAACACAAUACCAUCUUGAUGAAGGAAAUAUGCCCUAGAGGCAAUAAUAAAGUUAUUAUUUAUUUCCUCAUAUCAUGAUAAAUGUUUAUUAUUCAUACUAGAAUUGUAUUAACCGGAAACAUGAUACAUGUGUGAAUACAUAGACAAACAUAUAGUCACUAGUAUGCCUCUACUUGACUAGCUCAUUAAUCAAAGAUGGUUAUGUUUCCUGACCAUAGACAUGUGUUGUCAUUUGAUUAAUGGGAUCACAUCAUUAGAAGAAUGAUGUGAUUGACAUGACCCGUUUUGUUAGCCUAGCACUUGAUCAUUUAGUGUACUGCUAUUGCUUUCUUCAUGACUUAUACAAAGUUACUACAACUAUGAGAUUGUGCAACUCCCGAUUACCGGAAGAACACUUUGUGUGCUACCAAACGUCACAACGUACUGGGUGAUUAUAAAGGUGCUCUACAGGUGUUUCCGAAGGUACAUGUUGGGUUGGCAUAAUUUGAGAUUAGGAUUUGUCACUCCGAUUGUCGGAGAGGUAUCUCUCGGCCCUCUCGGUAAUACUGAUCACCUAAGCCUUGGAAGCAUGUAACUAAUAAGUUAGUUAUGAGAUGACGUAUUACGGAACGAGUAAAGAGACUUGCCGGUAACGAGAUUGAACUAGGUAUUGGAUACCGACGAUCAAAUCUCGGGCAAGUAACAUACCGAUGACAAAGGGAACAAAGUAUGUCGUUACGCGGUUUGACCGAUAAAGAUCUUCAUAGAAUAUGUAGGAACCAAUAUGGGCAUCCAGGUCCCGCUAUUGGUUAUUGACCGAGAAUAGUUUUCGGUCAUGUCUACAUAGUUCUCGAACCCGUACGGUCCGCACGCUUAAUGUUUCGAUGAUAGUUUUAUUAUGAGUUUAUAAGUUUUGAUGUACCGAAGUUUGUUCGGAGUCCCGGAUGUGAUCACGGACAUGACGAGGAGUCUCGGAAUGGUCGAGACAUAAAGGUUGAUAUAUUGGACGACUAUAUUCGUACACCAGAAAGGUUCCGGGAGUUUUCGGAGAAAACCGGAGUACCGGAGGGUUACCGGAACCCCCCCGGGAAGUAAUGGGCCUUAAUGGGCCCUAGUGGAGAAAGAGAGGGGCCGGCCAGGGCAAGUGGCGCGCCCCCUCCCCUUGAGUCCGAAUAGGACAAGGAAGGGGAGGCGGCGCCCCCCUUGCCUUCCCCCUCUCCUACUCCUUCCUUCCCCCUCCCUCUUGGAUCAGGAAAAGGAGGGGGGAAACCUACUUGGAGUAGGUUUCCCCCUCCUAGGGCGCGCCUCCCCUUAGGCCGGCCCCCUCCUCCCUCCCUCCUUUAUAUACGGGGGCGGGGGGCACCCCAUAGACACAAGUUGAUCUACGGAUCGUUCCUUAGCCGUGUGCGGUGUCCCCCUCCACCAUAUUCCACCUCGGUCAUAUCAUCGCGGAGUUUAGGCGAAGCCCUGCACCGGUAGAACAUCAUCAUCGUCACCACGCCGUUGUGCUGACGAAACUCAUCUCCGGAGCUCGGCUGGAUCGGAGGCCGGAGAUCGUCAUCGAGCUGAACGUGUGCAGAACUCGGAGGUGUCGUACGUUCGGUACUUAGAUCGGUCGGAUCGUGAAGACGUACGACUACAUCAACCGCGUUGUCAUAACGCUUCCGCUUACGGUCUACGAGGGUACGUGGACGAACACUCUCCCCUCUCGUUGCUAUGCCAUCACCAUGAUCUUGCGUGUGCGUAGGAAAUUUUUUGAAAUUACUACGUUCUCCAACAGUGGCAUCCGAGCCUAGGUUUUAUGCGUUGAUUUUAUAUGCACGAGUAGAACACAAGUGAGUUGUGGACGAUAUAAGUCAUACUGCCUACCAGCAUGUCAUACUUUGGUUCAGCGGUAUUGUGAGAUGAAGCGGCCUGGACCGACAUUACGCGUACGCUUACGCAAGACUGGUUUCACCGUUACGAGCACGUGUGCUUAAAGGUGGCUGGCGGGUGUCUGUCUCUCUCACUUUAGUUGAACCGAGUGUGGCUACGCCCGGUCCUUGUGAAGGUUAAAACGGAGUCUAUUUGAAAAACUAUCAUUGUGGUUUUGAUGCGUAGGUAAGAACAGUUCUUGCUAAGCCCGUAGCAGCCACGUAAAAUUUGCAACACCAAAGUAGAGGACGUCUAACUUGUUUUUGUAGGGCAUGUUGUGAUGUGAUAUGGUCAAGACGUGAUGCUAUAUUUUAUUGUAUGAGAUGAUCAUGUUUUGUAACCGAAGUUAUCGGCAACUGGCAGGAGCCAUAUGGUUGUCGCUUUAUUGUAUGAAAUGCAAACGCCCUGUAAUUGCUUUACUUUAUCACUAAGCGGUAGCGAUAGUCGUAGAAGCAAUAGAUGGCGUAACGACAACGAUGCUACGAUGGAGAUCAAGGUGUCGCGCCGGUGACGAUGGUGAUCAUGACGGUGCUUCAAAGAUGGAGAUCACAAGCACAAGAUGAUGAUGGCCAUAUCAUAUCACUUAUAUUGAUUGCAUGUGAUGUUUAUCCUUUAUACAUCUCAUCUUGCUUUGAUUGACGGUAGCAUUUUAAGAUGAUCUCUCACUAAAAUUAUCAAGAAGUGUUCUCCCUGAGUAUGCACCGUUGCCAAAGUUCGUCGUGCCGAGACACCACGUGAUGAUCGGGUGUGAUAAGCUCUACGUCCAUCUACAACGGGUGCAAGCCAGUUUUGCACACGCAAAAUACUCAGGUUAAACUUGACGAGCCUAGCAUAUGCAGAUAUGGCCUCGGAACACAGAGACCGAAAGGUCGAGCGUGAAUCAUAUAGUAGAUAUGAUCAACAUAGUGAUGUUCACCAUUGAAAACUACUCCAUCUCACGUGAUGAUCGGUUAUGGUUUAGUUGAUUUGGAUCACGUGAUCACUUAGAUGACUAGAGAGAUGUCUGUCUAAGUGGGAGUUCUUAAGUAAUAUGAUUAAUUGAACUUAAAUUUAUCAUGAACUUAGUACCUGAUAGUAUCUUGCUUGUCUAUGUUUGUUUGUAGAUAGAUGGCUCGUGCUGUUGUUCCGUUGAAUUUUAAUGCGUUCCUUGAGAAAGCAAAGUUGAAAGAUGAUGGUAGCAAUUACACGGACUGGGUCCAUAACCUGAGGAUUAUCCUCAUUGCUGCACAGAAGAGUUACGUCCUGGAAGCACCGCUGGGUGCCAGGCCUGCUGCUGAUGCAACUGACGACGUUAAGAACGUCUGGCAGAGCAAAGCUAAUGACUACUCUAUAGUUCAGCGUGCCAUGCUUUACGGCUUGGAACCGGGUCUUCAACGACGUUUUGAACGUCAUGGAGCAUAUGAGAUGUUCCAGGAGUUAAAGUUAAUAUUUCAAGCAAAUGCCCGGAUUGAGAGAUAUGAAGUCUCCAAUAAGUUCUACAGCUGCAAGAUGGAGGAGAAUAGUUCUGUCAGUGAACACAUACUCAGAAUGUCUGGGUAUAACAAUCACUUGAUUCAACUGGGAGUUAAUCUUCCUGAUGAUAGUGUCAUUGACAGAAUUCUCCAAUCACUGCCACCAAGCUACAAGAGCUUUGUGAUGAACUAUAAUAUGCAAGGGAUGAACAAGACUAUUCCCGAGCUCUUCGCGAUGCUGAAAGCUGCGGAGGUAGAAAUCAAGAAGGAGCAUCAAGUGUUGAUGGUCAAUAAGACCACUAGUUUCAAGAAGAAGGACAAAGGGAAGAAGAAGGGGAACUUCAAGAAGAACGGCAAGCAAGUUGCUGCUCAAGAGAAGAAACCCAAGUCUGGACCUAAGCCUGAAACUGAGUGCUUCUACUGCAAGCAGACUGGACACUGGAAACGGAACUGCCCCAAGUAUUUGGCGGAUAAGAAGGAUGGCAAAGUGAGCAAAGGUAUAUGUGAUAUACAUGUUAUUGAUGUGUACCUAACUAGAGCUCGUAGUAGCACCUGGGUAUUUGAUACUGGUUCUGUUGCUAAUAUUUGCAACUCGAAACAGGGACUACGGAAUAAGCGAGCACUGGCCAAGGACGAGGUGACGAUGCGCGUGGGAAACGGUUCGAAAGUCGAUGUGAUCGCAGUCGGCACGCUACCUCUACAUCUACCUUCGGGAUUAGUUUUAGACCUGAAUAAUUGUUAUUUGGUGCCAGCGUUGAGCAUGAACAUUAUAUCUGGAUCUUGUUUGAUGCGAGACGGUUAUUCAUUUAAAUCAGAGAAUAAUGGUUGUUCUAUUUAUAUGAGUAAUAUCUUUUAUGGUCAUGCACCCUUGAAGAGUGGUCUAUUGAAUCUCAAUAGUAGUGAUACACAUAUUCAUAAUGUUGAAGCCAAAAGAUGCAGAGUUGAUAAUGAUAGUGCAACUUAUUUGUGUCACUGCCGUUUAGGUCAUAUCGGUGUAAAACGCAUGAAGAAACUCCAUACUGAUGGACUUCUGGAAUCACUUGAUGAUGAAUCACUUGGUACUUGCGAACCGUGCCUCAUGGGCAAGAUGACUAAAACACCAUUCUCCGGAACUAUGGAGAGAGCAACAGAUUUGUUGGAAAUCAUACAUACAGAUGUAUGUGGACCGAUGAAUGUUGAGGCUCGUGGCGGAUAUUGUUAUUUUCUCACCUUCACAGAUGAUUUAAGCAGAUAUGGGUAUAUCUACUUAAUGAAGCACAAAUCUGAAACAUUUGAAAAGUUCAAAGAAUUUCAGAGUGAAGUGGAGAAUCAUCGUAACAAGAAAAUAAAGUUUCUGCGAUCUGAUCGUGGAGGAGAAUAUUUGAGUUACGAGUUUUGUUUACAUUUGAAACAAUGCGGAAUAGUUUCGCAACUCACACCACCCGGAACACCACAACGAAAUGGUGUGUCCGAAUGUCGUAAUCGUACUUUACUUGAUAUGGUGCGAUCUAUGAUGUCUCUUACCGAUUUACCGCUAUCGUUUUGGGGUUAUGCUUUAGAGACGGCCGCAUUCACGUUAAAUAGGGCACCAUCUAAAUCCGUUGAGACGACGCCUUAUGAACUGUGGUUUGGCAAGAAACCAAAGUUGUCGUUUCUUAAAGUUUGGGGUUGCGAUGCUUAUGUGAAGAAACUUCAACCAGAUAAGCUCGAACCCAAAUUGGAGAAAUGUGUCUUCAUAGGAUACCCAAAAGAGACUGUUGGGUACACCUUCUAUCACAGAUCCGAAGGCAAGACAUUCGUUGCUAAAAAUGGAUCCUUUCUGGAGAAGGAGUUUCUCUCGAAAGAAGUGAGUGGGAGGAAAGUAGAACUUGAUGAGAUAACUGUAUCUACUCCCUUAUUGGAAGGUAGUUCAUCACGAGAACCAGUUCCUGUGACGACUACACCAAUUAGUGAGGAAGCUAAUGAUAUUAAUCAUGAAACUUCAGAUCAAGUUUCUACUGAACCUCGUAGGUCUACCAGAGUAAGAUCCGCACCAGAGUGGUACGGUAAUCCUAUUCUGGAAGUCAUGUUACUUGACCAUGAUGAACCUACGAACUAUGAGGAAGUGAUGAUGAGCCCAGAUUCCGCAAAAUGGCUAGAGGCCAUGAAAUCUGAGAUGGGAUCCAUGUAUGAAAACAAAGUAUGGACUUUGGUUCACUUACCCGAUGAUAGGCAAGCCAUUGAGAAUAAAUGGAUCUUUAAGAAGAAGACUGACGCUGAUGGUAAUGUUACUGUCUAUAAAGCUCGACUUGUUGCGAAAGGUUUUCGACAAGUUCAAGGGGUUGACUACAAUGAGACUUUCUCACCCGUAGCGAUGCUUAAGUCUGUCCGAAUCAUGUUGGCUAUUGCUGCAUUUCAUGAUUAUGAAAUUUGGCAAAUGGAUGUCAAGACUGCAUUCUUGAAUGGAUUUCUAGAAGAAGAGUUGUAUAUGAUGCAGUCGGAAGGUUUUGUUGAUCCAAAAGGUGCAGACAAAGUGUGCAAGCUCUAGCGUUCCAUUUAUGGACUGGUGCAAGCAUCUCGGAGUUGGAAUAAACUCUUUCAUAGUGUAAUCAAAGCAUAUGGUUUUAUAGAGACUUUUGGAGAAGCCUGUAUUUACAAGAAAGUGAGUGGGAGCUCUGUAGCAUUUCUAGUUUUAUAUGUUGAUGACAUAUUAUUAAUUGGAAAUGAUAUAGAAUUUCUGGAUAGCAUAAAGGGGUACUUGAAUAAAAGUUUUUCGAUGAAAGACCUCGGUGAAGCUGCUUACAUAUUGGGCAUCAAGAUCUAUAGAGAUAGAUCAAGACGCUUAAUAGGACUUUCACAAAGUACAUACCUUGACAAAAUUUUGAAAAAGUUCAAAAUGGAUCAGGCAAAGAAAGGAUUCUUGCCUAUGCUACAAGGUGUGAAGUUGAGUCAAACUCAAUGCCCGACCACAGCAGAAGAUAGAGAGAAAAUGAAAAAUGUUCCCUAUGCUUCAGCCAUAGGCUCUAUCAUGUAUGCAAUGCUGUGUACCAGACCUAACGUAUGCUUAGCAAUAAGUUUGGCAGGAAGGUACCAAAGUAAUCCAGGAGUGGAUCACUGGACAACGGUCAAGAACAUCCUGAAAUACCUGAAAAGGACUAAGGAUAUGUUUCUCGUAUAUGGAGGUGAAAAAGAGCUAGUCGUAAAUGGUUACGUCGAUGCAAGCUUUGACACUGAUCCGGACGAUUCUAAAUCGCAAACCGGAUACGUGUUUUUAUUAAACGGUGGAGCUGUAAGUUGGUGCAGUUCUAAACAAAGCGUCGUGGCGGGAUCUACAUGUGAAGCGGAGUACAUAACUGCUUCUGAAGCAGCGAAUGAAGGAGUCUGGAUGAAGGAGUUCAUUUCCGAUCUAGGUGUCAUACCUAGUGCAUCGGGACCAAUGAAGAUCUUCUGUGACAAUAUUGGUGCAAUUGCCCUGGCAAAGGAAUCCAGAUUUCACAAGAGGACCAAGCACAUCAAGAGACGCUUCAAUUCCAUUCGGGACCAAGUCCAAGUGGGAGACAUAGAGAUUUGCAAGAUACAUACGGAUCUGAAUGUUGCAGACCCGUUGACUAAGCCUCUCUCACGAGGAAAACAUGAUCAGCACCAAGACUCCAUGGGUGUUAGAAUCAUUACUAUGUAAUCUAGAUUACUGACUCUAGUGCAAGUGGGAGACUGAAGGAAAUAUGCCCUAGAGGCAAUAAUAAAGUUAUUAUUUAUUUCCUCAUAUCAUGAUAAAUGUUUAUUAUUCAUGCUAGAAUUGUAUUAACCGGAAACAUGAUACAUGUGUGAAUACAUAGACAAACACAUAGUCACUAGUAUGCCUCUACUUGACUAGCUCAUUAAUCAAAGAUGGUUAUGUUUCCUGACCAUAGACAUGUGUUGUCAUUUGAUUAAUGGAAUCACAUCAUUAGAAGAAUGAUGUGAUUGACAUGACCCGUUCUGUUAGCCUAGCACUUGAUCGUUUAGUGUACUGCUAUUGCUUUCUUCAUGACUUAUACAAAGUUCCUACAACUAUGAGAUUGUGCAACUCCCGUUUACCGGAAGAACACUUUGUGUGCUACCAAACGUCACAACGUAACUGGGUGAUUAUAAAGGUGCUCUACAGGUGUUUCCGAAGGUACAUGUUGGGUUGGCAUAAUUCGAGAUUAGGAUUUGUCACUCCGAUUGUCGGAGAGGUAUCUCUGGGCCCUCUCGGUAGUACUCAUCACCUAAGCCUUGCAAGCAUGUAACUAAUAAGUUAGUUAUGAGAUGACGUAUUACGGAACGAGUAAAGAGACUUGCCGGUAACGAGAUUGAACUAGGUAUUGGAUACCGACGAUCAAAUCUCGGGCAAGUAACAUACCGAUGACAAAGGGAACAACGUAUGUUGUUAUGCGGUUUGACCGAUAAAGAUCUUCGUAGAAUAUGUAGGAACCAAUAUGGGCAUCCAGGUCCCGCUAUUGGUUAUUGACCGAGAAUAGUUUUAGGUCAUGUCUACAUAGUUCUCGAACCCGUAGGGUCCGCACGCUUAACGUUUCGAUGACAGUUUUAUUAUGAGUUUAUAAGUUUUGAUGUACCGAAGUUUGUUCGGAGUCCCGGAUGUGAUCACGGACAUGACGAGGAGUCUCGGAAUGGUCGAGACAUAAAUAUUGAUAUAUUGGACGACUAUAUUCGGACACCGGAAAGGUUCCGGGAGUUUUCGGAGAAAACCGGAGUACCGGAGGGUUACCGGAACCCCCCCCCCCCCGGGAAGUAAUGGGCCUUAAUGGGCCCUAGUGGUGAAAGAGAGGGGCCGGCCAGGGCAAGUGGCGUGCCCCCUCCCCUUGAGUCCGAAUAGGACAAGGAAGGGGGGGCGGCGCCUCCUUGCCUUCCCCCUCUCCUACUCCUUCCUUCCCCCUCCCUCUUGGAUUAGGAAAAGGAGGGGGGAAACCUACUUGGAGUAGGUUUCCCCCUCCUAGGGCGCGCCUCCCCUUAGGCCGGCCCCCUCCUCCCUCCCUCCUUUAUAUACGGGGGUGGGGGGCACCCCAUAGACACAAGUUGAUCUACGGAUCGUUCCUUAGCCGUGUGCGGUGCCCCCCUCCACCAUAUUCCACCUCGGUCAUAUUGUCGCGGAGUUUAGGCGAAGCCCUGCGCCGGUAGAACAUCAUCAUCAUCACCACACCGUCGUGCUGACGGAACUCAUCUCCGGAGCUCGGCUGGAUCGGAGGCUGGAGAUCGUCAUCGAGCUGAACGUGUGCAGAACUCGGAGGUGCCGUACGUUCGGUACUUAGAUCGGUCGGAUCGUGAAGACGUACGACUACAUCAACCGCGUUGUCAUAAUGCUUCCUCUUACGGUCUACGAGGGUACGUGGACGAACACUCUCCCCUCUCGUUGCUAUGCCAUCACCAUGAUCUUGCGUGUGCGUAGGAAAUUUUUUGAAAUUACUACGUUCCCCAACACUUGAGUUUUUCUAACUUCAAUCCCAAGGAAGAAAUGCAAGUCACCCAGGUCUUUCAAGGCAAACUCUGAGAUCAAGUCAUGCAGAAGUGCAUUAGUAGCAUUUUGUGAAGAACUUGCAACUAUGAUAUCAUCAACAUAUAUAAGCACAAAAAUGACUACUCCAGCCUUGUUAUAAAUAAACAAAGACAUGUCAGCUUUAGAGGCAAUGAAACCAAGAUAUUUCAACUGUAAGCUUAAUCUGGAGUACCAUGCUCUGGGUGCUUGUUUUAGACCAUAGAGUGCUUUGUCAAGCUUGCAAACAUAAUGUGGUGAUUCCUUAUCCUCAUAUCUAGGUGGUUGUCUCAUGAACACUUCCUCUUCCAGAACACCAUGCAAAAACGCGUUCUGUACAUCUAGCUGUCUUAGGCUCCAACCCUUAGAUACAGCAAUGGCUAGCACAAGUCUGAUAGUUGCAGCUUUCACAACAGGACUAAAGGUAUCCUCAUAAUCAAUACCAUAACGUUGCUUAAAGCCCUUUGCAACUAGACGUGCCUUAUACCUGUCAAUGGAGCCAUCUGCCUUCUUUUUGAUUCUGUACACCCAUUUGCAAUCGAUGAUAUUUUUGCCUUUUUGGUUUGGUACAAGAUGCCAGGUCUUGUUCCUCAUAAGUGCAGAAUAUUCCUCAUCCAUUGCCUUCUUCCACUUAGGAUCGUCAAGUGCACUACUCAACGUUGUUGGCUCUCCUGAAAUACACAAUAUUCCAUAUGGUAUAGUUCCAUCUUUUCUUAUUUUAGGAUUCCGUAUACCUUUCUGUAGACGUGUCAUAACCCGUGAAGAAGCUGCUGGCUGAACCUCAGGAAUGCUGGCCACAGAAGAUCCUGACGAGCCUGCAUGUGCUGACACAGGGGAAUCUGCCGCCUCCUGCGCAGAUGAUCCUACAGCCGAUGGUGUGGCCGCCUCCCCAGUGCGCACAUGAGAACCAGCCGCCCGGUCCGGCACAGCAGAUCCGCAGCCCGACCGCGGUUGCAGGCGCACGCGGGGCGAGGGGGAUCCGGCCCCGCUGCUGGUCCCGCCUGUUGCUGAGGUGGCGGCGCGGGAGUGGCCCUCCCUUGAUUCGUUGCCGCAGCUGACAGAGGCGCGAUCCGAGGCGGAUCUGCUUGCGCGAUCCGAGGUCUGCCCGCGCACAGGAGUUCCAGGCGCCGCCGGAUCACCUUCGUUGUCCGUGCCAGGUUCGUCUUCUUCCUCAACAUGCAAUAUAGGAUCAAUUUGAGCUAUAUUUUCAGGGUUUUGAUCAAGUUGAGCCCUGUUUUCUCCAGAGACCUGCACAGGCAACAGAAAAGAGCAAGUACCAGUAGAAAUAUCGUCACUUUGAUUAGUACAAUUGUCGCCCCCAUGAUCAAAAGACCGAAGAUGUGGAGGAAGAAGAAGAAUUUCCUUGCGAAGAAGUGCACCGGCAUUGGGAUGAAGUGAUGCAAACGGAAACACGGAUUCAUCAAAGACAACAUCUCGGGAUAUGUAGACCCUACCACUAGGAACAUCAAGACAUUUGACCCCUUUAUGCAUGGGACUAUAGCCUAAAAAGACACAAUUUUUUGAGCGGAAUGCAAGUUUGCGUGUAUUGUAGGGUCUAAGAUUGGGCCAACAUGCACAACCGAAAACACGAAGAGAUGUGUAGUUUGGUAUGACACCAAAGAGUCGUGUAAUAGGAGUUUCAAAUCUGAUAACUUUGCUUGGAAGCAAAUUGAUAAGAUAUGUAGCAGUUAAGAAUGCUUCAUCCCAAAAUUUAAGUGGCAUCGAUGCAUUUGCGAGGAAUGCAAGCCCCAUAUCAACUAUGUGACGAUGCUUUCUUUCAGCAGAUCCAUUUUGUUGGUGAGCAUGAGGACAUGAGACAUGAUGUGAUAUGCCAAGUUUUUGGAAGAAAGAGUUCAAUUUUUCAUACUCACCACCCCAGUCACUUUGGAUAGCAAUGAUUUUAGAGUUCAGUUUGCGUUCAACAAGAUUUUGGAAAUUGAUAAAGACUUGGAAAACAUCAGACCGUUUCUUUAACAAAUAAAUCCAAGUAAAUUUACUAUUUCCAUCAAUAAAGCUUACAUAAUAAGAAAAUCUCCCAGCUGAAGUAGGGGCUGGCCCCCAUACAUCUGAAAAUAUGAGUUGUAGAGGAGCAGUAGACACACUAGUAGAGAUGGAAUAAGGUAAUUGAUGACUUUUUGCUUGUUGACAUGGAUCACAAACUGACUCAACACUAUUCUCAUAAGAGAGUUUAUUUUUGCUAAGAACGUAUUUAACUAUGACUGAAGAUGGAUGACCUAAACGACUAUGCCACCUUGAUGAUGAUGGCUUGGUGACAAUGUUGGCUUGCUUAUUUGACCAUGAAGAUGAUGAUGAUGAUAUAAGUAGAUAGAGGCCUCCCACGCACCGUCAUCUAAGAAUGAUUCUCCUUGUUCUCAAAUCCUUAACCAAGAAAAAAUAAGGGUAGAAUUCUAUGAGAACAUUGUUAUCAAGGGUGGAUCGAUGAACGAAAACAAGAUUUUUUGAUGUUUGAGGAACAUGCAAGACAUCUUUCAGGUGCAAAUUUUUCAUGGGGUUUUUAACAAUUGAACUACCAAUGUGAGUGAUGUUCAUACCAGAACCGCUUGCCGUGCGAAUUUGGUCGCCUCCAUUGUACUUCUCCCGUGUUGUCAGCUUCUCAAGUUCACCUGUGAUGUGAUUUGUUGCUACACUGUCGGCAUACCAGUUUGUAUCUACGCCAUAGGAGACAGCAUGCGCCUCCUUCUCUUCCUGAUCGUUCUCUUCAUAGCGCCACCAGCAAACACGUGCGCCUCCUGGAUGGUGCCUAUAGCAUAUCUGACAUUUAGGGUAAUCGUGCUGCUGUUCGCGCACUUGCUGUUGCCGUUGUUGUCGAGGGCGUCCUCUGAAUCCGCCGCCUCUGUUUGCAGGAGAGGGCUGGCGGUCACCGCGGUCACCGCGAUCACCACGGCCGCGCCCCCUUCCUCCUCGCCCACGGGGUCUGCCGCGGGACUGGCCACGGCCUCUGUAAACUGCGCUGGCCGAUGAAUGAAAUCCUCCUGAAGAUGAAUCACCCAGCAUCUCCAUCCUCUGAUCAAAAGCAGAAAUCUGAGCGAAGAGGUCGUCGGCGGUGAUAGUGUUCUUGACAGCACCAAUCGUUGCAACCACAGAGUCAUAGUCGCGAUCAAGUCCCGCCAGGAUGUAGUCCACCAUCUCCGGGUCAGAGACAGGGCGCCCAGCAGCAGCAAGUUCGUCCCCAAGGCUCUUCAUCUUUGCCAUAUACGCCGAGCUCGACAUGGUGCCCUUCUUGGUGUUGGUGAUUGCGAUCCUCAGAUUGGUGAUCCGGGAUAGUGAUUGUGAGGCGAAGAGAUUUGUCACCGUCGUCCAGAGCUCGUAGGUGGAGUCCUUCCUGAUGACUUGUGCAAGGAUUUCAGGAGACAUGGAAUUGAGUAGAUAUGAUAGGACCUAUUGAUCUUUGGCGAUCCAGGGCCCGUAGAGGGGAUUCGGCUCUAGGGUCGUGGUUUUAUCCGCCUUCGUGAUAUCCACCACCCUCGAUGGAGCGGCAUCGGAGUUGUCCAGGAGCCCAGUAACCUGCGCACCUCGCAGAGCUGGGAGAACCUGUGUCUUCCAGAGGAUGAAAUUUCCUCUUGCGAGCUUCUCUGACGGUGGCGAUCCAAGGUUAAGAGCAACGCCGGCUGAGGAAGCCAUGGAGACAAUGGUAUGUGGUUUAGGGUUUUGAUCUUUGGCUAGAUGUUUUGGGAAGAGGUGGCUCUGAUUACCAUGUAAGAUGAAAAGUGUUCCCGACCCCUCGAGGGGGAGUCGCGGGCUGUAUAUAUUGAUGUGGCCGAAGCCAACCUUGACGUACAAGGAAGAUUUACAAGAGUUUGAGUAGAACAAGUAAAGGAAGGAGUUGGAGACUACUACGGAAACUAUAUUCGCUAACAGAGUCUCCCUUCGCUUAUAUGGAUGGAGAUGGACCUCAGCUCAGCACCUACUCCCUCCCAAUCCGAGCAAGGGAACUGAGGUCAACACGGACUGAGGCCCGGGGCAAGAAGGGCCAAGCCUGGCCGCUUUCCCCUGAAAAAAUGGAAAACUCGUUUGCGGCAAGUUGUCCGGACUAGGCCCACGACAGAGGAGAAAGACCAGUAAUGCUAAACAUACAAAGGUUUACAUGCUUUUACAUCAUGAUUAGGUUCUUUUCAAACUAACUAAUCACUCCCCCGAUUUUCAUGGGGAUGGGCCCCUUCUCUUCCUUAAUCUUCAAUCAAAACCCACCUUUAUGUACAAGCAUGUAUCCUUUUGUAUAUUUUUUUUGGAGAAAUCUCGCCCACUUUCAUUGAUUUGAUAACUAUGUUCAUAGGUACACGGUUCGGCUUAUAGGGGUUACCCAACCACACAUGUCUACCUACUCCUAAAUUACAAGCAAACUUGGUGAGAGUAUGAGCCUCGAAAUUAAAAUUCCUACACUCAUGAAUAAAAGACCAAGACGUACAUAUAAGAAGAUAUACGCGCCGCAAUCUCUUGGAUGAUAGCCGCAUUAGGACCUCCCGUCCCCUUGUUGAUAUCUUUUACCACUUCUAGGCAGUCUGAUACUACUACCAUAUUCUGAAUAUGAAGAUCAUUUGCUAGGGCAAGAGCUUCACUGCAUGCAAAAGUUUCGAGCAUCAUUGGAUCACCAGUUUCUUUUUGUACGUGUAGCAUUACUAGGAGAAAGACGAGCGUUUCAGGAUGGGCUGGCCCGUUAAACAUUUCAACCAUUCCGGUUUUGGGAAGGUUUAGCCGAUUUUUUCCCCGGUUUGGGAAUCUUCCUUCUAGAAGGUUCCUGAAGCGGUUUUUUUUUCUGUUCCUUUUUCUUUUUUAGUUUUUUUCUGUUCUUUUUCUUUCUUUCGGCGCCCUGUAUCUUCAAAAAAGAAAGCUAUUAAUGACUGUUUCGAUCAACAAGCACGGCGGCGGCUAUCACUUCCAUUUUCUUCUUUUUUCAUGUUUAUUUUCUUUUUAAAAAAGUUUACUGAGUUUAUUGAAAAAAAGCGUAAGUUUUAAAAAAUGUUUGUGUUUUUCUUAAAUUGUUGAAAACUUCAAAACAAAUCCUGUUUUGCAAUUUUGUUAACAAAUUUAGAAAAAUUGUCGCCUUUUCCCCAAAAAACAGGGCUUCAAAAAAAUUAGCAUUUUCAAAGCUUUUAUUUAGAGUUUAAAAAAAAGCUCUCUUUUUUUCCAAAAAUGUCCGUUCUUUCAAUUUUGCUCAAAAAUCUCCCCUUUCCCAAAAGUUGUUUAAGAUUUAAAAAUAUAUGAGUUUUCCAAAGAAUGUUGGUGUUUUCAAAUAAAUUUCAAUUUUUUAAAAAAUUAUUCAAAAAAAUUGAAAUGAUUUGAUUUCAAUAAACAUUCUAUUCUCUCAAUAAAAUCAUGUUCAAAAUCCAAAAAAUAUUUAGAUCUGUUGCCACUCAUAGGUGUUAUGCACCGCAAUGCAUAUUUAGACACCAAUAUUAUGCGGCUUUCCAUUGGCGGCUAUGUAACAGCGUUGACUGACAGGAUGUGUGCCCGACAUUUUCAGGAAUUUUAUGCCGCUGGAGUUGGUCCUUACAAGUUUGCGCUGCUUAUUAUUAAUAAAAUUUAUUCAGCUCUUGCGUCUUAGGACGCCGGGAGUUCGGUCCCACUUUAUCACCAAGUAUAUAUAUUUUUCGGAUGUUUUUGGGGAGUCGCUACCAACUUUGGGCAAUGCGACGUUAGUUCGGCACCCCAAGAAAGAAGGCUAUCCGUGAAAUGAAGAACUAUUGUACAGACAUGGGGAUGAACACGAAUUAAGCGAAAACUUUGCACCCGUUCUACCUUAGCAUGGAAGCGAACUGUAAAUAUGAGACGAAAAUUAAUUUAGGGAACAAAAUUUGCGGAAACGAAAAUGAAAUUGGGGAACAUAAUUUUCGUAUCUGCACAUGCAUAUUGUGUUUUUUCAUGUAUAGCCAAAUCUAGACCAGCCUAGAUACCUGGGCUAACUCAAAUGUCCUUGAACUUAACUAUACUUGUAUAUGCUGCCAAAAAUAAAAAUCACGCAUAAUAGUAUACAUUAUUGUGAUAUAUCAUAAUAGUUACAGUCACCUUAGCAAUUGUCUUUUUGGAUUUUAUUCUAUAUUUCUUUGAAGUUCAAUAGUUUUUUGAGUUCCAGCGAUUUUCCACUUUUUAUUUGUGCCCCCACGGUAGUAUCUUCUUUCCUAUUCAUUUCCACACAAAUUUAUACUCCCCCCUAUCCAUAUCUCAAUUAGCGAAAGGUAGUUUCGCUCCCGGACGCCGUCCAAGCUUGAGGAUCUGGCCGUCUAUUUCGAUAGAAGAUGGUGGAUCCAAGCAGUGGCAGAGCAAGACAAAAACCACUGGGGGGCAAAGGUAGAUUACAAAGAUCUGGGGGCAAAACACUGAUUUUCCUCUCAUCUAGGCCCUUCAAAAAAUCUUCUCACUUUUCUCCAAAAGCUGGGAGGGUGGGUCCCCCUGGCCUCAACAUAGCUUCCCCACUAGAUCGAAGACCUGUGGUCGUCCAUGCAUCCUUUGGUCACCUUUCCCUGGAAGAAGUUGUGGUAACUGCUCCAGGGCGUUGGUUCGUCCAUAGGUGGUUGACUUCCUGACCGCAAGAUAAAAAGUCUUGCCGGCUCUACAGAGGAGCAACGUCGGCACCGGCGCGCCAUCCCCUUGUCCCGAAGGUUGUUGUCGGAGAUACCCCAGAUGUUUGUUUUUGAUUUCUUGUUUGUUUGGGUUGUUUUUUUUUGUAAUGUUGGUUCUUUGAAUUUAUUGAGCUAGGCUUUUUUUCACUAGUGCUAACUUUUUUGGUUCUUAGAUUAGAAUAAUUUGCUUUUUGAGACAAUAUAAUUCUCUGCUAAAAGGCAUGAAAAUGAAGGUAAAAUAUGGUAGAAAUCAGCCCACUCCGUUUUCACCCAGUUGACAAUGGAUUGCUCAAAUGCGGGAGCUAUUUCUCGCAUUCAGCGAGCCAAAAGAUUUCUCUCGCUGAAGGAUUCCGACUAGGCUAUCGCGCCGGCCCACUAUCGCACAACAAAAUAGAAAACCCUAUCAAGAAAACGAGGGCGCAAGCAAACUUGGCCAAAAUGGGCCGGCCCGGCCCGGCCUGGGUCCAACGAGCCAGGCAUGCUAAGUACGCGUGCCGGCCUCUUUGGCCCAGGCACGACCCCUUCACUACAUGGGUCGGCACGUCGGCCGGUUUGUCCUGAGUAGGCACGUCGAGGCAUCUAUCGUUAUUGCCUCAUUGGCAUUGCUGAAGAAAAAAUGAUGGUUGGCGUCUACAGGAAUAAUGAAUAAAGAAUUGCAGUGCGCUCUUGAGCUUGUGUCGCGCUAAAGGCACAUCGAUUUGCAGGAAUAAGGUUACAAAAAAAAGAUUUGCAGGAAUAAAGAAUUGCAGGCAGGCACGUCCCCCUGGUCCCUGCCUGGCUGCCUCCCUGUCCCUGGUAUACGUAGUUUUUUUUUUGUUGAGAAAUUGGUAUACGUAGGUAGCAGUAGGUUUUGCUCAAGAGAAAAUGUGCUAGUCGUGCCGUGCCGGGCUGGCAAGGCAGCCCAGGCACGACCUAGCCGAGCCACGUGCCAGGCACGGCCCACUAAGUCGCGUGCCAUGCCGGGCCGGGCACAUGGGCUAUCGUGCCGGCCCGACAAUACCGGCCCAUUUGGCCAGGUUUGGGCGUGAGGGGGAAUCGAACCGUGGUUUUACGAACGAGCAUAGAGCCGGUAGCCACUGCACCACUUAUGACUUCAUGUAAAAUACACACUACUUGAUGUAAAAUACCAGAGGUUUUUUUAUUUCUUCAUUUUUCCUUUCUUUCGUUUCUUUGGUUUUUUGUUUGGUCUUCUUAUUUUUCUCCGGUUUUGUUUUAUUCAUCAUUAUAAUUCGAUUUUCUCAAUUUUUUUGCUUUUUUCAUUUCAUUUUUCUGUUUUCAAUUUUUUUUCUUCUCUGUUUUUUGUUUUGUUUUCCUUUUUUAUUCUCGAUUUUUUGUUUUCCUUUGGUGCUUUCUUAUGUUGUAAUUUUCACUCUACACUUACACACAUGUCAAAAACAUUUUUUGUAACAAGUGAUCAACAUUUUCUGUGUACAAGUUCAACAUUGUCCCAAUGCUAUUUCAACAUUUUUCAAAUACUUGUUCAACAUUUUUAAUAGUUAUUCAAUAUUUUAUCAUAUACUUGUUCAACAUUUUUAAUACUUACUCAACAUUUUCAAAUACUUGUUAAACAUUUUUAUAUACCCAUUCAACAUUUUAAUACCUUUUUCAACAUUUUUAAUAGCUAUAUGAAUGAGUCUUAAAAGGAGAAAUCAAUGGCUCACAAAUCGACCGAGCCAAAUUCAUUUUUCAGGUGACUUGCAUAUAGCUGAACUAAAGUGAGAGUUUGCAGAUUUUAUUGUGUAAUAAGAAUUUCUUUAUGGCACAAUAGUUUUUUGAGUUUUGGGGAUUUUUCACUUGAUGAAUGUUUGUGGCCGCUUCGUAGUGUCUACUAUGUCGUAUUCGUUUCACAAUGUGUACAUUUUUUUUGAGGGGUUCACAAUUUGUACAUUUUUUAGGGGUACAAUUUGUACAUUUUUUUUGAGCAUGGUACAAUUUGUACAUAGGAGUAUUUGUUUUCACUUCCCGUAGAAGAUAGUAUGAAAACAAGACAAACAUGGCAGACAUGAGCUCAGACAUGCAUUAUGCCCCCACAAGGAACGAGGAAGCAUCCGAUCAACGGUUAAUAAGAAUCAAAAGCUUUGCUCUGAAGCCAGGUCUGACAAGAUUGAAGCAAGGUCCCAGAAGAUUGAUGCGGCAUCCAAGGUGGUGAUAGAUGCGGCGUUGGACAAGAUUGAUGCAUCAUCCAAGGUGGUGAUAGAUGCGGCGUUGGACAAGAUCGACGAUGCAUCCAAGGUGGUGAUAGAUGGGCGUUAGAGAAGAUUGAUGCCGCAUCCAAGGUGAUGAUCAAUGCAUCAUCCAUGGUGAUGAUAGAUUCGGCGUUGGAGAAGAUCAAUGCAUCAUCCAAGGUAAUGAUAGAUUCAGCAUUGGAGAAGAUCAAUGCAUCAUCCAAAGUGAUGAUAGAUUCGGCGUUGGAGAAGAUCAAUGCAUCAUCCAAGGUAAUGAUAGAUUCGGCAUCCAAGGUGAUGAUAGAUUCGGCGUUGGAGAAGAUCAAUGCGUCAUCCAAGGUAAUGAUAGAUUCGGCAUCCAAGGUGAUGAUAGAUUCGGUGUUGAAGAAGAUCAAUGCAUCAUCCAAGGUAAUGAUAGAUUCAGCGUUAGAGAAGAUCGGCGUUGAACAUUUUUUAAAAACAUGAACAUUUUUUAAAACACUGACAUUUUUUGAAAUUAUGAGCAAAAUUUAAAACAAGAACAUAUUUUGAAAUUCCUGAAAUACUUUAUGAAACACGAACAGUUCUUGAAAUUGUGAACAAAAUUUGGAAGCAGGAACAUUUUAUGAAAUUUCUGAACAUUUUUUGAAAUUGAGAGCAAAUUUUGAAAACAAGAGCAUGUUAUAAAAUUCCGAAUAAAUAUUUGAAAUUCUCAAACAAAAGAAACAUGACUAAAGAAAAAACGAAAGAAUAAAGAAAAGAAAAAAAAAAGAGAAAGAAAAGAAGAUGGUGGAUAAACCAGAUCUGGUGGUCUACUCGGAUAGAAGAUGGGGUCGUCCACGCGUCCUUUGGUCACGUUUCCUCUUUGGAACCAGUAGCGGUAACUGCUCCAGGGCGUUGGUUUGUCCAUAGGUGGAAUACUUCUCGGCCGCAAGAUAGAAAGUCAGGCUGGCUCUCGAGAGGAACAGCAGCGGCACCGGCGCGCCAUCCCCUCGUCCCCAAGAUUGUUGUCGGAGUUUACCCCAAAGGCUUGUUUUGUGAUUUGUUGUUUGUUUGGGUUGUUUUUUGUAAUGUUGGUUCCUUUAAUUUAUUGAGCUUAGGCUCUUCAGCAUAAAAAAACGACAAUUAAUAUGUUCUCCCUCCGUCUCGAAAUGUAAGAUGGUUUUUGGUACUAUGAUAGUGUCGAAAACCGUCGUCUUAUAUAUGUAUUGACCCCUUCUUUAAAUUAGAUCUGGCAGAUGCAGGAUGAACUCCUACCACAUGAUCGCAUACGAGCAAUUCAAGAGGAAUUGGCGGGAUUCUUUCUUGACCACGUCAUACCUGAACAAGGAGAAUACCAUGUGAAAUUGAAAUUGUUGUAAGGGAUGUUAUAUAUUGUACAUUUGUAGCAGCGUCACCAAGCACGAAGAAAGAGAUGUCACUUCUCUCUAUAUAUGUUCAUGGCGAUCUUGUGUAAUUAAUGGUUUCCUUUAUUUGCUUACUAGCUAGCGUCGAGUUCUCUCUAUAUGUGUAGUAGCUAGAGUCGACCAAGCACGAAAAAAGAGAGGUCACUUCUCUCUAUUAGCUCGCUAACACAAUAUGAAACCCCUAAAUUAACCCUCCAAAACUCCCAAACCCCCCCUUCCAAAAAAACAAAACCCCCAGCGACUGCGAGCUGCUGACGCGUGGCCGCCUUUUGGUCCCAGCUGGUGUUACCAACCGGGACUAAAGGUCCUCCCUCCCCCGCCCCAGGCAGCGCCACGUGGAGGGCCUUUGGUCCCGGUUCAAAAGCAAACCGGGACUAAAGGUUUUGGCUAUUAGUCCCGACCCUUUAGUCCCGGUUCCAGAACCGGGACAAAUGGCCCUCUGGAACCGGAAAAAAUGGCCCUUUUUCUACUAGUGAAUUCUCAUAGGAGAUACUUUCAGAUAGACAUAAUCUCCUACUUCGAAAAUUAAUUCUCUUCUUCGAUUAUCUGCAUAGCUCUUCUGACGAGUUUGUGCCACUCUCAAGUUCUCUCUAAUCAACCUGACUUGUUCCUCGACAUUCCUGAGCACAUCUAGUCCAAAGACUUAACUUUCACCCAUUUGAUUCCAGAACAACGGUGUUUUACACUUACGUCCAUACAAUGCUUCAAAGGGUGCCAUCUUUAGACUAUUCUGGUGACUGUUGUUGUAAGAGAACUCCGCAUACGGUAAACUUUUAUCCCAACUAGUACCAUACUGCAAUGCACAAGCUCUCAACAUAUCUUCAAGAAUCUGAUUGAGCCUUUUUGUCUGUCCAUCAGUCUGAGGAUGAUGUGCCGUACUGAAAUUCAACUUUGUUCCCAAAGAUUUAUGCACUUCCUGCCAAAAGAUGGAUGUGAACUGCGUACCUCUAUCAGACACAAUCUACUUAGGAAAUCCAUGCUGACAUAUUAUUCUUUCCAUGUAUAGAUCUGCCAAUUUUGCCCCGCUAUAAGUAGUCUUGACAGGCAAAAAGUGAGCGACUUUAGUGAGACAUUCCACUAUUACCCAUAUAGAAUCAUAACCUUGUUAAGUAUGUGGUAAUCCCACUAUAAAGUCCAUUCCGACUUCUUCCCAUUUCCACUCAGGAAUCUUCAUUGGUUGCAACAAACUAGCGGGUCUCUGAUGCUCAGUAUUUACCCUCUGACAAGUGUCACAUAUAGCUACAUACUCAGCCACAUCUCUUUUUAAUCCAUACCAGCAGUACUUCUCCUUAAGAUUUAGAUACAACUUAGUACUUCUAGGAUGAAUAGAAUAGGCUGACUCAUGUGCUUCACGCAAAAUUGUAUCAUGAAUGGCUUUCACCUGAGGAACACAUAUCCUUUUUCCAAACCAUAAGGUUCCAUUCUCAUCUAUUCUGAAGCCAGGUGCUUUACCAAUCACCACAUUCUCAGCUAUCUCCUUUAACUUUUCAUCUUCUAGCUGACCCUUACGUAUUUCUUGCUCCAACGUAGGAAUCCAUUUUAUCUCCAUAGCACUAGCAACAACACCAAGGUUCAGAUGUUGCAACCCCGCAUACAACUCUUCUGCCUCUGGUCUCAACUUAUGAUUGUUGUCAUAUUUCUUCCUACUGAGAGCAUCAGCUACUACAUUCGCCUUACCUAGAUGAUAAUGUGCCUCCGGUUCAUAAUCCUUGAUUAACUCUAGCCAGCGACGUUGUCUUAAAUUCAUACCUGUCUGAGUGAAUAUAUACUUCAAGCUCUUAUGAUCGGUGUAGAUAUCACUCUUGUGACCAAUCAGAUAGUGUCUCCAGAUCUUCAAUGCAUGUACCACAGCUGCUAACUCCAGAUCAUGAGUAGGAUAAUUUAACUCAUGCUUCCUCAACUGUCUUGAUGCAUGCGUUGGUGGUGGUAACCUCAUGUCCGCUUGCACCGUGUUCGAUGAAACACCAAGGAGGGUCAAAAGCUUCAAACUGCAUCGGAGUCGCUCGGAGUAGCAGCGGGUACACGCUGGAGUGCUGGAUGUGAUGCUUGGCCUGAAGGAAAUAUGCCCUAGAGGCAAUAAUAAAGUUAUUAUUUAUUUCCUUAUUUCAUGAUAAAUGUUUAUUAUUCAUGCUAGAAUUGUAUCAACCGGAAACAUAAUACUUGUGUGAAUACAUAGACAAACUAAACGUCACUAGUAUGCCUCUACUUGACUAGCUCGUUGAUCAAGGAUGGUUAUGUUUCCUAACCAUAGACAUGUGUUGUCAUUUGAUUAACGGGAUCACAUCAUUAGGAGAAUGAUGUGAUUGACAUGACCCAUUCCAUUAGCUUAGCACCCGAUCGUUUAGUAUGUUGCUAUUGCUUUCUUCAUGACUUAUACAUGUUCCUAUGACUAUGAGAUUAUGCAACUCUCCCGUUUGCCGGAGGAACACUAUGUGUGCUACCAAACGUCACAAUGUAACUGGGUGAUUAUAAAGGUGCUCUACAGGUGUCUCCAAAGGUACAUGUUGGGUUGGUGUAUUUCGAGAUUAGGAUUUGUCACUUCGAUUGUCAGAGAGGUAUCUCUGGGCCCUCUCGGUAAUGCACAUCACUUAAGCCUUGCAAGGAAUGCAAUAAUGAGUUAGUUGCGAGAUGAUGUAUUACGGAACGAGUAAAGAGACUUGCCGGUAACGAGAUUGAACUAGGUAUUGAGAUACCGAUGAUCAAAUCUCGGGCAAGUAACAUACCGAUGACAAAGGGAACAACGUAUGUUGUUAUGCGGUCUGACCAAUAAAGAUCUUCAUAGAAUAUGUGGGAGCCAAUAUGAGCAUCCAGGUUCCGCUAUUGGUUAUUGACCAGAGACGUGUCUCAGUCAUGUCUACAUUGUUCUCGAACCCGUAGGGUCCGCGCGCUUAACGUUACGAUGACAGUUUCAUUAUGAGUUUAUAUAUUUUGAUGUACCGAAGGUUGUUCGGAGUCCCGGAUGUGAUCACGGACAUGACGAGGAGUCUCGAAAUGGUCGAGACAUAAAGAUCUAUAUACUGGACGGCUAUAUUCGGACACCGGAAACGUUCCGGGUGAUUUCGGAGAAAACCGGAGUGCCGGAAGGGUUACCGGAACCCCCCGGGGAAGUAUGGGGCCUUAGUGGGCCUAAGGGGAGAGAGAUGGCAGCAGCCCAGGAGGUGGCGCGCCCCCUCCCAUGGGGAGUCCAAAUUGGACUAGGGGAAGGGGGCGCGGCCCCUCUUUCCUCUCCCUCUCCCUCUCUUUCCUUCCCCCUUCUCUCUUCUUAGUUGGACUAGGAAAGGGGAGUCCUACUCCUACUAGGAGGAGGACUCCUCCCUCCUUGGCGCGCCCCAAGGGCCGGCCGGCCUCCCCCCUUGCUCCUUUAUAUACGGGGGCAGGGGGGCACCUCUAGACACACAAGUUGAUAUUCGUGAUCGUUCUCUUAGCCGUGUGCGGUGCCCCCCUCCACCAUACUCCUCGAUAAUAUUGUAGCGGUGCUUAGGCGAAGCCCUGCUACGGUAGAACAUCAAGAUCGUCAUCAUGCCGUCGUGCUGACAGAACUCUUCCCCGACACUUUGCUGGACCGGAGUCCGGGGUCGUCAUCGAGCUGAACGUGUGCUAGAACUGGGAGGUGCCGUAGUUUCGGUGCUUGAUCGGCCGGGUUGCGAAGACGUAUGACUACAUCAACCGCGCAUAACGCUUCCGCUUUCGGUCUACGAGGGUACGUGGACAAUACUCUCCCCUCUCGUUUCUAUGCAUCACCAUGAUCUUGCGUGUGCGUAGGAAUUUUUUUGAAAUUACUACGUUACCCAAUAGUGGCAUCCGAGCCUAGGUUUUAUGUGUUGAUGUGAUAUGCACGAGUAGAACACAAGUGAGUUGUGGGCGAUAUAAGUCAUACUGCUUACCAGCAUAUCAUACUUUGGUUCGGCGGUAUUGUUGGAUGAAGUGGCCUGGACCGACAUUACGCUUACGCUUACGCGAGACUGGUUCUACCGACGUGCUUUGCACGCAGGUGGCUGGCGGGUGCCAGUUUCUCCAACUUUAGUUUAACGGAGUGUGGCUACGCCCGGUCCUUGCGAAGGUUAAAACAGCACCAACUUGACAAAGUAUCGUUGUGGUUUUGAUGCGUAGGUAAGAUUGGUUCUUGCUUAAGCCCGUAGCAGCCACGUAAAACUUGCAACAAACAAAGUAGAGGACGUCUAACUUGUUUUUGCAGGGCAUGUUGUGAUGUGAUAUGGUCAAGACAUGAUGCUAAAUUUUAUUGUAUGAGAUGAUCAUGUUUUGUAACCGAGUGAUCGGCAACUGGCAGGAGCCAUAUGGUUGUCGCUUUAUUGUAUGCAAUGCAAUCGCCCUGUAAUGCUUUACUUUAUCACUAAGCGGUAGCAAUAGUCGUAGAAGCAUAAGAUUGGCGAGACGACAACGAUGCUAUGAUGGAGAUCAAGGUGUCACGCCUGUGACGAUGGUGAUCAUGACGAUGCUUCGGAAAUGGAGAUCACAAGCACAAGAUGAUGAUGGCCAUAUCAUAUCACUUAUAUUGAUUGCAUGUGAUGUUUAUCUUUUAUGCAUCUUAUCUUGCUUUGAUUGACGGUAGCAUUAUAAGAUGAUCUCUCACUAAAUUUCAAGAUAAAAGUGUUCUCCCUGAGUAUACAUCGUUGCCAAAGUUCGUCGUGCCCAGACACCACGUGAUGAUCGGGUGUGAUAAGCUCUACGUCCAUCUACAACGGGUGCAAGCCAGUUUUGCACACGCAAAAUACUCAGGUUAAACUUGACGAGCCUAGCAUAUGCAGAUAUGGCCUCGGAACACUGAGACCGAAAGGUCGAGCGUGAAUCAUAUAGUAGAUAUGAUCAACAUAGUGAUGUUCACCAUUGAAAACUACUCCAUUUCACGUGAUGAUCGGUUAUGGUUUAGUUGAUUUGGAUCAUGUGAUCACUUAGAAGAUUAGAGGGAUGUCUUUCUAAGUGGGAGUUCUUAAGUAAUAUGAUUAAAUUGAACUUAAAUUUAUCAUGAACUUAGUCCUGGUAGUAUUAGCAUAUCUAUGUUGUAGAUCAAUAGCUCGCGUUGUUGCUUCCCUGUGUUUAAUUUUGAUAUGUUCCUAGAGAAAAUUGUGUUGAAAGAUGUUAGUAGCAAUGAUGCGGAUUGGAUCCGUGAUCUGAGGUUUAUCCUCAUUGCUGCAUAGAAGAAUUAUGUCCUUGAUGCACCGCUAGGUGACGGACCUAUUGCAGGAGCAGAUGUAGACAUUAUGAACGUUUGGCUAGCUCAAUAUGAUGACUACUUGAUAGUUUAGUGCACCAUGCUUAACGGCUUAGAAUUGGGACUUCAAAGACAUUUUGAACGUCAUGGACCAUAUGAGAUGUUCCAGGAGUUGAAGUUAAUAUUUCAAGCAAAUACCCGAGUUGAGAGAUAUGAAGUCUCCAACAAGUUAUAUAGCUAAAAGAUGGAGGAGAAUCGCUCAACUAGUGAGCAUGUGCUCAGAUUGUCUGGUACUACAAUCGCUUGAAUCAAGUGGGAGUUAAUCUUCCAGAUAAGAUAGUGAUUGACAGAAUUCUCUGGUCACCAUCACCAAGUUAGUAGAACUUUGUGAUGAGCUAUAGUAUGCAAGGGAUGACGAAAACGACUCCCGAGCUUUUCAUGAUGAUGAAAUCGAUGAAGGUAGAAAUCAAAAAAAAGGAGCAUCAAGUGUUGAUGGUUGACAAGAUCACUAGUUUCAAGAAAAGGGCAAAGGGAAAAAGGGGAACUUCAAGAAGAACAGCAAGCAAGUUGUUGCUCAAGUGAAGAAGCCCAAGUCUGGUCCUAAGCCUGAGACUAAGUGCUUCUACUGCAAAGGGACUGGUCACUGGAAGCAGAACUACCCCAAGUGAUUGGCGGAUAAGAAGGAUGGCAAAGUGAACAUAAGUAUAUUUGAUAUACAUGUUAUUGAUGUGUACUUUACAAGUGUUUCUAGCAACCCCUCAGUAUUUGAUACUAGUUCAGUUGCUAAGAUUAGUAACUCGAAAUGGGAGUUGCAGAAUAAACAGAGACUAGUUAAGGGUGAAGUGACGAUGUGUGUUGGAAGUGGUUCCAAGAUUAAUAUGAUCAUCAUCGCACACUUCCUAUACUUUCGGGAUUAGUGUUGAACCUAAAUAAGUGUUAUUUGGUGUUUGCGUUGAGUAUGAAUAUGAUUUGAUCAUGUUUAUUGUAAUACGGUUAUUCAUUUAAGUAAGAGAAUAAAUUGUUGUUCUGUUUACAUGAAUAAAACCUUAUAUGGUUACACACCCAAUGAAAAUGGUUCAUUGGAUCUCAAUCAUAGUGAUACACAUAUUCAUAAUAUUGAAACCAAAAGAUGCAAAGUUAAUAAUGAUAGUGCAACUUAUUUGUGGCACUGCCGUUUAGGUCAUAUUGGUGUAAAGCGCAUGAAGAAACUCCAUGCUGAUGGGAUUUUGGAAUCACUUGAUUAUGAAUCACUUGGUGCUUGCGAACCAUGUCUUAUGGGCAAGAUGACUAAAGACUCCGUUCUCCGGAACAAUGGAGCGAGCAACUGACUUAUUGGAAAUAAUACAUACUGAUGUAUGCGAUCCGAUGAGUGUUGAAGAUCGAGGCGGGUAUCGUUAUUUUCUGACCUUCACAGAUGAUUUAAGUAGAUAUGGGUAUAUCUACUUGAUGAAACAUAAGUCUGAAACAUUUGAACAGUUCAAAGAAUUUCAUAGUGAAGUGGAAAAUCAUCAUGACAAGAAGAUAAGGUUUCUAUGAUCUGAUCGCGGAGACGAAUAUUUGAGUUACGAGUUUGGUCUUCAAUUAAAACAAUGUGGAAUAGUUUCACAAAUUCAUGCCACCUGGAACACCACAGCAUAAUGGUGUGUCCGAACGUCAUAACCGUAUUUUAUUGGAUAUAGUGCAAUCUAUGAUGUUUCUUACCGAUUUACCACUAUAGUUUUGGGGUUAUGCAUUAGAGACAGUUGCAUUCACGUUAAAAAAGGGCACCAUCUAAAUCCGCUGAGACGACACCGUAUGAACUGUGGUUUGGCAAGAAACCAAAGUUGUCGUUUCUUAAUGUUUGGGGUUGCGAUGCUUAUAUGAAAAAGUGUCAUCCUGAUAAGCUCAAACCCAAAUCGGAGAAGUGCAUCUUCAUAGGAUACCCAAAAGAAAAUGUUGGGUACACCUUCUAUCACAGAUCCGAAGGCAAGAUAUUCGUUGCUGAGAAUGGAUCCUUUCCAGAGAAGGAGUUUCUCUCGAAAGAAGUGAGUGGGAGGAAAGUAGAGAACUUGAUAAGGUAAUUGUACCUUCUCCCUUAUUGGAAAGUAGUUCAUCACAGAAAUCUGUUCUUGUGACUACUACACCAAUUAGUGAGGAAGCUAAUGAUGAUGAUCAUGUAACUUCAGAUCAAGUUACUACCGAAUCUCGUAGGUAAACCAGAGUGAGAUCCGCACCAGAGUGGUACGGUAAUCCUGUUCUGGAAGUCAUGUUACUAGACCAUGACGAACUUGCGAACUAUGAGGAAGUGAUGAUGAGCCCAGAUUCCGCGAAAUGGUUUGAGGCCAUGAAAUCUGAGAUAUGAUCCAUGUAUGAGAACAAAGUAUGGACUUUGAUUGAUUUGCCCGAUGAUCGGGAAGCCAUAGAAAAUAAAUGGAUCUUCAAGAGGAAGACGGACGCUGAUAGUAGUGUUACUAUCUACAAAGCUAGACUUGUCGAAAAAGGUUUUUGACAAAGUUCAAGGUGUUGACUACGAUGAGAGUUUCUCACUCGUAUCUAUGCUUAAGUCUGUCCGAAUCAUGUUAGCAAUUGCCGCAUUUUAAGAAAUCUGGCAAAUGGAUAACAAAACUGCAAUCCUUAAUGGAUUUCUUAAAGAAGAGUUGUAUAUGAUGCAACCAGAAGGUUUUGUCAAUCCUAAAGGUGCUAACAAAAUAUGCAAACUCCAGCAAUCCAUCUAUGGACUGGUGCAAGCAUCUCAGAGUUGGAAUAUACGCUUUGAUAAGUUGAUCAAAGCAUAUAGUUUUAUAUAGACUUACGAUGAAGCCUGUAUUUACAAGAAAGUGAGUGGGAGCACUACAACAUUUCUGAUAAGUAUAUGUGAAUGACAUAUUGUUGAUCGGAAAUAAUGUAGAAUUAUUCUGCAAAGUACAAAGGAGUGUUUGAAAGGAGUUUUUUCAAAGAAAGACCUCGGUGAAGCUACUUACAUAUUGAGCAUCAAGAUCUAUAGAGAUAGAUCAAGACGCUUGAUAAGUUUUUACAAUGAGUACAUACCUUGACAAGAUUUUGAAGUAAGUUCAAAAUGGAACAGUCAAAGAAAGAGUUCUUGCCUGUGUAACAAGGUGUGAAAUUGAGUAAGACUCAAAGCCCGACCACGACGGAAGAUAGAAAGGGAGUGAAAGUCAUUCCCUAUGCCUCAAUCAUAGGUUCUAUAAAGUAUGUCAUGCUGUGUACCUAUUGUAUACCCUACACUGAUUUUGGCAAGGGAGUACAAUAGUGAUCUAGGAGUAGAUCACUGGACAGCGGUCAAAAUUAUCCUUAGUUGAAUAAGGAUAUGUUUCUCUAUUAUGGUGGUGACAAAAAGGUUCGUCGUAAAGAGUUAUGUCGAUGCAAGCUUUGACACAGAUCUGGAUGACUCUAAGUCUCGAUCUAGAUACAUAAUGAAAGUGGGAGCAAUUAGCUAGAGUAGCUCCGUGCAGAGCAUUGUUGACAUAGAUAUUUGCAAAAUACUUACGGAUCUGAAUAUGACAGACCCGUUGACUAAAAUUAUCUCACAAGCAAAACAUAAUCACACCUUAGUACUCUUUGGGUGUUAAUCACAUAGCGAUGUGAACUAGAUUACUGACUCUAGUAAAACCUUUGGGUGUUGGUCACAUAUCGAUGUGAACUAUGGGUGUUAACCACAUAAAGAUGUGAACUAUUGAUGUUAGAUCACAUGGCGAUGUGAACUAGAUUAUUGACUCUAGUGCAAGUGGGAGACUGAAGGAAAUAUGCCCUAGAGGCAAUAAUAAAGUUAUUAUUUAUUUCCUUAUUUCAUGAUAAAUGUUUAUUAUUCAUGCUAGAAUUGUAUUAAACGGAAACAUAAUACUUGUGUGAAUACAUAGACAAACUAAACGUCACUAGUAUGCCUCUACUUGACUAGCUCAUUGAUCGAAGAUGGUUAUGUUUCCUAACCAUAGACAUGUGUUGUCAUUUGAUUAACAGGAUCACAUUAUUAGGAGAAUGAUGUGAUUGACAUGACCCAUUCCAUUAGCUUAGCACCCGAUCGUUUAGUAUGUUGCUAUUGCUUUCUUCAUGACUUAUACCUGUUCCUAUGACUAUGAGAUUAUGCAACUCCCGUUUGCCGGAGGAACACUUUGUGUGCUACCAAACGUCACAACGUAACUGGGUGAUUAUAAAGGUGCUCUACAGGUGUCUCCAAAGGUACAUGUUGGGUUGGCGUAUUUCAAGAUUAGGAUUUGUCACUCCGAUUGUCGGAGAGGUAUCUCUGGGCCCUCUCGGUAAUGCACAUCACUUAAGCCUUGCAAGCAAUGCAACUAAUGAGUUAGUUGCGAGAUGAUGUAUUACGGAACGAGUAAAGAGACUUGUCGGUAACGAGAUUGAACUAGGUAUUGAGAUACCGACGAUCGAAUCUCGGGCAAGUAACAUACCGAUGACGAAGGGAACAACGUAUGUUGUUAUGUGGUCUGACCGAUAAAGAUCUUCGUAGAAUAUGUGGGAGCCAAUAUGAGCAUCCAGGUUCCGCUAUUGGUUAUUGACCGGAGACGUGUCUCGGUCAUGUCUACAUUGUUCUCGAACCCGUACGGUCCGCACGCUUAACGUUACGAUGACAGUUUCAUUAUGAGUUUAUAUAUUUUGAUGUACCGAAGGUUGUUCGGAUUCCCGGAUGUGAUCACGGACAUGACGAGGAGUCUCAAAAUGGUCGAGAAAUAAAGAUCGAUAUAUUGGACGGCUAUAUUCGGACACCGGAAGCGUUCCGGGUGAUUUCGGAGAAAACCGGAGUGCCGAAAUGGUUACCGGAACCCCCCGGGGAAGUAUUGGGCCUUUGUGGGCCUAAGGGGAGAGAGAGGGAAGCAGCCCAGGAGGUGGCGCGCCCCCUCCCAUGGGGAGCCCGAAUUGGACUAGGGGAAGGGGGCGCGGCCCCUCUUUCCUCUCCCUCUCCCUCUCUUUCCUUCCCCCUUCUCUCUUCCUAGUUGGACUAGGAAAGGGGAGUCCUACUCCUACUAGGAGGAGGACUCCCCCCUCCUUGGCGCGCCCCAAGGGCCGGCCGGCCUCCCCCUUGCUCCUUUAUUUACGGGGGCAGGGGGCACCUCUAGACACACAAGUUGAUCUUUGUGAUCGUUCUCUUAGCUGUGUGCGGUGCCCCCCUCCACCAUACUCCUCGAUAAUAUUGUAGCGGUGCUUAGGCGAAGCCCUGCUACGGUAGAACAUCAAGAUCGUCACCACGCCGUCGUGCUGACAGAACUCUUCCCCGACACUUUGCUGGAUCGGAGUCCGGGGAUUGUCAUCGAGCUGAACGUGUGCUAGAACUCGGAGGUGCCGUAGUUUCGGUGCUUGAUCGGUCGGGUCACGAAGACGUACGACUACAUCAACCGCGUUGUCAUAACGCUUCCGCUUUCGGUCUACGAGGGUACGUGGACAACACUCUCCCCUCUCGUUGCUAUGCAUCACCAUGAUCUUGCGUGUGCGUAGAAAAGUUUUUUAAAAUUACUACGUUACCCAACAUGGCCAUCUCCAACUCACGAGCGUGCAAGAGAGAAAUCAUGAGACAGUAAUGAUUUAAUUUGGUUUUGCAAUGUUUUUAUUUUAAAAAUAGUUGGUUUAUCUUUGUAAAAUAGUUAUUUACAUGAGAAUUAUUGAACAAAAUAGUUUUUAAAGAGAAAUUUGCAUUCAAAAAGUCUUCAUUCGUAACCAAGCUACGAGUUCACAUUUGCUCUUUUUCCGCGUUUGAAAAUUGAUUGCAGUUUUACUUAACAAAGCAAAAAAAUUGUUCAUUUUUACCACAGCAAAAAGAAAAGAAAUAUCAGGGUGUUUUCUUUUUUUCAUUACUAGCCUUUUUAUUCAUCUUUUUGGGCUGUUAGGGGCUGGGAAGGUGUUCAGGCUAGGGCUUUUAUCAUUCCGAACGAGUGGGUUCGACCGUUACCCCUCCCAUACCGAACGAAACAUUCGAUCUGGGGUGCUCCCAAACCCCAUAUCGGGUCCUAAAUUUAAAUAUAUUUUUUGCCAUCGCAAUCCUCAAUUGGCAUGGCAAAUUUUAGCUAAAUAUAAUGGCAAAUUUUCACUUUUAUUGCCAUGGCAUUUCUUAAUCUUUUUUAUUUUCCAUGGCAAUUUUACAAAUUUUCAUGCCAAAAUUACCUAUAUCUAAAUGGAAAAUAUUUAACUAUUAUUGCCAUGGAACUUUCACAUUUAUUUGCUUACCAAUACUGCCUUGGAAAAUUUACUUAAACCGCCUUGGUAAUUUUUACUCUUUAUUUUCCAUUGGCUAAAUUAUCUAUAUCAACAUGGGAACAUGGAAAAUUUCACUUUCAUCUUUUUUCAAGGGAUUUUUACUUACAAAGCAACUUGCCAUGACAUUUUUUCUGUGCCAUUGCGUCUUUUUGUCCAUGGCAAAAUCUAUUUUGUGAAAGACGAAUGUCAUUCUCUGGUUUGCAUCAAUGGGAUUUUUUAGUUCUCAAUUUCCCCCUUUUUAAUGGCAAUUUUUUUUUGCAUAGCAUAGCAAAGUCUGGUCUUUAUUUCACAAGCUUAAAAUAUGUCUUUUAGUCACAGUACAAACUGGGCCAUAUUGGGCUCUGUGCUUUUACCCCUCUUGAUAACCCCUCUUGCCCUCCCUCCUAUAUCAUAAAAGCCGCCCGCACUCCAUCGCCUCGCCGCCGUUCCCCGCAACCCCCUGUCCUCUGUCGACCCAAUCUCACAUCGAUCACCCGGUGCUUCGUCCUCCUCUCCAGAUCAAAUCUUACGCCCGCUCGCCCGAGGUGAGCACAUGCUUGUACAUCCCGAUCAGCCUGGAGUUCCGAUUGGUUGGUAGGCGCUGGUUCGUAGGUCUCGGAUCCAGCCAGCGUGGUCUCCCUCCGCCUCCGGAGUUGCUCGUUCCGAUUGUGGUUGGUAGGCGCGGCGCGGCGCCGUCUUGUAUCCUGCCUGCCUCUGGCUUUGAGUAUUCAUUCGUAUGAGGAGGAACCUCGACUAGGAUAGGAUUUAAUUAGUUAGGGUUUGUUUGUUUGGUAACACCACCUAGUUAGGGUUUGUUCGGUUAUCCGUAAUAAGGAAUCAAUCUGACGUUUUAGGGUUUAGGGUUUGCUUGGUUGUGGUCAGAUUUUGGUUUCUCAAAAGGUGUAUGAAUUCUUCAACUGUGCCUGUACAGGAUAGCUGGAUAAGGUAUUAAUUUGGAUGGAAUUCAUGCUAUGUUGUUCGAUUUCAGUUUAUGCCUGCCAGAAUGUUAAAUUUUUUGUUUUAUCAACUGUGUUUGAGCGUACUAGAUUUUUUGUUGCAUAUUCAUCUUCUUGCUCUGUUUGGAUAGGUAACAAUUAAUAUUUGGGAUCCUAAAAUAUCUAUGCACUGGCAGCACUUAACCUGCAGCUGCUGAUUAAUGUUGUAGUCAUAUGUGCUGCUUUCCAGCUCUCUUGUUUGGAUAGGUAUUUGGUUAUCGUUUGUAAAUGCUGGUUUGGUUUUCUGUGCUCACUAUGCCCUUGCACAUGGGAUGCAAUUUUUUUAUUUCCCUUCUGUUUAGUUUAUUGUUUCCUUUGAUGGUGAUGCAAUUUUGUUGCUCACACAAUAAUACAAUGAAUGAUGGCAUCUCUAUCUACUUUGAACCAAAAUAUAUUAUAUUCCCCCCUCUGUUAAUUAUUUUUCUGUUUUGGGUAUUCAUUCAUUUUGUUUAGUUGCCUAUCAGUAUAAAUACAUGGCUGGAUUGCUUUCACUUCAUAUUAAUAACUAUUCUGUCGCACAAUGCAAAUAUACAUAUGCUGUCCUAACUAAUUAAGUAGAAGCUUGGAUUGGUGCUGUAUGGUCUCUUCCUGACAUUAAGUCCUCCUCUGUUUGUGCUGUCUGUUUCUGCUGCUGCAGUCUUCUUCGCCGCCAAAAGGAAAUGAUGCUCUACAAAAUCCACUCCCAUGCCCAAAUCCAAGACCUGCAGGCCCGCUCCGAUGAGCUGGGCCACUCCAAUAAGUCCAUGCUUGUGAGUCUUGUCUCUCUGGAGUCGGUGCGCAUAGCGCGCGAGUCGUAUGCACUCCUCCGCCCGCUGAUCAUGGAGUCGAGGUCCUGGGAAUGCCCGCAGGUGGAUUCCCUCUCGGACGUGGCAGGCUUGUCGCUGGAAAUCCAAAAGCUCGAGCAUGAUGUGUUACCCCAGCUCAAGCUUCAGGAGGGUAAGCUGGAACGGGGUGCCCUGGAAGCCCUCCUACUCAUGAAGAACUCAGCAAGUAAGCUCUUACAUUCGAGGAAGUGCUUUGAGGAAGCCUUGGGCGUAUUGCUUGCCAAGGAGGAUCUGGUCUCAGCCAAAGUCAAAAGGCCGAGCAUGAUGCUAAACGAUACUGCUGUUCAUGUACUCAAAGCUAACAACACUCGCUUGUUUAAGGAGCUUGUCCAGCUGGUCACCGAUGUGUUGGAGACCCCGGUUCGUUUCUGUGAUACUCGUAAGCAUAAGUAUUCUGAUGAGUAGACUUAUCAGCCAGCUCGAGGCUGUUGUGAUGAGUAUUUCUUAGGGGCGUGGCAAACAGUUUAGAAUCAACCCUUUAUGUUUGGAUGUGUUAUUAAUGGAUUUUAAAUGAUAUGUAUCUUGGGUAGUGUUUUCUCAUUCUGUGCUAGUCGGGUACAACUUGCAAUUACUUUCAGUUUUUUUUUUUGAGAAAUACAGUCACAUGGAGGUAUUCGCUCUUUUUGGGAAUAUAUGCCAAAAGAAUAUAGUAUCUUAGAAAAGAAAUCCCAAAUAUAAGUCUUUUAAGAGGUUUCACUAAAAGACUACAUACGGAUGAAUAUAGGAACGUGGAUGGAUUCACUCAUUUUGCUCCGUAUAUAGUUUUCUACUAGUGAAAUUUCUUAAAAGACAUAUAUUUAGGAACGGGGGGAUCUGUGAGUGUCCAUGAUUAAAGCUUUGCAAAUACCAUAAACAAAACAUCACCUUGUACAUAUAAAGUGAUGAUUAUUUUUACACUAACCGGUUUGGCAAGUAGUACUUCCUUCGUAAAUAAAGAAACAUAAGAGUGUUUGGAUUAUCAUUUCUUUAGAGAGGGAGUAGUAUAUAUAUAGAAUUGAAUUAAUAAUCUCUACUCCUAAAGUAUCAGUUGGUCGUCUCUGUUCAUCGGUUAAUUUUCGUCCCACCAACACCGAUUUUUUUUCGUGCUCCCUCCCACCCAACCCCCGGGCCAUCGAACAAAAAAAAAAGGGUUGGCUUAGCUAUGCCCCACGAAGUCAAGGGGCCAAACAUCCGAUUGAAACAGAGAGAACCGGAUGAAAAAAAAUCUACGAAAAAAGACCUACGAAAUUAAACCAGCGAAAAAAAUGAAUCGCACGCAGGUAUACGAGCGAUUCCUCCUUCCUUCGAACCACUCGCACGCUCGAUCCCUUCGCCGCCGCCGCUCCAUCCCUUCGCCCCCACCGCUCGAUCCCUUCGCCGCCGCCCUCCCACAUCAAAGCCGCCACCGAUAUGCCCUGCCGGAUCUCGCCUCAGCCCCGCCGUCUUGUGAUCUGGAGUUCACAGCCUCUGCCGCCGAUAUCCUCGCACGCGUUAGGGUUCCUGCGCCGCCGCCACACAGGAGCUCGUCGACCAGCCCAGCGUGCUGCUGCUCCGCGCUCGCUUCCCUCGUCGGUCGCCUUUGGACCCCUCGCUUCAGACUCCGCGCCAAGCCGCCGCCUCUUUGCCGAGAAAGAGGGCUCCCGAUCUCCGCCGUGGUCGACCAUCAGCGCGAUUGGCAGAGCACCCAGCCCGUAGGCUCAUCCCCUUCUUGGAUCCACUCCGGCAGCGGCCAUCAUCGGUACGUUCCGCUCGUGAUAUAUUGGUGUAGGAUCAUCCCCUUCUCUUUAUCUAAAAAGGCUAUUCUACAUACGCCAAGGAGAAGAUGCUCACCUUCUCGCCCCUGUUGGAAAUAUGCCCUAGGGCAAUAAUAAAUUGGUUAUUAUUAUAUUUCCUUGUUCAUGAUAAUCGUUUAUUGUCCAUGCUAUAAUUGUAUUGAUAGGAAACAUAGAUACAUGUGUGGAUACAUAGACAACACCAUGUCCCUAGUAAGCCUCUAGUUGACUAGCUCGUUGAUCAAUAGAUGGUUACGGUUUCCUGACCAUGGACAUUGGAUGUCGUUGAUAACGGGAUCACAUCAUUAGGAGAAUCAUGUGAUGGACAAGACCCAAUCAUAAGCCUAGCACAAAGAUCGUGUAGUUCGUAUGCUAAAGCUUUUCUAAUGUCAAGUAUCAUUUCCUUAGACCAUGAGAUUGUGCAACUCCCGGAUACCGUAGGAAUGCUUUGGGUGUGCCAAACGUCACAACGUAACUGGGCGGCUAUAAAGGUACACUACGGGUAUCUCCGAAAGUGUCUGUUGGGUUGGCACGAAUCGAGACAGGGAUUUGUCACUCCGUGUGACGGACAGGUAUCUCUGGGCCCACUCGGUAGGACAUCAUCAUAUGCGCAAUGUGACCAAGGAGUUGAUCACGGGAUGAUGUGUUACGGAACGAGUAAAGAGACUUGCCGGUAACGAGAUUGAACAAGGUAUCGGAUACCGACGAUCGAAUCUCGGGCAAGUACAAUACCGCUAGACAAAGGGAAUUGAAUACGGGAUUGAUUAAAUCCUCGACGUCGUGGUUCAUCCGAUGAGAUCAUCGUGGAACAUGUGGGAGCCAACAUGGGUAUCAAGAUCCCGCUGUUGGUUAUUGACCGGAGAACGUCUCGGUCAUGUCUGCAUGAUUCCCGAACCCGUAGGGUCUACACACUUAAGGUUCGAUGACGCUAGGGUUAUAAAGGAAGUUUGUAUGUGUUUACCGAAUGUUGUUCGGAGUCCCGGAUGAGAUCCCGAACGUCACGAGGAGUUCCGGAAUGGUCCGGAGGUAAAGAUUUAUAUAUGGGAAGUCCUGUUUUGGUCACCGGAAAAGUUACGGGUUUUAUCGGUAACGUACCGGGACCAUCGGGAGGGUCCCGGGGGUCCACCAAGUGGGGCCACAAGCCCCAGAGGGUUGCAUGGGCCAAUUAUGGGAGGGGACCAGCCCCAGGUGGGCUGGUGCGCCCCCCCCCACAAGGGCCCAAGGCGCCUAAGGAGAGGAGAGGGGGCAAACCCUAAGGGCAGAUGGGCCUUAGGGCCCAUACCUGGUGCGCCUCCCUCUCCCCCUCCACCUGGCCGCCACCCAGAUGGGAUUGGGGCUGGCUGCCGCCCCUAGGGUGGAACCCUAGAGGGGGCGCAGCCCCCUCCCUCUCCCCUAUAUAUAGUUGAGGUCUUUGGGGCUGCCAACACAAGAGUUUUGACCUCUCCCUGGCGCAGCCCUGCAUCUCUCUUUCCUCCUCUCCCGCGGUGCUUGGCGAAGCCCUGCAGGAUUGCCACGCUCCUCCACCACCACCACGCCGUCGUGCUGCUAUUGGAUGGACUCUUCCUCAACCUCUCCCUCUCUCCUUACUGGAUCAAGGCGUGGGAGACAUCACCGGGCUGUACGUGUGUUGAACGCGGAGGUGCCGUCCGUUCGGCACUAGGAUCUCAGGUGAUUUGGAUCACGACGAGUACGACUCCUUCAACCCCGUUCUCUUGAACGCUUCCGCUUAGCGAUCUACAAGGGUAUGUAGGUGCACUCUCCUUCCCCUCGUUGCUGGUUUCUCCAUAGAUAGAUCUUGGUGACACGUAGGAAAAUUUUGAAUUUCUGCUAUAUUCCCCAACAGUGGCAUCAUGAGCUAGGUCUAUUGCGUAGAUUCUUUGCACGAGUAGAACACAAAGUAGUUGUGGGCGUUGAUUUUGUUCAAUAUGCUUACCAUUACUAGUCCAAUCUUGAUUUGGCGGCAUUGUGGGAUGAAGCGGCCCGGACCGACCUUACACGUACACUUACGUGAGACAGGUUCCACCGACUGACAUGCACUAGUUGCAUAAGGUGGCUAGAGGGUGCCAGUCUCUCCCACUUUAGUCGGAUCGGAUUCGAUGAAAAGGGUCCUUAUGAAGGGUAAAUAGCAAUUGACAUAUCACGUUGUGGUUUUGCGUAGGUAAGAACCGUUCUUGCUAGAAACCCAUAGCAGCCACGUAAAACAUGCAAACAACAAUUAGAGGACGUCUAACUUGUUUUUGCAGGGUAUGCCAUGUGAUGUGAUAUGGCCAAAAGGAUGUGAUGAAUGAUAUAUGUGAUGUAUGAGAUUGAUCAUGUUCUUGUAAUAGGAAUCACGACUUGCAUGUCGAUGAGUAUGACAACCGGCAGGAGCCAUAGGAGUUGUCUUAAUUUAUUUAUGACCUGCGUGUCAACAUAAACGUCAUGUAAUUACUUUACUUUAUUGCUAACCGUUAGCUAUAAUAGUAGAAGUAAUAGUUGGCGAGACAACUUCAUGAAGACACGAUGAUGGAGAUCAUGAUGAUGGAUAUCAUGGUGUCAUGCCGGUGACGAUGAUGAUCAUGGAGCCCCGAAGAUGGAGAUCAAAAGGAGCAAAGUGAUGAUGGCCAUAUCAUGUCACUAUUUGAUUGCAUGUGAUGUUUAUCAUGUUUUUGCAUCUUAUUUGCUUAGAACGACAGUAGUAAAUAAGAUGAUCCCUCAUUAAAAUUUCAAGAAAGUGUUCUCCCUAACUGUGCACCGUUGCGAAAGUUCGUCGUUUCGAAGCACCACGUGAUGAUCGGGUGUGAUAGAUUCUAACAUUCACAUACAACGGGUGUAAUACAGAUUUACACACGCGAAACACUUAGGUUGACUUGACGAGCCUAGCAUGUACAGACAUGGCCUCGGAACACAAGAGUCCGAAAGGUCGAGCAUGAGUCGUAUGGUAGAUACGAUCAACAUGAAGAUGUUCACCGAUGAUGACUAAUCCGUCUCACGUGAUGAUCGGACACGGCCUAGUUGACUCGGAUCAUGUAAUCACUUAGAUGACUAGAGGGAUGUCAUUUCUUUAGAGAGGGAGUAGUAUAUAUAUAGAAUUGAAUUAAUAAUCUCUACUCCUAAAGUAUCAGUUGGUCGUCUCUGUUCAUCGGUUAAUUUUCGUCCCACCAACACCGAUUUUUUUUCGUGCUCCCUCCCACCCAACCCCCGGGCCAUCGAACAAAAAAAAGGGCUCACUUAGCUAUGCCCCCACGAAGUCAAGGGGCCAAACCUCCGAUCGAAACAGAGAGAACCGGAUGAAAAAAACCUACGAAAAAAGAUCUAUGAAAUUAAACCAGCGAGAAAAACGAAUCGCACGCAGGUAUACGAGUGAUUCCUCCUUCCUUCGAACCACUCGCACGCUCGAUCCCUUCGCCGCCGCCGCUCCAUCCCCCACCGCUCGAUCCCUUCGCCGCCGCCCUCCCACAUCAAAGCCGCCACCGAUAUGCCCUGCCGGAUCUCGCCUCAGCCCCGCCGUCUUGUGAUCCGGAGUUCACAGCCUCUGCCGCCGAUAUCCUCGCACGCAUUAGGGUUCCUGCGCCGCCGCUACAUAGGAGCUCGUCGACCAGCCCAGCGUGCUGCUGCUCCGCGCUCGCUUCCCUCGUCGGUCGCCCUUGGACCCCUCGCUUCGGACUCCGCGCCAAGCCACCGCCUCUUCGCCGAGAAAGAGGGCUCCUGAUCUCCGCCGUGGUCGACCUGUUAGGUUGAUCUCUCCACCAAUGGGCCCAACGGCUCAUUGCGCCCUUGACCCACGCCCUGAUCGGGAGCGUCCAGCCCAAGCAAGGCUGGUGGGCCCCUAUCACGCAGUGCUAUAAAGAGGAGGUGGGGACCAGGGGCACAGGGUACGAGGUUCGUCGCCGCCACUGUUCCCCACUCCUAACCCUAAUCCGAUCCAGAGGGAGGCACUGAAGCGAUGGGAAGCGCCACCAGCCACUUCAUCGUCACCCUCUACACCAACCGUCGCUGCCCGUGCGCAGACCAUCACUGACGAACCAGCGAUGGCCGGAAGGCUAAGGUAGACACCCAAACAGAGAAGAUAUGCCACCGAUCUACUCCUAGUCGAUCCAGUAAGUCUAUCAAUGGUAUCAGGCCAUGUAGGCUAAGAAUUUUGGUACAAAGUGCAUACACAGAAAGAACAUCCCUCUCUCCCCACCCCUCCCCAAAGAACCCUAGCAGGGCAGAGACAAACAACAAAAAGAAAGCAAAAAGUUCACCGGCAGAGGGCCCAGGCCCCCGCCGGCAAAGUGCGCCGCCACUCCGGCCGCGCCAGUUCCUCUCGAUCCGAACGGGCAUCGGCUAGCCGAGCCGUCCGGACGAAGAACAACCCCGCAAGGGGCAAAGGGCACUGCGACCAAUCCGCUCGACAGCGGCGCGCUCACCGCAAGGUGGACGCGCAGCCGGCGAGGGGGAAGGCCACGGCGCCGCUGCCGUUCGCUCUGCCGUCGUCGAACUCGAAUGGGAGCAAAGGAGGCAGCAGGAUCUCUCUCUCUCUCGCCGGGGUGGUGGUGGAUGUAAAAAAGAGAACGGGAAAGGGAAGGGGGGGCUCGCGCAGCCGCAUCCCUCUCUGCCACUAGAUGCGGUGGACGGAGGGAGAAAAGGAAGAAGGAAUGAAAGGGGAAAAAGAAGGCAGCCAGGCUCGCGCGACGCAGCGCAGUGGUCGGUCGACACCGUUGCCGGCGUCCAGGGCACGGCACGGUGGCCCGGCGUUCGGGAUAGAGCGAGAGUCACGAGAGGGAGGUGAGCGGCGCACACGGGGGAAAUGAGCGAGGGUUUUCCCCUCGGCAGCGUCGCCAGCUGGUUUUAAUCCAGCGAGAUGCACGGGCCACCGUCAGAUCGCGUUUGACGACCAAGAUAGAAAACCUAAGGAGGAGCGGGCCUUUUUGGGCCAAAAGAGGCUGAGGCCAGCAGCAGUAUGGGCGUUGCCGCGCGAGCUGGGCCGAGGCCGCAGCCGCGCGCUGGGCCAGCUGCAAUUUUUUUUAGUAGUUUUAUGUCCAGUUAUUUUUGGGCAGAUUUACUAUAGCUUUUCUAUACAAAUUUUUCCAACGAAAAGUUUGUUUUGGAAAAUAGAAAAAAAAGGGUAAACAGAAAAGUUCUGAAAAUGAAAAUAGAAAAUUUUCAGAAAAAGAAAAGUUCAUGAAUUUUAUAAAGAAAUUUAAAAGUUCAUGAUUUUUUUAUUUGGUCAAAUAAAAGUUUCUAUAAAGAAUAUAAAGUCCAUGAAUUUUUUAUUCAUGUUUUCCGCUGCAAAAUAAAGAAAAGUGCUCUUUUAAGAGAAAAAGAAAAUUCUUAUGAAUAGAAUAUUGUAAAGUUUCGCUGCAAAAUAAAAGUUUUAUUCUCCAAUUAAAUUGGAACCAACAGGAAAAUUUAAUUAGAAGAACGGUUUUGAGAGAAGUUUUUUCACUUGUGGGUGAAAUCAGAUUCAUAUAGUUUCUGCUAUGACAGUAGAAAGAUAUUUGAUUAAAGGUUAAUUAUGGUAUUGUUAUUUUCUGACCAACGGUGAUGAUGACGAUAUUAUAAUUCUAUGAGUCUUAUGUUCAAAGCUUAAAUCUCUGAUAAAAGUUGUAUCAAAAUUUUCAGAGAACAGAUAAAAGAUCAAGAAAUGCUCUUGAACAAGAGAACUGUAUAUUUAUUGUUCCCGCUGUAAUAAAGUUGGUGAUGAUGGUUAUUUCUUAACAAAGUUGUUUAAUAGACAUACUAUGAAAAAAAAGUUUAUACUAUCAUCACAUUGUUUAUGAGUUAUAUGCAUUAUUUUCAUUUCCGCCCAACGGUGAUAUGGAAUUAAUGUAGAAGGAUGAUGUUUUGUUCUAAUUCUGCCCAACGGUGAUUUAGAAUAUAAAAGAAAGUUUUAAAAGUUUAAUGUGCAUAUUUUUUAACUAGUAAACAUGGGGUUAUUUUUAUGCUCAUUAUUGUUGAUUAUUGGUUAAGUUUUCUCAGACUAAAAGUUUUCCAUGCCUUCAUUCGUGAAAGCGAAUGGCUGGGUACUUGUGACCCGAGAGAUGACCAAGAAAGGUCAACGUAAGGGAGUAUGUUCUCUCUAGAGAAUGGCUUCAAAAGAAAAGAGAUAUAUAAUUGAGAGUCUUGCUCGACGAUGUCUUCAUGUACUCUCCAUGGAAAAAGAAUUCUCAUCUUCUAUGAGAUGCAAUAAGUGAGAUGCGUGAUUAAUUUGACCAACGUCGGAUUAAGCAUGUGUAUUAAAGAAUAUUCGGAUUUACUCCUAAAUUUGAUGAUUUAAUAUGUAUUCAAAAGAGCCAAUUCUGGCAUUUAUGUCCCUUACAGGGAAUUACCCGCAUGGCGGGAAAAGAUGAUUAUGAUAAAACCAGCAUGGCAGGAAAAGUCUGGGAAAAUCCCUGCGUAACCCGUAUGGCGGGAAAUUUUCUCAGACUUAUCAUGUAUGACAGGAGAAAAACAUGAUGACUCAUGUGCUUUUAAUGUGUCCCAUUCUGGGAGAAAAGUAUGGAGUAGCUAUUAUGCCUUCCUCGUAUCGACCGUACAUCUUAUGUGUAACGGUCAUUAAGCGCUCAAUAAAUCCGAAGAGAACAAAAGUUACAGACGAACCUGAAGAUAAGAAUGAUAUGCAAGUGUGACUUGCAAAAGUACUAAUGAUAAAGAACUCUGUUGAGUUUCUGAAAUGGAAUAAGGAAAAGGUACUCCCAUACCAGUUAACAGAUAACUUCAUUACAUAUGAAGUAAUCAAAUAAAUGAAGUAGAUACUCAAAGUUUCCUCAAUUCACAAGAGUUGUGAAUGGUUUUUCGAAAUUGUGGCAGAAAAGUUCUUGCCACAUUUCGAGGGGGAGAAAGAAAUAUGAGAUACCCAUUAAUGAAGAAUGUGAUCGUCUGGGGGAGUACGAUGAUCAUAAUAAUACCCCUAAAGAAAAGAAAUAGUUGUAUUCCUGGAUCUUUUGCAGUUCCGAAAGCAGACUAAGGAAUACUAAGACGAUGCUUAAAGUGCCAUAAAGAAGAAAAUUUUAACAGAAUAAACCCAAAUAAUAAAUUUUAAAGAUACGCCAUUCUUAGUGAAAAUGGAGUAAUCUGGAGGAGCAUGGUAUGAAGAUACCAAGACUCAAAUAGAUUGUAUCUGGGGGAGCAUGUUGUAUGACCUAUACAACACCCGUUGUUAGCUCUAUAAAGGAGGAAUGAUUAAACAUGGAUCUUGUGAUAAAGGUCCCUGUAAAACCUAUUGCCUCUUGGAAAUGAAAGACUAUAAAAUAAUUUGCCUCUUGGCAAUGACAGAGCAACAACAGCCCCAUAUGAAAGAAGUGCUAGUACCUGAGACUCAGAUGGUCUCAAGGAAUGAGAAAAUCAGAUACUUCUAAUUACUAUAAAGUCUAUGUUAGUGAAAUUCAAAUGGAGGUUGAUCCCACCUCAUUUAAAGCGCUCAAUCGAGCUUUGAGAAGUGUCUGCUUAUCUAAAUGAUAAGAGACUAUGUGAGAUGAAAAUUGGUGAAUUCUGACGAUGUUCGGGACUCAUAAGUAAUUUCCUAUGGAGCCAAAACAGUAGGCUGUUAAGAGUCAACAAGGACAAUGUGACUCCAAAGUAAAUACGUAAAGGUGUAAAACACGACUUAAAUCGAAAGGUUUUUGCGGGUUUACACUGAAUAGAUUACAAUAAGUGUUGGUAGCACAUCAUGAUCUGAGUUACAUCAGAUGAAAGAUAUUAUAAUUUGAGUUAUAUCAGAUGAAAAAGUAAAGAACACAGGGGAUACUGCCUGAAGAAGUCUUUUAUGGACUAAAGCAAUCAAAUGUUGUUUUGGGUUAAAGAAAAUGCGAGGACAAUUGUAUUCGUGCAAAGUUAUAGAAUGGGAAAUUCAUUUCCUAAUCAUGUGCAUGUGGAUGACAUCCUACUUGCUAGUGGUGAUGUCAACCUACUGCAGGAGGAGAAAAGAAGUUCUUGUCCUCAAAUUUCAAAAGAAUGUUCUCGGUAGAGUGUCUCUCGUUAUAAGUAUCGAGAUUCACGAAGAAAAGAAUAAAAGGGGGUAUUAGGGAUGUCGAAUGGACAUGCUAAGAAAGGUCUCUAAAGUAUGCAUGCGAGAAAACCUACGCCUGUUCUUACAGUCAAGGGUAAUGGAAGUGGAAGCUAUGGUGUUCCAAAAGUUGACGAGAAAAGAUUCAAACAUAUAUGGUACCAUAUGCUUUAGCUGUUGGAAGCUCAAUAUAUUGCCCUGACACAGUUCACAUAUCCGGGUUGUUUUGGCAAUGUCCAGUCCAUAUAUAGAUCACUGGAAUGGAGACAAAGAUAUCGGCCUCAUGCUGAAAGAAAUAAGUGCUCUCAAAAGAUUGUGAGUACAAAGACAUGACUUGUGAAAUGUAUAGCGAAAUCCACAAUUGUCGCUAACUUUCAUACUUGGAGGUUUUUGUGUGGAAAAGCUUCAAAGAAUGAAACAAUUAUCUUCAAUGUGAUGCAAAGAUAUUUUAUAGCUUGAUAUGAGGCUGAGGGACAGGCAAAAUGGUUAAGGAGACCUGUACCCGAAGUUGAUAAUGGUUGACAACAGUGAUAACUAUUAGUCUUUCGCUCCUGUGACAACGGGUCAAGUGUUGGUGCCAAACACAUUGACACAAAGUUAUACGUUGUUAAGGAGAAAGUCCGGAAUUAUGUUGAAAUGCUUGGAGCAUGAAAGCAACAGACAAGUAUUUGCAGAUCUGCUUAUUAAAGGCUUACCGCCCAGUGUGUUCGGAGAACACACAGUCGACAUGGGUUUUAUGGUAUAGUCUAACAUUUCCGGACAAUAAAAGGGCCCAAGGUUAAAGAAACUGUUUCAAAACAGAAGAGUGUGUUGUGGGUGUUGAUUCUAUCGGGAUAGACCGUGAUGAUGAGACAUGCUCUACAUGCAAAUCUGUGAUGGAACGAGUACUUUGAAAAGAGUUAUUUCGAAGUACAAAGUUAAAAGUAUAUGAUGAGAUCAAGGGGGAGAAUGUUAGGUUGAUCUCUCCACCAAUGGGCCCAACGGCUCAUUGGGCCCUUGACCCACACCCUGAUCGGGGGCGUCCAGCCCAAGCAAGGCUGGUGGGCCCCUAUCGCGCAGUGCUAUAAAGAGGAGGUGGGGACCAGGGGCACAGGGUACGAGGUUUGUCGCCGCCACUGUUCCCCACUCCUAACCCUAAUCCGAUCUAGAGGGAGGCACUGAAGCGAUGGGAAGCGCCACCAGCCACUUCAUCGUCACCCUCUACACCGACCGUCGCUGCCCGUGCGCAGACCAUCACCGACGAACCAGCGAUGGCCGGAAGGCUAAGGUAAACACCCAAACAGAGAAGAUAUGCCACCGAUCUACUCCUAGUCGAUCCAGUAAGUCUAUCACGACCAUCAGCGCGACGGGCAGAGCACCCAGCCCGUAGGCUCAUCCCCUUCUCCGAUCCACUCCGGCAGCGGCCAUCAUCGAUACGUUCCGCUCGUGAUAUAUUGGUGUAGGCUCAUCCCCUUCUCUUUAUCUAAAAAGGCUAUUCUACAUAUGCCGAGGAGAAGAUGCUCACCUUCUCGCCCCUCCCCCUACCGUGAUGUACGUGGAUGAAUCCGACGGCAACGAGGACGACCUCGUAGGAUCCAGCCACGGUUGUGCGGAAUUUCGCGGGGACGGAUCUACCCGGCCUCUCGUCCUAUCUGCCGCUGGUAGAGGCAUCCAUGUCCGAUGGUGUGAAUUUUGGCUGGUUCCAUGAGCACUUCGUUCCCUGCCGUGUAGUCUUCGUUGAUUCGGGAAGAUGGUGGUUGUCUGUUUAGCCAUUUCAAUCUGCUAUUGAUCAUGCUCAUUCUUGUUAUAUUCAGUUAUAUUGGAAACACCAUCUGAUUCAGUUAUAUUCUUGAUCAUGCUCAUGCUCAUCCUUAUUCAAAUAAGAAUACUUCUGUUUGGAGAGCUCGGGCGUCAGCUGUGUGGAAGCACCAGUUGAUUUGUAACUGGUCGGAAGGUGAGCUUCUCAUACUCGCUGCCGUCGAAGCACGGCACCUCGCCGCCACUUAUGUUGCGUGUUGUUGUGCUGUAGGUCCUUGGGGUUGGUUGCGGCAACUCGCGACUCGAAGACAUUUCGUGCAUGUGCUCCCCUGCGCUUGGUGACCAAUACAUCUACUCCGUCGUGAACAUGUGCUUCGUGUCAUACAGGUCGCCGCCAAGGGUGAGCUCGUGCAGCGGUACAGGUAUAGAUGUGCAUCCCAUAAGGGCAGCUACAGUUUCUUUCAUAAAGUUAUUUGUGUGAGUGCCCUGCAUAUUGAAGUAAACUGGAUCGGCUAAUCUUGAGUUCCUCUACCAAGUUAUAUUACUUCGACAAGAAAAGGUGCAGAAAGACCAUAUAAAGUACUCUGGUGACUCUCUCAAUUGAAAUAGAAUUUUUUUAGAUGCGUGAAACAUGCACAACGAUUUGCUCUAUUGAGUCUAUGUAUGUUGAACUAGCACUCGAAUUAUAGCUCAUGCCGGUAUACUAAUUUUCUCUUUCUCAUAUCAGCUCUCCUUCCUUUUGUCCAUUUUUCUUCACUACUACCUGAAGGAAACUGUACUGGAUAGCAGCCUAUCAUAUAUAGUUACAUGUACCGAGUGAUUUAGCUUCAUUUUAAUGAUACUAUCAACAACUAACUACUGCUGCGACAUAUUUGAUGCAACCUGUAAAAUAUUUUUUGUUUAAUUUCAGCAUAUCAUUUAUAUACUGAAGUCUCUUCUGGACAUGUUGUCUAAUUGCGUCAUGUAUGUUAGAUAUUUGUUCUAUAAUACUUGCCAUUGACUAUUUUCUUUUAUUUAGGUUAUGUGCAUUAUUGAUCAGCCAAUCUUGAGAGAGAGAUGGGUUGGCGUGAAUGGGAAGAAAACUACAUUGAAUGGACAAGAAGUAUGCCCUCAACUUUUUCAUGGUACUCCCUCCGUCCGGAAAUACUUGUCAUCAAAAUGGAUAAAAGGGAAUGUAAUCUCUUUUUAUCCAUUUUGAUGACAAGUAUUUUCGGACGGAGGGAGUAUGUCUUACUUAUUGUUCUUGUGAUUUUUCCAUCAGUUUCACUUUACAUUUCUUCUUUGCUUUUUCAUGGCAUCGGGAUGCCCACUGCCGACGGCGCUGCGUUGCUACCAAAGGGGCACCCUGCCGCGGCCGGGGACUCGCUGCCGUCGAAGCACGACACAUUUCCGUCACGUAUCUUGGGUGUUGUGGUGCUGCAGGUCCUUGGGCUUGGGUGCGGCAACUCGAGACUCGAAGAUGAUCUUCUGUGGUAGGGCGUCGCCGGCGGCGGCGGCACCUGUAUAGACCGUCUCGGUGUGACAGAAGAGUUCGGAGUUCACUCCGAGAAAGAAUUGCUUUGCAUGUACAUUUGCUGAAAGACUGAUGUGCUGAACUUUCGAUGAUUUCGAUUGGUCUCUAACAUAACCUUUCCUCUUUUUGUUGAUAUGUCCAAAAGAGAUCCUUAUUUCACCUUUUGUUUAUAGGUAUUCAACUUGAGGAAUUUCAUACUUUUGGAGUGGAGCUAUCAAAUAUAUGUGUGCUCGAUGUUGGUGUUUUAAUCCGGAUCUCUUGCUGAAGGUGCUCGAUGUUGGUGUUUGAAUACUGCUACCGUACUUCAAGGUCUGUAGCAGCUCUUACAAUGGAUUCUUUUUAAUGAUAGUACAAUUUAUUUUUGUUUCGAUUUGGUAUUGUUGUUCUGUUCACUUAACCCAUUCUGUAGCAGCAGCUUUUCAUGUCGUUUCCUCGCCAACAAAUGUCAUAAUUUAUCACAUACGUGUGCAAAUGGUUUUUUGGCUAUAGUAUGAGUAUAUGGUUCAGAGAAGUUCGGUCAGAUGCAAAGCAUGCUUAGCAUCUCAUAGUCGUAGGCUAUUCCUUUUAAAAUUGAAGCCAUCCAGGUUUUCAAUUAUGGAGAUGAUUUGGAAACUCAGCAUAGAAAAUUAUUUACUCUAAUGCAAAUUACACAUAUUAAGGCCUUUAUUCUUUUAUAUUAAGGAAUCCAGUGCAAGCAUUAGCCCAUCUUUAGCUGCUCAUAAGCAGUAUCAGUGAUAUAUAUAUAUAAGUACACUCUUGCUAAGAUUAAUCUUUGAUAUAUAUAAUUCAUUGCCUGGAUAUAGUUUGCUUUGAAUGUUUUUUUGCUCUUUAGUCUAUGAAGAAUUGCAAGGAGGAGGAUAAUAGAGCAGCAACCAGAGCUGACAAUUGGCCUGUAAAUGCAGCAAAGUUCUCCUAGAGGUGUGAUGUUGGUGGUGAUUUUCUUAUAUGGGGAUAUGGAUGUGGCGGGUCUAUGGGCACCAUGCUGACGCAGAGAAGGAGGUGCAGGUAGCGGGGCGCUUGAGGUGAGGUGGCUGCAGGGUCGCUCGAGAAGAACAGGCUCAUAAGCACCACCUGGAUGCCUUCGUCAUCAGCAAUGUGGACAAGGUGCAAAAGGGAUAUCUCCCUUACCUCUUAUUCAGCCUGGAAAAUUAUGCAAUGUUUGGUUUGGCAGAUUUAACAGUCGCUGGUUUGGAAAUUUGUUACGUAUAGAAGUAUAGGAAUAACAUGACUAAUAUUUAUUGAAUUUAUAGAGUUAUUGUUUUUUUCUACAAAGUCAGUUGUCACAUUAGAAGAACAUCGUCUAAAAUCUUGACAACAUAAAGGAGCAUAGAGUUAAUAGAUUAUGAAAUCCUGUAGUGCAUCAGAUGCACCCUUCACUAAUUUUUGAACACAUUUAUAUUAUCCAGGUUCCGACCUCAUUCCCUGUGAUGUUUGUCUUUUUUAUGUGGGCGAGGAAAACAUUUUUAGGAGUGAUACUCCCAAACUUUGAUUUCUUGGUUGUCGAAUCAUGGUGCUGAUUAGAUUUUACUUAACCUUAAUUAAUCUAUUUAUAUUGCGGCUUUGUCUUUUAGCUCAUCUUUUAGUUUCUCUUCUCCACUUAACACAAGAUUUUAUUGUAGGCUACCAAGUACAGUUAUACCACUUAUACUCUUUCUUUCUGAUUAUGCAAAGCUUGAUCUAUACUCAUUGAACUUUGUUAGAUAGUAGGCCCCCCUAUUAGUGUGCCUGAAUAUAAUUGUUUCUCCGUGUUUAUAGUAUCUUAGUCCAGUAGAAUGAAUGUUCUCGAGUAAUUAGAGGUAGUUGGAUCAAGUGAAUGUCUGAAUACCACUAAAAUCGAAAUCAUAAUUAAAAAAUACUGACCUUUUUCUUCAGGGCGUCUGUUCCUCCUCCCAUGGUCAGCACCACCACCUACUCUGAAUCUCCGAUCAGAAUAGUAUGAACUAUUAAAUAGGGAACUUAAUGCUUAUCAUUGUUGAUGUACAUAUGUACAACUAACAAUGUGUGUGCUGCAACCAGCUUACUUUAUUCCUUACUGAAAUUUAUCUUGAUUUAUUUCACAUCAGAUAGUUCUGAACCUAGAUGAUCUCAAUUAAGGUCAUUGAAAUUUGUUAAAUUAUUUUUAUCCGCUCUUCUGAACGAGCGUAUACUAUGAUCUGAUUUGUAUAUCAUAUUACUGAGGCAGCGCUGGGCCAUGUUGUGGUGAGAACAUACGAGAGAUAAUUGGGGUGUGUGGCUGAUUGCUUCAUAUGCUGCUAAUCAUAUAUGUAGACUGCUGAUUGCUCCUGAUAUACAGUGUCGAUUGCAGCUGAUAGUAGGAUUGUACUCAAUUUGAUAGGUAAAGUGGGAUGGCGGGAUUGUAUAGUGCUCAUAAGCCAGUCCGGGCAUUGUCCUUCCUCGAAUGAAUCUGAGACUACUCCUCAUAUGUUAAUCAGUUGCUCCUCCCUAGCUUUGGUUUGGUCUGAACUUCAAAGUUUUCAUCCAUUCAACGUUGAUUCAGUCAAAGAUCUCUUGGAAAAAUUAUUUCGACAAGAUUCACUCUAUAAUGUUGUUAUCAUUGUCCUCUGGAAUAUAAGGAAGCGCAAAAACUCCAAGGUCUCCUGGGAUGUUUUUGAGGAAUUGCACAUUACUGCUAGCAAGAUUGCUGCUGAUUGAUACCAUGGUCCAACAGGUAUUCACACGAAAUUAAUAAAUGGCACCUUACGGAUUGGAGUACUCCACUGUAUCACCUAUCUGGGAGAUUUUAAUUUUUUCCUUCUAUUAUUUCUCUUAAUCCCUGUGUACUCAUUGGACUUUGUAUAGUUCUCAGUUUUAUGAAGUGGUUCAGGCUGGCGUAAGCCGCCAUAGUCCCAGUAAAAAAAGGCUACAAGCUUCGCUUCGGCCUUUCGGAACUGAAUAUUAUGUAGUUUUAUUGAGAUUAUUGAUAGUGCUUCUCUACUAUCAAAGAAGGUAAUAGUCUCUUAUGUGUUUCUUUUUGUCCAUUUGAAUGCACUCCAUUUUUUAGUGUAUUAAUUAACAUCAAACCUCCCAUUCUUUCUAGAGUGCUGAUGUAUUAUUAUUUUCAGCUUAACACAUUUAACUUCCUAUAGAUUUCAUGGUUUAUGCAGAUUAACCGAGCUAAGAACUUUUGUGAAGCUAAAGCUGGUGUUAAGAUGAACGCCGCUAUGUAUAUAUUUGAAACAGUUAGAUACAUGCUUGACAGACUAUAUAGGGGUGAUCAAAACCAUGCAAAGCAUUAUGGGACAAGUUUCUCUACCUUAAAUAAGUGUGCGUUCUCUCGUGUUUACUAUUCGUUUAAGGGUCAUCAACCCGUGUAUUUAUUUUCAUUGACCAAGUUUUAAAUUUUUCUUCAGUAGUGUUCAUUGUGCAGUUCUAGAUUGUUAAGAGAGUAGAGUUUAUUGAUUUAUUACAUGGAGAGACCAGAAGUGUCGUAGUGGUCUUGACAUAAUUGCUAACAUUUUCUACUAGACAAAGUUUAAUUGCACUAAAUACAAAUUAGAACAUGCAUAGACAUUUAUCUUCUUUCUACAGAAUGGUUAGUGUAAACGUACUUUGAGUUGUACAUGAUUCUGUAUCUGACCAUUUUAUCUCAUAUGUUGAUGUGGUUGCAGAUAUGAACUUCAAAUUAUCCUGCAAUGUAUUGACUGCUCAGAGCUAACUUGACUACGCCAGUUUUCUUUUAUGGCUCAAAGUAGUUAGUGUCCCCCCUUACUAUGAGAGAGGUACUACUUCAAACAUCUCUUCUUAAUGUUUUAUGUCAUGGCAUACAGUAUGAGGGAGUGUUAGUUGGCUUGACUUUCGUGGCACUCAUUUCGAGACUAGUCGUCCAAUAUAUCAAUCUUUAUGUCUCGACCAUUUCGAGACUCCUCGUCAUGUCCGUGAUCACAUCCGGGACUCCGAACAAACUUCGGUACAUCAAAACUUAUAAACUCAUAAUAAAACUGUCAUUGUAUCGUUAAGCGUGCGGACCCAACGGGUUCGAGAACUAUGUAGACAUGACCUAGAACUAUUCUCGGUCAAUAACCAAUAGCGGAACCUGGAUGCCCAUAUUGGUUCCUACAUAUUCUACGAAGAUCUUUAUCGGUCAAACCGCAUAACAACAUACGUUGUUCCCUUUGUCAUCGGUAUGUUACUUGCCCGAGAUUCGAUCGUCGGUAUCCAAUACCUAGUUCAAUCUCGUUACCGGCAAGUCUCUUUACUCGUUAUGUAAUGCAUCAUUCCGUAACUAACUCAUUAGCUAUAUUACUUGCAAGGCUUAUAGUGAUGUGCAUUACCGAGAGGGCCCAGAGAUACCUCUCCGACAAUCGGACUGACAAAACCUAAUCUCGAAAUACGCCAACCCAACAUCUACCUUUGGAGACACCUGUAGUACUCCUUUAUAAUCACCCAGUUACAUUGUGACGUUUGGUAGCACCCAAAGUGUUCCUCCGGUAAACGGGAGUUGCAUAAUCUCAUAGUUUCAGGAACAUGUAUAAGCCAUGAAGAAAGCAAUAGCAAUAUACUAAAUAAUCAAGUGCUAGGCUAACGGAAUGGGUCAUGUCAAUCACAUCAUUCUCGUAAUGAUGUGAUCCCAUUAAUCAAAUGACAACACAUGCCUAUGGUUAGGAAACAUAACCAUCUUUGAUUAAUGAGCUAGUCAAGUAGAGGCAUACUAGUGACGUUAUGUUUGUCUAUGUAUUCACACAUGUAUCAUGUUCCCGGUUAAUACAAUUCUAGCAUGAAUAAUAAACAUUUAUCAUGAUAUGAGGAAAUAAAUAAUAACUUUAUUAUUGCCUCUAGGGCAUAUUUCCUUCAUCUCCUCCCCUGCUCGGUCUACCCCACAUGCAUGGCGUAUAACAUCCUCUAGCCCCAACUGCCGCCAAACCUCUCUAGCCUUAUGGCAUCAAAAUAGUACAUGACACACAUCUUCUGCUCCUUGUUUACAUGCAGGACACGGCGGCCGGACUGGGAUGUGUCUAUUAGCAAGAACCAUUUUGCAUGGCAGUGUUCCGUGUAAGGUUCUCCAAAGAAAUUUUUUAACUUUCGCCAGACAAUUCAGUUUCCAAACCUUUUCCCAUGUUGGGUUAGCACUAGUGGCUCCCAAACCAUGUGUCCUCUUCAAUUUACGGCCAUGCUGAAAGUACCAUAGAGCAUGGUAGGCCGAUUUCACUGUAAAAAUUCCAUGUUUAUUCAAACUCCAUGCUACAAAGUUACUCAUAUCAUGUGUAGGUAGUGGUAAAGCAAGGACCCGUUCCACAUCAAUCGAGAUGGUUUGCUCCACAAGUGGCACAUCCCAGUGACCUGUAGCUGGAUCAAUUAAAUCUCUCACCUUUGAUAGUAACUGGUUACCUCUUGGGGUAAUAAUCAUUCUGGAUGGUGAGUUAGGAAUCCACGCAUCCCUCCAAAUAUUUAUUUUUUCACCAUCCCCUACUCUCCAAAUGUAUCCAUGUUUCAGGGUAUUCACCCCUUGCAUAAUGCUCUGCCAAGUGUAGGAGGAAUUAUUUUUCAGCUUAAUUAAUUUACCAGCACAAGAAGCGGCCGUGCUGGGAGUGAAAAACUUCCAUGACUUGAUGUCCACUUGCUGCUGGUACCUUUGGUGGGAGAGGAGAAAGCUUGUGCACAAUGAGCCGGUACAAGAUGCGAAGAGAGUUGCGCAAGCGGUAUGUGCUUUAGCUGCUAACUAUGCUAUUGCAUGUGACCCAAAGGCCUCGUUAAAGAGGGGAGGUUGGUGCAAACCCCCUAGUGGAUAUGUUAAUUUAAAUGUUGAUGCGGCCUUUGAUUGGGAUUUGCUUCAGGGGGCGAUGGGAGCAGUCAUCCGAGAUGAUAGAGGACAUAUGGUUGUAGCUAGAAACAAGCUCAUUGAUUCCUGUUAUGAUGUACUAACUGUUGAGGCAAUGGCUCUGAAGUUUGGGUUGAAUAUGGCGCUCACAGCUGGGUGCAAUAGACUGAUUGUCAACUCGGAUAAUCUGGAACUCAUGGAAAUAAUGAAUAAGGAUGGCCAAUAUGUUGGAGAUGCCGCGACCAUUGUCGAUGAUUUUUAUCAUCUGGCUUGCGAAUUUAGCUCUAUUGUCUUCGAAUUUUGCCCCAGAGAGUCGAAUGGGGUUGCACAUGAACUAGCUAGGAUUGCUAGAAGUUCGCUUUGUAAUGAGUGGUUAGAUAAUGCUCCUUCUGAGCUUCUUCCCCUACUACUUAAAGAUGUAAGUCUGAUCACGAAUGAAUAAAGAGGAAGUAAAGUUGUCAAAAAAAAGAGCAUGGCAAUUUUAUUUUUAAUGGCAUGUCAUUCUUACCUUUAUUUUUGAGAAAAGCAUGUCAUCUUUACUAUGUCCUUCUCGCCUGAUGUAUGAAGUAGGCGGACCCUAGAUGGGCUUUCCCAAUAUGGGUUCCUGGGACCGGGUUCCUGCAGAGUUUUUUUUUCUUUUCGUCUUGUGUGUUUCCUGGGCCAAUUUUCAUCUUUUUGUUUGGUUUUCUGUCUUAUGUGUUUCUUUAUGGAUUUUAUUCUUUCUCAAUACAUGUCCAUUUUUCUAAAUACACACUGUAAAAAUUUACACAUCUUGAACAUUUUUUAUUAAUUGGCAUAAACCUAUUUUUGGAGUGUGUGAGCAUAUUUUAAUUGUCAUGUACAUUUUUCUGAAAGGCAGUAUUUAUUUUGCUGAAUUACGUGAGCAUUCUUUACACAUCUUGAACAUUUGUCCAUAUUUUUUUGAAACACAUGAAAAUAUUUUUGAAUGCUAUAAACAUUUUUUAUAUCAUGCUGCAUUAGGUCUAUAUUAGUUUAAACUAAGUCAGUGACAAUUAAUAUGGAUCAUAGAGAGUACAAUUUUGUACAUGAUGUUUAUAAUUUUAUAUUUCACUUUCCACAUUUUUUAUUUAUUAAACUCUAUUGUGUUUUUGGAAUAAGUGUAUUUAGAAUAUUUUUUAAAAAUGUAAAUAAAAUGGAGCGAAUGAAGAAGCAGAGAAGAAAAACGAAGGCCGGCCAAAUGUAUGGCUUUCCCUGCCUCAUACCUGCAAAUCAAGCUAAGCAGCGGGUGAUAAUUUUUUACACAAUGUUUAUAGUUUUCUAUUUCAAUUUGAACAUUUCAAAAUUUUAAGGAAAUUAUUAUUUUUAAAUAAAUGUUUUUAGUUUUUUUUAAUAAAAAGGUGAAAAAAAAGGAAAUUGAGCGAAUGAAGAUUGAAGAAGCAGAGAAGAAAAAUGCCCUUUCUUUCAUUAACUGAACUGCGUGCGUGCAUGGAAGGGCUAUCAUCUUUACUUAAGAGGAGUGACUUACCUAUCAUUGUGGAGAUGAACUCUAUUCUUGUAGUCAAACUGAUCCAAUCGAGGGAUUUGGACAAAUCUAUUUAUGCUUGGAUAGUUAAGGUGAUCAAGUAUGUUUUGGGGAUUCGUGGUUCUUGUAUUACUCAUGUAAAUCGCUCUCAAAAUAAAGUUAGCGACUGCUUAGCUAGAUUUGCUAAAUUAGAAGGACAAACCAUGACUUGGGUUGGUUCUGGUCCAGAUGUUGUUGUUGAGCUAGCUGUUGCUCAAUGUAUGGACACCAUGAGUUGAGUAAUGCAAAAAAAAAAGUUUGCGCAAAAUUAUUUUCAAUUUUUUUUUGAAAAUUUUAAAUAUGGUUUUUGUUUUUUUUCUUUUCAAAAAAAAUACCACACAAAUUUGGCAUUCGUUCCAUGGCUCAUAUCUCUACUCCUAAUGGACGACUUGGUGAAUAGUCUUCAUGGUUUAUUUUCGCUGGGUUUUUUCAUCAUCCUCCCACCUCACGGUUUCAAAAAAACCAACCAAAACUAGAGGCCCGUCCCACGAAACGAAACCCAAUUUGCCCUCGUACCACCACUCCUCCCUCUCCCUUGACCUCCCUUGUCUAGGGUUCCCCGGCACCACUGCGGCAGCCGCCGCCGAAUCCUAGGUCGCCGCACAUCGUCGCCGCCGCCGCGAAUCCCCAGGGACGCCGCACGCCACCGCCGUUGCGAAUCACCAGAGACGCCGCACGCCGCCGCCGCACGCCGCCGCCGCGGAUCCCUAGGGAUGCCGCCGCCACCGCCGCGGAUCUCCAAGGGCGUGGUCACGUUGUACUAGACAAAGUGUGUUCGUCGCCGGCCUCUCCUCGUCCGACCUUGACUUCACCCCUUCGACUCCGGUGACUCCUCUGUGGCCCGGUGGGCGCCAACUGUCGUGGAAUUUUCAUGGCAGAUGUCCUAGUGUGAGGACUUAGUCGUGAGGCCAACGCAUCUACGCGGUAGCUUGAAGGGAUUGGUCGGAAUCGAGAGAUGCGAGGCGGAUCAACACACAAGACAAGGAUUUAGACAGCUUCGGGCCCCAGGAAACAUCAUCCGGUAAUAGCCCUACAUGAUGUUUGUGGCUAGCUCUCAUUAUGCUCACGAGGGAGUCGCCGUAAACCGGCUCUCCUAGUUAUGUCUAGCCCUAGAGAUUGUUUCUUCUUGCUUGUCCCUCUUUGGGGAGCCUUGUCCCUCCUUAUAUAAGUUAGAGGGGCGGGUUACAUGUGGAGUCCUAUUAGGAUUAGGACUAGUCUACCUUCUAAUACAAACCGGAUACAAGUCCAGGUCUUAACUCCUUGUAAGACAAAUAUUUCUCACGCCUUUCCUCUUAAACCGGCCCACCAUAACAUGAGCCGGCCUUCUGGGCCUUGGGACUUGUCAUCCGUCUGUCCCGCCCGCCGGGUUACCAGUGAAUCAUAAUGUUCAGUCAGGUUGCUUGUAAACUGUCUGGUCAGUGCGGGUCGCCGGUGAAUCGCCAAGUCCGGCUGGGCUAUACUUCCGGCCGGGUUACGCCGCGGGGUAUAUCCCCGACAUCUCCCGUGAUAUCUGACGAUAUAUUUAUAAGUAAUGCGCAUGGAUGGUCCGUCCUUGAUUUUAGGGUGGCUUAGUCGGUUGGAAGAUUUGUUAGUUAGCCUAUUUAAAGGUAGCACGAUGCUCUGGUGCUAUUGUCAGGGCUUGCUAGCCCAGCGGAGGAGUCCCUAGUUCUUCUCUUACCCAAAGUAUUACGACCACCGUCUGUCAUUGCCGCAGUCGCCUGACACCAAAUCAACCAUGUCAUCGUCGAGCUCCAUUAGGUACGCGCUGAGGGGCCGAUCAGUUGAUGUGCCCCUGAUCCCUUGCCCUGACUGUGGCGAAACGGUUAGAUUCUAUCUCUCUAGUACCGAAGAGCAUGAUGGUUGGGUGUUCUACAAGUGCAAACACCACGAUGUACAAUCCCUUUACACUUUGGGUUGACAUUUACUGCAUGAGUAAUUUUUUCUACUGUUUCGUUAGUGCUGGUUUGAUUUGUGUUCACUUGAUUCAUAGGAUCCAUGUGAUUUCUGGCGCUGGGAACUAGAGUACGUGGAUCAUCUUGUUGGUACAAGUGUCCUUGUUGGUGCUUAUGCCCUUGACGCAAUGGCUGCGGCACAGGAUAGAAGGGAACAGCUACAGCGCGCAAAAAACAGUGGGAAAAGAAUGCAUGUACCAAGAGUGGCAACAUUGGAGGCAGGACAAAUUACAUUCAGAGCAAUGUGGCAACCAUUACGAAGCACCAAGCUUAUAUGAUGUUAGGACUAGGGAGACAAAUUGUUUUCAUGCUGAAGCUGUUGACGGCUAGUGUAAUGGUGUUGUGUGUGUUGUGUGUGAUGUUGAUUGUGAAGAAAUAAUAUAUUUGUGAUCGUAUCAAGGCGAUUAUCAUGGUUACAUGUAAUAACAACUUAAUAAGAAGGUGUGUUCUAACAUGAUAACUCUUAUACGCCCCCAACCCUAUUUUAACAUGACAUGUAAGAGUAAGAAAUAAAUCUUAUACGAUGAUUCCACGAAAUAGUUGUUUUGGUUAUUUCUUACGUUCUUGACUAUUAUGAGAAAAUAAGAGGUAAGACGGAGCAUGUUAAAAUUGUUAAAAAAUAAUGAAUAAACCGAGUUGCAAUGAAGGCAAUCGAAUGGAAAAACAUAAAUGACCAUUUAAAUUCUUGCCCACUAUGUUGUGCACAAACACAAGAGUACCAUGUUAACACCACAUACAAAUGAUUCCAACUUUUUUUCAUGCCCUCCCAUGAGCAAAUCAAGCAAACAUGCAAAUAUGGUUCUCAGUUUCGACAACUUCUCCACGUAUUGGGAUUUUUUUAUCAAAAAUGCCUGAAAACUGGCCCCACGUGACAUUAGUUGCAAACUUUACUAAGAAUACAUCAAACUUGGCAUGGAGGACUAACAUGACCAUGAGUUGUUACCCCAAAAUUUUUGUGUUGAUUUAAGAAAUGUCAACAAACCAGCAUGUGUCUUCUCAGAGGAUGCCAUGUUAGCCCAAAGGAAGGGCGCGUAUUGGAGCACCUCCGUCUUUACAAUAUCCACAAAUGAUGCCAACUUUAUUUCAUGAUCUCCCAUGAAAAAAUCAAUAAUGCAUUCACAAAGAUUUUUAAUUUGGCCAACAUUUAUAAUCCUUCUGCAAUUUCGAAACGAAAAAGAAACAUCGUCUGCAUGGUCUACCCCCCUAGCCACACAUCGAAAGCAUGGGGCACAUGAUGCAUUACACUUUGUUUGUCUUAUGGUGGACCUAGUUGACACACCAGGCCUAGUUGGAUCAUUGGCCUACACCGGAUUCCAUGUCAUGUGAAACCUCGGCCACAUCAACUGCUCCCGUCUAGAACCUUCGAACUGCACUUUCCACUUUGUGAAGCAAGUACAACAUGAAAUUUGUGAAAUUUCCCCAAGCUUUUAAAGUGCAUCUCAUGACAAAAUCAAGUAAGCAUGCAAAAAUGCUAUUCAGUUUACACAGAAUUUUGCAUGUACAGUAAUUUUUUCGGCCGAAAAUACUAGAAAACUGGCCACAUGUGAAUCAUAUUGCAAACUUUACAAAAAAAUGGUUCAAACAUGGCAUGGAGGCCUAACAUGGCCUUCAAUACUCACCCCAAAAAGUUGGGUCAAUUUCAUACAGGCCAGGAUAGUACUAUAGCAUCUGCUCUCAAAGCGCGCCAGGCUCGGCCGGAAGGGCUUGUGUUGGGGAACCUCCAUGAUCACACCAGCUUCAUAUUUGGUAAAAUAUAUUUCAUGGCCUCCCAUGACCAAAUGAAGCAUGAACACAAUAAUUGUAAGCUUCUACUAGAUUUUCCAUUUUCUUCCAUUUUUCGGUCAAAAAUGCCCGAAAAGUGGCCGCAAUUGCCAAAACUUGGAAAUUUUGCUGAAACUCGUUUUAAUGUUGUCCUAGAAGCCUGUAAUGUAACAUUUUCCUUUGCAUGUCAUAAGUUGGGUUCAAUCCACAUGAAACAUGAUCUACUUGGUUUGUACAUUCGACAGUGUAGUCGCGCUUCUGACCGGGAGCUUUACAAAGGUUCUCGACGGAGGCAGCGCGUGUACCGCAUCGACUCCAUGGAUGGAAUCCAAUUUGAACCAAUGUUCGCACUUGGUAUGGUAUCAAUUAGGUCCACCCUUAGGCAAAGAAGCUUGAAGGCAUCAUGUGCUACCACUUUCGAUGGUUGUCUAGGGGGGUAGACCGUCUGGGAGGAAAUGAAAAAAUCAUGAAAAUCAUGUGUAACCUUGAACGCACUGUGCAUGCAUGCUUGAUUUGGUUCAUGGGAUGGCAUCAAAAUAACUUGGAAUCCUAUGUACAUGGUAUAUUGAAGGAGAUGGCCCGAGACGGGCCCUUCCGGGCUAUCCUUGUACCCUCCGAAAGCACGUGUUGGUUUAUUGACCUAUAUUAAAUGAUCGUCAAGUUUGUAGGGUUACAAUCCAUGGCCAUGUUAGGGAUACAUAUGCCAAGUUUGAACCAUUUUCAUCUAAGUUUGCAAGUUUUUUCAUGUGUAAAUCUUAGUCUAAACUGAGAAGCAUUUCGCAUGGUAGCUUGUUUUGGUCAUGGGAUUCCAUGGGAAAUAGUAGACAUCAUUUUGUAUUGUAGAUGAUCUACUAUAAACAUGGGGGUGCCCCCAAACACGUCCUUGCGGCCUUGACAUGCACCCUCCAAAAUCACAUGUUGGUUUGUUGACCUACCUGAAAUCAACCCAACUUUGCAGGGUUGCAAGCCAUGGUAAUUAUUGGGGUAAGUACAAAUUUCAACCAUUUUUAGCAAAGUUGCAAGUUUUGUCACGUACGGACAAUUAUCGGGCAUUUUCAGAACAAACAACAUAUUUUAUACCACUUAAAAAAUGCAUUCCUUUCUCGAUGACACAUUUGUUUUUUCUUCAGAACAUUACAUUUGUUUUGGCCAAUUACAUGCUAAUGUUUCAACCUCCCAUAACUCACGCCACCCAGAUCUCCCGAAAUCCCAUGAUUACAGCUCCUCCCUCGUAACCACCCGCGGCAUCCAGGUCCCGUACCACCUCCCACGACUGCUGCAAGAUCAGAUUGUAGCCGCCGCCCACCAGGAACAUCGCCUGAGGGGUCGGACCACAGUGGUGUUGUCGCCGUCUCCUACGCGCGUUAACGCGCGCUGCUCCUGUUGCUGCCGUCGAGCGCCACACAUCCACAUCUAGUGUGGGACGCACUAUCCGCGUGGAGCAUUGGGCCGCCACCAUCGACGACAGAAUGUUACGUGAUCAUAGCUCUUUUGUAACCUUUCUUGGACACGCAUGUCUACUAGUAAAGCCCUAAUAGGUUUCCCACAAGUUAUUCCAGUCGUUAAGAUUACCUGAUCAUAUCUCUCAUUAAUAACUAUCAACAUGAUCAAUCUUGGCACACUACACGAACGUCCGAAGAGGUAAUACUACAACAAGGGUAUCUCUUUCAUGAAAUAACAUGUCGUAUGUUUAUGCAAUCCCAAAACCCUAGUUGAACUGUCCCAAUGUUAUGCAUGACCAAAAUCUGUGGUGUGCUUAAAGUUACAUGUAGUUCAUAUUAUUUAAUAAACUCAUCCAUGCUUGCGUAUAAGAAUCUAUUUUUGUUACACAUUUCUCAAUGUGAAGGUCAAAUAAAUUGAACUGGUUUUGCUUCUGUUCCAUAGGUGCAGUAAAAUGGAAACUACUGUUAAAAGUGCUAUUAAUGGAGAAAAAUACGUCUCCGAAAUGACCGAUGAGGUACAUAGUUGACAUUUCGUUUGAAAACUGUACUUGCAGACACUUCUUUCAUACUCGAUAAAAUUUAUUGCUACUUUUAAAGGAAAUCUUGAGGAAGCACGGCCAAACAAAGUUAGUGUGCUCAUCGUCAAGGCUCGCCAAAGUCAUGAAAUUGUUGUCACCAGAACACAUAGAGAAAAUCAUAAGCGAUACCGGUCUUGGGUGUCUAAACAUGAUUCGUGAAUUUAAACUCCGGCGCAUUAUGUGGUAAGACUAACAUAGAGCUUCAAUAGUGAGACAUCGUCCAUUACCAUAGGUAAAACACCCAUUCCUAUCACCACAAAAGACGUGCACCAUAUAUUUGGCCUUGCGAUAGAAGGGGAGGAUAUUGAUGAAAAGCUGCAAAGCACGCCGGAUCCAAAUUUGUUUAACACAUUUCAAAACAAUGGGAGCAUUGAUCUGGCUGACCUUGAGACAGCGGUCUUAAGUUCCAAACCUUCGGACAAUGAUUUCCUGGCGCGGUUCGUUCAAUUCGCUAUUGGCACAGUUUUAGCACCAACAGCACAAUGUUAUGUCGACGCGAAAUACCUUCAACUUGCUGCGGAUAUUAAAAGCCUUCGAAAAUUGAACUGGGGAUGUUUCACAAUGAAACACUUGUUGAGGUACAUACACAAAUUUAGCUCUCUUGAUCAAGUAUCUCUACAGGGAAAUCUACCUCUGCUUCAGGUUAGUGCAACAUCACUAGUUAACAUUGUAUAAUUGUUUUUCUUUUCUAUAUCUCUCUAUAUUGACGAAGUAAUUUAUUGUGAAGAUUUGGUACUGGGAGCACCCGCGUUCCGGCAAAUUGAUGUAUACUCCUAUACCCCCACCAUUGGUCACACGAUGGGACGAAUGCACGUGUGUAAUAAGAGCAGAAGCUUACACCUCAGGAGGUCUUCAUAAAGGACUGGUGUGUUUCUAGAUUUGACCCAUGUAUGUAUCCGGUUAUUUAUUUGCUACUACUGAUUCAUUGUACCUGAUUCAAAGGUUGUGAUGGAAAUUUGUGCUCGACAACCAGAGGCUAACAUUAGAAAGGAUCCAGGAAGCAAAAAAAUUGUACGUGAGGAUGAAGGUGAUUCAUCUCGAGCACAAUCACAAGGUCAAAAUAUGAGUAGCCACCAAGUAAGCCCAACAAAGACAAUUUUCAUUUUCCAAGAUCAGUAAAAGGUUGCAUCGAAACUCAUUCAUUUUGCUUUGUUCUGAACGGGGUGUUAUUUCGUUUGCACAGGUGCAAAUGAUAGUUGCAGCCCUGAAUGCACAUUGUGCUGAGCAAGAAAAGAAGAUAGACAGACAGUUAAUGGAAUUUCAGCAUAGAUUUGAUGCGAAAUUCCUCACCCUGAGCGAAGAGUUAAUCGACAUUAAGAGUAAAUCUGGCAUUAAUCCUAGGCUCUCGCUGCUCGAGGACGAAAUUAAGAACUUAAGGAGGGAACUGAAGGUAUGUCAUGUUGUGCAUUUUUUAUUGUUAUGAAUAUGUUCCUCCAUAUUCAUUAUUGUUAUAAUUGUUAUAGGAAUUAAAAAACCAAACUAAAGUCAGCCGACAAUCCGAGUCACAGAAAGCAGGCGUCGAGGUAAUAAUUAUGGCCCACGACAUAAGUAGUAUUACCAAACUAAUUAUAAUUAACCAUUUUUGUUGCUGUAGGAACAAGUCAAUGUGUGCAGUGAUCCCUUCAUGGCGACUCCUAAGUUCGACGCAUCCACGCCACGUACUUCGACUCCAACACCAAGUGCCAGACACGUCCUGCCAAACAAGGACGAUCCUCGAAUCACACCGUUGAAGCCUCUAUUUGAUAAUGAUUACGUGCUCACCGCUGAGGACAAAGAGGCAGCCAUUUUCAUCUGGGGAACACACGGCCCUGUUGAAGUCGUUCAAAUCGGAGACAUUCCCCUAAGAGCGGAACAACUGAAGCCAAUUUAUGAUAAAAAAUACAUCUGUGGUGAUGUAAGCCCCUUGUACUCCAUUGUACAUCAACUAUUUGAACUGUUGGCACAUCAUUAUAUGAUUACAAAUUUGGCAGGUUAUUAUGGUGUAUGCUCACAUCAGCGGAGUUGAGACUGAUACUACCUCAGUCAUAUCCCCCAAUGAAACCAGAAAGCUUUUACAAACAAAAGGGGUUAUUCCAAAGGGCCGUGGAAGCUCGUUGCUUCAACUUAUUGCAAAUAAAUUUGUAGGACGCCGGAAGGUACCUAUUUUCCUCACUUCCAUAUAUCGUAAUAGAUAGUGUAGAUGAAAUAUUUCAGGGGUCCCCCGAACCAUAAUUGUUACCUUAUAUACAUUAUUCCGUGGAAUGAGUCCUCUUUGACUUCAUGGCAGGUCCACACCCCGUUUAAUGUGAAUGAUAAUCAUUGGAUGGGAAUGGUGUUCAAUUUCGACAAAGAAGAGAUUCAAAUCCUAAACUCCUUGAAAAAUCAAUUUGGCGAGUCGAAGGAAACUGCUCUUGUAAGCUUUAUCUUGCUGCCUCUUUACUGUCGCAUGGCACAUUAACUCCAAAUCAUCGUAACCCUUCGUAAUACUCGUAUUAUGCUAGGUGGAGGCAAUUCAGGCCUGCAUGGACGGAGCGGUGAAGGAUGUCUUGGUAACACCAGAUAAUCCCAUCAAAUUUACCGACUUGGAAGUAGUACACUAUGACGACAUACCGCAACAGAAUGACGGGUACGUACGACCUCCUAAAUUAUUCCUUGCCGACACGUCCAAGUUUACUAAAACCUAAACUAAACACUGCAUGCAUUCAUGUGCGUUUUUUACACUGAAGUACAUGUUGACAUGGAACAGUGAAGUAUUUACCGACAAAGUGGAGUAGGUGAGCCAAACACUAUAUUUUCUUGUAGAAUAUCUUAUGACUGAACGAUGUGCUGACAUAUGUGUCGCUUAUCAAAUGUAGUCACAAAUAGAUAUAUUUAGCUGGAAAAUAGUUUCAAGCUUGCUGCGUCCAGAUUGCAAUAGUCUUCGCAUGGAAACAUACAAGUACCCCAUAACGGUUAGCGAAAAAGCACUGAUAUUUUAUUGUAUUCACAUGUGUCAUGACGCUACCGAAUGCACUGAUGUCUGCUGUACAGGCAGAGACGUAUGAAGCCCACGUUGCAUCGGAACCUAUCAAUUCACAAGACGAUGUCCAAGAAAUUAUCGGUACUGUUGAGUGCAAGAUAUCAGACACGUCGAGCUCCCCAAAGGAUCCCGACACCCCGAGCUCCCCAAAAAAGCGAAGAGCACGUGGACGCCCGAGGAAGCUUGUUGAUUAAGUGCAAGCUAAAAAAACAAAAACUAUGGAAGAGCUCAGAGUGAAAUUUGAUAGCAAGACCAUUUCUAAACAAGUGUCUUCUUCGAUAUCAAGACGAUCACGCAAGCCAUCACAUGCUAUAUCGAGCCCAUUCAAGUUAACCAAAUGGUAGUUUAGGUACGUACUGGGUAGCACUAUAGUUAGCACUACUUAUGAUACAUUUGUCAUUUACGAUUUGGUGAUUGAACUUUAUCAAACGUGCAUCGACGAGCGGUGAAAGAUGGCUUGCUAACAAGAGCUAAGACCGUAAAAAGUAGUGUAUGAUAACAUACCUCAAUAUAGCAAUCUAUGUUGUCGCAGUACAUACUUUUGGCAAUCACGAACAUUAUAUAAUUUCGGCAAUUAGGAUCAUGUGCAUGCUACAUUUCUGGCAAUUACUAAUGCAUGCUCAUUUGUUUUGCUUCAAAUGGCAGUAUGUACUCCUGGCGAACAUUUGUGUGCUCUACUUUUGGCAGCUAUUAAUACAGGAUCAUUUAGAAUGGUUUAACUGUCCAUAGAAAUAACUAGAAUGUCAUUAUUUCUAAACAUACCAAAUUCAGUGCAAGAUAUAGCAUUAGCAUCUUCAGUUAGAGUCAUAACAUAUAUGUACCAUAUAUCACCAUAGUGGAGGUAUUAGGCAAGGUUGACCGCAAUGCACUUAUUAGUACAGGGUAGGUGCUUACAAGAUAAACAAUAGUUUAAUGAAACAACAACGCAUAUUAGUACAUGGUAGACGCUUAAUUAGGCGCCUAUCAUGUACAAAUUGGCACUGCUGCUUCCAAAAACCAUGUUUAAUAUAGUUAGCAUGUACCUAAGCACAUAGCAUUGGUAGUUGGCCAUUACUAUAAAUGAUCAAUGUACUACCAAACACUUAAACAUAGCAUGUUAAACACUCGCAACCCAAAAGAUAAACCGGCACAUAAGUUCAAGCAGUACGGUGGGGCAGAAGUAUCACACGACAACCAUAACAUAAAAAAAGUCUUAACUAGGGUGGGCCUGUAGUAACAACCAAGUAGCGCAUUAGAUCCUCGGCAUCUUGGCCGGACGAGGAGGCCUCGGGAGGUAGAAUGGAAGAUGCCCCUUCGCGUACUUCCCGAGGAAGGCACCAAAAGCGGAAUGUUCAGCCCGGUCCUGGGGCUUGCGGUUCCUCCCAUUACCACGGCUGAUAUCGGUGCCAUGCAUGAUUAGGUUGUCGUAGUUGCUCUUGAUUCUCGCGCAGCAGAAGGGGCAGGCUAUGUUGCCGUAGAGCCUGUUGGAGCCGCUGAGGUAUGGGAUUUCCCCAUUCCGCAGCCUCCUGAGGACGUAGCGGCUCUUGCUUUCCCUCCUCUCCUUACUAUCAUCCACGUCUUCGUCAUCUUCCUGUGUGUUAGUUGAUCGACAGCUAUGUCAGAUUAGGAAUACAGAAAUGUAGCAUUUCAUAAGAGUAUCAAGUACAUUCCGAAAGUAGGAACACAAAAAUAUGAUCAAUCAGAUGAUUCACACAACAUGUACCUCAUGUAUUGCUAUAUAUGUUUAUGUAUUAUUUGUUAUCUUUCUUGUUCUUUUUUCUUUGCUUUGCAUGCGUACCUGUUCUCCCCUGUAAAGAUGUACUCCUAUUUGUACAAUCUAAGUUGACAAUUAACUAAAGGGUUCGGGUUUUAGGGUAUGAACAAAUCAUUUUACUGCAUUCAAGCACAUAUUUUAUUUCAUAUUGAAAAUAGAUAAUUCCAAAAAUAGGAUCAUUUCCUGCCAUUUCUUACAACAAUAUUUUGUAUGAUCUGGUUUUAUCAUAAAGAGAUACCAGACAAUAUCUAAUUUAAUUAUAUUCAAACUAGAUGAGUACAUACUACAAAGUAAAACUACUGCAUCAACAAAGAAAAGAUUGCCCUCACUUGAUAUUGUGAAGACAACAAAUUAUAUGAAUCAUGUCAUGAAUUAUGUAUAAAAAGAGAAAUUUUUGACUGAGGUACAUCGGUUGCGAACAUAAGAAAUUAUGGCUUUAAUUACUCCUUGUUGCUAAUAAUUACAUAGGGUUCGUACAUAAGAAACUCUACAAUGAAUUACUUACUGCAAUCAGAAAAUGUCUUCACAAUAUAGCUGUAAGGCUUCAUGAUUUUCAUCAAAUAAACUAGUUUUUCUGACAACUAAAUAAAUGUACUGUUUACUAGGUCUCAACAGAUUUGGCAAUCAGAUUGAAAAUAAGAUGCAUAGUCCACUUCAUUAUAUGGAAAUCAUGAAGCAGAUAGAAAAGGUUUGCACUGUUAAGGUAUGGAAGAUUCUAUAAGAAAGGAGAAAAUGUGGUAUCAGCUUUGUGCAUAUGGAGCAUUAUGAUUACGCUUAGUAAUGAAAAUUUUCUAUAUAGUAAGAAUGCAAAAGAAAAUCUUGUUGCUAGAAAUGUACUGUUGCAUGGACUUGACAUGCAUGAUUACUGAUGUGGCAUAGUUUCAUGGAUUGAUUUGUCCAAGAGAAGAACUAAUCCAUGUUUGUUGUUAAUGGCAGGCAGUGGCCGUAAAUUGUUACUACAUGCAUCAGUACUGACCAUAUGCAUAACUCGAUGAUGUGGCCCAGUUUCAUGCAUACCAAAACCAGAUAAUGGGUUGCCACUAUUGAAGAACGGAGCAUAGUUUCAUGAAUAGCAAAACCAGAUAAUGGGUUGCACAAUUGAGGAACAGAGCAUAGUUGUAACAGGGGUUCUCUGAUUUAAACUCUCAUCAUUGAUAGUAUUGUUGGUCACUAGCGAGGCACACGUGCAUUGGGCGUGAAAGCAAGAGUUAAUGUCAAUUAUUUUAGAUGCACUUUACAUUGCUAUGUUACUGUAGCAAUGGAUUUUUGUGUGUGUUUUCUUUAAUAAAGAGAUAAUGUUUGUGCAUAAUAUGCAUUCAGAUUCACAAAGUUCAAAGCAUUAGCAAUUCAUUUAGAAGGAAAGACUUUGCGCUGUUAAAGUAUCCAAGAUUCUAUAACAAUGGAGAAACAUAGUGCUAUGAGGUUGUUUGUGCAUAGGUAAAAUUGUGCUUAAGCUUACAAAUGGAAUAUUCUAGAUAGUACGCAUGCUUGGAAUUUUUCUUUUGUAGUAAAUAAGAUAUCGAAUGGCCAACAAUGCUGGGAUUUACCAUCUGUCCACCGUUGGAUUGGCUUCAUCCAACAGCAAAUAUUCAAAGUUGUUUCCAAAGUACAUGUUUUAAAAGUUACCAUUUAUAGAAGCUCAAGCACCGUUGAUAAAUAUUUACUGUUGCAUGUCAACUUUUCAAGUUCUAGAUAUUAAUCAUUGAUCCUCUUGUUGAUUGUCAUGAAAUAAACAAAUUUGUAGGAAAUUUUCCAUCCACUCAAACCUGUCUAAAAGAAUCCUACGUUUUUAGUAUGCACAAUCAAACACUCAUACAAUCCUGUAGGAUUCAAGAUGACAUGCCAUUCUAAUCCCACGUUUUCCCUAUUCCUGCAUUUUGGAAAUCGUACGAAUCAAAGAGGUGAUACCUAACAAAUACACCAUUUUCUACAGCAGAACUGGUUCAUAAUCAGUUUCUAAAUCAUAUUCUUACUCAUCUUCACAAAAUAAUUGCACGCACAGGGGGAUGUUAGGCCUACAUUACUACUGUUCCAUGCCAGGUUUCAGAUUGAAGGGGUUUCCUUCCAAAUGUAUGAAACAACUAGUACUAAUCCUAACCCUAAGGGAGAGAUCAAGAAACAUAACCUAUCUGGACGAAAUCUAAUCCGUGCUGCAUGCAAUUUAGGAGAAAACCCCAUGGGAGAAAACCCCCAAAACAGAGUAGGAGAAUAGAGCAGAACAGAGUAGUACCUCCGAGAGCUCGUCGUCGACCUCCUCGUCGAACUCGACUGCCUUGUCCUGCACUUCCUUAGUGUCGAGCUCGGCCUCCUCGUAGUACUUGUCGAUGAGCUCGUACUGCUCGCGCUUCUGCUUGGCCCUCUGCUCCUCCAGAUCCACCUCCACCUCCUCCUCCACCUGCUCCCCGACCGCAGGCUCGGACGUUGUGAUGGCGGCCAGAGCAGUCACAACAGAUGGUGCACCGCCUCUCGUCGCCGCGAUGGCGCCAUCGGCCACGCCAACCGCGGCGGCAAUGACCACAGCAGGCUUCUCCACUGCUUCUACCGUUGCAUCCUUCUCCACCGCCGUGUCUUCACGGCCGGCCUUCAUCUUCCGACGAUGAAGGGCAAGGGAGAUGAUUGCUGGCUCGUAGGAGGUAGGGUUCGAGGUGAGAGGAGAGGGUUUUUGCUGAUUUGGGGAAGAAAAGUAGCAGGGGUGGGGGAGUGGGAGAGACGGGGUGGGGGAGGCGGCUUUUAUUUAGCUUGUGGGUGGACGUUUGGAGUUACCGAGGCUAGACGCGUGGAGUCGUGCGCUCGUGCACGCCCCAACCACUUUAAUUUUUUUGUCAUGAAUUUGUAUUUUUUUGACCUGUGGUUUAGCGAGGAAAUUAUACAAACCACCUACUUUUGGUGUUACUCUUGCAUAGAACACCUACUUUACAGGUUUGUUCCAAAAAAACACAUAUUGGGGUAAUUUGUUGCAGCAAGGUCUAAUCCGCCAUUUUGGGUGGGUUGACAUGAUUUCUAACAAGUGAGUCCAUUUAGUAAGUGCACCGCAGGAAAAAAACAUUCCACAUCAGCACCCAACUAGAGUUGUGCAAAAUUUACAAAUAGGUACUCCAGAAAUAAUUCUCAUUGUUUCUGGGCCCACAUAAAUGAACUAUUGAUAGUUUUUUUUGUUCCCACAUAACAUGUUGGCACACAAGAGCAUGCACCAAACUUGUUCUCCUUCGACACACAGACGCUAUAACGACGGACAUGUACCAGUAAUAUUCACAUUGCACGUGUCGAUACCAUCUUGACCAACACGCAACAACAUUGGUCUCAUUGGACUCACACAAGCCAAAAGGGGUCCAAAUCAUUCACCAAUUCUUCUAGUCACAUUCCACUCCAAGAUGCGACAAUGGACCGACAUGUAUCAAUCUUGAUCUAUUUGCACAAAUAAUUGGUAUAAGGGCCAGAUGCACCAAUAGAGGUCACAAUGCACUGACACGUGUCACUUGGGCCAACACACACCAUGCCCACAUACAAGGAACAAAUAAGCCUAUAGGAUCCACAUGCACCGAUAAACUACGUCUCGACAUGCAACAACUUUUUGUAGUCACAUUGCACGCAAAGUGCAUACCAAGACACGCCAAUGGCCCGUCAUGUAGCAAUCUUCAUGUGUUUUCACUAAUCAUGGUUUCUUUGGCCUCACGGAUGCCAUAAGGGCCAAAUGCACCAAUAUUGACACGUUGCACUCAAAUGUGCCACUUGGGCCAACAUGGAUCAUGGUUUCUUUACUAGCAAGGAUCACAUAAGCCAUUAUAUAGUGUUGGUACUCUAGCAAAUAACAACAUAUAUCAACAUUGGUCCUAGUUGCAGCUACAUAGGACCACUUAUGCCACACAUGGAGCGCAGCCUCGGUGCAUGGUUUUCUUUCCGUGCGUCUAUGUCUGGAUAAAUGUCUUAAGGAGAGGCAAAUUGGUUCUGCCGAACACACUGCAUCAACCGAACUGGCUAGACCCUUUACCUCACACCCGCAUGGCCCUGGUUCAAAUCCCCGUGAGGCAGUUGGAAAUGCCAAAAAAAUUUCUGUGGGUACUAACACGUGGGGUUCCCUUGUCAUCCACACAAACGCGCCACCACAUGUACCACAUUUGGCUAAGUGCACCUACUAAUCCACAUCAUUUUCAACUUUCUUCUUCCCCUUCUCGACAAGCGCCGCCGCCGCCAUCUCCAGACGACGCCUCUCUUCGCCGCCGGAUCUGCGUGGCCGCUGCCAACUCCAGCAAGUAGGUGAGAUCUCUCCUCAUCCCCCUCGUGAAUCUUCUUCCCUUCCCCAACCGCGUGCGUCCCCCUCUGGACGCGGAUCCGAUCUAGAAAUUUUAAUUGGUACAUGCGGUAGAUGAUUUGUUGAUGGAUAUGAUGGUUCUUUCAUAGAUUGAUGGACGUCGUAGUGUAGGAUCUGAGUUGUACCAGGGAAAAGUGAGGCCCUAUGCAAAUCAAAAUGCGGCCCUAUGUGUGAAAAAAUAAAUCAAAAUAAUUCAUAUGUUCUUCACUAUAGUAUGUAGUACUGACAUUGGAUUGGAUUGGAUUGGGAUUUAUUAGGUAGAUGAUACUGGCAUUGCCAUUGUCAUUGGCAUUGCUUUUUUAGGUAGAUGAUAGUAAACAGAUUUAAUAGGUAUUGCAUUUUAUGUUAUCACUAUGAUUUAUUAUAUGUAUGAUCUUUGUAUUGUACUAUGGUAUCGUACAAUUCAACUUAGAGUUCAACAUGUUCUAUGUAGAAUGGAGGAAGCACCAUGUGGACGGUGCAAGUCACGGUGCCGGACCAGCCUUUGUACUGCCACGCUGUUCGGCAUCUACUUCCAGCCUACUUUUGUUUUGCAGCGGUAACAAUUUAUAUGAACCUUCUGACAGUUCAUUUUUUUCUAUUUCCACUAAUGCAUUGUGUUUGUUAUUUGUUUUUUCUUGCACAGAUUGUCCCAUGCAAUGUGAGAUUGACAUUCAAUGAGCUCAUCGGAGAUACCGUGAUCUUCGACGCUCUUGGGGGGCCGUACACUAUGCAGGUCGAUAAGGGGCGAACGAUAACCCAGAUUGGAGGAGAUGAAUGGGAUCGUUUCUAAAAGCACAAGUGCUCCCUAGGUGGUUUUGGUAAUUAAUGACAACAUAUCUCUUGUUGGACUAACACUCCUAUCUAGUAUAUUUCAGAUAAGUUCAACAAUGGAGUGGCAUGGACUAAAGGAUGUGGGAACUCCUUCAAGAUGCUAAGGACAAAGGAUUGGCUAAAGCUUCAAGCUCAAGACUCUUCAUUUUACAUUUUAGUGAUCCAAGAUCACAUUGAGUUUAUAGGAAAAGCCAAUACUAUCAAGGAGGGAUAAGGUGUUGCUUAAUGAGCCUCUUGCUUCAUGUGCUUAGUGAUAUGCUCCAAAACCCUCAGCUACUUUCUCACAUCCACAAAUGACCUAAACCCAAAGCCAAAAUCGGUCACACCGAUCCUUCCUAUCCGGCGCCACCGAUUCCAAAAGUCAUAGCCACUAUCACAAACCCUAAGCAAAUCGGUUCUACCAAUAGGGAUCUCGGUCUCACCGAGAUGGGAUUGUAAUCUCAAUGUGUAUAUCCAUUACCAAAAUCGGUCUCACCGAGUUUGUGCAAUCAGUACUACCGAGAUUACAAUGCAAAGUUUCUGGUUAGCCUAUUACCAAAAUCGGUCUCACCGAGUUUGGGUGAUCGGUCUCACCGAGUUUGCCUGACCAACUCUCUGGUUAGCUAAUUACCAAAAUCGGUCUCACCAGUUUGUGUAAUCGGCCUCACCGAGAUUAUGUUAUGCCCUAACCCUAACCAUAUCGGUCUCACCGAGAUGCAAGUCAGUCCCAUCGAAAACCCUAACGUUCACUAGGUUUACUAAAUCGGUCCGACCAGUUUAACAAUUCGGUCCCACCGAGUUUGGUAAAUUGUGUGUAACGGUUAGAUUUUGUGUGGAGGUUACAUAUACCCCUCCACCUCCUCUUCAUUCGUGGAGAGAGCCAUCAGACUGAACCUACACUUCCAGCAUCCUAUUUCUGAUAGAGAACUACCUACUCAUGUGUUGAGGCCAAGAUAUUCCAUUCCUACCAUAUGAAUCUUGAUCUCUAGCCUUCCCAAGUUGCUUUCCACUCAAAUCUUCUUUCCACCAGAUCCAAAACCUAUGACAGAGAGUUGAGUGUUGGGGAGACUAUCACUUGAAGCACAAGAGCAAGGAGUUCAUCAUCAACACACCGUUUGUUACUUCUUGGAGAGUGGUGUCUCCUAGAUUGGCUAGGUGUCACUUGGGAGCCUCCGACAAGAUUGUGGAGUUGAACCAAGGAGUUUGUAAGGGCAAGGAGAUCGCCUACUUCGUGAAGAUCUACCGCUAGUGAGGCAAGUCCUUCGUGGGCGACGGCCAUGGUGGGAUAGACAAGGUUGCUUCUUCGUGGACCCUUCGUGGGUGGAGCCCUCCGUGGACUCGCGCAACCGUUACCCUUCGUGGGUUGAAGUCUCCAUCAACGUGGAUGUAGGAUAGCACCACCUAUCCGAACCACGCCAAAAACAUCCGUGUCUCCAAUUGCGUUUGAAUCCUCCAAACCCUUCCCUUUACUUUCUUGCAAGUUGCAUGCUUUACUUUCCGCUGCUCAUAUACUCUUUGCAUACUUGCUUGAUAUGUAUCGUGAAUGUUGAAGUUGUGCCUAAACUCCACUUGAACUUCAAAAAGACUAAAAACUGCAACUUUGGUACUUAGUGUCUAAUCCCCCCCCCCCUCUAGACACCUCUUCUCAAGAUCAUACAGUUUCAUCGCCCGCUUGCGUCUUAGUGGGGGUGAACGGAUCCUCUUCUCCUUAAGAGGACAAAGGCCCAGGAUUUCUGUUAUCUAUCUGAAUUUGAUUGACGAUAGUGAGGAUGAGGUUCAUGAGGAGGACGAUGGUGAGGAUUCAGAUGAUGAUGAGAACCCACUUGAUGAAACCCUCUAUGUCCAAGGAGUGAGGCUGAGCGACAAGGAAACCAGCAACCUCUGGGACAUGUUUCCGCUACGUGAAGACUACGUCGGGAUGCCAUUCGUGACCCGCCUCACAAAGACGAAUGUUAAACAGCAUCUCAUGGUAUGUUACUUAGUGUGGUAAUUACAUGAUAUGCAUGCUUAAUUAGUGUAGUAUUUGAUAUGAUAUGCAUGUUGUAGUACUGUGAUGAUAUGCCUAGUGUAGAAUUCAUUUAGUGCAGAAUUUUAUGGUAUGCAUGUGUUGUAGUAAUGCGAUAUAUGCUUAUGUAGUGUAGUAAUAUGCGAUGAUAUGCUUAGUGUAUGUAGUAUAUAAUCUAAUGAUAUGCUUAAUUACUGUAGUAAUUUGAUGAUUAGCGUGUAUUGUAGUGAUGUGACGUGACAUAUGUGUCUUGAAGUGUAUGGUUUGUUGAUAAUUGCACGUGACAUGCUCAUAUAUCAUAUCAACUGUUUUCAGAAAUUACCUAAGAGGUUAUCUGAUAGCUGUGGCAUCGAGCCGGAUGAAGAAGGCAUGGCUGCUGGACUACGCCUUACCAGAACGGGCUCCAUCACCACCUGUGCAUAUGCAGUGGACACGCACGGUCGCACUAUCUUCAACCGGGAGGGGUGGAAGAAGUUCCUUCAUGGCAAGAAUCUUUCGGUAGGUCAGGGCAUCCUACUCACUAUUGCGAAUACCCGUCGCCGUGACUUGAGGAUGAUGAUCACCAUCAACCUCAUUUGGAACUGGCUGGGCCAUGUUUCGAUGUGAAAUGAACUUCGUAUGUUAGCUCUUGUUUCAGAGUACUUGUCGUGUAUUACUGUACCUAUAUAUAUAUAUUAUAUUAUAUAUAUAUAUAUAUAUAUAUAUAUAUAUAUAUAUAUAUACACAUAAACACUAUUCUGAUCACGGGAUCAGAAUAAUAUUCUGAUCACAACCUGAACUGCCUGAGUAACGCGCCUGAACUUCUCUCUGUACAAACCCGACCUUCGGGCUAUUUUCGCAACCGUGCCUUCUACCGCGAGUUUUUCUGGUUAGUCGUGUUCCAUGUGAUGUAAGUGUAAUCUUCAAACGAUUUUUAGCAACUAAAUACUCGUUUUAGAUAGCAAUCUCGCUCAUAGGCGGAUUUUGCACUCGGGUCGUGAAGAACUCGCGUUUUUUGCGAUUUUACGGCCUGAGUUGUUCGACCUGAACUUCCCCCUGUGCUAGGUUGAACUUCCCGCAACAUUGCCCAAAUAGGUCUUACUAUAUACCGUUGGAAAGCUAUGGACACGUGUAUCAUGACCCAAGUUAAAUUUUUCGCAAAAUGUAAGCGGUUUAAGAGCAGUUUUGAAAACCGUUUUUUCUUCACACAAAAAAUGUGAAUCGUAAUUUCGAUCGCAUUUCUAAACCGUUUAUCGGAAUGAGACAUAUAAUAUGGCGUUGAAAAGCUGCUGCAAAACCGCUCCUUCCACAUGUUUAAAGUUUUUUCUAAUUUCCUAUGGUUAAAGAGUAAUUUGAAAAAACGUAAAAUUUCGUAAACCGGACAGCUGAGUUCGUUUUUUCGAUGUAAUUUCUAAACGGCUAAUCCAAUGGAGGCAUAUGAUAUGGCGUCGGAAAGCUUAGAAAAAUGCUCUACUUUUUCAUCUUGACGGUUUUUUUCUAAUUUUGAAUGGUUUAAGAGUAAUUUAGAAAAUGAUCCAAGUCCUACCGAGUUCGUAUUUUCGAGCUAAUUUUUUAACCGUGCGUCCGAAUGCAGCAAAUGAUAUGGCGUUCGAAAGCUUGAACAAAUGCGAAACUUUUUGGUAUGUAUUGUUUCUCCCAAUUGUUUACGGUUUUAAGUCAGUUUCAAAAAUGGCGAAAAACGUAUUUUCGCCAUAAUUUCUACAAACUUUAUCGGAAUUGGGCAAAUAAUAUACCGUUGAAAAGCUACGGAAAAUGCGAAACUCUUUCGUGUUGAUGGUUUUCUCUGGUUCCUAGCGGUUUUUAUGUAAUUUCGAAAACGGCGAGAUCACUCGUUCUGCCUUUAUUUCAAAACAGAUUCUUCGAAAAUGCACCGCAUGAAGAACCUGAACUUCUCGGCGCGUGUACCUGAACUUCACUCUGUUUUUCACGUGAUUUUUUUGCUCAUAGCUCUCGAUCCACUGCUCGUACCUCUCCAUCCACUCACCGGAAUUGGGCAAGUGAUAUACCGAUGGAAAGCUGUUGUAAACACGCAACUUUCCCGUGUUGAUCAUUUUUUCAUACUCAUGACGAUUUUAAAAGUUUUUUAUCCGAAAUUCAUUUAGCGUAGUAGUUGAACUUCCUGCUAUUUUCACGUUGAACUUCUGUGACGUAUUUUUGUUUGUAAUUUUCUCAUCCACUCGUCGGUGACAAAUUAUAUUCCUUUUGUACAAACCGCUCUCAAAAUAAUUUUUCUAACUUUCUCCGACCGAGGACUUGAACUUAUGACAACAACAAAUUUGGACCUUACCUUUUUAUUCAUUUUUCUCAUAUUAAACACACACCAUGUAGUACAUGAACUUUUUCCAUUUUUAUAAUUUGAAUUUUUUAUUUUCUUUUUGAAAUCAAAUUGCUUCCAAAUAAUAACUGAACUUCUUUGUGGAUUGAGAUAAUUAUUUUAAAAAUCAAAAAUAUUUUUUUUGUGUUUUCGAACAUGGAAAUAUAAGGUGAACCUCUCUCGCAAGAAUUUUUGAACUUCCCCGGACAGAGCACGUGAACUUCUUGCAACAAACCUUUUAAGCUGUUAGUUUUCUAUUCUUUUCUGAAAUGCAUUCCGUGUAGUAGUUGAACUUCCCGCUGUUUUCACCUUGAGCUUCUGUCACGUAUUUUUGUUCAACUUCUCUCACAACAAUUUUUGAACUUUAUCGGGCCGAGCACUUGAACUUCUAGAAACAAAAUCAUUAGCCUUUGCUUUUUCAUUCUUUUUUUAUACAAAAUGCACACCGUGUAGUACGUGAACUUCUGGUAGUUAUCAAUCUGAACUUCUCUCGGUUACGUGAAAAUAUCUGAGUUUUUUAUGAAUAUUAAUCUGACUUUCUUAAUAUUUUUUUAUGAAUUCUGAAGCGCUCUAUUUUUAAAAGUUGAACUUCUUGUUAUUUUAUUUUUGAACUUCUUGUUUCCAUUCUUUAAUAACAAGGAAAAUCCGAGUUUUCUAUAAUCAUGGAACUUCUCCAUCUUUUUAAUUUGGACUUCCUGGUUUUAUUUCUUAACUUUUUUAUGAAUUCUGAAGCGCUCUAUUUUUAAAAGUUGAACUUCUUGUUAUUUUAUUUUUGAACUUCUUGUUUCCAUUCUUUAAUAACAAGGAAAAUCCGAGUUUUCUAUAAUCAUCGAACUUCUCCAUCUUUUUAAUUUGGACUUCCUGGUUUUAUUUCUUAACUUUUCUAUGAAAUUUGAAGCGCUCUAUUUUUAAAAUUUGUUGUCUUUAAAAUUUUCAAUUACUAAGUAGUUAUUCUACAUGACCCAUCCACAUAAUAAUAUAUGAACUUCUCAGGAACUUAUUUUUCAUUAAGCACAUUUAAGUACAUAAUAUACAGGAAGGAGGUCGAAGAUGUGAGCGCGGAUGCAUCUACAUGUAGGAAAAUUUUUGGGUGCUCUUCUUUUUUGAAUGUAGGGUGCUAUUUUUUUAAGAGUGCAAGGUCAGAACAAGUCUCAUAUCCAUUGAACAUCUACAAUAUUAACUCUCAAACAUCAGCAAAACAACUUGAAGAAAAACAGUACCAGUUCUCAUUUGGCAUAUCAACAAGCAUAUACAGAGCACGUAAUCAGAACCUACUCUCGGCAUAAAUUCACCAUGAUGUUUUUAUUGCAUGCUGGCCUGUUCUCCUGGAGCACAAGACAGAGGAGAGGCGAGACAUUGUGCAUGCUUCCCAACCAGUACUUUUUGAACUUCCAUAUUUUUUUUGGAACCAUGAUCAUGGGGAAGUUCUAUGAAAUUUGACGGGGAAGGUCGCUGAGAGAAGCGACAACAGGUAACACACGAGCGAUGGUGACCAUAUGGCCAGCUUGCGGCGAACCAGCAACCUGUACUCGAGAGAAGGAAGCUGCACUGCAGUUGAAAGUCCAAGAACCGAUGUCGCGUGAUGCCGAGCGUGGGGAAGAUGACCGGAGCUGGUGCAAGGGGGAGCAGGAGGCCGCCCCAUGCAUGCCUCUUCCCAUGCCUUGCCGGGGGUCGUGGCCGGCUGGAUCCAGCCGCCCGCUCGACUGGAUCGGCGAUAAGGUUUACGGGGGCGGCGUGAUCCGCGCGGUGGCUAGGUCCGCUGCACGGCGAAGGGAUGGUGGCGCUUGGAGGUGAGGAUGAGGGCGUGGCGGCGGGGUUCUCCGGGGAGGGCGUGCGCCGGCGUGGGGAUCGGGGAUCCGGGGAGGUGGCUCGGCUACGGGGGGAAGCGGGGGCGUGGCGGCUCCGCGGGCCGGGAAGGAGGCGGCGGUGGUUGCGAGGGCCGGGGAGGGAGGCGGCGGUGGCUGCACGGGCGGAGGGAGGCGGUGGCCGCGCUGGCCAAGGAGGGAGGCGGUGGUCGCGCCGGCCAGGGAGGAAGGCGGUGGUGGCCGCGNNNNNNNNNNNNNNNNNNNNNNNNNNNNNNNNNNNNNNNNNNNNNNNNNNNNNNNNNNNNNNNNNNNNNNNNNNNNNNNNNNNNNNNNNNNNNNNNNNNNNNNNNNNNNNNNNNNNNNNNNNNNNNNNNNNNNNNNNNNNNNNNNNNNNNNNNNNNNNNNNNNNNNNNNNNNNNNNNNNNNNNNNNNNNNNNNNNNNNNNNNNNNNNNNNNNNNNNNNNNNNNNNNNNNNNNNNNNNNNNNNNNNNNNNNNNNNNCUGUGUGGUGUGGUUCGUAGCAGAGGGCAGAUGGGAUCGGGGAGGGGAUCGUGGGGAUGGUGGGGGUGGGUGGAGAUUUUUUCCUUUUUUACCGAUUCGGGAGUUUGGAAGGAUCCCGUCACUCCAUAUAUAAGCACCCCGUGAUCCAAAUAGUUAUUUUGAUCCCAUGAUCAUAAUAGUGCUACUCUCUCUCUCUCUCUCUCUCUCUCUAUAUAUAUAUAUAUAUAUAUAUAUAUAUAUAUAGGUUCAAUAAAUGGGCCAUGUAUCGAUGUGAAAUGAACUUGUUAUGUUUGGGCUUGCUUUGCUAUUGCCCCAGCGGUUAUUUGUGACUUCCUUGAACUUGAAUCUGUCUUGAAAUGUUAUUGGAUGCUUGGUGAUGUUGCUUUAUAGUAUAAAGCUGGGGGCGUUGGGGGACCUUUUUAGUAGGUUUGGUUAAUGGAGUUUAGCUCUUAUUGUACUUAUUGUUUUCUUUUCCAUACAAUUCUGAACCCAAACUACACAUGGCACAACCUUCUGUGAUUAGUUCCUUUGAUAACUAGUACUCCCUCUGUAAACUAAUAUAAGAGCGUUUAGAUUACUAAAAUAGUGAUCUAAAUGCUCUUAUAUUAGUUUACGGAGGGAGUAUUGAAGAGCAGCCACAGAGUUCCAUUCACAAUUUACUUGAAUUUUUGUUUUGAUGGAUAAACAAAAUAGGAAGCUAGCAAACUUAUUUAACAAGAUAAGCAAACUAUGUACUUGAUUACAUAAGCAAACUUAUUCAACCCUGACAAACUAGACAUAAACAAACAGGUUCAACUAUGACACACAUGACAUAUACAAGCUGGUUUAACCCAAGAAAAGCAAACUACAAAUUUCAAACAAUAAGAUAAAGGACAAGCACAAGCGCAAGCAACACGAAGGCAGAUUUUGAUGUCUCCUCAUCCCGCAUAGUGGCAGUGGUAGGAGGGGUCCUCUUCCUGCUCUUUUGAAAUUUCCAGACCUCUUUUGAUGUUGUUGAUUAUCUUCCACGACUUGUAGGUGGCGUACGCAUCUAUUGUUGCGUACUCGAUGAAUUAAUCUGGCAGUGGGCUGACCCCCCACAGUUUAUGGUUUGCCUGCUUGUCGAUCUUGUUCUUCAUCUUGCUGUAGAAUGGGUGGAUGACGCUGGCUGCAACAUUAGCCAAGGAGUCAUACGGUUUUCCGUUGUAUGGAACUCUCCAGUUGCGCUGAAUGUCGAUGUGCUUGUUGGGGUUUAUCUCCAAACCAGACAUCUUCAACUUGUCCCUGUCAUUUUUAAUGCUGAAACCGGCAAAGGUGAACAACUUCUCCUCCUGUAGGAACUCUUUGAGGCGCUUUGGCCUGCUAGGGGAGAGACAAGUGAUGAAUACAUGGAGUACUAGUGUUUAUUUUCAAGAUUUAAUCAUCUGUUUUUUACGGUUUACAAGUGAAUAAUACAUGGAGUAGAUGCUUAUACAGUAUAAGUCAUGGAUGAAUGUAGUUCAGAAACUAGUACACAAAGUUCUGAAAUUAAAAUCAAGUACACCAUGUUAUUUUUCUUUUUGGAAUAUAUAGUUGAGUCAAUGAUCUAUUUGCUUUCUUAGUGCCAGUUUAGUUUUAUUUUGUUGAAUAAAAUAACAUAUACCUCUGCUUCACCAAGUUCUUAAGUUUUUUUGGUGGUGAAAAUAACACCAGACCAAGUUCAGAAACUACUUGACUACAUCAAGUUCAGAAAAUUAGACUAAUGAAUCAAGAUGAGAAACUACACUUGUACAUCAAGCUCACAAAUUAAUCUUGUGCAACAAUUUCAGAUACUAUUCAAGUGCACCAGGUUCAAAAUAUAUUCUAGUGCAUCUACUUUGAGGAACUGCACUAGUGCAUCCAUUUUCACAAACUACACUAGUACAUCUAGUAUGAAACUAGUCUAAUGAAAUUUUGAGGGAGCAGUAUUGAUGAAUGGAAGAGGGUGAAUGAGUAGGAUUUUUCACCAUUUUGUGGCCGCAGCAAUGUGGUACACGAGGCAGAGACCCUCCACGCAGAACUGCAGAACUGCUGCCAUCUGCGGAGGUUCAUCAUCUUUGGUAAACUCCACAUCAACACCGAUGAUGUGGGGAUACGAGCCGCAUGCGCUCCUCUUGAUCCAAAAGAUCAUCUCGUCGGCCUUGUCUGGUUCGCUAGUGCAGACGACCUCCAUCAUCUCCUUGCCGUGGAGCUCAACCCCUUUGAGGGUUACGGUGUACUUGCGCUUCUGACCGGGAACGUGAAUGACGUCAAGGUUGCCGCUCUGGUCGGACAUCUGGCCACAAUGACGCUUGGCAGACGCUUCCUCCGCCAUUACCCUCCUCCUACGACUGCGAUGUUUGUGGGUUGUUUGUAGAAGAGAUGGAAGCGGCAAUGGAGGUUCUCGGAAUGAGGCAGUGAUGUAGUCGAUUUGGGGCUUUUCCACGACUGGGAUGGGGACGUGGGGGAGGUGGUUCGUGUGUAGGAUGUGGGGUUAGUGGUGGUGGGGCGCAGUUGCAAUCCGACGUGGCAACUGCGCUCUAUGCACUGCUGGGUUUGCGUGCGUCUGAGUUUAGUCCCACCACGGGCCUGCAUCCUGGCCCAUAUCACUGGGUUUGUUGUCGUAUGCGAGCCGUGGUGUGCGAAAUAUCAUGUUAGGUAGGUGGGCUUUUUUCUAUAAAAUCUUUUUUUGCCUAUGUGACAUGUUGACUUAUACUAAAAUAACACUUCCUUUUUUUAGGUACACGUUACUUAUGUGAAAAGUUUAAGUUUGAUAACAAUUAAAAACAUUUAAAACCUUGCCACAUUGGCUUUCUUGGACAUGUCUAAAAAGUUUAAGUUUGAAAACAAUUGAAAAACAUGUAAAACCUUGCAUCAUUGAAUUUUAAUUUUAAAAUAAAUUUGAAAUAUUGCAGUUAAUUUGUAGACCAUCUCUAAAUCAAACCAAAUUUGUUUUACAUUGUCACAUACAUGUGACAAACAUUGUUAUUUACAGAUCAUGUGUGCAAAAACUAAGGUGAUUUAGAUGUGGUCGAAAAAAGGUGAUUUUUUUUCACCACCUCCAAAUCACCUAAAAUUUAUUCUACAUGCUCAAAUAGAUGAGCCAAACAUGUCUAUGACAGAAAUUUGAAAAAAAAUGUAUCCUACAAUUCCCGCUUAAGGUGUAGACCAUUGUUUUGAUCAGUCAGUCUACAAGGCAGAAUAAAUUCAAAACAAAUUAAAAAAUUAUAAAACAUUGAAAACCUAGCUAUGUUUGUGCAACAUAUCAAGUGUGCAAAAUUAGAGAUGAUUUAGAGGAGGUCAAAAAAAUCACGCUAAAACACGAGGGGCCAUUUGGUCUCACUUAAGCCAGUUUUUGUAUAAAAUGUGAUUUUUCUACCACCUCCAAAUCACCACAAAUUUGUUCUACAUGCUUAAAUAGAUGUGCCUAGCAUGUCUAUGAGAGAAAUUUGGAAAAAAUGUAUUCUACAAUGUCCGCUUAAGGUGUAGACCGUUGUUUUGAUCAGUCAGUCUACAGGACAGAAUAAAUUCAAAAAAAAUUAAACAAUUAGAAAACCUUGAAAACCUAGCUAUGUUUUUGCGACAUAUUAAGUGUGCAAAAUUAUAGGUGAUUUAGAGAAGGUCGAAAAAAUCAUGCUUAAACACGAGGGACCAUUUGGUCUCACUUAAGCCAUUUUUUGUAGAAAAUGUGAUUUUUUUACACCACCUCCAAAUCACCCCAAAUUUGUUCUAGAUGCUCAAAAUAGAUGUGCCAAGCAUGUCUAUGAAAGAAAUUUGGAAAAAAAUGUAUCCUACAAUGCCUGCUUAAGGUGUAGACCAAUGUUUUGAUCAGUCAGUCUACACGGCAAAAUAAAUUAGAAACAAUUAUAAAAUUUUAAAACCUUGAAACCUAGCUAUGUUUGUGCAACAUAUCAAGUGUGAAAAAUUAUAGGUGAUUUAGAGGAGGUGGAAAAAAUCACGCUAAAACACGAGGGACCAUUUGGUCUACACUUAAGCCAGUUUUUGUAGAAAAUGUGAUUUUUUUCCACCACCGCCAAAUCACCACAAAUUUGUUCUACAUGCUUAAAUAUAUGUGCCUAGCAUGUCUAUGAGAGAAAUUUGGAAAAAAAUGUAUCCUACAAUGCCCGCUUAAGAUGUAGACCGUUGUUUUCAUGAGUCAGUCUACAGGGCAGAAUAAAUUCAAAAAAAAUUCUAAAACCUUGAAAACCUAGCUAUAUUUGUGCAACAUAUCAAGUGUGAAAAAUUAUAGGUGAUUUAGAGAAGGUCUAAAAAAUCAGCUUAAACACGAGGUACCAUUUGGUCUCACUUAAGCCAUUUUUUGUAGAAAAUGUGAUUUUUUCCACCACCUUCAAAUCACCCCAAAUUUGUUCUAGAUGCUCAAAUAGAUGUUCCAAGCAUGUCUAUGAAAGAAAUUUGGAAAAAAUGUAUCCUACAAUGCCCGCUUAAGGUGUAGACCGAUGUUUUGAUCAGUCAGUCUAUAGCGCAGAAUAAAUUCAAAAAAAAUUAUAAAAUCUUGAAAACCUAGCUAUGCUUGUGCAACAUAUCAAGUGUGCAAAAUUAGAGGUGGUUUAGAGGAAGUCGAAAAAAUCAUUCUAAAACACGAGGGACCAUUUGGUCACUUAAGCCAGUUUUUGUAGAAAAUGUGUUUUCCACCACAUCCAAAUCACCACAAAUUUUUUCUACAUGCUUAAAUAGAUGUGUCUAGCAUGUCUAUGAGAGAAAUUUGGAGAAAAAUGUAUCCUACAAUGCCCGCUUAAGGUGUGGACCGUUGUUUUGAUCAGUCAGUCUACCAGGCAAAAUAAAUUCAAAAAAAAUUAAAAAAUUAUAAAACCUUGAAAAUCUAGCUAUGUUUGUGCAAAAUAUCAAGUGUGCAAAAUUAUAGGUGAUUUAGAGAAGGUCGAAAAAAUCACACUUAAACACGCGGGACCAUUUUCUCUCACUUAAGCCAUUUUUUGUAGAAAAUGUGAUUUUUUUUCCACCACCUCCAAAUCACCCCAAAUUUGUUCUAGAUGCUCAAAUAGAUGUGCCAAGCAUGUCUAUCAAAGAAAUUUGAAAAAAAAUGUACCUACAAUGCCCGCUUAAGGUGUAGACCGAUGUUUCGAUCAGUUAGUCUACAGGGCAGAAUAAAUUCAAAAAAAAUAAAAAAAAUUAUAAAACCUUGAAAACAUAGUUAUGUUUGUGCAACAUAUCAAGUGUGCAAAAUUAUAGGGUAUUUAGAGGAGGUCGAAAAAAAUCACGGUUUAAUUUGUGUGUGGGGGGAGGGGGGGGUAGACCUCCCGAGAGCCGUUUACUGGUCAUUUUCGUUCCGUAUAUGUGUAAACAUUCCAAAUUUUGCCCAACAUGAAAAGAAUAUUAUGCGUGCAUGCUCUAUGUGGUCAAGGGAUGCGAUGCAGCAAAAUUGGGAUCAUUAGUGCAUGUAUACGCAAGUAGGGUCUCUGAAACGCACUUUUUGGGGAUAGCCUGUCACCACCCCGAGAGCACUAGCUCGGUUUCUCACCUGUAUGAAACCAACCCAACAUUUUACGAUGACAAGUCAUGGCCAUGUUAGGGCUACUUGCCAUGUUUCAACCAUCUUCAACAAAUUUUGAAAGUGUCGUCACAUGCGGGAUUUUUUCGGUCAUUAGUACAAUGUGGACCAUUUUCAACAUUUAUUGCAUGUUUUGUCACGUAUGGCAUUUUUCAGGCAUAUGCGACAUGAAAAAACCAUUUUUAAUACUUAAAAAACAAGGACAAUAUUUUCUAGAUUUUUUGGGAUAUCAUUGUGAUAUGAUUGAAAUCUCACAUAACUCACGCGGCCCACCCCUCCCUAAAUCCCGCAAUUACAGCGCCUCAUUCUAACCACCCGGCCGUGCCAUCCACAGCUCCCACGGCUGCUGCACGAUCAGAUCGGAGAUGCCGGGCUCACACGGAUUACAGCAGUCGCCGGCCACCGCCCACCACCAUGAGGGGUCGGACUUCAGUGUUCUUCUCCCGCUCCCUCCGUUUAUCCUUGUCGCCGUCUACUGCACUAUAGGGGCACUUCUAGUUUGCGACGCACUGUCCACGGCCAUCAACUCGGCGCCGCCGUCUCCGAGAGAAGGUAUUUCCUGAUCGUAGCUUUUUUUAAUCGUUGUCGGCCGCUCCUUUAGUAGUUGAACCCUCAUAGGUUUUGCACAACUUCACGUGGUUAAGCAAUUGGAUACCCAUGUUAAACUACGCUUAUUUUAUGCACGACCAACUAGGUUGUGUGCUUAAAGUGAUAAGUGGAUCAUAUGUUAAAUGAUGCACUUAUUUUUUUUUAAUAUUAGUUGACUGCUAAUUUUGUUAUACAUCUUUUAAUUAUUGUCUUCAUAUUAAUUGACCCGGUUUUCAUCAUUGCAUACAAGCUAGCAAUGUCAGUUUUAGAUAAAAGUCUUUGUAACAGAGAAAAGCCUUGAAGAACUCAAACUAAAAUUUGACAGCAAGACCGUACGCAAACAAAUGUUUUUGUUAUCAUCACGGUCACGUAGAGCCAUGAGCAGCUAUGUUGAGCCCAUUCAAACACAAAUAGGUAGCAUCAAUUGAUACAUGAUCUUGCUCAUGCUCUACUUUUAGCAUCAUUUGAUACAUGUUCAGUUCUUAUCAUAAAGUGGAUAUAUGUACCUUUGGCAAUCAUGAGCAUCCUCUACUUAUUGCUAUAACUAAUGCAUCCUUAGUACAAAAAUUGAAUUGGCAAUACGGUUGUAUUGGCAAUGAUUUGCAUGCUUUACUUUUGGCAAGAACUAAUGCAUAGAUGAGUUAUAACUGGUCAUAGAUAUGGCUGGAACAUCUAGAGUUAUCAUCACGGUCACGCGGAGACCCUAAACCAUCACCAGAUAUGUUGAGCCCAUUCAAACACAAAUAAAGCAGCAAUUGAUACAUGUUCAUGCUCAUGCUUUACUUUUGGCAUAAUUUGAUACAUGUUCAGUUCUUACCAGAAAGUGGAAACAUGCACUUUUGGGAAACAUGAGCGUCCUCUACUUAUUGCAAUAACUAAGGCAUCCUCAGUACAAAGCUUCAAUUGGCAAUAGGUAGAAUUGGCAAUCAUUUGCAUGCUUUACUUUUGGCAAAAACUAAUGCAUAGUUCAGUUGUAACUGGUCAUAGAUAUGGCUGGAACAUCCUGAGUUAUAAACUGAACAUAAUCAUGCCAAGCUAUAACUACCAUAUUUAUAGUAAUAGAGUUCCUAGCAUGCAUCACCAUAUGAUUCAAGAACGGUUGAAUUAACACAGCUAACAUAACAUAGACCAUCGUACGAUACUUGAGUUGCUAUGGCCUUGUACAAUGCAAGGUGAUUAGGCGAGGUGUUUAGAGAGAUAAACCAGGCUUUUCUUAAGCACCGGUGCUUAUUUGUACAGGGUAGACGCAUAACUAGGCGUCUGUCCUGUACAAAUAGCCAAUGGUGCUUCAGGAAAAACCCAGUUUAUUUUUCUAAGCACCACCCUUAGCAUCUACCAUUGUAUAAUGCCUAACAUGCAUCAGCAAAAUAGUACUAAUAACAACUUAGACAACUUAAGCAGGUUAGCAGCAAACACUUAGAUAAACGGCAGAUUAACCACCGCACACCAUAAGUUCACACCCACCAUAGACCAUAGGACAUAAGUUCUUACACACCAUAGAUAAUAAGUUUUAGAGUCGACCAGUGAAUACCGAUAACAUAAAAGGACACGGCGGUCCUGGGGCAGCAGCAGUAGUCUAGCAGCACAUCACUUGUCUCCCAUGUUCAGCAGCGGCGCGGCGGGAUGUAGUAGGGCUCAUUGACUUUGACAAUCUUUAGGAAGCGCCCGUAGGCCGCAUAUUUGGCCAGAGUACUGGCCUUUUGCUUCCUACUGUAGGAGUUGCCAGUGGCAACAGCAUGCUGCAUCAAGCCAUCUAUGCCGCCCUUGAUCGCCUUGCCAUAGAAGGGGCAACCAAGCUUGCCAUAGAAACAGUACUUGAAUUUUCCAGCAAUCAGCUGCCUCAUGAUGUAGCGGCUCUUGUUGUGCCUGCUGUCCAUGUCAUACCCCACAUCAUCGUCAUCCUCCUGUGAAUUAGUACACAAAGAAGAAUUCAGUUAAUCUAUUCUGCUACAUUGCUCUUAAUUAGAAUGUUUGAAAAGUACAGACGUGUAACAUGACAACUAUCUAUUUGCUGGAAAUAAGGCGUAUAUGCACAUACAUACUUGACCCAAAUAAUUUGACAUGCAUAAAUAUGGAUGGUGGAAUAGUUGCAUUGAUAGAUUAGUGCACAAGAAGUACAUAAUUAACACAUGAAAGAAUUCAUGAUGUGGCUUGGUUUAAUGAUACUUGAUACUUGUUACAGGUGUAAUUCUGAUUGGAAUCAGAAAAAAGGCUUCAUUAUACUCCUCCAUGUUACACACAAGGGGGUAUUCUUCUAUCUACUAGAAUCAAGAAACCAAUAUUCUUUCUAAGAGCAGCAAUACUAAUUCUCCAACAUUGUUAGCCCCUGAUAACUUUUAGAAGGAAAUUGAUAAAGGAGCUAUGGGCUACUAUCUUUAUCCCUUAACUUGUGACUCUGAUGAUACCGGUGUGGAAAAUACUUUGGAGGAACUUAACUUGGAAAAGGAAAUUUUGUCAUGCAAAACAAAGUGUUUUUUGUCUAUUUAUUGGAAUCAGAAAUUGAAUUCCAGUUUUACAAAUAUAUGCUAAAAAAGAUUCAUUCCAGUGGUCUAAAAAAAGAUUCAUAAAUUGAAUUCUAGUUUUACAAAUACAAGUUGAGUAUUUAGGGCAUGUUGUCUAAAAAACAUUCAUUCCAGUGGUCAGAUGCUGAAAUUGAGGCCUUCACAACAUUGAAGAAUUGUCUGGUCACUGCUCUUGUUAUGGCUUUGCCUUAUUUGACCCUACCAUUUACUUUUUAAAUAGAUGCAUCAGGUGAAGGUAUUGGUUCUGUCCUCAUGCAACAAGGCAGACCAAUUGCUAGAAAAGGAAAUGUUGUCAUGCAAAACAGGGGUUGUCAAAGACAUAAUCAAGUGGUCGGAACAGGAUUCUUACUAAUUAAAUCUGAAUGUAGAUGCAUCAUAUGAUAGUUAAGAAGGAGAUGAGUCGACGGGUGGUGUUUUAAGAGAUCAGUAUGGCAACUUUGUGUCAAUUCAGUAAAUUACCAUUAUAUUGCAAAUGCAUCAUCUGCCUGCUUGAUGGAUUCAGUGGCAAUGAAAGAAGGCCUAUCUUUGGUAGCACCUGUAGGCUAUCAUCAAAUUAUUGUAGAAUGGGAUUUCUUACAAGUUGUUCAAGCUUUUACUCGAGGUAACACAUGGUGGAAUGAAGGAUCACGUAUUAUUGUUGAUAGUUUUGAUCUAGUUCUGGAGAUAGGAACUGCGCAUUUUCUCACUGUCCUCGGGAAGCCAAUGGUGUCGCACAUGAGAUCGCUAGAAAUAGCUAUGAGAAUCAUCUAUCUUGUAUUUGGGUUGAUUACCCCACUUCUUUCAUUCAUGUAUCCCUUGUGAACAAUGUAAGUUUGCUUAAUCAAUAAAACAUGCCGUGAUGGAAUCAGAUAAUGAAUCUCUGUUUUAGCUAUACUAGUGGUUUUUUCUUCUGUCUAUUCGAAUCAGAAAAUAAAUCAGAUUCUAAAACCAUCAUCCAACAAGAAAAUAUAUGCUGGAUCCCUAGCUACAAUCCUACAUGUACGCAAACAUUAUGGUUGGGCCAGUACAUGAGUAGAAAUACCUCAUCAACACGUGAAGAAAAUGAUUCAGAUUCAAAAACCACCAUUCAUUAUGCAAGAAAAUCUAUGCUAGAUCCUUUCAACUAGCACGCCCAUAUGAAAUUGAUGCUCAUGUACUUAACAAAAAAAAACCAAUGCCAUGAAAAAACAGAGUACUUACAGGAAAUAUAAAUCUAAUAAAAUCAGAUUAGUACCUCAGAUAGCUCGUCGAUGACAUCCUCAUCGUAGUCGCUGCCCUUCCUGGGAUCCGCAGCCAUCUCGAACUCUAUUUCCUCCACGUCAUUCCCCUCGUAGAACUCCUCGAUUUUGUCAUAGAGCUCGCGCUUCAGCCUCACCUUCUGCUCGUCCAGAUCUUCAUCGACCUUCUCCUGCAUAGGCUCGCCGUCGGAUAGCUCGCCGGCCGGGAUGACAGCGGGAGGAGGCACAACAGUUGCUGCACCGCCUCCAUCACCGCUACGGCGGACUCAGCCGCUGCAACUGCGGCGGCAGCCACGACAGCAGACUGCUCUCCACCGAUGGUUGCCUCCGGCUCUUCCAUCGCAUCUUCACGGCCGCGCUUCAUUGGCGGUCGAUGAGAGGACGAGGGACGUGUUGGAAGGGAGGAGAGGAGUGGAGUGGUGAGGAAGGGAGGAGGGUUUGGGAGAGGACGAGGUGGUAUGGCUGGAGUGGGAGAGGACGAGGGUUUUCUACCCGAUUUGUGGAAGAAAAUGAAUGCGGCUGCCUCUUCGAGUUACCGAGGGGUCGAGGGGGGUGAUUUGUCUCACAUACCAGGGCCUUCCACAGUGAGGACGCGUGGGGUUUGCCCUGCGCCAUGCACCUCGCGUGCGGUUUGCCCCGCGCCGCCCUUCAAACUGCUGACACGUGGACACCAGCAGUGGUUACACAUGAUAGAUAUGGUAAAUGAAUUUCUUAAAUCUGAGGGCACGUAAUUUGUAUCAAAAUGCAUCAUCAGCUUAGUGGUAAGACCCUCACGAUCACAUACUAAUGCCCUUGGUUCGAAACUCCGUCGUGCAGUUUAGUUCCCUCUUUUUUGCCUAUGUGGUUUUUACAUGUGUGGAUCCCACAUGUCAUUCACACACAUGGAGAACACGUACAAACAAACUUGCCGGACAUGAUGUAAAUGGACCCAAAAAAUUUCUACUUCUAUGUAUCAUUCUUGUAUGGAUUUUCUAGUACGAUUAAGUGCUUAAAAUACUUCUCGGAGGUGAUGCGACAAGCGCACGUUGUCGAUCCACUGGGGUGGCCAUGCCCACAACAAGGAAAAAUUUGGUGUCCUUCUUAACAUGGCCAAAAAUUCACCUCCUUCACCGGCGGCUGUUCGGGUAGGAGGUAAGGGUCCGUGUGGAAGGACAGUUUUUUCUCGACAUGCUUCAAAUGGACCUAUAUUCUUUCUACACCCUUGUACCAACAUGAGAAGCAUCCAUGACUAGUUCCAUUGAUUUUCGAUGUUUUUAUUAUUUUUCUAGGGUUAUCACGACGAUAAAACCCUAAAAUAUUUCCCACCAGCGCCACCCUUCCCUCUGAUCACUCUGACUAGCAUGUACUUAACUUAGCAUCAAGGCCAUGAAAACAGGAAUCAGAACCGUAUUAGAUUUUGAUCCCACACAUACAAAAUAGAUAACACAAAUCACAGAUUGCAGGUACUACAAUUAUCUGAGUGAACUUCUAAUGCAUAACAACUUCUGGUAUUCAAAUACAUCACAUGAAGUACUGGGACAACUAGAAAUGCAAAACAGCUUCUGAUGUUGAGAUUGAGCAAGGGAUUUUUAUUGUGAGGCGCAGCAUCUUCAGCAACCUAUCCAUGAUUCCACCUGUAGCAUAUAAGUAACUGAAAAUUUUAGAUUGAAUACAGUUGGUAUUGGAAAAAUGAUAGUACGGUAAUUUGAAGAUGCCAAGGAAAUCUGUCACAACAACUGUAGGAGGAUACAAAUUUGAAUACAAAGUUCAUAGAUGUCAAUGUUGAAUUAAUAAGACCUUUGUAAGAUGCAAAAUCACUGCUGUGAUGAGAGUAAACAGCAUGUAGGCCAUAGCACAUGCAAGAAGCACUUACAGGAAGUGAAGGAAAAGGUUGUACAGCACGGCAACAUGAGUAAGCCAACAUCCCUACUAAAAUUAUUUCACUGCUUAUGUCUAGUUUUUUUCUUGAAUCAUUAGGAAGCCCUAAAUAUUUUGAUGCAAGAUCACCGACAGGGCAUUAAUGAAAUAUUUCAAUGUCUACAUCUCUCUACUGAAAGGCGUUACUGAAAUAUUUCAGUGGCUACGUGUGUGUGUAGUGAAACAACACCACUGAAAUAUUUCAGUUGCUACAUGCGUGUACUGAAACAGCACCACUGAAAUAUUUUAGUUGGUACGUGUGUGUACUGAAAGUGAACCGCUGAAAUAUUUCAGUGGAUACGUGCGUGUACUGAAAGUGCACUACCGAAAUAUUUCAGCGGCUACUUGCUUGUACUGAAACAGCACCCCAGAAAUAUUUCAGUGGCUACGCGUGUGUCCUGAAACUGCUACACUGAAAUAUUUCAGGGGUUGCAUGCCUGUACAAAAACUACAGUAUUGAAUUAUUUCAGGGGUUGCGUGCGUGUACUGAAACUGCAGUACUGAAAUUUUUCAGUGUCUACCCGUGUGUACUGAAAUUGCAUUGCACUACUGAAAUAUUUCAGUGUGUACCCGUGUGUACUGCAAUUGCACUACUCAAAUCUUUCAGUGUGAACCGGUCAGUACUGAAAUAUUUCAAUGCCUACAACUAUCUACUGAACUUGCAGUAUUGAAAUAUUUCAGUGUCAACCCAGAGUCUAUCACUCUAAAACUGUGUACUGAACUUGUCUGGAGGCACUUCUUGCAGCCUCGAUGGUGCAAGUUCAAUUUACACAGAUUGCAUCACGUAAUUUGAACACAACUCUUGAGGUGACAGAAAAAAUUUCAUAUCAUGGAUACCACUCCAGAACAUCAAAACAUAGCAAUGAUGGUGAAUCAGAGUAUAGAUCUGAAGCCUAAAAAUAACUAAGUGAGGAAGAACAAGUUUCACAGUUUCACAUUAGAAUUUUAGAUCUACCGCAUGACAGGAAAAGGAAAAUAUUUAGACCUAAAGGUUGGUGCUUGAGCAGUUCAUGAAGUUCCAGAUCAGGUUUUUAUACACAAAAGAGAUGAUCUGAUGGCAAAAGAAGGAUUAUCAUUACUACUGCAUAAGAGUAUAUCACAUUUGGAGUCUAUCCUAUAGGACUUAAUGAAGAACAGGGGAAGAACACCAUGAAGCUUCGAGGAGCCCGUGCGAACCCUAAACAGAUCUAUGGAGGAAAGGAAGAAGAACUCACCAAAAACUGUUGAACAGCGGAGAGGCGCCGUGAUUUUCUGGUACUGGCAGGGUGAUGCAGCGGCCAAGGUCGGGGCAUGAUACGUCUCCAACGUAUCUAUAAUUUUUUAUCAUUCCAUGCUACUAUAUUAUCAACUUUGGAUGUUUUAUAUGCAUGAUUAUGCUAUUUUAUAUUAUUUUUGGGACUAACCUAUUAACCUAGAGCCCAGUGCCAGUUCCUGUUUUUUCCAUGUUUUUAACCUUUUUCAGAUAGGAAUAUCAGACGGAGUCCAAACGGAAUAAAACCUUCGCUGUGAUUUUUUAUGGAAAAUAUCAAAAAUACCAGAAAGAAAAGAUACCAGAGGGGAGUCCCGAGGAGAUCACAAGCCAGGUAGGCGUGCCCACCCCCCUGGGCGCGCCUGGUGGGCUUGUGACCCCCUCGUGGGUCCCUCCAACUUGUUCUCGAUGCCAUCUGGUCGUAUAAAUACAGAAACCUCCAGAAGCCUCUGUAGCCACCAAAAACCAAUCGGGAGCCCUUUCUGGCACCCUGCCGGAGGGGGAACCCAUCUCCGGUGUCCAUCUUCAUCAUCCCUGUGAUUUCCAUGACGAGGAGGGAGUAGUUCUCCCACGGGGCUGAGGGUAUGUACCAGUAGCUAUGUGUUUGAUCUCUCUCUCUCUCUCUCUCUCUCUCUCUCUCUCUCUCUCGUGUUCUUGAGAUGUAAUGAUCUUGAUGUAUCGCGGACUUUGCUACUAUAGUUGAAUCUUAUGAUGUUCUUCCCCCUCUCCCUUCUUGUAAUGAAUUGAGUUUUCCCUUUGAAGUUAUCUUAUCGGAUUGAGUCUUUAAGAACACUUGAUGUAUGUCUUGCACGUGUCUAUCUGUGGUGACUAUGGGAUAUUCAUGUGAGUACUUGAUGUAUGUUUUGGUGAUCAACUCGCGGGUUUCGUGACAUUGGGAACCUAUGCAUAGGGGUUGGCGCAUGUUUGACUCUCCUGUAGAAACUUUGGGACACUCUUUGAAGUUCUAUGUGUUGGUUGAAUAGAUGAUUCUGAGAUUGUGUGAUGCAUAUCGUAUAAUCAUGCCCACGAAUACGUGAGGUGACAAUGGAGUAUCUAGGUGACAUUAUGGUCUUGGUUGAUAUGUGUCUUAGGGUGUUAUUCUAGUACGAACUCUAUGAUAGAUUGAACGAAAAGAAUAGCUUCGUGUUAUUUUACUACGGACUCUUAAAUAGAUCGAUCAGAAAGAAUAACUUUGUGGUGGUUUCGUACCCGACAAUAAUCUCUUCGUUUGUUCUCCGCUAUUAGUGGCUUUGAAGUGACUCUUUGUUGCACGUUGAGGGCUAGUUAUAUGAUCCAGUUAUGUUAUCAUUGUUGAGAGAACUUCCACUAGUGAAAGUAUGAACCCUAGGCCUUGUUUCCACACAUUUCAAUAUCGUUCGUGCUCACUUUUAUUGUUAUUUAACUUGCUGUUUUUAUUAUUUCAGAUUACAAAAACCUAUAUCUACUAUCCAUAUUGCACUUGUAUCACCAUAUCUUUGCUGAACUAGUGCACCUAUACAACUUACCAUUGUAUUGGGUGUGUUGGGUACACAAGAGACUCUUUGUUAUUUGGUUGCAGGGUUGCUUGAGAGAGACCAUCUUCAUCCUACGCCUCCCAUGGAUUGAUAAACCUUAGAUCACCCAUUUGAGGGAAAAUUGCUACUGUCCUACAAACCUCUGCACUUGGAGGCCCAACAACGUCUACAAGAGAAGGUUGCGUAGUAGACAUCAGGGCAGAGGUGAAGGUCGACGGCGGCGGCAGCGCUCGAGUGCUGAGGCGACGUGAGGUGGAAGAAAGACGAAGAGGCAAGGGGAGAAAAGGAAAGGGACCCUCGGCCCUAUUUAUAAGGCGAAGAGAUAAGUGACAGGCGCAGGAAUCGAGGAGCCCAAAAAAAUGGAUAUGUCCCAGAGCUGUCUCCUCGAUUUUCGGAGGCUCAUUAAUAAAAGUAAGGUAUAUACAGUUUUUUAAUGAAUAGGUGAAGUCAUAGCGAUUUAUUAUAAUCCUGGAAGAUGACGUCAUGGCGGUUUAUUAUAAUCCUGUAAGAUGACGUCAUGGUGGAUUACAAGGUUUACUCGAAGGUACUAAAGAAGAAGUUUUUCUAAAGUGUUGAAGAUUGACAUGAACAGGUUCAAAUCAAUCCGGGGCCUAAUGUUGGGGAUAUAACUACUGAGUAUAAACCGCCCGGGAGGGGCCGGGUUAUACCUGUAAUGAGUUAUUCAUAUUGAAGCCCAUGAAGACAAGGUGUAUGAUGCUUUAAUAUAAGAGAUCUAAAAGCCCAAGGCCCAAAGGCGGAUUAGGGCCCAUAGACAUAAACCGCCAUAAGGUGUGUAACUUGUGUUGUAAGAUAGGAAAGAGUAGAAACUGAGCCGGACACGUUUAUGAGCCGGUCGGGAUUCUGUAAACCGCCGGGCGUCAAGCUGUGUAUAUAAAGGGAUGACCCAGCGGUGGUUCAAGGACAAGAAACAACAACUCGAGAGCCAGGCAAAGCGUAUUCGCUCCCUGGUCAUCGAAACCAUAGCAAUCCCAUCAUAACUGGAGUAGGCUUUACCUUCAUCGUAAGGGGACGAACCAGUAUAAUUCCUUGCGUCCUUUGUCCGCUUUAACCCCUUUAAGUUCACUACGUUGCAAUGGCUCCACGACUAAGUCCUCACACUAGGACAUCUGUCGUGCCAAUCCCACGACAAGCGGGGAAAUAUUUAACAGAGAAACAAUAAAUCAUAUCCUGGGGACUACGCACACAACCAGGAUCAAGAGAAUUAAACCAUGUUUUAGCAUCACCCUUUAAUCAGAACGGGAAUAACUUAAGGAUAAAGUAAUAGCGAGUUUUCUCAUCAUUAGUGAAUAGGGUGGCUAUAUCAUUUAAUUUAGUAAGAUGUGUCACAACAGUUUCAGAUUCAUAGCCAUAGAAAGGAUCAGAAUCAACCAAAGUAAUUAACUCAGGAUCGACAGAGAAAUCAUAAUCCUUAUCGGAAAUAAAGAUAGGUGAAGUAGCAAAAGCAAGGUCAUAUUUCAUUCUAGCAUUCAAAGACUUUUCUUUAAGCUUAGCUAAUAAUUUCUUAAGAUCAGAUCUAUCAUUGCAAUCUAAGAAGUCUCUAGUAGUUUCUUCAUCCAUAACAUAACCCUCAGGCAUAAUAGGCAAUUCAUAUCUAGGGGGAGAAUCUUCAUCAUCACUUUCAUCAAUAUUUUUAGUUUCAGUAAUUUCAUUCUCUCUAACCCUAGCAAGUUGUUCAUCAAGAAAUUCACCUAAUGACACAGUAUUAUCAAGCAUAGAAGUAGUUUCAUCAUAAGUGUCAUGCAAAGCAGAAGUGGCAUCAUCAAUAACAUGCGACAUAUCAGAAUGAAUAGCAGGAGUAGGUGUCACAAGUUUACUCAAAACAGAAGGUGAAUCAAGUGCUGAGCUAGAUGGCAGUUCCUUACCUCCCCUUGUAGUUGAGGGAAAAUCUUGGUUCUUUUAUCUUUCAAGUUCUUCAUAGUGAUCAGCAGAUAUAAAUCCCAAGUAACUCAAAGAAUAGAGUUAUGCUCCCCGGCAACGGCGCCAGAAAAUAGUCUUGAUAACCCACAAGUAUAGGGGAUCACAACAGUUCUCGAGGGUAGGGUAUUCAACCCAAAUUUAUUGAUUCAACAGAAGGGGAGCCAAAGAAUAUUCUCAGGUAUUAGCAGCUGAGUUGUCAAUUGAACCACACCUGGAAACUUAAUAUCUGUAGGAAAGUAUUUAGUAGCAAAGUAACAUGAUAGUAGCGGUAACGGUGGCAAAAGUGACGGUAGCAGUUUUGUAGUGAUUGUAACAGUGGCAGCGGAAAAGUAAGUAAGCAAAGAUCAAUAUAUGAAAAGCUCAUAGGCAAUGGAUCAGUGAUGGAUAAUUAUGUCGGAUGCGAUUCCUCAUGCAAUAGUUAUAACAUAGGGUGACACAGAACUAGCUCCAGUUCAUCAAUAUAAUGUUGGCAUGUAUUCAGAUAUAGUCAUACGUGCUUAUGGAAAAGAAAUUGCAUCACAUCUUUUGUCCUACCCUCCCGUAGCAACGGGGUCCUAUUGGAAACUAAGGGAUAUUAAGGCCUCAUUUAAUAGAGUACCGGGAAUACAUGAACUCCUCAAACUACGGUCAUCACCGGUAAGUAUCCCGAUUAUUGUCACUUCGGGGUUAACGGAUCAUAACACAUAAUAGGUGACUAUAGACUUGCAAGAUAGGAUCAAGAACUCACUUAUAUUCAUGAAAACAUAAUAGGUUCAGAUCUGAAAUCAUGGCACUCGGGCCCUAGUGACAAGCAUUAAGCAUAGCAAAGUCAUAGCAACGUCAAUCUCGGAACAUAAUGGAUACUAGGGAUCAAACCCUAACAAAACUAACUCGAUUACAUGAUAAAUCUCAUCCAACCCAUUACCAUCCAGCAAGCCUACAAUGGAAUUACUCACGCACGGCGUUGAGCAUCUUUAAACCUCGCCUCGGCAACUUGCAAUACCCGUCACGAAGCUUCAGAAGUAUAUCACCUCAGCGCAGGAAGGGAUGUUCAUUCCCGACAGAGAAAAGGACAAGCUGACUGAGGCCCUAGGGAAUGCUGAGCACCCUGGACGAACACGAGGCACUCCAGGCUCCAUUCUGUGGAAGUUUGGGUUUCCCGACGCAUGCGGUUACAAAAGCCGGGAGAGAAAGAGGAAAGAGGAGAUGAGCGACAUGUAGAAGCUCAAUGCAAGAGUACAAAAGCUAGAGGAAGCUGAGAGCAAGCGAGCUGCCGACCAACCAUCUCAGCGGCAUGAAGCUACCCCAGAAGCUACCCCGCCAUCUCAGCGGAGAAGCAGCGUGGCUUCCACGGAGCCCGUUCAUCCUGACUUCACGUCUCCUAGCUACCCCGUGGAUACUAUCACGGAGGCUCAACAUUGCGAGCUUAUGAAGAAAUGUCGGAACCUCACUUUCAAGGCGUCUACAGGUGAAGGGGAAAAUUGGCUGGUUCAUGCUCUGAGGAGUACAUGUCUAUGGCAGAAGGAGUACAUCAAACUUCCAAACUGGACGCCUCUGCUUCCUGCUCCUCCUCCGGCGAGUCAGGGCACUCCGCCUCCUCCUCCUCCGGCGAGUGAUCAGGGAACUCCGCCUCCUUCUUCGGCUCCUCCGACACGUGAGGGCACUCCACCUCCUCCUUCGCAUACUCCGGCGCGUCGGACUAGUCCGCCUCCUCCUUAGCCUCGUCGGCAAUGGCGGAAGACAAACGUCGUCACACCUGCUCCUUCGGUGCGUCAGAUUUCUCCGCCUCAUCAGCAACGACGGAAGAGAGACGCCGCCGGUCCGGCGGCUAGUAGUACAAGCAGAGGCGGGAGCCAAUUCAGAUACGGUCCAUCUCUCAAGCCUCUGGAAAGUUACCAUAUGAGAGGACCGAGUAGGAAAAUGAGGACAUAUGUCGUGCCCAACUAAGGGACCAUUUUGCAAAGAAAAAUCCACCUCUGAAGGAGAAGGUAGAUCCGGUGAAAGUGAAGCGCACUAUCAAUGCCCUGAAGCGACCACAACCGCCUCCGCCGGAUUCCAACUAUGGCCGCAUAAUUACUAAGACACAUGCUAAAGCGCAGCAGUCGGGAAGUACUUCUAGUGCUGCAAGAGCGAAAAAACGAAGAAGUGGGAAAACAAUUCCUCAGCUCAGCGAACUGGAGAAGCAAUCGUGCCCCCCGCUCAAGGUGUCUAGCGAUAUCGCUAAUCAUCCGAUGCUACUGCCCAGUACCACUCUUGAUGAUUACCUGCCCAAUGAUGUACAGUUUGAAACGGCUGAGGUAGUAGACGUCUUCAGAUACGAGCAUGGGAAGCCUCUCGUCAAACCUGAUCAUCCUCAUCUAACAACGAUGAUGCAAAAAUUGCAUGACUGGUACAUGGAAACCUACAGGAAGUCUGGGAAAGACAUUUAUUAGUCGGAAUUAAAAAAGAGCAUGACUUCCCUGGAAUCGACAUGCUUCCUGUUGAAUUUGUGGAGUUAUUUCAAUUAUACAAUCAAAAGGCCCUCGACAAACAACUCAUGACUUGCUACUGUCUGUAAGUAUUACUUCUAUAAUUAAGUCUCUAGCUCAGCUCGUUCAUUGCAUGUAUAUAUAAUUAUCCUCACUAUAUUAUGCAGAUUGAAGAUGGUCGAAUGCAAAAAAUAGGAAUCUUCGACGUUGGGUUCAUUAGCCCAAAUACCGUAAAUGAAUGGUCGGUACGAAAGGUGGCUGAAGAUACUGAGAACAACUUACUACAAACGUUCCUUACACAUCAAAACAAAAGGGAAAUACUCUUUCCUUACAACUUCAAGUGAGUGUUACUGUCUUCUGCAUAUUCGGUUCCACUUACCCGUGGUUAAAUAAUGUAAUUGAUGAGUUAUGCGUGCGUAGCUUCCACUAUAUUCUGCUAUCCAUUAACCUUGAUGGGGCAUUAGUAAUUGUCUUAGACUCGCUCCGUAAAGAUCCCAAGUAUUAUGCGGACAUGACUGCAAUGCUCCAGAAGUAAGUUCAAUCAAUACCGGGACCAUAUCGGCAACUUUUAUUCAUUUCCUGAUAUCAAGUAAUCAUUUUCUUUGCCUGCCAGGGUUUGGAAAACGUUCACUGCUAAGGUUCCGGGUCUGAAGAAGGAGCUGCGAUUUACACACCCCAAAGUAAGUAGUACAAGCUAGUUUCGCGCAUCUCUCAUUGAUUCUAGUUUAAUCAAUAUCAUUAUCAUGCUUGCUUAUCAGUUUGAUUGAACUCUAUUCUCGUAAAGUGCUUGUUGCAUGCACCCAACACUCAUUUAUGUGGAUACUACGUAUGCGAGUUCAUUCGCUACUAUACCUCUGAACGUGCCUCCUAUGAGAAACAAUUUGAAGUACGUAAACAAUAUUCACAAUUUUAUUUUAUAUAUUACCAUCAAUUGUGUUGAGUUUCAUUCAUAUAUAUGUAUUGACCCCUUCUUUAAAUUAGAUCUGGCAGAUGCGGGAUGAACUCCUACCACGUGAUCGCAUACGAGCAAUUCAAGAGGAAUUGGCGGGAUUCUUUCUUGACCACGUCAUACUUGAACAAGGAGAAUACCAUGUGAAAUUGAAAUUGUUGUAAGGGAUGUUAUAUAUUGUACAUAUGUAGCAGCGCCGGAUAGAUAUACGAAAACUUGUUGUUCGACCAAGCACGAAGAAAGAGAUGUCACUUCUCUCUAUAUAUGUUCAUGACGAUCUUGUAUAAUUAAUGGUUUCCUUUAGUUGCUUACUAGCUAGCGUCGAGUUCUCUCUAUAUGUGUAGUAGCUAGAGUCGACCAAGCACGGAAAAAGAGAGGUCACUUCUCUCUAUUAGCUCGCUAACACAAUAUGAAACCCCUAAAUUAACCCUUCAAAACCCCAACCCCCCCCCCCUUCCAAAAAACAAAACCCCCAGCGACUGCGAGCUGCUGACGCGUGGCCGCCUUUUGGUCCUAGUUGGUGUUACCAACCGGGACUAAAGGUCCUCCCUCCCCCGCCCCAGGCAGCGCCACGUGGAGGGCCUUUGGUCCCGGUUCGUAAGCAAACCGGGACUAAAGGUUUUGGGUAUUAGUCCCGACCCUUUAGUCCCGGUUCCAGAACCGGGAAAAAUGGCCCUCUGGAACCGGGACAAAUGGCCCUUUUUCUACUAGUGACUUCUCAUAGGAGAUACGUACUUUCAGAUAGACAUAAUUUCCUACUUCGAAAAUUAAUUCUCUUCUUCGAUUAUCUGCAUAGCUCUUCUGACGAGUUUGUGCCACUCUCAAGUUCUCUCUAAUCAACCUGGCUUGUUCCUCGGCAUUCCUGAGCACAUCUGGUCCAAAGACUUAACUUUCACCCGUUUGAUUCCAGAACAACGGUGUUCUACACUUACGCCCAUACAAUGCUUCAAACAGUGCCAUCUUUAGACUAUUCUGGUGAUUAUUGUUGUAAGAGAACUCCGCAUACGGUAAACUUUUAUCCCAACUAGUACCAUACUGCAAUGCACAAGCUCUCAACAUAUCUUCAAGAAUAUGAUUGAGCCUUUCUGUCUAUCCAUCAGUCUGAGGAUGAUAUGUUGUACUGAAAUUCAACUUCGUUCCCAAAGAUUUAUGCACUUUCUGCCAAAAGAUGGACGUGAACUGCGGACCUCUAUCAGACACAAUCUUCUUAGGAACUCCAUGCUGACAUACUAUUCUUUCCAUGUAUAGCUCUGCCAAUCUUGCCCCGCUGUAAGUAGUCUUGACAGGCAAAAAGUGAGCGACUUUAGUGAGACGAUCCACUAUUACCCAUAUAGAAUCAUAACCUUGCUGGGUGUGUGGUAAUCCCACUAUAAAGUCCAUUCCGACUUCUGCCCAUUUCCACUCAGGAAUCUUCAUUGGUUGCAACAAACUAGCGGGUCUCUGAUGCUCAGUCUUUACCCUCUGACAAGUGUCACAUAUAGCUACAUACUCAGCCACAUCUCUUUUCAAUCCAUACUAGCAGUACUUCUCCUUAAGAUUUAGAUACAUCUUAGUACUUCCAGGGUGGAUAGAAUAGGCUGACUCAUGUGCUUCACGCAAAAUUGUAUCAUGAAUGGCUUUCACCUCAGGCACACAUAUCCUUUUUCCAAACCAUAAGGUUCCAUUCUCAUCUAUUCUGAAGCCAGGUGCUUUACCAAUCACCACAUUCUCAGCUAUCUCCUUUAGCUUUUCAUCUUCUAGCUGACCCUUACGUAUUUCUUGCUCCAAUGUAGGAAUCACUUUUAUCUCCAUAGCACUAGCAACAAUGCCAAGGUUCAGAUGUUGCAACUCCGCAUACAACUCUUCUGCCUCUGGUCUCAACUUAAGAUUGUUGUCAUAUUUCUUCCUAUUGAGAGCAUCAGCUACAACAUUUGCCUUACCUGGAUGAUAAUGUACCUCCAGUUCAUAAUCCUUGAUUAACUCUAGCCAGCGACGUUGUCUUAAAUUCAGACCUGUCUGAGUGAAUAUAUACUUCAAGCUCUUAUGAUCGGUGUAGAUAUCACUCUUGUGACCAAUCAGAUAGUGUCUCCAGAUCUUCAAUGCAUGUAACACAGCUGCUAGCUCCAGAUCAUGAGUAGGAUAAUUUAACUCAUGCUUCCUCAACUGUCUCGAUGCAUGCGUCCGUGGUGGUGACCUCAUGUCCGCUCGCACCGUGUUCGAUGAAACGCCAACGAGGGUCAAAAGCUUCGAACCACAUCGGCAUCGCUCGGAGUAGCAACGGGUACACGCUGGAGUGCUGGAUGUGAUGCUUGGCCAUCUCCAACUCACGAGCGUGUAAGAGAGAAACCAUGAGACAGUAAUGAUUUAAUUUGGUUUUGCAAUGUUUUUAUUUUAAAAAUAGUUGGUUUAUCUUUGUAAAAUAGUUAAUUACAUGAGAAUUAUUGAACAAAAUAGUUUUUAAAGAGCAAUUUGCAUUCAAACAGUCUUCAUUCUUAAUGAAGCUACGAGUUCCCAUUUGCUCUAACCAAACGAUCUUCAAUUUUUGCCACCACAGGAGCCUUGUAUUAGCUCUUGCGGUGCGAGCGGGAGCUCGGAUGUCCGUGCGACGAAGCUGAUCUAUGAAAGUGGCCUUGGUGAUCCUGUGCCCCGGUUGGUAGGUUGGGAGACAGCAAGGAUGCAAACCAGCGCCAACGAUGGGCGAAGAUUGCACGACGGAUGAGCGGCGCUAGAGAUGGAAAGUCUGCUGGAGCAGUUUAGGUGAAAGGAUAAAGAUGUAGUUUUCAUUUUUUUUUCUAAUAAUGAAAGUCGGACUCAACUUUAUGGAACUGGGCCUUAUGACACGUAGGGCCCAUCUGAAGCUUCUAGAGUUGUUAAUCCUGUGGUUGAGAAUGUGUGUGACAAAGCCUGUGUUUGAGUAUUUACUAUCUAGGGAAGUAUAAACAAUUUACAAUCUCAGUGGACCCAUAAGCCAAUAUCCUUGAAUGUUUUUUUUUCUGUUUGUGUGUAUAUGUCGCAAGUUUUCUUGUUUUAUUUUAGGUUUGGUACUGUAGCUAGGUCUAGAAUAGUUUUUUUUGUUCUUUUUUUAAUUUCAAAAAAAUCGAGGGAUGUCUCAGUUUUUAUUAAAAGAAAGAAAUAUUUGGUCCAAAGUUGAAUGAGCGUGUCAUGCAGGGUUAAAUCACAAGAUAAACUGAUGAAACACAUGAUGCAUUAGUGGAUAAAUCACACGGGUGAUUUGAAGACAAAUUGAAAAACAUGAUGUGUUAGUUAAAUAAAUAAAUAUCAUGAUACAAUUAUAAGUAACCAUGCAAUAAACUAUAUGUCCAAUACUUGCACUCACAGGCAUUUUUGCUACUAUUAAUAAAUUGGUAAAAAUCAGAGAAUGCGAGGCGGAUACCAAACCUAGCCAAAUGGGCCGGCCUGGGUUAAACGGGCCCGAACCCCUCUUGCCCUCGCUCCUAGAAAAGCCGCCCGCCUCCGUCUCUCCCCCGCACUCCAUCGCCUCGCCUCGCCUCGCCGCCGUUCCCCGCAACCCCCUGUCUGUCGACCCAAUUCAUCUCAGGGAUAUCACCCGACGCCUCGUCCUCCUCUCCAGAUCAGAUCUUACGCCCGCCCGCCCGAGGUGAGCACAUGCUUGUACAUCCCGAUCAGCUUGGAGUUCGUUCCGAUUGGUUGGUAGGCGCGGCGCUGGUUCGAGGCCAGCGUGGUCUCCCUCCUCCUCCGGAGUUGCUCGGGCGCGGCGCGGGUUCAUAGGUGUCGGAUCCAGCGCCGUCUGUAUCCUAUUCGUAUGAGGAACCUCGGCUAGGAUAGGAUUUAAUUAGUUGGUUUUUGUAUUAGGGUAACACCACCUAGGGUUCGGUUGAUUAUCCGUAAGAAGGAAUCAAUCUGACGCUUUAGUUAGGGUUUGCUUGGUUGGUUGUGGUCAGAUUUUGGUUUCUCAUGAAUUCUUCAACUGUGCCUGUCGCGAUUUUGGGCGGAAAUUGAUGAUUGAUUUCGGGGGCAAAAUCCGAGGGAUUUUGUGGAUGAAAGAUGGGGAAACUUGGGGAAACCAAGCAAAUCCAUGGAUCAAAAUAAACAAACUUCAUCAUGCCAACAAAUCACAAAAAAAAUUUGGUGGGGAAAUUUCGAAUUAGGACGAAAAACAACAAGAUCAAAGCUAGAAAACGAAUAUUAAUUUGGAUGGAAUUCAUGCUAUGUUGUUCGAUUUCAGUUUAUGCCUGCCAGAAUGUUUUAAUUUUUUGUUUUAUCAACUGUGUUGGAGCGUACUAGAUUUUUUGUUGCAUAUUCAUCUUCUUGCUCUGUUUGGAUAGGUAACAAUUAAUAUUUGGGAUCCUAAAAUAUGUAUGCACUGGCAGCACUUAACCUGCAGCUGCUGAUUAAUGUUGUAGUCAUAUGUGCUGCUUUCCAGCUCUCUUGUUUGGAUAGGUAUUUGGUUAUCGUUUGGGUUUAUUUAUUAUCGUUUGUAAAUGCUGGUUUGGUUUUCUGUGCUCACUAUGCCCUUGCACAUGGGAUGCAAUUUUUUUAUUUCCCUGCUGUUUAGUUUAUUGUUUCCUUUGAUGGUGAGGCAUUAAUUCUGGAGAUAGAUGCAAUUUUCUUGCUCACACAAUAAUACAAUGAAUGAUGGCAUCUCUAUCUACUUUGAACCAAAUUAUAUUAUAUUCCCCCCUCUGUUAAUUAUUUUUCUGUUUUGGGUAUUCAUUCAUUUUGUUUAGUUGCCUAUCAGUAUAAAUACAUGGCUGGAUUGCUUUCACUUCAUAUUAAUAACUAUUCUGUCGCACAAUGCAAAUAUACAUAUGCUGUCCUAACUAAUUAAGUAGAAGCUUGGAUUGGUGCUGUAUGGUCUCUUCCUGACAUUAAAUCCUCCUCUGUUUGUGCUGUCUGUUUCUGCUGCUGCAGUCUUCUUCGCCGCCAAAAGGAAAAGAUGCUCUACAAAAUCCACUCCCAUGCCGAAAUCCAAGCCCUGCAGGCCCGCACCGAUGAGCUGGGCCACUCCAAUGAGCACAUGGAUGUGAAGCUUGUCUCUCUGGAGUCGGUGCGCAUAGCGCGCGAGUCGUAUGCACUCCUCCGCCCGCUGAUCAUGGAGUCGAGGUCCUGGGAAUGCCCGGAGCUGGAUUCCCUCUCGGACGUGGCAGGCUUGUCGCUGGAAAUCCAAAAGCUCGAGCAUGAUGUGUUACCCCAGCUCACGGUUCAGGAGGCUAAGCUGGAACGGGGUGCCCUGGAAGCCCUCCUACUCAUGAAGAGCUCAGCAGCUAAGCUCUUACAUAUGAGUAAGUGCUUGAAGGAAGCCUUGGGCGUAUUGCUUGCCGAGGAUGUCAAAAAGCUGAGCAUAGUGCUAAGCGAUACUGCUGUUCAUGUACUCAAAGGUAAGUUCAACAGUGGCUUGCUUCAGGAGCGUGUCCCGUGGCUGGUCGAGCUGGUCACCGAUGUGUUGGAGACCCCGGUUCGUUUCUGUGAUACUCGUAAGCGUAAGUAUUCUGAUGAGUAGACUUAUCAGCCAGCUCGAGGCUGUUGUGAUGAGUAUUUCUUAGGGGCGUGGCAAACAGUUUAGAAUCAACCCUUUAUGUUUGUAUGUGUUAUUAAUGGAUUUUAAAUGAUAUGUAUCUUGGGUGGGUAGUGUUUUCUCAUUCUGUGCUAGUCGGGUACAACUUGGAAUUACUUUCAGUUUUUUUUUUGAGAAACAUCCAUUCUGUUUUUUACUGUCACAUGAGGUAUUCGCUCUUUUUAGGGAAUAUAUAGAAGAAAAGAGGCAUACUUUAGAACGUGGAUGGAUUCACUCAUUUUGCUCCGUAUAUAGUUUUCUACUAGUGAAAUUUCUUAAAAGACAUAUAUUUAGGAACGGAGGGUUCUGUGUGUGUCCAUGAUUAAAGCUUUGCAAAUACCAUAAACAAAACAUCACCUUGUACAUAUAAAGUGAUGAUUAUUUUUACACUAACCAGUUUGGCAAGAAGUACUUCCUUCGUAAAUAAAGAAACAUAAGAGUGUUUGGAUUAUCAUUUCUUUAGAGAGGGAGUAGUAUAUAUAUAUAAUUGAAUUAAUAAUCUCUACUCCUAAAGUUGGUCGUCUCCGUUCAUCGGUUAAUUUUUGUCCCACCAACACCGAUUUUUUUUCGUCCUCCAGGCCGUCGAACAAAAAAAAAGGGCUGGCUUAGCUAUGCCCCUACGAAGUCAAGGGGCCAAACCUCCGAUCGAAACAGAGAGAACUGGAUGAAAACAAAUCUACAAAAAACACCUACGAAAUUAAACCAACGAAAAAAACGAAUCGCACGCAGGUAUACGAGCGAUUCCUCCUUCCUUCGAACCACUCACACGCUCACUCCUUCCCUUCGCCCCCGCCGCUCGAUCCCUUCGCCGCCGCCCUCUCACAUCAAAGCCGCCAUCGAUAUGCCCCGCCAGAUCUCGCCUCAGCCCCGCCGUCUUGUGAUCUGGAGUUCACAGUCUCCGCCGCCGAUAUCCUCGCACGCGUUAGGGUUCCUGCGCCGCCGCCACACAGGAGCUCGUCGACCAGCCUAGCGUCCUGCUGCUCCGUGCUUGCUUCCCUCGUCGGUCGCCUUUGGACCCCUCGCUUCGGACUCCGCGCCAAGCCGCCGCCUCUUCGCCGAGAAAGAGGGCUCCCGAUCUCCGCCGUGGUCGACCAUCAGCGCGACGGGUAGAGUACCCAGCCCGUAGGCUCAUCCCCUUCUCCGAUCCACCCCGGCAGCGGCCAUCGUCGGUACGUUCCGCUUGUGAUAUAUCGGUGUAGGCUCAUCCCCUUCUCUUUAUCUAAAGGACUGUGCUAACCACCAGUCGACUGGUGGUUAGCAACAGAUCCGCACGACCUUGGAUCGAUCCUUCCGCUGCCUCGUUCCUCCCGCUUCCACUAUUUUUUUUCCUUCUCUUAAAAACCGUAGUAAAUUGCUAGUGGUUUUUUCUGGUUUUUCGCUGCAUAAUAUGAAAAGAAAAUAAAAGUGCUUGAAAGAGGAUUUGAACCCAGGUCUAUGUAAUACCUAUCAAGCCUAAUAACCAACUAAGCCACCUUUUGUUGUUGUCUAUUAUAGAAUGGCAAUGUUAUUUGAAUCUUUCUUAUUUCUGCCAUAUCAAAAGAAAAAGGAAAGUUUGGCUUGGUAACUUUGGCAAUGACCAGCGUGAUAACUAUGGUCUGAGUAACAUGAUAACUAUACCAUGAUAAGGCUGGUAACUACAGUAUGAGAAGGUUAAAAGCAUGGGAAAGUAUGGUAAUUUAACAUAGAAAUUACCGGUGAAAUGUUUCAAAAAAAUUUUUCCCUUGGAUGAAAGACACCAUGGUGUUUAAACGUAAAAUAUUAGUUAUCAAGUCUGCGAUGAUACAUCAUCAUGUUAUUUACACAGAAAUUAUCGAGUGUAUGUUUUUCAACAAAAAAGUUUCAGGUCAAAAGUUAUAGUGGCGUUUGUAUGGGAGUUAUCAAUUUUGUAUGUUUCUGUUACCAUGUUAUUUACACAGAAAUUAGCGGGGCAUCACCCCCCCUCGCCACAGUCGCCAUAUUACCAGGAUCGGGUACAUAAGUUAUCAAGUCUGCGAUGUGUGAGUUAUCAUGUUAUUUGCAUAAGAGUUAUUGUGGUAUGGUUCAACAACUCCUCCCACCCCUACCCCCACCGACAAAGUUACCAGGACUGGGUAAAUAAUUUAUCAUGUCUACGAUGUGUGAUUUAUCAUGUUAUUUGCAUGGAAGUUACCGUGGUAUGUUUCAACGACUCCCCCCACCCCUACCCCCACCGACAAAGUUACCAGGACUGGGUACAUAAUUUAUCAUGUUUACGAUGUAUGAGUUAUCAUAUUAUUUGCAUAAAAUUUAUCAGGACAGUGAUGCGUAAACUAUCAUCAUAUUUAUACAGAAGUUAUCGAGAGUAUAUUUCAUCAAAACCCCUCCCUCCGGCGGAGGGAAAAGUUAUCAUAUUUGCGGUGCGUAAAUUAUUGGGGGUAUAUUUCAGCACCCCUUCUCGCCAAAGUUACCAGGACUGGGGUGCAUAAGUUAUCGGGUCUCUGAUGUCUGAGUUACCAUGUUGUUCACAUCAAAGUAACUGGGGAUAUUUCAUCAACACCACUUCCCUCAAAGUUACCAGGAUCGAGGUACAUAAGUUUAUCAGGUAUGUGAUGUGUGAGUUAUCAUGAUAUUCACACAAAAAUGACCCGGGAUAUUUCAUCAACGCCUCCCUCCCGAUCGCCAAAGUAAUCAGUACCGAGUACACAAGUUAUCAGGUAUGUGAUGUGUGAGUUACCAUGCUAUACAUACACAAAAAUUACCAACGGUAUAUUUCAUCAACCUCCUCCACCAAAAUUACCAUGGUAUCAUCAACUCGAGACGAGUUGGUAAAAUAAUCUACUUAAGUGCGGAAAAGAUCGGAUAUUGCAUUCACUUUUGUGCAAACAUAGAAAAGGAGACAUGUUAAAAAGCCUAUUUGCUUUCAUUUUUACAAAAGAGGAACGUAGGUGAGGUGGUUGGCUAGUGGGUUACCUUGUAAAAGUUACAAUGAUUGAAUCCUGUUGGCACACUAUUUUUUGACGAGAAAAAUUCAUGUCCCUCGUCACAAUUCUUUGAUUUUGGAGUUUGACUCUAGCUCCCAGCAAAAAAAUUCUGGAAUUAGCACAACUUUUAUUUUGAUGCUAUGAGGUAUAAAAGGUUAAGUUCUUAUGUUUUCCAGUUUGAACAACUAAGAUGUUGUAGCUUGUUGGUCGAAGGGAGCAUGCGGAGCCUGUGUGUCCUGGGUUCAAUUCCCAUCGGGUGCUUUAUCUUUUUCCUCGAAAAAUAAAGUAGCUAGUGAUCUAUCGGGAGGUCGAACGUGGAUCGUGCAUCGAGCGAGUCGUGCGUGCCUGCCACUAAUGACCAGUCGGCAGGUAUUUAGCUUUGUCGUUAUCUAAAAAGGCUAUUCUACAUAUGCCGAGGAGAAGAUGCUCACCUUCUCGCCCCUCCCUCUACCGUGAUGUACGUGGAUGAACCCGACGGCAACAAGGACGACCUCGUAGGAUCCAGCCACGAUUGUGCGGAAUUUCGCGGGGACGAAUCUACCCGGCCUCUCGUCCUAUCCGCCGCCGGUAGAGGCAUCCAUGUCCGAUGGUGUGAAUUUUGGCUGGUUCCAUGAGCACUUCGUUCCCUGCCGUGUAGUCUUCGUUGAUUCGGGAAGAUGGUGGUUGUCUGUUUAGCCAUUUCAAUCUGCUAUUGAUCAUGCUCAUUCUUGUUAUAUUCAGUUAUAUUGGAAACACCAUCUGAUUCAGUUAUAUUCUUGAUCAUGCUCAUGCUCAUCCUUAUUCAAAUACGAAUACUUCUGUUUGGAGAGCUCGGGCGUCAGCUGUGUGGAAGCACCAGCUGAUUUGUAACUGGUCGGAAGGUGAGCUUCUCAUACUCGCUGCCGUCGAAGCACGGCACCUUGCCGCCACUUAUGUUGCAUGUUGUUGUGCUGUAGGUCCUUGGGGUUGGGUGCGGCAACUCGCGACUCGAAGACAUUUCGUGCAUGUGCUCCCCUGCGCUUGGUGACCAAUACAUCUACUCCGUUGUGAACAUGUGCUUCGUGUCAUACAAGUCGCCGCCAAGGGUGAGCUCGUGCAGCUGUACAGGUAUAGAUGUGCAUCCCAUAAUGGCAGCUACAGUUUCUUUCAUAAAGUUAUUUGUGUGAGUGCCCUGCAUAUUGAAGUAAACUGGAUCGGCUAAUCUUGAGUUCCUCCACCAAGUUAUAUUACUUCGACAAGAAAAAGUGCAGAAAGACCAUAUAAAGUACUCUGGUGACUCUCUCAAUUGAACUAAAUUUUUUUUAGAUGCGUGAAACAUGCACAACGAUUUGCUCUAUUGAGUCUAUGUAUGUUGAACUAGCACUCGAAUUAUAGCUCAUGCCGGUAUGCUAUUUUUCUCUUUCUCAUAUCAGCUCUCCUUCUUUUUGUCCAUUUUUCUUCACUACUACCUGAAGGAAACUGUACUGGAUAGCAGCCUAUCAUAUAUAGUUACAUGUACCGAGUGAUUUAGCUUCAUUUUAAUGAUACUGUCAACAACUAACUACUGCUGCGACAUAUUUGAUGCAACCUGUAAAAUAUUUUUUGUUUAAUUUCAGCAUAUCAUUUAUAUACUGAAGUCUCUUCUGGACAUGUUGUCUAAUUGCGUCAUGUAUGUUAGAUAUUUGUUCUAUAAUACUUGCCAUUGACUAAUUUUCUUUUAUUUAGGUUAUGUGCAUUAUUGAUUAGCCAAUCUUGAGAGAGAGAUGGGUUGGCGUGAAUCGGAAGAAAACUACAUUGAAUGGACAAGAAGUAUGCCCUCAACUUUUUCAUGGUAUGUCUUACUUAUUGUUCUUGUGAUUUUUCCAUCAGUUUCACUUUACAUUUCUUCUUUGCUUUUUCAUGGCAUCGGGAUGCCCACUGGCGACGGUGCUGCGUUGCUACCAAAGGGGCACCCUGCCGCGGCCGGGGACUCGCUGCCGUCGAAGUACGACACCUUGCCGUCACGUAUGUUGGGUGUUGUGGUGCUGCAGGUCCUUGGGGUUGGGUGCGGCAACUCGAGACUCGAAGACGAUCUUCUGUGGUAGGGCGUCGCCGGCGGCGGCGGCACCUGUAUAGACCGUCUCGGUGUGACAGAAGAGUUCGGAGUUCACUCCGAGAAAGAAUUGCUUUGCAUGUACAUUUGCUGAAAGACUGAUGUGCUGAACUUUCGAUGAUUUCGAUUGGUCUCUAACAUAACCUUUCCUCUUUUUGUUGAUAUGUCCAAAAGAGAUCCUUAUUUCACCUUUUGUUUAUAGGUAUUCAACUUGAGGAAUUUCAUACUUUUGGAGUGGAGCUAUCAAAUAUAUGUGUGCUCGAUGUUGGUGUUUUAGUCCGGAUCCCUCGCUGAAGGUGCUCGAUGUUGGUGUCUGAAUACUGCUACCGUACUUCAAGGUCUGUAGCAGCUCUUACAAUGGAUUCUUUUUAAUGAUAGUACAAUCUAUUUUUGUUUCGAUUUGGUAUUGUUGUUCUGUUCACUUAACCCAGUCUGUAGCAGCAGCUUUUCAUGUCGUUUCCUCGCCAACAAAUGUCAUAAUUUAUCACAUACGUGUGCAAAUGGUUUUUUGGCUAUAGUAUGAGUAUAUGGUUCAGAGAAGUUCGGUCAGAUGCAAAGCAUGCUUAGCAUCUCAUAGUCGUAGGCUAUUCCUUUUAAAAUUGAAGCCAUCCAGGUUUUCAAUUAUGGAGAUGAUUUGGAAACUCAGCAUAGAAAAUUAUUUACUCUAAUGCAGAUUACACAUAUUAAGGCCUUUAUUCUUUUAUAUUAAGGUCUCCAGUGCAAGCAUUAGCCCAUCUUUAGCUGCUCAUAAGCAGUAUCAGUGAUAUAUAUAUAUAUAAGUACACUCUUGCUAAGAUUAAUCUUUGAUAUAUAAAAUCAUUGCCUGGAUAUAGUUUGCUUUGAAUAUUUUUUUGCUCUUUAGUCUAUGAAGAAUUGCAAGGAGGAGGAUAAUAGAGCAGCAACCAGAGCUGACAAUUGGCCUGUAAAUGCAGCAAAGUUCUCCUAGAGGUGUGAUGUUGGUGGUGAUUUUCUUAUAUUGGGAUAUGGAUGUGGCGGGUCUAUGGGCACCAUGCUGACGCGGAGAAGGAGGUGCAGGUAGCGGGGCGCUUGAGGUGAGGUGGCUGCAGGGUCGCUCGAGAAGAACAUGCUCAUCAGCACCACCUGGAUGCCUUCGUCAUCAGCAAUGUGGACAAGGUGCAAAAGGGAUAUCUCUCUUACCUCUUAUUCAGUCUGGAAAAUUAUGCAAUGUUUGGUUUGGCAGAUUUAACAGUCGCUGGUUUGGAAAUUUGUUACCUAUAGAAGUAUAGGAAUAACAUGACUAAUAUUUAUUGAAUUUAUAGAGUUAUUGUUUUUUUCUACAAAGUCAGUUGUUACAUUAGGAAGAACAUCGUCUAAAAUCUUGACGACAUAAAGGAGCAUAGAGUUAAUAGAUUAUGAAAUCCUGUAGUGCAUCAGAUGCACCCUUCACUAAUUUUUGAACACAUUUAUAUUAUCCAGGUUCCGACCUCAUUCCCUGUGAUGUUUGUCUUUUUUAUGUGGGCGAGGAAAACAUUUUUAGGAGUGAUACUCCCAAACGUUGAUUUCUUGGUUGUCGAAUCAUGGUGCUGAUUAGAUUUUACUUAACCUUAAUUAAUCUAUUUAUAUUGCGGCUUUGUCUUUUAGCUCAUCUUUUAGUUUCUCUUCUCCACUUCACACAAGAUUUUAUUGUAGGCUACCAAGUACAGUUAUACCACUUAUACUCUUUCUAUCUGAUUAUGCAAAGCUUGAUCUAUACUCAUUGAACUUUGUUAGAUAGUAGGCCCUCCUAUUAGUGUGCCUAAAUAUAAUUGUUUCUCUGUGUUUAUAGUAUCUUAGUCCAGUAGGAUGAAUGUUCUCGAGUAAUUAGAGGUAUUUGGAUCAAGUGAAUGUCUGAAUACCACUAAAAUCGAAAUCAUAAUUAAAAAAUACUGACCUUUUUCUUCAGGGCGUCUGUUCCUCCUCCCAUGGUCAGCACCACCACCUACUCUGAAUCUCCGAUCAGAAUAGUAUGAACUAUUAAAUAGGGAACUUAAUGCUUAUCAUUGUUGAUGUAUAUAUGUACAACUAACAAUGUUUGUGCUGCAACCAGCUUACUUUAUUCCUUGCUGAAAUUUAUCUUGAUUUAUUUCACAUCAGAUAGUUCUGAACCUAGAUGAUCUCAAUUAAGGUUAUUGAAAUUUGUUAAAUUAUUUUUAUCCACUCUUCUGAAUGAGCGUAUACUAUGAUCUGAUUUGUAUAUCAUAUUACUGAGGCAGCGCUGGGCCAUGCUGUGGUGAGAACAUACGAGAGAUAAUUGGGGUGUGUGGCUGAUUGCUUCAUAUGCUGCUAAUGAUAUAUGUAGACUGCUGAUUGCUCCUGAUAUAUAGUGUCGAUUGCAGCUGAUAGUAGGAUUGUACUCAACUUGAUAGGUAAAGUGGGAUGGCGGGAUUGUAUAGUGCUCAUAAGCCAGUCCGGGCAUUGUCCUUCCUCGAAUGAAUCUGAGACUACUCCUCAUAUGUUAAUCAGUUGCUCCUCCCUAGCUUUGGUUUGGUCUGAACUUCAAAGUUUUCAUCCACCCAAUGUUGAUUCAGUCAAAGAUCUCUUGGAAAAAUUAUUUCGACAAGAUUCACUCUAUAAUGUUGUUAUCAUUGUCCUCUGGAAUAUAUGGAAGCGCAAAAACUCCAAGGUCUCCCGGGAUGUUUUUGAGGAAUUGCACAUUACUGCUAGCAAGAUUGCUGAUGAUUGAUACCAUGGUCCAACAGGUAUUCACAUGAAAUUAAUAAAUGGCACCUUACGGAUUGGAGUACUCUACUGUAUCACUAUCUGGGAGAUUUUAAUUUUUUCCUUCCAUUAUUUAUCUUAAUCCCUGUGUACUCAUUGGACUUUGUAUAGUUCUCAGUUUUAUGAAGUGGUUCAGGCUGGCGUAAGCCGCCAUAGUCCCAGUAAAAAAAGGCUACAAGCUUCGCUUCGGCCUUACGGAACUGAAUAUUAUGUAGUUUUAUUGAGAUUAUUGAUAGUGCUUCUCUACUAUCAAAGAAGAUAAUAGUCUCUUAUGUGUUUCUUUUUGUCCAUUUGAAUGCACUCCAUUUUUUAGUGUAUUAAUUAACAUCAAACCUCCCAUUCUUUCUAGAGUGCUGAUGUAUUAUUAUUUUCAGCUUAACACAUUUAACUUCCUAUAGAUUUCAUGGUUUAUGCAGAUUAACCGAGCUAAGAAUUUUUGUGAAGCUAAAGCUGGUGUUAAGAUGAACGCCGCUAUGUAUAUAUUUGAAACAGUUAGAUACAUGCUUGACAGACUAUAUAGGGGUGAUCAAAACCAUGCAAAGCAUUAUGGGACAAGUUUCUCUACCUUAAAUAAGUGUUCGUUCUCUCGUGUUUACCAUUCGUUUAAGGGUCAUCAACCCGUGUAUUUAUUUUCAUUGACCAAGUUUUACAUUUUUCUUCUGUAGUGUUCAUUGUGCAGUUCUAGAUUGUUAAGAGAGUAGAGUUUAUUGAUUUAUUACAUGGAGAGACCAGUAGUGUCGUAGUGGUCUUGACAUAAUUGCUAACAUUUUCUACUAGACAAAGUUUAAUUGCACUAAAUACAAAUUAGAACAUGCAUAGACAUUUAUCUUCUUUCUACAGAAUGGUUAGUGUAAACGUACUUUGAGUUGUACAUGAUUCUGUAUCUGACCAUUUUAUCUCAUAUGUUGAUGUGGUUGCAGAUAUGAACUUCAAAUUAUCCUGCAAUGUAUUGACUGCUCGGAGCUAACUUGACUACGCCAGUUUUCUUUUAUGGCUCAAAGUAGUUAGUGUCCCCCCUUAUUAUGAGAGAGGUACUACUUCAAACAUCUCUUCUUAAUGUUUUAUGUCAUGGCAUACAAUAUGAGGGAGUGUUAGUUGGCUUGACUUUCGUGGCACUCAUUGAUAACCUUUCAGUUUAGGAGUUUUUGUGGCCUCUUAAUCCAUGAGAGUAUGCUCAUGUUGAAGAAGUUAGUCAUAAUGAGGGGCACCAUAAAUGUUUGUUAUCUGGCACAAAUUCCUAAUGAAUAUCACAUGUUAAUCAAAUUUCAUUGUACUAUUCAUACAGUAAAAUAUGAGUGCCAUGUCAGAAUAUGGUUCUCGAUCUGAAAGAUCAUAUUCGAAAUUGCAGGUUCUAUGGCAGUGGAGUAAUGUUCGUAAAUUAUAUAUUGCUUUCAAGUUUGGAGCUGGAAUAAUAUAUGUGCUGCAUUUAGUUAUAGUCUUAUAGAUAUACAUGAACAUCCAUUGUAUAUUUCUUGCAAGACAUGAUAACUACUAUUAUUUUGAUUGUUUCCGUGAACUAUUUUGACCUUGAUUAAGAAGUAAAAAGUUUUUAGCCUCGUAGGUUGUUUGAUCUACUAUAUCAAGUGGCACUUGGCUUCUCAUGGCUCUCCUCGCAUUUGACAAACAAAGUUAGUACACACUACCUAGAGCUCUGGAAAUUAGAACUGAAAAAUGGUCCUGCGGUUUAUUAGCUGAUAUAAAUCAUGCACAAUCCUCUACAUUUAAAAAUAACCGGACACAAAGCAGUAUACUUUUUUCCGAGUACUACCUUGAGAGAGCCAAGGGGUUCUGCAUUUUAUAAAGAAGAAGAAAGUUGCCUGGUUCAAUACAUGCUUAUCUAAGAAAUAUAUCUUAUCUAUUUAGUGGAAACCAGGCAAAAACCUACAGAUACAAAAGGCAUAAAGUCCCCCACCGGUUGUGACCGAACUACUGUUUUUGGAAAUAUCACAUGAGCUAGAUUACUAACAUUGAUGUAAUGCUUGUAUGGCAACCUAUUCCUUUAUUGGUUUAAUUACAGAGUUUUGUUAUUAUGUGAACGGAGUAAUGGAGAGCUAAGAAAAAACAAGGUAACAGUUAGUGUUACUCUUGCGAGGUAGUUUCAAUCAUAUCAUUGUUUGCUUUCCCUUUUCUCCUGCCUAGGUAUGUACAAUUAUUCCAACCCAGGUUUCUUUCAAGAAGGAUAUGGGUAUGUGUUUGAGGAAUGUCUACAUGACAAAACACACCUUCAAGUUUGGUGAUUGUUAUGCUAUCAAACUUACAAUGGGGGUCUUAAUUUGUAUUUUUAAUAGAGCACUGGGUUCAUUGGUGAGACUUGUGAGGAUGUGCCUAGGCUAAAGAUGGCUGCUAUGUCGGUACCAAGUGGCAUGUGUUUAAAUGGAGUAUUCUUGUCAGGAGAGCUGAUUUCUGAAAUACGGUACUUUAUGGGUGCAAGGAUUCACCAUGUUGCGGUCUUCGUCAGCGGAGUGGACUCCUAGGAAUUAGUCAAGGCCGCUAUGUUGUUUUAAGCUGAUAUUCUAUCGUACUUGUAUAUUUUUUUGCUUAUCUAGCUGUUUGCCAUGCAGUUCUCGUUGUUGGUGGGAACAUUUGUUGUCUAAGAUCGACCUCAAAUAUCUGGUGGCACUAUAGCAUGGCUUUUGAUAUUCUAAUGUAUAUCUCUUACAAAAUAUUUCAAGAGCCCGUGGCAACGCACGGGCAUUAUACUAGUGUAAGUAAGGAUGGAGAUGAAGAUGGUGUGGCGACAAGGAUAUAACAAAACGCCUGGUUCCUUCAGCCAAAAGUUGGCGACGUUCCUUGUUACACACGCUCCGCCCAACAAACGCUCCAAAAGCCAGAAUACAAUUCCUCAAACAAUGGCCAAAGACUACUUCCCCACAUGGAAAAGAAAUACGCACAUGGCCUUACAAUGUUAGCUACUCAUGUCUGAGUUCCUAAACCCUUGCAAAACAGAAAGAAAGGUUGUUUGCUAAACAAAAGAAAGGCCAACACAAUCCUAUCCAAACACUCCACAUUUUUACUCUGUGUCAAAAAUAUGCAACUUUUUUUUGGUUUUUAGGUACAUGCCAAUUUUUUAAAAAAAAACACAAUUUUUUUAUGUUCACACGCCAAGGUAUUUUGUACACAUGGCAAAAUUUUCCGAAGAAGAAAAAUCUCACGACCCCAUGGAUAAUUCAUAACUUUUUGUCUUUCAAACAGGGCAAUUUUAAGUCAUUUUGUAAUGCUAUUGUGGCAAACGAUUGGAUUUUUAAUCAAUUUUCAUGGCGAAUUUAGGAUUCUUUUCCCUACUUUUCCACAUGGCAAUUUUAUUAUAAUUAAAUGGAGAUCUUAUUAUUCAAAACAUGGCAGCUUUACUAUUAAGAGCAUGGCAAUUUAAGUAUGAUAGAAUCUCCUCCCCUGCUCGGUCUACCCCACAUGCAUGGCGUAUAACAUCCUCUAGCCCCAACUGCCGCCAAACCUCUCUAGCCUUAUGGCAUCGAAAUAGUACAUGAAACACAUCUUCUGCUCCUUGUUUACAUGCAGGACACGUCGACCGGAUUGGGAUGUGUCUAUUAGCAAGAACCACAUUGCAUGGUAGUGUUCCGUGUAAGGUUCUCCAAACAAAUUUUUUAACUUUCGCCGGACAAUUUAGUUUCCAAACCUUUUCCCAUGUUGGGUUAGCACUAGUGGCUCCCAAACCAUCUGUCCUCUGCAAUUUACGGCCAUGCUGAAAGUACCAUAGAGCAUGGUAGGCCGAUUUCACUGUAAAAAUUCCAUGUUUAUUCAAACUCCAUGCUACAAAGUCACUCAUAUCAUGUGUAGGUAGUGGUAAAGCAAGGACCCGUUCCACAUCAACCGGCCAGAAGGUUUGCUCCACAAGUGGCACAUCCCAGUGACCUGUAGCUGAAUCAAUUAAAUCACUCACCUUUGAUAGUAACUGGUUACCUCUUGGGGCAAUAAUCAUUCUGGAUGGUGAGUUAGGAAUCCACACAUCCCUCCAAAUAUUUAUUUUUUCACCAUCCCCAACUCUCCAAAUGUAUCCAUGUUUCAGGGUAUUCACCCCUUGCAUAAUGCUCUGCCAAGUGUAGGAGGAAUUCUUUUUUAGCUUAAUUAAUUUACCAGCACAAGAAGCGGCCGUGCUGGGAGUGAAAAACUUCCAUGACUUGAUGUUCACUUGCUGCUGGUACCUUUGGUGGGAGAGGAGAAAGCUUGUGCACAAUGAGCCGGUACAAGAUGCGAAGAGAGUUGCACAAGCGGUAUGUGCUUUAGCUGCUAACUAUGCUAUUGCAUGUGAUCCAAAGGCCUCGUUAAAGAGGGGAGGUUGGUGCAAACCCCCUAGUGGAUAUGUCAAGUUAAAUGUUGAUGCGGCCUUUGAUUGGGAUUUGCUUCAGGGGGCGAUGGGAGCAGUCAUCCGAGAUGAUAGAGGACAUAUGGUUGUAGCUGGAAACAAGCUCAUUGAUUCCUGUUAUGAUGUACUAACUGUUGAGGCAAUGGCUCUGAAGUUUGGGUUGAAUAUGGCGCUCACAGCUGAGUGCAAUAGACUGAUUGUCAACUCGGAUAAUCUGGAACUCAUGGAAAUAAUGAAUAAGGAUGGCCAAUAUGCUGGAGAUGUCGCGGCCAUUGUCGAUGAUUGUUAUCAUCUGGCUUGCGAAUUUAGCUCUAUUGUCUUCGAAUUUUGCCCCAGAGGGUCGAAUGGGGUUUCACAUGAACUAGCUAGGAUUGCUAGAAGUUCGCUUUGUAAUGAGUGGUUAGAUAAUGCUCCUUCUGAGCUUCUUCCCCUACUACUUAAAGAUGUAAGUCUGAUCACGAAUGAAUAAAGAGGAAGUAAAGUUGUCAAAAAAAAAGAGCAUGGCAAUUUUAUUUUUAAUGGCAUGUCAUUCUUACCUUUUUUUUUUGAGAAAAGCAUGUCAUCUUUAGUAUGUCCUUCUCGCCUGCUAUAUGAAGUAGGCGGACCCUAGAUGGGCUUUCCCAAUAUGGGUUCCUGGGACCGGGUUCCUGCAGAGUUUCUUUUCCUUUUCGUCUUGUGUGUUUCCUGGGCCAAUUUUCAUAUUUUUGUUUGUUUUCUGUCUUAUGUGUUUCUUUAUGGAUUUUAUUUCUUUCUCAAUACAUGUACAUUUUUCUAAAUACACACUGUAAAAAUUUGCACAUCUUGAACAUUUUUUAUUAAUUGGCAUAAACCUAGUUUUGGAGUGUGUGAGCAUUUUUUAAUUGUCAUGUACAUUUUUCUGAAAGGCAGUAUUUAUUUUGUUGAAUUACGUGAGCAUUCUUUACACAUCUUGAACAUUUGUCCAUAUUUUUUUGAAACACAUGAACAUAUUUUUGAAUGCUAUAAAAAAAUUUAUAUCAUGCUGGGUAUGUAUUAGUUUAAACUAAGUUAGUGACAAUUAAUAUGGAUCAUAGAGAGUACAAUUUUGUACAUGAUGUUUAUACUUUUAUAUUUCACUUCCAACAUUUUUUAUUUAUUAAACUCUAUUGUGUUUUUGGAAUAAGUGUAUUUAGAACAUAUUUUUUAAAAUGUAAAUAAAAUGGAGCGAAUGAAGAAGCAGAGAAGAAAAACGAAGGCCGGCCAAAUGUAUGGCGUUCCCUGCCUCAUACCUGCAAAUCAAGCUAAGUAGCGGGUGAUAAUUUUUUACACAAUGUUUAUAGUUUUCUAUUUCACUUUGAACAUUUCAAAAUUUUAAGGAAAUUAUUAUUUUUAAAUAAAUGUUUUUAGUUUUUUUAAUAAAAAGGUGAAAAAAAGGAAAUUGAGCGAAUGAAGAAGCAGAGAAAAAAACGCCCUUUCUUUCAUCAACUGAACUGCGUGCGUGCAUGGAAGGGCUAUCAUCUGCACUUAAGAGGAGUGACUUACCUAUCAUUGUGGAGAUGGACUCUAUUCUUGCAGUCAAACUGAUCCAAUCGAGGGAUUUGGACAAAUCUAUUUAUGCUUGGGUAGUUAAGGUGAUCAAGUAUGUUUUGGGGAUUCGUGGUUCUUGUAUUACUCAUGUUAAUCGCUCUCAAAAUAAAGUUAGCGACUUCUUAGCUAGAUUUGUUAAAUUAGAAGGACAAACCAUGACUUGGGUUGGUUCUGGUCCAGAUGUUGCUGUUGAGCUAGCUGUUGCUCAACGUAUGGACACCAUGAGUUGAGUAAUGCAAAAAAAAAGUUUGCGCAGAAUUAUUUUCGAUUUUUUUGAAAAUUUUAAAUAUGGUUUUUGUUUUUUUUCUUUACAAAAAAAAUACCACACAAAUUUGGCAUUCGUUCCCUGCCUCAUAUCUCUACUCCUAAUGGACGACUUGGUGAAUAGUCUCCAUGGUUUAUUUUCGCUGAUUUUUUUUCGUCAUCCUCCCACCUCACGGUUUCAAAAAAACAACCAAAACCAGAGGCCCGUCCCACGAAACGAAACCCAAUUUGCCCCCGUACCACCACUCCUCCCUCUCCCUCGACCUCCCUUGUCUAGGGUUCCCCGCCACCACUGCGGCAGCCUCCGCCGAAUCCUAGGUCGCCGCACACCGUCGCCGCUGCCGCGAAUCCCCAGGGACACCGCACGCCACCGCCGUCGCGAAUCACCAGAGACGCCGCACGCCGCCGCCGCGGAUCCCCAGGGAUGCCACCGCCACCGCCGCGGAUCCCCAAGGGCGUGGUCGCGUUGUACUAGACAAAGUGUGGUCGCCGCCGUCUUCUCCUCGUCCGACCUUGACCUCAUCCCUUCGACUCCGGUGACUCCUCUGUGGCUCGGUGGACACCAACUGUCGUGGAAUUUUCACGGCAGAUGUUGUAGUGUGAGGACUUAGUCGUGAGGCCAACACAUCUACGCGGUAGCUUGAAGGGGUUGGUCGGAAUCGAGAGACGCGAGGUGGAUCAACACACAAGACAAGGAUUUAGACAGCUUCGGGCCCCGGGAAACAUCAUCCGUUAAUAGCUACAUGUUGUUUGUGGCUAGCUCUCAUUAUGCUCGCGAGGGAGUCACCGUAAACCGGCUCUCCUAGUUAUGUCUAGCCCUAGAGAUUGUUUCUUGUUGCUUGUCCCUCUUUGGGGAGCCUUGUCCCUCCUUAUAUAAGUUAGAGGGGCGGGUUACAUGUGUAGUCCUAUUAGGAUUAGGACUAGUCUACCUUCUAAUACAAACCGGAUACAAGUCCAGGUCUUAACUCCUUGUAAGACAAAUAUUUCUCACGCCUUUCCUCUUAAACCUGCCCACCAUAACAUGAGCCGGCCUUCUGGGCCUUGGGCCUUGUCAUCCGUUUGCCCCGCCCGCCGGGUUACCAGUGAAUCAUAAUGUUCAGUCAGGUUGCUUGUAAACCGUCUGGUCAGUGCGGGUCGCCGGUGAAUCGCCAAGUCCGGCCAGGUUACGCCGCGGGGUAUAUCCCCGACAUCUCCCGUGAUAUCUGAUGAUAUAUUUACAAGUAAUGCGCAUGGAUGGUUCGUCCGUGAUUUUAGGGUGGGUUAGUCGGUUGGAAGAUUUGUUAGUUAGCCUAUUUAAAGGUAGCAUGACGCUCUGGUGCUAUUGUUAGGGUUUGCUAACCCAGCGGAGGAGUCCCUAGUUCUUCUCUUACCCAAAGGAUUACGACCACCGUCUGUCAUUGCCACAGUCGCCUGACACCAAAUCAACCAUGUCAUCGUCGAGCUCGAUUAGGUGCGCGCUGAGGGGCCGAUCAGUUGAUGUGCCCCUGAUCCCUUGCCCUGACUGUGGCGAAACGGUUAGAUUCUAUCUCUCUAGUACCGAAGAGCAUGAUGGUUGGGUGUUCUACAAGUGCAAACACCACGAUGUACAAUCCCUUUACACUUUGGGUUGACAUUUACUGCAUGAGUAAUGUUUUCUACUGUUUCGUUAGUGCUGGUUUGAUUUGUGUUCACUUGGUUCAUAGGAUCCAUGUGAUUUCUGGCGCUGGGAACUAGAGUACGUGGAUCAUCUUGUUGGUACAAGUGUCCUUGUUGGUGGUUAUGCCCUUGAUGCAAUGGCUGCGACACAGGAUAGAAGGGAACAGCUACAUCGCGCAAAAAAACAGUGGGAAAAGACUGCAUGUACCAAGAGUGGCAACAUUGGAGGCAGGACAAAUUACAGUCAGAGCAAUGUGGCAACCAUUACGAAGCACCAAGCUUAUACGAUGUUAGGACUAGGGAGACAAAUUGUUUUCAUGCCGAAGCUGUUGACGGCUAGUGUAAUGGUGUUGUGUGUGUGGUGUGUGAUGUUGAUUGUGAAGAAAUAAUAUAUUUGUGAUCGUAUCAAGGCGAUUAUCAUGGUUACAUGUAAUAACAGCUUAAUAAGAAGAUGUGUUCUAACAUGAUAACUCUUAUAUGCCCCCCAACCCUAUUUUAACAUGACAGGUAAGAGUAAGAAAUAAAUCUUACACGAUGAUUCCAUGAAAUAGUUGUUUUGAUUAUUUCUUACCUUCUUGACUAUUAUGAGAAAAUAAGAGGUAAGACGGAGCAUGUUAAAAUUGCUAAAAAAUAAUGAAUAAACCGAGUUGCAAUGAAGGCAAACGAAUGGAAAAAUGUAAACGACCAUUUAAAUUCUUGCCCACUAUGUUGUGCACGAACACAAGAGUACCAUGAAAUAAAAAUAAAGUACGUCAUUACACCAAUGACUUAAAAAUCCCUUAAUUUAUUUUCGCACACUACGUUUUGCCAAAACUACUCUAGAGGCACAUCAGGAACAUGGCAAACAAAUAGAUAAAUCCCAUGAUCUCCUAGGUACAGCAACAUCAGCACCUUCUGUCCUAACAGCAAGAGGUUUUCCUUCUUCAUGAACUCGUUCCAUUUGUUGACGCAUACAUGACCAUCAAUAUCAGAAAUGGUGUAUGUACUUGACACAACACUGUGUGGAUGAUAAACAAUGGUUAUGGCACCAUAUUCCUCCAUUUCUUCAGGGAAAACACGAUUAGGCAGUUUCUGUUUGAAAACAAUAUUUGUUACAUCAACACGUGGCAACUUAAUGUUAUGUAGUAAAGGAAGAACAAUUAAUUUGGAACAAAACUAAAAACAUAUUGAAAUGACACAAAGUGAAUGAAGUACCGAAAGAUGGUUACCGAGAAGUUCUUGUUGCAAUUUGACCAUGUCAACGUAUGGAGGAAUGCAUAUGCUCUCCCUGAUCAUAGUUUCCAGCAUCAUGACACUCCACUAACUUUUAAGGUCCAUCACUUGGCGUAUGACAUACUCCAUUAUUCUCCAGUUUAAGCUUGUCCCCUCAGUUACAACGACAUUGUCAAUAAUAUCUCUUUUCUCAUUGGACAAUUGGUAGUAUGCUACAAUAUUAUAGCAUAGACAAUUUAAUUUAUUAUAUAUGGAUAUGAUAAAGUUAGAGUAAUAAAACUUGCAGGAGCAAAAAAGUAUCUUACUCAGAUGUAUGAUAGGCAAAUUCCUAGUUGUCAAUACGCUACUUGGUACUUCUGAAUUGUCAGUACUGAACGUAAUCUCCUGACCCACAUGUAGCGUGUAAACUCUAACAAAUUCCUUCCAAUACUUCCCUGAAAUGUAUGUCAACUCAUUGUCAUUGGUAAUCACACAUGGGAAUUCAAACCCCUCAUUGGUACUGAAACUUGCUUCAAAGUUCCCAUAUUUUCCCAAGGACACGCCAAAUUUCUGUGUGAAACUGUAUCUGUCGUAGCAGGGAUUACCUGAGUAGCAUAUCUACGAUUGUUAAUAUAUAUGAACUGCCUGUUAAUCUAAAGAAUUUGUCCAAUCUUAGAUGACUAGCAUAGUAUAGUUCACUACUUCUUAGCAGUAUUAUCAUAUAACCCCAUAGAAGAUUUAAAUUAACAUGCACGUACACAAAACCAUUUUAUCAUCUAAGAAAUCAAGAUGCAAUAUAACUCUUUUUGCAGUAAACAUUACGAACAACUGACUGAGUACAAAGGGUCCGAGUACAAUAUUCGUUCAAUAUUACUGCCUCCGUCCAAAAAUUUGUGGACAAAAUUUUGUACAUACGGAUGUAUCUAUGCAGAAAACAUGACGAGAUAGGUGCGUAUCUACAUGGAUCUAACACAUUAAUUUUGGAUCGGAUGGAGUACUAAAUUUCUCAUGAUAUUUGCUACGGGUCAUGUCAGACUGGAUCUUACUGUCUUGUUUGCAAAUCCCUCGCGCACGGUGACGGUACAAAACUCCCUCAUACAAUGCUCACCGGGGCACAAACCCUUGGUGUCCAAACAAAUGCCACACUCCAAAUCGAGAUCAAUCUCAUUACUAGUACGUACAGUCUUAAAGAUUAGUGCUAGCAGUUGAAUUUAGAUCUGACAGAUUCUAUAGUGCAAAUACGUACCGCGCUGAUCUCCUUAACCAUUUUCACGAAGGUUCUCGACGGCGGCAGUGCGUGUACCGCAUCGACUCCAUGGAUGGAAUCCAGUUUGAACCAAUGUUCGCACUUGCUAUGGUGUCAAUUAGGUCCACCCUUAGGCAAAGAAGCUUGAAGGCAUCAUAUGCUACCACUUUCGAUGGUUGUCUAGGGGGGUAGACCGUCUGGGAGGAAAUGAAAAAAUCAUGAAAAUCAUGUGUAACCUUGAACGCACUGUGCAUGCAUGCUUGAUUUGGUUCAUGGGAUGGCAUCAAAAUAACUCAGAAUCCUAUGUACAUGGUGUAUUGAAGGAGAUGGCCCGAGACGGGCCCUUCCGGGCUAUCCUUGUACCCUCCGAAAGCACGUGUUGGUUUAUUGACCUAUAUUAAAUGACCGUCAAGUUUGUAGGGUUACAAUCCAUGUCCAUGUUAGGGAUACAUAUGCCAAGUUUGAACCAUUUUCAUCUAAGUUUGCAAGUUUUUUCAUGUGUAAAUCUUAGUCUAAACUGAGAAGCAUCACUACAAGAAAUAUGCUAUCUUGUGACCUCCACUAUUGGUCACUGAAAGGUCAUAGUUUUUCAUUUGCGACCUUUUUGUGACCAAAAACAGAAGGUCAAAAGCUGAGGGUCGUAAACUGACUAUAGCGACCUUCUCACAACGACCUUCUCUGUGAGAAGGUCGUGGACGUUUAUGACCAAAAUAUUCCUACUGUGGUGUUUUGGUCACUAGCAGCCUCCCCAGUCCACGUAGGCAUCCAGCGUGGCAAGCUGAUGUGGCACCAGAUUCAGCCCGGUCCAAUUCGGUUUUCUACAUGGACCUAGCCCAUUAAUUCAGCCCAUUUAGUAUAUUUAUUUUUGUUAAUUUUGUUCAGCUACAUGGGCCAAGCCCAACUAGUCAGCCCAUAAAUUUUUAUGCACGUUUGGCCUUUCAAGAAUAUAUAUACAAUUUUGUGCAGCCCAUUUCUGGUUUACAUUCAGCCUUUUUAUACAUUCAAAUAAUAAUUCAAUCCUGAUGUUGGUCCAAUACUCUUUUCAGCCCAUUCACAUAUUCGUACAAAUGAUCCUCAUUUUCGACAAAAUUUGCAAAUAAUUUCAUAUUUCAGCACUAAAUAUGUUUACAUCACAGGCCAUAAAGCCGUACAAACUAGUAUCACUUGUUCCUAUACAAAACUAUCAAAUGAUACAUACAACAAAACAGAAUACAGAAAAUUUAGUUCAACAAAAAUAUGUUUUCUUCCUCUUCCAUCUUCCAGGACAUAAAACACCUGUGAAAGUAAAUAUGCCACAACAAAAAUGGAAGGAUCAGCCAUUAGAAGCAUAUUGAGUACAAGGGAAACACGCACUGUGAAAAUUUUGACAGCACGAAUAUUUUUUAUAUUACAAUAACAAACAGAAAUGUAAUCUGAUUGCAUAAGACAUAUGGCAUUAUCAACAAGACAAAGCAAAAUUUAUAGUGCCAACUCGGGAAUAAGAUAAAGCAAAAUUUAUAAAUCUAUAGCAUCGCACACGAGGUCUAAAUUUAUACUAUGUUCCUUUAGAAGCAAGAGUUGGUUAGUGUCUAGCUUUUAUUGCAGAUAACUAGUAAAUUUCCACAAAAAAUAGGAGCGACAUAUGUUUUAAUCUCGUGUUUGCAGUAUAUAUUCACAGCAUGUAAGAAUACUUUGAUUAACAAACUAACCAACCAUCAACUAACACUUCACAGUACCAACUAACACUUCACAGUACCAAAAAGAUGGGGUGGCGCUCACCAAUUCAGAUGUGCAGCAGCCAUGAGGGCUUCUUUGUGUUCCACCUAUAGCAGCGGCAACUUCUACAAAUCUGAGACACAAAACAAACGCAUGCAGAAGGAAUCAGAGGGAGGGGAGAUGAAGAACAUGGCAGGCAUUUAUAUGAUCGCAGUACAUAUGGAACAAACAGCAGUCCAUACUUGCAUCAUCAUGUGUAUAACAAAAUCACGGUCGCCUCUACAGAUAGCACUACUAGAGUAGAGAGCCAAGCAUAAUAAUUCUACCAGGAGACAAUGUAAACACAGAGUCACACCAUUGACAGAUUAAGCCUUACAACAUGUUUGGUGGCUCAGUGGGCGAUGUAUGCAUGCACAAAAAGGGGGGCAAUUUUUCAAUCAAACUGAAGAAAAACACACAUCAUUUAGUAACCAGUACAAAUCCCGGUAGCUGUAGGUGCAUGCAUUGUGUAACAAUGAGUAAUCAAUAGCAUUUCAGAGUUGUGCAGUUACUAGUGUGUCGUCCUCUGUUUACCACACCACACAUGGGCAUGAGAAAAUUGCUAAAAACCACUGAUCGUGUGCUAAUCUACUUGGAAAAUUAUAUGUUUGAAAAAGAGCAGCUUGCAUCCUUUUUAUUAACCUACAAAGCAUAUGCGGUCACAGAAAGCAGUACUAAAGUAGAAAACACAAAGCAGUAGAAUAAACUAUGCACAUGUACUCGGCAGCCCACUCACAUUACCAGCUCCCUUAUAGAAAUAGCAAUCAUUUUAAAAGCAUCAUGACAGAUGUUAGCAACUGAACAUCUAAGGCUAAUCCAGCAGCAAAUGAACAUAGUGAAGAAUUUAUUUGCAAAGAACACAAAAGGCGGAAGAAAAAUUACAUGUUGAAGCAGCCCUGUUACUUGACGUCCUGCAACAGAUAACACUUGAUCAUUAGAACCACUAUAAUCCAAACAGAGAAACAAAAAUGCCAAACUUAAGCAUAACGAAUGCACUGACCCUAUUGCGGCCACAUUUUAACCACUAGUGUUGUGAUAUAGACAAGAUAGUCAGCCGCUUACAUGGUAAAAGGAACAUGGCAGCACUAAGUUACACAGGAAUGUCAAGUAGGAGAUAUGAUCUGAUAGAUCCACAGAAACAACUCAGACCAGAACAGCACUAAGUGUUCACUCACAAAUUGGUACUAGCAUAGAGAUUUUCGUAUGCCUAGAACCUGUGGCAAUACAGGUUGACGUAUAUGCAAGGGUAUAUAUAUACUCGUAUUUGAUAGGACUAACAACACAUGAAUCAAAGAUAAUCACGAUCAGCCGCGUAAUCUACCACAAACCCGUGGUAACAGACACCAUUACACAGCUACACCAACAGCCUACCGAAGCAAAACUCCAAAUCGGAUGAAAAAUUAACUAGGAUGGGAUCUGACACUGGCAUCAACUAACUAGGGAACAGCCUAAACAAACACCGCUGAGAAUGGUGCCGAAACGGAUCAGAUGACGAAAUUGGCUUACCCGGCCUCCGGGUGCUGCUGCUUGAACUCGAGGUGGUGGGAGGCGACGGGGCUGGCGUGGCGGUCGUAGAUGAUGAACCUGGUGCUGGUGGUGCCCUGGUCGAUCGAUGCCACGUACACCUCCUCUUCCUUCCCCUUCCCCGCCAUACUCCUUUCCCUUCCCCUUCCUCCACACGCCCCAGAGCAUGCUCGCCAGAAAAACAAGCGCCGAACCCUCUGCCGGCGGGCAAACAGAGGGGGGCGGCCGGAGCAGCGGACUGAGCCGGUGGAACAAGCGAGGAGGCGGUCGGCGUUGAAGUGGGAGGCAGUGGGACGCAAAUCCUGGUCGUCCUCCUCCUCAUUGUCGAUGUCGUCCAUGGAGGUCACCUGCCAGUUCAAAUCCAACCCAAUAAAGGGGAUCAGACAAGGAAGUAGAGAGAGGAUCUGGGCUGGGGAAGGGGAAGUAGAGACAAGGAAGUCGGCGUCGCGCUCGGCGUACUUGUCGGCCUUGAGGUAGCGCGCGAUGCGCCCGACGGGGAAUUGGAGCCCGGCCUUGGACGGCCGCGACACCGACUUGGUCUCCUUCGCCUUGCCGCGGCCUAGGUAGCGCGCGAUGCGGCCGACGGGGAACUGGAGCCUGGCCUUGGACGAUCGCGACACCGACUUGGUCGCCUUUGCCUUGCCGCGGCCGACGACGCCUCCGGUGGAACUCAUCGCCGAUUCGCCUUUGGGGGAGGUCCGGACGCGGUUGGUGACGACGAAGGAGAAGAUGAUGAAGACGCGGCAGGAGCAGCGCCUCCAGCGCGAUGACCGGCCGCUCCAGGAACCGCUCGCAGUCGGCGGCGGCGGCCCGGUGGCUCAGCCAGAUGCCGCCGCCGAGGACGACGAGAGGGACGAGGGGGAUCUGGAUCGGGGGAGAGGAGGGAGGGAGAGAACGAAAGAAAGAAAGGAGGCGGGGGGUGGAUGGAAGAUGCCAGCUAGGGUUUCGCCUCAGGCGGGGAGGCGAGGAGCGACGGCUACCGUAGGAUCCGGGAGGAUCCAAUGGUGUUUUGUGCAUGAUCCGUGUGCCUUGUCCACGGAGCAAUCAGAACGCAAUACAAUAUUAUGUCCAAUUGAAUUGGUCGUGAUAAAUUUAAAAAUAAGAUGUUAGAUCAUCUUAGCUAUUUACUUGACCUGAUAAAUUGGAAAAAAAUGAAACAAAUGAAAAACCUUCUCAUCAUGUCAUCAAAUGUGACCUAGUUUUUAGAAGAAAAAAAUAACAAAAUAGUAAUAAGGAACUUUUCAUUUUCUUUGCACGAAAAUUCAUUUUUCAUUUUUCGAGUGCUCAAAAUGAGUUUUUUUGUGAAGAACAUACCAAAUAUUUGUUGCAAAAUUGUAUCAAAUCAUUUUUCUAAAAUACUAGACCAUAUUUAAUGUACAAAUAACCAAAUGGUUGGCUGUAAAAACUUUUAAUCCACCUCUCGUGAAAAAGACAAAUUUCCGCCGAUUCAGUUGGAAGCUGGUCAAAUUUGAACUACAGCUGCUUCAUAGUUUGCUAUUUAUUUUUUCCAAAAAUAAUUUCUAGGUACAUAAGUACCUAUUUAAUCAGAGAAACACCAAAAAAAUUUCAAGAUUCAACCACUAGCUAGGAACGGUCAAGCCCGCCGUUUUGACCGCAUUUUGAAACGGACAUAAAAAAUUCAAAAAAAAAUCAAAAAAUUGGUAAACCUUCGCAUUGUGUCAUUAUAUGUGACCAAGUUUCCACGAAAAAUAAUAAACUUGUAAUAUGGAAAUUAUUUUAGAAAAGUGUUCUUAGAAAUGAGCUAUCAUGUGUGAAGAUUCAUGGAUUUCAACCCAAACGCUCAACCUCAUGGCCACAUUCAUGGCAUAGUUUGUUCAAAUGAUCUCAUAUUGUGCACAAGGGUGCAUCUUGGAAUUCCAAGCAAUGUUGCCAAAGGGAGUUUUCAUUUUCUUUGCACGGAAAAUUCAUUUUCCAUUUUCCGAGUGCCCGAAAUGAGGUUUUUUGUGAAGGACCUACCAUAUAUUUGUUGCAAAAUUGUACCAAAUCAUUUUUUAUAAAAUACUAGGCCAUAUUUAAUGCACAAUUGACAAAAUGGUUGGGUGUCAAAAGUUUUGAUCCACCUCUGGUGAAAAAGACAAAUUCCCGUCGAUUCAGUUGGAAGCGGGUCAAAUUUGAACUGCAGCUGCCUCAUAGUUUGCUCUUUAUUUUUUCUAAAAAUCAUUUCUAGGUACAUAAGUACCUAUUUAAUCAGAGAAACACCAAAAAAAUUCCAAGAUUCAACCACUAGCUAGGAACGGUCAAGCCCGCCGUUUUGACCGCAUUUUGAAACGGGCAUAAAAAAUUCAAAAGAAAACAAAAAAAUUGGAAAACCUUCGCAUUGUGUCAUUAUAUGUGACCAAGUUUUCAGGAAAAAUAAUAAACUUGUAAUACGGUAACUAUUUAAAAAAAGUGUUCUCAGUAAUGAGCUAUCAUGCGUGAAGAUUCAUGGCUUUCAAGCCAAAUGAUCAAUCUUAUGGCCACAUUCAUGGCAUAGUUUGUUCAAAUGAUCUCAUAUUGUGCACGAGGGUGCAUCUUAGAAUUCCAAACAAUGUUGCCUAAAGAAGUUUUCAUUUUCUUUGCACGGAAAAUUCAUUUUUCAUUUUCCGAGUGCCCAAAAGGAGGUUUUUUUGUGAAGGAACUACCAAAUAAUUGUUGCACAAUUGGACCAAAUCAUUUUUAUAAAAUACUAGGCCAUAUAUAAUGCACAAUUGACAAAAUGGUUGGGUGAAAAAAGUUUUGAUCUACCUCUGGUGAAAAAGACAAAUUGUUGUCCAUUCAGUUGGAAACGGGUCAAAUUUGAACUGUAGCUGCCUCAUAGUUUGCUCUUUAUUUUUUCCAAAAAUCAUUUAUAGGUACAUAAGUAUCUAUUUAAUCAUAGAAACACCAAAAAAAUUCCAAGAUUCAACCACUAGCUAGGAACGGUCAAGCCCGCCGUUUUGACCGCAUUUUGAAACAGGCAUAAAAAAUUCAAAGAAAAUCAAAAAUUGGAAAACCUUCGCAUUGUGUCAUUAUAUGUGACCAAGUUUCCAGGAAAAAUAAUAAACUUGUAAUACGGUAAUUAUUUUAAAAAAGUGUUCUAAAAAUGAGCUAUCAUGCGUGAAGAUUCACGGCUUUCAAGCCAAAUGAUCAAUCUUAUGGCCACAUUCAUGGCAUAGUUUUUUCAAAUGAUCUCAUAUUGUGCACGAGGGUGCAUCUUGGAAUUCCAAACAAUGUUUCCUAAGGAAGUUUUCAUUUUCUUUGCACGGAAAAUUCAUUUUUCAUUUUCCGAGUGCCCAAAAGGAGGUUUUUUUAUGAAGGAACUACCAAAUAAUUGUUGCAAAAUUGGACCUAAUCAAUUUUAUUAAAUACUAGGCCAUAUAUAAUGCACAAUUGACAAAAUGGUUGGGUGUUAGAAGUUUUGAUCCACCUCUGGUGAAAAAGACAAAUUCCCGCUGAUUCAGCUGGAAGCGGGUCAAAUUUGAACUGCAGGUGCCUCAUAGUUUGCUAUUUAUUUUUUCCAAAAAUCAUUUCUAGGUAAAUAAGUAUCUAUUUAAUCAUAAAUACAUGGUUUGAUGGCGAGACAUCAAGGUUUGGAGGUGGCCGAGGGCCCCAACUCUAGAGUGCAUAAGCUCGCAUGCCCGCCGCGUGGUCACCGCAUGACCGUGGUGUUGCCAUGCGUUCUGGGAGGCCUAGGCAUGUCUAGUGGGUUGUUCACUCCCCAGGUAGAUGCUAGGAAGAAAAUUAUAACAUAAGAUUCUCACGAGGAGACCAAUCGAUGCUCAAACAUGAAUAAGCAGCCAAGUGUUUGAUUUGCGGUACGGGAAAUGCACAUUGCUAAUGGGCAUGAGUUUUGGCUGAGGAUGAUCAGUUACUAAGAAGACCUCUUCACAAAUUUUUAGGGAAAUCAAGAAUAUAUAAAUAACACUUCCUUCACAAAGUGCUGCUCUGAACAGAAUAGGAAAAUGAAUAUUGUUGAGUUAUUUUUGAACUAGGCAAGGAAGGUUUUUGACAUAUUUGAUGAAGAUAUGAUCCAAACAAUUUAUGAGAUUUUUUUGGGAAUUUUUGGAAUGACAGAAAUAUAGGUUGCUUCACAACCUAGGGCAAAAACUGCCACAUGGACAUGACACAUAGGCAAAACUGAUGAGGUGGCGCCUAGUCAUCACAACCAACCACAAUCUACAAGGCUAUGACCAUCUAUUUUGGUCGUUAACAACUAGAAAUAAGCCAGUGGACCAGCCCUGUUUGCCUUGUGACCAUUUGGUGUAAGGAAAUUACGACCUUUCUGACCAAAAUGGUCGCAAUGGUUUAGGGUUUGGAGCCCCCCGAACAGCUUUUGACCAAUUGGUCUCAAAUGGUCAUAGAUCUAUGACCAAUUCUUCCAGGGUCACUGAUAGAAGGUCACUAGUUGACAUAUUUCUUGUAGUGCAUUUCGCAUGGUAGCUUGUUUUGGUCAUGGGAUUCCAUGGGAAAUAGUAGGCAUAAUUUUGUAUUGUAGAUGAUCUACUAAACAUGAGGGUGCCCCCAAACACGUCCUUGCGGCCUUGACAUGCACCCUCCGAAAUCACAUGUUGGUUUGUUGACCUACCUGAAAUCAACCCAACUUUGCAGGGUUGCAAGCCAUGGUAAUUAUUGGGGUACGUACAAAUUUCAACCAUUUUCAGCAAAGUUGCAAGUUUUGUCACGUACGGACAAUUUUCGGGCAUUUUCAGAACAAACAACAUAUUUUAUACCACUUAAAAAAUGCAUUCCUUUCUCGACGACACAUUUGUUUUUUCUUCGGAACAUUACAUUUGUUUUGGCCAAUUACACAUGCUAAUGUUUCAACCUCCCAUAACUCACGCCACCCAGAUCUCCCGAAAUCCCACGAUUACAGCUCCUCCCUCGUAACCACCCGCGGCAUCCAGGUCCCGUACCACCUCCCACGACUGCUGCAAGAUCAGAUUGUAGCCGCCGCCCACCAGGAACUCGCCUGAGGGGUUGGACGACAGUGGUGUUGUCGCCGUCUCCUACGCGCGUCAACGCGCUGCUCCUGUUGCUCCCGUCGAGCACCACACAUCAACAUCUAGUGUGGGACGCACUAUCCGUGUGGAGCAUUGGGCCGCCACCGUCGACGAUAGAAGGUUACGUGAUCAUAGCUCUUUUUGUAAUCUUUCUCGGACACGCACGUCUACUAGUAAAGCCCUAAUAGGUUUCCCACAAGUUAUUCCAGUCAUCAAGAUUACCUAAUCAUAGCUCUCAUUAAUAACUAUCAACACGAUCAAUCUUGGCACACUACACGAAUGUCCGAAGAGGUAAUACCACAACAAGGGUAUAUCUUUCAUGAAAUAACAUGUCGUAUGUUUAUGCAAUCCCAAAACCCUAGUUGAACUGUCCCAAUGUUAUGCAUGACCAAAAUCUAUAGUGUGCUUAAAGUUACAUGUAGUUCAUAUUAUUUAAUAAACUCAUCCGUGCCUGCGUAUAAGAUUCUAUUUUUGUUACACAUUUCUCAAUGUGAAGGUCAAAUAAAUUGAACCGGUUUUGCUUCUGUUCCAUAGGUGCAGUAAAAUGGAAACUACUGUUAAAAGUGCUACUAAUGGAGAAAAAUACGUCUCCGAAAUGACCGAUGAGGUACAUUGUUGACAUUUCGUUUGAAAACUGUACUUGCAUACACUUCUUUCAUACUCGAUAAAAUCUAUUGCCACUUUUGCAGGCAAUCUUGAGGAAGCACGGCCAUACGAAGUUAGUGUGCUCACUGUCAAGGCUCGCCAAAGUCAUGAAAUUGUUAUCACCAGAACACAUAGAGAAAAUCAUAAGCGAUACCGGUCUUGGGUGUCUAAACAUGAUUCGUGAAUUUAAACUCCGGCGCAUUAUGUUGGUAAGACUAACAAAGAGCUUCAAUAGUGAGACAUCGUUCAUUACCAUAGGUAAAACACCCAUUCCUAUCACCGCAAAAGAUGUGCACCAUAUAUUUGGCCUUGCGAUAGAAGGGGAGGAUAUUGAUGAAAAGCUGCAAAGCACGCCGGAUCCAAAUUUGUUUUAACACAUUUCAAAACAAUGGGAGCAUUGAUCUGGCUGACCUUGAGACAACGAUCUUAAGUUCCAAAACUCCGGACAAUGACUUCUUGGCGCGGUUCGUUCAAUUCGCUAUUGGCACAGUUUUAGCACCAACGACACAAUGUUAUGUCGACGCAAAAUACCUUAAUCUUGUUGCGGCUAUUAAAAGCCUUCGAAAAUUGAACUGGGGAUGUUUCACAAUGAAACACUUGUUCAGGUACAUACACAAAUUUAGCUCUCUUGAUCAAGUAUCUCUACAAGGAAAUCUACCUCUGCUUCAGGUUAGUGCAACAUCACUAGUUAACAUUGUACAAUUCUUUUUCUUUUCUAUAUCUCUCUCUAUAUUGACGAAGUAAUUUAUUGUGAAGAUUUGGUACUGGGAGCACCUGCGUUCCGGCAAAUUGAUGUAUACUCCUAUACCCCCACCAUUGGUCGCACGAUGGGACGAAUGCACGUGUGUAAUAAGAGCAGAAGCUUACACCUCAGGAGGUCUUCAUAAAGGACUGGUGUGUUUCUAGAUUUGACCCAUGUAUAUAUCCGGUUAUUUAUUUGCUACUACUGAUUCAUUGUACCUGAUUCAAAGGUUGUGAUGGAAAUUUGUGCUCGACAACCAAAGGCCAACAAUAGAAAGGAUCCAGGAAGCAAAAAAAUUGUACGUGAGGAUGAAGGUGAUUCAUCUCGAGCACAAUCACAAGGUCAAAAUAUGAGUAGCCACCAAGUAAGCCCAACAAAGACAAUUUUCAUUUUCCAAGAUCAGUAAAAGGUUGCAUCGAAACUCAUUCAUUUUGCUUUGUUCUGAAUAGGGUGUUAUUUCGUUUGCACAGGUGCAAAUGAUAGUUGCAGCCCUGAAUGCAUGUUGUGUUGAGCAAGAAAAGAAGAUAGACAGACAGUUAAUGGAAAUUCAGCGUAGAUUUGAUGCGAAAUUCCUCACCCUGAGCGAAGAGUUAAUCGACAUUAAGAGUAAAUCUGGCAGUAAUCCUAGGCUCUCGCUGCUCGAGGACAAAAUUAAGAACUUAAGGAGGGACCUGAAGGUAUGUCAUGUUGUGCAUUUUUUAUUGUUAUGAAUAUGUUCCUCCAUAUUCAUUAUUGUUAUAGUUGUUAUAGGAAUUAGAAAACCAAACUAAAGUCAGCCGACAAUCCGAGUCACAGAAAGCAGGCGUCGAGGUAAUAAUUAUGGCCCACCACAUAAGUAGUAUUACCAAACUAAUUAUAAUUGACCAUUUUUGUUGUUGUAGGAACAAGUCAAUGUGUGCAGUGAUCCCUUCAUGGCGACUCCUAAGUUCGACGCAUCCACGCCACGUACUUUGACUCCAACACCAAGUGCCAGACACGUCCUGCCAAACAAGGACGAUCCUCGAAUCACACCGUUGAAGCCUCUAUUUGAUAAUGAUUACGUGCUCACCGCUGAGGACAAAGAGGCAGCCAUUUUCAUCCGGGGAACACACGGCCCUGUUGAAGUCAUUCAAAUCGGAGACAUUCCCCUAAGAGCGGAAUAGCUGAAGCCAAUUUACGAUAAAAAAUACAUCUGUGGUGAUGUAAGCCCCUUGUACUCCAUUGUACAUCAACUAUUUGAACUGUUGGCACAUCAUUAUAUGAUUACAAAUUUGGCAGGUUACUAUGGCGUAUGCUCACAUCAGCGGAGUUGAGACUGAUACUACCUCAGUCAUAUCCCCCAAUGAAACCAGAAAGCUUUUACAAACAAAAGGGGUUAUUCCAGAGGGCCGUGGAAGCUCGUUGCUUCAGCGUAUUGCAAAUAAAUUUGUAGGACGCCGGAAGGUACCUGUUUUCCUCACUUUCAUAUAUCAUAAUAGAUAGUGUAGAUGAAAUAUUUCAGGGGUCCCCCGAACCAUAAUUGUUACCUCAUAUACAUUAUUCCGUGGAAUGAGUCCUCUUUGACUUUAUGGCAGGUCCACAUCCCGUUUAAUGUGAAUGAUAACCAUUGGAUGGCAAUGGUGUUCAAUUUCGACAAAGAAGAGAUUCAAAUCCUAAACUCCUUGAAAAAUCAAUUUGCUGAGUCAAAGGAAACUGCUCUUGUAAGCUUUAUCUUGCUGCCUCUUUACUGUCGCAUGGCACAUGAACUCCAAAUCACCGUAACCCUUCGUAAUACUCGUAUUAUGCUAGGUGGAGGCGAUUCAGGCCUGCAUGGAUGGAGCGGUGAAGGAUGGCUUGGUAACACCAGAUAAGCCUAUCAAAUUUACCGACUGGGAAGUAGUACACUAUGACGACAUACCACAAUAGAAUGACGGGUACGUACGACCUCCUAAAUUAUUCCUCGCUGACACGUCCAAGUUUACUAAAACCUAAACUAAACACUGCAGGCAUUCAUGUGCGUUUUUUACACUGAAGUACAUGUUGACAUGGAACAGUGAAGUAUUUACCGACAAAGUGGAGCAGAUGAUCCAAACACUAUAUUUUCUUGUAGAAUAUCUUAUGACUGAACGAUGUGCUGACAUAUGUGUCGCUUAUCAAAUGUAGUCAUAGAUAGAUAUAUUUAGCUAGAAAAUAGUUUCAAGCUUGCUGCAUUCAGAUUGCAACAGUCUUCGCAUGGAAACAUACAAGUACCCCAUAACGGUUAGCGAAAAAGCACAGAUAUUUUAUUGUAUUCACAUGUGUCAUGACGCUACCGAAUGCACUGAUGUCUGCUGUACAGGCGGAGACGUAUGAAGCCCACGUUGCAUCGGAACCUAUCAAUUCACAAGACGAUGUCCAAGAAAUUAUCGGUACUGUUGAGUGCAAGAUAUCAGACACGUCGAGCUCCCCAAAGGAUCCCGACACCCCGAGCUCCCCAAAAAAGCGAAGAGCACGUGGACGCCCGAGGAAGCUUGUUGAUGAAGUGCAAGCUAAAAAAACAAAAACUACGGAAGAGCUCAGAGUGAAAUUUGAUAGCAAGACCAUUGUUAAACAAGUGUCUUCUUCGAUAUCAGGACGAUCACGCAAGCCAUCACAUGCUAUAUCGAGCCCAUUCAAGUUAACCAAAUGGUAGUUUAGGUACGUACUGGGUAGCACUGUAGUUAGCACUACUUAUGAUACAUUUUUCAUUUACGAUUUGGUGAUUGAACUUUAUCAAACGUGCAUCAACUAGCGGUGAAAGACGGCUUGCUAACAACAACUAAGACCGUAAAAAGUAGGGUAUGAUAACAUACCUCAAUAUAGCAAUCUAUGUUGUCCAAGUACAUACUUUUGGCAAUCACGAACAUUAUAUAAUUUCGGCAAUUAGGGAUACAUGCUCAGUUCUUUUGGUUGAACUGCCAAUAGGUCAUUCUGCCAAUCAUUUGCAUGAUGUACUUUUGGCAAUAUAUUAUACAACCUAAGUGCAUGUCAAAAAUGGCAAUAGGUACUUUUGGCAAUCAUGUGCAUGCUACAUUUCUGGCAAUUACUAAUGCAUGCUCAUUUGUUUUGCUUGAAAUGGCAGUAUGUACUCCUGGCAAACAUUUGUGUGCUCUACUUUUGGCAGCUAUUAAUACAGGAUCAUUUAGAAUGGUUUAACUGUCCAUAGAAAUAACUAGAAUGUCAUUAUUUCUAAACAUACCAAAUUCAGUACAAGAUAUAGCAUUAGCAUCUUUAGUUAGAGUCAUAACAUAUAUGUACCAUAUAUCACCAUAGUGGAGGUAUUAGGCAAGGUUGACCGCAAUGCUUACAAGAUAAACAGUAGUUUAAUGAAGAAACAACACUUAUUAGUACAGGGUAGACGCUUAAUUAGGCGCCUAUCAUGUACAAAUUGGCACUGCUGCUUCCGAAAACCAUGUUUAAUAUAGUUAGCAUGUACCUAAGCACGUAGCAUUGGAAGUUGGCCAUUACCAGAAAUGAGCAAUGUACUACCAAAAACUUAAACGUAGCAUGUUAAACACUCGCGACCCAAAAGAUAAACUGGCACAUAAGUUCAAGCAGUACGGUGGGGCAGAAGUAUCACAUGACAACCAUAACAUAAAAACAGUCUUAACUAGGGUGGGCCAGUAGUAACAACCAAGUAGCGCAUCAGAUCCUCGACAUCUUGGCCGGACGAGGAGGCCUCGGGAGGUAGAAUGGAAGAUGCCCCUUCGCGUACUUCCCGAGGAAGGCACCAAAAGCAGAAUGCUCAGCCCGGCCGUGGGGCUUGCGGUUCCUCCCAUUACCACGGCUGAUAUCGGUGCCAUGCAUGAUCAGGUUGUCGUAGUCGCUCUUGAUUCUCGCGCAGCAGAAGGGGCAGGCUAUGUUGCCGUAGAGCCCGUCGGAGCUGCUGCGGUAUGGGAUUUCCCCAUUCCGCAGCCUCCUGAGGACGUAGCGGCUCUUGCUUUCCCUCCUCUCCUUACUAUCAUCCACGUCUUCGUCAUCUUCAUGUGUGUUAGUUGAUUGACAGCUAUGUUAGAUUAGGAAUAUAGAAAUGUAGCAUUUCAUAAGAGUAUCAAGUACAUUCCAAAAGUAGGAACACAAAAAUAUGAUCAAUCAGAUGAUUCACACAACAUGUACCUCAUGUAUUGCUAUAUAUGUUUAUGUAUUAUUUGUUAUCUUUCUUGUUCUUUUUUCUUUGCUUUGCAUGCGUACCUGUUCUCCCCUAUAAAGAAGUACUCCUAUUUGUACAGUCUAAGUUGACAAUUAACUAAAGGGUUCGGGUUUUAGGGUAUGAACAAAUCAUUUUACUGCAUUCAAGCACAUAUUUUAUUUCAUACUGAAAAUAGAUAAUUCCAAAAAUAGGAUCAUUUCUUGCCAUUUCUUGCAACAAUAUUUUGUAUGAUCUGGUUUUAUCAUAAAGAGAUACCAGACAAUAUCUAAUUUAAUUAUAUUCAAACUAGAUGAGUACAUACUACAAAGUAAAACUACCGCAUCAACAAAGAAAAGAUUGCCCUCACUUGAUAUUUUGAAGACAACAAAUCAUAUGAAUCAUGUCAUCAAUUAUGUAUAAAAAGAGAAAUUUUUGACUGAGGUACAUCGGUUGCGAACAUAAGAAAUUAUGGCUUUAAUUACUCCUUGUUGCUAAUAAUUACAUAGGGUGCGUACAUAAGAAACUCCACAACGAAUUACUUACUGCAAUCAGAAAAUGUCUUCACAAUAUAGCUGUAAGGCUUCAUGAUUUUCAUCAAAUAAACUAGUUUUUCUAACAACUAAAUAAAUGUACUGUUUACUAGGUCUCAACAGAUUUGGCAAUCAGAUUGAAAAUAAGAUGCAUAGUCCACUUCAUUAUAUGGAAAUCAUGAAGCAGAUAGAAAAAGUUUGCACUGUUAAGGUAUGAAAGAUUCUAUAAGAAAGGAGAAAAUGUGGUAUCAGCUUUGUGCAUAUGGAGCAUUAUGAUUACACUUAGUAAUGAAAAAUUCUAUAUAAUAAGAAUGCCAUGGAAAUCUUGUUGCUAGAAAUGUACUAUUGCAUGGACUUGGCAUGCAUGAUUACUGAUGUGGCAUAGUUUCAUGGAUUGAUUUGUGCAAGAUAAGAACUAAUCCAUGUUUGUUGUUAAUGGCAGGCAGUGGCCGUAAAUUGUUACUACAUGCAUCAGUACUGACCAGAUGCAUAACUGGAUGAUGUGGCCCAGUUUCAUGCAUACCAAAACCAGAUAAUGGGUUGCCACUAUUGAAGAAAGGAGCAUAGUUUCAUGAAUAGCAAAACCAGAUAAUGGGUUGCACAAUUGAGGAACAGAGCAUAGUUGUAACAGGGGUUCUCUAAUUUAAACUCUCAUCAUUGAUAGCAUUGUUGAUUACUAGCGAGGCACACGUGCAUUGGGCGUGAAAGCAACAUCUAAUGUCAAUUAUUUUAGAUGCACUUUACAUUGCUAUGUUACUAUAGCAAUGGAUUUUUGUGUGUGUUUUCUUUAAUAAAGAGAUAAUGUUAGUGCAUAAUAUGCAUUCAGAUUCACAAAGUUCAAAGCAUUAGCAAUUCAUUUAGAAGAAAAGAGUUUGCGCUGUUGAAGUAUCCAAGAUUCUAUAACAAUGGAGAAACAUAGUGCUAUGAGGUUGUUUGUGCAUAGGUAGCAUUGUGCUUAAGCUUACAAAUGGAAUAUUCUAGAUAGUACGCAUGCUUGGAAUUUUUCUUUUGUAGUAAAUAAGAUAUCGAAUGGCCAACAAUGCUGGGAUUUACCAUCUGUCCACCGUUGGAUUGGCUUCAUCCAACAGCAAAUAUUCAAAGUUGUUUCCAAAGUACAUGUUUUAAAAGUUACCAUUUAUAGAAGCUCAAGCACCGUCGAUAAAUAUUUACUGUUGCAUGUCAACUUUUCAAGUUCUAGAUAUUAAUCAUUGAUCCUCUUGUUGAAUGUCAUGAAAUAAACAAAUUUGUAGGAAAUUUCCAUCCACUCAAACCUGUCUGAAAGAAUCCUACGUUUUUAGUAUGCACAAUCAAACACUCAUACAAUCCUGUAGGAUUCAAGAUGACAUGCCACUCUAAUCCCACGUUUUCCCUAUUCCUGCGUUUUGGAAAUCGUACGACUCAAAGAGGUGAUAUCUAACAAAUACACCGUUUUCUACAGCAGAACUGGUUCAUAAUCAGUUUCUAAAUCAUAUUCUUACUCAUCUUCACAAAAUAAUUGCAUGCACAGGGGGAUUUUAGGCCUACAUGACUACUGUUCCAUGCCAGGUUUCAGAUUGAAGGGGUUUCCUUCCAAAUGUAUGAAACAACUAGUACUAAUCCUAACCCUAAGGGAGAGAUCAAGAAACAUAACCUAUCUGGACAAAAUCUAAUCCGUGCUGCAUGCAAUUUAGGAGAAAACCCCAUGGGAGAAAACCCCCAAAACAGAGUAGGAGAAUAGAGUAGAACAGAGUAGUACCUCCGAGAGCUCGUCGUCGACCUCCUCGUCGAACUCGACUGCCUCGUCCUGCACUUCCUUAGUGUCGAGCUCGGCCCCCUCGUAGUACUUGUCGAUGAGCUCGUACUGCUCGUGCUUCCGCUUGGCCCUUUGCUCCUCCAGAUCCACCGCCACCUCCUCCUCCACCUGCUCCCCGACCGCAGGCUCGGACGCUGUGACGGCGGCCGGAGCAGUCACAACAGAUGGUGCACCGCCUCCCGUCGCCACGACGGCGCCGUCGGCCACGCCAAUCGCGGCGGCAAUGACCACAACAGGCUUCUCCACUGCUUCUACUGCUGCAUCCUUCUCCACCGCCGUGUCUUCAUGGCCAGCCUUCAUCUUCCGACGACGAAGGGCAAGGGAGAUGGUUGCUGGCUCAUAGGAGGUAGGGUUCGAGGUGAGAGGAGAGGGUUUUUGCUGAUUUGGGGAAGAAAAGCAGCAGGGGUGGGGGAGUGGGGGAGACGGGGGUGGGGGAGGCGGCCUUUAUUUGGCGUGUGGGUGGACGUUUGGAGUUACCGAGGCUAGACGCGUGGCGUCGUGCGCUCGUGCUUGCCCCAACCACUUUAAUAUUUUUUGUCAUGAAUUUGUAUAUUUUUUGACCUGUGGUUUAGCGAGGAAUUACACAACCACCUACUUUUGGUGUUACUUUUGCAUAGAACACCUACUUUACAGGUUUGUUGCAAAAAAACACAUAUUGGGGUAAUUUGUUGCAGCAAGGUCUAAUUCGCCAUUUUGGGUGGGUUGACAUGAUUUCUAACAAGUGAGUCCAGUUAGUAAGUGCACCACGGGAAAAAAACAUUCCACAUCAGCACCCAACUAGAGCUGUGCAAAAUUUACAAAUAGGUACUCCAGAAAUAAUUCUCAUUGUUUUUGGGCCCACAGAAAUGAACUAUUGACAUUUUUUUUGUUCCCACAUAACAUGUUAGCACGCAAGAGCAUGCACCAAACUUGUUCUCCUUCGACACACAGACGCUAUAACGACGGACAUGUACCAGUAAUAUUCACACUGCAUGUGUCGAUACCAUCUUGACCAACACGCAACAACAUUGGUCUCAUUGGACUCACACAUGCCAAAAGGGGUCCAAAUCAUUCACCAAUUCUUCUAGUCACAUUCCACUCCAAGAUGCGACAAUGGACCGACAUGUAUCAAUCUUGAUCUAUUUGCACAAAUAAUUGGUAUAAGGGCCAGAUGCACCAAUAGAGGUCACAAUGCACUGACACAUGUCACUUGGGCCAACACGCACCAUGCCCACAUACAAGGAACAAAUAAGCCUAUAGGAUCCACAUGCACCGAUAAACUACGUCUCGACAUGCAACAACUUUUUGUAGUCACAUUGCACGCACAGUGCAUACCAAGACACGCCAAUGGCCCGUCAUGUAGCACUCUUCAUGUGUUUUCACUAAUCAUGGUCUCUUUGGCCUCACGGAUGCCAUAAGGGCCAAAUGCACCAAUAUUGACACGUUGCACUCAAACGUGCCACUUGGGACAACAUGGAUCAUGGUUUCUUUACUAGCAAGGAUCACAUAAGCCAUUAUAUAGUGUUGAUACCCUAGCUAAUAACAACAUAUAUCAACAUUGGUCCUAGUUGCAGCUACAUAGGACCACUUAUGCCACACAUGGAGCGCAGCCUCGGUGCAUGGUUUUUUUUCUGUGCGUCUGUGUCUGGAUAAAUGUCUUAAGGAGAGGCAAAUUGGUUCUGCCGAACACACUGCAUCAACCGAACUGGCUAGACCCUUUACUUCACACCUGCAUGGCCCUGGUUCGAAUCCCCGUGAGGCAGUUGGAAAUGCCAAUUUUUUUCUAUGGGUACUGACACGUGGGGUUCCCUUGUCAUCCACACAAACGCACCAGCACAUGUACCACAUUUGGCUAAGUGCACCUACUACUCCACAUCAUUUUCAACUUUCUUAUUCCCCUCCUCGACAAGCGCCGCCGCCGCCAUCUGCAGACGACGCCUCUCUUCGCCGUCGGAUCUGCGUGGCCGCUGCCAACUCCGGCAAGUAGGUAAGAUCUCCCCUCAUCCCCCUCGUGAAUCUUCUUCCCUUCCCCAACCGCGUGCGUCUCCCUCCGGACGCGGAUCUGAUCCAGAAAUUUUAAUUGGUACAUGCGGUAGAUGAUUUGUUGAUGGAUAUGAUGGUUCUUUCAUACAUUGAUGGAUGUCGUAGUGUAGGAUCUGAGUUGUACCAGGGAAAAGUGAGGCCCUAUGCAAAUCAAAAUGCGGCCCUAUGUGUGAAAAAAUAAAUCAAAAUAAUUCAUCUGUUCUUCACUAUAGUAUGUAUUACUGACAUUGGAUUGGAUUGGAUUGGGAUUUAUUAGGUAGAUGAUACUGGCAUUGCCAUUGUCAUUGGCAUUGCUUUUUAGGUAGAUGAUAGUAAACAGAUUUAAUAGGUAUUUGCAUUUUAGGUUAUCACUAUGAUUUAUUAUAUGUAUGAUCUUUGUAUUGUACUAUGGUAGCGUACAAAUCAACUUAGAGUUCAACAUGUUCUGUGUACAAUGGAGGAAGAACCAUGUGGACGGUGCAAGUCACAGUGCCGGACCAGCCUUUGUACUGCCAUGCUAUUCGGCAUCUACUUCCAGCCUACUUUUGUUUUGAAGCGGUAACAAUUUAUAUGAACCUUCUGACAGUUCAUCUUUUUCUAUUUCCACUAAUGCAUUGUGUUUGUUAUUUGUUUUUUUCUUGCACAGAUCGUCCCAUGCAAUGUGAGAUUGACAUUCAAUGAGCUCAUCGGAGAUACCGUGACCUUCGACACUCUUGGGGGGCGUACACUAUGCAGGUUGAUAAGGGGCGAACGAUAACCCAGAUUGGAGGAGAUGAAUGGGAUCGUUUCAUCGCCCGCUUCCGUCUUAGUGGGGGUGAACGGAUCCUCUUCUCCUUAAGAGGAGAAAGGCCCAGGAUUUAUGUUAUCUAUCUGAAUUUGAUUGCCGAUAGUGAGGAUGAAGUUCAUGAGGAGGACGAUGGUGAGGAUUCAGAUGAUGAUGAGAACCCACUUGAUGAAGCCCUCUAUGCCCAAGGAGUGAGGCUGAGCGACGAGGAAACCAGCAACCUCUGGGACAUGCUUCCGCUACGUGAAGACUACGUCGGGAUGCCAUUCGUGACCGGCCUCACAAAGACGAAUGUUAAACAGCAUCUCAUGGUAUGUUACUUAGUUUGGUAAUUACAUGAUAUGCAUGCUUAAUUAGUGUAGUAGUUGAUAUGAUAUGCAUGUUGUAGUACUGUGAUGAUAUGCCUAGUGUAGAAUUCAUUUAGUGCAGAAUUUUAUGGUAUGCAUGUGUUGUAGUAAUGCGAUAUAUGCUUAUGUAGUGUAGUAAUAUGCGAUGAUAUGCUUAGUGUACGUAGUAUAUAAUCUAAUGAUAUGCUUAAUUACUGUAGUAAUUUGAUGAUUAGCGUGUAGUGUAGUGAUGUGAUGUGAUAUAUGUGUCUUGAAGUGUAUGGUUUGUUGAUAAUUGCAUGUGACAUGCUCAUAUAUCAUAUCAACUAUUUUCAAAAAUUACCUAAGAGGUUAUCUGAUAGUUGUGGCAUCGAGCCGGAUGAAGAAGGCAUGGUUGCUGGACUACGCCUUACCAAAACGGGCUCCAUCACCACCUGUGCCUACGCAGUGGACACGGACGGUCGCACUAUCUUCAACCGGGCGGGGUGGAAGAAGUUCCUUCAUGGAAAGAAUCUUCCGGUAGGUCAGGGCAUCCUACUCACUGUUGCGAAUACCCGUCGCCGUGACUUGAGGAUGAUGAUCACCAUCAACCUCAUUUAGAACUGGCUGGGCCAUGUUUCGAUGUGAAAUGAACUUGGUAUGUUAGCUCUUGUUUUAGAGUACUUGCCGUGUAUUACCGUACCUAUCUAUCUAUCUAUCUAUAUAUAGGUUCAGUAAAUGGGCCAUGUAUCGAUGUGAAAUGAACUUGUUAUGUUUGGGGCUUGCUUUGCUGUUGCCACAUCGGUUAUUUGUGACUUCCUUGAACUUGAAUCUGUCUUGAAAUGUUAUUGGAUGCUUGGUGCUGUUGCUUUAUAGUAUAAAGCUGGGGGCGUUGGGGGACCUUUUUAGUAGGUUUGGUUAAUGGAGUUUAGCUCUUAUUGUACUUAUUGUUUUCUUUUCCAUACAAUUCUGAACCCAAACUACACAGUGCACAACCUUCUGUGAUUAGUUCCUUUGAUAACUAGUACUCCCUCUGUAAACUAACAUAAGAGCGUUUAGAUUACUAAAAUAGUGAUCUAAAUGCUCUUAUAUUAGUUUACGGAGGGAGUAUUGAAGAGCAGCCACAGAGUUCCAUUCACAGUUUACUUGAAUAUUUUUUGAUGAAUAAACAAAAUAGGAAGCUAGCAAAUUUAUUUAACGAGAUAAGCAAACUAUGUACUUGAUUACAUAAGCAAACUUGUUCAACCCUGACAAACUGGACAUAAACAAACAGGUUCAACUAUGACACACAUGACAUAUACAAGUUGGUUUAACCCAAGAAAAGCAAACUACAAAUUUCAAACAACAAGAUAAAGGACAAGCACAAGCGCAAGCAACACGAAGGCAAAUUUUGAUGUCUCCUCAUCCCGCAUAGUGGCAGUGGUAGUAGGGGUCCUCUUCCUGCUCUUUUGAAAUUUCCAGACCUCUUUUGAUGUGUUGAUUAUCUUCCACGACUUGUAGGUGGCGUACGCAUCUAUUGCUGCAUACUCGAUGAAGUAAUCUGGCGCUAGGCUGACCCCCCACAGUUUAUGGUCUGCCUGCUUGUCAAUCUUGUUCUCAUGUUGCUGUAGAAUGGGUGGAUGACGCUGUCUGCAACAUCAACCAAGGAGUCAUAUGGUUUUCCAUUGUAUGGAACUCUCCACUUGCGCUGAAUGUCGAUGUGCUUGUUGGGGUUUAUCUCCAAACCAGACAUCUUCAACUUGUCCAUGUCAUUUUUAAUACUGAAACCGGCAAAGGUGAACAACUUCUCCUCCUGUAGGAACUCUUUGAGGCGCUUUGGCCUGCUAGGGGAGAGACAAGUGAUGAAUACAUGGAGUACUAGUGUUUAUUUUCAAGAUUUAAUCAUCUGUUUUUUACGGUUUACAAGUGAAUAAUACAUGGAGUAGAUGCUUAUACAGUAUAAGUCAUGGAUGAAUUUAGUUCAGAAACUAGUACACAAAGUUCUGAAAUUAAAAUCAAGUACACCAUGUUAUUUUUCUUUUUGGAUAUAUAGUUGAGUCAAUGAUCUAUUUGCUUUCUUAGUGAUAGUUUAGUUUUAUUUUGUUGAAUAAAAUAACAUAUACCUCUGCUUCACCAAGUUCUUUAGUUUUUUUGGUGGUGAAAAUAACACCAGACCAAGUUCAGAAACUACUUGACUACAUCAAGUUCAGAAACUAGACUAAUGAAUCAAGAUGAGAAACUACACUGGUACAUCAUGCUCACAAAUUAAUCUUGUGCAACAAUUUCAGAUACUAUUCAAGUGCACCAGGUUCAAAAUAUAUUCUAGUGCAUCUACUUUGAGGAACUGCACUAGUGCAUCCAUUUUCACAAACUACACUAGUACAUCUAGUAUGAAACUAGUCUAAUAAAAUUUUGAGGGAGCAGUAUUGAUGAAUGGAAGAGGGUGAAUGAGUAGGAUUUUUCACCAUUUUGUGGCCGCAGCAAUGUGGUACACGAGGCAGAGACCUUCCACGCAGAACUACAGAACUGCUGCCAUCUGCGGAGGUUCAUCAUCUUUGGUAAACUCCACAUCAACACCGAUGAUGUGGGGAUACGAGCCGCAUGCGCUCCUCCUGAUCCAAAAGAUCAUCUCGUCGGCCUUGUCUGGUUCGCUGGUGCAGAUGACCUCCGUCGUCUCCUUGCCGUGGAGCUCAACCCCUUUGAGGGUUACGGUGUACUCGCGCUUCUAACCGAGAACGUGAACGACGUCGAGGUUGCCGCUCUGGUCGGACGUCUGGCCACAAUGACGCUUGGCAGAUGCUUCCUCCGCCAUUGCCCUCCUCCUGCGACUGUGGGCUUCGAAGAGAGAUGUUUGUGGGUUGUUUGUAGAAGAGAUGGAAGCGGCAAUGGUGGUUCUCGGAAUGACGCAGUGAUGUAGUCGAUUUGGGGCUUUUUCACGCUUGGGAUGGGGACGUGGGGGAGGUGGUUUGUGUGUAGAACGUGGGGGUGGUGGUGGUGGGGCGCAGUUGCAAUCCGACGUGGCAACCGCGCUCUGUGCACUGCUGGGUGCGCGUGCAUCUGAGUUUAGUCCCACCACGGGCCUGCAUCCUGGCCCAUAUCACUGGGUUUGUUGUCGUAUGUGGGCCGUGGUGUGCGAAAUAUCAUGUUAGGUAGGUGGGCUUUUUUUCUAUAAAAUCUUUUUUUGCCUAUGUGACAUGUUGACUUAUACUAAAAUAACACUUCCUUUUUUUAGGUACACAUGUCUUAUGUGAAAAGUUUAAGUUUGAUAACAAUUAAAAACAUUUAAAACCUUGCCACAUUGGCUUUCUUGGACAUGUGUAAAAAGUUUAAGUUUGAAAACAAUUGAAAAACAUGUAAAACCUUGCAUCAUUGAAUUUUAAUUUUAAAAUAAAUUUGAAAUAUUGCAGUUAAUUUGUAGACCAUCUCUAAAUCAAACCAAAUUUGUUUUACAUUGUCACAUACAUGUUACAAACAUUGUUAUUUACAGAUCAUGUGUGCAAAAACUGAGGUGAUUUAGAUGUGGUCGAAAAAAGGUGAUUUUUUUUCACCACCUCCAUAUCACCUAAAAUUUAUUCUACAUGCUCAAAUAGAUGAGCCAAACAUGUCUAUGAAAGAAAUUUGAAAAAAGCGUAUCCUACAAUGCCCGCUUAAGGUGUAGACCGUUGUUUUGAUCAGUCAGUCUACAAGGCAGAAUAAAUUCAAAACAAAUUAAAAAAUUAUAAAACAUUGAAAACCUAGCUAUGUUUGUGCAACAUAUCAAGUGUGCAAAAUUAGAUAUGAUUUAGAGGAGGUCAAAAAAAAUCACGCUAAAACACGAGGGGCCAUUUGGUCUCAUUUAAGCCAGUUUUUGUAUAAAAUAUGAUUUUUUCCACCACCUCCAAAUCACCACAAAUUUGUUCUACAUGCUUAAAUAGAUGUGCCUAGCAUGUCUAUGAGAUAAAUUUGGAAAAAAUGUAUUCUACGAUGCCCGCUUAAGGUGUAGACCGUUGUUUUGAUCAGUCAGUCUACAGGACAGAAUAAAUUCAAAAAAAAUUAAACAAUUAUAAAACCUUGAAAACCUAGCUAUGUUUUUGCAACAUAUCAAGUGUGCAAAAUUAUAGGUGAUUUAGAGAAGAUCAAAAAAUCAUGCUUAAACACGAGGGACCAUUUGGUCUCACUUAAGCCAAUUUUGGUAGAAAAUGUGAUUUUUUUACACCACCUCCAAAUCACCCCAAAUUUGCUCUAGAUGCUCAAAUAGAUGUGCCAAGCAUGUCUAUGAAAGAAAUUUGGAAAAAAUGUAUCCUACAAUGCCUGCUUAAGGUGUAGACCGAUGUUUUGAUCAGUCAGUCUACAGGGUAAAAUAAAUUAAAAACAAUUAUAAAAUUUUAAAACCUUGAAAACCUAGCUAUGUUUGUGCAACAUAUCAAGUGUGCAAAAUUAUAGGUGAUUUAGAGAAGGUCGAAAAAAUCACGCUUAAACACGAGGGACCAUGUUCUCUCACUUGAGCCAUUUUUUGUAGAAAAUGUGAUUUUUUUUCCACCACCUCCAAAUCACCCCAAAUUUGUUCUAGAUGCUCAAAUAUAUGUGCCAAGCAUGUCUGUGAAAGAAAUUUGAAAAAAACAUGUAUCCUACAAUGCCCGCUUAAGGUGUAGACCGAUGUUUCGAUUAGUUAGUCUACAGGGCAGAAUAAAUUCAAAAAAAAUAAAAAAAUUAUAAAACCUUGAAAACCUAGCUAUGUUUGUGCAACAUAUCAAGUGUGCAAAAUUAGAGGUGAUUUGGAGGAGGUCGAAAAAAAUCACGGUUUAAUUUGUGUGUGGGGGGGGGGGUAGACCUCCCGAGAGCCAUUUACUGGUCAUUUUCGUUCCGUAUAUGUGUAAACAUUCGAAAUUUUACCCAACAUGAAAAGCAAAUUAUGCGUGCAUGCUCUAUGUGGUCAAGGGAUGCGAUGCAGCAAAAUUGGGAUCAUUAGUGCAUGUAUACGCAAGUAGGGUCUCUAAAACGCACUUUUCGGGGAUAGCCUGUCACCACCCCGAGAGCACUAGCUCGGUUUCUCACCUGUAUGAAACCAACCAAAAAUUUCAGGAUGACAAGUCAUGGCCAUGUUAGGGCUACUUGCCAUGUUUCAACCAUCUUCAACAAAUUUUGAAAGUUUCGUCACAUGCGGGAUUUUUUCGGUCAUUAGUACAAUGUGGACCAUUUUCAACAUUUAUUGCAAGUUUUGUCACGUAUGGCAUUUUUCGGGCAUAUGCAACACGAAAAAUCCAUUUUUAAUACUUAAAAACAAGGACAGUAUUUUCUAGAUUUGUUGGGAUAUCAUUGUGAUAUUAUUGAAAUCUCACAUAACUCACGCGGCCCACCCCUCCCUAAAUCCCGCGAUUACAGCGCCUCAUUCUAACCACCCGGCCGUGCUAUCCGCAGCUCCCACGACUGCUGCAAGAUCAUUUCGGAUACGCCGGGCUCACACGGAUUACAGGAGUCGCCGGCCAACGCCCACCGCCAUGAGGGGUCGGACUUCAGUGUUCUUCUCGCUGCUCCCUCCGUUUAUCCUUGCCGCCGUCUACCGCACUAUAGGGGCACUUCUAGUUUGCGACGCACUGUCCGCGGCCAUCAACUCGGCGCCGCCGUCUCCGAGAGAAGGUAUUUCCUGAUCGUAGCUUUUUUUAAUCGUUGUUGGCCGCUCCUUUAGUAGUUGAACCCUCAUAGGUUUUGCACAACUUCACGUGGUUAAGCAAUUGGAUACCCUUGUUAAACUGCGCUUAUUUUAUGCACGACCAACUAGGUUGUGUGCUUAAAGUCAUAAGUGGAUCAUAUGUUAAAUGACCCACUUAAUUUUUUUAAUAUUAGUUGACUGCUAAUUUUUUUUAUACAUCUUUUAAUUAUUGUCUUCAGAUUAAUUGACCCGGUUUUCAUCAUUGCAUACAAGCCAGCAAUGUCAGUUUCAGAUAAAAGUCUUUGAACAGAGAAAAGCCUCGAAGAACUCAAACUAAAAUUUGACAGCAAGACCGUAGGCAAACAAAUGUUUUUGUUAUCAUCACGGUCGCACAGAGCCAUGAACAGCUAUGUUGAGCCCAUUAAAACACAAAUAGGUAGCAUCAAUUGAUACAUGAUCUUGCUCAUGCUCUACUUUUAGCAUCAUUUGAUACAUGUUUAGUUCUUAUCAUAAAGUGGAUAUAUGUACCUUUGGCAAUCAUGAGCAUCCUCUACUUACUGCUAUAACUAAUGCAUCCUCAGUACAAAAAUUGAAUUGGCAAUACGGUUGUAUUGGCAACGAUUUGCAUGCUUUACUUUUGGCAAGAACUAAUGCAUAGUUGAGUUAUAACUGGUCAUAGAUAUGGCUCGAACAUCUAGAGUUAUCAUCAUGGUCACGCGGAGACCCUAAACCAUCACCAGAUAUGUUGAGCCCAUUCAAACACAAAUAGAAGCAGCAAUUGAUACAUGUUAAUGCUCAUGCUCUACUUUUGGUAUAAUUUGAUACAUGUUCAGUUCUUACCAGAAAGUGGAAACAUGCACUUUUGGGAAAUAUGAGCGUCCUCUACUUAUUGCAAUAACUAAUGCUGAUGUAGGUGGCGGGUCGUCCGGGGGCCAGCCGGACUGAUGGAGUUGCUGAACUAAAGCGGCAACUCGAUGCUGCGGAUGCGGACAUCACGCUGGUCAACAGGCGACUUGAUGAGUCGCAAGGUAAGUGUUACUGCGCGGUCACUUGGUAAGGGAGCCAAAGCCAUCUCCUUACAACAUGUGCGUGAAAUGCAGAUAGUGCCGCUGCCGUGGAGAGCCUUCGGGCCGAACUUGAUCGAGCCAAGGAGCAGGCCAGAAGGAGUAAUGCGGCGGCCUCGAAGGCGGCCGAGGAGUUGGCGGCCGAAAGGGUCGCACACUGCCGGAGCAGGGAAGAGAUAGCCGAAAUGGCCGUGAAGUUAAAGGAUGCUACUGACCGCAAUGAGGCUCUUGGGAAGGAGUGCCUAGCGGGGCAAGAAGACCUGCGGAAGGCCACCGCCGAAGCCAAGAAUGCCCGCUCGGCAAUGCGGGCUAUGAAGGAAGAGCUGCGCCAGGCCGGGGAUAUUGUAGCUGGCAAGCCUUUUCUGCUGCGCCGAAGGUUCACGGAUCCAAAAUAUGCUCAGCUGGGCCAACUGUGGUGUCCGGAGGACCCUUAUAUGGACUUAGCAGCGAGUGCGGCGGAUGCCGUUGUGCAUUUUCGAAGCCAGAAGGAUCACAAGAUGGAAGAGCUAUUUUGGUCUCAAUUCCAUAGUCCGGAGCGUUCACUUCCGCUGACCGAUCAUUUGGCUGAGUGGGCUGAGCUAAAUAGGUUGUCCGGGCUUGCUAUGACGGAUAUAGUGACCCAUAUCCGGCCGGAUAGGCCCCAGCCGAAGAGUUACUUUGGCUUAUUGCAGCAAUUUCUUGGGGCGGUGCCGCAUAUCAAGGCGAUGAAGUGGUCGGCCUGCAUAGAGGGUGCGCGGAUGGCGCUCGCCCGUGUGAAGACACAUUGGACAGAGAUGGAUGCCACCGCUGUUGCGACCCCGAGUUCGGAUGAUAACCGGUUACCCGCCGAGCACUAUUUUGGCGAAGUGUUGCGUGGUGCUCGUGUAAUAGAGUCGCAGUGCUCAAAAAAUGUUACGUUCAAAUGAACGUUUGUAAAACGAUAUUUAUGAUGUAAGCGCCUUUUAUACUUGUGCGUGCAAGUAAUAGAAUAUCUCCUAUGCGGCCGUUCAUGUAUACGUGUGUAUAACCUGAAAGAUGGCAGUCGUCGGCUUCAGCCCCCACGCACAAGGUGCGGGGGUGUUCGCAAAAAAUAGCGCAUUUUCACACUUAAUCCGACGUCUCGGUCCUGUAAAGGAGGUGGUAGCGUAGCAAACGAGACAACCGGACUAUAAUGCUUUAUCACUUUCACUUAGCCAUGGAGUUCGAGGGUGGGGCUACGACAUAGCCCCUGGGGGCACCGCGCUCUCCGAAUUCGGGGCGCGUAUGUGCCUGGCCGGGAAACGGCCCUUCGUCAAAGCGGAGGAAUCCUAAACAUUCCCAUAGUCGAUUGAGUGGUUGACCAGUCUCUCGCUGUAUCAUGACAGUCAGUUUUCGGCUUUCUCUACUGAGGUGCUCGCCCAGCCGAACUGGGGCACAAUCGCAGUAGUUCUCCUGGAGCCGCGUUAGCCGAUGAUAUGGAACGUAAGGCAACAAAACACAGGAGCCGGGCAAACCCAACAUUUGACCAAAGACAUGAUUCGGAGCUGAUGCAUAUAAGGCCUAACUCGAGACACCGAACACUCCCGAAGGUGUUCGGUCUUUAUAAUAGUGGGCAAAACAAAGCCCUAAGCCCCUUGUGUCCAGGUACGGGCAGAUUCUUCUGGCGCGGCCGAUGCCAAAACGCCAGUCUCCACUCUGGUUAUAAUGAUAAACUAGGGGAUUAUAGCAACAAGAGACAGUAAGAAAGGUUUACGUAGGGUCUUAGUCUGAAAAGAGUCCUUGCAACGGGUCCCUACUGCACGUCUGCGCCUGUGUCUCCGUUGUGCCGUAUCCUGGACGGGUGUGCAUGCUGUUCAUCUGAAAAAAGAGAAGAACUUGGUUGGAAAAGAAAUCGUGCGAGAAAGUUCAUAAAAAAUUGAAAUAGAGAUUAAGAAAAUUGAGCCUAUGCUAGCUCAUUAUGGCUUAUAUGUGCAAACCCUUGUGAAGGGAUGUGCGGCUAGGUAGCCCCUAGCUUUUUUAUUCCGGACUCGUCCAGCCGUGUCCGGGGUCUCGAGCGACCUUUUAAUGAAAUGAUACCGCGUGGAACGGGCAUCUUAAGCAUAAGAGACGCGUAAUGUGGUAUUGCAUUGAAGCGGAUGCAAGCUUCCCGUCCCAGUGAUGCUUGAUAGCUACUUUUAUAUGGUGCGACAUGAAAGGUUAGCUUUUCUCGUCGGAAGUUGUCAGGUGACCCUGACACAACUUCUAGCAAUAAUGAAACUGUGCACCUAGCGUAAGGGCCUGGCGCCACUCCUUUGAAGGAAGUGCGGCUAUGCCGAAUUGUAGUAGGGUCUAUCCCAACUUGCGGAUUGUGUCCGGAAAUAGCAGGUUCAAGUCCCUGCCGCCGUCCAUCAAAACCUGCGUUAAUUGCAGUCCGUCUAUUAUGCGAUCCAAUAUCAGGGCAGUCUAUCCUAUGUUCCGGAUACUUCUGGACUAAUCCAGCUGGUCGAAAGUGAUUGGUUUUGACGUCCAAUCUCGGUCCACUGGGGUGGACCGUGCGACACUUGUCUUAGCGAGUGCCGUGUUGGCUUUCCGUACUAUCACGUGAAGCGAGUUUACUGUUUUGACUUCUUGUGGGAAAGUCUUUUGACUUCCGGUGCUCUGCUGGUGGGGUUCGUCAUCGUCCUCGCUUGGCGCAUCGAGCCCCUUGUGUCCGGCGUUGAGUCUGCUGGACUGUUUAAAAACCCAACAAUUUCGGUUGGUAUGGUUUGCAGGCCUUCCGGAGGUACUGUGGAUUUGACAUAUCCGAUCUAAAAUUUUGUUUAAAUUUGAUAGCUCGUCUUUGUUCUCCUUAAGAGGCGUGUUGUAUUGUUUGGCCGCGAGCUUUUGAAUCCGGCGUUGACCGCCGUGCCCUUUGGGCUUUUUUCUUUAUUCCGGCGCUGGUCUUUCCUGCGCCGUGACUGUCCGUUUCCAUCUCUGAUCUCGGAUGUAUUCGGGUCGCUGGUGCUGCAUCUUGCUAGCCAGCUGUCUUCUCCUGCGCAAAAGCGAGUCAUGAGGCUUGUUAGUGCGGCCAUUGUUCUUGGCUUCUCUUGGCCGAGGUGUCUGGCGAGCCAUUUGUCUCGGGCGUUGUGUUUAAAAGCUGCUAGGGCUUCUGCGUCCGGACAGUUGACUAUUUGGUUCUUUUUGGUAAGGAACCUGUUCCAGAAUUUGCGCGCUGACUCUCCGGGCUGUUGGGUUAUAUGACUCAAAUCGUCUGCAUCCGGAGGGCGGACAUAAGUCCCUUGAAAAUUUGCUCUAAACGCGUCCUCAAGCUCUUCCCAACUUCCAACAGUAUUUUCUGGGAGGCUUUUGAGCCAAUGCCGAGCUAGCCCUUUGAGCUUGAGGGGUAGGUAUUUUAUGGCGUGGAGAUCAUCUCCUCUAGCCAUGUGUAUGUGUAGUAUAUAAUCUUCUAUGCAGACUCCGGGGUCUGUUGUGCCGUCGUAUGCCUCUAUGUUUAUGGGUUUGAACCCUGCUGGAAAUUCAUGAUCCAGCACCUCAUCAGUAAAACAUAGCGGGUGUGCGGCGCCCCUGUAUUUGGGUGUGCCGCUGUCUUCGAACACUUGUCGUGUUGUGUUAGUUCCUGGGGUCCUCUUUUUUUGGCCCGUAGAUGGACCUAGUUGGGCCGUCUGUUUUUCCAGGAUUAUAAUUCGGCUUGUGUGCAGCCCCGCUUGUCGCUUUGGGCCUGUCAUCUGGCCGUCUAACCGGCUAGGCGGCCUCUUUAUUUUUUGACUGUGAAGGCUCUAUGGCUUCCUCGUCAAAUUCUGGCAGCAACUUGCGCUUCGGGUAGCUCUUAGUUUGAUGGCCAUUGCCAUAUUUGUCUGCGGUCUUGAAUACUUUGCUCCACUUCAUUCUGAGCGUGUCUUCUGCUGUUUUGAGCUUCCGUUUCGCCUUCUUCAAACUUCUUGCAGUGGCGACGAGUUUUUUGUGUAUGUUCUUAUGCUCCGGUGUUGGCUCCGGACUGUUGAUUGCUCCGUGAAGGGGUUGAUUAUCCGGCUCGUCCUGUUCGUCGUCCGCUGGUUUGCCCUGCUCUAUCGCUGGGUCGUUAGGAAGGCUGCUUUGAUCGAGGCGGGACUUAGGGCGGCGUCUACGUCGCUGUUUUGGUUCUUUAUCGGCGAGAUUAUCCUCUGCCGCAUCCUGUUGUUCCUCGUUAUCGCUUCCCUUUGGGGUGUCCACCAUGUAUAUGUCAUAUGACGGGGUGGUCUUCCAGUGUCCUGUAGGCACUGGUUCUUGGUAGUCUCCGGCAUCGUCGUCCAUACCGUCGAUGUCUUCGGAGUCAUAGUUGAGUACGUCGGUUAAAUCGUCGACGGUGGCUACGAAGUGGGUGGUGGGUGGGUUCUGAAUUUCUUCGUCGUCCGCGUCCCAACCAUCCUGGCCAUAGUUCGGCCAGGGCUCUCCGGAUAGCGAGAGAUGCUUUAGUGAAUUUAUAAUAUCGCUGAAGGGCGAGUGCUGAAAGAUGUCCGCAGCGGUAAAUUCCAUGAUCGGUGCCCAAUCGGAUUUGACUGGUAGGGGCGCAGGAGGUUCGGAGUCCGGCAGGGAGUCUGGCACCUCGGAGUCAUGAGCUUUAUGCGGGAUAAGGUAAGUGUUCGGCUCCAUCGCCGUAGGAGUUGCGGCUCCCGAGGCGGUGUCCAGCCAUCCGUCCUCGAUCCGAGCGAUCGGCUCCGAACUAUGAGUCGGAGCGGACUCGUGUGCGGCCUCCAAGGUGUUGUCCGGCGGCAGAGUUAGGUCAUGCCCCUCGUGACAGCGCGGCACGCUCGGCUGUGGCUCAGAUCCAUCGAAGAUCAAGUCCCCGCGGAUAUCGGCCAUGAAGUUUAGGCUUCCAAACCUGACCUGACGGCCAGGGGUGUAGCUUUCGAUCUGCUCCAGAUGGCCAAGCGAGUUGGCCCGCAGUGCGAAGCCGCCGAAUACGAAGAUCUGUCCGGGGAGAAAAGUCUCACCUAGGACUGCGUCGUUGUUGAUUGAAGAGGCCAUCAAGCCUAUCGGUGACAACACAGAGGAACCCUCAAUGAAAGCACCAAUGUCGGUGUCAAAACCGGCAGAUCUCGGGUAGGAGGUCCCGAACUGUGCGUCUAGGCGGAUGGUAACAGGAGACAAGGGACACGAUGUUUUACCCAGGUUCGGGCCCUCUUAAUGGAGGUAAAACCCUACGUCCUGCUCGAUUGAUAUUGAUAUUGUGGAUGUUUACAAGAGUGAAUCUACCACGAGAUCAAGGAGGCUAAACCCUAGAAGCUAGCCUAUGGUAUGAUUGUAAGGGUUGUUCUCAUAGUCCUACGGACUAGAGCCAUCCGGUUUAUAUAGACACCGGAGAGGGCUAGGGUUACAUAGAGUCGGUUACAAUGGUAGGAGAUCUACAUAUCCGUAUCGCCAAGCUUGCCUUCCACGCCAAGGAAAGUCCCAUCCGGACACGGGGAGAAUUCUUCAAUCUUGUAUCUUCAUAGUCUUGGAGUCCGGUCGAUGAUGAUAGUCCGGCUAAUGAUAGUUCGGCUGAUGAUGGUAGUCCGGCUAUCCGGACACCCCCUAAUCCAGGACUCCCUCACUUAGCAUCUACCAUUGUAUAAUGCCUAACAUGCAUCAGAAAAAUAGUACUAAUAACAACUUAGACAACUUAAGCAGGUUAGCAGCAAACACUUAGAUAAACGGCAGAUUAACCACCGCACACCAUAAGUUCACGCCCACCAUAGACCAUAGGACAUAAGUUCUUACACACCAUAGACAAUAAGUUUUAGAGUCGACCAGCAAAUACCGAUAACAUAAAAGGACACGGCGGUCCUGGGGCAGCAACAGCAGUCUAGCAGCACAUCACUUAUCUCCCAUGUUUAGCGGCGGCGCGGCGGGAUGUAGUAGGGCUCAUUGACUUUGACAAUCUUUAAAGCGCCCGUAGGCCGCAUGUUUGGCCAGAGUACUGGCCUUUUGCUUCCUACUGUAGGAGUUGCCAGUGGUGACGGCAUGUUGCAUCAAGCCAUCAAUGCCGCCCUUGAUCGCCUUGCCAUAGAAGGGGCAGCCAAGCUUGCCAUAGAAACGGUACUUGAAUUUUCCAGCAAUCAGCUGCCUCAUGAUGUAGUGGCUCUUGCUGUGCCUGUUGUCCAUGUCAUACCCCACAUCAUCGUCAUCCUCCUGUGAAUUAGUACACAAAGAAGAACUCAGUUAAUCUAUUCUGCUACAUUGCUCUUAAUUAGAAUGUGUGAAAAGUACAUACGUGUAACAUGACAAAUAUCUAUUUGCUGGAAAUAAGGCGUAUAUGCACAUACAUAAUUGACCAAAAUAAUUUGACAUGCAUAAAUAUGGACGGUGGAAUAGUUGCAUUGAUAGAUUAGUGCACAAGAAGUACAUAAUUAACACAUGAAAGAAUUCAUGAUGUGGCUUGGUUAAAUGAUACUUGAUACUUGUUACAGGUGUAAUUCUGAUUGGAAUCAGAAAAAAAGGCUUCAUUAUACUCCUCCAUGUUACACACAGGGGGGUAUUCUUCUAUCUACUGGAAUCAAGAAACCAUUAUUCUUUCUGAGAGCAGCAAUACUAAUUCUCCAACAUUGUUAGCCCCUGAUAAGUUUUAGAAGGAAACUGAUAAAGGAGCUAUGGGCUACUAUCUUUAUCCCUUAACUUAUGACUCUGAUGAUACCGGUGUGGAAAAUACUUUGGAGGAACUUAACUUGGAAAAGGAAAUUUUGUCAUGCAAAACAAAGUGUUUUUUUGUCUAUUUAUUGGAAUCAAAAAUUGAAUUCUAGUUUUACAAAUAUAUGCUAAAAAAUAUUCAUUCCAGUGGUCUAAAAAAAGAUUCAUAAAUUGAAUUCUAGUUUUAGAAAUACAAGUUGAGUAUUUAGGGCAUGUUGUCUAAAAAACAUUCAUUCCAGUGGUCAGAUGCUGAAAUUGAGACCUUCACAACAUUGAAGAAUUGUCUGGUCACUGCUCUUGUUAUGGCUUUGCCUUAUUUGACCCUACCAUUUACUUUUUAAAUAGAUGCAUCAGGUGAAGGUAUUGGUUCUGUCCCCAUGCAACAAGGCAGACCAAUUGCUAGAAAAGGAAAUGUUGUCAUGCAAAACAGGGGUUCUCAAAGAAAUAAUCAAGUGGUCAGAACAUGAUUCUUACCAAUUAAAUCUAAAUGUAGAUGCAUCAUAUGAUAGUUAAGAAGGAGAUGAGUCGACGGGUGGUGUUUUAAGAGAUCAGUAUGGCAACUUUGUGUCAAUCCAGUAAAUUACCAUUAUAUUCCAAAUGCAUCAUUUGCCUGCUUGAUGGAUUCGGUGGCAAUGAAAGAAGGCCUAUCUUUGGUAGCACCUGUAGGCUAUCAUCAAAUUAUUGUAGAAUGGGAUUGCUUACAAGUUGUUCAAGCUUUUACUCGAGGUAACACAUGGUGGAACGAAGGAUCACGUAUUAUUGCUGAUAGUUUUGAUCUAGUUCUGGAGAUAGGAACUGCGCAUUUUCUCACUGUCCUCGGGAAGCCAAUGGUGUCGCACAUGAGAUCGCUAGAAAUAGCUAUGAGAAUCAUCUAUCUUGUAUUUGGGUUGAUUACGCCACUUCUAUCAUUCAUGUAUCCCUUGUGAACGAUGUAAGUUUGCUUAAUCAAUAAAGCAUGCCGUGAUGGAAUCAGAUAAUGAAUCUCUGUUUUAGCUAUACUAGUGGGUUUUUUCUUCUGUCUAUUCGAAUCAGAAAAUGAAUCAGAUUCUAAAACUGCCAUCCAACAAGAAAAUAUAUGCUAGAUCCCUAGCUACAAUCCUACAUGUACGCAAACAUUAUAGCUGGGCCAGUACAUGAGUAGAAAUACCUCAUCAAUACGUGAAGAAAAUGAUUCAGAUUCAAAAACCACCAUUCAAUAUGCAAGAAAAUCUAUGCUAGAUCCUUUCAACUAGCACACCCAUAUGAAAUUGAUGCUCAUGUACUUAACAAAAAAACCAAUGCCAUGAAAAAACAGGGUACUUACAGGAAAUAUAAAUCUAAUAAAAUCAGAUUAGUACCUCAGAUAGCUCGUCGAUGACGUCCUCGUUGUAGUCGCUGCCCUUCCUGGGAUCCACAGCCAUCUCGAACUCUAUUUGCUCCUCGUCGUUCCCCUCGUAGAACUCCUCCUCGAUUUUGUCAUAGAGCUCGCGCUUCAGCCUCGCCUUCUGCUUGUCCAGAUCUUCAUCGACCUUCUCCUGCAUAGGCUCACCGUCGGGUAGCUCGCCGGCUGGGAUGAUACCGGGAGGAGGCACAGCAGUUGCUGCACCGCCUCCAUCGCCGCUACGGCGGACUCAACCGCUGCAACUGCGGCGGCAGCCAUGACAGCAGACUGCUCUCCACCGAUGGUUGCCUCCGGCUCGUCCAUCGCAUCUUCACGGCCGCGCUUCAUCGGCGGUCGACGAGAGGACGAGGGACGUGUUGGAAGGGAGGAGAGGUGUGGAGUGGUGAGGAAGGGAAGAGGGUUUGGGAGAGGACGAGGUGGUAUGGCUGGAGUGGGAGAGGACGAGGGUUUUCUACCCGAUUUGUGGAAGAAAAUGAAUGCGGCUGCCUCUUGGAGUUAUCGAGGGGUCGAGGGGGGUGAUUUGUCUCACCUACCAGGGCCUUCCACAGUGAGGACGCGUGGGGUUUGCCCCGCGCCAUGCACCUCGUAUGCGGUUUGCCCCGCGCCGCCCUUCAACUGCUGACACGUGGACACCAGCAGUGGUUACACAUGAUAGAUAUGGUAAAUGAAUUUCUUAAAUCUGAGGGCAUGUAAUUUGUAUCAAAAUGCAUCAUCAACUUAGCGGUAACACCCUCACGAUCACAUACUAAUGCCCUUGGUUCGAAACUCCGUCGUUCAGUUUAGUUCCCUCUUUUUUGCCUAUGUGGUUUUUACAUGUGGAUCCCACAUGUCAUUCACAUACACGGAGAACACGUACAAACAAACUUGCCGGACAUGAUGUAAAUGGGCCCAAAAAAUUUCUACUUCUUUGUAUCAUUCUUGUAUGGAUUUGUAUGGAUUUUCUAGUACGAUUAAGUGCUUAAGAUACUUCUCGGAGGUGAUGCGACAAGCGCACGUUGUCGAUCCACUGGGGUGGCCAUGCCCACAACAAGGAAAAAUUUGGUGUCAUUCUUAACAUGGCCAAAAAUUCACCUCCUUCACCGGCGGCCGUUCGGAUAGGAGGUAAGGGUCUGUGUGGAAGGACGGUUUUUUCUCGACAUGCUUCAAAUGGACCUAUAUUCUUUCUACACCCUUGUACCAACAUGAGAAGCAUCCAUGACUAGUUCCAUUGAUUUUUGAUGUUUUUAUUAUUUUUCUAGGGUUAUCACGAUGAUAAAACCCUAAAAUAUUUCCCACCAGCGCCACCCUUCCCUCUGAUCACUCUGACUAGCAUGUACUUAACUUAGCAUCAAGGCCAUGAAAACAGGAAUCAGAACCGUAUUAGAUUUUGAUCCCACACAUACAAAACAGAUAACACAAAUCACAGAUUGCAGGUACUAUGAUUAUCUGAGUGAACUUCUAAUGCAUAACAACUUCUGGUAUUCAAAUACAUCACAUGAAAUACUAAGACAACUAGAAAUGCAAAACAGCUUCUGUGUUGAGAUUGAGCAAGGGAUUUUUAUUGUGAGGCGCAGCAUCUUCAGCAACCUAUCCAUGAUUCCACCUAUAGCAUAUAAGUAACUGAAAUUUUUAGAUUGAAUACAGUUGGUAUUGGAAAAAUGAUAGUACGGUAAUUUGAAGAUGCCAAGGAAAUCUGUCGCAACAACUGUAGGAGUAUACAAAUUUGAAUACAAAGUUCAUAGAAGUCAAUGUUGAAUUAAUAAGACCUUUACAAGAUGCAAAAUCACUGCUGUGAUGAGAGUAAACAGCAUGUAGGCCAUAGCACAUGCAAGAAGCACUUACAGGAAGUGAAGCAAAACAUUGUACAGCACGGCAACAUGAGUAAGCCAACAUCCCUACUAAAAUUAUUUCACUGCUUAUGUCUAGCUUUUUUUCUUGAAUCAUUAGGAAGCCCUAAAUAUUUUGAUGCAAGAUCACCGACAGGGCACUAUUGAAAUAUUUCAAUGUCUACAUCUCUCUACUGAAAGUGCGUUACUGAAAUAUUUCAGUGGCUACGUGUGUGUGUACUGAAACAACACCACUGAAAUAUUUCAGUUGCUACAUGCGUGUACUGCAACAGCACCAUUGAAAUAUUUUAGUUGGUACUUGUGUGUACUGAAAGUGAACCGCUGAAAUAUUUCAGUGGAUACGUGCGUGUACUGAAAGUGCACUACCAAAAUAUUUCAGCGGCUACUUGCUUGUAUUGAAACAACACCCCAGAAAUAUUUCAGUGGCUACGCGCGUGUCCUGAAACUACUACACUGAAAUAUUUCAGGGGUUGCGUGCGUGUACAGAAACUACAGUAUUGAAUUAUUUCAGGGGUUGCGUGCGUGUACUGAAACUGCAGUACUGAAAUAUUUCAGUGUCUACCCGUGUGUACUGAAAUUGCAUUGCACUACUGAAAUAUUUCAGUGUGUACCCGUGUAUCUGCAGUUGCACUACUCAAAUCUUUCAGUGUGAACCGGUUAGUAGUGAAAUAUUUCAUUGCCUACAACUAUCUACUGAACUUGCAGUAUUGAAAUAUUUCAGUGUCAACCCAAAGUCUAUCACUCUAAAACUGUGUACUGAACUUGUCUGGAGGCACUUCUUGCAGCCUCGAUGGUGCAAGUUCAAUUUACACAGAUUGCAUCACGUAAUUUGAACACAACUCUUGAGGUGACAGAAAAAAAUUCCUAUCAUGGAUACCACUCCAGCACAUCAAAACAUAGCAAUGAUGGAGAAUCGGAGUAUAGAUCUGAAGCCGAAAAAUGACUAAGUGAGGAAGAACAAGUUUCACAUUAGAAUUUUAGAUCUACCGCAUGACAGGAAAAGGAAAAUAUUUAGACCUAAAGGUUGGUGCUUGAGCAGUUCAUGAAGUUCUAGAUCGGGUUUUUAUACACAAAAGAGAUGAUCUGAUGGCAAAAGAAGGAUUAUCAUUACUACCGCAUAAGAGUAUAUCACGUUUGGAGUCUAUCCUAUAGGCCUUAAUGAAGAACAGGGGAAGAACACCAUGAAGCUUCGAGGAGCCCAUGCGAAACCUAAACAGAUCUAUGGAGGAAAGGAAGAAGAACUCACCAAAAACUGUUGAACAGUGGAGAGGCACCGCGAUUUUCUGGUACGGGCAGGGUGAUGCAGCGGCCAAGGUCGGGGCAUGAUACGUCUCCAAUGUAUCUAUAAUUUUUUAUCAUUCCAUGCUACUAUAUUAUCAACUUUGGAUGUUCUAUAUCCAUGAUUAUGCUAUUUUAUAUUAUUUUUGGGACUAACCUAUUAACCUAGAGCCCAGUGCCAGUUCCUAUUUUUUCCAUGUUUUUAACCUUUUUCAGAUAGGAAUAUCAGACGAAGUCCAAACGGAAUAAAACCUUCACUAUGAUUUUUUAUGGAAAAUAUCAAAAAUACCAGAAAGAAAAGAUACCAGAGGGGAGUCUUGAGGAGAUCACAAGCCAGGUAGGCGUGCCUGGUGGGCUUGUGACCCCCUCGUGGGUCCCUCCAACUUGUUCUCGACGUCAUCUGGUCUUAUAAAUACAGAAACCUCCAGAAAAAAACCUAGAUCGGGAGUUCCGCCGCCGCAAGCCUCUGUAGCCACCAAAAACCAAUCGGGAGCCCUUUCUGGCACCCUGCCGGAGGGGGAACCCAUCUCCGGUGUCCAUAUUCAUCAUCCCUACAAUUUCCAUGACGAGGAGGGGAGUAGUUCUCCCUCGGGGCUGAGGGUAUGUACCAGUAGCUAUGUGUUUGAUCUCUCUCUCUCUCUCUCAUGUUCUUGAGAUGUAAUGAUCUUGAUGUAUCGCGGGCUUUGCUACUAUAGUUGGAUCUUAUGAUGUUCUUCCCCCUCUCCCUUCUUGUAAUGAAUUGAGUUUUCCCUUUGAAGUUAUCUUAUCAGAUUGAGUCUUUAAGAACACUUGAUGUAUGUCUUGCACGUGUCUAUCUGUGGUGACAAUGGGAUAUUCAUGUGAGUACUUGAUGUAUGUUUUGGUGAUCAACUUGCGGGUUUCGUGACAUUGGGAACCUAUGCAUAGGGGUUGGCGCAUGUUUGACUCUCCGGUAGAAACUUUGGGACACUCUUUGAAGUUCUAUGUGUUGGUUGAAUAGAUGAUUCUGAGAUUGUGUGAUGCAUAUCGUAUAAUCAUGCCCACGGAUACUUGAGGUGACAAUGGAGUAUCUAGGUGACAUUAUGGUCUUGGUUGAUAUGUGUUUUAGGGUGUUAUUCUAGUACGAACUCUAUGAUAGAUUGAACGGAAAGAAUAGCUUCGUGUUAUUUUACUACGGACUCUUAAAUAGAUCGAUCAGAAAGAAUAACGUUGUGGUGGUUUCGUACCCGACAAUAAUCUCUUUGUUUGUUCUCCGCUAUUAGUGGCUUUGGAGUGACUCUUUAUUGCACCUUGAGGGCUAGUUGUAUGAUCCAAUUAUGUUAUCAUUGUUGAGAGAACUUCCACUAGUGAAAGUAUGAACCCUAGGCCUUGUUUACACACAUUGCAAUACCGUUCGUGCUCACUUUCAUUGUUAUUUACCUUGCUGUUUUUAUUAUUUCAGAUUACAAAAACCUAUAUCUACUAUCCAUAUUGCACUUGUAUCACCAUAUCUUCGCCGAACUAGUGCACCUAUACAACUUACCAUUGUAUUGGGUGUGUUGGGUACACAAGAGACUCUUUGUUAUUUGGUUGCAAGGUUGCUUGAGAGAGACCAUCUUCAUCCUACGCCUCCCACGGAUUGAUAAACCUUAGGUCACCCACUUGAGGGAAAAUUUCUACUGUCCUACAAACCUCUGCACUUGGAGGCCCAACAACGUCUACAAGAGAAGGUUGCGUAGUAGACAUCAGGGCAAAGGUGAAGGUUGAUACGUCUCCAACGUAUCUAUAAUUUUUGAUUGCUCCAUGCUACUUUAUCUACUGUUUUGGACUAUAUUGGGCUUUAUUUUUCACUUUUAUGUUAUUUUUGCCUAUUUCAGUGUUUCGAAGAAACAAAAUAUCAAACGGAGGCCAAACGGAAUGAAACCUUCGGAAACGUGAUUUUCUAGCCGAACGUGAUCCAGGAGACUUGGACCCUACUCCAAGAAGUAACAGAGGCGGUCACGAGGGUGGGGGCGCCCCCUCCCCAGGGCGCACCCCCCGGCCUCGUGGGCCCCCUGUUGCUCCACCGACAUACUCCUUCCUCCUAUAUAUACCUACGUACCCCCAAACGAUCAGAACAUUAGCCAAAAACCUAAUUCCACCGCCGCAACUUUCUGUAUCCACGAGAUCCCAUCUUGGGGCCUGUUCCGGAGCUACGAGGGGGCAUCCACCAUGGAGGGCUUCUACAUCAACACCAUAGCCCCUCCGAUGAAGUGUGAGUAGUUUACUUCAGACCUUCGGGUCCAUAGCUAGUAGCUAGAUGGCUUCUUCUCUCUUUUUGGAUCUCAAUACAAUGUUCUCCCCCUCUCUCGUGGAAAUCUAUUUGAUGUAAUCUUCUUUUCGCGGUGUGUUUGUUGAGACCGAUGAAUUGUGGGUUUAUGAUCCAGCUUAUCUAUGAAUAAUAUUUGAAUCUUCUCUGGAUUCUUUUAUGUAUGAUUGAGUUAUCUUUGCAAGUCUCUUCGAAUUAUCCGUUUGGUUUGGCCAACUAUAUUGGUAGUUCUUGCAAUGGGAGAAGUGCUUAGCUUUGGGUUCAAUCUUGCGGUGUCCUUUCCCAGUGAUAGAAGGGGCAGCAAGGCACGUAUUGUAUUGUUUCCAUCGAGGAUAACAAGAUGGGGUUUUUAUCAUAUUGCAUGAAUUUAUCCCUCUACAUCAUGUCAUCUUGCUUAAGGCAUUACUCUGUCUUUAACUUAAUACUCUAGAUGCAUGCUGGAUAGCGGUCGAUGAGUGGAGUAAUAGUAGUAGAUGCAGAAUCGUUUUGGUCUACUUGUCUUGGAUGAUGCCUAUAUACAUGAUCAUACCUAGAUAUACUCAUAACUAUGCUCAAUUCUGUCAAUUGCUCAACAGUAAUUUGUUCACCCACCGUAGAAUAUCUAUGCUCUUGAGAGAAGCCACUAGUGAAACCUAUGGCCCCCAGGUCUAUUCUCAUCAUAUAAAUCUCCAUUACUAUAAUACUUGCUUUGUUUUUACUUUGCCUUUUACUUUUCACUUUGCACCUAUAUACCAAAAAUACCAAAAAUAUUAUUUAUCAUCUCUAUCAGAUCUCACUCUCGUAAGUGACCGUGAAGGGAUUUGACAGCCCCUAAUCGCGUUGGUUGCGAGGAGCUAUCGUUUUGUGUAGGUACGAGGGACUUGUGCGUGGCCUCCUACUGGAUUGAUACCUUGGUUCUCAAAAACUGAGGGAAAUACUUACGCUACUUUGCUACAUCAUCCUCUCCUCUUCGGGGAAAUCCAAAGCAGUGCUCAAGAGGUAGCAAGAAGAGUUUCUGGCACCGUUACCGGGGAGGCUCAUGCAAGAGCAAGUCAACCAUACCAAGUACCCAUCACAAUCCCUAUCUCUCGCAUUACAUUAUUUGCCAUUUGCCUCUCGUUUUCCUCUCCCCCACUUCACCCUUGUUGUUUUAUUCGCCCUCUCUUUCCCAAUCUCCUCCUCUUUUUCCCGCUUGCCUUUUUGUUUGCUCGUGUGUUAGUUUGCUUGCUUGUCGUCCUGACUAGUCUCAUAUCUUCUCCAUUAUCUCCAGAGAAUGAAGUUCUAAAUUUUAAACAAAGGGAGGGAGAAAAUCUAAAAGACUCUUGGUAUAGAAUUUGCAAUGCUCAAAAUAGAUCUACCAGGAAGCAAUCUACUUCAGUUCUUCUUCGUAAUACGUAGGUGCUAAUCCUUGGUAUAGAUAUAUCCUUGAUACCAUUACCGGAGGGAAUUUCUUGGGUAGCCAUACUUUUGAUUCUUAUAAUGCUUUAAUAGAUUUAUUUGGCUCACCACCUCUUUUGAUUAAUGGAACUAUGUUAACUUUGGAGCAUGUUAUGCAAAGACUUGAAAUUAUUGAGAAUAAAGUUGCUACCAUUGAAUCAAUUGAAAAUCUUGAUAAAAAGAUCCACAAUCAAAUUACCCAAUAUGGAUCUAAGGUAGGAAUGAAUUUGAAAAAUAUUAAAGAAAAAGAACCCAUAGUUAAUGAGAAAAUAAAUCUAGAUUCCACAAGAAUCCAUAAACUUGAGGGUAUCAUUACCAACUUGGGAACCGCUUUUUCUUCCGUACAAAACACUCCAAGUUAGUCUACUAAAAAUACUAAGCUUAUUUAUGUUCCUAAGAAUAAGGGUGAAUCAUCUAGUAAGGAAUCUGCGGAUCUUAAAUCUAUAAGUGUUCAUCCCAAUCUUUUUGCCAUCAUUAAGGAACCAUUUGCUAUGAAUGAAUUUUUUGAUCUUUUGCCUGAGAAUUCGACAAUUACUAGAAAGAAAUAAAAUUCUAAAGGAGGUAGAUGCCUCAUUGAAGAAUUGCCUACCAAAGAUGGCAAUACCUAGAUCUAUCCUUGCUUUUAUGCCUAGCUAGGGGCGUUAAACGAUAGCGCUUGUUGGGAGGCAACCCAAUUUUAUUUUUAAUUUUUAGUUUUUGCUUCUGUUUAGGAAUAAAUAAUCCAUCUAGCCUAUAUUUAGAUGUGUUUUUAUGUUUUAAUUAGUGUUUUUGCCAAGUAGAACCUAUAGGAUAACCUACGAUGAUAGUUGAUUUGAUUCUGCUGAAAAACAGAAACUUUGCGCGCACGAAUAUAAUUUUGUUAAAUCACAGAAACAUGCUUUUGCGUUGAUUAUUUUUUCUGCUGUUCAAUAAACAAAUUGUACAGGACUUCCUAUUUUGGUAGGAUUGUUAGAGUUCUAGAAGUUUGCGUUAGGUACAGAUUACUACAGACUGUUCUGUUUUUGACAGAUUCUGUUUUGCGUGUGUUGUUUGCUUAUUUUGAUGAAUCUAUGGCUAGUAAAAUAGUUUAUGAUCCAUAGAGAAGUUGGAAUACAGUAGGUUUAACACCAAUAUAAAUAAGGAAUGAGUUCAUUACAGUACCUUAAAGUAGUCUUUUGUUUUCUUUCUCUAACGGAGGUCACGAGAUUUCUAUUGAGUUUUGUGUUGUGAAGUUUUCAAGUUUUGGGUGAAUUCUGUUGAUGGAUUAUGGAAAAAGGAGUGGCAAGAGCCUAAGCUUGGGGAUGCUCAUGGCACCCCCAAGAUAAUACAAGGACACCAAAAAGUCAAAGCUUGGGGAUGCCCCGGAAGGCAUCCCCUCUUUCGUCUACUUCCAUCGGUAAUUUACUUGGAGCUAUAUUUUUAUUCACCACAUGAUAUGUGUUUUGCUUGGAGCGUCUUGUAUUAUUUGCGUCUUUUGCUUGUUAGUUUACCACAAUCAUCCUUGCUGUACACACCUUUUGAGAGAGCCAUACAUGAAUUGGAAUUUGCUAGAAUACUCUAUGUGCUUCACUUAUAUCUUUUGAGCUUGAUGGUUUUGCUCAUAGUGCUUCACUUAUAUCUUUUGAGCGUGAUAAUUUUUGCUCUAGUGCAUCACUUAGAUAUUUUAGAGCACGGUGGUGGAUUUGUUUUAAAGAAACUAUUGAUCUCUCAUGCUUCACUUAGAUUAUUUUGAGAGUCGUUAAUAGCAUGGUAAUUUGCUUAAUAUUAAUAUAUUUGGUAUUCAAGAUAUGUGAAACUUUCUUUUGAGUGCGUUGAAUACUAAGAUAAGUUUGGUGCUUGAUAAUUGUUUUGAGAUAUGGAGGUGAUAAUAUCAAAGUCGUGCUAGUUGAGUAAUUGUGAAUUUGAGAAAUGCUUGUGUUGAAGUUUGCAAGUCCCGUAGCAUGCACGUAUGGUUAAAGUUGUGUAACAAAUUUGAAACAUGAAGUGUACCUGGCUUGUGCAUCCUUAUGAGUGGCGGUCGGGGACGAGUGAUGGUCUUUUCCUACCAAUCUAUCCCCCUAGGAGCAUGCGCAUAGUACUUGAUUUUUGAUGACUUCUAAAUUUUUGCAAUGAGUAUAUGAGUUCUUUUGACUAAUGUUGAGUCCAUGGAUUAUACGCACUUUUACCUUUCCGCCUUUGCUAGCCUCUUCGGUACCAUGCAUUGCCCUUUCUCACCUUGAGAGUUGGUGCAAACUUCGCCGGUGCAUCCAAACCCCGUGAUAUGAUACACUCUAUCACACAUAAACCUCCUUAUAUCUUCCUCAAAACAGCCACCAUACCUAUCUAUCAUGGCAUUUCCAUAGCCAUUCCGAGAUAUAUUGCCAUGCAACUUUCAUCAUCAUAUACAUGACAUACAUUACUUUUGUCAUAUUGCCAUUGCAUGAUCAUGUAGUUGACAUCGUAUUUGUGGCAAAGCCACCAUGCAUUAUUUUUCAUACAUGUCACUCUUGAUUCAUUGCACCAUCCCGGUACACCGCCGGAGGCAUUCAUAUAGAGUCAUAUCUUGUUCUAGUUUCGAGUUGUAAUCCUUAUGUUGUAAUCAAUAGAAGUGUGAUGAUCAUCAUUAUUAGAGCAUUGUCCCAAAAAAAAGAAAAAAAGAAAAAAAAAGAAAGGCCAAAAAGAAAAAAGAAAAAGGAAAGGCCAAAAAAAAGAGAAAAAAAGAAAAAAAAGAGAAAAUAAAUAAAAAGGGGCAAUGCUACUAUCUCUUUUUCCACACUUGUGCUUCAAAGUAGCACCUUGUUCUUCAUGUAGUGAGUCUCAUAUAUUGUGCUUCAAAGUAGCACCUUGUUCUUCAUGUAUUGAGUCUCAUAAGAUGUCUUUUUAUACUAGUGGGAAUUUUUCAUUAUAGAACUUGGCUUGUAUAUUCCUACAAUGGCCUUCCUCAAAUGCCCUAGGUCUUCAUGAGCAGGCGAGUUGGAUGCACACCCACUAGUUUUCUUUUGUUGAGCAUUCAUAGCUCUAGUGCAUACGUUGCAUGGCAAUCCCUACUCCUCAUGUUGACAUCAAUUGAUGGGCAUCUCCAUAGCCCAUUGAUUAUUAUCCUCGUCAAUGUGAGACUUUCUCCUUUUUUUUGUCUUCCCCACACAAUCCCCAUCAUCAUAUUCUAUUCCACCCAUAGUGCUAUAUCCAUGGCUCACGCUCAUGUAUUGCGUGAAGGUUGAAAAAGUUUGAGAUUAUUUAAGUAUGAAACAAUUGCUUGGCUUGUCAUCGGGGGUAUAGAAGUUGGAAACAUCUUUGUGUGACGAAAAUGAAGCAUAGCCUAACUAUAUGAUUUUGUAGGGAUGAACUUUCUUUUGCCAUGCUAUUUUGAGAAGACAUGAUUGCUUUGAUUAGUAUGCUUGAAGUAUUAUUAUUUUUAUGUCGAUAUGAACUUUUGUCUUGAAUCUUUCAGAUCUGAAUAUUCAUGCCACAAUUAAGAAGAUUUACAUUGAAAUUAUGCCAAAGUAUCACUCCGCAUAAAAAAUGCUCUUUUUAUCAUUUACCUACUCGAGGACGAGCAGGAAUUAAGCUUGGGGAUGCCUGAUACGUCUCCAACGUAUCUAUAAUUUUUGAUUGCUCCAUGCUACUUUAUCUACUGUUUUGGACUAUAUUGGGCUUUAUUUUCCACUUUUAUGUUAUUUUUGGGACUAACCUAUUAACCGGAGGCCCAGCCCAGAAUUGUUUUUUUUUCUAUUUCAGUGUUUCAAAGAAACGGAAUAUCAAACGGAGUCCAAACAGAAGGAAACCUUCGGAAACAUGAUUUUCUCACCGAACGUGAUCCAGGAGACUUGGACCAUACUCCAAGAAGUAACAGAGGCGGUCACGAGGGUGGGGGGCGCGCCCCCUGCCUCGUGGGCCCCCUGUUGCUCCACCGAUGUACUCCUUCCUCCUAUAUAUACCUACGUACCCCCAAACGAUCAAAACAGGAGCCAAAAACCUAAUUCCACCACCGCAACUUUCUGUAUCCAUGAGAUCCCAUCUUGGGGCCUGUUCCAGAGCUCCGCCGGAGGGGGCAUCCACCACAGAGGGCUUCUAUAUCAACACCAUAGCCCCUCCGAUGAAGUGUGGGUAGUUUAAUUCAGACCUUCGGGUCCAUAGCUAGUAGCUAGAUGGCUUCUUCUCUCUUUUUGGAUCUCAAUACAAUGUUCUCCCCCUCUCUCGUGGAGAUCUAUUCGAUGUAAUCUUCUUUUUGCGGUGUGUUUGUUGAGACCGAUGAAUUGUGGGUUUAUGAUCCAGCUAUCUAUGAAUAAUAUUUGAAUCUUCUCUGAAUUCUUUUAUGUAUGAUUGAGUUAUCUUUGCAAGUCUCUUUGAAUUAUCCGUUUGGUUUGGCCAACUAGAUUGGUAGUUCUUGCAAUGGGAGAAGUGCUUAGCUUUAGGUUCAAUCUUGCGGUGUCCUUUUCCAAGUGACAGAAGGGGCAGCAAGGCACGUAUUGUAUUGUUGCCAUCGAGGAUAACAAGAUGUGGUUUUUAUCAUAUUGCAUGAAUUUAUCCCUCUACAUCAUGUCAUCUUGCUUAAGGCGUUACUCUGUUUUUAACUUAAUACUCUAGAUGCAUGCUGGAUAGCGGUCGAUGAGUGGAGUAAUAGUAGUAGAUGCAGAAUCGUUUCGGUCUACUUGUCUUGGACGUGAUGCCUAUAUACAUGAUCAUACCUAGAUAUACUCAUAACUAUGCUCAAUUCUGUCAAUUGCUCAACAGUAAUUUGUUCACCCACCAUAGAAUAUCUAUGCUCUUGAGAGAAUCCACUAGUGAAACCUAUGGCCCCCGGGUCUAUUCUCAUCAUAUCAAUCUCCAUUACUUUAAUACUUGCUUUGUUUUUACUUUGCCUUUCACUUUUCACUUUGCAUCUAUAUACCAAAAAUACCAAAAAUAUUAUUUAUCAUCUCUAUCAGAUCUCACUCUCGUAAGUGAUCGUGAAGGGAUUGACAACCCCUAAUCGCGUUGGUUGCGAGGAGCUAUCAUUUUGUGUAGGUACGAGGGACUUGUGCGUGGCCUCCAACUGGAUUGAUACCUUGGUUCUCAAAAACCGAGGGAAAUACUUAUGCUACUUUGCUGCAUCAUCCUCUCCUCUUCGGGGAAAUCCAGCGCAGUGCUCAAGAGGUAGCAAAGGUCGACGGCGGUGGCAGCGCUCGAGUGCUAAGGCAACGUGAGGUGGAAGACAGACGAAGAGGCAAGGGGAGAAAAGGAAAGGGACCCUCGGCCCUAUUUAUAAGACGAAGAGAUAAGUGACAGGCGCAGGAAUCGAGGAGCCCAAAAAAUGGAUAUGUCCCAGACCCGUCUCCUCAAUUUUUGGAGGCUCAUUAAUAAAAGUAAGGUAUAUACAGUUUUUUUAAUGAACAGGUGAUGUCAUGGCGAUUUAUUAUAAUCCUGGAAGAUGACGUCAUGGCGGUUUAUUAUAAUCCUGGAAGAUGACGUCAUGGCGGAUUACAAGGUUUACUCGAAGGUACUAAAGAAGAAGUUUUUCUAAAGUGUUGAAGAUUGACAUGAACAGGUUCAAAUCAAUCUGGGGCCUAAUGUUGGGGAUAUAACUACUGAGUAUAAACCGCCCAGGAGGGGUCGGGUUAUACCUGUAAUGAGUUAUUCAUAUUGAAGCCCAUGAAGAUAAGGUGUAUGACGCUUUAAUAUAAGAGAUCUAAAAGCCCAGGGCCCAAAGGCGGAUUAGGGCCCAUAGACAUAAACCGCCAUAAGGUGUGUAACUUGUGUUGUAAGAUAGGAAAGAGUAGAAACCGAGCCGCACACGUUUAUGAGCCGGUCGGGAUUCUAUAAACCGCAGGGCCUCAAGCUGUGUAUAUAAAGGGAUGACCCGGUGGCAGUUCAAGGACAAGAAACAACAACUCGAGAGCCAGGCAAAGCGUAUUCGCUCCCUGGUCAUCGAAACCAUAGCAAUCCCAUCAUAACUGGAGUAGGCUUUACCUUCACCGUAAGGGGACGAACCAGUAUAAUUCCUUGCUUCCUUUGUCAGCUUUAACCCCUUUAAGUUCACUAUGUUGCAAUGGCUCCACGACUAAGUCCUCACACUGGGACAUCUGCCGUGACAAUCCCACGACAAGCGGGGAAAUAUUUAGCAGAGAAAUAAUAAAUCAUAUCCUGGGGACUACGCACACAACCAGGAUCAAGAGAAUUAAACCAUGUUUUAGCAUCACCCUUUAAUGAGAACGGGAAUAACUUAAGGAUAAAGUAAUAGUGAGUUUUCUCAUCAUUAGUGAAUAGGGUGGCUAUAUCAUUUAAUUUAGUAAGAUGUGUCACAACAGUUUCAGAUUCAUAGCCAUAGAAAGGAUCAGAAUCAACCAAAGUAAUUAACUGAGGAUCGACAGAGAAAUCAUAAUCCUUAUCGGAAAUAAAGAUAGGUGAAGUAGCAAAAGCAAGGUCAUAUUUCAUUCUAGCAUUCAAAGACUUUUCUUUAAGCUUAGCUAAUAAUUUCUUAAGAUCAGAUCUAUCAUUGCAAUCUAAGAAGUCUCUAGCAGUUUCUUCAUCCAUAACAUAACCCUCAGGCAUAAUGGGCAAUUCAUAUCUAGGGGAGAAUCUUCAUCAUCACUUUCAUCAAUAUUAUCAGUUUCAGUAAUUUCAUUCUCUCUAACCCUAGCAAGUUGUUCAUCAAGAAAUUCACCUAAUGACAUAGUAUUAUCAAGCAUAGAAGUAGUUUCAUCAUAAGUAUCAUGCAAAGUAGAAGUGGCAUCAUCAAUAACAUGCGACAUAUCAGAAUGAAUAGCAGGAGUAGGUGUCGCAACUUUACUCAAAACAGAAGGUGAAUCAAGUGCUGAGCUAGAUGGCAGUUCCUUACCUCCACUCAUAGUUGAGGGAAAAUCUUGGUUCUUUUAUCUUUCAAGUUCUUCAUAGUGAUCAGCAGAUAUAAAUCCCAAGUGACUCAAAGAAUAGAGCUAUGCUCCCUGGCAACAGCGCCAGAAAAUAGUCUUGAUAACCCACAAGUAUAGGGGAUCACAACAGUUCUCGAGGGUAGAGUAUUCAACCCAAAUUUAUUGAUUCAACACAAGGGGAGCCAAAGAAUAUUAUCAAGUAUUAGCAGCUGAGUUGUCAAUUCAACCACACCUGGAAACUUAAUAUCUGCAGCAAAGUAUUUAGUAGCAAAGUAAUAUGAUAGUAGCAGCAACGGUGGCAAAAGUGACGGUAGCAGUUUUGUAGUGAUUGUAACAGUGGCAACGGAAAAGUAACUAAGCAAAGAUCAAUAUAUGAAAAGCUCAUAGGCAAUUGAUCAGUGAUGGAUAAUUAUGUCGGAUGCGAUUCCUCAUGCAAUAGUUAUAACAUAGGGUGACACAGAACUAGCUCCAGUUCAUCAAUAUAAUGUUGGCAGGUAUUCAGAUAUAGUCAUACGUGCUUAUGGAAAAGAAAAUGCAUGACAUCUUUUGUCCUACCCUCCCGUGGCAAUGGGGUCCUAUUGGAAACUAAGGGAUAUUAAGGCCUCCUUUUAAUAGAGUACCGGGAAUACAUCAACACCUCAAACUACGGUCAUCACCGGUAAGUAUCCCGAUUAUUGUCACUUCGGGGUUAACGGAUCAUAACACAUAAUAGGUGACUAUAGACUUGCAAGAUAGGAUCAAGAACUCAAAUAUAUUCAUGAAAACAUAAUAGGUUCAGAUCUGAAAUCAUGGCACUCGGGCCCUAGUGACAAGCAUUAAGCAUAGCAAAGUCAUAGCAACAUCAAUCUCGGAACAUAAUGGAUACUAGGGAUCAAACCCUAACAAAACUAACUCGAUUACAUGAUAAAUCUCAUCCAACCCAUUACCAUCCAGCAAGCCUACAAUGGAAUUACUCACGCACGUCGGUGAGCAUCUUUAAACCUCGCCUCGGCAACUUGCAAUACACGUCACGAAGCUUCAAAAGUAUAUCACCUCAGCGCAGGAAGGGACGUUCAUUCCCGACAGAGAAAAGGACGAGCUGAUUGAGGCCCUAGGGAAUGCUGAGCACCCUGGACGAACACGAGGCACUCCAGGCUCCGUUCUAUGGAAGUUUGGGUUUCCCGAUGCAGGCGGUUACAAAAGCCGGGAGAGAAAGAGGAAAGAGGAGCUGAGCGACAUGUAGAAGCUCAAUGCAAGACUACAAAAGCUAGAGGAAGCUGAGAGCAAGCGAGCUGCCGACCAACCAUCUCAGCGGCACGAAGCUACCCCAUAAACUACCCCGCCAUCUCAGCGGAGAAGCAGCAUGGCUUCCACGGAGUCCGUUCAUCCUGACUUCAUGUCUCCUAGCUACCCCGUGGAUACUAUCACGAAGGCUCAACAUUGCGAGCUUAUGACGAAAUGCCGGAACCUCACUUUCAAGGCGUCUACAAGCGAAGGGUAGAAUUGGCUGGUUCAUGCUCUGAGGAGUACAUGUCUAUGGCAGAAGGAGUACAUCAAGCUUCCAAACUGGACGCCUCUGCUUCCUGCUCCUCCUCCGGCGAGUCAGGGCACUCCGCCUCCUCCUCCUCCGGCGAGUGAUCAGGGCACUCCACCUCCUUCUCCGGCUCCUCCGACACGUGAGGGCACUCCGCCUCCUCCUUCGCAUACUACGGCGCGUCGGAGCAGUCCGCCUCCUCCUCAGCCUCGUCGGCAAUGGCGGAAGACAAACGCCGUCGCUCUGGCUCCUUCGGUGCGUCAGAUUUCUCCGCCUCAUCGGCAACGACGGAAGAGAGACGCCGCCGCUCCGGCGGCUAGCAGUAUAAGCAGAGGCGGGAGCCAAUUCAGAUACGGUCCAUCUCUCAAGCCUCUGGAAAGUUACCAUAUGAGAGGACCGAGCAGGAAAAUGAGGACAUAUGUCGUGCCCAACUAAGGGACCAUUUUGCAAAGAAAACUCCACCUCUGAAGGAGAAGGUAGAUCCGGUGAAAGUGAAGCGCACUAUCAAUGCCCUGAAGCGACCACCACUGCCUCCACCGGAUUCCAACUAUGGCCGCAUAAUUACUAAGACACAUGCUAAAGCGCAGCAGUCGGGAAGUACUUCCAGUGCUGCAAGAGCGAAAAAAUGAGGAAGUGGGAAAACAAUUCCUCAGCUCGGCGAACAGGAGAAGCAAUCGUGCCCCCNNNNNNNNNNNNNNNNNNNNNNNNNNNNNNNNNNNNNNNNNNNNNNNNNNNNNNNNNNNNNNNNNNNNNNNNNNNNNNNNNNNNNNNNNNNNNNNNNNNNNNNNNNNNNNNNNNNNNNNNNNNNNNNNNNNNNNNNNNNNNNNNNNNNNNNNNNNNNNNNNNNNNNNNNNNNNNNNNNNNNNNNNNNNNNNNNNNNNNNNNNNNNNNNNNNNNNNNNNNNNNNNNNNNNNNNNNNNNNNCUAAUCAUCCGAUGCUACUGCCCGAUACCACUCUUGAUGAUUACCUGCCCAAUGAUGUACAGUUUGAAACGGCUGAGGUAGUAGACGUCUUUAGAUACGAGCAUGGGAAGCCUCUCGUCAAACCUGAUCAUCCUCAUCUAACAACGAUGAUGCAAAAAUUGCAUGACUGGUACAUGGAAACCUACAGGAAGUCUGGGAAAGACAUUUGUUAGUCAGAAUUAAAAAAGAGCAUGACUUCCUUGGAAUCGACCUGCUGCCUGCUGAAUUUGUGGAGUUAUUUCAAUUAUACAAUCACAAGGCCCUCGACAAACAACUCAUGACUUGCUACUGUCUGUAAGUAUUACUUCUAUAAUUAAGUCUCUAGCUCAGCUCAUUCAUUGCAUGUAUAUAUAAUUAUCCUCACUAUAUUAUGCAGAUUGAAGAUGGUCGAAUGCAAAAAAAUAGGAAUCUUCGACGUUGGGUUCAUUAGCCCAAAUACCGUAAAUGAAUGGUCGGUACGAAAGGUGGCUGAAGAUACCGAGAACAACUUACUACAAACGUUCCUUACACAUCAAAACAAAAGGGAAAUACUCUUUCCUUACAACUUCAAGUGAGUGUUACUGUCUUCUGCAUAUUCGGUUCCGCUUACUCGUGGUUAAGUAAUGUAAUUGAUGAGUUAUGCGUGCGCAGCUUCCACUAUAUUCUGCUAUCCAUUAACCUUGACGGGGCAUUACUAAUUGUCUUAGACUCGCUCCGUAAAGAUCCCAAGUAUUAUGCGGACACGACUGCAAUGCUCCAAAAGUAAGUUCAAUCAAUACCGGGACCAUAUCGGCAACUUUUAUUCAUUUCCUGAUAUCAAGUAAUCAUUUUCUUUGCCUGCCAGGGUUUGGAAAACGUUCACCGCUAAGGUUCCGGGUCUGAAGAAGGAGUUGCAAUUUACACACACCAAAGUAAGUAGUACAAGCUAGUUUCGCGCAUCUCUCAUUGAUUCUAGUUUAAUCAAUAUCAUUAUCAUGCUUGCUUAUCAGUUUGAUUGAACUCUAUUCUCGUAAAGUGCUUGUUGCAGGCACCCAACACUCAUUUAUGUGGAUACUACGUAUGCGAGUUCAUUCGCUACUAUACCUCUGAACGGGCCUCCUAUGAGAAACAAUUUGAAGUACGUAAACAAUAUUCACAAUUUUAUUUUAUAUAUUACCAUCAGUUGUGUUGAGUUUCAUUCAUAUAUAUGUAUUGACCCCUUCUUUAAAUUAGAUCUGGCAGCUGCGGGAUGAACUCCUACCACAUGAUCGCAUACGAGCAAUUCAAGAGGAAUUGGCGGGAUUCUUUCUUGACCACGUCAUACCUGAACAAGGAGAAUACCAUGUGAAAUUGAAAUUGUUGUAAGGGAUGUUAUAUAUUGUACAUAUGUAGCAGCGUCGGAUAGAUAUACGAAAACUUGUUAUUCGACCAAGCACGAAGAAAGAUAUGUCACUUCUCUCUAUAUAUGUUCAUGACGAUCUUGUGUAAUUAAUGGUUUCCUUUAGUUGCUUACUAGCUAGCGUCGAGUUCUCUCUAUAUGUGUAGUAGCUAGAGUCAACCAAGCACGGAAAAAGAGAGGUCACUUCUCUCUAUUAGCUCGGUAACACAAUACGAAACCCCUAAAUUAACCCUCCAAAACCCCAACCCCCCCCCUCCCCCCCGUCCAAAAAAAAACAAAACCCCCAGUGACUGCGAGCUGCUGACGCGUGGCCGCCUUUUGGUCCUGGUUGGUGUUACCAACCGGNNNNNNNNNNNNNNNNNNNNNNNNNNNNNNNNNNNNNNNNNNNNNNNNNNNNNNNNNNNNNNNNNNNNNNNNNNNNNNNNNNNNNNNNNNNNNNNNNNNNNNNNNNNNNNNNNNNNNNNNNNNNNNNNNNNNNNNNNNNNNNNNNNNNCCCCAGCGACCGCGAGCUGCUGACGCGUGGCCGCCUUUUGGUCCUGGUUGGUGUUACCAACCGGGACUAAAGGUCCUCCCUCCCCCGCCCCAGGCAGCGCCACGUGGAGGGCCUUUGGUCCCGGUUCGUAAGCAAACCGGGACUAAAGGUUUUGGGUAUUAGUCCCGACCCUUUAGUCCCGGUUCGAGAACCGGGACAAAUGGCCCUCUGGAACCGGGACAAAUGGCCCUUUUUGUACUAGUGACUUCUCAUAGAAGAUACUUACAGAUAGACAUAAUCUCCUAUUUCGAAAAUUAAUUCUCUUCUUCGAUUAUCUGCAUAGCUCUUCUGACGAGUUUGUGCCACUCUCAAGUUCUCUCUAAUGAACCUGACUUGUUCCUCGGCAUUCCUGAGCACAUCUGGUCCAAAGACUUAACUUUCACCCGUUUGAUUCCAGAACAACGGUGUUCUACACUUACGCCCAUACAAUGCUUCAAACGGUGCCAUCUUUAGACUAUUCUGGUGAUUGUUGUUGUAAGAGAACUCCGCAUACGGUAAACUUUUAUCCCAACUAGUACCAUACUGCAAUGCACAAGCUCUCAACAUAUCUUCAAGAAUCUGAUUGAGCCUUUCUGUCUGUCCAUCAGUCUGAGGAUGAUAUGUUGUACUGAAAUUCAACUUCGUUACCAAUGAUUUAUGCACUUUCUGCCAAAAGAUGGACGUGAACUGCGGACCUCUAUCAGACACAAUCUUCUUAGGAACUCCAUGCUGACAUACUAUUCUUUCCAUGUAUAGCUCUGCCAAUCUUUCCCCGCUAUAAGUAGUCUUGACAGGCAAAAAGUGAGCGACUUUAGUGAGACGAUCCACUAUUACCCAUAUAGAAUCAUAACCUUGCUGAGUGUGUGGUAAUCCCACUAUAAAGUCCAUUCCGACUUCUUCCCAUUUCCACUCAGGAAUCUUCAUUGGUUGCAACAAACUAGCGGGUCUCUGAUGCUUAGUCUUUACCCUCUGACAAGUGUCACAUAUAGCUACAUACUCAGCCACAUCUCUUUUCAAUCCAUACCAGCAGUACUUCUCCUUAAGAUUUAGAUACAUCUUAGUACUUCCAGGAUGGAUAGAAUAGGCUGACUCAUGUGCUUCACGCAAAAUUGUAUCAUGAAUGGCUUUCACCUCAGGCACACAUAUCCUUUUUCCAAACCAUAAGGUUCCAUUCUCAUCUAUUCUGAAGCCAGGUGCUUUACCAAUCACCACAUUCUCAGCUAUCUCCUUUAGCUUUUCAUCUUCUAGCUGACCCUUACGUAUUUCUUGCUCCAAUGUAGGAAUCACUUUUAUCUCCAUAGCACUAGCAACAAUGCCAAGGUUCAGAUGUUGCAACUCCGCAUACAACUCUUCUGCCUCUGGUCUCAACUUAAGAUUGUUGUCAUAUUUCUUCCUAUUGAGAGCAUCAGCUACAACAUUUGCCUUACCUGGAUGAUAAUGUACCUCCCGUUCAUAAUCCUUGAUUAACUCUAGCCAGCGACGUUGUCUUAAAUUCAGACCUGUCUGAGUGAAUAUAUACUUCAAGCUCUUAUGAUCGGUGUAGAUAUCACUCUUGUGACCAAUCAGAUAGUGUCUCCAGAUCUUCAAUGCAUGUAACACAGCUGCUAGCUCCAGAUCAUGAGUAGGAUAAUUUAACUCAUGCUUCCUCAACUGUCUCGAUGCAUGCGUCCGUGGUGGUGACCUCAUGUCCGCUCGCACCGUGUUCGAUGAAACGCCAACGAGGGUCAAAAGCUUCGAACCACAUCGGCAUCGCUCGGAGUAGCAACGGGUACACGCUGGAGUGCUGGAUGUGAUGCUUGGCCAUCUCCAACUCACGAGCGUGUAAGAGAGAAACCAUGAGACAGUAAUGAUUUAAUUUGGUUUUGCAAUGUUUUUAUUUUAAAAAUAGUUGGUUUAUCUUUGUAAAAUAGUUAAUUACAUGAGAAUUAUUGAACAAAAUAGUUUUUAAAGAGCAAUUUGCAUUCAAACAGUCUUCAUUCUUAAUGAAGCUACGAGUUCCCAUUUGCUCUAACCAAACGAUCUUCAAUUUUUGCCACCACAGGAGCCUUGUAUUAGCUCUUGCGGUGCGAGCGGGAGCUCGGAUGUCCGUGCGACGAAGCUGAUCUAUGAAAGUGGCCUUGGUGAUCCUGUGCCCCGGUUGGUAGGUUGGGAGACAGCAAGGAUGCAAACCAGCGCCAACGAUGGGCGAAGAUUGCACGACGGAUGAGCGGCGCUAGAGAUGGAAAGUCUGCUGGAGCAGUUUAGGUGAAAGGAUAAAGAUGUAGUUUUCAUUUUUUUUUUCUAAUAAUGAAAGUCGGACUCAACUUUAUGGAACUGGGCCUUAUGACACGUAGGGCCCAUCUGAAGCUUCUAGAGUUGUUAAUCCUGUGGUUGAGAAUGUGUGUGACAAAGCCUGUGUUUGAGUAUUUACUAUCUAGGGAAGUAUAAACAAUUUACAAUCUCAGUGGACCCAUAAGCCAAUAUCCUUGAAUGUUUUUUUUUCUGUUUGUGUGUAUAUGUCGCAAGUUUUCUUGUUUUAUUUUAGGUUUGGUACUGUAGCUAGGUCUAGAAUAGUUUUUUUUGUUCUUUUUUUAAUUUCAAAAAAAUCGAGGGAUGUCUCAGUUUUUAUUAAAAGAAAGAAAUAUUUGGUCCAAAGUUGAAUGAGCGUGUCAUGCAGGGUUAAAUCACAAGAUAAACGGAUGAAACACAUGAUGCAUUAGUGGAUAAAUCACACGGGUGAUUUGAAGACAAAUUGAAAAACAUGAUGUGUUAGUUAAAUAAAUAAAUAUCAUGAUACAAUUAUAAGUAACCAUGCAAUAAACUAUAUGUCCAAUACUUGCACUCACAGGCAUUUUUGCUACUAUUAAUAAAUUGGUAAAAAUCAGAGAAUGCGAGGCGGAUACCAAACCUAGCCAAAUGGGCCGGCCUGGGUUAAACGGGCCCGAACCCCUCUUGCCCUCGCUCCUAGAAAAGCCGCCCGCCUCCGUCUCUCCCCCGCACUCCAUCGCCUCGCCUCGCCUCGCCGCCGUUCCCCGCAACCCCCUGUCUGUCGACCCAAUUCAUCUCAGGGAUAUCACCCGACGCCUCGUCCUCCUCUCCAGAUCAGAUCUUACGCCCGCCCGCCCGAGGUGAGCACAUGCUUGUACAUCCCGAUCAGCUUGGAGUUCGUUCCGAUUGGUUGGUAGGCGCGGCGCUGGUUCGAGGCCAGCGUGGUCUCCCUCCUCCUCCGGAGUUGCUCGGGCGCGGCGCGGGUUCAUAGGUGUCGGAUCCAGCGCCGUCUGUAUCCUAUUCGUAUGAGGAACCUCGGCUAGGAUAGGAUUUAAUUAGUUGGUUUUUGUAUUAGGGUAACACCACCUAGGGUUCGGUUGAUUAUCCGUAAGAAGGAAUCAAUCUGACGCUUUAGUUAGGGUUUGCUUGGUUGGUUGUGGUCAGAUUUUGGUUUCUCAUGAAUUCUUCAACUGUGCCUGUCGCGAUUUUGGGCGGAAAUUGAUGAUUGAUUUCGGGGGCAAAAUCCGAGGGAUUUUGUGGAUGAAAGAUGGGGAAACUUGGGGAAACCAAGCAAAUCCAUGGAUCAAAAUAAACAAACUUCAUCAUGCCAACAAAUCACAAAAAAAAUUUGGUGGGGAAAUUUCGAAUUAGGACGAAAAACAACAAGAUCAAAGCUAGAAAACGAAUAUUAAUUUGGAUGGAAUUCAUGCUAUGUUGUUCGAUUUCAGUUUAUGCCUGCCAGAAUGUUUUAAUUUUUUGUUUUAUCAACUGUGUUGGAGCGUACUAGAUUUUUUGUUGCAUAUUCAUCUUCUUGCUCUGUUUGGAUAGGUAACAAUUAAUAUUUGGGAUCCUAAAAUAUGUAUGCACUGGCAGCACUUAACCUGCAGCUGCUGAUUAAUGUUGUAGUCAUAUGUGCUGCUUUCCAGCUCUCUUGUUUGGAUAGGUAUUUGGUUAUCGUUUGGGUUUAUUUAUUAUCGUUUGUAAAUGCUGGUUUGGUUUUCUGUGCUCACUAUGCCCUUGCACAUGGGAUGCAAUUUUUUUAUUUCCCUGCUGUUUAGUUUAUUGUUUCCUUUGAUGGUGAGGCAUUAAUUCUGGAGAUAGAUGCAAUUUUCUUGCUCACACAAUAAUACAAUGAAUGAUGGCAUCUCUAUCUACUUUGAACCAAAUUAUAUUAUAUUCCCCCCUCUGUUAAUUAUUUUUCUGUUUUGGGUAUUCAUUCAUUUUGUUUAGUUGCCUAUCAGUAUAAAUACAUGGCUGGAUUGCUUUCACUUCAUAUUAAUAACUAUUCUGUCGCACAAUGCAAAUAUACAUAUGCUGUCCUAACUAAUUAAGUAGAAGCUUGGAUUGGUGCUGUAUGGUCUCUUCCUGACAUUAAAUCCUCCUCUGUUUGUGCUGUCUGUUUCUGCUGCUGCAGUCUUCUUCGCCGCCAAAAGGAAAAGAUGCUCUACAAAAUCCACUCCCAUGCCGAAAUCCAAGCCCUGCAGGCCCGCACCGAUGAGCUGGGCCACUCCAAUGAGCACAUGGAUGUGAAGCUUGUCUCUCUGGAGUCGGUGCGCAUAGCGCGCGAGUCGUAUGCACUCCUCCGCCCGCUGAUCAUGGAGUCGAGGUCCUGGGAAUGCCCGGAGCUGGAUUCCCUCUCGGACGUGGCAGGCUUGUCGCUGGAAAUCCAAAAGCUCGAGCAUGAUGUGUUACCCCAGCUCACGGUUCAGGAGGCUAAGCUGGAACGGGGUGCCCUGGAAGCCCUCCUACUCAUGAAGAGCUCAGCAGCUAAGCUCUUACAUAUGAGUAAGUGCUUGAAGGAAGCCUUGGGCGUAUUGCUUGCCGAGGAUGUCAAAAAGCUGAGCAUAGUGCUAAGCGAUACUGCUGUUCAUGUACUCAAAGGUAAGUUCAACAGUGGCUUGCUUCAGGAGCGUGUCCCGUGGCUGGUCGAGCUGGUCACCGAUGUGUUGGAGACCCCGGUUCGUUUCUGUGAUACUCGUAAGCGUAAGUAUUCUGAUGAGUAGACUUAUCAGCCAGCUCGAGGCUGUUGUGAUAAAUAUUUCUUAGGGGCGUGGCAAACAGUUUAGAAUCAACCCUUUAUGUUUGGAUGUGUUAUUAAUGGAUUUUAAAUAAUAUGUAUCUUGGGUAGUGUUUUCUCAUUCUGUGCUAGUCGGGUACAACUUGCAAUUACUUUCAGUUUUUUUUUUGAGAAAUACAGUCACAUGGAGGUAUUCGCUCUUUUUGGGAAUAUAUGCCAAAAGAAUAUACUCCCUCCGUUCCUAAAUAUUUGCCUUUUUAAGGUUUCAAAUAGACUACCACAUACGGAUGUAUAUAGACAUGUUUUAAAGUGUAGAUUCACUCAUUUUGGUCCGUAUGUAGUCAUUUGUUGAAAUCUCUAGAAAGACAAAUAUUUAGGAACGGAGGGAGUAGUAUCUUAGAAAAGAAAUCCCAAAUAUAAGUCUUUUAAGAGGUUUCACUAAAAGACUACAUACGGAUGAAUAUAGGCAUACUUUAGAACGUGGAUGGAUUCACUCAUUUUGCUCCGUAUAUAGUUUUCUACUAGUGAAAUUUCUUAAAAGACAUAUAUUUAGGAACGGAGGGAUCUGUGAGUGUCCAUGAUUAAAGCUUUGCAAAUACCAUAAACAAAACAUCACCUUGUACAUAUAAAGUGAUGAUUAUUUUUACACUAACCGGUUUGGCAAGUGUUAGAGUUUAAUUAACGUGUGUUAAUUAUGGGGUAAAUCUCUCCUUGUAACUGCCAUCUCUCCCGGAUGCCUCUUCAUCGCAUCCCUUCUCCUUGUAUAAAUGCUUACAAUCAUCUAAUGAAAGGGAUAGAGGAUUCACUUUUCUCUCAACACGUUAUCAGCACGCUCUGGCGAGAGCAGAAGGCCACGAGAGAUUAGGCCAUCCCGGCGGUUACGGAUGUUACUUUCGUCGCCGAUGGCUUACAGGCGAUGCAACCGGAAGCGGUUCCAUUGAGCGCUCGCGGCGAGACAUCUUCCGGUGACGAGGCGAUGGAGCCCAGGUGCCGGCGCUCGACCGCAGCGUCCUCCAGCGCAUGGUUUGGUCUCACCCUCUCCUUCCCCUUCUCCCAGACGCCGUCCACAGUGGCCGCAUAAGCGGCCCUCUCCGGCACGGCCUACCGCGGCGCAUCUGCGACCCCGGCCUGCUACGCAAGGCACGGCGGCGUGGCAAGCGCCUCCCGACCGGAGACUCGACGCCUAUUGCGGGGAACAACCCGGCCUCGACCUCCCGGCGCGCGGAGCCCACAGCGGAUCGCAGAUCCUCGACAGCGGCGCACCCGCAUCUUCUACGUCGAAGACGGGCGAUGGAGGCGAGGCAGCCAGCGCCCGACGCGGCUCCCGGCAUCCACGUGGAGUUCCUGCAGCCACGGUCCUACCCGUGGUGAAGAUGGAGCGGGCUCUCCCUUCAGCUGACUGUGUGCAGCCCGCCCCCGAUGGUCGGCACAGGCCUCCUCCGGCGCGGCGAGGCCCAGAGUGCGAACGGUGUCGUUUCCACCGCCAGACUACGGCGGUGGCGACCCUCGACCUGCGCUCCUUCCUCCGGCCGGCUGGUGCGCGGCUACGCGGAGCGGGACGUCGAGUACGGCCUCGGCCCGGUCCUUCUCGCGUAGCCAUGGCCCUGCCCCUCGGCCUAGGUUGACGCGGACCUCCAUGGCACGCGGCGCGGUGCCCGUGGCGUCGUUCAGCGUACGCCGACGAACUCCGGUGCGAGGCAACUCAGCACCGCGCGCGAGGCGAAGGCAUCCAUGACUGGAUCUCCCGGAAGCGGCGGCGAUGGCUUCUGUGUAAAGCUAACCGAAUCGAUUGAUUCGUGUACUAAUUACAGGCCAACACAGGACAACGAUGGGAACCUUAUCUCUUUGAUGAAGGGUUUUUUUCACAAGUGGCUAUGUAUUUGCAUUGACCAUCAAAUCAGGCCACAGGCUGUGCAUUGGAGACCGUCAGAUAUCUCCAUAUCACAUUUACAAUAUAUGUAAAUGAUGAUUUCAGAUAUACUAUGUGAAAAUGGGACAUGUUCAUCGUAUUUGCUCUCUAUCAAUUCCUUUCAAAUAAUUCAGAUCUUAAGUUGAUGUAAUAUAUUUCCACGUUUACCACGUGUUGAGAUUAAUUACGUUCAUUUGCAAUUGAGAUUUCUCAUCUCUUGCAAAGAUAAAUUCAAUACCUCUGCAGUAUUGUUUCUCCGUUGAGUACGAUGUAUUCCGGAAUAUUUAAAACUAUGAUUGCGAUUGAGAUUAAGUUUUCUCGCACAACAAUAUUGAUUUGCGAUUGAGAAUUUUUUUUCUCGCAAAAUAAUUGCGGUUGAGAUCAAUUUUCUCUUGCAAAAUAUUAAUUCACUUCGCUGAAUUAUCUUGCAAUUUGAUACAAGAUCUCAUUUAAUUUGAGAUCUAUACAAUUCAAGUUUUUCACUUGAACAUCAAGUUUGCAACAUCAUUACUAUUCAUUAUAAUAGUGGUGUAGUUCUGUUGAGUACGAUGUAUUCCGGAAUGUAUGUAUCUCCAUGUUCACUAUAUGUUGAGAUUAAUACGUCUAUUUGCAAUUGAGAUUUUCAAUUUCUUGCAAAUACAUAUGCAAAAUUCAAGGUGAUUUCUUCAAAUUGAUGCUUUUUUUGGGAUCACAAGGUAGUCAUAUGGAUCUACUGCCUACGCAGAUUAUCAAUGACUACUGAUAAAGCCUAUAUUUUGUCGUUUCGACAUUAUGAUUGCUUCACAAAGUGCUCUCCCACCCAUUUUACUAAGUUAUGAAGUAAGGCAUCAUGAGUGAGUAUCUACUGAUUUCAUCAGGUUAUACUCCCUAUGCUGCAGAUCUACUUCAUUUUGGAGAUUAUCUUCAAGAUGUCAUACUUAGCAAUUUGAGAUUGACACUAAUGGUUUCAAGAUAACUUCUUGAAAUACCCAUUGAUUUUGCUAAGUUGAUUACAACAUCAACCACGAUGAUCUUUAAUUUACUGCUGUAAAUUAAUUAUCUUUGGUUUACCCAUAGAGGUAACACAUGGCUAUAGAGUUUGAGGCAUUCACCCUCAAUGGCCACCACUGCCCUAUCUGGGCCAUGGAUAUCAUGAUCGCUCUUGUGUCUCAUGGGAUAAUGUGUGCAAUAGUGUCUUAUAUAUCAUAAGGCAUUAGAUUCAGAUCUCAGCAUCUGCUUAUUCUGAAUCAACAAUUCCUGGAAUACAAUGAACCCCAAGGGCAAAUGUUUGAAUCUUACUUCAACCUUCAAUCCGACAUCACCAGCUGUGACGGAACCCUAUGGGCACAGAGAGUGUGAUGGUUGAAUAUGCCUCAAUCGGCAUGUUUGGAGACUAUGAAUAGUAUCUCAAUCUCCUGAGUGAUCAAUAUAAUUUAUGUCCAUUUACAAUGUUGCAACAUAAGUAUUGUUGUCAUCAUAUAUUGUAUAUCACAAUAUAUUGUAUCAGCACUUUGAUACAAAUACAUUUGUAUGCAUUCUAUAUAUUUGACAGUGAUUUUCAUAUUGAGAAUCUUCAUGUCUAUAUAUAGUUUUCUACGGGAGUCAAUCCGAUGAAAAAUGAUAUGUGCCUUGUGGACAUAUGCACCACAAACUUUAUACUCAGGGAAGCCCAAUGUUUCCACUCUCUUGAGAGAAAGGAGAUAUUUAAAUCGCUAGACGCGAUGAGGUAUUUGUUGGCUCAACUCGAGUCAUAUUUACUAUCCCUGUGGGUACUCGAGUAAUGUCGGGAUGCUUUAUUGCUUCCCAGGUUUAACUCGUACCCUACUAAACUAUGAAGGUAUCCGUCAAAAUAGUUUCCAUAGCGAAACUUAUUAUGACAACAAAGAGAAAUAACUUCUCUUUACCAUAUGCAACGGAUAUGGCAAAUACAUUCUCUGUGUAUCAUCUGGAUUGUACUACACAUACGACACAACCCGUACCACAUGUCGUGUACGUGAUAGUUUUCCAGAGUGUCUUGUACAUGACAUACUUGGCAUACUGGCCUUGGUCAUCGAGACAUUGGGUUGAAACCGAAACUAUCAGCAAUUCCAAUAGUUUACAAUUAUUAUGAUGCCAAAUUCUAACAACAUUUGGAUUUUAUGUGCACUACAAGUGACACAGGGAAGCUAAUUUUAAGGAUCGCACACCUUAAAGUCUACGCUGAACCACUCAGACUCCUUGAAUGCAUCAAGUUGAGGAAACCAUUGGCUCAUUAUCCUGACAUCGAUUUCAAGCAAAUCGAAUGGAUAACAUUGCAACAUUCUCCUUGAGUGCCUUCUCUAUGGCCCUUGGAUUGAAGUUUAGCAAUUUGUCCUAAUGUCUAGACUCCAAAUGGUUUGGUAGAAUCCUAUCCAAAUAGUUAAGCUCAUUACAUUAUCUUUACUUUGGAAUUGCAACUUACCAACUUUACGUUGGAGUCAUGCAGUUUUACACGCUCAUGACAGAACUGCAUAAUAUUAUUCCCCUCUAUCUUUGAUAUGUGGAUAUCUACCAAGUAUUUCCUAUCUGCGGUAAUUCGGUUGCAUACCGAUAUCACCACCCGGCAUACAUCAUUGGCCCCUCAACAUAUAGUUGGGAUCUAUGUGAGGAAUAACUGUAUUUCCGUCAAUACCUCAAGCCCCUCGCAUGGGGAGUUAUUCAAGGCCUGUAUGCUGAUUCAAUGAGGAACAUUUCCAGGCAUUAGGGGGAGAUUUCAAGUACCAUAAAGAAUGCCAGGAAAUUAGUGGAAUGUUCAACACAUUUCUGCCUCAAAUCCACAUACUCAAAGAUCUGAACCAUGCGUUCAGAAGAUUUGCAACACAUUGCAAAUAACCUGCCAGAUUCAUUUACUGACUAUAAAGGUGUCACACAAUCCUACAAUCCUGAAAAAUAUGUCCGAAAGAGUGGAGGUACCAACUAAAACCACUCAACUCCCCGUUCAAAGCAACGGGGGGAGAAGUACGGCAAUAGUACAUCAGGAUUCAGCUUCUCGCAAGCAAGGAUAUCAAGGCCUGUGAAUCAGUAAAUGCAAGUCAACUUCACGUUGACAGACACCUGAUGGGUAGUAUACACCUAGUGGACGGGAAACCUCCACCAACCCAGGUCAUAGUGCACACAAUGACCGGGACAUCGGAAUACCCGACUCAAUCGCAUUGGGAAAUCGCGAGCAGUCACCAUGGGUAACAAUAUUUCCAUCAACUAUAUAUUGAUAUAUAGAUUCUGGAGAAACAUACAACUGGAAGUCUACAAUUGUCGACGUACAUUUCUCAACUAGAUUGCAAAAACCUUUUCAAAUGAUUCAGAUCCAAAGACCAUGGCCAUGGCAAAGUGUGAACAACACUCGGACUGAACUCAAGCAAAGGGUAUAAUCUAGGUAGAAAUGAUCUUGCUCAGUAAUGGCAAGGUAUUCAUAAGCAAUACCUACACCCGUUUUCUUCUGGAAACGGAAUUGAGAACAACAAGGUGGUGAACAGGGAGCAAGUAUUGUAGCACAAGGGUUCACGCAGAUACCCAACUAUUCUCCAGAGGUGGAAUCUCUUUCCGAUAACUUGUAUCAUUGGCAGUACAAAAUCAUCUAUCUCUGCAGUUGAUAGAUGUAGUGAUUACAUAUCCAUGUGGAUCACUAGAUUCAGUGAAUAUGGUUGAUCCCGGAUGGAAUCUCAAUUCUGAAUCGAAAUACAAAAUGCAAACAUGCAUUGUGCAAAUUUAGUAAGUCACCAUACGACUUAUUAUUGUCAGUACAUAUGGUACAACUGACGUAGUGAGAUCCUUAUACACAAGGAUUACUCAUACAAUGAUGAUUAUCCAUGUUUGUGUGUCUGCAAUGACGACACUUGUAAUCAUCUAAAUGGCGGAGUUUAAAAUGAAGGAUUUGGGUAAACCAAAAUACCGCUCGUUACUACAACUUGAGCGCCUUCAUUCAUACAUUAUGGUAUACUAUGUUGUCUAUAUCCAAAAUAUAUUGGAGAAAUUCAUUGUGGACAAAUCUUAUCCAUCCAUAACUCUCAUGGUAGUUCAUUCUCUAGACGUAGAGAAAUAUCUAUUUAGACCAAGAGAUGAUGGAAAUGAGAUAUUGGGACUCAACGUUCCAUAAUGCCAUUGGAUCCACCAAAUAUAAUUGGUUGGUACUCAAGAAUAUCUUUCGAUAUCUCCAAGGCAUCAAACAUCUUGUCCUGGUUUUCAGUUUCACAGGAAUGUGAACACCGAUAUCAUUGGAUACAUCGAUCAGAUCCCCACUAUGUCAGAUCAUAGACAAGCUUAGUGUUCCUACUAGGUGUGGUAGCCCUCUCAUGAAGAGUCUUCGAAACGGACCUUAUGGCUACAUCCACCAACCAUUAUCUCAACGAUAAUGUUUCUUGUGUUGCCCGGAUGCAAACAGGUUACAUAAUAAGUAAUAUCACUAUAUUGCAUAUCUUGCAAGUCAAAUCAGCGACUGAUUUGUUCAGCGAGUCUCUACCAAUUUCUAUGUUUUGGUAUGUGACGACUUUGAAUUUUUGCAAGAAUCAGGGGGAGUAUCUUCCUGAAUUGUUCCUGUUCAAUGCAUCAUAUUAUACUCUUUUUCCCUUCAUGAGUUUACUUUACAGAUUCUCAUAAAGGUUUUUAAUGAGGUAAUAUCAACAUGAGAUCAUAUGUCAUACUUUCUGUUUUCCCCACCGGGGUUUUUGGGAAAGUAUAUACGACAUAUUUAUUGUCCUCUGAACUCUAUGGGUUUUCUCGUAUUGAGUUAAAAGAGACAAUAACCAUUAUAUGUUGUAUCAUUUUCUCCUUAUUUUUCCCAUUGGGUUUGAAGGAGUUUUGGCAACAUAUCAAACACUAUACUCCUCAUAUUUUUCCCACAGGGUUUUUAGAGGAGCCUCUAAUCAAGAUGAUGAUUCUGGAUGAACAAGUGUAGAUUAGGGGGAGUGUUAGAGUUUAAUUAACAUGUGUUAAUUAUGGGGUAAAUCUCCCCUUGUAACUGCCAUCUCUCCCGAACGGAUGCCUCUUCAUCGCAUCCCUUCUCCUUGUAUAAAUGCUUACAAUCAUCUAAUGAAAGGGAUAGAGGAUUCACUUUUCUCUCAACAUCAAGUAGUACUUCCUCCGUAAAUAAAGAAACAUAAGAGUGUUUGGAUUAUCAUUUCUUUAGAGAGGGAGUAGUAUAUAUAUAGAAUUGAAUUAAUAAUCUCUACUCCUAAAGUAUCAGUUGGUCGUCUCUGUUCAUCGGUUAAUUUUCGUCCCACCAACACUGAUUUUUUUUCGUGCUCCCUCCCACCCAACCCCCGGGACAUCGAACAAAAAAAAGGGCUGGCUUAGCUAUGCCCCCACGAAGUCAAGGGGCCAAACCUCCGAUCGAAACAGAGAGAACCGGAUGAAAGAAAAUCUACGAAAAAAGACCUACGAAAUUAAACCAGCGAAAAAAACGAACCGCACGCAGGUAUACGAGCGAUUCCUCCUUCCUUCGAACCACUCGCAUGCUCGAUCCCUUCGUCGCCGCCGCUCCAUCCCUUCGCCCCCACCGCUCGAUCCCUUCGCCGCCGCCCUCGCACAUCAAAGCCGCCACCGAUAUGCCCUGUCGGAUCUCGCCUCAACCCCGCCGUCUUGUGAUACGGAGUUCACAGCCUCUGCCGCCGAUGUCUUCGCACGCGUUAGGGUUCCUGCGUCGCCGCCACACAGGAGCUCGUCGACCAGCCCAGCGUGCUGCUGCUCCGCGCUCGCUUCCCUCGUCGGUCGCCUUUGGAACCCUCGCUUCGGACUCCGCGCCAAGCCGUCGCCUCUUCGCCGAGAAAGAGGGCUCCCGAUCUCCGCCGUGGUCGACCAUCAGCGCGACGGGCAGAGCAACCAGCCCGUAGGCUCAUCCCCUUCUUGGAUCCACUCCGGCAGCGGCCAUCGUUGGUACGUUCCGCUCGUGAUAUAUUGGUGUAGGAUCAUCCCCUUCUCUUUAUCUAAAAAGGCUAUUCUACAUACGCCGAGGAGAAGAUGCUCACCUUCUCGCCCCUGUUGGAAAUAUGCCCUAGAGGCAAUAAUGAAUUGCUUAUUAUUAUAUUUCCUUGUUCAUGAUAAUCGUUUAUUGUCCAUGCUAUAAUUGUAUUGAUAGGAAACAUAGAUACAUGUGUGGAUACAUAGACAACACCAUGUCCCUAGUAAGCCUCUAGUUGACUAGCUCGUUGAUCAAUAGAUGGUUACGGUUUCCUGACCAUGGACAUUGGAUGUCGUUGAUAACGGGAUCACAUCAUUAGGAGAAUCAUGUGAUGGACAAGACCCAAUCAUAAGCCUAGCACAAAGAUCGUGUAGUUCGUAUGCUAAAGCUUUUCUAAUGUCAAGUAUCAUUUCCUUAGACCAUGAGAUUGUGCAACUCCCGGAUACCGUAGGAAUGCUUUGGAUGUGCCAAACGUCACAACAUAACUGGGUGGCUAUAAAGGUACACUACGGGUAUCUCCGAAAGUGUCUGUUGGGUUGGCACGAAUCGAGACUGGGAUUUGUCACUCCGUGUGACGGAGAGGUAUCUCUGGGCCCACUCGGUAGGACAUCAUCAUAUGCGCAAUGUGACCAAGGAGUUGAUCACGGGAUGAUGUGUUACGAAACAAGUAAAGAGACUUGCCUGUAACGAGAUUGAACAAGGUAUCGGAUACCGACGAUCGAAUCUCGGGCAAGUACAAUACCGCUAGACAAAGGGAAUUGAAUACGGGAUUGAUUAAAUCCUCGACAUCGUGGUUCAUCCGAUGAGAUCAUCGUGUAACAUGUGGGAGCCAACAUGGGUAUCCAGAUCCCGUUGUUGGUUAUUGACCGGAGAACGUCUCGGUCAUGUCUGCAUGAUUCCCGAACCCGUAGGGUCUACAUACUUAAGGUUCGAUGACGCUAGGGUUAUAAAGGAAGUUUGUAUGUGGUUACCGAAUGUUGUUCGGAGUCCCGGAUGAGAUCCCGGAUGUCACGAGGAGUUCCGGAAUGGUCCGGAGGUAAAGAUUUAUAUAUGGGAAGUCCUGUUUUGGUCACCGGAAAAGUUUCGGGUUUUAUCGGUAACGUACCGGGACCACCGGGAGGGUCCUGGGGGUCCACCAAGUGGGGCCACAAGCCCCGAAGGGUUGCAUGGGCCAAGUAUGGGAGGGGACCAGCCCCAGGUGGGCUGGUGCGCCCCCCACAAGGGCCCAAGGCACCUAAGGAGAGGAGAGGGGGCAAACCCUAAGGGCAGAUGGGCCUUAGGGCCCAUACCUGGUGCGCCUCCCUCUCCCCCUCCACCUGGCCGCCACCCAGAUGGGAUUGGGGCUGGCCGCCGCCCCUAGGGUGGAACCCUAGAGGGGGCACAGCCCCCUCCCUCUCCCCUAUAUAUAGAUGAGGUCUUUGGGGCUGCCAACACAAGAGUUUUGACCUCUCCCUGGCGCAGCCCUGCAUCUCUCUUUCCUACUCUCCCGCGGUGCUUGGCGAAGCCCUGCAGGAUUGCCACGCUCCUCCUCCACCACCAGGCCGUUGUGCUGCUGUUGGAUGGACUCUUCCUCAACCUCUCCCUCUCUCCUUGCUGGAUCAAGGCGUGGGAGACGUCACCGGGCUGUACGUGUGUUGAACGCGGAGGUGCCGUCCGUUCGGCACUAGGAUCUCAGGUGAUUUGGAUCACGACGAGUACGACUCCUUCAAUCCCGUUCUCUUGAACGCUUCCGCUUAGCGAUCUACAAGGGUAUGUAGAUGCACUCUCCUUCCCCUCGUUGCUGGUUUCUCCAUAGAUAGAUCUUGGUGACACGUAGGAAAAUUUUGAAUUUCUGCUAUGUUCCCCAACAGUGGCAUCAUGAGCUAGGUCUAUUGCGUAGAUUCUUUGCACGAGUAGAACACAAAGUAGUUGUGGGCGUUGAUUUUGUUCAAUAUGCUUACCGUUACUAGUCCAAUCUUGAUUCGGCAGCAUUGUGGGAUGAAGCAGCCCGGACCGACCUUACACGUACACUUACGUGAGACAGGUUCCACCGACUGACAUGCACUAGUUGCAUAAGGUGGCUAGCGGGUGCCAGUCUCUCCCACUUUAGUCGGAUCGGAUUCGAUGAAAAGGGUCCUUAUGAAGGGUAAAUAGCAAUUGACAUAUCACGUUGUGGUUUUGCGUAGGUAAGAACCGUUCUUGCUAGAAACCCACAGCAGCCACGUAAAACAUGCAAACAACAAUUAGAGGACGUCUAACUUGUUUUUGCAGGGUAUGCCAUGUGAUGUGAUAUGGCCAAAAGGAUGUGAUGAAUGAUAUAUGUGAUGUAUGAGAUUGAUCAUGUUCUUGUAAUAGGAAUCACGACUUGCAUGUUGAUGAGUAUGACAACCGGCAGGAGCCAUAGGAGUUGUCUUAAUUUAUUUAUGACCUGCGUGUCAACAUAAACGUCAUGUAAUUACUUUACUUUAUUGCUAACCGUUAGCUAUAGUAGUAGAAGUAAUAGUUGGCGAGACAACUUCAUGAAGACACGAUGAUGGAGAUCAUGGUGUCAUGCCGGUGACGAUGAUGAUCAUGGAGCCCCGAAGAUGGAGAUCAAAAGAAGCAAAGUGAUGAUGGCCAUAUCAUGUCACUAUUUGAUUGCAUGUGAUGUUUAUCAUGUUUUUGCAUCUUAUUUGCUUAGAACGACGGUAGUAAAUAAGAUGAUCCCUCAUUAAACUUUCGAGAAAGUGUUCCCCCUAACUGUGCACCGUUGCGAAAGUUCGUCGUUUCAAAGCACCAUGUGAUGAUCGGGUGUGAUAGAUUCUAACGUUCACAUACAACGGGUGUAAGACAGAUUUACACACGCGAAACACUUAGGUUGACUUGACGAGCCUAGCAUGUACAGACAUGGCCUCGGAACACAAAAGACCGAAAGGUCGAGCAUGAGUCGUAUGGUAGAUACGAUCAACAUGAAGAUGUUCACCGAUGAUGACUAGUCCGUCUCAUGUGAUGAUCGGACACGGCCUAGUUGACUCGGAUCACGUAAUCACUUAGAUGACUAGAGGGAUGUCUAUCUGAGUGGGAGUUCAUAAGAUGAACUUAAUUAUCCUGAACAUAGUCAAAAGGACUUCGCAAAUUAUGUCAUAGCUCGCGCUUCAGUUCUACUGUUUAGAUACGUUCCUAGAGAAAAGAUAGUUGAAAGUUGAUAGUAGCAAUUAUACGGACUAGGUUCGUUAACUGAGGAUUGUCCUCGUUGCUUCGUAGAAGGCUCAUGUCCUUAAUGCACCGCUCAGUGUGCUGAACCUUGAACAUCGUCUGUGGGUGUUGCGAACAUCUAACAUACAUGUUUUGAUAACUACGUGAUAGUUCAGUUAAACGGUUUAGAGUUGAGGCACCAUAGACGAUUUCGAAACGUCGCGGAACAUAUGAGAUGUUUCGAGGGCUGAAAUUGGGAUUUCAGGCUCGUGCCCACGUCAAGAGGUAUAACACCUCCGACGAGUUUCUUAGCGUACAAACUAAGGGAGAAAAGCUCAAUCGUUGAGCUUGUGCUCAGAUUGUCUGAGUACCACAAUCACUUGGAUCGAGUGGGAGUUAAUCUUCCAGAUGAGAUAGUGAUGUUUUUCCAAAGACAUUAUCACCAAGCUGCUAGAGCUUCGUGAUGAACUAUAACAUAUCAGGGAUAGACAUGAUGAUCCUUGAAAUAUUCGCGAUGUUUGACACCGCGAAAGUAGAAAUCAAGAAGGAGCAUCAAUUGUUGAUGGUUAGUGAAACCACUAGUUUCAAGAAGGGCAAGGGCAAGAAGGGAUACUUCAUGAAACGGCAAAUCAGCUGCUGCUCUAGUGGAGAAACCCAAGGUUGAACCCAAACCCGAGACUAAGUGCUUCUGUAAUAAGAGGAACAGCCACUUGAGCAGAAUUACCCUAGAUACUUGGUAGAUGAGAAGGCUGUCGAUAGAAGUAUAUUGGAUAUACAUUAUGUUAAUGUGUACUUUACUAGUACUCCUAGUAGCACCAGGAUAUUAGAUACCGGUUCGGUUGCUAAGUGUUAGUAACUCGAAACAAAAGGCUACGGAAGAAACGGAGACUGGCUAAAAGGUGAGAUGACGAUAUGUGUUGGAAGUAUUUCCAAGGUUGAUCAAAUAUCGUACGCUCCCUCUACCAUCGAGAUUGGUAUUAAAACCUAAAUAAUUGUUAUUUUGUGUUUGUGUUGAGCAUAGACAUGAUUGGAUUAUGUCUAUCACAAUACGGGUAUUCAUUUAAGGAGAAUAAUUGUUACUCUGUUUAUUUGAAUAAUACCAUCCCAAUCGUAGUGAUACACAUUUUCAUGCCAAAGGUAUAAGAUAGUAAUGAUAGUACCACACAAUUGUGGCACUGCAAUUUUAGUCACAAUGGUAUAAAAUGCAUGAAGAAGCUCCAUGUUGAUGGAUCUUUGGACUCGCUUGAUUUUGAAUCACUUGAGACAUGCAAAUCAUACCACAUGAGCAAGAUGACUGAAAGGCCUCGUUUUCAGUAAGAUGGAACAAGAAAGCAACUUGUUGGAAGUAAUACAUCUUGAUGUGUGCAGUCCAAUGAGUGCUGAGGCAUGUAGUGAAUAUCGUUAUAUUCUUACUUCACAGAUGAUUUAAGUAGAUACUGAGUAUAUUUACUUGAUGAAACACAAGUCUGAAUUAUUGAAUGGUUCAAGUAAUUUCAGAGUGAAGUUGAAGAUCUUCGUGACAAGAGGAUAAAAUGUCUAUGAUAUGAUCAUAGAAAUGAAUAUCUGAGUUACGAGUUUGGCACACAAUUAAGACAUUGUGGAAAUUGUUUCACAACUAAUACCGCCUGGAACACCAUAGUGUGAUGGUGUGUCCGAACAUCAUAGUUGCACCCUAUUGGAUAUGGUGCGUACCAUGAUGUCUCUUAUCGAAUUACCACCAUCGUUCAUGGGUUAGGCAUUAGAGACAACCGCACUCACUUUAAUAGGGCACCACGUAAUUCUGCUGAGACGAAACCGUUUGAACUAUGGUUUGGAGAAACCUGAGUUAUCGUUUCUUAAAAGUUUGGGGCUGCGACGCCUAUGUGAAAAAGUUUCAGGUUGAUAAGCUCGAACCCAAAGCGGAUAAAAUGCAUCUUCAUAGGACACCAAAAACGGUUGGGUAUACCUCCUAAUUCAGAUCCGAAAGCAAUAGGGAUUGUUUCUAGAAUCGGGUCCUUUCUCGAGGAAAAGUUUCUCUCGAAAGAAUUGGGUGGGAGGAUGGUGGAGACUUGAUGAGGUUAUUGAACCGUCACUUCAACUAGUGUAUAGCAGGGCACAAAGAGUUGUUCCUGUGGCACCUACACCAAUUGAAGUAGAAGCUUAUGAUAUUGAUCAUGAGACUUCGGAUCAAGUCACUCCCAAACCUCGUAGGAUGACAAGGAUGCGUGCUAAUUUAGAGUGGUACGUAAUCCUGUCAUGGAAGUCAUGCUGCUAGACAACAAUGAACCUACGAGCUAUGGAGAAGCGAUGGUGGGCCCGGAUUCCGAUAAAUGGCUCGAGGCCAUAAAAUCCGAGAGAGGAUCCAUGUAUGAAAACAAAGUGUAGACUUUGGCAGAACGACUCGAUGGUCGUAAGGCUGUUGAGUACAGAUGGAUUUUAAAAGGAAGACAGACAAUGAUGGUAAGUGUUACCAUUGAGAAAGCUCGACUUGUCAUUAAUAUGUUUCCCGACAAGUUCAAGGAGUUGACUGCGAUGAGACUUUCUCACACGUAGCGAUGCUAAAAGUCUGUUGGAAUUAUGUUAGCAGUUACUGCAUUGUUUAUGAAAUCUUGCAGAUACGAUGUCAAAAUAUUGUUUCCUUGAUGAUUUUCUUGAGGAAAGGUUGUAUGUGAUACAACCAGAAGGUUUUGGCAGUCCUGAAAAUGCUAACAAGUAUGCAAAGCUCCAGCAAUCCUUCUAAGGACUGGAGUAAGCAUCUCGGAGUUGGAAUGUACGCUUUGAUGAGAUGAUCAAAGCUUUUGGGUUUAUACAAAGUUUAUGAGAAACUUGUAUUUCCAAAGAAGUGAGUGGGAGCACUAUAGAAUUUAUGAUGAGUAUAUGUUGUUGACAUAUUGUUGAUCGGAAAUGAUAUAGAAUUUCUGGAAAGCAUGCAGAGUUGUUUGAAAAGUGUUUUCAAUGAAAAACUGGAUUAGGCUACUUGAACAUUGAGCAUCAGGAUCUAUAAGGAUAGAUCAAAAACCGCUUAAUGGUACUUUCAAAUGAGCACAUACCUUGACAUGAUCUUGAAGGUGUUCAAGAUGGGUCAGCCAAAGAAGGAGUUCUUGCCUGAGUUGUAAGGUAUGAAGUUAAGACUUAAAGCUCGACCACAGCAGGAGAAAGAGGAUGGACGAAGGUCGUCCCCUAUGCUAUUGUCAUAGACUCUAUACGGUAUGCCAUGCUGAGUACCGCACCUGAUGUGUGCCUUGCCACAUGUCUGGCAAGAGGGUACAAAGGUGAUCUAGGAGUAGAUCACCAGAUAGCGGUCAAAAUUAUCCUUAGAGUAAUAAGGAUAUGUUUCUCGGUUAUGGAGGUGAUAAAGAGUUCGACGUAAAGAGUUACAUCGAUGCAAGCUUAACACCUAUCCGGAUAGCUCCGAGUAGAGAUACCGGAUACGUAUAAUGGAGCAACAGUUUGGAAUAGCUCCAAGUAGAACAGUUAUUUCAAAUGGCUCCAAAUAUAGCGUAGAGAUUUGCGAGGUACAUACGGAUCUGAAUGUUGCAGACCCGUUGACUAAAACCUCUCUCACAAGCAACAUGAUCAAACCUAGAACUCAUUGAGUGCUAAUCACAUAGUGAUGUGAACUAGAUUAUUGACUCUAGUAAACUCUUUGUAUGUUGGUCACAUGGCGAUGUGACCUGUGAGUGUUAAUCACAUGGAGAUGUGAACUAGAUUAUUAACUCUAGUGCAAGUGGGAGACUGUUGGAAAUAUGCCCUAGAGGCAAUAAUAAAUUGGUUAUUAUUAUAUUUCCUUGUUCAUGAUAAUCAUUUAUUAUCCAUGCUAUAAUUGUAUUGAUAGGAAACACAGAUACAUGUGUGGAUACAUAGACAACACCAUGGCCCUAGUAAGCCUCUUGUUGACUAGCUCGUUAAUCAAUAGAUGGUUACAGUUUCCUGACCAUGGACAUUGGAUGUCGUUGAUAACGGGAUCACAUCAUUAGGAGAAUCAUGUGAUGGACAAGACCCAAUCAUAAGGCUAGCACAAAGAUCGUGUAGUUCGUAUGCUAAAGCUUUUCUCAUGUCAAGUAUCAUUUCCUUAGACCAUGAGAUCGUACAACUCCCGGAUACCGUAGGAAUGCUUUGGGUGUGCCAAACGUCACAACGUAACUGGGUGGCUAUAAAGGUACACUACGGGUAUCUCCGAAAGUGUCUGUUGGGUUGGCACGAAUCGAGACUGGGAUUUGUCACUCCGUGUGAUGGAGAGGUAUCUCUGGGCCCACUCGGUAGGACAUCAUCAUAUGCACAAUGUGACCAAGGAGUUGAUCACGGGAUGAUGUGUUACGAAACAAGUAAAGAGACUUGCCGGUAACGAGAUUGAACAAGGUAUCAGAUACCGACGAUCGAAUCUCGGGAAAGUACAAUACCGCUAGACAAAGGGAAUUGAAUACGGGAUUGAUUAAAUCCUCGACAUCGUGGUUCAUCCGAUGAGAUCAUCGUGGAACAUGUGGGAGCCAACAUGGGUAUCCAGAUCCCACUGUUGGUUAUUGACCGGAGAACGUCUCGGUCAUGUCUGCAUGAUUCCCGAACCCGUAGGGUAUACACACUUAAGGUUCGAUGACGCUAGGGUUAUAAAGGAAGUUUGUAUGUGGUUACCGAAUGUUGUUCGGAGUCCCGGAUGAGAUCUCGGACGUCACGAGGAGUUCCGGAAUGGUCCGGAGGUAAAGAUUUAUAUAUGGGAAGUCCUGUUCUGGUCACCGGAAAAGUUUCGACUUUUAUCGGUAACGUACCGGGACCACCGGGAGGGUCCCGGGGGUCCAUCAAGUGGGGCCACAAGCCCCGAAGGGUUGCAUGGGCCAAGUAUGGGAGGGGACCAGCCCCAGGUGGGCUGGUGCGCCCCCCCACAAGGGCCCAAGGCGCCUAAGGAGAGGAGAGGGGGCAAACCCUAAGGGCAGAUGGGCCUUAGGGCCCAUACCUGGUGCGCCUCCCUCUCCCCCUCCACCUGGCCGCCACCCAGAUGGGAUUGGGGCUGGCCACCGCCCCUAGGGUGGAACCCUAGAGGGGGCGCAGCCCCCUCCCUCUCCCCUAUAUAUAGUUGAGGUCUUUGGGGCUGCCAACACAAGAGUUUUGACCUCUCCCUGGCGCAGCCCUGCAUCUCUCUUUCCUCCUCUCCCGCGGUGCUUGACGAAGCCCUGCAGGAUUGCCACGCUCCUCCACCACCACCACGCCGUCGUGCUGCUGUUGGAUGGACUCUUCCUCAACCUCUCCCUCUCUCCUUGCUGGAUCAAGGCGUGGGAGACGUCACCGGGCUGUACGUGUGUUGAACGUGGAGGUGCCGUCCGUUCGGCACUAGGAUCUCAGGUGAUUUGGAUCACGACGAGUACGACUCCUUCAACCCCGUUCUCUUGAACGCUUCCGCUUAGCGAUCUACAAGGGUAUGUAGAUGCACUCUCCUUCCCCUCGUUGCUGGUUUCUCCAUAGAUAGAUCUUGGUGACACGUAGGAAAAUUUUGAAUUUCUGCUAUGUUCCCCAACAGCCCCUCCCCCUACCGUGAUGUACGUGGAUGAAUCCGACGGCAACAAGGACGACCUCGUAGGAUCCAGCCACGGUUGUGCGGAAUUUCACGGGGAUGAAUCUACCCGGCCUCUCGUCCUAUCUGCCGCCGGUAGAGGCAUCCAUGUCUGAUGGUGUGAAUUUUGGCUGGUUCCAUGAGCACUUCGUUCCCUGCCGUGUAGUCUUCGUUGAUUCGGAAAGAUGGUGGUUGUCUGUUUAGCCAUUUCAAUCUGCUAUUGAUCAUGCUCAUUCUUGUUAUAUUCAGUUAUAUUGGAAACACCAUCUGAUUCAGUUAUAUUCUUGAUCAUGCUCAUCCUCAUCCUUAUUCAAAUAAGAAUACUUCUGUUUGGAGAGCUCGGGCGUCAGCUGUGUGGAAGCACCAGCUGAUUUGUAACUGGUCGGAAGGUGAGCUUCUCAUACUCGCUGCCGUCGAAGCACGACACCUCGCCGCCACUUAUGUUGCGUGUUGUUGUGCUGUAGGUCCUUGGGGUUGGGUGUGGCAACUCGCGACUCGAAGACAUUUCGUGCAUGUGCUCCCCUGCGCUUGGUGACCAAUACAUCUACUCCGUCGUGAACAUGUGCUUCGUGUCAUACAGGUCGCCGCCAAGGGUGAGCUCGUGCAGCGGUACAGGUAUAGAUGUGCAUCCCAUAAGGGCAGCUACAUUUUCUUUCAUAAAGUUAUUUGUGUGAGUGCCCUGCAUAUUGAAGUAAACUGGAUCGGCUAAUCUUGAGUUCCUCCACCAAGUUAUAUUACUUCGACAAGAAAAAGUGCAGAAAGACCAUAUAAAGUACUCUGGUGACUCUCUCAAUUGAACUAGAAUUUUUUUAGAUGCGUGAAACAUGCACAACGAUUUGCUCUAUUGAGUCUAUGUAUGUUGAACUAGCACUCGAAUUAUAGCUCAUGCCGGUAUACUAAUUUUCUCUUUCUCAUAUCAGCUCUCCUUCUUUUUGUCCAUUUUUCUUCACUACUACCUGAAGGAAACUGUACUGGAUAGCAGCCUAUCAUAUAUAGUUACAUGUACCGAGUGAUUUAGCUUCAUUUUAAUGAUACUGUCAACAACUAACUACUGCUGCGACAUAUUUGAUGCAACCUGUAAAAUAUUUUUUGUUUAAUUUCAGCAUAUCAUUUAUAUACUGAAGUCUCUUCUGGACAUGUUGUCUAAUUGCGUCAUGUAUGUUAGAUAUUUGUUCUAUAAUACUUGCCAUUGACUAUUUUUCUUUUAUUUAGGUUAUGUGCAUUAUUGAUCAGCCAAUCUUGAGAGAGAGAUGGGUUGGCGUGAAUGGGAAGAAAACUACAUUGAAUGGACAAGAAGUAUGCCCUCAACUUUUUCAUGGUAUGUCUUACUUAUUGUUCUUGUGAUUUUUCCAUCAGUUUCACUUUACAUUUCUUCUUUGCUUUUUCAUGGCAUCGGGAUGCCCACUGCCGACGGCGCUGCGUUGCUACCAAAGGGGCACCCUGCCGCGGCCAGGGACUCGCUGCCGUCGAAGCACGACACCUUGCCGUCACGUAUGUUGGGUGUUGUGGUGCUGCAGGUCCUUGGGGUUGGGUGCGGCAACUCGAGACUCGAAGACGAUCUUCUGCGGUAGGGCGUCGCCGGCGGCGGUGGCACCUGUAUAGACCGUCUCGGUGUGACAGAAGAGUUCGGAGUUCACUCCGAGAAAGAAUUGCUUUGCAUGUACAUUUGCUGAAAGACUGAUGUGCUGAACUUUCGAUGAUUUCGAUUGGUCUCUAACAUAACCUUUCCUCUUUUUGUUGAUAUGUCCAAAAGAGAUCCUUAUUUCACCUUUUGUUUAUAGGUAUUCAACUUGAGGAAUUUCAUACUUUUGGAGUGGAGCUAUCAAAUAUAUGUGUGCUCGAUGUUGGUGUUUUAAUCCGGAUCUCUCGCUGAAGGUGCUCGAUGUUGGUGUUUGAAUACUGCUACCGUACUUCAAGGUCUGUAGCAGCUCUUACAAUGGAUUCUUUUUAAUGAUAGUACAAUUUAUUUUUGUUUCGAUUUGGUAUUGUUGUUUUGUUCACUUAACCCAGUCUGUAGCAGCAGCUUUUCAUGUCGUUUCCUCGCCAACAAAUGUCAUAAUUUAUCACAUACGUGUGCAAAUGGUUUUUUGGCUAUAGUAUGAGUAUAUGGUUCAGAGAAGUUCGGUCAGAUGCAAAGCAUGCUUAGCAUCUCAUAGUCGUAGGCUAUUCCUUUUAAAAUUGAAGCCAUCCAGGUUUUCAAUUAUGGAGAUGAUUUGGAAACUCAGCAUAGAAAAUUAUUUACUCUAAUGCAAAUUACACAUAUUAAGGCCUUUAUUCUUUUAUAUUAAGGUCUCCAGUGCAAGCAUUAGCCCAUCUUUAGCUGCUCAUAAGCAGUAUCAGUGAUAUAUAUAUAUAUAUAAGUACACUCUUGCUAAGAUUAAUCUUUGAUAUAUAUAAUUCAUUGCCUGGAUAUAGUUUGCUUUGAAUGUUUUUUUGCUCUUUAGUCUAUGAAGAAUUGCAAGGAGGAGGAUAAUAGAGCAGCAACCAGAGCUGACAAUUGGCCUGUAAAUGCUGCAAAGUUCUCCUAAAGGUGUGAUGUUGGUGGUGAUUUUCUUAUCCGGGGAUAUGGAUGUGGCGGGUCUGUGGGCACCAUGCUGACGCGGAGAAGGAGGUGCAGGUAGCGGGGGCGCUUGAGGUGAGGUGGCUGCAGGGUCGCUCGAGAAGAAUAGGCUCAUCAGCAACACCUGGAUGCCUUCGUCAUCAGCAAUGUGGACAAGGUGCAAAAGGGAUAUCGCCCUUACCUCUUAUUCAGUCUGGAAAAUUAUGCAAUGUUUGGUUUGGUAGAUUUAACAGUCGCUGGUUCGGAAAUUUGUUACCUAUAGAAGUAUAGGAAUAACAUGACUAAUAUUUAUUGAAUUUAUAGAGUUAUUGUUUUUUUCUACAAAGUCAGUUGUUAAAUUAGGAAGAACAUCGUCUAAAAUCUUGACAACAUAAAGGAGCAUAGAGUUAAUAGAUUAUGAAAUCCUGUAGUGCAUCAGAUGCACCCUUCACUAAUUUUUGAACACAUUUAUAUUAUCCAGGUUCCGACCUCAUUCGUUGUGAUGUUUGUCUUUUUUAUGUGGGCGAGGAAAACAUUUUUAGGAGUGAUACUCCCAAACUUUGAUUUCUUGGUUGUCGAAUCAUGGUGCUGAUUAGAUUUUACUUAACCUUAAUUAAUCUAUUUAUAUUGUGGCUUUGUCUUUUAGCUCAUCUUUUAGUUUCUCUUCUCCACUUAACACAAGAUUUUAUUGUAGGCUACCAAGUACAAUUAUACCACUUAUACUCUUUCUAUCUGAUUAUGCAAAGCUUGAUCUAUACUCAUUGAACUUUGUUAGAUAGUAGGCCCUCCUAUUAGUGUGCCUAAAUAUAAUUGUUUCUCUGUGUUUAUAGUAUCUUAGUCCAGUAGAAUGAAUGUUCUCGAGUAAUUAGAGGUAUUUGGAUCAAGUGAAUGUCUGAAUACCACUAAAAUCGAAAUCAUAAUGCUUAUCAUUGGUCAGCACCACCACCUACUCUGAAUCUCUGAUCAGAAUAGUACGAACUAUUAAAUUGGGAACUUAAUGCUUAUCAUUGUUGAUGUACAUAUGUACAACUAACAAUGUUUGUGCUGCAACCAGCUUACUUUAUUCCUUGCUGAAAUUUAUCUUGACUUAUUUCACAUCAGAUAGUUCUGAACCUAGAUGAUCUCAAUUAAGGUCAUUGAAAUUUGUUAAAUUAUUUUUAUCCACUCUUCUGAACGAGCGUAUACUAUGAUCUGAUUUGUAUAUCAUAUUACUGAGGCAGCGCUGGGCCAUGCUGUGGUGAGAACAUACGAGAGAUAAUUGGGGUGUGUGGCUGAUUGCUUCAUAUGCUGCUAAUGAUAUAUGUAGACUGCUGAUUGCUCCUGAUAUACAGUGUCGAUUGCAGCUGAUAGUAGGAUUGUACUCAAUUUGAUAGGUAAAGUGGGAUGGCGGGAUUGUAUAGUGCUCAUAAGCCAGUCCGGGCAUUGUCCUUCCUCGAAUGAAUAUGAGACUACUCCUCAUAUGUUAAUCAGUUGCUCCUCCCUAGCUUUGGUUUGGUCUGAACUUCAAAGUUUUCAUCCACUCAAUGUUGAUUCAGUCAAAGAUCUCUUGGAAAAAUUAUUUCGACAAGAUUCACUCUAUAAUGUUGUUAUCAUUGUCCUCUGGAAUAUAUGGAAGUGCAAAAACUCCAAGGUCUCCCGGGAUGUUUUUGAGGAAUUGCACAUUACUGCUAGCAAGAUUGCUGAUGAUUGAUACCAUGGUCCAACAGGUAUUCACAUGAAAUUAAUAAAUGGCACCUUACGGAUUGGAGUACUCUACUGUAUCACCUAUCUGGGAGAUUUUAAUUUUUUCCUUCUAUUAUUUCUCUUAAUCCCUGUGCACUCAUCGGACUUUGUAUAGUUCUCAGUUUUAUGAAGUGGUUCAGGCUGGCGUAAGCCGCCAUAGUCCCAGUAAAAAAAAGGCUACAAGCUUCGCUUCGGCCUUUUGGAACUGAAUAUUAUGUAGUUUUAUUGAGAUUAUUGAUAGUGCUUCUCUACUAUCAAAGAAGGUAAUAGUCUCUUAUGUGUUUCUUUUUGUCCAUUUGAAUGCACUCCAUUUUUUAGUGUAUUAAUUAACAUCAAACCUCCCAUUCUUUCUAGAGUGCUGAUGUAUUAUUAUUUUCAGCUUAACACAUUUAACUUCCUAUAGAUUUCAUGGUUUAUGCAGAUUAACCGAGCUAAGAUUUUUUGUGAAGCUAAAGCUGGUGUUAAGAUGAACGCCGCUAUGUAUAUAUUUGAAACAGUUAGAUACAUGCUUGACAGACUAUAUAGGGGUGAUCAAAACCAUGCAAAGCAUUAUGGGACAAGUUUCUCUACCUUAAAUAAGUGUUCAUUCUCUCGUGUUUACUAUUCGUUUAAGGGUCAUCAACCCGUGUAUUUAUUUUCAUUGAGCAAGUUUUACAUUUUUCUUCAGUGGUGUUCAUUGUGCAGUUCUAGAUUUUUAAGAGAGUAGAGUUUAUUGAUUUAUUACAUGGAGAGACCAGUAGUGUCGUAGUGGUCUUGACAUAAUUACUAACAUUUUCUACUAGAAAAAGUUUAAUUGCACUAAAUACAAAUUAGAACAUGCAUAGACAUUUAUCUUCUUUCUACAGAAUGGUUAGUGUAAACGUACUUUAAGUUGUACAUGAUUCUGUAUCUGACCAUUUUAUCUCAUAUGUUGAUGUGGUUGCAGAUAUGAACUUCAAAUUAUCCUGCAAUGUAUUGACUGCUCGGAGCUAACUUGACUACGCCAGUUUUCUUUUAUGGCUCAAAGUAGUUAGUGUCCCCCCUUAUUAUGAGAGAGGUACUACUUCAAACAUCUCUUCUUAAUGUUUUAUGUCAUGGCAUACAGUAUGAGGGAGUGUUAGUUGGCUUGACUUUCGUGGCACUCAUUGAUAACCUUUCAGUUUAGGAGUUUUUGUGGCCUCUUAAUCCAUGAGAGUAUGCUCAUGUUGAAGAAGUUAGUCAUAAUGAGGGGCACCAUAAAUGUUUGUUAUCUGGCACAAAUUCCUAAUGAAUAUCACAUGUGAACCUUUUACUGUUGUGUUAUUCAAAUUUCAUUGUACUAUUCAUACAGUAAAAUAUGAGUGCCAUGUCAGAAUAUGGUUCUCGAUCUGAAAGAUCAUAUUCAAAAUUACAGGUUCUAUGGCAGUGCACUGGUAGAAAAAGAGGCUUCCGUCCAGCCCCAUUAGUCGCGAAACUGUAGGAACCGCGACCAAUGAAGUCUUUAGUCGCGGUUCGACAGACGAACCGCGACCAAAUGCCUGGGCCCAGGGCGCUCGGUGGCCAGCUGGUGCACGUGAGGGGCUUUAGUCGCGGUUGGCCAGGCCAACCGCGACUAAAGCUCCUCCCCUAUAUAUACCAGUUCAGCACACUCACUUAGCCAUUUGGUGCCACUUCUCUUCGCAAGCUUCACAAGGGGGUGUAGGUUUGCUUUUGGUUCCUCUUAUGCACACAAGGUGUUUGAUGAAAUGCCCCAAGAGCGUGAAACAAACAUGAUAUGAAGUGUUGGAGCCACACUUGAGGUUCCUCAUUUAUUUUUUCCUCCUCGAUCGCGGUUAGCAACUUGAACCUUUCAUGCAUGUGUGUCAUUGAUAAAAUAUGCAUGUGUGUUGUUCAUUGUUUAAUUUCUAUUGUUUAUAGCUAGUUAGUUUAACAAAUGCAUGAUGGUUAAUUAUAUAUUUUAUAUUAUAAUAAUGCAGAUGAAUCGGCAAUGGAUGUACGGUAACCGACUCUCCCGCGAGUUCACUACGGGUUUGAAAGAUUUCCUCGUAGUGGCUAAUGCGAACAAGCAGAAGGGUUUUGUUAUCUGUCCAUGUGUUGACUGUAAGAAUCAGAAGGGUUACUCUUCCUCAAGAGAAGUUCACUUGCACCUGCUUCGGCACGGUUUCAUGCCAAGCUAUAAUUGUUGGACCAAGCAUGGAGAAAGAGGGGUUAUAAUGGAAGAAGAUGAAGAAGGGGAUGAUUUCAUCGAUGAAAGCUAUCUUGCUCAUUUCGGUGAUACUUUCAUGGAGGAUGCUGAAGGUGAAGGGGAAGGUGAAGGUGAAGAAGAGGCACGUGAUGAGACCGUUGAUGAUCUUGGUCGGACCAUUGCUGAUGCACGGAGACGCUGCAAAACUGAAAAGGAGAGGGAGAAUUUGGAUCGCAUGUUAGAGGAUCACAGAAAGUCGUUGUACCCCGGAUGCGAUGAUGGUCUGAAAAAGCUGGGCUGCACACUGGAUUUGCUGAAAUGGAAGGCACAGGCAGGUGUAGCUGACUCGGCAUUUGAAAACUUGCUGAAAAUAUUGAAGAAUAUGUUUCCAAAGAAUAACGAGUUGCCCACCAGUACGUACGAAGCAAAGAAGGUUGUCUGCCCUCUAGGUUUAGAGGUUCUGAAGAUACAUGCAUGCAUCAACGACUGCAUCCUCUACCGCGGUGAAUACGAGAAUUUGAAUGAAUGCCCGGUAUGCACUACAUUGCGUUAUAAGAUCAGAGGCGAUGACCCUGGUGACGAUGUUGAGGGCGAGAAACCCAGGAAGAGGGUUCCCGCCAAGGUGAUGUGGUAUGCUCCUAUAAUACCACGGUUGAAACGUCUGUUCAGGAACAAAGAGCAUGCCAAGUUGUUGCGAUGGCACAAAGAGGACCGUAAGUCGGACGGGGAGUUGAGACACACCGCAGAUGGAACGCAAUGGAGAAAGAUCGACAGAGAGUUCAAAGAUUUUGCAGCUGACGCAAGGAACAUAAGAUUUGGUCUAAGUACAGAUGGCAUGAAUCCUUUUGGCGAGCAGAGCUCCAGCCAUAGCACCUGGCCCGUGACUCUAUGCAUCUACAACCUUCCUCCUUGGUUGUGCAUGAAGCGAAAGUUCAUUAUGAUGCCAGUGCUCAUCCAAGGUCCGAAGCAACCCGGCAACGACAUCGAUGUGUACCUAAGGCCAUUAGUUGAUGAACUUUUACAGCUGUGGGGCAGACCUGGUGUCCGUGUGUGGGAUGAGCACAAAGAAGAGGAAUUUGUCCUACGAGCGUUGCUUUUCGUAACCAUCAACGAUUGGCCUGCUCUUAGUAACCUUUCGGGACUGUCAAAUAAGGGAUACAAUGCAUGCACGCACUGCUUACAUGAGACUGAAAGUGUACAUUUUCCAAAUUGUAAGAAGAACGUGUACCUUGGGCAUCGUCGAUUUCUUCUGAAAAUUCAUCCAGUAAGAAAGAAAGGCAAGCAUUACAACGGCAAGGCAGAUCACCGGCCGAAGCCUGCGGAACGCACUGGUGAUGAGGUAUUUGAUAUGGUCAAGGAUUUGAAAGUCAUCUUUGGAAAGGGUCCUGGCGGACAAUCAGUUCCGAAGGGAGCUGACGGGCACGCAGCCAUGUGGAAGAAGAAAUCUAUAUUCUGGGAGCUAGAAUAUUGGAAAGUCCUAGAAGUCCGCUCUGCAAUCGACGUGAUGCACGUUACGAAGAAUAUUUGCGUGAACCUCCUAAGCUUUUUGGGCGUGUAUGGAAAGACAAAUGAUACAAAGGAAGCACGGCAGGACCAGCAACGUUUGAAAGACCCUGAUGACCGGCAUCCGGAAUGGUUUCAAGGUCGUGCCAGCUACGCUCUGACCAAAGAAGAGAAGGUCAUCUUUUUUGAAUGCCUGAGCAGUAUGAAGGUCCCGUCUGGAUUCUCGUCCAAUAUAAAGGGAAUAAUAAACAUGGCGGAGAAAAAGUUCCAAAACCUGAAGUCUCACGACUGCCACGUGAUUAUGACGCAAUUGCUUCCGAUUGCUUUGAGGGGGCUCCUGCCGGAAAAUGUUCGAGUAGCCAUUGUGAAGCUAUGUGCAUUCCUCAAUGCAAUCUCUCAGAAGGUAAUCAAUCCAGAAGUUCUACCACGGUUACAGAACGAUGUGAUCCAAUGUCUUGUCAGUUUCGAGUUGGUGUUCCCGCCAUCCUUCUUCAAUAUUAUGAUGCACCUCCUGGUUCACCUAGUCGAAGAGAUUUUCAUUCUCGGUCCUGUAUUUCUACACAAUAUGUUCCCCUUCGAGAGGUUCAUGGGAGUAUUAAAGAAAUAUGUUCGUAACCGUGCUAGGCCAGAAGGAAGCAUCGCCAAGGGCUAUGGAAAUGAGGAGGUAAUUGAGUUUUGUGUUGACUUUGUUCCUGACCUUAAGCCGAUUGGUCUUCCUCGAUCGCGGCAUGAGGGGAGACUAAGUGGAAAAGGCACGAUCGGAAGAAAAUCAACGAUAUGUAUGGACGUCCAUUCUCUGACUGAAGCACACCACACUGUACUGACCAAUUCCAUCUUGGUGGCUCCGUACUUUGAGAAACACAAGAAUAUUUUACGCUCGGACAACCCGGGGAAGCCUGAAUCCUGGAUUAGGAAGGCCCACAUGGAGACUUUCGGCAGUUGGUUGAGAAAACAUUUAAUGAAUGACAAUGAUGUUGUAGAUCAGCUGUACAUGUUGGCCAAGACACCAUCUUCGACUAUAAUGACUUUCCAAGGGUACGAGAUAAAUGGGAAUACAUUUUACACGAUCUCCCAAGAUAAAAAGAGCACCAACCAAAACAGUGGUGUCCGCUUUGAUGCAGCAACCGAGAAUGGGCAAAAGGUCACAUAUUAUGGUUACAUAGAGGAGAUAUGGGAACUUGACUAUGGACCCUCCUUUAAGGUCCCUUUGUUCCGGUGCAAAUGGUUCAAGCUAACAGGAGGUGGGGUAAAGGUGGACCAGCAAUACGGAAUGACAAUGGUGGAUUUCAAUAAUCUUGGUUACCUUGACGAACCAUUCGUCCUAGCGAAAGAUGUCGCUCAGGUUUUCUAUGUGAAGGACAUGAGUAGCAAACCGAGGAAACGGAAAGAUAAGAAAACGAUCAGUACAUCAUGCGAUGAUCCAAAGCGCCACAUUGUUCUUUCAGGGAAAAGAAACAUCGUGGGAGUGGAGGACAAGACAGACAUGUCAGAAGAUUAUAAUAUGUUUGCUGAAAUUCCGCCCUUCAAAGUGAACACCGACCCAAGCAUUAAGUUAAAUGAUGAGGAUGCUCCAUGGAUACGGCACAAUCGUAAGCAAGAAGGGACACAAGGGAAGAAAUGAUGUGUAAUAAUUUAUUACCCGUGAUGUGUUUGGUGUCCAUUUUCGAAUGAUUCGAGAUACCACUGAUGAUACAUGAAAUUUGGAGUGAUUUAGUCAUACUCCUGCCUAGGCGUAUAAUAUGCAUACUCGUAGUCUUCAUAGCCGCCGUCGUCGUCGUUCCUGUCGUCGCCUUCUAAGUUGCCGCCGUCGUCAUCGCUGCUGUCGUCGCUGUCGUCGGGCGGCGCUCGUGGCUCGAACUGAGGGUAGCGCAGGCGGGGGAUAUCGCCGGCCGUGAUGUAGUCCAUGACGCUCUGCAGAGUCCGGCCGUACCACCAUAGCCGACGGCCGGCCUCGUGGAAGUUCCCAGGAGGCAGACCGUCCUCCUCAUACCUGGCGAGCGCCCUCUCACGCCGAUUAAUGAAGAAGGCGUCCCAAGUAUGCUGGUUAUCGGGAUGCCAGCGGGGAUUCAUCCGCUGCUCCGGCGUGAGGUCGAGGUAGUAGUGGUUCGUGAUGGCCGCCCGGCACGCAGUACCCUGAGGGACGGGAGGGACCGGCACGCCGCCGGCGCUUAGGCUCCAGCCGGUGGGGACGCGGUAGCCCGGUGGACAAGGGUAGUUCGAGGCGCAAAGCUCCUCCACCUGCUGGUAGGUUAGAGUGGGUGCGGUGGAAGCCAUGAGAGAGUGAUGAGAGAUUGUAGAGAUGUGAUAAUGCUGGCCAAGACGGGCUACAUAUAUGUAGUGAGAAAUGGCGGGAAAAAUGGGAGCGGGAAGACAGGAGGCGGGAAGAAAGUGGCGGGAAGAAAGAGGCGGGAAGACAAGGAAGAAAUGGCGGGAAGAAGAUAAUAUUUGUGUUUUUAACAUAUUGAAUUGAAUUAGUUCUAUUUUUCUGAAUUUUUUGAUAUAUUAUUUGUAUUUUUAACAUAUUGAAUUGAAUUACUUUUAUNNNNNNNNNNCGCCGUCGCCCUCGCCCUCAACGCCGCCCGCCGCCGCCCGCCGCGCUGUCAGGCGACGACUCCGGCGCCUCGGCCGGGUAAUUAUCCUCAAGCGCCGUCUCCUCCAGGCCCCGUGCCGCGCGGCCCAUGGCGGCGCACGAGAGCAGCAGCACGGCCAAGAGAAGAAGCGCGGUGCAGCGGGCCUUCUCCGGUGAAGUGCCGCCACGGGAGAGGCUCACCGGAGCUCUCUCCGGCACCCGCCUACGGGUCCCAUCUGUCAUACACAUGAACACACUGCUGGGUGCACUUCCGUGUACCCAUAGCAGUUUCUGUAUUUAAUAAUUUGAAUUAAAUUAAAUCAGGAUAUUAGAAAAUGAACCAAAACUUUGAAAAUUAAUAGAAAAUAAACCGUAACUCGGAUGGGAAAACUCUGUACAUGAAAGUUGCUCAGAACGACGAGACGAAUCCGGAUACGCAGCCCGUUCGUCCAUCACGCAUCCCUAGCAUAGCGAACACGCAACUUUCCCCCUCCGACCCAUCUGUCUGAAAACGCGAAACACCGGGAAUACUUUCCCGGAUGUUUCCCCCCUUCACCGGUACCACCUCGUACCGCGUUAUGGUACACCUAGCAAAUAAAAAACUUGCCAUGAUGAAUUACUAAAAUUUGCCAUGAUCUAUCAAAUAAUUUUGACAUGAUUCAUAAGUAAAAAAAGAAAUAUGUCAUCAGUUAUUUUAACAAUGCAUGGUCACUGGCUCAAAUUUGGCAUGAACUAUAAACUAAAACUAUCAUGGUGAAUUACUUAAAUUUGCCAUGAUACAUGUACUAAAAUUUGCCAUGGUUCAUACAAAAAUGUGUAAACCCUCUCCCACCCCUUCCUCGCCCCCUUCUUUUGCCACCGCCCUUUCGCCACCGCCACCGCCACCGCCACCGCCCCCCUUCUUCACUUAAUUAAUUUGUUUUUACUACAUGUUUUCAGGACUGACAUAAUGGCGGACGAUAGAGCUGACCCGAUUAUGGACAACUAUGAUCCGGACGGUGAAGCACAUAUGUUCGGCAUCAUAAACGGCGAUAUUCUAUAUGUGCCGACCGGACAAGAAGAAGAUGAUAUCUCUUCUUAUCUGAACCUUGACGGUGAAGAUGAAGGGCGCCGUCAGCAAGAUGAUGCCGAACAAACGUCGAUAAACGACGAUCUUCAAAUGGAAGUAGCAACCACCUCCGGCGCCGAGGUAUAUAUAUACAUUGAGCCUCUGGUGAUACAAACUAACUGAUUUGAAUAAAUAUGUGUGUACUAACGUGCGCGACUCUCUUUCUUAUUUUAGCCCUCGGCCGGAUCGUCGAAACAAUCGAGUACAUCGUCAAAGCGUGGCGCAACCAAGACGAUGAAACAAGGAGAAACAUGCACCAUCGAGGUUGUCGACAGUGCAACCGGCAGGCCGCUGGAGCCCCGCAAGAACGCCACCAAGUUUGUCAACCAAUGCGGAGCCGUUGUUAGAGACAACGUCUCGAUCACCGUCCAGGAGUGGAAUAAGCCAAAGAAGGCACGAAUUGCUGGUUUCACUUUUGUCGAUAAGAGAACAAAAAAAGAUUGCUUCAAGAAGCUUAUGGAACAUUUCAUUCUACCUCCGGAAUACAACAAAUUCGAUGAGGAGGGUAACAAGAUUGAGGAAAACAAGGAGAGGAUGAGGCUAGUCAAACAGUUCGCUCUUCAUAAGAUGGCCGACGCAUUCCGGAAAUUCAAGCAAAAUCUAGCCCGUGACUUUGUCAAGCAGAACAAGACUCCGGAUUUCAAAGGACAAUAUGAGAAACUGAAACAUGAUUGGCCAGAAUUUGUGAAGCAAAAGAAAUCGGAGCAGUUCAUUCAAAUAUCAAAAAAAAUAAGGAAAAUGCGGCUAAGAAGGAGUACAAUCAUAUUAUGGGGCCAGGAGGGUAUCGCCUUUGGGUGCCUAGGUUGGAGAAGAUGGAGAACGAGCUGAGGGCGCGAGGAAUCCGUCCAGGUACGGAGGGAUGGGACCCAAGGGCCAAAAGCUGGUGGUACGGGCAUGGGGGAACGCUGAACCCGAAGACAGGGGAGUGUGUUUACCGGGGCAAAAUAAUUAAACCCACCCAAGCCCUUAUUGACGCAAUGAGGGAUGCUCAAGAGGGGAAGAUCAAGUUCAACAGAGAGAACGACGCGCUGACAAAAGCCCUCGGGAAUCCUGAACACGGAGGACGUGUACGAGGCAUGGGGCACAUUCCGUGGAAAAUAGGGUUCCCCCAGAACGAUGACCCGUACGGUUACAGAAGCCGUAAGAGAAAGAUGGAUCGGGAAGCAGAUGUUGUGGCGCGGUUGGCAUCGGAAAUGGAUGUGAUGAAGAAAACCGUGAGUGUACUAGUAGCCGAAAGAGAUGCAGCUCGGGCGCAGCAUGAAGAUCAUCUAGCGGAUCUCGGAAGCCAGCAGCGGAGAAGCAGCGUGGCUUCCUCGGAGGCCCCACCGGCUGGUGCAGAUGCACCGACGAUCGAAAUUACUGCACCGGAGCCUCUGGUGGUCGAAAUUACUGCAUCGGAGCCUCCUCGCUACCCCGUGGACGAUAUAAAGGAGAUGAAAGAAUGUCAUCUGUAUUAUCCUAUCGGGAACAUGUCCAUGAAGGUAGCCAUCGGCAGUGCUUUACCAUGUUUACCUGGAGCACUCCACCACAACAACCCCAUUCAAGAUGGCUAUGCUCGUGUCACGGUGGAGGACAUAGUCCAAGGGUUUGAGGACCUGGAGAUUGACAUUGCUACACCUGAAGGGGAGAAAAGACUUGGAGAUGUCAAGCGCCAUUUCAUUCUAUGGCAAAAGAAGUUUAUCAAGUUUCCAGGCGAGGCGCCAAGGACAACAAGUCCACCCCCCUACGGUGGUGGUGGUGGCGGUGGUGGUGGUGGUGGUGGUGGUGGCGGUUCACCUACACCUCCGUCACGUCAGUCGACGCCCCUCAGUCCACAACGUCCGGCGGGUGAUCAGACGCCGCCCCCCAGUCCUCGUCCGGCGGGUGAUCAGACGCCGCCCCCAGUCCUCGUCCGGUGGGUGAUCAGCCGACGCCCCCCAGUCCACAACGUCCGGCGGGUGAUCAGACGCCGCCCCCCAGUCCUCGUCCAGCGGGUGAUCAGACGCCGCCCCCCAAUCCACCUCCGGCAAAGAAGCAGAAGCAGUCCUGGAUUAUUAACCCGGACCCUUAUGUACCUAAGACCACAAAGGUACCGGAGCCAUCACUGAAGCCUCUCCCCACAAGGCCUUGGGAACGUAGUGCCGAGGAAACUGCCGCGGCCGCGGCUGCUGAUCAUGACAAAUGGAAGGCGGACUGCAAGAAGAAAAGAGAGCCCGAGCCCAAGCCAGUAUUUUCUGAUGAGCAAAAGAAGUGGGCUAAGUCAUUUUUGAGCACACCGUCCCAAGCCGCGAAGAAUCUGCCUGACGACUAUGCACGUGAACUUCGUAGGCAGGCACUCAUGUUGAAGGAGAAGAAAGAGCGGGCGGAGAACCAGGAGAACAAAGCCUUGGAGGAGGCCGAGAAAACGGAAUUAGAAAGUAAAAAAGCGGGAAACGAGUUGCCCAGCUCGGGGAACAAAGUAAACAAUCGAUUGCCCCGCUUAUAGUGAAAGCCGCCGGUCCGGAUGACCCCGAUAUCAUAGUAGCUGCGGCAGCACAUGGAUUGACUGUAACGAGUGCCAGAGAACAAGUGGCCAACUUAGGUAUUACUCUUCGUGAACUGUUAGGCCUUGAUGAGGCGCCAGUGAAGGAGGUAGUAAUUACAUAUGUGAAGAAUGGGCCUCUCGUCGAGCCUGCGCAGGAAAAGGAUCUACCUCCACAAAUGAAAGGUCUGCUGAAAUGGUACAAGGGUUACAUAAAAAAUAAAAACGCCAAAGAAUAUAUUUAUGCGGAAGUUAGAUAUGAGCAUCACUUCAAACAUUACUAUGUACAAAUUCUUCUGAGUGAAUUGUUCCAGCUUUUCAAUCUGCGCGAGCUCGACAAAUCUAUCAUCAGUUGCUACGUUCUGUAAGUGAUUUAUUUCUACCCCAUCUCGUUCAUAUUGCCUGCACUAUAUAUAUGUCCUAACUAUAUUGUUGUGUCCGCUAUUAUACAUGCAGAAUGAAGAUUAAGGAAUGCAGAGUAAGGAACAUCCAUGAUGUUGGGUUCAUUGACCCACACAUCGUUAAUGGAUAUGUGUUGGAGCAUCACCCCGCCGACAUGGAGGCAGACCUGUGGCAGUUUCUUACAAAGCAGGAACUCAAAAGUGAUAUUCUAUUUCCUUACCAUUUUGGGUGAGUGUUUCUGUCUUGAGCACAUUCUCUUUUGUUUACUCCAUGCAUGGUAUGUGGCUGGCUAAUCGAUGAGUUAUGCAUGACGUACUGUGCAUGUAUCGUGUCCGCAGGUUUCACUGGAUUCUGCUAGUAAUUAAAGUUGACACCUCAGAAUGUCUCGUCCACGACUCUCUGAAUAUGGAUCCAAAGCUUUGGGGCGGCAUGAGAAGAAUGCUGCAGAAGUAAUUAUUUUCAUUCAUUUGCGCUCUAUAUCGAUCGGCCUAUUUCGUUCAUUUCCUAAUAUCAAGUAACUAAUAACUCUCUUGUUCAUUUAAUUUUCUUUGCCUCGUAGGGUUUGGAGACGGUUCGUAGAUACAAAGGUCGGUGAAUUCAAAAAAGAGCUAGAAUUCAAAAGGUCAAAGGCUAAGAAUGCUGGGGAUAUUCAGCCAGCGGGGACCAAUCUAUGUGGAUACUAUGUCUGUGAGAUGAUCCGGAGAUACACCUCUGAGCGGGUUCCGAGUGAUACCAAUGCUCAGAGGAAUAACCUCCGGAUGAUGCUUAGUCCAGAAGCUCGCUUCCGACCACUUCAAGAGGAACUAGCUGGAUGGUUCAGCAGGGAAGUCCUCCAUUCUAAAGGAGAACACCAUUACGAGGACGUAGAACUUUAUAUGCAUUAAAUUAUGUAUGGAAACUUGUUCAAAAUUGUAUAUGGUCAUCCGAUGAUAUUGAAUAUAUAUUGUAUAUUCCUCUUGAAUUCUUUUUGGUUCUAAUUUCAAAUUUGUUUGAAAUUGUACAUUCAUAUGCAUGUAUGUAGUACCGUAGAAUAUGUGAAACUCCUUCAAAAUUAAAAUAAAGCACAAAAGAAAUAAAACAAUACAAAUUAAACAGAAAACAGGUUUAGGGGGGGGGGCUAAAACCCUAAACCUGUGGCGGCCUUUAGUCGCGGUUGGCCAGAAGAACCGCGACUAAAGGUCCUCCGCCCCGACGGCCGCCUGGCGCCCACGUGGACGGGCCUUUAGUCGCGGUUCUUAAGCAACCGCGACUAAAGUGGGGGUCCUUUAGUCGCGCCUAUUUGGUCGCGGUUGCGCAACCGCUACUAAUGGCAGUUGCGAACCGCGACCAAAGGCCCUUUUUCCACUAGUGGUGGAGUAAUGUUCGUAAAUUAUAUAUUGCUUUCAAGUUUGGAGCUGGAAUAAUAUAUGUGCUGCAUUUAGUUAUAGUCUUAUAGAUAUACAUGAACAUCCAUUGUAUAUUUCUUGCAAGACAUGGUAACUACUAUUAUUUUGAUUGUUUCCGUGAACUAUUUUGACCUUGAUUAAGAAGUAGAAAGUUUUUAGCCUCGUAGGUUGUUUGAUCUACUAUAUCAAGUGGCACUUGGCUUCUCAUGGCUCUCCUCGCAUUUGCCAAAACAAAAUUAGUACACACUACCUAGAGCUCUGGAAAUUAGAACUGAAAAAUGGUCCUGCGGUUUAUUAGCUGAUAUAAAUCAUGCACAAUCCUCUACAUUUAAAAAUAAACCGGACACAAAGCAGUAUACUUUUUUCCGAGUACUACCUUGAGAGAGCCAAGGGGUUCUGCAUUUUAUAAAGAAGAAGAAAGUUGCCCGGUUCCAUACAUGCUUAUCUGAGAAAUAUAUCUUAUCUAUCUAGUGGAAACCAGGCAAAAACCUACAGAUACAAAAGGCACAAAGUCCCCCACCGGUCGUGACCGAACUACUGUUUUUGGAAAUAUAAAAUGAGCUAGAUUACUAACAUUGAUGUAAUGCUUGUAUGUCAACCUAUUCCUUUAUCGGUUCAAUUACAGAGUUUUGUUAUUAUGUGAAUGGAGUAAUGGAGAGCUAAGAAAAAACAAGGUAACAGUUAGUGUUACUCUUGCGAGGUAGUUUCAAUCAUAUCAUUGUUUGCUUUCCCUUUUCUCCUGCCUAGGUAUGUACAAUUAUUCCAACCCAGGUUUCUUUCAAGAAGGAUAUGGGUAUGUGUUUGAGGAAUGUCUACAUGAUAAAACACACCUUCAAGUUUGGUGAUAGUUAUGCUAUCAAACUUACAAUGGGGGUCUUAAUUUGUAUUUUUAAUAGAGCACUGGGUUCAUUGGUGAGACUUGUGAGGAUGUGCCUAGGCUAAAGAUGGCUCCUAUGUCGGUACCAAGUGGCAUGUGUUUAAAUGGAGUAUCCUUGUCAGGAGAGCUGAUUUCUGAAAUAUGGUACUUUAUGGGUGCAAGGAUUCACCAUGUUGCGGUCUUCGUCAGCGAAGUGGACUCCUAGGAAUUAGUCAAGGCCGCUAUGUUGUUUUAAGCUGAUAUUCUAUUGUACUUGUAUUUUUUUUGCUUAUCUAGUUGUUUGCCAUGCAGUUCUCGUUGUUGGUGGGGACAUUUGUUGUCUAAGAUCGACCUCAAAUAUCUGGUGGCACUAUAGCAUGGCUUUUGAUAUUCUAAUGUAUAUCUCUUACAAAAUAUUUCAAGAGCCCGUGGCAACGCACGGGCAUUAUACUAGUGUAAGUAAGGAUGGAGAUGAAGAUGGUGUGGCGACAAGGAUAUAACAAAACGCCUGGUUCCUUCAGCCAAAAGUUGGCAACGUUCCUUGUUACACACGCUCCGCCCAACAAACGCUCCAAAAGCCAAAAUACAAUUCCUCAAACAACGGCCAAAGACUACUUCCCCACAUGGAAAAGAAAUACGCACAUGGCGUUACAAUGUUGGCUACUCAUGUCUGAGUUCCUAAACCCUUGCAAAACAGAAAGAAAGGUUGUUUGCUAAACAAAAGAAAGGCCAACACAAUCCUAUCCAAACACUCCACAUUUUUACUAUGUGGCAAAAAUAUGCAACUUUUUUUUGUUUUUAGGUACAUGCCAUUUAAAAAAAACACAAUUUUUUUAUGUUCACACGCCAAGGUAUUUUGUACACAUGGCAAAAUUUUCCGAAGAAGAAAAAUCUCACGACCCCAUGGAUAAUUCAUAACUUUUUGUCUUUCAAGCAGGGCAAUUUUAAGUCAUUUUGUAAUGCUAUUGUGGCAAACGAUGGGAUCUUUAAUCAAUUUUCAUGGCGAAUUUGGGAUUCUUUUCCCUACUUUUUCACAUGGCAAUUUUAUUAUGAUUAAAAUGGAGAUCUUAUUAUUCAAAACAUGGCAGCUUUACUAUUAAGAGCAUGGCAAUUUAAGUAUGAUAGAAUCUCCUCCCCUGCUCGGUCUACCCCACAUGCAUGGCGUAUAACAUCCUCUAGCCCCAAUUGCCGCCAAACCUCUUUAGCCUUAUGGCAUCGAAAUAGUACAUGAAACACAUCUUCUGCUCCUUGUUUACAUGUAGGACACGUCGGCCGGACUGGGAUGUGUCUAUUAGCAAGAACCACAUUGCAUGGCAGUGUUCCGUGUAAGGUUCUCAGAAGAAAAUUUUUAACUUUCGCCGGACAAUUCAGUUUCCAAACCUUUUCCCAUGUUGGGUUAGCACUAGUGGCUCCCAAACCAUCUGUCCUCUGCAAUUUACGACCAUGCUGAAAGUACCAUAGAGCAUGGUAGGCCGAUUUCACUGUAAAAAUUCCAUGUUUAUUCAAACUUCAUGCUACAAAGUCACUCAUAUCAUGUGUAGGUAGUGGUAAAGCAAGGACCCGUUCCACAUCAAUCGGCCAGAAGGUUUGCUCCACAAGUGGCACAUCCCAGUGACCUGUAGCUGGAUCAAUUAAAUCACUCACCUUUGAUAGUAACUGGUUACCUCUUGGGGUAAUAAUCAUUCUGGAUGGUGAGUUAGGAAUCCACGCAUCCCUCCAAACAUUUAUUUUUUCACCAUCCCCUACUCUCCAAAUGUAUCCAUGUUUCUGGGUAUUCACCCCUUGCAUAAUGCUUUGCCAAGUGUAGGAGGAAUUCUUUUUCAGCUUAAUUAAUUUACCAGCACAAGAAGCGGGGAGUGAAAAACUUCCAUGACUUGAUGUCCACUUGCUGCUGGUACCUUUGGUGGGAGAGGAGAAAGCUUGUGCACAAUGAGCCGGUACAAGAUGCGAAGAGAGUUGCGCAAGCGGUAUGUGCUUUAGCUGCUAACUAUGCUAUUGCAUGUGACCCAAAGGCCUCGUUAAAGAGGGGAGGUUGGUGCAAACCCCCUAGUGGAUAUGUCAAGUUAAAUGUUGAUGCGGCCUUUGAUUGGGAUUUGCUUCAGGGGGCGAUGGGAGCAGUCAUCCAGAUGAUAGAGGACAUAUGGUUGUAGCUGGAAACAAGCUCAUUGAUUCAUGUUAUGAUGUACUAACUGUUGAGGCAAUGGCUUUGAAGUUUGGGUUGAAUAUGGCGCUCACAGCUGGGUGCAAUAGACUGAUUGUCAACUCGAAUAAUCUGGAACUCAUGGAAAUAAUGAAUAAGGAUGGCCAAUAUGCUGGAGAUGCCGCGGCCAUUGUCGAUGAUUGUUAUCAUCUGGCUUGCGAAUUUAGCUCUAUUGUCUUCGAAUUUUGCCCCAGAGAGUCGAAUGGGGUUGCACAUGAACUAGCUAGGAUUGCUAGAAGUUCGCUUUGUAAUGAGUGGUUAGAUAAUGCUCCUUCUGAGCUUCUUCACCUCUACUUAAAGAUGUAAGUCUGAUCACGAAUGAAUAAAGAGGAAGUAAAGUUGUCAAAAAAAAAGAGCAUGACAAUUUUAUUUUUAAUGGCAUGUCAUUCUUACCUCUUUUUUUUUGAGAAAAGCAUGUCAUCUUUACUAUGUCCUUCUCGCCUGCUGUAUGAAGUAGGCGGACCCUAGAUGGGCUUUCCCAAUAUUGGUUCCUGGGACAGGGUUCAUGCAGAGUUUUUUUUUCCUGGGCCAAUUUUCAUCUUUUUGUUUGGUUUUCUGUCUUAUGUGUUUCUUUAUGGAUUUUAUUUCUUUCUCAAUACAUGUCCAUUUUUCUAAAUACACACUGUAAAAAUUUACACAUCUUGAACAUUUUUUAUUAAUUGGCAUAAACCUAUUUUUGGAGUGUGUGAGCAUUUUUUAAUUGUCAUGUACAUUUUUCUGAAAGGCAGUAUUUAUUUUGUUGAAUUACGUGAGCAUUCUUUCCACAUUGUAUGACAUUUUCUAAUAAUCUCACGUAUAUUUUUUGAAACACGCGAACAUAUUUUUGAAUGCUAUAAACAUUUUUUAUAUCAUGCUGCAUUUGGUCUAUAUUAGUUUAAACUAAGUCAGUGACAAUUAAUAUGGAUCAUAGAGAGUACAAUUUUGUACAUGAUGUUUAUACUUUUAUAUUUCACUUUCAACAUUUUUUAUUUGUUAAACUCUAUUGUGUUUUUGGAAUAAGUGUAUUUAGAAUAUAUUUUUUUAAAUGUAAAUAAAAUGGAGCGAAUGAAGAAGCAGAGAAGAAAAACGAAGGCCGGCCAAAUGUAUGGCGUUCCCUGCCUCAUACCUGCAAAUCAAGCUAAGCAGCGGGUGAUAAUUUUUUACACAAUGUUUAUAGUUUUCUAUUUCACUUUGAACAUUUCAAAAUUUUAAGGAAAUUAUUAUUUUUAAAUAAAUGUUUUUAGUUUUUUUAAUAAAAAGGUGAAAAAAAGGAAAUUGAGCGAAUGAAGAAGCAGAGAAGAAAAACGCCCUUUCUUUCAUCAACUGAACUGCGUGCGUGCAUGGAAGGGCUAUCAUCUGCACUUAAGAGGAGUGACUUACCUAUCAUUGUGGAGAUGGACUCUAUUCUUGCAGUCAAACUGAUCCAAUCGAGGGAUUUGGACAAAUCUAUUUAUGCUUGGAUAGUUAAGGUGAUCAAGUAUGUUUUGGGGAUUCGUGGUUCUUGUAUUACUCAUGUAAAUCGCUCUUAAAAUAAAGUUAGCGACUGCUUAGCUAGAUUUGCUAAAUUAGAAGGACAAAGCAUGACUUGGGUUGGUUCUGGUCCAGAUGUUGCUGUUGAGCCAGCUAUUGCUCAAUGUAUGGACACCAUGAGUUGAGUAAUGCAAAAAAAAAAAAAAAGUUUGCGCAGAAUUAUUUUCGACCUGCCUCAUAUCUCUACUCUUAAUGGACGACUUGGUGAAUAGUCUUCAUGGUUUAUUUUCGCUGUUUUUUUUUGUCAUCCUCCCACCUCACGGUUUCAAAAAAACCAACCAAAACCAGAGGCCCGUCCCACGAAACGAAACCCAAUUUGCCCCCGUACCAUCACUCCUCCCUCUCCCUCUACCUCCCUUGUCUAGGGUUCCCCGCCACCACUGCGGCAUCCGCCGCCGAAUCCUAGGUCGCCGCACACCGUCGCCGCCGCCGCGAAUCCCCAGGGACGCCGCACGCCACCGCCGUCGCGAAUCACCAGAGACGCUGCACGCUGCCGCCGCGGAUCCCCAAGGGCGUGGUCGCAUUGUACUAGACAAAGUGUGGUCGCCGUCGUCCUCUCCUCGUCCGACCUUGACCUCAUCCCUUCGACUCCGGUGACUCCUCUGUGGCCCGGGCGGCCCUGGCCGACGCCGUCACAGCCAACGCCGGCCUCACCUCUGCGGCCUCACGCACUGCCGCCGCCGAGGAGCCGGCCUGAUAGGUUUGAACCAUCCCUUGAUCCCUCGAGUAUUCUGCGUCCCUUGAUGGCUCGAUUCCUUGUCUUCUCCAUCUAUCAAUCCCUCGCAUCCUUGCAUGCUACGAAGAGAAUGGUUCCCUUUCUACAGGGUCUGGUGUGAAAGAGUUGGAGCAAGGAGGACGUGUGCGGCCACUUCGCGCUUCGGCGAGAUCCUCAAGGUUGUCAUCGCAGACAAGGGCACUGGAAGAUCCAAGGGCGGCGGAUUCGUGAGUACCGCCCAAACAAUUCUCUCCUCCCCUCAUCAUCGAUUGAUCUUCCUGUAGUUAAUUUUCUUGCUUAAUUCAGCCCCGUUAGUUGAUGCUAUGCCUGGAUGGAUGCUUGGCAUGUUACGUUCCAGGAAGCGGAGGCGGCCAUUAGGGCGUGCUUGGGUCCGUACCCGGUGAUUGACGGCCGGAGGGCCAACUGCAACCUCGCCUGCCUCGAGGUCCAAGGCGCCACAACGAAAACGCCCGCCUCGAUACUCAGCUUCAAGGGAUGUGUCCUGCCACGGGUAGUGCCAUCACACCGGCACAAUGAACUCCCGUGCAACCCAGCAUCCGCAUUGAGACAUCUUUCUUGGCGCUGCCAUUGCUGCCGUACUCUGACAGUCCAUGCAUUGACGCAUCGAUUCAGAAGGUGAGCCCCAGCGACGGCUCCGGAAGAAGGGAUUGGCUGCAGCUGAUUUGGGAGGCCCAGUCGGGGAGAGCAGGGAGGAGGAGCAUCGAUGAUAUUCCUCCCGUCCCAUAGCCAAAGGGAGUGUCAGCGCACCCAGCGGCGGCACAUCUUGCGGCAGCAAUUGACGUAUCGUACCAGGCGGCUGUGUAGCUGGUGAAGUGGUGAGUGCAAAGUGUUUGUGCUAAUGAUUGAGCGGAGUUAUCUUAUGAUUGUCAUAUCACACUAUUUACGAGUAGUAAUGCUUAACUCCGUUGCCUUAGCGUGUGAUUGUGUCAUGUCCGUGACAAUACUAAUGCUCAAUGUUGUUGCCCGAGAGGCCCUUUUUGUAGUUAUCAUAAACGAGUAGGCAGCAUGUAAGAGCACCCACAGUGCUUAGAUGUAUGCUCAUUGCCCUUAAGCAGUGCGUUCUUGUCAACUCACAAGAUUGUACUAUUGUAUUUUGUAGGUACAUCUGAAGAUUCAUCUGCAGUUAGGUAGAAAAUGAUUCAUGUUUUACAUCCAAAAGUUAUACAUUUUUCAGGCUGUAAGCACCUUUAAAGUUAUUCAUGCAUACUUUUUUCAGGCUGUAAACUGCACCCUUAUAGUUAUUCAUGCCUUUUCUUUUAUAUAGUCGUGAUACUUAGAAUACUUAUAUAUUGUCAGUUAUAGGUAAUAUGUUCCAUCAAACAGGAGUUUACUCAGUAUUCAAUAAGAUAUUUUAUUUUUAAUAGUUAUAAGAGGAGACCUGCAUGAAAAACAAGAGUGCAGUUGGUUCAAUCAAAUAGAACUGCAGGUUGAUGGGGGUGGUUUAAUAAAAAGAAAAAGAUGAAAUAGAUUGGUGUUUAUUUAUUCUCUGCGGAAAAUUUUGGGCUCUUUUGUUAUGCUUGCAACUUUGUUUUGGAAUAGGGUAGUUAAAGUGUACUUUUCUUAUGGAAGGCAUGAAAAAGCAUGCGUAGCUAAUUACAACUCAGAAACAAAUGUCUUUGUUUCAAAAAUGACAAUGACGGAAUAAAUUGUUUCAAAAAAUAACUACAAAAAUCUAAAAAUCUAAACAUAGUGAUCAGAUGAACACGGUGGCCACUGAUGAUGUUGGAAUUAGGAUAAGUAGCGAGAUGGGUGGGAGGGCAUGUUGAAGUAGAGAACAUGGACUUGCGGGGAGGAGGGGUGCUUACUUGAGCCAAUUUAUUAGAUUAAGGGUGUGCAUGACUUUUUCCAUAUGCACGAAUUAUUAGUUAGUGAGAAUUAAGCGCCAUGCAUUCUUGGUUUGAUUGUUAUUCGUCGACCAUGAGCAAGAAUCUGUCAAUUAAUUAGAUGCUUUAAUUAACUUAUAUGUAAUGGCAGGGUGUCCAUGUUGAACGGAAACGCCUAUGGUUGCCCUUCAAGCACUAACAAAUUGGAAAUUCCAAGCCCUGCUGAGAUUACGAGCAGAGUGGAAAGGGAAUCAACACCAUCACGCCAAAACAUUGAAGGUGAAUAAGUGGACCACUAUCUAAGUAAAUAGACGAACCAUAUUUUGUUAGAACUAAGCAGUUGCUGCUAAUAUAAUCCUCUCCAGCAAGAUCAGUUUCGGACAAUAUAAUUUGCUAUUCACUUUCUAUGUGUUUAAGCAUGCUCAAACUCAAUACAAAUGAACAUAAUUCUUUUUUUUAGGUCAUUGCAUGACAAAUAAGAAUACUUACAUCACUGAAUUUCUGAUGUUUUUCUGUCGGAAGUUAGUUCAGUUAGGCACUUCUAAUUGCUUAAGCUCGAUUUCACUCAAGUUUGAUAUAAUCUGCAGGAGCAAUCCAAGAGCUAAAAACUACAGUGAUCUCACUAUUCACCAAGUAUUGUUAUUUUCUCUACCUACGUCCUAAUCAGGUGUGUCACCUUGUGUUGACUUUGCCUACUGAAUUAUAACGAGUCUUGAACUUUGUUAUCUGAUUUUCCUUAUCCUACUUCUUAGCUUUUCAUGCUAUUCUGCGCGCUGUGCAUAAUGUGCAUUUCUUGUUAUUUGCUAAUGUGUACUGGACAAGCGCGGCAGCAAAUUCAUAGUGUGCAUUUCUUGUUAUUUGCCAAUGGUUGUACUGGACAAAGCAUGGUCUUUUGUCCAAACACAUCCCUUAUGUUAUGUCCAAAAUUAGGUUGUUAGUCCUUUUUAGUGGGGUGCACUUAUAUCUCAAUUUUUCCUCCAGUUGUUUAUUACAUAUUGUGAUAUUGGUACAAAGGCUGCCACAAAAGACGAGCAUGUCUGGAUCAGCAAUAUGUCAGGUGNNNNNNNNNNNNNNNNNNNNNNNNNNNNNNNNNNNNNNNNNNNNNNNNNNNNNNNNNNNNNNNNNNNNNNNNNNNNNNNNNNNNNNNNNNNNNNNNNNNNNNNNNNNNNNNNNNNNNNNNNNNNNNNNNNNNNNNNNNNNNNNNNNNNNNNNNNNNNNNNNNNNNNNNNNNNNNNNNNNNNNNNNNNNNNNNNNNNNNNNNNNNNNNNNNNNNNNNNNNNNNNNNNNNNNNNNNNNNNNNNNNNNNNNNNNNNNNNNNNNNNNNNNNNNNNNNNNNNNNNNNNNNNNNNNNNNNNNNNNNNNNNNNNNNNNNNNNNNNNNNNNUAAAACACAUAGACUGUUUUUAUUUUACUAAAAUGUCUACUGCCGACGCAUGUUUGAACUGAAAUGUAUUCUGUUAACAAUUUAUGCUUUACCUUAAUUUCUGCUUUGUGUGCAGGCCCUAGCAGAGCUUGAACCUUCUUCAGCAAAUAAGGGUCACUGAGUUCUUAUAGUCAGUCACUGGACCACAAUGGUUGAUAUCCUUCAAUGGACACUGGAAGUAAUAUGAGCUACAGAUAUGCGUCUCAAUGGGGGGUUAUUUCUUUCCUCAACAAGUUACAGUACAGUAGCAAAGGUAAAGUGAACACACAACUUGAUUGUAUGGUUCUUAGAAUGUCACUGUACUCAGAGGCAGAGGACGAAAAAAAAUUAAGGUGUGGCGAAAUCUUAGGAAAAUAUUUUUUUUGAUGCAAAUUGAAAUAGUCAAUACAAAGUACAAACGAAAAACCAAAUACAAUGAAAAUGUAGACAUGUUUCAAUAGAAAAACAACCUAAAACAUACCAAUAAUCAAGUUUUCAAUGGCGUCUAGAAGACCUAGGUAAUGGCAAUGACCUACCCUCCUUCUGAAAAUCUUCCUUAAUUUUACUAUCAAUACUUUUGAAGAUCUCUCGCUCAAUAUAACAAACCAUCAAGUCACUUGAUCUUCAUGAGUGACAUGUGCCCAAACAUUGACACUUUAGCGGGUGCUUGGAUUCGAUUUCGAGCUGCUGCCACUACCAUUACUUCAAAAUACUUUGUCAAAUAUGCAAUCCAUAACAUCAAUUUGUAACUCAAUUCUGAUUGGUUUCAAGCUGCUGUUAUGCUACAAAUUUUCAUAGACAUGAGCAAUCUACCGCUUCCACCCCAUUCCUUUGGAUUUGCUGGUCCCUUCCCCUCCUUUUCCAUCUUAUGGCCAGAACUGCACCGGACUGGAGCCGCCGCCGUCAGCUGCCCCGUCGUCGGUCACCCGCCUGUUCAUCAGCCCAAUUUUCAUUACAUUUAUUACAAAAACUAAACUUUGCUAGCUCAUGAGCUACUGAAUUAGCAUCACGAAAACAGUGUGAAAAGAUGACCUUCCCUAUCACUAGUAGAAAACGGAGCUUUAAAACCGGUUUGUAAGGGCCUUUAGUGCCGGUUAUGGAACCGGCACUAAAGUGUGGGCACUAAAGGCCCCCCCCUAGUACCGGUUCGGCAUGAACCGGCGCUAAAGUGCCACCACGUGGCGUGAGCUCGCGCCCUGGUAUGGGGGACCUUUGGUACCGGUUGGUGUUACCAACCGGUACUAAAGGUUUUUUUUGAAUUUUUUUUUUGAAAAUUUCGGAAAAAAAUUUUGAUUUUUUUUUUGAUUUUUAAUUUUUCUGAAUUAUUUGAUGAUUUAGUCUCUAAUCACCUCUCUUAACUGCUCAAGUGUGGAUCACUCAUUCCAAAUCAUCUAACUGUUGGGGAACGUAGUAAUUUCAAAAAAAAAAUCCUACGCACACGCAAGAUCAUGGUGAUGGCAUAGCAACGAGAGGGGAGAGUGUAUGUCCACGUACCCUCGUAGACCGUAAGCGGAAGCGUUAGCACAACGCGGUUGAUGUAGUCGUACGUCUUCACGAUCCGACCGAUCCAAGCACCGAACGUACGGAGCCUCCGAGUUCAGCACACGUUCAGCUCGAUGACGUCCCUCGAACUCCGAUCCAGCCGAGUGUCGAGGGAGAGUUCCGUCAGCACGACGGCGUGGUGACGAUCUUGAUGUUCUACCAGCGCAGGGCUUCGCCUAAGCUUCGCGACGAUAUGACCGAGGUGGAAUAUGGUGGAAGGGGGCACCGCACACGGCUAAGGAACGAUCCGUAGAUCAACUUGUGUGUCUAUGGGGUGCCCCCCGCCCCCGUAUAUAAAGGAGCCAGGGGGGAGGAGGCCACCGGCCUAGGGGGCGCGCCAAGGGGGGAGUCCUACUCCCACCGGGAGUAGGACUCCCCUUUUCCAAGUUGGAGUAGGAGAGAAGGAGGAAAGAGGGGAGGAGGAGAAGGAAAAGGGGGGGCGCCGCCCCCUUUCCCUUGUCCUAUUCGGACUAGGAGGGGGAGGGGCGCGCGGCCCCCCUCCUUGCUCCUUCCUCUUCUCCCUCUUGGCCCAUGUAGGCCCAUUAACCUCCCCGGGGGGUUCCGGUAACCUCCCGGUACUCCGGUAAAAUGCCGUUUUCACCCGGAACCAUUCCGAUGUCCAAAUAUAGGCUUCCAAUAUAUCAAUCUUUAUGUCUCGACCAUUCCGAGACUCCUCGUCAUGUCCGUGAUCACAUCCGGGACUCCGAACAAACUUCGGUACAUCAAAACUUAUAAACUCAUAAUAAAACUGUCUGUUAGAGUCAGAUCCUCCGACGGAGCCGCAUAGUAAUGAACAACGUGGAGUGCAAGUCAAGCAGCUACCAAAUAGAUAGUUUCCAUCUCUGUUGGUCUAUUCGUAUUGUAUACAAACUCUGUAAUUUUUGGAUGCAUAUAUAUACGAGGAGGCUGUACCGUGGCUGGCAUUGAGCCGCCCGGUGUAUUCCAAUUUACGUGGUAUCAGGCCACAUCGUUCCUCUCCUGUCAAGACUCGAUCUCAAAACCUAAUCGCCGCCGCCGUUGCCGUUGCCACCAUCGUCGCUUCCCACAGCCUCCUUCUUCUCUGCCACCAUGAACGCUGACGACCUCAAGAAGCUUGAAGAGGAGCUCAAGCAACGCGAGUCCAUCAUCAGAACUCGCGAGGAAGAACUCCGGUGUCUUGCCGAGGAGCGCGGCAAGAUAGUUCUCGCAUCCACCCCUGCACCUGUUCCUGCACCGUCCUCCUAUGCUGCUUCAAUCAAGACAUAUGUUCCCAUCACUCUUGAUCUUCAGGAUUCCAACUACGCCAAAUGGCGUGAGCUUUUUCUCGUGGUCCUUGGGCGCUACGGCCUCUCCAGCCACGUCGGCGGCGGCGGCGCCGCCGACGCCACCCCCUCCGACACGUCGCCUACCUUGGAUUGGGGACGCGAUGACUACACGGUGCUCUCCUGGAUCUACGGUUCGGUCUCCAUCGAGCUCUUCGGCAUCAUCAUGGCUCCCGGCUCCACGGCGCGGCAAGUCUGGGACUCCAUUGCCAACCUCUUCCACGACAAUAAGAAAAGCCGCGCCUUAGCCCUCGAUGCCGAGUUCCGCAACACUCCACAAGGGGACAUGUCUAUUCAUGACUACUGCGCCAAACUCAAGUCUCUUGCCGACGCUCUCGGUGAUGUCGGCCAAAAUAUCACCGACGAGACGCUCGUCCUCACAGUGCUCCGCGGCCUCAAUGAACAAUUCAGUCAUCUUCGGUCUUUUCUACUGUUCCAGGUGCCGUUCCCAUCCUUCCUGCAGACACGUUCCGCUCUCGUCCUCGAGGAGACGCAGAAAAAGACGGACGCCAAGAACGCGGCGGCAACCGCACUCUGGGCAAGCAGCAACAGCAUCCUCCCUCAUGCUGGCGGGGAGCGUGCUCCUUCUUCUAGCCGCGGCACUGGCUACAACAACAGCGACUCACGCAACGCCGCCACACACUCCACCACGCCCUACCCCAACCCUGGCCGCGGCAGUGGAAAUGGCGGACGCCGCGGACGUGGAGGCGGCCGCGGACGAGGCCGCGACAAUCCUUGGAUGUUCAACCCAUGGACCGGCCUCCCGACUCGGGCUCAACAACAACAACAACAUCCUCCCACUGCACCGUGGCAGCCCCGCUGGCGUGCUCGCAGCGCCGGCGUCCUUGGUCCUCACCCCGGUGCAGCUCCUUUCCAGGCGUACACUGCAUAUGGUCAGCAACACACCAACAACGGUGGCAUGAUGCCGUCACCAUCUACAAGCUAUCCAGGAGGUCACCAGCAACUUGAUCCAGCCUUGCUGAACGCACUUCAGAACAUGCAGCUUCCUGGCAAUCAAGAGUGGUACAUGGACUCUGGAGCAUCAUCCCAUAUGGCAUCCGAUCAUGGUAUUCUCUCCUCCUCCCAACCCUCCUCUGCUCACACCGUCACUGUUGGUAACGGUGCCUCCCUUCCCAUCUCUCACAUCGGCACACACACCCUGCCCUCUCUUUCGAAACAUUUAUAUCUUAACAAUGUUCUUGUCGUUCCACAUAUCAUCAAAAAUCUUCUUUCCGUUCGCAAACUUACCACUGAUAAUUUUGUUUCGAUAGAAUUUGACCCUUGGGGUUUUUCUGUGAAGGCACUUCCCACAAGGAUCGAGAUUCUUCGAUGCAAUAGCUCCGGACCACUCUACCCAGUAUGUCGUCCCACGCCCGCCGAAGCACAUGUCAUCACCACCACCCUCGACCUUUGGCAUCGCCGACUUGGACACCCCGGUCAUCACACCAUGAAGCGUCUUCAAAGUUCUUGCCAUAUCUCCUACAAUAAAAUCAUGCCAUCCAUUUGUCAUGCUUGUCAGCUUGGGCGACAUGUUAGAUUACCCUUUUAUCCAUCUGUUUCUUAUAUUAGCAAACCUUUUGCAUUAUUACACUGUGAUCUUUGGACUUCUCCCGUACCCAGUACAUCUGGCUUUGCCUAUUAUCUUAUAAUUGUCGAUGAUUUCACUCAUUAUUUUUGGACUUUCCCACUGCGCAAGAAAUCUGAUGUCUAUGCAACACUUCUCACCUUUCAUGCUUACGCUCGCACUCAAUUUAAUCUAUCUAUUUUAGCUUUCCAAUGCGACAAUGGACGAGAGUUUGACAAUACAAAAAUAGAUACUUUCUGUGCCUCUCACGGUAUUCUCCUUCGCUUCUCCUGUCCAUACACCUCUCAACAAAACGGCAAGGCUGAAUGAGCUAUUCGCACCACCAACAAUGUCAUACGUACCCUUCUGGUCCAAGCUUCUCUCCCCCCAUCCUUCUGGGCCGAAGCACUACACACUGCCACCUUUCUUAUAAACAUUAGACCGACGUCGUCUACCAAAUUUCUCACACCAUAUGCAACUCUUCUUGGUUCGUCACCCCCAUAUGACUCACUUCGUGUGUUUGGUUGCCUCUGUUACCCUAACACUACAUCCACAUCUUCCAACAAACUAUCUCCACGCUCCACAAAAUGCAUCUUUCUUGGGUACCCGACACGCCAUAGAGGUUAUCGGUGUCUUGAUUUAACCACACGACGGAUCAUCAUCUCUCGUCAUGUGGUUUUUGACGAGUCCUCCUUCCCCUAUGCACCCGCCCCCAUUCCUAAUCCACCACGUUGUACAGAAAUUUUCGACCCACCUGAACCAAUCCAUCCGCUUGUUCCCCCUGCCAUGCAUGCAUCCCCUCCACCUGCGCCAGCUAUGCAUGCGCCUGCUAUGCAUGUGCCCAACACCCCGCCACCAACGCCUCAUUCUUCUGGCUCGUCUUCGACCCCGCCUACUAGCACCCCGCUCGCUUCUCCACCACCGGGCUCUUCCUCUACUCACGGGGUGCAGCCUAGCCCACCUGUGCAAUCCACCCCACCUGGCUCGCCAUCCCCUAACCCCAUACCACCGCCCGCUCCACUACAUCGUACACGCUCCACUACUGGCCGGCUUCCUCCACCCAUCGACCGCCUUAACCUCUCUGCUAUUGCUUCUUCUCCACUCCCACACAACUAUCUUAUGGCAUUACGCGAUCCCAACUGGCGUCAAGCCAUGCAAGAAGAGUUUGAUGCUCUCAUCCUAAAUAAAACAUGGACUCUUGUUCCUGCUCCUCCCGGUGCAAAUGUUGUGAGUGGUAAAUGGAUUUUUCGCCAUAAAUAUCAUGCCGACGGCUCUCUCGCUCGUCACAAGGCUCGUUGGGUAGUCCGUGGUUUUACGCAACAACCAGGAAUUGACUUUGAUGAAACCUUCAGUCCUGUUGUUAAACCUGCCACUAUUCGCAUUGUUCUCUCUCUUGCUAUCUCUCAAUCUUGGCCCAUACACCAGCUUGAUGUAAAAAAUGCCUUCCUCCAUGGCCAUCUUGAUGAAGUUGUCUAUAGUCAACAACCCUCUGGCUUUGUUGAUCCACGUCACCCCACUUAUGUGUGUCGUCUUCUUAAAUCUCUAUAUGGUUUAAAACAAGCUCCCCGCGCAUGGUUUCAGCGGUUUGCCACCUUUGCGCGCUCCAUUGGGUUCGUUGAAUCCAAAUCCGAUGCCUCUCUUUUCAUUUUUCACCAGGGCACCAACUUAGCAUAUCUCCUUCUUUAUGUCGAUGACAUCAUUCUUACUGCCUCCACCCCAUCUACUCUUGCUACUAUCACACAUGCCAUGGCACGUGAAUUUGCUAUGAAGGAUCUUGGCCCCCUACAUCACUUCCUUGGCAUUUCUGUUACACGUACUUCUAGCAGCCUCCACCUCUCUCAACGAAACUACAUUCUUGACAUCUUGAAUCGUGCAGGCAUGCGUGAUUGUCAUCCCGUCCCUACACCUAUUGAUACCAAAGCAAAACUCUCCUCCACAUCUGGGUCCCCUGUUUCCGAUCCUUCUCAGUAUCGUAGCUUAGCUGGCGCACUACAAUAUGCUACACUCACUCGUCCCGACACUGCUUACGCCGUGCAACAAGUAUGUCUCCAUAUGCACGAUCCACGAGAACCCCAUUUCUCUCUCAUAAAAUGCAUUCUCCGCUAUCUUCAUGGCACUCUCGACCUUGGUCUUUCUCUGCAUCGCACUUCUUCUCACUCUCUCAUUGCCUACUCGGAUGCCGACUGGGCUGGUUACCCGGACACACGACGCUCUACGUCUGGAUUUUGCAUGUACCUCGGUGAUAAUCUCAUUUCUUGGUCCGCACAACGACAAACGACCGUCUCCCGCUCUAGUGCCGAGGCAGAGUACAGGGCAGUAGCUGCGGCUGUUUCAGAGUCAUGUUGGGUUCGGCAGCUCCUACAGGAACUUCGACGGCCGAUCUCGACUGCCACAAUUGUCUACUGUGAUAAUGUCAGUGCCGUCUACUUGUCUGCCAACCCCGUUCAGCAUCGACGGACCAAGCAUAUUGAGCUGGAUAUUCACUUUGUUCGGGAGAAGGUCGCCCUAGGAGACGUGCGCGUUUUACAUGUACCCUCGUCCUCGCAGUUCGCGGACAUUUUCACGAAGGGUUUGCCUACUACUCUUUUUCAAGAGUUUCGCUCCAGUCUUCAGGUCGAGAGCUCUCCCGGUUCAGACUGCGGGGGCGUGUUAGAGUCAGAUCCUCCGACGGAGCCGCAUAGUAAUGAACAACGUGGAGUGCAAGUCAAGCAGCUACCAAAUAGAUAGUUUCCAUCUCUGUUGGUCUAUUCGUAUUGUAUACAAACUCUGUAAUUUCUGGAUGCAUAUAUAUACGAGGAGGCUGUACCAUGGCUGGCAUUGAGCCGCCCGGUGUAUUCCAAUUUACACUGUCAUCAAAAACGUUAAGCGUGCGGACCCUACGGGUUCGAGAACUAUGUAGACAUGACCUAAAACCAUUCUCGGUCAAUAACCAAUAGCGUGACCUGGAUGCCCAUAUUGGUUCCUACAUAUUCUACGAAGAUCUUUAUCGGUCAAACCGCAUAACAACAUACUUUGUUCCCUUUGUCAUCGGUAUGUUACUUGCCCGAGAUUUGAUCGUCGGUAUCCAAUACCUAGUUCAAUCUCGUUACCGGCAAGUCUCUUUACUCAUUUCGUAAUAUGUCAUCUCAUAACUAACUCAUUAGUUACAUGCUUGCAAGGCUUAGGUGAUGAGUAUUACCAAGAGGGCCCAGAGAUACCUCUCCGACAAUCGGAGUGACAAAUCCUAAUCUCGAAUUAUGCCAACCCAACAUGUACCUUCGGAAACACCUGUAGAGCACCUUUAUAAUCACCCAGUUACGUUGUGACGUUUGGUAGCACACAAAGUGUUCUUCCGGUAAACGGGAGUUGCACAAUCUCAUAGUUGCAGGAACUUUGUAUAAGUCAUGAAGAAAGCAAUAGCAGUAUACUAAACGAUCAAGUGCUAGGCUAACAAAAUGGGUCAUGUCAAUCACAUCAUUCUCCUAAUGAUGUGAUCCCACUAAUCAAAUGACAACACAUGUCUAUGGUCAGGAAACAUAACCAUCUUUGAUUAAUGAGCUAGUCAAGUAGAGGCAUACUAGUGACUAUAGUUUUGUCUAUGUAUUCACAUAUGUAUCAUGUUUCCAGUUAAUACAAUUCUAGCAUGAAUAAUAAACAUUUAUCAUGAUAUGAGGAAAUAAAUAAUAACUUUAUUAUUGCCUCUAGGGCAUAUACCACUUGCACUAGAGUCAAUAAUCUAGAUUACAUAGUAAUGAUUCUAACACCCAUGGAGUCUUGGUGCUGAUCAUGUUUUGCUCGUGAGAGAGGCUUAGUCAACGGGUCCGCAACAUUCAGAUCCGUAUGUAUCUUGCAAAUCUCUAUGUCUCCCACUUGGACUUGGUUCCGAAUGGAAUUGAAGCGUCUCUUGAUGUGCUUGGUCCUCUUGUGAAAUCUGGAUUCCUUUGCCAAAGCAAUUGCACCAGUAUUGUCACAGAAGAUCUUCAUUGGUCCCGAUGCACUAGGUAUGACACCUAGAUCGGAAAUGAACUCCUUCAUCCAGACUCCUUCAUUUGCUGCUUCAGAAGCAGCUAUGUACUCCGCUUCACAUGUAGAUCCCGCCACGACGCUUUGUUUAGAACUGCACCAACUUACAGCUCCAUCGUUUAAUAUAAACACGUAUCCGGUUUGCGAUUUAGAAUCGUCCGGAUCAGUGUCAAAGCUUGCAUCGACGUAACCAUUUACGACUAGCUCUUUGUCACCUCCAUAUACGAGAAACAUAUCCUUAGUCCUUUUCAGGUAUUUCAGGAUGUUCUUGACCGCUGUCCAGUGAUCCACUCCUGGAUUACUUUGGUACCUUCCUGCCAAGCUUAUUGCUAAGCAUACGUCAGGUCUGGUACACAGCAUUGCAUACAUGAUAGAGCCUAUGGCUGAAGCAUAGGGAACAUUUUUCAUUUUCUCUCUAUCUUCUGCUGUGGUCGGGCAUUGAGUUUGACUCAACUUCACACCUUGUAGCACAGGUAAGAAUCCUUUCUUUGCCUGAUCCAUUUUGAACUUUUUCAAAAUCUUGUCAAGGUAUGUGCUUUGUGAAAGUCCUAUUAAGCGUCUUGAUCUAUCUCUAUAGAUCUUGAUGCCCAAUAUGUAAGCAGCUUCACCGAGGUCUUUCAUUGAAAAACUUUUAUUCAAGUAUCCCUUUAUGCUAUCCAGAAAUUCUAUAUCAUUUCCAAUUAAUAAUAUGUCAUCAACAUAUAAAACUAGAAAUGCUACAGAGCUCCCACUCACUUUCUUGUAAAUACAGGCUUCUCCAAAAGUCUGUAUAAAACCAUAUGCUUUGAUCACACUGUCAAAGUGUUUAUUCCAACUCCGAGAUGCUUGCACCAGUCCAUAAAUGGAACGCUGGAGCUUGCACACUUUGUCAGCACCUUUUGGAUCAACAAAACCUUCCGGCUGCAUCAUAUACAACUCUUCUUCUAGAAAUCCAUUCAAGAAUGCAGUCUUGACAUCCAUUUGCCAAAUUUCAUAAUCAUGAAAUGCAGCAAUAACCAACAUGAUUCGGACAGACUUAAGCAUCGCUACGGGUGAGAAAGUCUCAUCGUAGUCAACCCCUUGAACUUGUCAAAAACCUUUCGCAACAAGUCGAGCUUUAUAGACAGUAACAUUACCAUCAGCGUCAGUCUUCUUAAAAAUCCAUUUAUUCUCAAUGGCUUGCCGAUCAUCGGGCAAGUCAACCAAAGUCCAUACUUUGUUUUCAUACAUGGAUCCCAUCUCAGAUUUCAUGGCCUCUAGCCAUUUUGCGGAAUCUGGGCUCAUCAUCGCUUCCUCAUAGUUCGUAGGUUCAUCAUGGUCAAGUAACAUGACUUCCAGAAUAGGAUUACCGUACCACUCUGGUGCGGAUCUUACUCUGGUAGACCUACGAGGUUCAGCAGAAACUUGAUCUGAAGUUUCAUGAUCAAUAUCAUUAGCUUCCUCACUAGUUGGUGUAGUUGUCACGGGAACCGGUUCUCGUGAUGAACUACCUUCCAACAAGGGAGUAGAUACAGUUAUCUCAUCAAGUUCUACUUUCCUCCCACUCACUUCUUUCGAGAGAAAUUCCUUCUCUAGAAAGGAUCCAUUCUUAGCAAUGAAUGUCUUGCCUUCGGAUCUGUGAUAGAAGGUGUACCCAACAGUCUCUUUUGGGUAUCCUAUGAAGACACAUUUCUCCGAUUUGGGUUCGAGCUUAUCUGGUUGAAGUUUCUUCACAUAAGCAUCGCAGCCCCAAACUUUAAGAAACGACAACUUCGGUUUCUUGCCAAACCACAGUUCAUAAGGCGUCGUCUCAACGGAUUUUGAUGGUGCCCUAUUUAACGUGAAUGCGGCCGUCUCUAAAGCAUAACCCCAAAAUGAUAGUGGUAAAUCGGUAAGAGACAUCAUAGAUCGCACCAUAUCAAGUAAAGUACGAUUACGACGUUCGAACACACCAUUUCGUUGUGGUGUUCCAGGUGGCGUGAGUUGCGAAACUAUUCCGCAUUGUUUCAAAUGUAAACCAAACUCGUAACUCAAAUAUUCUCCUCCAUGAUCAGAUCGUAGAAACUUUAUUUUCUUGUUACGAUGAUUUUCUACUUCACUCUGAAAUUCUUUGAACUUUUCAAAUGUUUCAGACUUGUGCUUCAUUAAGUAGAUAUACCCAUAUCUGCUCAAAUCAUCUGUGAAGGUGAGAAAAUAACGAUAUCCGCCACGAGCCUCAACAUUCAUUGGACCACAUACAUCUGUAUGUAUGAUCUCCAACAAAUCUGUUGCUCUCUCCAUAGUUCCGGAGAACGGUGUUUUAGUCAUCUUGCCCGUGAGGCACGGUUCGCAAGUACCAAGUGAUUCAUAAUCAAGUGAUUCCAGAAGUCCAUCAGUAUGGAGUUUCUUCAUGCGUUUUACACCGAUAUGACCUAAACGGCAGUGCCACAAAUAAGUUGCACUAUCAUUAUCAACUCUGCAUCUUUUGGCUUCAACAUUAUGAAUAUGUGUAUCACUACUAUCGAGAUUCAAUAAAAAUAGACCACUCUUCAAGGGCGCAUGACCAUAAAAGAUAUUACUCAUAUAAAUAGAACAACCAUUAUUCUCUGAUUUAAAUGAAUAACCAUCUCGCAUCAAACAAGAUCCAGAUAUAAUGUUCAUGCUCAACGCAGGCACCAAAUAACAAUUAUUCAGGUCUAAAACUAAUCCCGAUGGUAGAUGUAGAGGUAGCGUGCCGACCGCGAUCACAUCGACUUUGGAACCGUUUCCCACGCGCAUCGUCACCUCGUCCUUGGCCAGUGCUCGCUUAUUCCGCAGUCCCUGUUUCGAGUUGCAAAUAUUAGCAACAGAACCAGGUUCAAAUACCCAGCUGCUACUACGAGCUCUAGUUAGGUACACAUCAAUAACAUGUAUAUCACAUAUACCUUUGUUCACUUUGCCAUCCUUCUUAUCCGCCAAAUACUUGGGGCAGUUCAGCUUCCAGUGGCCAGUCUGCUUGCAGUAGAAGCACUUAGUUUCAGGCUUAGGUCCAGACUUGGGUUUCUUCUCUUGAGCAGCAACUUGCUUGCCGUUCUUUUUGAAGUUCCCCUUCUUCUUCCCUUUGCCCUUCUUCUUGAAACUAGUGGUCUUGUUGACCAUCAACACUUGAUGCUCCUUCUUGAUUUCUACCUCCGCGGCUUCAGCAUCGCGAAGAGCUCGGGAAUAGUCUUGUUCAUCCCUUGCAUAUUAUAGUUCAUCACGAAGCUCUUGUAGCUUGGUGGCAGUGAUUGAAGAAUUCUGUCAAUGACACUAUCAUCAGGAAGAUUAACUCCCAGUUGAAUCAAGUGAUUGUUAUACCCAGACAUUUUGAGUAUAUGUUCACUGACAGAACUAUUCUCCUCCAUCUUGCAGCUAUAGAACUUAUUGGAGACUUCAUAUCUCUCAAUCCGGGCAUUUGCUUGAAAUAUUAACUUCAACUCCUGGAACAUCUCAUAUACUCCAUGACGUUCAAAACGUCGUUGAAGACCCGGUUCUAAGCCGUAAAGCAUGGCACACUGAACUAUAGAGUAGUCAUCAGCUUUGCUCUGCCAGACGUUCUUAACGUCGUCAGUUGCAUCAGCAGCAGGCCUGGCACCCAGCGGUGCUUCCAGGAUGUAACUCUUCUGUGCAGCAAUGAGGAUAAUCCUUAGGUUACGGACCCAGUCCGUGUAAUUGCUACCAUCAUUUUUCAACUUUGCUUUCUCAAGGAACGCAUUAAAAUUCAACGGAACAACAGCACGAGCCAUCUAUCUACAAACAAACAUAGACAAGCAAGAUACUAUCAGGUACUAAGUUCAUGAUAAAUUUAAGUUCAAUUAAUCAUAUUACUUAAGAACUCCCACUUAGACAGACAUCUCUCUAGUCAUCUAAGUGAUCACGUGAUCCAAAUCAACUAAACCAUAACUGAUCAUCACGUGAUAUGGAGUAGUUUUCAAUGGUGAACAUCAUUAUGUUGAUCAUAUCUACUAUAUGAUUCAUGAUCGACCUUUUGGUCUCCGUGUUUCGAGGCCAUAUCUGCAUAUGCUAGGCUCGUCAAGUUUAACCUGAGUAUUCUGCGUGUGCAAAACUGGCUUGCACCCGUUGUAGAUGGACAUAGAGCUUAUCACACCCGAUCAUCACAUGGUGUCUCGGCACGACGAACUUUGGCAACGGUGCAUACUCAGGGAGAACACUACUUGAUAAUUUUAGUGAGAGAUCAUCUUAAAAUGCUACCGUCAAUCAAAUCAAGAUAAGAUGCAUAAAGGAUAAACAUCACAUGCAAUCAAUAUAAGUGAUAUGAUAUGACCAUCAUCAUCUUGUGCUUGUGAUCUCCAUCUCCGAAGCACCGUCGUGAUCACCAUCGUCACCGGCGCGACAUCUUGAUCUCCAUCGUAGCAUCGUUGUUGUUUACGCCAUCUAUUGCUUCUACGACUAUCGCUACCGCUUAGUGAUAAAGUAAAGCAAUUACAGGGCGUUUGCAUUUCAUACAAUAAAGCGACAACCAUAUGGCUCCUGCCAGUUGCCGAUAACUUCGGUUACAAAACAUGAUCAUCUCAUACAAUAAAAUAUAUCAUCACGUCUUGACCAUAUCACAUCACAACAUGCCCUGCAAAAACAAGUUAGACGUCCUCUACUUUGUUGUUGCAAAUUUUACGUGGCUGCUACGGGCUUAGCAAGAACCGUUCUUACCUACGCAUCAAAACCACAACGAUAGUUUGUCAAAUAGACUCCGUUUUAACCUUCGCAAGGACCGGGCGUAGCCACACUCGAUUCAGCUAAAGUGAGAGAGACAGACACCCGCCAGUCACCUUUAAGCACGAGUGCUCGUAACGGUGAAAUCAGUCUCGCGUAAGCGUACGCGUAAUGUCGGUCCGGGCCGCUUCAUCUCACAAUACCGCUGAACCAAAGUAUGACAUGCUGGUAGGCAGUAUGACUUAUAUCGUCCACAACUCACUUGUGUUCUACUCGUGCAUAUAACAUCAACGCAUAAAACCUAGGCUUUGAUACCACUGUUGGGGAACGUAGUAAUUUCAAAAAAAAAUCCUACGCACACGCAAGAUCAUGGUGAUGGCAUAGCAACGAGAGGGGAGAGUGUAUGUCCACGUACCCUCGUAGACCGUAAGCGGAAGCGUUAGCACAACGCGGUUGAUGUAGUCGUACGUCUUCACGAUCCGACCGAUCCAAGCACCGAACGUACGGAGCCUCCGAGUUCAGCACACGUUCAGCUCGAUGAUGUCCCUCGAACUCCGAUCCAGCCGAGUGUCGAGGGAGAGUUCCGUCAGCACGACGGCGUGGUGACGAUCUUGAUGUUCUACCGGCGCAGGGCUUCGCCUAAGCUUCGCGACGAUAUGACCGAGGUGGAAUAUGGUGGAAGGGGGCACCGCACACGGCUAAGGAACGAUCCGUAGAUCAACUUGUGUGUCUAUGGGCUGCCCCCCGCCCCCGUAUAUAAAGGAGCCAGGGGGGAGGAGGCCGCCGGCCUAGGGGGCGCGCCAAGGGGGGGAGUCCUACUCCCACCGGGAGUAGGACUCCCCUUUUCCAAGUUGGAGUAGGAGAGAAGGAGGAAAGAGGGGAGGAGGAGAAGGAAAAGGGGGGGCGCCGCCCCCUUUCCCUUGUCCUAUUCGGACUAGGAGGGGGAGGGGCGCGCGGCCCCCUCCUUGCUCCUUCCUCUUCUCCCUCUUGGCCCAUGUAGGCCCAUUAACCUCCCGGGGGGUUCCGGUAACCUCCCGGUACUCCGGUAAAAUGCCGUUUUCACCCGGAACCAUUCCGAUGUCCAAAUAUAGGCUUCCAAUAUAUCGAUCUUUAUGUCUCGACCAUUCCGAGACUCCUCGUCAUGUCCGUGAUCACAUCCGGGACUCCGAACAAACUUCGGUACAUCAAAACUUAUAAACUCAUAAUAAAACUGUCAUCGAAAACGUUUAGCGUGCGGACCCUACGGGUUCGAGAACUAUGUAGACAUGACCUAAAACCAUUCUCGGUCGAUAACCAAUAGCGUGACCUGGAUGCCCAUAUUGGUUCCUACAUAUUCUACGAAGAUCUUUAUCGGUCAAACCGCAUAACAACAUACUUUGUUCCCUUUGUCAUUGGUAUGUUACUUGCCCGAGAUUUGAUCGUCGGUAUCCAAUACCUAGUUCAAUCUCGUUACCGGCAAGUCUCUUUACUCGUUCCGUAAUACGUCAUCUCAUAACUAACUCAUUAGUUACAUGCUUGCAAGGCUUAGGUGAUGAGUAUUACCGAGAGGGCCCAGAGAUACCUCUCCGACAAUCGGAGUGACAAAUCCUAAUCUCGAAUUAUGCCAACCCAACAUGUACCUUCGGAAACACCUGUAGAGCACCUUUAUAAUCACUCAGUUACGUUGUGACGUUUGGUAGCACACAAAGUGUUCUUCCGGUAAACGGGAGUUGCACAAUCUCAUAGUUGCAGGAACUUUGUAUAAGUCAUGAAGAAAGCAAUAGCAGUAUAUUAAAUGAUCAAGUGCUAGGCUAACAAAAUGGGUCAUGUCAAUCACAUCAUUCUCCUAAUGAUGUGAUCCCACUAAUCAAAUGACAACACAUGUCUAUGGUCAGGAAACAUAACCAUCUUUGAUUAAUGAGCUAGUCAAGUAGAGGCAUACUAGUGACUAUAGUUUUGUCUAUGUAUUCACACAUGUAUCAUGUUUCUGGUUAAUACAAUUGUAGCAUGAAUAAUAAACAUUUAUCAUGAUAUGAGGAAAUAAAUAAUAACUUUAUUAUUGCCCCUAGGGCAUAUUUCCUUCACUAACUUCUCGACCGGUCAUCCAUCCCUCUCACUACUCCAGCCCGAGCACGCUUAACUUUCAGGUUCUAUUCUCCUUCGUUUCCGAGUCUGCACUUGUUGUUUUCCUGACAAUAGUAAGAUGUCAAUCCUAUUAACCCUCAGGAGUUUAGCUUGAGCAUGAAGUCACACAUUUCACCGUUUGAGUUUGAAACUAUUAUUCUAAAAAAACAGUAAUUAUUUAGUAACGCUAAUAUUUCUUGAAUAAGUUUGACCAUAGUUUGACCAUAGUUUGACCAGAUUUGACCAAAAUUCAAAAAAUUGAAAUAAUUAUUUAGUAACACUAAUAUUCUUUGAAUAAUUAAGUAGUAACACUAAUAUUUCUUGAAUAAGUAGUUUGACCAUAGUUUGACCAAAGUUUGACCAGAUUUGACCAAAAUUCAAAAAAACUGAGAUACUUAUUUAGUAACACUAAUAUUAUUACGUAAUUAUUUAGUAACACUCUAUAUUUCUUGAAUCAGUUGUUUGACCGGUUUGACAAGAUUUAACCAAAAUUCAAAAAAACAUAAAUUAGAGCAUAUCUUUUUUUCCUUUUACAAUUUUGUCAUUUCAAAAAUUGUCCUAAACCCUAAACCCGGGACUUAAAACAUCGGAAUCUCUAUGCUAAAUAGUAAAAACUAAGGGUUUAAACCAUAAAACCUAACCCCAAACUCUGAAAUCUAAACCCUAGCACUAAACGCUAAAAACGUCUAAAAACGUCCAAAACGCCCAAAAACUCUAUUUUCCCUUUGGAAUUUUGUGAUUUUCAAAAAUUGUCGAAACGGAAAACUGGCUAGCCAAUCGAGCAGUUACCAGUUAACGAUUUCCUCAACAAUGGUUGUAAGAGAACUCCGCAUACGGUAGACUUUUAUCCCAACUAGUACCAUACUGCAAUGCACAAGCUCUCAACAUAUCUUCAAGAAUUUGAUUGAGCCUUUCUGUCUGUCCAUCAGUCUGAGCAUGAUAUGUUGUACUGAAAUUCAACUUCGUUCCCAAAGAUUUAUGCACUUUCUGCCAAAAGAUGGACGUGAACUGCGUACCUCUAUCAGACACAAUCUUCUUAGGAACUCCAUGCUGACAUACUAUUCUUUCCAUGUAUAGCUCUGCCAAUCUUGCCCCGCUAUAAGUAGUCUUGACAGGCAAAAAGUGAGCGACUUUAGUGAGACGAUCCACUAUUACCCAUAUAGAAUCAUAACCUUGUUGAGUGUGUGGUAAUCCCACUAUAAAGUCCAUUCCGACUUCUUCCCAUUUCCACUCAGGAAUCUUCAUUGGUUGCAACAAACUAGCGGGUCUCUGAUGCUCAGUCUUUACCCUCUGACAAGUGUCACAUAUAGCUACAUACUCAGCCACAUCUCUUUUCAAUCCAUACCAGCAGUAAUUCUCCUUAAGAUUUAGAUACAUCUUAGUACUUCCAGGAUGGAUAGAAUAGGCCAACUCAUGUGCUUCACGCAAAAUUGUAUCAUGAAUGGCUUUCACCUCAGGCACACAUAUCCUUUUCACAAAACAUAAGGUUCCAUUCUCAUCUAUUAUGAAGCCAGGUGCUUUACCAAUCACCACAUUCUCAGCUAUCUCCUUUAGCUUUUCAUCUUCUAGCCAACCCUUACGUAUUUCUUGCUCCAACGUAGGAAUCACUUUUAUCUCCAUAGCACUAGCAACAAUACCAAGAUUCAGAUGUUGCAACUCCGCAUACAACUCUUCUGCCUCUGGUCUCAACUUACGAUUGUUGUCAUAUUUCUUCCUACUAAGAGCAUCAGCUACAACAUUCGCCUUACCUGGAUGAUAAUGUACCUCCGGUUCAUAAUCCUUGAUUAACUCUAGCCCGCGAAGUUGUCUUAAAUUCAAACAUGUCUGAGUGAAUAUAUACUUCAAGCUCUUAUGAUCGGUGUAGAUAUCACUCUUGUGACCAAUCAGAUAGUGUCUCCAGAUCUUCAAUGCAUGCACCGCAGCUGCUAGCUCCAGAUCACGAGUAGGAUAAUUUAACUCAUGCUUCCUCAACUGUCUCGAUGCAUGCGUCGGUGGUGGUGACCUCAUGUCCGCUUGCACCGUGUUCGAUGAAACGCCAACGAGGGUCAAAAGCUUCAAACCGCAUCGGCAUCGCUCGGGUACACGCUGGAGUGCUGGAUGUGAUGCUUGGCCAUCUCCAACUCACGAGCGUGUAAGAGAGAAAUCAUGAGACAGUAAUGAUUUACUUUGGUUUUGCAAUGUUUUUAUUUUAAAAAUAGUUGGUUUAUCUUUGUAAAAUAGUUAUUUACAUGAGAAUUAUUGAACAAAAUAGUUUUUAAAGAGCAAUUUGCAUUCAAGCAGUCUUCAUUCUUAACGAAGCUACGAGUUCACAUUUGCUCUAACCAAAAGGUCUUCAGUUUUUGCCACCACAGGAGCCUUGUAUUAGCUCUUGCGGUGCGAACGGGAGCUCGGAUGUCCGUGCGACUAAGCUGAUCUAUGAAAGUGGCCUUGGUGAUCCUGUGCCCCGGUUGGUAGGUUGGGAGACAGCAGGGAUGCAAACCAGCGCCAACGAUGGGCGAAGAUUGCACGACGGAUGAGCGGCGCUAGAGAUGGAAAAUCUGCUGGAGCAGUUUAGGUGAAAGGAUAAAGAUGUAGUUUUCAUUUUUUUUUCUAAUAAUGAAAGUCAGACUCACUGUAAAGAUCGACGUGGGCUUAACUUUAUGGAACUGGGCCUUAUGACACGUAGGGCCCAUCUGAAGCUUCUAGAGGUGUUAAUCCUGUGGUUGAGAAUGUGUGUGACAAAGCCUGUGUUUGAAGGCAAGAAUCGCAGGGGUGAUUGGGAAGAACACUAAACAGGACAAUUUACAGUACAACAUGAGCAUCUCCAUUAAAAGGCAGCACUUUUCUUUAUCCAAUGUUAGUACUUAGCUAAAGUGAUGAUAACUUUUACUAUGUAUAGAUUGAUAACUUGAUUAAUUCAUGCAGUAUAACAUUCUUGUAGACUGAAAAAUGUACCUUUUUUGCAAUGCAUCUUCCAUUGUAUGAGAGAAUGAUUUUUGUGGUUAAUAAAGGUUCCUCUCUCCUUUAUUUUGUCUUUAUUUUUACAUGGUAGAACAGAAAAUCCGUGUUUAGUGUAGCAAGGGAAUGGGGUAUUUUUUUGGGUACUCUGUUUUGUUGCAUGAAGCUGGUAACAAAAACUACGGGGGGCUGGUAAUUUUUGCACUUAGUUGAUUGGUAACUCACUGCAAUAGGCAAAAUUAUGUUUUCUAGUGGUGAAAGGAUGGUAAUUUUUGCACAGAUUGGGAGGGGGGUCUGGUGGGCGUGGGGUAAGUCUUUGUAUUAAGCAGAAUUUUUUUGGAGAUCUUUGGAUGAGUCUUUGAUUCUUACCAGGGUGAGGUGAUGUUGCCUGGUGAUUUCCUCGCCGUAUCCCUGGUAAUUUCCAGCGCUCCCCUGAUGGAUCUGCUCUUGUUUGAUCCAGAUCUAGAGGAGGGGUAGGUCUUUGCUGUUGAUUUUGAGCAGCUNNNNNNNNNNNNNNNNNNNNNNNNNNNNNNNNNNNNNNNNNNNNNNNNNNNNNNNNNNNNNNNNNNNNNNNNNNNNNNNNNNNNNNNNNNNNNNNNNNNNNNNNNNNNNNNNNNNNNNNNNNNNNNNNNNNNNNNNNNNNNNNNNNNNNNNNNNNNNNNNNNNNNNNNNNNNNNNNNNNNNNNGAGGGUAUACUUGCGUGGAAGGUAGGGGGGGGGGGAAGUUGCGAUCUGGAAAUUGCUGUCGUGGGGGGAUGGCAUUUUCUGUUGGGCCUUGUACAGCGAUUGGCCUUGUUAGCUAACAGGGUGGUCGGCCUGUUUAGCUGGCGGGGUGGCGGGUGAUCGACAGGUAAGGUAAGUUUUCUAUCGGGCACACUGUUGCCAAAUAUCGCUGUCCAUAAACUAUAUGUCCAAUACUUGCACUCACGGGCAUUUUUGCUACUAUUAAUAAAUUGGUAAAAAUCAGAGAAUGCGAGGCCUGGCCAAAUGGGCCGGCCCGGCCUGGGUUAAACGGGCCCGAACCCCUCUUGCCCUCUCUCCUAUAAAAGCUGUGCUUUUACCCCCGCACUCCAUCGCCUCGCCGCCGUUCCCCGCAACACCCUGUCGACCCAAUCUCACAUCCUCCUCUCGCCCGCCCGAGGUGAGCACUUGUAGUUCCUCUGGAUUGGUUGGUAGGCGCUGGUUCGUAGGUCUCGGAUCCAGCCAGCGUGGUCUCCCUCCGCGUGCAUCCGGAGUUUCUCGUUCCGAUUGUGGUUGGUAGGCGCGGCGCGGCGCGGGUUCAUAGGUGUCGGAUCCAGCGCCGUCUGUAUCCUAUUCGUAUGUGGAACCUCGGCUAGGAUAGGAUUUAAUUAGUUAGGUUUUGUAUUAGGGUAACACCACCUAGGGUUCGAUUGAUUAUCCGUAACAAGGAAUCAAUCUGACGUUUUAGUUAGGGUUUGCUUGGUUGGUUGUGGUCAGAUUUUGGUUUCUCAUGAAUUCUUCAACUGUGCCUGUCGCGAUUUUGGGCGGAAAUUGAUGAUUGAUUUCGGGGGCAAAAUCCGAGGUAAUUUGUGGAUGAAAGAUGGGGAAACUUGGGGAAACCAAGCAAAUCCAUGGAUCAAAAUCAACAAAACUUCAUCAUGCCAACAAAUCACAAAAAAAAUUUGGUGGGGAAAUUUCGAAUUAGGACGAAAAACAACAAGAUCAAAGCUAGAAAACGAAUAUUAAUUUGGAUGGAAUUCAUGCUAUGUUGUUCGAUUUCAGUUUAUGCCUGCCAGAAUGUUUAAUUUUUUGUUUUAUCAACUGUGUUUGAGCGUACUAGAUUUUUUGUUGCAUAUUCAUCUUCUUGCUCUGUUUGGAUAGGUAACAAUUAAUAUUUGGGAUCCUAAAAUAUUUAUGCACUGGCAGCACUUAACCUGCAGCUGCUGAUUAAUGUUGUAUUCAUAUGUGCUGCUUUCCAGCUCUCUUGUUUCGAUAGGUAUUUGGUUAUCGUUUGGGUCUAUUUAUUAUCGUUUGUAAAUGCUGGUUUGGUUUUCUGUGCUCACUAUCCCCUUGCACAUGGGAUGCAAUUUUUUUAUUUCCCUGCUGUUUAGUUUAUUGUUUCCUUUGAUGGUAAAGAGGCAUUAAUUCUGGAGAUAGAUGCAAUUUUCUUGCUCACAAUAAUACAAUGAAUGAUGGCAUCUCUAUCUACUUUAACCAAAUUAUAUCAUAUUCCCCCCUCUGUUAAUUAUUUUUCUGUUUUGGGUAUUCAUUCAUUUUGUUUAGUUGCCUAUCAGUAUAAAUACAUGGCUGCAUUGCUUUCACUUCAUAUUAAUAACUAUUCUGUCGCACAAUGCAAAUAUACAUAUGCUGUCCUAACUAAUUAAGUAGAAGCUUGGAUUGGUGCUGUAUGGUCUCUUCCUGACAUUAAAUCCUCCUCUGUUUGUGCUGUCUGUUUCUGCUGCUGCAGUCUUCUUCGCCGCCAAAAGGAAAUGAUGCUCUACAAAAUCCGCUCCCAUGCCCAAAUCCAAGACCUGCAGGCCCGCUCCGAUGAGCUGGGCCUCUCCAAUAAGUCCAUGCUUGUGAGUCUUGUCUCUCUGGAGUCGGUGCGCAUAGCGUGGGAGUCGUAUGCGCUCCUCCGCCCGCUGAUCAAGGAGUCGUGGAUUUGGGUAUGCCCGCAGCUGGAAAUCCUCUCGGACGUGGCAGGCUUGUCGCUGGAAAUCCAAAAGCUCGAGCAUGAUGUGUUACCCCAGCUCAAGCUUCAGGAGGCUAAGCUGGAAAGGGGCGCCCUGGAAGCCCUCCUACUCAUGAAGAACUCAGCUGUUGCGCUCUUACAUUUGAGGAAGUGCUUUAAGGAAGACUUGGGCGUAUUGCUUGCCAAGGAGGAUCUGGUCUCAGCCAAAGUCAAAAGGCUGAGCAAAAUGCUAAAGUAUAUUGCUGUCCGGUUGCUUCAGGAGCGUGAAUGCAACAUUGUCGGGCUUCAGGAGCGUGUCCGGUUGCUGGUCCAGCUGGUCACCGAGGUGUUGAACACCCCGGUUCAUUUCGAUGAUUCUGAUGAGUCUUCUGAUGAGUCUUCUGAUGAGUAGACUUAUCAGCCAGCUCGAGACUGUUGUGAUGAGUGUUUCUUAGGGGCGUGGCAAACAGUUUAGAAUCGAAUGUUGCGAUGUAUUUCUUGUAACCUCCUUUAUGUUUGGAUGUGUUAUUAAUGGAUUUUAAAUUUUAUGUAUUUUGGGUAGUGUUUUCUCAUUCUGUGCUAGUAGGUACAGUCACAUGGAGGUAUUCGCUCUUUUUGGGGAAUAUAUGCCAAAAGAAUAUACUCCCUCCGUUCUUAAAUAUUUGUCUUUCUAGAGAUUUUAAUAAAUGACUACAUACAGAGCAAAAUGAGUGAAUCUACACUUUAAAAUAUGUCUACAUACAUCCGUAUGUUGAGUACAUUUGAAAUGCCUAGAAAGACAAUUAUUUCGGUGUUGAGUACAUUUGAGAUGCCUAGAAAGACAAUUAUUUCGGAACGGAGGGAGUAGUAUCUUAGAAAAGGCAUACUUUAGAAAGGCAUACUUUAGAACAUGGAUGGAUUCACUCAUUUUGCUCUGUAUGUAGUUUGGAUGAAUAUAGACAUACUUUAGAACGUGGAUUCUAAAGUAUGUAGUUUCCUAGUGAAAUCUCUUAAAAGACUUGGGCCCUGUUUGUUUAAGAAGUCCUAGGACUUUUUUUAGUCUAAGUAAAAAGUCUCUAGUCCCUAUCUAUUUGUUUUAAGGAACUAAACAUAAACUAGAGGAUAAUAAAUGACAUGUUAAAAGACCAUGUUGCCCCUAAACAUGGACUAGAGGGUAAUAAACUAGCAGUUGCGGGAGCAGACCAGGGAAAAGUCUUAAAAAGACUCUCAUAUAGGGUCUUUCUCUUUUUAGUCUCAAAUGCCUAGUUUAGCCCCUAAAAGUCCCUCCCGUUUGAUUAAAAAGUGACUUUUUCUAGUCCCUACACAAAGUCCCUGGGAAAAAACACCCACUUAUAUUUAGAAACCGAGGGAGUCCCUACACAAAGUCCCUGGAAACAAACACCCACUUAUAUUUAGGAACCGAGGGAGUAGUGCUUAUCUGUGAGUGUCCAUGAUUAAAGCUUUGCAAAUACCAUAAACAAAACUUCACCCUGUACUUAGCUGAAUUGAAUUGAAAUGUGAUUAGCCUUCCACUAGCCAGCCAAGGAGGAAGGAGCCCACCGUUCCAACCUCCCUAUCUCUAUUUCCUCUUGUUGCGCUCAUCUUCCCCUUCUCCUGACACGUAAAUCUAGUUGAGGACUGCGGCAGAUCUAGUUGCGUUGGUCACCGCGCAACAACCCUAGCCACGACGAGCUCCACCACCGUGCGGUCCGGGAGCCGCGCCGCAGUCCUCAACUAAACUAGGCUGCUCCACCUUGCCGUCACCAGCCCCUUCUCCGCCCACCUCCCCCUUCUCUUGACACGUAGAUCUAGUUGCGUCAGUCGCCGCGCAACAACCCUAGCCACGAUGAGCUCCACCACCGUGCGGUCCGGGCGCCGCGCCACACUCCUCAACUAAACUAGGCUGCUCCACCAUGCCNNNNNNNNNNNNNNNNNNNNNNNNNNNNNNNNNNNNNNNNNNNNNNNNNNNNNNNNNNNNNNNNNNNNNNNNNNNNNNNNNNNNNNNNNNNNNNNNNNNNNNNNNNNNNNNNNNNNNNNNNNNNNNNNNNNNNNNNNNNNNNNNNNNNNNNNNNNNNNNNNNNNNNNNNNNNNNNNNNNNNNNNNNNNNNNNNNNNNNNNNNNNNNNNNNNNNNNNNNNNNNNNNNNNNNNNNNNNNNNNNNNNNNNNNNNNNNNNNNNNNNNNNNNNNNNNNNNNNNNNNNNNNNNNNNNNNNNNNNNNNNNNNAUCUAGUUGUGCCGGUCGUCGCGCAACAAGCCUAGCCACGACGAGCUCCACCACCGUGCGGUCUGGGAGCCGCGCUGCAGUCCUCAACUAAACUAGGCUGCUCCACCUUGCCGUCACCGGCCCUUUCUCCGCCCACCUCCCCCUUCUCCUAACAUGCCCAAAACCCUCUCGAUCUUAAAAGCCCCGUAUCUUUUAUCCUGUUAGGUUUUUGGGGAUUCUAAAAAUCUUCAACGAGGUUCCCCUAGUUGAAUUCGGAUGUAACUUUUCGAGUAGAUGACUUUUCAUAUAAAAAACUUUUUAAUCCGAGUUCGUAUGCAAAGUUAUGCCCAUUUUACUAAAUUCCAGAGAGAUUUUGUAAAUAAAGUCGAAAUUCAUAUUUAUAAAUUUUCCCAACAACUAGACCACAUAUCACACGGGAAACUUCUUUUCUUUUAUUUUUUGAACAUUUCCAUCAUUUUCUUUUAUUUUUUUAAAACUGAAAAGGCGGUCCACAAGGGGGGUGCAUUUAGUAAUGAUGCACCUUCACAAAGUGCGCCAUUACUAUGUGUAUGACUUGGUCAAACCUUGGUCAAAGUUAGUAAUGACGCAAACUUAGUAAUGGCGCACCUAUGCAAAGUGCGCCAUUACUAAGUUUGACCAAGGUUUGACCCAGUCAUACACACAGUAUCAAACCUUGGUCAAACUUAGUAAUGGCGCACUUUUCACCUAGUGCGUCAUUACUGUUUUGGUUACUAAUGGCGUACCUACACAUGACGCGCCAGAUGUAUAGUGUGUCAUUAGUGUCCAUAUUGGCUAUAGCUAUUUUUCUAGUAGUGUGCUAUAUGCCUAGACUCAUUGCAGCCUCGUCGAUCAAACUAAGCUGCCAUCCAGAGGCUACAGAUUCAAGUACACAGGUAGGAAGAACAUAUUGCAGAGAAUCAAAUUAAGCAAGUGGCAAGUAAUGAUGAAUGAAAUUCAGCAAUCUUACCCUAAACAUAGCUACGGCCGCCGUUCAGACAAGGAGAACGGCGAGGGAAGCGUGGAGAACGGCGGGGAAGCGAUGUCGCGACCAUUGUCCUCCUCCUCUUGCGCUUCGGAGUCAUCUUCGACUCGGUUGGAGGCUCCACAAUCUGCAACGGCACCUCGUGCACCGUGGGUUCCUGAUCUAGUGGAUUCUUUACCUUGGAUCAGAACGCUCACCACCUUCGUCUGGUCCACGGGCUGGACGAAUCGGCAUGCUCCAUCGCCCAGAGGAGGAUCUCGACGAAGUGCAUCGGUUGUGCGGGUGAGGGGGGGGAAGCUUUGCCUUCUCUCUACUCAUCAUUUGCUUCAAAGUGGCCAUUGUCGUCCAGUGCAUCUGACUUGUGUUGUGAAACCAAGAACGGAUCUCCGUCAACCUUCUCAUCUUGAUCUGGUCGCCGUAGGCGAUCUCCAUGAAGUCGGCGUUCUCGCCGCCGGCGAUCUGCUCGAUCUGCUGCACCAUCGAAGUUUUUGCGUGGAUGGAAGAGGGGGAUGGAUGUGGAAGCUGGGAAGAGCAAAGUUGCGGCCGCGAAAAGGAGGAGAAGGCUAGGAGAUGGCCGCGGUUGUAAUGGUGAUGGAAGAGGAGAAGUUUCACGGCGGUGGCCAUUUUCAUUGGACGAGAGGGGCAGCGGUUUUGCAUUGGACGAGAGGGCCACCUUAUCAUAUUUUCCUAGGACUAAAAUGCCCCUAGAUUAAAAGGUGUCCCCACCUUAUCAUCAGUACUUUCGAGUACUUUCAUCCGCGUACUUUCGAGUACCACGUAUGUAUGCACUGUUAGAUCGAGGCAAGCGAACGGCUCCAAAAAACGCCAACUACUGUAAAAGUUGUACUGAAGUAAUUAUCAUAUCUCACACUAGUGCAGAACCGGCCUUUAGUGCCGGUUCGUGACGGUCUUUAGUGCCGGUUCACCAACCGGUACUAAAGAGUGGGGACUAAAGGUCUCCCCUUCAGUACCGGUUCGUCACGAACCGGCGCUAAAGUGCAAACACGUGGCACGAGCCAGGCCCGGGUGCGCGUAGGGCUUUAGUACCGGUUGGUAACACCAACCGGUACUAAAUGUUUGGGUGUUUUUUUUAAUUUUUUCUUUAAUUUUGUGUUUUCAAUUUAAUUUAGUGAUUGUUUUACAUUAUAAUGAGUUGUUAAAUCAUUAGGUGAAAGUACCGCGGAUUAGUUUCGACUGGAUGCAUUUGGAUCUAGCUAGCUAAGUGAAUAAGUAUAUGCCAUAUCCAUAUUAUACUUGAUCACCUAAUUAGGUGAUCAAGUAUAAUAUAUAUGGAUAUGGCAUAUAUAUACUUGAUUACUUAGGUAGGAUCCAUCCAGCUGAAACUAAUCUGUGGUCUUUCAUUAAAUGAUAUAAUAACUCAUCAUCAUCAUUAUCAUAUUAAUAUAAAAACUCUUACAUCAUAUCAUCAACAUGAGUAUAUAUAUAUACUCUAGCUAGCUAGCUAAAAAUCAUCAUAGUCGUCAUUAUCACUAUUUAAUCAUCAUAGUUAUUACCGCUAUCUAAUCACCACCAAUAGUAGCUUAAAGAAGAAACAUUCACUUGUACCAGAAGCAAAAAUAUCAUCGAGUUCAACAUGAUUGUCAUGAUAUUAUAAGCGUUCAUAUAUAACACCACAAAAGCAAAUCACUCUUUGAGAUUAAGUUCAAAACGAAGAACACGAACAUGAAAGGACAAGUACUAAGAGCAGCAUGAACUAGCUAAAUCACUCCUGCUAGCUACUCUCUCUCUGGUAAAAUAGCAUAGAACAUGUAUAGCUCUCCUGAUUCAUUAUACUGGAGCAUGCAGAUGAGCCUGUCUCCUAAUCGUGGGCUGCGCUUCUCAUUGCUGCCCCCUAGUACUUCUCUGCGAUCGUUAACAAUUUUCCUCCAAUCUUUCACUAUUAAGCAUUCAUCGCUUGUAGAAAUCUUGAAUGCAUUCAUAUGCAAUGCAGGAUAUCUUGGCCGUAAGCUAACAAUUGACAUGCGACCUUUAGUCUCGAUCACCUGAGGCACAACUGUCAUCGGGAGUACCUGUUGAAGAACAUCGUAUAGUACUUAAUUAAUAUACUUAGUAAUGAAAGUUUAGCAAAAAAAUUAUGUAUGCAAAAGAUGCACUAAGGACAAAUAGUAAAAAUCUUACCAUCAUUCCUAAAUAGAUGUGACCGUAGUUCAAUACCAUCACUAUUGGUCGCACGUUUUGAGUACUAACAUUUCUAAGUGCAGGAAGAAAAUUUGUCUUGACAGUAUGAAGAUCCUCAAGCCAUGAAACAUAAUGACUUAUCUCCUCGCAGUUUAGUUCAACUCCGGGACAGUAGUAGGUCCUGUCUACCAAGCGUCGGACAUGUUUGCUUGAAUGAAAAUAAGCUGUCAAUAGAAAUUAGUUGUCAAUUAUUUUUGAAUAAGCAAUAUCAAAGACAAAAUUAAGUGCCCGUUUAACUGAUGAGUUCUCGUCCGAAACCGCUGAAGACUCAUAUUGAGUCCACAAAUUAUACACAUAGAGUUUAAUGAAGACCAAAUGCUUGUGAUAGUUUGAAAAAUAACAUAUUUAAAUUGUGCAUCUGAACGUAGAAAAAAUACAUUGAUCAGUACCGCCUUUCAGCCAAAACGCGCUACUGCUACAGAGAAGUACAUAUAAAAAAAUACAUUGAUCAUCAAUGAUCUUUUUGUAUAGAAUCUAAAUCGUCAAUAGGAAUCUACCACCGAUUUAAGAACCGGCGAAGACUCCUAUUGCAGCCACAGAUCCUACACAUAGAGUUCAAUGAAGACCAAAUGCUUGUGAUAGUUUGAGAAGUAACAUAUUUAAGGUGGUCAAAUUCUUGUUAGGGGAGCGAGGUGGGACUAAAAAUAGCGCGUGCCACAACCUCUUUAGUACCGGUUCGUGCCACGAACCGGUACUAAAGAUGCUGAUGCCCGGCCAGCACCUUUAGUACCGGUUCGUGGCACGAACCGGUACUAAAGAUUCACAAUGAACCGGUACUAAAGGUCUCCUCCCGCCUAGUCAUUUGAACCGACACUAAUGGACGCAUUAGUGCCGGCUCAUAUGCAAACCGGUACUAAUGUUUUUCAUAUUUGACCCUUUUUCUACUAGUGUCAUGUUCAUGAACCCUUUUGUCCCAAAAUAAGUGUCAUGGUUUUAGUUUUAAAUUUAAACUAAAAGCACGACACUUAUCAGGGAGUAUAGUACGUAGUUAGUACAGAAUAUUUACCCGCAAUAUAAGCGUUAGCAAAGCUUUCUCUUCUUGUGCUUGGAGGUUUUAGUACAUGCGCUCACCAGCCUCUUCUUAUAGGCAGACAGGUGCGCUACCUUGUCAGUGAGAGUAGAAGAGUGGGCGGCGAGCUUGGACAUCAAAUCCUUCAACAGAGCAGGGCAGCUUCUGGAGACAUGAUCGAUCGAAGUCGUGUGUCGAUCGCCAUGGCCUCGUCUAGUUUUUUUUUUUGAGGGGGAGGCCUCGUCUAGUUUGGUGGGAGAGUUGAUGAGCAAGUCAAAGCACGCGUCCUNNNNNNNNNNNNNNNNNNNNNNNNNNNNNNNNNNNNNNNNNNNNNNNNNNNNNNNNNNNNNNNNNNNNNNNNNNNNNNNNNNNNNNNNNNNNNNNNNNNNNNNNNNNNNNNNNNNNNNNNNNNNNNNNNNNNNNNNNNNNNNNNNNNNNNNNNNNNNNNNNNNNNNNNNNNNNNNNNNNNNNNNNNNNNNNNNNNNNNNNNNNNNNNNNNNNNNNNNNNNNNNNNNNNNNNNNNNNNNNNNNNNNNNNNNNNNNNNNNNNNNNNNNNNNNNNNNNNNNNNNNNNNNNNNNNNNNNNNNNNNNNNNNNNNNNNNNNNNNNNNNNNNNNNNNNNNNNNNNNNNNNNNNNNNNNNNNNNNNNNNNNNNNNNNNNNNNNNNNNNNNNNNNNNNNNNNNNNNNNNNNNNNNNNNNAGGUGGCGGCCGGGCGUUUUUGCUGGUUCUCGCGCGCGCUCGAGGAGGGGUGUUGACUCGCGGUGGAUCUGGGGGCUGAGCUCGGGUCGGGCGGCGGCGUUUGGCCCGUCAGCGCGGAGAUGGUGGCCCGCCGGUCGGUGCAGAGGCGGCGUCUCGCAGGUGCUGCUGCUUCCUGGUGCCGCGGUGCUGUGGGCGGGCGUGGGCGGGCGCGGAUCUGGCGCGGCGACGAGCGGCACCUGUGGUCCGCGUGGGAUGGCGGUGGGAGGCGCGCGUGGGGCGCGGCGGCUUGCCGGCGCAGGCAGGCCUUGCGGCGGGCUACCGUGGGGGGCAGGCUGGUCGGGAUGCGGCUGUUCCGGCCGGCGUCUGCAGGCUCGUGGCGGCGGCGGUGUGCCACGAGUGAGGACGACGACGCGGCGGCGUCGCACGGGAUGGGCGGUGCACAACUUCUCUUCUGCGGCCGGUGGAGGCGUGGCUCCACUUCCUCGAGGGAGGCUGUCUGGCAAUGUGUGGAUGAGCUUGCCAGCCCUGUGGUGCGGGGGCGGGCUCGGGCGGCGGCUUCGGCCGCGAGGGGCGCAGCAGGAUGUCGCGAGGACGCCCUGGUGAUGCGCGGGUCGGGGGCCCGGGUUGUCGGCGAAGAGUGCCCCAGCUGUGGGUGAUGCUGAUUCGUGUUGGGUAGCUCCGAUGGUGGUGGUGGUUGGUGGGCUCGCUGGUGCUGGUGCGGGAUGAUGUGUGGCUGAGGUGGUGUGGGAGCUUGGGUGAAGACCCUGUCCCGGUCUUGUGCCGUGACCAGUGAUGGCGGUGGCUGUGGCCGUCGUUGACCUUCCUGGAGGCAUCGCUGUUUUGUUGCCGCUCCCCUCCUGCACGGAUCCGGCCAUCUCGGCCUCUCCGGGGGAAACCCUUGAUCUGUGAUCGGACGAUGGCGGCGCCUUGGCGUCAUUUUCCCCUCUUGGGGGCUUCGUCUUGGGAGCCCGGCAUCGGUGGGCGGGACCCGUGGAUGGCGGCAGUUGUGGCGACCAGGCUUCUGUGGCAACGAUGACGGUGGGAGCGAUGUCGACGACGCGGCAAUGGUUGCGGUAGUCGGCUCUUCCCCGGCGUGUCUGCGGUUUUGCCUCAGUUUGUUCGUUGCUGUGGAGUCGAAGCUGCGGUGGCGGCGCCCUGUGAUAUACGAUGACCGGCUGCAGGUGGCCCGUUCGGCGAUCUCCCGUGGCGCCAGCCGUGCCUGGUUUUGUUCUUCAGAGUUCUCCGUCAGAGUCGGAGCUACGCUGUCUGGCCGCAGGUGGCUGAGAUUUGGCGCAGAUCUUCAUGUAGCUUCACACGUCCGCUUUGGUGUGGGUUGAGUCGACGAUCACCUGUGGCGAAGUCGGAGUCGUUUGCUCAGAGUGUAGGGAUGGCGAUGACGCCUCUAGGGGAGGAGUAAUGACGAUGACGCCUGCGUGCUGUCUCGACGAGACCCUCUUUGGAGUGGUGUGUGUGGGGUAUCUUAUGUGUGCCGCUCAGCUGUUGUGAGGGUUUUCGCUCGGUUCUCAUAAUUAACCGUGCAAUCUGGUUUUCGCUCGGUUUUCCCUAAUUAACUGAGCAACUCUCUUCUGCUUAUUUAAUCGAUGAGGCAAAACUUUUGCCUCCGUUUCAAAAAAAAGCACGCGUCCUUGAGCCCUUGGCCAGUGAUGCUGCUCAGCGUGGUUGCCACGGUACUCACGUCCAUGUGAGGAUGUGCCUGCACAAUCUAUCCUCGCAAACCAGCUUGAGCCUCUCUACACUAUUGGGAUUCUGUCCUACGCCGAGUGCCACGGACACUCGGCAAAGGGCCGAAAACUGCCGGCAAAGCCUUUGCCGAGUGUCACCCUCGACAAAAGCCACCCGGCGUACACCUCUUUGGCAAACAGGAGUUUGCCAAGAGCCAGAACACGGACACUCGGCAAAGACUUUGCCGAGAGCCAAACAAUACCACUCGGCGAAAUAAAGUAGCUAACGGAUAGCAGCCGGUGACGGCGGUUCCUGACACAUGGGACCAGGGGCCAUCUUUGCCGAGUGCACCUCUCGGCAAAGCCAGUCAGUAGGUGGCCGACACGUGGUAGCUCCUGACACGUGGGACUAGGCGAACAGGCCGAGGGCCAUCUAUGCCGAGUGCCCCUCUCGGCAAAGCCAGCCAGUAGGUGGCCGACACGUGUCAGCUCCUGACACGUGGGACCAGGCGAACAGGCCGAGGGCCAUCUAUGCCGAGUGCCCCUCUCGGCAAAGCCAGCCAGUAGGUGGCCAACACGUGUCAACUCCUGACACGUGGGACUAGGCAAACAGGCCGAGGGCCAUCUUUGCCGAGUGCCCCUCUCGGCAAAGCCAGCCAGUAGGUGGCCGACACGUGUCAGCUCCUGACACGUGGGACCAGGCAAAUAGGACGAGGGCCAUCUUUGCCGAGUGCCCCUCUUGGCAAAGAGUGCCACCUUUGCCGAGGGUGGCUCUCGGCAAACUCUAUAUUUGCCGAGCGCCACUCUCGGCAAACUCAGCCAAUAGGGGAAUGCCACGUCACUUCUCCUAAAAGCCGUGAAAAUAUUUUGUCGAGAGCCACCAUCAGCAAUUCUUUUUCCUUUACCGAGAGCCCUCUUGGUAAAGUUGCCAGGAGGGCUACAUGUUAUUACCCUUUACCGAGAGACCUCCCGGUAAAGUUGCCAGGAGGGCUACAGGUUAUUAUCCUUUUUCCGAGAGUCCUCUCGGUAAAGGGUGCGUUCUGGUCCAGUUUCAGAGUCAUUGCCGAGAGCAGCCCUCGGCAAUGGUGUGUCCAGGAGCCUUUUUUCCCUGUUUCUAUUUCUUUCCUGCAGCGAAACAUAUACAGCAGCAGCAUAUAGUUCAUCACACAUACAACAUGUCACAUAUAGGCAUCAUUGAACAAAAGAAGCAAUGAUUGAUUCUGAAAAACAUUCCACAUAAAAGCAAUGGUGCAUCAAAGCAAUAGACCACAAGUUUACAAGUCUCAAGAUGCAAGAGUUCUCAACAUACAAGGAACAGUUUCAAACAUAACAUGAAGUUCACGCGAUUUUGGAGAUCGGACUGAUAACAUCGACAUUAGAAGGCAUCAUUCCGUUUGCUGCCCCAACUCCAUCAACCAGAGUGAUCACAUCAACAUUAGAAGGCAUCAUUCUCUUUGCUGCCCCAACUCCACAAACUUGAGGUGGAACUACCGGAACAUUGUUCGACCCUUGUGAUCGGUUGAGCUGUGAUGGAUUGACCCAAUAGUGAGAUGAAUGCAUAUGGUAAUGCCGAAAAUGGUGAUAGAAAUAGUUUGAACAAAACUCACAAUGUUCCACUCUGGUGUCGGUGGCAUCUCUGGCACUGGUUGGCCUUGCAUGGAAUAAAGAUUGGCCACCAUAUGUUGUAAAGAAUUCACUAGAUCAUCUUGUGCCUUCAGCUUGGCCCGGUUUUCAUCUCGUUCUUUCUCGGUGUCAAUCAGUCGAGUCUACAAUAUGGCAAUGCAAAUGUCAUUCAUGUUGAAAUGCAAAUAUCCUCAAUAAUGAAGAAGGAUCAAUGAAGAAGGACCAUGAAGGAUCAAUGAAGAAGCACUGACCUGAAUAUCCUCAAUAAUGCUCACGGACUAUGGUACGUGAUGCUCUACGGUAGGAGUAGAGCCAGUACUCAUAGCACGGAGCGUGUUGACUCUUGAAAGGGAGGAGGUUAUGAAAAAAUCGAGGUGAACCGCCAUCCGGCCAUUCGGUCUACCGCCUGCCGCGGCAAUGGCCACAAGAGGGUCAAACGGUAGCACGUGAGGAUCAGCGUCAGGCCCGUACGUCUCCUUCAAUUUUUUGGUGUAGUUCUCUCCAUCUGACUGGGCUUUAGAGCUGAUCCAGUCCCUCUCCGGGUGGAGAGGGUCCUUGUCCUUGUCGUCUUUGGUACGUUUGAUGGUCCAUGCCUCGAAGUAAGUGAUAUCCUUGCCAGUGUCUUCUUUGUGCAAAAGAAAGUGAUCCAAACAAUCAAGGGAAUGCUCACAAAUGAAAGAGAACAUGAUGAAAAGAAAAGGAUGUGGUUGCCUACAUGUUUUGAGACGACACCUGGGAUGGUGAGGUUGCCUUGACGGUGUCCUCGACUCCCCAUCAACUUACGCCGUUCAGAUAUUACUUUGUGUUCAUCCUGCCACCCUAGAUCUGUCCACCGUUCGACGAUCUUCUCCCAGCACGGACGUUUGUCAGUGCACCACCGAGGAAUCACCUGUAGAUUAAACAAAUACAUCUUAGUAAGGAUUCUAAUUUUGCCGUAGUGUAGGAAAUAGCAAGCAUCCAUCGUCACUUGCCUUGAAGUAAUUGUCCCGUGAAAGAUGCGUCCCUCGAGCCUCCUGUUUGGAAAUCCUAUGGUUGAGAUAGUCCGCGUGAUACUUGACCACUAACCGGACGCGCUCCUCAUAGUGCAUGUCGUGGACUAGUUUCUUGGCAAUAUUCUCAACCACCACAUUUGCACGAUCCUUCUGACCCUCAACGCAUGUAUAGAAAUCCUACAAACAUGCAUACAUGUGAGAAGGGUUAAAUCAUGACUAUGGAAAAUUUAAACCUUUUGGUAUUGACAUUUAGGUGUUUGAAAGGACUUACCCAGAAAUCGUUGACCACUCGCAUGGCUCUGUUAUCAAAAACCCUCUGACGCAUAUCCAGGAAAUCCGGUGCAAGUUUUUAGUGAUCCCAUGACCAAGCUGGCUCAAUGAUACCGUUCGGCAAAGUGACCAGUCCAGGAUAAUUUAACCUACAAAGACCCCCAAUGAUGCCACUCGGCGACCGUGGCAGACGCCUCUCACCACCUUUUACUAAGCUUCUGCAUUUCGAGGAGUGAAGUCAUAUUAUAUGUGAGGAAAUGACAAAAGGUACAAUUUAUAUGGGAUGAGUCGAGAUAACCACUUACUUCUCUCCCAUUGGUUUAAUCAACACGUCUCUAUGCACAUAUGGACGUCUUGGAAGCUUUGAAGGACCACGCAACCACACUUUUCCUCUGGAAGUAGUGCUAAUAGUCGAACCGCUCGGCAGCGAACCGCUCACCUCGUGGUGCUCUGUCACCCGUGAGGGUCCAUCCCCACCCUCAGAAACCUAACGAACAACCAGCCUCCUCUCGGCGGCGGCGUCCUCCACCACCACCUCCUCCUCAUCCUCCACCACCUCCUCCGCAAAAUCCUCCUCCUCCUCCUCCUCACACGCCUCAUCCCCAUCCUCUGUUUCCUCCUCCUGAGCACGGUGAAGCACUGCAUCAGAGGGUCGAGGAGAAGAAAGAGGUGCUCUACUCCGGGCUGCACGUACUCCUCGUCCACCUCCUCCUCCUGCCUCACCUACUCCCCCUCCUCGUCCGCCUCCUCCUCCUGCCUCACCUACUCCCCCUCCUCGUCCACCUCCUCGUCCGCCUCCUCCUCCUGCCUCACCUACCCCUCCUCCUCGUCCNNNNNNNNNNNNNNNNNNNNNNNNNNNNNNNNNNNNNNNNNNNNNNNNNNNNNNNNNNNNNNNNNNNNNNNNNNNNNNNNNNNNNNNNNNNNNNNNNNNNNNNNNNNNNNNNNNNNNNNNNNNNNNNNNNNNNNNNNNNNNNNNNNNNNNNNNNNNNNNNNNNNNNNNNNNNNNNNNNNNNNNNNNNNNNNNNNNNNNNNNNNNNNNNNNNNNNNNNNNNNNNNNNNNNNNNNNNNNNNNNNNNNNNNNNNNNNNNNNNNNNNNNNNNNNNNNNNNNACGUGGUACUCGACCUUGUUUCGCACGUUUUGCCAGAUGGGUGUCUAGACCCGCCAAUCCUUUGGCCUUCUUGGCAGUUGUGGCCACCGAUGAAGGAGCGGCCACCACUUUCACCGGGCGAGUAGGUUGAUCAUUGUACAGAUCAUUCACUUUUUUCAAACUUUCCUUUGGAAUCUUCUUGCUACCUGUCAUGUUCAAUCACCUGAUACGAAGAAGAACAAACCAGUUAGUACAGAUGAUACAACUUGAUGUACAAUAAAUAUAUCACAUAUGAAGAAUAAAUGGAAUUGUCACAAUAAUACAUAUAGUUGUUACACACACAAAUACAUAGAGUUGUUGCACACACGAAUACAUAGAGUUGUUACACACACGAAUACAUAGAGUUGUUACACAGAUGAAUACAUAGACUUGUGACACACAUACAUAGAGUUCUCACACGAUUACAUGGAGUUGUUAGAAAUAAGGGUCAAUAUUAGGUGCAUCAUUUGGAUCAGGGCUUUCAUCAUCGCUAUCACGCCCGUUCAUACAUUCAUCCUCAAAGUCUUCAGGGGGGCCCUCAUCCUCAUCUAGCCCCAUGUGCCAUCGCAUAAGUAAUGCCAAAUCUCGAGGGUCAAAAACAUCCUCGUAUUUGUCCUCUACAUUAUCUACUUCCAUGUCAUCCAUGGCCUCAUGUUCCAUAGCAUCAUGUUUGUGAUGCACGCCACCAUCUUCCUUUGCAUAAUCUUCAUCUUCGUUAGUGUCUGCUUCUUGAAAGAACUCUCCCUCAUAUGUGUUAGGGUUUAUAUGGUAAUCGUCCUUGUUUGGGGUAGGUACCUUGAUAUGCGGGGAUACCUUGUACACGACAUCCCACUUCAAGAGAUCGAUAUAUCCCGUAGAUGUGCACGCGUAUGGGAGAAAAAACACUUGCGUAGCUUGUUGAGCCAUAAUAUAGACAUCAUUUCCUGCAUAUUUCGAAGCUCGUUCAACUUUGGCAAAGCCAAUACUAGGGGUUCGUCUCACUUUCUCAGGAUGGAGCCAGCUGCAUCUGAAUACGAUGGGCUUCACUCCUUGUAAACCACAAUACUUCAACUCAUAAAUUUCUUCGAUGGUUCCAUAGUAGUGACGUCCAUCUGUCCCUAGACAAUAGACCACACUAUUUAUUGACCUUCGGUUGGGCCUCUCACGCGUGUGUUUAUCAGUGUGGAAGCGAUACCCAUUCAUGUCGUAAGCCUUAAAUAACUUGGCCUCGUAUUCAAAACCUUUGGCUACUUCUCUCGCUUUGGCGUCCAUAUCAACCUCCUGAUAUGCCUACAAGAUUAAUAGGAAAUUGUCUGGUUCAUUAGUGGAAGCAUUACAGGCAAGUAAGAUCAACUUGAAGUAACAUAAAGUUAGAAAAGUUACUUUUCUUGAGAACCAAGAAAUGAAACCGCCAACAGCAUUGGUAUCUUCAAGAAGGUUUGCCGAUUCUUCGUCGCUAGGAGGCCAUGGUAGCUUCCAGAAUUCGUUCUGCAAUUCCCUAGCAAUAUGAAGAAUUCGAGUUAGAACUCAAGACUAGUGGUAGUUGUCAAUAAAGGUGAUCUACACUUACUCUAUGUAAGGUUGCACUUCUUCCAUGUUGGUCAAGACAUAGAUCAUAAUAGUCGACCACUCAGUAAGUGAAAAGUUCUUGGGCUGCGGUCCACUUGCUUUGCCACCUUGGCCUUCGAAGAGGCUAAGGUCGGAAACAUUACUAGUGGGUUCUUCAUUGUAACGAGGAGCUGGAUUUAACCUAGUAUGAAUACUGUCAUGAUAGUACUUUGUCGUGGUCGUGGCCACCUCCUCGUUCAGGUAUGCCUCGGCUAUGGAGGCUUCAAUGCGGGUUUUAUUCUUACAUUUCCCACGAAGAUGCUUGAACUCCCGUUCAGGUGCAUACUGCCAUCGGAACUGCACAUGUCCUCCCAUUCUAGCCUCAUACGCGAUAUGUAAGAUCAUAUGUUGCAUCGAAUUAAAGAAACCUGGCGGAAAUAUCAUCUCUAACUUGCAUAGCAACUCAGGUGCUUGUUCCUCCAACUUUGCAACCACUUCAUAAUCUAGUUCUUUGGCACAAAGCUGAUGGAAGAAGUAGCUCAACUCCGCCAGCACUCGCCAAAUAUCCUCUCUGACAUACCCUCGAAUCAUCACAUGCAUUAUCCGCUCAAGCCAUACAUGGUAGUCAUGACUCUUGAGGCCUCCUAUUCACUUUGUAGCCAUAUUGACUCCCCUCAUGAUAUUAGCUGCAUAUCCAUCAGGGAAGUACAAGUUGUUCACAAUCCAUUGGAGAAUUUCCAUCCUUUGGGGCAUUGAAGGGGUGAAAGGGGCUGGUGGCUUCUUCCAAGAAUUACCUUUUGCACGAGGCACCAAAUUUAAUUUUGGCCUGUUGCAUAGUUUGGCUUGAUCGAUCCUAGCCUAAAUGUUAUCAUUUGACUUCUCGGUGUCGAGGAGCGUGCCGAGUAAGGCCUCCGCAAUAUUAUUUUCAGUGUGCAUUACAUCAAUGUUGUGUGGAAGUAGAAGAUCUUUAAAGUAAGGGAGCCUCCAUAAGCUUGGAAUGUGGUGUGUCUCUCCAUACCCCACAAAACCUUUCCCAUCGAGCUUUUCCCCGAGAGCAUCUAACUCAUCCUUAAGCUGGGCACCGGUCAUAAUAGGUGGUGGCGGGUCAUCAACAAUAACACCUUUUUGGAAGUGCAUAGCGUCUUGCCUGUAUGGGUGAUCAAGACGAAGGAACUGCCGAUGUUGGUCAAAGCAUACAUACUUGUCACCCUUAGCCAGCCAAAUGAAAGUCACACGCUGUCGACACACUGGGCAAGGCCACUUCCCCUUUACACACCAACCACAAAAUAUUGCACGUGCCGGUAGGUCAUGUAGCGAUGUGUGGUACCAGAUAUGCAUAGUGAAGUGCUUCUUUGAAACGGCAUCGUAUGUCCGGACCCCGUUGUUCCAAGCAACAAGUAAGUCGUCCACCAAUGGCUCCUUAUACACACUCAUAUGCUUCCCGGGAUAGUUAGGACCUGGAAUUAUCAACGUCAGGAACGUGUGAUGUCAUUGCAUGCAAACGCCAGGGGGCAGAUUCAGGGGGAUAACAUAUACUGGCCAACAACUGUAUACGACAGCCAUCAAACCAUAUGGAUUGAACCCGUCGGUUGUUAUCCCAACAGCUACACUCUUCCAGUCAUCUAUUUUCUUAUGAAUUUCAACAAAUUUCUUCCAUGCUUCACCAUCCUAUGGAUGUUGCAUCUUUUUUGUAUUGUACAUCUUCCCUUCGGCGGCCCAUCUCAUAUAUUGGGCAGUUUCCUCGGUCAUAUAAAGCCUCUGGAUCCUUUCUAUGAACGAAAGAUAUCGAAGGAUAUUGACGGCAAUUGUGAGCUGCCUCUUGCUACCAUCAUCAUCUAUUACCUCAAUAUACCUAGAGGAUUUGCACUUGACACAAUAAUUCGUAUCUUUAUGUUCAUUUCUAAAUAGCAUGCAUCCGUUUGGACAAGCAUGUAUUUGCUCAUACGACAUCUUAAGUGAACUGAGGAUUUUGUUCGACUCGUACAUGUUCUUUGGCAAUAUAUGUUCUUUAGGCAACAGACCAGCAAUAACUGACAAUAAAUCAAUGAAGCAAAUUAUGCUCAUGUUAUGGUUUGCCUUCAGGGCCAUUAGGCGUGCAAUGCCAUCUAGUUGAGUAACCUCUGUAUGGGCGUGAAGGGGUUUUUGUGCCGCAAACAAAGCUGCAUGAUACUCUUCAGGGCUUUCCGGCGGCUCCUCGGAGUUCGGGUCCUCUCGCGGAUCCGCACGACGGAUGUCAUAUAAUAGGUUUUCAAUCCGAGUAUCAUAUUCGCCAGCGCGUUGUCGCACCACCUCCGCCCUGGACUGUUCUGUCUCACCGUGAAAGAUCCACCGGUAAUAGCUUGGCGUAAACCCAUAUUUGCCUAAGUGUUUACUCAUAGUAAUCUUAUCUCUUUCAUUCUGGUUAUCACACUCCGUGCAUGGGCACCAAAUUCCACGAACUGGCGUUUCUGCAACAAAUAAUAAUUCCAGGAAAUCAUUGGUCUUCGACCUCCACUCAGGGGUCAUACUCUCCAUGCUGGGAUGUCCGGUGUACAUCCACUCACGUUCUUCCAUCCUCUGAUAUAAAGUUAAACACACACACAUAAUUUUUUUAUGUAACAAGUGGUUCCAUCAAGUUUUAUGACAUGCACUGAGCUAUGUAAUAGGUAAAGAUAGGUCCUAAUCACACCCGAGAAUGUGUAGGCUGGGUCCGCUUUCAUGACGUACUCCGACCCGAGACAAAAUUUCGGCAGCACCUCCCCGCUGUUCUCCAAAUACACGUCUCAGCAAUAAGCCAAGAGGAUGUGUAUCUAGAGAACAACAAGGAGACACCAUCGAAAUUCUGUCUCGGAUCUUAGUACAUCAUGAAAACGACCCGCCUACACAUCCUCGGGUUGUCCAUGGAAAAUGUGGACAAUUCGAAAGAGUCAAGGUUAUAAAUAUGCAAAAACAUGCAUAUUUAUAGAUACAACCCUUCCGAACGGGAGACACCUAGGUUACGCGACUAUUUAGGUGAUCUACAAAUAAUGAAAACCUACACAUGAACGGGAAGAGAUUACCCUUGAAGCGUGCAACGGAAUUCACUCUCUCUUGUCAAAAUAGAUGCAUGUCCUGCAUGAAAGAAUGAAGUUGUGUCAAUCAUAUGUAAAACAAACAAACAUCAAUAACACUCACUCACACACACCCCACACACAAACACACUCACAUAUCCAUACACACACAUCACACGCUCACUCACACAUGCACACACACAGUGGCCCGCGCCGGCUCUCGCGGCGCCAACCGCGCCUCCCGCGCCCGCCCCAGCGCCGCAGUGGCCGUACUGGCCCGCGUCGGCCUCGGCCGCGUCAACCGCGCCGGCCGUGCCGGUCCAGCUAAUCAAGCAAAGAAGCAAUAAUUAUUUGCUCGGCUUCCCUUAGGGACCCGGGAGACCUAACACUAGUCGCCUCUUGCGUCGCCGCCGCCUCUCCCUCUCGCGCACGACGGCGCCUUGCCGCCGGCGACCGCGAACUUCGCCGUGUCCAGCCCCCUCCUUCCCCUAAAACCUACGCCCUAGACCCGUUAGGGUCCCAACACCUACCACUGACACACACACAUACAAAGCACACACUCACACACAUUAUUCACUAUAUAUGCAUAUAUAUACACCUUUUGUUGUAAUGGAGAGGGGGGAAACCCCUUUUAUUUAAAAAAAACGAGAUUGAGUAGGGGGGCUCACCAACGGGGCAGGGGGGCGGCGGGGGAGGUGGAUGCCGGACGAGGUAGAGCUCAGUGGAGGGGAUGCCGCGCCUGUGGUGCUCGCUGAAGCAUGGCCGAGACGGUGGCGGUGGACGAGCUCGGUGGAGGUGGCGUGGGGGGCUCGGUGGAGGCGGAGGGGCGGGGGAGGCACUCCCGGUGGCGGCGGCGGCGGUAGAGCUCGCCGGAUGGGGCGGCGGCACUAGGGGGCGGCAACGGACAGAGGGGGCGGGGGAGAGAGAAACAGAGAGAGAAGAGAGGAGUGAGCGCGCGCGAGGGGGAAAUUUUGCAUAAGUCCCCGCGGGAAACAUUUCUGAGAGCCAACAUUAAGCGACACUCGGUAAAAGUCUUAACCUAGAUCUCGGGGGCUUUUCCGAGAGCCGCACCGACAGUAGUUACCGAGGGCCGUCCUGCAAAACUCCGCAAUGACCUCCUUUUCCGAGAGCGACUCUCGAAAAAUCAUCCUUCUUGUGCAUUCCCCAUAAUAUGUAUUAUACUUUUUUUUGUUGUUUUCUUCCAUGCUUGGCAAACAACCUUAGCACAUCGUAAUUACCAUCUUGUGUUCUCUUUUUCAAAUGAUGGGCCUCGCCCGGUUCUAGAGACCGGCACCCUUCCGGUGGCCCUGGCGGUCUAGGCGUUGAUCGGCACCGAGAGGGGGUAGGCCACGGGGAAUAACUGCUUCUUCGUGUUAGUGCAUGUCACCGUGAGAUAACAUUCCAAGUCUAGGCUCGUUCUGUCACGGGAUCGCCCACCGAAGACUCUGUCUCAGGGACGAACGCAUUCGGUCCUCGACGUUCCCGCCCAUGUGUGUGGUUUGUGAGGCACGUGCCAUGUCAAGGACGUGCGUUGCUUAUUCAAAUAGCACACCACCCCUGCAUGCAUAUGCAUGGGCCACACGCAUGUACGGGUGCCCUCCUCCCUUGGGCGGUCUCCAUAUUGAGCACCCAUCCGGUGGCCCCGGCGAUCUAGGGCGUUAUUCGGCACCGAGAGGGUGUAGUCCACGGUGAAUAACUUCUACUCCGUGUUAGUGCAUGUCAUCGCGAGAUGACAGACCAAGUCUAGGCUCGUUCUGUCACGGGAUCACCCACCGAAGAUUCUGUCUCGGGAACGGACGCAGUCGGUCCUUGACGUUCCCGCCCGUGUGUGUGGUUUGUGAGGCACGUGCCACGUCAAGGACGUGCGUUUCUCAUUCAAAUAGCACACCACCCGUGCAUGCAUAUACAUGGGCCACAGGCAUGUAGGGGGUGCCCUCCCCCCUCGAGCGGUCUCCAUAUCGAGCAACCAUCUUGUGGCCCCGGCGGUCUAGGGCGUUAUUCGGCACCGAGAGGUGUAGUCCAUGGUGAAUAACUGCUUCUCCGUGUUAGUUCAUGUCAUUGCGAGAUGACAGGCCAAGUCUAGGCCAAAGCCACGGCAAGAUCCCAUCCAUGUAGACCCGACGCGUCCAUUUCGCCCCUCCAGGUGCCGGCUGUGAGGGGGUCCACACCCCGGAGAGGCGUGCCGCCUCUUCGGACAUGCCACCACACCGUAUGACAUGUAUGAGGGCCCGGUGCAAUGCUCCGGUGGCAUUGCUACCCUCCCAGGGCCCCCCGUCCCGCCUAACCCUGUAGCGUUUGACCACGGGAUCUAGCCCUUUAACUUUGCACGGACGGGCUUUGACCAGUGGAACUCUCCACCCGGUUGUGUUAGGUCAGCCCAUAGGAACACUUUGGAGCAACAUCCGGGCCUAAGCCACAGCAAGACCCCAUCCGUGUAGACCCGACGCGUCUGUUUCCCCCUCCAGGUGCCGCCGGCGACGCCGUCCGUGUGGGGGGGGGGGGCACACCCCGGAGACGCGGGCAGGGCGUUUGCAACCGCCACAACACUUCCAGACUUGUGAGAGGCCACCUACGCAAGAUUUGGCGGCAUGUGCUAGCCCCCGGAAGCCGCCGGCCACAGUCGUAGACACGCGAAGAGCAAUCCGCGGAGAGGGAAGUGUUCAGAUAGUUCUUUAAAGUUCUCUCUCGGUGCCGGUCUAGAAACUUGACCGGCACCGAGAGAGGGGGUAGGCCACGGUCAACAACUUCUUCUUCUCAUGUUUUUUUUACUUUACACACUCUUUAAAGUUGAGUUUUGAAAAAAAUCAUCAAAAGUCAUGGAAUUUAUAAACUUUGGUCGUAAAAGCAUAUGAAAUAUGAGAUACAAAAAGAUAGUGCAAAAAAGACAAAAAGAGGGGGGGGGGAAUUAGAGCAGUCAUUACCGAGAGUCGAUUCUUGGCUCUCGGUAAUUUCCACCUUUUCCGAGAGCUGCUCUCGGUAAACCAUCCACAUAGAUCUCUUUCCUUCUUGUGCAUUCUCGAUAAUAUGUACUAUACUUUUUUUGUUGUUUUCUUUCAUGCUUGGCAAACAACCUUAGCACAUCAUAAUUACCAUCUUGUGUUUUCUUCUUCGGAUGAGCCUCAUCCGGUUCUAGAGACCGGCACCCCUUCGGUGGCCCUGGCGGUCUAGGGCGUUGUUCGGCAUCUAGAGAGGGUAGGCCAUGGGGAAUAACUGCUUCUUCGUGUUAGUGCAUGUCAUCGCGGGAUAGCAUUCCAUGUCUAGGCCUGUUCUGUCACGGGAUCGCCCACCGAAGACUUUGUGUCGGGGACGAACGCAGCCGGUACUCGAUGUUCCCGCCCAUGAGUGUGGUUUGUGAGGCACGUGCCAUGUCAAGGACGUGCGUUGCUUACUCAAAUAGCACACCACCCCUGCAUGCAUAUGCAUGGGCCACGCGCAUGUACGGGUGCCCUCCCCCUCCCCCUCGGGCGUUCUCCAUAUCCAACACCCAUCCGGUGCCCCGGCGGUCUAGGGCGUUAUUCGGCACCGAGAGGGUGUAGUCCACGGUGAAUAACUGCUACUAUGUGUUAGUGCAUGUCAUCGCUAGAUGACAGACCAAGUCUAGGCUCAUUCUGUCACGGGAUCACCCACCGAAGAUUCUGUCUCGGGAACGGACGCAGCCGGUCCUUGACGUUCCCUCCCGUGUGUGUGGUUUGUGAGGCACGUGCCACGUCAAGGACGUGCGUUGCUUAUUCAAAUAGCACACCACCCCUGCAUGCAUAUACAUGGGCCACAGGCAUGUAGGGGUGCCCUCCCCCCCUGGGCGGUCUCCAUAUCGAGCACCCAUCCGGUGGCCCCGGCGGUCUAGGGUGUUAUUCGGCACCGAGAGGGUGUAGUCCAUGGUGAAUAACUGCUUCUCCGUGUUAGUGCAUGUCAUUGCGAGAUGACAGACCAAGUCUAGGCCAAAGGCACAGCAAGAUCCCAUCUGUGUUGACCCGACACGUCCGUUUCCCCCCUCCAGGUGCCGGCCGUGAGGGGGACCUCAACCCGGAGAGGAGUGCCGCCUCUUCGGACAUGCCACCACACCGUACGACAUGUAUGAGGGCUCGGUGCGAUGCUCCGGUGGCAUUGCUACCCUCCCAGGGCUCCCGUCCCGCCUAACCCUAUAGCGUUUGACCACGGGAUCUAGCGCUUUGACGUUGCACAGACGGGCUUUGAGCAGUGGAACUCGCCACCCGGUUGUGUUAUGUCAGCCCAUAGGAACACUAUGGAGCAACAUCCGGGCCUAAGCCACAGCAAGACCCCAUCUAUGUAGACACGAUGCAUCGGUUUCCCCCCUCCAGGUGUCGGCGGCGGCGCUGUCCGUGAGGGGGGGCACACCCCGAAGACACGGGCCGGGUGUUUGCAACCGCCACAACACUUCCAGACUUGUGAGAGGCCGCCUACGGAAGAUUUGGCGGCAUGUGCUAGCCCCCGGAGGCCGCCGGCCACAGUCUUAGACACGCGAAGAGUAAUCCGUGGAGAGGGAAGUGUUCAGAUACUUCUUUAAAGUUCUCUCUCGGUGCCGGUCUAGAAAGUUGACCGGCACCGAGAGAGGGGGUAGGCCACGGUCAACAACUUCUUCUUCUCAUGUUUUUUUUUACUUUACACACUCUUUAAAGUUGAGUUUUGAAAAAAAAUCUUCAAAAGUCAUGGAAUUUAUAAACUUUGGUCGUAAAAGCAUAUGAAAUAUGAGAUACAAAAAAGAUAGUGCACAAAAAGACAAAAAGAGGGGGGGGGAUUAGAGCAGUCAUUAACGAGAGUCGAUUCCUGGCUCUCGGUAAUUUCCACCUUUUCCGAGAGCUGCUCUCGGUAAACCAUCGACCUAGAUCUCUUUCCUUCUUGUGCAUUCUCGAUAAUAUGUAUUAUACUUUUUUUGUUUUCUUUCAUGCUUGGCAAACAACCUUAGCACAUCAUAAUUACCGUCUUGUGUUUUCUUCUUCGGAUGAGCCUCGUCCGGUUCUAGAGACCGGCACCCUCCGGUGGCCCCGGCGGUCUAGGGCGUUGUUCGACGCCUAGAGAGGGUAGGCCACGGGGAAUAACUGCUUCUUCGUGUUAAUGCAUGUCUUCACGAGAUAACAUUCCAAGUCUAGGCCCACUCUGUCACGGGAUCGCCCACCGAAGACUCUGUGUCGGGUACGAACGCAGCCGGUCCUCGACGUUCCCGCCCAUGUGUGUGGUUUGUGAGGCACGUGCCAUGUCAAGGACGUGUGUUGCUUAUUCAAAUAGCACACCACCCCUGCAUGCAUAUGCAUGGGCCACGCGCAUGUACGGGUGCCCUCCCCGUUGGGCGGUCUCCAUAUUGAGCACCCAUCCGGUGUCCCAGGCGGUCUAGGGCGUUAUUCGGCAUCNNNNNNNNNNNNNNNNNNNNNNNNNNNNNNNNNNNNNNNNNNNNNNNNNNNNNNNNNNNNNNNNNNNNNNNNNNNNNNNNNNNNNNNNNNNNNNNNNNNNNNNNNNNNNNNNNNNNNNNNNNNNNNNNNNNNNNNNNNNNNNNNNNNNNNNNNNNNNNNNNNNNNNNNNNNNNNNNNNNNNNNNNNNNNNNNNNNNNNNNNNNNNNNNNNNNNNNNNNNNNNNNNNNNNNNGAGAUGACAGACCAAGUCUAGGCUCGUUCUGUCACGGGGUCACCCACCGAAGAUUCUGUCUUGGGAACGGAAGCAGUCGGUCCUUGACGUUCCCGCCCGUGUGUGUGGUUUGUGAGGCACGUGCCACGUCAAGGAUGUGCGUUGCUUAUUCAAAUAGCACACCACCCCUUCAUGCAUAUACAUGGGCCACAGGCAUGUAGGAGGUGCCCUUCCCCCCUCGGGCGGUCUCCAUAUCGAGCACCCAUCCGGUGGCCCCGGUGGUCUAGGGCAUUAUUCGGCACCGAGAGGUGUAGUCCAUGGUGAAUAACUGCUUCUCCGUGUUAGUGCAAGUCAUUGCGAGAUGACAGACCAAGUGUAGGCCAAAGCCACAGCAAGAUCCCAUCCGUGUAGACCCGACGCGUCCGUUUCCCCCCUCCAGGUGCCGGCCGUGAUGGGGGCCACACCCCGGAGAGGCGUGCCGCCUCUUCGAACAUGUCACCACACUGUACGGCAUGUAGGAGGGCCCGGUGCGAUGCUCCGGUGGCAUUGCUACCCUCCCAGGGCCCCCGUCCCGCCUAACCCUGUAGCGUUUGACCACGGGAUCUAGCCCUUUGACUUUGCACGGACGGGCUUUGACCAGUGGAACUCUCCACCCGGUUGUGUUAGGUCAGCCCAUAGGAACACUUUGGAGCAACAUCCGGGCCUAAGCCACAGCAAGACCCCAUCCGUGUAGACCCGACGCGUCCGUUUCCCCCUCCAGGUGCCGCCGCCGACGCCGUCCAUGAGGGGGGGCACACCCCGGAGACGCGGACAGGGCGUUUGCAACCGCCACAACACUUCCAGACUUGUGAGAGGCCGCCUACGCAAGAUUUGGCGGCAUGUGCUUGCCCCCGGAGGCCGCCGGCCAUAGUCGUAGACAUGCGAAGAGCAAUCCGCGGAGAGGGAAAUGUUUAGAUACUUCUUUAAAGUUCUCUCUCGUCGCCGGUCUAGAAAGUUGACCGACACCGAGAGAGGGGGUAGGCCACGGUCAACAACUUCUUCUUCUUAUGUUUUUUUACUUUACACACUCUUUCAAGUUGAGUUUUGAAAAAAUCAUCAAAAGUCAUGGAAUUUAUAAACUUUGGUCAUAAAAGCAUAUGAAAUAUGAGAUACAAAAAAGAUAGUGCAAAAAAAGAGAAAAAGAGGGGGGGGGCGAAUUAGAGCAGUCAUUACCGAGAGUCGAUUUUUGGCUCUCGGUAAUUUCCACCUUUUCCGAGAGCUGCUCUCGGUAAACCAUCCACCUAGAUCUCUUUCCUUCCUGUGCAUUCUCGAUAAUAUGUAUUAUACUUUUUUUUGUUGUUUUCUUUCAUGCUUGGCAAACAACCUUAGCACAUCAAAUUACCGUCUUGUGUUUUCUUCUUCGGAUGAGCCUCGUCCGGUUCUAGAGACCGGCACCCCUCCGGUGGCCCCGGUGGUCUAGGGCGUUGUUCGGCACCUAGAGGGGGUAGGCCACGGGGUAUAACUGCUUCUUCGUGUUAGUGCAUGUCAUCGCGAGAUAACAUUCCAAGUCUAGGCCCGUUCUGUCACGGGAUCGCCCACCGAAGACUCUGUCUCGGGGACGAACGGAGCCGGUCCUCGACGUUCCCGCCCAUGUGUGUGGUUUGUGAGGCACGUGCCACAUCAAGGACGUGCGUUGCUUAUUCAAAUAGCACACCACCCCUUCAUGCAUAUGCAUGGGCCACGCGCAUGUACGGGUGCCCUCCCCCCAUCGGGGGGUCUCCAUAUCGAGCACCCAUCUGGUGGCCCCGACGGUCUAAGGAGUUAUUUGGCACCGAGAGGGUGUAGUCCAUGGUGAAUAACUGCUACUCCGUGUUAGUGCAUGUCAUUGCGAGAUGACAGACCAAGUCUAGGCCAAAGCCACAGCAAGAUCCCAUCCAUGUAGACCCGACGCGUCCGUUUCCCCCCUCCAGGUGUCGGCCGUGAGGGGGGGGGGCACACCCCGGAGAGGCGUGCCGCCUCUUCGGACAUGCCACCAAACCGUAAGGCAUGUAUGAGGGCCCCGGUGCGAUGCUCCGGUGGCAUUGCUACCCUCCCAGGGCCCCCGUCCCGUCUAACCCUGUAGCAUUUGACCACGGGAUCUAGCCCUUUGACUUUGCACGGACGGGCUUUGACCAAUGGAACUCUCCACCCGGUUGUGUUAGGUCAGCCCAUAGGAACACUUUGGAGCAACAUCCGGGCCUAAGCCACAGCAAGACCCCAUCCGUGUAGACCCGACGCGUCCGUUUCCCCCCUCCAGGUGCCGGCGGCGGCGUCGUCCGUGAGGGGGGGGGCACACCCGGAGACACGUGCCAGGCGUUUGCAACCGCACAACACUUCCAUACUUGUGAGAGGCCGCCUACGCAAGAUUUGGCGGCAUGUGCUAGCCCCCGGAGGCCGCCGGCCAAAGUCGUAGACACGCGAAGAGCAAUCCGCGGAGAGGAAAGUGUUCAGAUACUUCUUUAAAGUUCUCUCUCGGUGCCUGUCUAGAAAGUUGACCGGCACUGAGAGAGGGGGUAGGCCACGGUCAACAGCUUCCUCUUCUCAUGUUUUUUUACUUUACACACUCUUUAAAGUUGAGUUUUGAAAAAAUCAUCAAAAUUCAUGGAAUUUAUAAACUUUGGUCAUAAAAGCCUAUGAAAUAUGAGAUACAAAAAAGAUAGUGCAAAAAAAGACAAGGGGGGGGGGAAUUAGAGCAGUCAUUACCGAGAGUCGAUUCUUGGCUCUCAGUAAUUUCCACCUUUUUUGAGAGUGGCUCGGUAAAUCAUCCACCUAGAUCUCUUUCCUUCUUGUGCAUUCUCGAUAAUAUGUAUUAUUCUUUUUUUUGUUGUUUUCUUUCAUGCUUGGCAAACAAACUUUGCACAUCAUAAUUACCGUCUUGUGUUUUCUUCUUCGGAUGAGCCUCGUCCAGUUCUAGAGACCGGCACCCCUCCGGUGGCCCCGGUGGUCUAGGGCGUUGUUCGGCACCUAGAGGGGGUAGGCCACGGGGAAUAACUGCUUCUUCGUGUCAGUGCAUGUCAUCGCGAGAUAACAUUCCAAGUCUAGGCCCGUUCUGUCACGGGAUCGCCCACCGAAGACUCUGUCUCGGGGACGAACGUAGCCGGUCCUCGACGUUCCCGCCCAUGUGUGUGGUUUGUGAGGCACGUGCCACGUCAAGGACGUGCGUUUCUUAUUAAAAUAGCACACCACCCCUGCAUGCAUAUGCAUGGGCCACGCGCAUGUACGGGUGCCCUCCCCCCCCCUCGGGCGGUCUCCAUAUUGAGCACCCAUACGGUGGCCCUAGCGGUCUAGGGCGUUAUUCAACACCGAGAGGGUGUAGUCCUCAGUGAAUAACUGCUACUCUGUGUUAGUGCAUGUCAUCGCGAGAUGACAUACCAAGUGUAGGCUCGUUCUGUCACGGGAUCACCCACCGAAGAUUUUGUCUCGGGAACGGACGCAGCCGGUCCUUAACGUUCCCGCCCGUGUGUGUGGUUUGUGAGGCACGUGCCACGUCAAGGAUGUGCGUUGCUUAUUCAAAUAGCACACCACCCCUGCAUGCAUAUACAUGGGCCCCAGGCAUGUAGGGGUGCCCUCCCUCCCCUCGGGCGGUCUCCAUAUCGAGCACCCAUCCGGUGGCCCCGGCGGUCUAGAGCGUUAUUCGGCAACGAGAGGGUGUAGUCCAUGGUGAAUAACUGCUUCUCCGUGUUAGUGCAUGUCAUUGCGAGAUGACAGACCAAGUCUAGGACAAAGGCACAGCAAUAUCCCAUCCAUGUAGACCCGACGCGUCCGUUCACUAGUAGAAAAGGGGGCUUUGAUCCAGAUCGGGUAACCCCAUUAGUCCCGGUUCAGUCUAGAACCGGGACCAAUGGGGGCAUUGGUCCCGGUUCCUGAGCCCAGGGGGCCGGCCGGGCCACGUGGGCCAUUGGUCCCGGUUCAUCUGGACCUUUUGGUCCUGGUUGGUGGGAUGAACCGGGACGAAUGGGCCUCGCUCCUAGCCCACAACCAUUGGUCCUGGUUCGUGCCUCAAACCGGGACUAAAGAUUAGACCUUUAGUCCCGGUUUGAGGCACGAACCGGGACUAAUGGGGAUGAGACCUUUAGUCNNNNNNNNNNNNNNNNNNNNNNNNNNNNNNNNNNNNNNNNNNNNNNNNNNNNNNNNNNNNNNNNNNNNNNNNNNNNNNNNNNNNNNNNNNNNNNNNNNNNNNNNNNNNNNNNNNNNNNNNNNNNNNNNNNNNNNNNNNNNNNNNNNNNNNNNNNNNNNNNNNNNNNNNNNNNNNNNNNNNNNNNNNNNNNNNNNNNNNNNNNNNNNNNNNNNNNNNNNNNNNNNNNNNNNNNNNNNNNNNNNNNNNNNNNNNNNNNNNNNNNNNNNNNNNNNNNNNNNNNNNNNNUGGAUCGCCUUUUCAGUUUUAAAAAAAAUAAACGAAAAUGAUGGAAAUGUCAAAAAAAUAAAAGAAAAUAAGUUUCCCAUUUGAUAUGUGGUCUAAUUGUUGGGAAAAUUUGCAAAUGUGAAUUUUGACUUUAUUUGCAAAAUCUCUCUGAAAUUUGUAAAAAUGGGCAUAACUUUUUGUCGGGGGUUGGGUGCGACAUAUGCCAAAGGAUGGCUUAUCAUGGUGGGGGCGAGUAGAAUGUCACCGGUGCCUGGAAACGGGAUAAGGCAUAGACAUGCACGCCGGCGAAUCUUACCCAGCUUCGGGGCUCUCCGGGGAGAUAACACCCCUACUGCUGCUCUGCGGGGUCUCCGUAUGGUCACUAAAGCAAGGUGACUACAAUGGUGCUCCUGGAGCUGUAUCGGGAGGCAGGAGAGAGCAAGGCUAGUUCUCUCCUCCUUGGGCUAUGUGUCUAUCUCUAUCAAUGUCUGAACCCCUUGCAUGGGUGCCCCGGGGGGUUUAUAUAGUCCUACCCCCCAGGGGUACAAUGGUAAUCCGGCUGGGUGCGGGUCCCAGCCGUCUGUCUCUCAUGCCGCUGUCCUUCCUGCCGGCUUCUAGGCCCCGCCGACUGGUGGGUCCCGUGGAUAGGCCGAACACUGUGCAACGCUCCUGAUGACGCAGGCUUGGUCAUUGGGUCGUGGCAACAGUGCCGCCGUCUAUCAGGCGAUCACUAUCGCCACUCCCCAUCCAAUCUGGUUUAUGGUUUGUGGGGCCCUGGAGGGGAGACGGCCGACUCCGGGGAGGCCGACUCCCACAGGGCCGUCUUCGGGCGCUCUGGCCGCCUUCGGUUCACCCGCUGACAGGCGACCCCGCGGUCUUUGGGCCGUACAGGCCGGCGUCGUGGGCACAGUGGGUCGCGCACUGUGGCUGAGGUCAGGGCAGGCAUGGCAACAGUGCCGCGCCUCGCCGGGGAUCUCCUGGUGAUACAGCUAACUGUAGCCAUGCCAGUCCCUCGUAGGCAGGGAGGGACGGCCACGUCAUGACCGUACCCCACAUCGGGCCUCGUGAAGUGUCAUGGGCCGACUCCCAUAGUCGGCUUCUCUGGAGGUCGCCAGCUUGGAGUCGGCUUGCCCUGGAGUCGUCAUCUGGGACUCGGCUCCUCUGGAGAUCGCCAGCCGGGACUCGACCUCUCUAGAGGUCGCUAGCUGGGACUCGGCUGGAGGGGCGCGGUCUGCCCCGAUGUCUUGAAAGAUCCUGGGUCCCGGGUCAGCCUACCCGUGGCCCAUAACUCCGACAGUAGUCCCCGAAGCUGGUGAAGCCCUGCGGACGCCGCCUCGUGGGGCUUCAACAGUUUCAAACUUCCCAGCGCAGACUCUGAGACUUGGCCGUCAUCUUCUUUUGGCCGACUCGCCAAAGUCGGACUUGUUUAGCGAGGGGCCGCUGUUUGUAAGUCGCGGCCGAAAAUCAGGCGGCAUAUUGGAUACGCUUCCCUGCUGUCAUUGAGGCGGUCCUAUCGCGCGGCGCCACGCGGGGAGGAUAGUCCGCUCACCCACGCGCGCGAUGGGACGGGCCAUCAGGCGGGGCCCGCCACUACCGCGCCUCGGCAUCCGAACGGAUCUGCUGCGGUCGCGAACGGUUGGCUUCCCCACGUCGUUACUGCGCGCAGUAACUUCGUGGCGUAAAUCAUGGGGCGGCGUGGGGCUUCGUGCGCAGUUAAUCCCACGCCCGCCCCCUCGGCUCCUCAGCCCACGGGGCUAUAAAUAGGCAGAGAGGAGCGGGACGGUAUUGUACGCGCAUCCUCUCCCCCACUCUCCUGCCUUCUCUUCUUCCUCCGCCGCGAGCAAGAGCACCUCUCACCACGGCGAUGAGUUCUUCCUCCUCCGCGGCCCCUGCCACGCGCUCCGGCGUGUGGGACGGUUCGGAUGUGGAGGCGGAACACAUCGAGUUCCUCCACCGGACCCGCCGUCUCCCUAGCACGGACCUCGUGCGCGCCCGUCCCGCGCCGGCGGGAGAGACCCGGCCCGCGCCGGAGGAGGGCGAGCGGGUCGUCUUCCGCUCGCACCUCAUGCGCGGGCUGGGGCUGUCGGCGAGCGGUUUCUUCCGCUCGUUCCUGGAGUUCCACAACCUUUAACCGCACCACCUCACCCCAACUGCGGUGGUGUUGCUCUCCGCCUUCGCCACUCUGUGCGAAGGUUUCCUCGGCGUUCUCCCCACCCUCGAGUUGUGGGGAGAGUUCUUCUCUUCGAAGCUCGGCACGCAGGCCGCCGGCACGCCGGCUCAGUGCGGCACCUACAUCCUGGUGCAGCGCUCGACGGCCGACAACCCCUUUCCUCCUAUCUCGCUGAUAAAGUCGGUGAAGAUGUGGCAGCGUUCCUACUUCUACGUGAAGAACCUCUCCACCAACGGCGACUGGGUCAACCUGCCGCCCUUCAACCCGGCCCCCCUAACUGGGAGGCUCCCCAGCUAGCCCCAUCGAGCCAAGUCGCUGACUCCCUCCGGAGCCGCCGCCGUAGCGUGACUCCAAGUAUUGCUGCAGUCGGAGGGCCUCGUUGGAUCUGACCUUCUGGCCGCCUUCGUGGCGCGCCGAGUCCUCCCGCUUCAAGGCCGGCCUCAUCUAAUCUGUCAGAUGAGCGGCCGCCACGACCCGAGUCGGAUGUGCACCAAGGAGAUGCCCCACAGGGAGGUGGCGAACCUGGUGAACCACAUCGCGCAUUGCGAGUUCAUGGAGGACUGGCAGUUCGGCAAGGAGCCGUACUCACGCGACAACCCCCCUCCAGUGGUAAGUCGCAUCUUUCUGUAGUUUUGGUCUUCUUUGCGGCCGACUCCGGCUUCUAAUCUUUGUUGGUUUCUUCUGGGCAGAACCCCCUCAUGGAGCCCGUAGCCGGUGCCGCGAGAGAGCCCCGCGACUACGUCCCAGACCGCGAGGAUAGCGAUGUUGACGACCCCGACUUGGGGGCGACGGCACUGGAGGCCGACGCUGAAGGCGGCGGAGAAGGGGCAGACGGCGGCUUCAGGCCCUCGGCCACCUUCGCCGACUGGCCCGAAGACGACGCCGACGUGGAAGUCGUCCCACGCCACCAGCCGAGGGCCGGCCACUCCGGCCAAGGCGGUGCGAAGAGGCGUCAUGCCGGACCGAGCACGCUCGGCAGCAAGCCGAAGAAGUUCAAGGGAGCGGCCGCCGCGACCAAACGGGAGGAGGCGCCCGCGAAGGCCAACUGCUUCCGAAGGGAAGUGAGAAGGCCGCCGUUAGUUUCCGCGUAAGUCUUAACGCUCUUUUAUUUUCCUUUGUUGGAUCUUGUCCGAGUCAUCUUUGAUUUUCCCUCCGUUCUUUUCCAGAGCCCCCCUCUCCCUUGAGAGGGUCGCCAUCCCCUCUGUCAUGGGGUCGGUAGAGACGUCCGCCAACACCCGGCGGGUCGAUCCCGCCGCCGACCUUCGGGAGGCGACGGAGCGGAACACGCGGGAGAAGCGCGACGAGGAGGAGGCCGACCGCCUGGAGAAGGCGCAGGCCGAGAAGGCGGCCGCCAACGCUCAGAAGAAGCUGGAGGAGGCCGAAGCCGCCGCCGCGGCGAAGCGGCGUGCUGAGGAGGCCACGCGUCGCCGAUCGGCGAUGCUCGUCCCUCCGUUGUCGUCGGCACCGCUGGCUCCGGAGUUCACGGGGCAGACCGGAGAGGUCGGCACCGAGAACCCCCUCUGGAGGAGGGCGGUGAGGCUUCAGGCUCGGACACCCUCGCGCCGCCUCCGUCGCCUUCGCCACCGUCUGGGAGGCCGCACGGCAAAUAGCCGGUGGGCCCGUUGGAUCCGCAGAUCGCGGACGAGGCCGAGGCGCGGCUGCUUCUUCAGGUCGCCGCGCCGGCGCGCCGCCGGCUGGAGAGGACGACCUCGGCGCCGCGAGCUCGGGAGACCGGCGCCGCCAGCUCGGCGAGUCUGGACGUCGAGGCCUCUAGUGCCGCGCCCACCGGGUGGUUGCACGGAGGCGGCACCGGCCUGCUGAACCAAGCGCUCCUGGACGUCCAGGCGAAACUGCGCGCGGAAAGCGACACCCUCCAAGUCUGCACCAGAGCGCAUCUGGCCGUGCGGACAUCUGUCCGAGUACGUUUCCUUCUCCUUUUUUGAUUCCUGUCUUCCUCUGUGGGGGCGCGCCAGCGCACCCACUGGGUGUAGUCCCCGAGUUCCGGGCCGGCUGCUGAGCAGGCGGUUCGGAACUCACUCUGGCGAGUUCCGAAUACUAACUUUGCUUUUGUCGGCUUUUUGUAGGAGUAUCAUAACCUCCGCGCCACUGCCUUCAACCGCAAUGUUGAGGAGCUGAACAAGCGGACCGCCGACUUGGUGGAAAGCCGGGGUGAGCUCUUUUCUUCCUUCUUCGCGGGGGCGCGCUGGCGCACUCGCGGGCUGUAGUCCCCGAGAUUCGGGCCGACUGAUGAGCAGUCGGGCCGGAUCUCCCCUGCGAUCUAAUUUACUGAUGACCUACUUGUCUCUUCCUUCGUUCUUCAGGUGCCAACGCCGCCCUUCAGGAGCAGCUGGGCGAGGCCAACACUGCUCGGCGUGCCAAGGAAGCGGAGUGCGGCAGGCUCGCCAAAGAGCAUGAUCUGCUGGCGACGCAGCUGGCCGAGCAGAAGGAGCUGCUCCAGAAGGCGCAGGACGAGGCCAAGACGCGGGAGGCCGCCCUCAUGGCCGAGUUCGAGUUCGAGCGCUCCACCUGGACUGAUAGGGAGGCGAUGCUGACCUCUGGCUACCACGAGCUCGAGGACAUCGUUGAUGGUAAGUCUCUUUUGUUUCUUUGGGCUUCCGACUAUGUGUCAGGCCGACUUCUGAUUUUCCGACUUUCUUCUUUUUUGUCUUGGCAGACUUCUUUCCUGGUCAUUCACAGGCAGUCCCUCUGGCCAUCGAGGCUGCUCGGGAGGCGCGAAGGGCGAAGGGUGAGGUGAUCGCCGCCAAUGCCCCCCGAACCAUCGACGAGCAGCUCCUGAGCAUUGGGGCCCGUUUGCGUCCGGCUCACCGGCUGCCGUGCCGGCUUCAGCGUGCCGGUGCCCAGGCGGUUGCCGCCCUGUGGACGGACAUGCUGGCUCUCCGCACCGCCAGUCAGACCGCCGACUGGCUGGAAGUCGCCGCCGGCCGUCUUGAAGCAUGGAAGGGCUCCUCGGCCCGGGCUGGAGCGCGCCGGGCCUUGGAGUUCGUCAAGGCGUGGUAUCCGGGGCUGGACCUGGACCGCCUGGCCGCGUUCCGGUCAGAAGCCCAGGCCGAGCUGGAGGCCAUGGAAGGCGCCCUUUUCGAGCGCGCGUCAGCCAUCGCCGAGUACACGGACACCAACGUCUUCGUGCCCGAGCGGACUGAAGGCGGCGAGGAAGUGCCACCGGACUGGUUCGGGAUGAACCUGGAGUAUGACGAAGACUCGGCUGAGGUGAUCGACUCCAGCGCCGAGGAGGAGGACGAGGCAGAGGUUGGAGGCGAGGAGGAGGCGCCAGAAGACGAAGCAGGCGGCCAGCCUCAGCUCGAUCGCGCCUCCAGCAACGAGCCGCGCGGAGACAAGGCGACUGCCGCCGGAGGCGACCAAGCUGAGACCACCGCCUCCUAGACUGCUUUUUCCGCCUCUGUUUAUCAGUCUUUAGUAAUCUUUUGAAAGACCUGUUAGUUUCGAACAAUUCCACCUGCGGGGUGUAUCCUGAAUUUCUAUUCGAAGAUUCGGCCGAGGCCUAUGUAAAUAUUUAUCCGAUUUCCGCCUUUCCUUGCUUAUUGCUCCUUAUACUUUUUCCUUUGCCAUCUUCCUUUAGUUGCCGCCUUGCCAGCUGGACAGCCGCUCUGCGGACUGUCGCAAGUUCAAGUGCUUGGCUACUUCGGGAAGGCAAGUACUUGGCCGUUUAGAGUUUCCUUAGCAAGUCGGCUAGAAAGCGACGGGCCGACUAUCCGAGAGUCGGCUGUCUUUGAUAAAAGCUAAGACGGCGAGCCGACUGCUCAUGAGUCGGCUCUGUGGGGGGGAGGCUGGUAGCCGGCUUUGAGCUAUGCAUAAGCUUUUAGGUCCUUAGCCAUUUUUUCAUGUGUGCGCUCAUUCUUGCUUGUUCUAUGCCUACCAGCAGUCGCUCUGUGAGAUGCGGCUUUCGACAGGAGACGGCUUGAGCACAACACAUUACUUGUCCGACUGCAGGAAGCAUUUCAUAGCGCAAGACGGCAAGUCCCCGGGCCGACUAGUCGGACCCGGUGCCAGACGGUAUGAUAAAAAAGAGUAGCAUAUGCGGAAGCAUAAUUCUUAUCAUACAGAUAAUAAAAAGGCAGUUCUCGAGCUCGUCUCGGGCGGCCUAAGGUCUUAGUACUUUAAUACAAAGGGGGGGUAGUGCAAUACAUACUGCAUCAACUGUAAAAUCUUCGAAGAAGAUUCGCGUUCCACGGGUGUUCUGUUUCUUUGCCGGAGUCGUCCCUCUUGCGUGCUCGAGGCUUCUGAGCGUCGAUCAGAUAGUAGGCGUCGUUCCCUAGCAGUUUGCUGACGAUGAAGGGACCCUCCCAAGGUGCCGACAACUUGUGCUGGCCGGCUGUUCUCUGAAUCAGCCGGAGCACAUGGUCGCCCUCUUGGAACGAUCUCGGCUUGAUCUUGCGGUUGUAAUAUCGGCGCAGACUCUGCUGGUAUAUGCUGGACCGGCUGAGUGCCAACAGCCGGCCCUCUUCCAGCAGAUCAACACCGUCUUGGCGUGCUUCUUCGGCUUCCUCUUCGGUGUACAUGGUGACUCGUGGAGAGUCGAACUCUAUAUCCGUCGGGAUGACGGCUUCGGAACCGUAGACGAGGAAGAAAGGCGUGAAGCCGGUUGACUUGUUUGGGGUCGUGCGCAGACUCCAGAGGACGGCUGGCAGCUCCUCGACCCAACAGCCGGCCGAACGCUCGAGUGGUUCGACCAGUCGAGGCUUGAUGCCGGACAGGAUGAGGCCAUUGGCUCGUUCCACCUGGCCGUUUGACUGCGGAUGGGCAAUGGACGCUAAGUCCAGUCGGAUGCCCUGCGUCGCGCAGAAACGGGCCACGGCGCCCUUGGCAAAGUUUGUGCCAUUGUCGGUGAUGAUGCUGUGCGGUAUGCCGUACCACACCGUUAUGUCGGCGAUGAAGGUUACAGCAGUCGGCCCGUUCAACUUCUUGAUGGGCUUUGCUUCCACCCACUUGGUGAAUUUGUCCACCGCGACAAGUAGAUGAGUUAGGCCGCCUCGGGCCGUCUUGAAUGGUCCUACCAUGUCCAGGCCCCAUACUGCAAAGGGCCAGGCGAUGGGGAUCGUCUUCAGCGCGGAAGCCGGCUGAAGUGGCUUGGAGCGGAACAUCUGGCACCCCUUGCAUUUUUGGACUAGCUCUUUAGCUUCUUCUAGGGCAGUCGGCCAAAAGAAACCGUGCUGAAAGGCUUUGGCGACGAGUGCCCUUGAAGCCGCAUGGUGGCCGCACUCGCCCUGAUGGAUGUCUCUGAGAAUUGCUUGGCCUUGCUCUGAUUCUACGCAGCGCUGGUAGACACCAGUGACACUGCGCCUGACUAGCUCUCUGUUGACUAUGGUGUAUGCUGCCGCUCGGCGCUGCACUUGCCGAGCCAGGAUCUCAUCUGUCGGCAACUCUGUGUUCACUAGAAAUUUGAGGAUGGGCUGCGCCCAUGAAGGUGCUGCUAUCUCUUCAACUGCUACCACAGCGACUUGGAGAAGGGUGGCUGGGCUGGGUGGCGGCGGGCUGGAGUCUGCGGCCGUUUGCUGGAUUGACGGAGUUUCUGGGCCGACUGGCGCAGUGCCCGGGCCGGGCUCUGAAGUCCCCGGGCCGACUGGCGCAGUCCCCAGGCCGGGCUCUGAAGUCCCCGGGCCGGUUGGCAUAGUCCCCGGGCCGGGUUCUGGAGUCCCCGGGCCGGUUGGCACAGUCCCCGGGCCGGGUUCUGGAGUCCCCGGGCCGGUUUCAACUGUGGUUUUCUUGAGGCUGUCUGCUGGGGCUUUGGAGUCGGAUCCGACUACUUCUGGAGGAGCCGGCACAAAGAUGGAGUCUGACUCUGGUGAAGGCUUGAUAGACGGCUUGAGGAGGCGCUGAAGGGCGACGCCGGAAGGUAUCGCUUGGCGAGUGGAGCCGACUCGUGCCAAGGCAUCUGCUUGAUCAUUGUCAUUUCUUGGCACGUGAAGGAAUUCGCACCCCUCGAAGUAUCCGCUGAGUUGCUGCACCAGGAAGCGGUAGCUCGCCAUGUUUGCGUCUUUGGCGUCCCAGUCGCCGGAUGAUUGCUGAACCACCAAGUCAGAGUCGCCAUAACACAGGAUCCGGCGAAUGCUGAGUUCUUUGGCAAGCCGGAGCCCAUGAAUGAGCGCCUCAUAUUCGGCAACGUUGUUGGAGGCGGCGAAGUGGAUCUGCAGCACAUACUUGAGCUUGUCUCCUUUAGGGGAGGUGAGGACGACGCCGGCUCCCAGGCCGGUGCGCAUCUUGGAGCCAUCGAAAUGCAUCCGCCAAUGGGUGGAGUCAGGCGCUGGCGGCAGGUACUGGGUCUCGGCCCAGUCGACGAGGAAGUCGGCCAGCGCCUGCGACUUGAUGGCGGUGCGGGACUGGUAGUAGAUGAUGUAAGGAGCUAGAUCUAUAGCCCAUUUGGCUACUCGGCCGGAGGCGUCUCGACUUCCAAUGAUCUCGGCGAGUGGAGCGGUGCAAACCACGGUGAUUGGAUGCUCUUGAAAGUAGGGUUUCAGCUUCUUGGUGGCAAAAUGCAUGCCAUAGCACAUCUUCUGGUAGUGAGGGUAGUUCUGCUUGGAGGUUGACAGUACCUCGCUCAGGUAAUAUACCGGUCUCUGUACAGGGAGCGCCUUGCCUUCCUCCUUGCGCUCGACUACGAUGACUGUGCUGACUACUCGGCUGGUGGCAGCGAUGUACAAGAGCAUGGGCUCUUUGGGAGUCGGAGCCGCCAACACGGGGGGAGUUUUCAACAUCUUCUUCAGCUGGAGAAAUGCCUCAUCCGUCUUGUGGUUCCACUCAAAAAAGGUGGUCUUCUUCAUCAAUUGAUACAAGGGCAGAGCUUUUUCGCCCAGCCGACUGAUAAAUCGGCUGAUGGACGCCAGGCAGCCGGUGAACUUCUGCACGUCCAACAGUCGGCUGGGUACCUCCAUUCUCUCGAUGGCCUUGAUCUUCACGAGGUUGCACUCUAUGCCGCGUUCAGAGACCAAGAAACCAAGGAGCUGGCCGGCUGGUACUCCGAAAACGCACUUCUCACGGUUGAGCUUGAUCUGGAAUCGGCGCAGAUUCUCAAAGGUCUCCCUGAGGUCGUCCAGCAGCGUCCCAUGCUUCUCCGUCUUCACCACCACAUCAUCCACAUAGACGUGGGCGUUCCUGCCGAGUUGCUUGAGGAGGCACUUUUGCAUGCAGCGCUGAAAGGUGGCGCCGGCAUUCCUCAAGCCGAACGUCAUUGUCAGGUAGCAGAAGGCUCCAAAUGGUGUAAUGAAUGUAGUCUUCAGUCUGUCCGCUAGGUUCAGCUUGAUCUGGUGGUAUCCUGAGUAUGCGUCUAGGAAACUUAGCAGCUCGCAUCCGGCUGUGGAGUCUAUCACCUGAUCAAUUCUUGGCAGAGCAAACGGGUCCUUUGGCAGGCUUUGUUGAGGCUUGUGUAGUCGAUGCACAUCCGCCACUGCUUGUUCUUCUUCAGUACCAAAACUGGGUUUGCCAGCCACUCUGGAAAAAACACUUCCAUGAUGAAACCGGCUGCCAGGAGCCGGGCUAUCUCUUCCCCAACAACUCUUCUUUUCUCUUCUGACACGUGGUGCAAGGGCUGCCUGACGGGCUUCAUAUCUGGCCUGACGUGUAGCUUGUGCUCGGCGAAUUCCGUCGGUACACCCGGCAUGUCUUUGAGGGACCAUGCAAAGAUGUCCCGAUUCUCACGGAGGAAAUCGACGAGCUUGCCUUCCUAUUUGCUGUCAAGGCCCGUGCCCAUGACAGCGUACCUUUCUGGGUGCUCUGGGUCCAAGGGUAUCUUCUUGGUAUCUUUGGACGGCUUAAAUGAUCCUUCUGCCUCCGACUCCUUGGGAUCGGGCGACAUCUCUGGCUGCUUUCCGGCCAUCGCCACGACUCGGUCAAGGAGCCGCUUCUCGGCCGCGAUCACCAGGGACUCGGCCAGCCGACUGCUCUCGGCCGUGCAGGCGGACGACUUCUUGUAGUCGCCGGCUACGGUCAGAAUCCCCUUGGAACUCGGCAUCUUCAUCUUGAGGUAGGCGUAGUGGGGAACCGCCAUGAACUUGGCCAAGGCAGAUCGACCAAGCAGAGCGUGGUACAGGCUCUCCAAGUCCACCACCUCGAACCAGACCGGCUCUCGGCGGAAAUGAUCUUUGUCUCUGAAGAGGACGUCUAUCAGGAUCUUGCCGAUCGGCGAACAGGAGAGGCCGGGUACAAUUCCAUGGAACACGGUCCGGCUGCUCUGCAGCUGUCUUCGCUUGAUUCCGAGCUUCUCCAUGGUGUCCUUGUACAGGAUGUUGAUGCUACUACCUCCGUCUAUCAGGACUCGUGAAAAAUGGGUGGCCCGCCUAUCAGUGGCCAGGGUCGCACCUAGGACCAGGGCAUAAGAGCCCGGACUCGGCAUCACCUCUGGGUGAUCCGCCCGACUCCAACUGAUAGGCCUCUCGGACCAAUGCAUGAACUCUGGAGCAUCUGUUGCUACUGCAUUUACUUCUUGUUGCUGUUGGCGCCUGCUGCACCGGUCAUCUGCCACACUGGUGAACACUACGUAGGCUCCGUGCUCUUCUGGGAACUCGUCUUGCACUGCGCCGACUGGUCGAGCCGCCGGCAGCUGGGGCGGCGGCGGAGGCGGCAGCCCAGCGGGCGGUGGAGGAGUGAGGCCGUCUCCCUUGGCGAUCCUGGUGAGCCAGUGGCACUUUCUGGUGGUGUGGUUUGACGGCUUCGCGCCGCUGUGGAACUUGCAAGGACCAUCCAAAGUCUGCUCAUAGGUGAAAGCCGGCAACCAAUUGGACUUGCCACCCUUCUGCCGCUUGGCCGGAGGCUGCCCCUCCGGCUGUUGAUCUUCAACUGUCGCCACUUGCCGGCUGUUCGAAGUCGACUGCUGGGCCUUGCACUUGUUGUCGUUCUGUUGCUGUCGCCGACUGGUGUCUCCAGCCGGAGUUCUGAGAGCCUGAGGGGUCACCUUGCCAGCGGCGCUGACUUGGAUCUCUGUCUUCAUGGAAGAGUCGGCCAUGGCAUACUUGUCCGCUAUGACUAGCAGUUCGUCGAGGGUUUCUGGCUCAUCGCAGAGGAGCUUGUGCUUGAGGAGGGUGCCCUCUCGGCACCCGGCACUAAAGUACUCGAUGGCCUGCACGUCGUGCACGCCCUCGCAGGAGUUUCGAAGCUCACCCCAGCGCGUGAGGUAGUCGCGUGUUGAUUCAUCAGGGCCUUGCACGCACAAGGAGAGCUGGCGCGGCUUCGGAGGUCGCUUGUACGUGCUUGUGAAGUUGCGGAUGAAGGCUUCGGUGAAGUCGACCCAACUAUUGAUGCUGCGGGGCUUCAGGCUGUUCAGCCAUGUCCGGGCCGUGCCCUGGAGCAUGAGAGGAUCGUACUUCACGGCAACUCGCUUGUUGCCGUUUGCUAUGCUGACGGCUGUGGAGUAGUCUAUGAGCCAGUCCUCCGGCUUCACGGAGGCGGUGUACUUGGGUGUGUGUCGGGGGAGCGUGAACCCUUUGGGGAAGGGCUCGUCUCUGAUGCGGGGCCCGAAGCAAGGCGGACCCAGCUCGUCCUCUUCUUCCAGCGCCAGGGAUCGGUGGAGUCGGUCGAUCCGAUGGCGUGCGUCAUUCUCUCCGACUCCCUCUCGGCGGCCAAGGCGACCUCCGAGAGUCGGAUGCUCAAUAGGCAGCGGGGAAACUCGCCGCUCUCUUCUGGGCGGGGGAGGCAGGUAGUUGUCCCGCCGCUCUACUGCUCUCGAGCGGCCGUCUUGGUCGCGCUCGAUGGUGAUAUGAGUCCGACUGUGACUGACAGCCGGCUCCUUCUCUUUCCUUCCGCGGACUCCGCCAGUCGGCGUCCGGGAGGUCGCGCCUUGAUCUCGGCGGGGAGGCAAGUCGUCGUUCGGCUGCUGCAGCGCAUCUGCGUGGCCGCCGGCCGCGUUUUGCGCAGUGACCGCGUCAAGGAGCUGUUGGACUCACCCCGUCAUCACACGGCGCACUUCUCCCUCGAAGUUCUUCAGCUCGUCAGUCGCCGCUUGGACGGCGCGGAUGUUCUCCGCUGGGGUGGCGUACACGGGGCGUUUUGCCCCGAGCAAGUCGGCGAUGGCCGCGCCGUGCUGUCGGACCGCACCUAGACGGCUCGGCCCAGUCGGAGCCGGCGAGCUGCCUACGGCGCGAUCCAUCUCGUGCUGGUAUGCCUCUGACAAGCGCCUCAUGCUUGCCAGCUUCUUGGCGCCUUCGAUGAUCUGAAGGCGGCGCGUCUCCAGCGUCUCGGCAUCUGCGUCCUCUGGGAUGGGCGCGGUUAGGUCUUGCAGGGCCGCAGCUAGUGGGUCCUGGGCUUCUUCGCCAGAGUGCUCGCCGUGGCUGAUGACGAGCACCUCCAUGACAGCGCUUCCGCCGCUCUCCUCGUACGGAAGCGGCUCGUCGUAGACCACCACGUUGGUGGGAAAAAUGUCGAGCGACACGGCGUCAGAGUCGACCAGCAUCGGGUCAGAGGAGCCUAUGGACUCCAAGUCUACUGCAGGCUCGCCGGCGACGUGGAGUUGGUCGAGGAGGCCCGCGAGAAGGCUCUCGGGGCCACCCGUGCCCAUGUCGGAUGCAGGUUCGUCGGAGAGGCGCACCUCGCCGACAAGUUCGGCGAGGCCGUUCGCGGCGCAUGCGGCCUCUACGCCGCGCAGCGCGUCGAUGCAGACUCCAUCUGGCGAGCCUGGCUGGCUGCGCUCGCCAGGGAGGAAGAGGGUUCCCGUCCAGAACAGAUCUCCGGACAACGGUGCACCUCGCCCCACGGUGGGCGCCAAAUGUCGGGGGUUGGGUGCGACAUAUGCCAAAGGAUGGCUUAUCAUGGUGGGGGCGAGUAGAACGUCGCCGGUGCCUGGAAACGGGAUAAGGCGUAGACAUGUACGCCGGCGAAUCUUACCCAGCUUCGAGGCUCUCCGGGGAGAUAACACCCCUACUGCUGCUCUGCGGGGUGUCCGCAUGGUCACUAAAGCAAGGUGACUACAAUGGUGCUCCUGGAGCUGUAUCGGAAGGCAGGAGAGAGCAAGGCUAGUUCUCUCCUCCCUGGGCUAUGUGUCUAUCUCUAUCAAUGUCCAAACCCCUUGCAUGGGUGCCCCGGGGGGGUUUAUAUAGUCCUACCCCCCGAGGGUACAAUGGUAAUCCGGCUGGGUGCGGGUCCCAGCCGUCUGUCUCUCAUGCCGCUGUCCUUCCUGCCGCGGACAGGCCGAACACUGUGCAGCGCUCCUGAUGACGCAGGCUUGGUCAUUGGGUCGUGGCAACAGUGCCGCCGUCUAUCAGGCGAUCACUGUCGCCACUCCCCAUCCAAUCUGGUUUAUGGUUUGUGGGGCCCUGGAGGGGAGACGGCCGACUCCGAGGAGGCCGACUCCCACAGGGCCGUCUUCGGGCGCUUUGGCCGCCUUCGGUUCACCCACUGACAGGCGGCCCCGCGGUCUUAGGGCCGUACAGGCCGGCGUCAUGGGCACAGUGCGUCGCGCACUGUGGCUGAGGUCAGGGCAGGCAUGGCAACAGUGUCGCGCCUCGCCGGGGAUCUCCUGGCGAUACAGCUAACUGUAGCCAUGCCAGUCCCUCGUAGGCAGGGAGGGACGGCCACGUCGUGACCGUACCCCACAUCGGGCCUCGUGAAGUGUCAUGGGCCGACUCCCAUAGUCGGCUUCCCUGGAGGUCGCCAGAUUGGAGUCGGCUUGCCCUGGAGUUGUCAUCUGGGACUCGGCUCCUCUGGAGAUCGCCAGCUGGGACUCGGCCUCUCUGGAGGUCGCCAGCUGGGACUCGGCUGGAGGGGCGCGGCCUGCCCCGAUGUCUUGAAAGAUCCUGGGUCCCGGGUCAGCCUACCCGUGGCCCAUAACUCCGAUACUUUUGCAUACUAACUCGGAUGAAAAAGUUUUUUAUAUGAAAAAUCAUCUACUCGAAAAGGUAAAUCAUCCACCUAGAUCUCUUUCCUUCUUGUGCAUUCUCGAUAAUAUGUAUUAUACUUUUCUUUGUUGUUUUCUUUCAUGCUUGGCAAACAACCUUAGCACAUCAUAAUUACCGUCUUGUGUUUUCUUCUUCGGAUGAGCCUCGUCCGGUUCUAGAGACCGGCACCCUCCGGUGGCCCCGGCGGUCUAGGGCGUUGUUCGGCACCUAGAGGGGCUAGGCCAUGGGGAAUAACUGCUUCUUCGUGUUAGUGCAUGUCAUCGCGAGAUAACAUUCCAAGUCUAGGCCCAUUCUGUCACGAGAUCGCCCACCGAAGACUCUGUCUCGGGGACGAACGCAGCCGGUCCUCGACUUUCCCGCCCAUGUGUGUGGUUUGUGAGGCACGUGCCACGUCAGGGAUGUGUGUUGCUUAUUCAAAUAGCACACCACCCCUGCAUGCAUAUGCAUGGGCCACGCGCAUGUACGGGUGCCCUCCCCCACAUCAGGCGGUCUCCAUAUCGAGCACCCAUCUAGUGGCCCCGGCGGUCUAGGGCGUUAUUCGGCACCGAGAGGGUGUAGUCCAUGGUGAAAAACUGCUACUUCAUGUUAGUGCAUGUCAUCGCGAGAUGACAGACCAAGUCUAGGCUCGUUCUGUCACGGGAUCGCCCACCGAAGAUUCUGUCUCGGGAACGGACGCAGCCGGUCCUUGAUGUUCCCGCGCGUGUGUGUGGUUUGUGAGGCAUGUGCCACGUCAAGGACGUGCAUUGCUUAUUCAAAUAGCACACCACCCCUGCAUGCAUAUACAUGGGCCACAGGCAUGUAGGGGUGCCCUCCCCCCCUCGGGAGGUCUCCAUAUCGAGCACCCAUCCGGUGGCCCCGGCGGUCUAGGGCGUUAUUCGACACCCAGAGGGUGUAGUCCACGGUGAAUAACUGCUUCUCUGUGUUAGUGCAUGUCAUUGCGAGAUGACAGACCAAGUCUGGGCCAAAGCCACAACAAGAUCCCAUCCAUGUAGACACGACGCAUCCGUUUCCCCCCUCGAGGAGCCGGCCGUGAGGGGGGCCACACCCUGGAGAGGCGUGCCACCUCUUCGGAUAUGCCACCACACCGUACGACAUGUAUGAGGGCCCGGUGCGAUGCUCCGGUGGCAUUGCUACCCUCCCAGGGCCCCCGUCCUGCCUAACCCUGUAGCGUUUGACCAUCGGAUCUAGCCCUUUGACUUUGCACGGACGGGCUUUGACCAGUGGAACUCUCCACCCGGUUGUGUUAGGUCAGCCCAUAGGAACACUUUGGAGCAACAUCCAGGCCUAAGCCACAGCAAGACCCCAUCCGUGUAGACCCGACGCGUCCGUUUCCCCCUCCAGGUGCCGGCAGCGGCGCCGUCCGUGAGGGGGGGCACACCCCGGAGACGCGGGUCGGGCAUUUGCAACCGCCACAACACUACCAGACUUGUGAGAGGCCGCCUACGCAAGAUUUGGCGGCAUGUGCUAGCCCCCGGAGGCCGCCGGCCACAUUUGUACACACGCGAAGAGCAAUCCGCGGAGAGGGAAGUGUUCAGAUACUUCUUUAAAGUUCUCUCUCGGUGCCGGUCUAGAAAGUUGACCGGCACCGAGAGAGGGGGUAGGUCACGGUCAACAACUUCUUCUUCUCAUGUUUUUUUACAUUACACACUCUUUAAUGUUGAGUUUUGAAAAAAAUCAUCUAAAGUCAUGGAAUUUAUAAACUUUGGUCGUAAAAGCAUAUGAAAUAUGAGAUACAAAAAAGAUAGUGCAAAAAAAGACAAAAAGAGGAGGGGGGAAUUAGAGCAGUCAUUACCGAGAGUCGAUUCUUGGCUCUCGGUUAUUUCCACCUUUUCUGAGAGCUGCUCUCGGUAAACCAUCCACCUAGAUCUCUUUCCUUCUUGUGCAUUCUCGAUAAUAUGUAUUAUACUUUUUUUGUUGUUUUCUUUCAUGAUUGACAAAUAACCGUAGCACAUCAUAAUUACCGUCUUCUGUUUUGUUCUUCGGAUGAGCCUUGUCCGGUUAUAGAGACCGGCACCCCUCCGGUGGACCCGGCGGUCUAGGGCAUUGUUCGGCACCUAGAGAGGGUAGGACACGGGGAAUAACUGCUUCUUCGUGUUAGUGCAUGUCAUCGCGAGAUAACAUUCCAAGUCUAGGCCCGUUCUGUCAUGGGAUCGCCCAACGAAGACUCUGUGUCGGGGACGAACGCAGCCGGUCCUCGACCUUCCAUCCCAUGUGUGUGGUUUGUGAGGCACGUGCCACAUCAAGGACGUGUGUUUCUUAUUAAAAUAGCACACCACCCCUUCAUGCAUAUGCAUGGGCCACGCGCAUGUACGGGUGCCCACCCCCCCUCGGGCGGUCUCCAUAUUGAGCACCCAUACGGUGGCCCCGGCGGUCUAGGGCGUUAUUCGACACCGAGAGGGUGUAGUCCUCGGUGAAUNNNNNNNNNNNNNNNNNNNNNNNNNNNNNNNNNNNNNNNNNNNNNNNNNNNNNNNNNNNNNNNNNNNNNNNNNNNNNNNNNNNNNNNNNNNNNNNNNNNNNNNNNNNNNNNNNNNNNNNNNNNNNNNNNNNNNNNNNNNNNNNNNNNNNNNNNNNNNNNNNNNNNNNNNNNNNNNNNNNNNNNNNNNNNNAUCACGAGAUGACAGACCAAGUCUAGGCUCGUUCUGUCAUGGGAUCACCCACCGAAGAUUCUGUCUCGGGAACGGAUGCAGCCGGUCCUUGACGUUCCCGCCCGUGUGUGUGGUUUGUGAGGCACGUGCCACGUCAAGGAUGUGCGUUGCUUAUUCAAAUAGCACACCACCCCUGCAAGCAUAUACAUGGGCCACAGGCAUGUAGGGGUGCCCUCCCUCCCCUCGGGCGGUCUCCAUAUCGAGCACCCAUCCGGUGGCCCCGACGGUCUAGAGCGUUAUUCGGCACCGAGAGGGUGUAGUCCAUGGUGAAUAACUGCUUCUCCGUGUUAGUGCAUGUCAUUGGGAGAUGACAGACCAAGUCUAGGACAAAGCCACAGCAAGAUCCCAUCCGCGUAGACCCGACGCGUCCAUUCACUAGUAGAAAAGGGGGCUUUGGUCCAGGCCUGGUAACCCCAUUAUUCCCGGUUCAGUCUAGAACCGAGACCAAUGGGGGCAUUGGUCCCGGUUCCUGAGCCCAGGGGGCUGGCCGGGCCACGUGGGCCAUUGGUCCCGGUUCAUCUGGACCUUUUGGUCCCGGUUGGUGGGAUGAACCGGGACCAAUGGGCCUCGCUCCUGGCCCACAACCAUUGGUCCCGGUUCGUGCCUCAAACCGGGACUAAAGAUUNNNNNNNNNNNNNNNNNNNNNNNNNNNNNNNNNNNNNNNNNNNNNNNNNNNNNNNNNNNNNNNNNNNNNNNNNNNNNNNNNNNNNNNNNNNNNNNNNNNNNNNNNNNNNNNNNNNNNNNNNNNNNNNNNNNNNNNNNNNNNNNNNNNNNNNNNNNNNNNNNNNNNNNNNNNNNNNNNNNNNNNNNNNNNNNNNNNNNNNNNNNNNNNNNNNNNNNNNNNNNNNNNNNNNNNNNNNNNNNNNNNNNNNNNNNNNNNNNNNNNNNNNNNNNNNNNNNNNNNNNNNNNNNNNNNNNNNNNNNNNNNNNNNNNNNNNNNNNNNNNNNNNNNNNNNNNNNNNNNNNNNNNNNNNNNNNNNNNNNNNNNNNNNNNNNNNNNNNNNNNAAAGAAAAUAAGUUUCCCAUGUGAUAUGUGGUCUAGUUGUUGGGAAAAUAUGCAAAUGUGAAUUUUGGCUUUAUUUGCAAAAUCUCUCUAAAAUUUGUAAAAAUGGGCAUAACUUUUCCAUACUAACUCGGAUGAAAAAGUUUUUUAUAUGAAAAAUCAUCUACUCGAAAAGGUAAAUCAUCCACCUAGAUCUCUUUCCUUCUUGUGCAUUCUCGAUAAUAUGUAUUAUACUUUUUUUGUUGUUUUCUUUCAUGCUUGGCAAACAACCUUAGCACAUCAUAAUUACAGUCUUGUGUUUUCUUCUUCGGAUGAGCCUCGUCCGGUUCUAGAGACCGGCACCCCUCCGGUGACCUCGGCGGUCUAGGGAGUUGUUCGGCACCUAGAGGGGGUAGGCCACGGGGAAUAACUACUUCUUCGUGUUAGUGCAUGUCAUCGCGAGAUAACAUUCCAAGUCUAGGCCCGUUCUGUCACGGGAUCACCCACCGAAGACUCUGUCUCGGGGACGAACGCAGCCGGUCCUCGACGUUCCCGCCCAUGUGUGUCGUUUGUGAGGCACGUGCCACGUCAAGGACGUGCGUUUCUUAUUAAAAUAGCACACCACCCCUGCAUGCAUAUGCAUGGGCCACGCGCAUGUAUGGGUGCCCUCCCCCCCCUCGGGCGGUCUCCAUAUUGAGCACCCAUACGGUGGCCUCGACGGUCUAGGGCAUUAUUCGACACCGAGAGGGUGUAGUCCUCGGUGAAUAAGUGCUACUCCGUGAUAGUGCAUGUCAUCGCNNNNNNNNNNGCAUGUCAUCACGAGAUGACAGACCAAGUCUAGGCUCGUUCUGUCACGGGAUCACCCACCGAAGAUUCUGUCUUGGGAACGGACGCAGCCGGUCCUUGACGUUCCCGCCCGUGUGUGUGGUUUGUGAGGCACGUGCCACGUCAAGGAUGUGCGUUGCUUAUUCAAAUAGCACACCACCCCUGCAUGCAUAUACAUGGGCCACAGGCAUGUAGGGGGCCCUCCCUCCCCUCGGGCGGUCUCCAUAUCGAGCACCCAUCCGGUGGCCCCGGCGGUCUAGAGCGUUAUUCGGCACCGAGAGGGUGUAGUCCACGGUGAAUAACUGCUUCUCCGUGUUAGUGCAUGUCAUUGCGAGAUGACAGACCAAGUCUAGGCCAAAGCCACAACAAGAUCCCAUCCGCGUAGACCCGACGCGUUCGUUCACUAGUAGAAAAGGGGGCUUUGGUCCAGGCCGGGUAACCCCAUUAGUCCCGGUUCAGUCUAGAACCGGGACCAAUGGCGGCAUUGGUCCCGGUUCCUGAGCCCAGGGGACCGGCCGGGCCACGUGGGCCAUUGGUCCCGGUUCAUCUGGACCUUUUGGUCCCGGUUGGUGGGAUGAACCGGGACCAAUGGGCCUCGCUCCUGGCCCACAACCAUUGGUCCCGGUUCGUGCCUCAAANNNNNNNNNNNNNNNNNNNNNNNNNNNNNNNNNNNNNNNNNNNNNNNNNNNNNNNNNNNNNNNNNNNNNNNNNNNNNNNNNNNNNNNNNNNNNNNNNNNNNNNNNNNNNNNNNNNNNNNNNNNNNNNNNNNNNNNNNNNNNNNNNNNNNNNNNNNNNNNNNNNNNNNNNNNNNNNNNNNNNNNNNNNNNNNNNNNNNNNNNNNNNNNNNNNNNNNNNNNNNNNNNNNNNNNNNNNNNNNNNNNNNNNNNNNNNNNNNNNNNNNNNNNNNNNNNNNNNNNNNNNNNNNNNNNNNNNNNNNNNNNNNNNNNNNNNNNNNNNNNNNNNNNNNNNNNNNNNNNNNNNNNNNNNNNNNNNNNNNNNNNNNNNNNNNNNNNNNNNNNNNNNNNNNNNNNNNNNNNNNNNNNNNNNNNNNNNNNNNNNNNNNNNNNNNNNNNNNNNNNNNNNNNNNNNNNNNNNNNNNNNNNNNNNNNNNNNNNNNNNNNNNNNNNNNNNNNNNNNNNNNNNNNNNNNNNNNNNNNNNNNNNNNNNNNNNNNNNNNNNNNNNNNNNNNNNNNNNNNNNNNNNNNNNNNNNNNNNNNNNNNNNNNNNNNNNNNNNNNNNNNNNNNNNNNNNNNNNNNNNNNNNNNNNNNNNNNNNNNNNNNNNNNNNNNNNNNNNNNNNNNNNNNNNNNNNNNNNNNNNNNNNNNNNNNNNNNNNNNNNNNNNNNNNNNNNNNNNNNNNNNNNNNNNNNNNNNNNNNNNNNNNNNNNNNNNNNNNNNNNNNNNNNNNNNNNNNNNNNNNNNNNNNNNNNNNNNNNNNNNNNNNNNNNNNNNNNNNNNNNNNNNNNNNNNNNNNNNNNNNNNNNNNNNNNNNNNNNNNNNNNNNNNNNNNNNNNNNNNNNNNNNNNNNNNNNNNNNNNNNNNNNNNNNNNNNNNNNNNNNNNNNNNNNNNNNNNNNNNNNNNNNNNNNNNNNNNNNNNNNNNNNNNNNNNNNNNNNNNNNNNNNNNNNNNNNNNNNNNNNNNNNNNNNNNNNNNNNNNNNNNNNNNNNNNNNNNNNNNNNNNNNNNNNNNNNNNNNNNNNNNNNNNNNNNNNNNNNNNNNNNNNNNNNNNNNNNNNNNNNNNNNNNNNNNNNNNNNNNNNNNNNNNNNNNNNNNNNNNNNNNNNNNNNNNNNNNNNNNNNNNNNNNNNNNNNNNNNNNNNNNNNNNNNNNNNNNNNNNNNNNNNNNNNNNNNNNNNNNNNNNNNNNNNNNNNNNNNNNNNNNNNNNNNNNNNNNNNNNNNNNNNNNNNNNNNNNNNNNNNNNNNNNNNNNNNNNNNNNNNNNNNNNNNNNNNNNNNNNNNNNNNNNNNNNNNNNNNNNNNNNNNNNNNNNNNNNNNNNNNNNNNNNNNNNNNNNNNNNNNNNNNNNNNNNNNNNNNNNNNNNNNNNNNNNNNNNNNNNNNNNNNNNNNNNNNNNNNNNNNNNNNNNNNNNNNNNNNNNNNNNNNNNNNNNNNNNNNNNNNNNNNNNNNNNNNNNNNNNNNNNNNNNNNNNNNNNNNNNNNNNNNNNNNNNNNNNNNNNNNNNNNNNNNNNNNNNNNNNNNNNNNNNNNNNNNNNNNNNNNNNNNNNNNNNNNNNNNNNNNNNNNNNNNNNNNNNNNNNNNNNNNNNNNNNNNNNNNNNNNNNNNNNNNNNNNNNNNNNNNNNNNNNNNNNNNNGUUUUAAAAAAAAUAAACGAAAAUGAUGGAAAUGCCAAAAAAAUAAAAGAAAAUAAGUUUCCCAUGUGAUAUGUGGUCUAGUUGUUGGGAAAAUUUGCAAAUGUGAAUUUUGACUUUAUUUGCAAAAUCUCUCUGAAAUUUGUAAAAAUGGGCAUAACUUUUGCAUACUAACUCGGAUGAAAAAGUUUUUUAUAUGAAAAAUCAUCUACUCGAAAAGGUAAAAUCAUCCACCUAGAUCUCUUUUCUUCUUGUGCAUUCUCGAUAAUAUGUAUUAUACUUUUUUUGUUGUUUUCUUUCAUGCUUGGCAAACAACCUUAGCACAUCAUAAUUACCGUCUUGUGUUUUCUUCUUCGGAUGAGCCUCGUCCGGUUCUAGAGACCGGCACCCCUCCAGUGGCCCCGGUGGUCUAGGGCGUUGUUCGGCACCUAGAGGGGGUAGGCCAUGGGGAAUAACUGCUUCUUCGUGCUAGCGCAUGUCAUCGCGAGAUCACAUUCCAAGUCUAGGCCCGUUCUGUCACGGGAUCGCCCACCGAAGACUCUAUCUCGGGGACGAUCGCAGCUGGUCCUCGACGUUCCCGCCCAUGUGUGUGGUUUGUGAGGCACUGCCACAUCAAGGACGUGCGUUUCUUAUUAAAAUAGCACACCACCCCUGCAUGCAUAUGCAUGGGCCACGCGCAUGUACGGGUGCCCUCCCCCCCUCCUCGGGCGGUAUCCACAUUGAGCACACAUACGGUGGCCCCGACGGUCUAGGGCGUUAUUCGACACCGAGAGGGUGUAGUCCUUGAUGAAUAACUACUACUCCGUGUUAGUGCAUGUCAUCACGAGAUGACAGACCAAGUCUAGGAUCGUUCUGUCACGGGAUCACCAACCGAAGAUUCUGUCUCGUGAACGGACGCAGCCGGUCCUUGACGUUCCCGCACGUGUGUGUUGUUUGUGAGGCACGUGCCACGUCAAGGAUGUGCGUUGCUUAUUCAAAUAGCACACCACCCCUGCAUGCAUAUACAUGGGCCAUAGGCAUGUAGGGGUGCCCUCCCUCCCCUCGGGCGGUCUUCAUAUCGAGCACCCAUCCGGUGGCCCCGGUGGUCUAGAGCGUUAUUCGGCACCAAGAGGGUGUAGUCCAUGGUGAAUAACUGCUUCUCCGUGUUAGUGCAUGUCAUUGCGAGAUGACAGACCAAGUCUAGGCCAAAGCCACAGCAAGAUCCCAUCCGUGUAGACCCGACGCGUCCGUUCACUAGUAGAAAAGGGGGCUUUGGUCCAGGCCGGGUAACCCCAUUAGUCCCGGUUCAGUCUAGAACCAGGACCAAUGGGGGCAUUGGUCCCGGUUCCUGAGCCCAGGGGGCCAGCCGGGCCACGUGGGCCAUUGGUCCCGGUUCAUCUGAACCUUUUGGUCCCGGUUGGUGGGAUGAACCGGGACCAAUGGGCCUCGCUCCUGGCCCACAACCAUUGGUCCCGGUUCGUGCCUCAAACCGGGACUAAAGAUUAGACCUUUAGUCCCGGUUUGUGGCACGAACCGGGACUAAUGGGGAUGAGACCUUUAGUCCNNNNNNNNNNNNNNNNNNNNNNNNNNNNNNNNNNNNNNNNNNNNNNNNNNNNNNNNNNNNNNNNNNNNNNNNNNNNNNNNNNNNNNNNNNNNNNNNNNNNNNNNNNNNNNNNNNNNNNNNNNNNNNNNNNNNNNNNNNNNNNNNNNNNNNNNNNNNNNNNNNNNNNNNNNNNNNNNNNNNNNNNNNNNNNNNNNNNNNNNNNNNNNNNNNNNNNNNNNNNNNNNNNNNNNNNNNNNNNNNNNNNNNNNNNNNNNNNNNNNNNNNNNNNNNNNNNNNNNNNNNNNNNNNNNNNNNNNNNNNNNNNNNNNNNNNNNNNNNNNNNNNNNNNNNNNNNNNNNNNNNNNNNNNNNNNNNNNNNNNNNNNNNNNNNNNNNNNNNNNNNNNNNNNNNNNNNNNNNNNNNNNNNNNNNNNNNNNNNNNNNNNNNNNNNNNNNNNNNNNNNNNNNNNNNNNNNNNNNNNNNNNNNNNNNNNNNNNNNNNNNNNNNNNNNNNNNNNNNNNNNNNNNNNNNNNNNNNNNNNNNNNNNNNNNNNNNNNNNNNNNNNNNNNNNNNNNNNNNNNNNNNNNNNNNNNNNNNNNNNNNNNNNNNNNNNNNNNNNNNNNNNNNNNNNNNNNNNNNNNNNNNNNNNNNNNNNNNNNNNNNNNNNNNNNNNNNNNNNNNNNNNNNNNNNNNNNNNNNNNNNNNNNNNNNNNNNNNNNNNNNNNNNNNNNNNNNNNNNNNNNNNNNNNNNNNNNNNNNNNNNNNNNNNNNNNNNNNNNNNNNNNNNNNNNNNNNNNNNNNNNNNNNNNNNNNNNNNNNNNNNNNNNNNNNNNNNNNNNNNNNNNNNNNNNNNNNNNNNNNNNNNNNNNNNNNNNNNNNNNNNNNNNNNNNNNNNNNNNNNNNNNNNNNNNNNNNNNNNNNNNNNNNNNNNNNNNNNNNNNNNNNNNNNNNNNNNNNNNNNNNNNNNNNNNNNNNNNNNNNNNNNNNNNNNNNNNNNNNNNNNNNNNNNNNNNNNNNNNNNNNNNNNNNNNNNNNNNNNNNNNNNNNNNNNNNNNNNNNNNNNNNNNNNNNNNNNNNNNNNNNNNNNNNNNNNNNNNNNNNNNNNNNNNNNNNNNNNNNNNNNNNNNNNNNNNNNNNNNNNNNNNNNNNNNNNNNNNNNNNNNNNNNNNNNNNNNNNNNNNNNNNNNNNNNNNNNNNNNNNNNNNNNNNNNNNNNNNNNNNNNNNNNNNNNNNNNNNNNNNNNNNNNNNNNNNNNNNNNNNNNNNNNNNNNNNNNNNNNNNNNNNNNNNNNNNNNNNNNNNNNNNNNNNNNNNNNNNNNNNNNNNNNNNNNNNNNNNNNNNNNNNNNNNNNNNNNNNNNNNNNNNNNNNNNNNNNNNNNNNNNNNNNNNNNNNNNNNNNNNNNNNNGUUCAGUCUAGAACCGGGACCAAUGGGGGCAUUGGUCCCGGUUCCUGAGCCCAGGGGGCCGGCCGGGCCACGUGGGCCAUUGGUCCCGGUUCAUCUGGACCUUUUGGUCCCGGUUGGUGGGAUGAACCGGGACCAAUGGGCAUCGCUCCUGGCCCACAACCAUUGGUCCCGGUUCGUGCCUCAAACCGGGACUAAAGAUUAGACCUUUAGUCCCGGUUUGAGGCACGAACCGGGACUAAUGGGGAUGAGACCUUUAGUCCCGGUUCGUGCCACGAACCGGUACUAAAGGUCCCAUUUUCAAACUCUACCCCCCGGUGGAUCGCCUUUUCAGUUUUAAAAAAAUAAACGAAAAUGAUGGAAAUGUCAAAAAAAUAAAAGAAAAUAAGUUUCCCAUAUGAUAUGUGGUCUAGUUGUUGGGAAAAUUUGCAAAUGUGAUUUUUGACUAUAUUUGCAAAAUCUCUCUAAAAUUUGUAAAAAUGGGCAUAACUUUUGCAUACUAACUCGAAUGAAAAAGUUUUUUAUAUGAAAAAUCAACUACUCGAAAAGGUAAAUCAUCCACCUAGAUCUCUUUCCUUCUUGUGCAUUCUCGAUAAUAUGUAUUAUACUUUUUUUUGUUGUUUUCUUUCAUGUCUGGCAAACAACCUUAGCACAUCAUAAUUACCGUCUUGUGUUUUCUUCUUCGGAUGAGCCUCGUCCGGUUCUAGAGACCGACACCCCUCCGGUGGCGCCGGCGGUCUAGGGCGUUGUUCGACACCUAGAGGGGGUAGGCCACGGGGAAUAACUGCAUCUUCGUGUUAGUGCAUGUCAUCGCGAGAUAACAUUCCAUGUUUAGGCCCGUUCUGUCAUGGGAUCGCCCAACAAAGACUCUCUCUCGGGGACGAACGCAGCCGGUCCUCGACGUUCCCGCCCAUGUGUGUGGUUUGUGAGGCACGUGCCACGUCAAGGACGUGCGUUUCUUAUUAAAAUAGCACACCACCCCUGCAUGCAUAUGCAUGGGCCACGCGCAUGUACGGGUGCCCUCCCCCCCUCGGGCGGUCUCCAUAUUGAGCACCCAUACGGUGGCCCCGACGGUCUAGGGCGUUAUUCGACACCGAGAGGGUGUAGUCCUCGGCGAAUAACUGCUACUCCGUGUUAGUGCAUGUCAUCACGAGAUGACAGACCAAGUCUAGGCUCAUUCUGUCACGGGAUCACCCACCGAAGAUUCUGUCUCGGGAACGGACNNNNNNNNNNNNNNNNNNNNNNNNNNNNNNNNNNNNNNNNNNNNNNNNNNNNNNNNNNNNNNNNNNNNNNNNNNNNNNNNNNNNNNNNNNNNNNNNNNNNNNNNNNNNNNNNNNNNNNNNNNNNNNNNNNNNNNNNNNNNNNNNNNNNNNNNNNNNNNNNNNNNNNNNNNNNNNNNNNNNNNNNNNNNNNNNNNNNNNNNNNNNNNNNNNNNNNNNNNNNNNNNNNNNNNNNNNNNNNNNNNNNNNNNNNNNNNNNNNNNNNNNNNNNNNNNNNNNNNNNNNNNNNNNNNNNNNNNNNNNNNNNNNNNNNNNNNNNNNNNNNNNNNNNNNNNNNNNNNNNNNNNNNNNNNNNNNNNNNNNNNNNNNNNNNNNNNNNNNNNNNNNNNNNNNNNNNNNNNNNNNNNNNNNNNNNNNNNNNNNNNNNNNNNNNNNNNNNNNNNNNNNNNNNNNNNNNNNNNNNNNNNNNNNNNNNNNNNNNNNNNNNNNNNNNNNNNNNNNNNNNNNNNNNNNNNNNNNNNNNNNNNNNNNNNNNNNNNNNNNNNNNNNNNNNNNNNNNNNNNNNNNNNNNNNNNNNNNNNNNNNNNNNNNNNNNNNNNNNNNNNNNNNNNNNNNNNNNNNNNNNNNNNNNNNNNNNNNNNNNNNNNNNNNNNNNNNNNNNNNNNNNNNNNNNNNNNNNNNNNNNNNNNNNNNNNNNNNNNNNNNNNNNNNNNNNNNNNNNNNNNNNNNNNNNNNNNNNNNNNNNNNNNNNNNNNNNNNNNNNNNNNNNNNNNNNNNNNNNNNNNNNNNNNNNNNNNNNNNNNNNNNNNNNNNNNNNNNNNNNNNNNNNNNNNNNNNNNNNNNNNNNNNNNNNNNNNNNNNNNNNNNNNNNNNNNNNNNNNNNNNNNNNNNNNNNNNNNNNNNNNNNNNNNNNNNNNNNNNNNNNNNNNNNNNNNNNNNNNNNNNNNNNNNNNNNNNNNNNNNNNNNNNNNNNNNNNNNNNNNNNNNNNNNNNNNNNNNNNNNNNNNNNNNNNNNNNNNNNNNNNNNNNNNNNNNNNNNNNNNNNNNNNNNNNNNNNNNNNNNNNNNNNNNNNNNNNNNNNNNNNNNNNNNNNNNNNNNNNNNNNNNNNNNNNNNNNNNNNNNNNNNNNNNNNNNNNNNNNNNNNNNNNNNNNNNNNNNNNNNNNNNNNNNNNNNNNNNNNNNNNNNNNNNNNNNNNNNNNNNNNNNNNNNNNNNNNNNNNNNNAUAACUACUACUCCGUGUUAGUGCAUGUCAUCACGAGAUGACAGACCAAGUCUAGGAUCGUUCUGUCACGGGAUCACCAACCGAAGAUUCUGUCUCGUGAACGGACGCAGCCGGUCCUUGACGUUCCCGCACGUGUGUGUUGUUUGUGAGGCACGUGCCACGUCAAGGAUGUGCGUUGCUUAUUCAAAUAGCACACCACCCCUGCAUGCAUAUACAUGGGCCAUAGGCAUGUAGGGGUGCCCUCCCUCCCCUCGGGCGGUCUUCAUAUCGAGCACCCAUCCGGUGGCCCCGGUGGUCUAGAGCGUUAUUCGGCACCAAGAGGNNNNNNNNNNNNNNNNNNNNNNNNNNNNNNNNNNNNNNNNNNNNNNNNNNNNNNNNNNNNNNNNNNNNNNNNNNNNNNNNNNNNNNNNNNNNNNNNNNNNNNNNNNNNNNNNNNNNNNNNNNNNNNNNNNNNNNNNNNNNNNNNNNNNNNNNNNNNNNNNNNNNNNNNNNNNNNNNNNNNNNNACGUGGGCCAUUGGUCCCGGUUCAUCUGAACCUUUUGGUCCCGGUUGGUGGGAUGAACCGGGACCAAUGGGCCUCGCUCCUGGCCCACAACCAUUGGUCCCGGUUCGUGCCUCAAACCGGGACUAAAGAUUAGACCUUUAGUCCCGGUUUGUGGCACGAACCGGGACUAAUGGGGAUGAGACCUUUAGUCCUGGUUCGUGCCACGAACCGGUACUAAAGGUCCCAUUUUCAAACUCUACCCCCCCUGUGGAUCGCCUUUCCAGUUUUAAAAAAAUAAACGAAAAUGAUGGAAAUGUCAAAAAAAUAAAAGAAAAUAAGUUUCCCAUGUGAUAUGUGGUCUAGUUGUUGGGAAAAUUUGCAAAUGUGAAUUUUGACUUUAUUUGCAAAAUCUAUCUGAAAUUUGUAAAAAUGGGCAUAACUUUUGCAUACUAACUCAGAUGAAAAAGUUUUUAUAUGAAAAAUCAUCUACUCGAAAAGGUAAAUCAUCCACCUAGAUCUCUUUCCUUCUUGUGCAUUCUCGAUAAUAUGUAUUAUACUUUUUUUUUUGUUUUCUUUCAUGCUUGGCAAACAACCUUAGCACAUCAUAAUUACCGUCUUGUGUUUUCUUCUUCUGAUGAGCCUCGUCCGGUUCUAAAGACCGGCACCCCUCCGGUGGCGCCGGCGGUCUAGGGUGUUGUUCGGCACCUAGAGGGGGUAGGCCACGGGGAAUAACUGCUUCUUCGUGUUAGUGCAUGUCAUCGCGAGAUAACAUUCCAAGUCUAGGCCCGUUCUAUCACGGGAUCGCCCACCGAAGACUCUCUCUCGGGGACGAACGCAGCCGGUCCUCGACGUUCCUGCCCAUGUGUGUGGUUUGUGAGGCACGUGCCACGUCAAGGACGUGCGUUUCUUAUUAAAAAUAGCACACCACCCCUGCAUGCAUAUGCAUGGGCCACGCGCAUGUACGGGUGCCCUCCCCCCCCUCGGGCGGUCUCCAUAUUGAGCACCCAUACGGUGGCCCCGGCGGUCUAGGGCGUUAUUCGACACCGAGAGGGUGUAGUCCUCGGUGAAUAACUGCUACUCCGUNNNNNNNNNNNNNNNNNNNNNNNNNNNNNNNNNNNNNNNNNNNNNNNNNNNNNNNNNNNNNNNNNNNNNNNAUGUCAUUGCGAGAUGACAGACCAAGUCUAGGCCAAAGCCACAGCAAGAUCCCAUCCGUGUAGACCCGACGCGUCCGUUCACUAGUAGAAAAGGGGGCUUUGGUCCAGGCCGGGUAACCCCAUUAGUCCCGGUUCAGUCUAGAACCGGGACCAAUGGGGGCAUUGGUCCCGGUUCCUGAGCCCAGGGGGCCGGCCGGGCCACGUGGGCCAUUGGUCCCGGUUCAUCUGGACCUUUUGGUCCCGGUUGGUGGGAUGAACCGGGACCAAUGGGCAUCGCUCCUGGCCCACAACCAUUGGUCCCGGUUCGUGCCUCAAACCGGGACUAAAGAUUAGACCUUUAGUCCCGGUUUGAGGCACGAACCGGGACUAAUGGGGAUGAGACCUUUAGUCCCGGUUCGUGCCACGAACCGGUACUAAAGGUCCCAUUUUCAAACUCUACCCCCCGGUGGAUCGCCUUUUCAGUUUUAAAAAAAUAAACGAAAAUGAUGGAAAUGUCAAAAAAAUAAAAGAAAAUAAGUUUCCCAUGUGAUAUCUGGUCUAGUUGUUGGGAAAAUUUGCAAAUGUGAAUUUUAACUUCAUUUGCAAAAUCUCUCUGAAAUUUGUAAAAAUGGGCAUAACUUUUGCAUACUAACUCGGAUGAAAAAGUUUUUUAUAUGAAAAAUCAUCUACUCGAAAAGGUAAAUCAUCCACCUAGAUCUCUUUCCUUCCUGUGCAUUCUCGAUAAUAUGUAUUAUACUUUUUUUUGUUGUUUUCUUUCAUGCUUGGCAAACAACCUUAGCACAUCAUAAUUACCGUCUUGUGUUUUCUUCUUCGGAUGAGCGUCGUCCGGUUCUAAAGACCGGCACCCCUCCGAUGGCGCCGGCGGUCUAGGGUGUUGUUCGGCACCUAGAGGGGGUAGGCCACGGGGAAUAACUGCUUCUUCGUGUUAGUGCAUGUCAUCGCGAGAUAACAUUCCAAGUCUAGGCCCGUUCUAUCACGGGAUCGCCCACCGAAGACUCUCUCUCGGGGACGAACGCAGCCGGUCCUCGACGUUCCUGCCCAUGUGUGUGGUUUGUGAGGCACGUGCCACGUCAAGGACGUGCGUUUCUUAUUAAAAUAGCACACCACCCCUGCAUGCAUAUGCAUGGGCCACGCGCAUGUACGGGUGCCCUCCCCCCCCCUCGGGCGGUCUCCAUAUUGAGCACCCAUACGGUGGCCUCGGCGGUCUAGGGCGUUAUUCGACACCGAGAGGGUGUAGUCCUCGGUGAAUAACUGCUACUCCGUGUUAGUGCAUGUCAUCACGAGAUGACAGACCAAGUCUAGGCUCAUUCUGUCACGGGAUCACCCACCGAAGAUUCUGUCUCGGGAACGGACGCAGCCGGUCCUUGACNNNNNNNNNNGUCUAGGGCGUUAUUCGACACCGAGAGGGUGUAGUCCUCGGUGAAUAACUGCUACUCCGUGUUAGUGCAUGUCAUCACGAGAUGACAAACCAAGUCUAGGCUCGUUCUGUCACGGGAUCACCCACCGAAGAUUGUGUCUUGGGAACAGACGCAACCGGUCCUUGACGUUCCCGCCCGUGUGUGUGGUUUGUGAGGCACGUGCCACGUCAAGGAUGUGCGUUUCUUAUUCCAAUAGCACACCACCCCUGCAUGCAUAUACAUGGGCCACAGGCAUGUAGGGGUGCCCUCCCUCCCCUCGGGCGGUCUCCAUAUCGGGCACCCUUCCGGUGGCCCCGGCGGUCUAGAGCGUUAUUCGGCAUCGAGAAGGUGUAGUCCAUGGUGAAUAACUGCUUCUCCGUGUUAGUGCAUGUCAUUGCGAGAUGACAGACCAAGUCUAGGCCAAAGCCACAGCAAGAUCCCAUCCGUGUAGACCCGACGCGUCCGUUCACUAGUAGAAAAGGGGGCUUUGGUCCAGGCCGGGUAACCCCAUUAGUCCCGGUUCAGUCUAGAACCGGGACCAAUGGGGGCAUUGGUCCCGGUUCCUGAGCCCAGGGGGCCGGCCGGGCCACGUGGGCCAUUGGUCCCGGUUCAUCUGGACCUUUUGGUCCCGGUUGGUGGGAUGAACCGGGACCAAUGGGCAUCGCUCCUGGCCCACAACCAUUGGUCCCGGUUCGUGCCUCAAACCGGGACUAAAGAUUAGACCUUUAGUCCCGGUUUGAGGCACGAACCGGGACUAAUGGGGAUGAGACCUUUAGUCCCGGUUCGUGCCACGAACCGGUACUAAAGGUCCCAUUUUCAAACUCUACCCCCCGGUGGAUCGCCUUUUCAGUUUAAAAAAAAUAAACGAAAAUGAUGGAAAUGUCAAAAAAAUAAAAGAAAAUAAGUUUCCCAUAUGAUAUGUGGUCUAGUUGUUGGGAAAAUUUGCAAAUGUGAUUUUUGACUAUAUUUGCAAAAUCUCUCUAAAAUUUGUAAAAAUGGGCAUAACUUUUGCAUACUAACUCGAAUGAAAAAGUUUUUUAUAUGAAAAAUCUACUACUCGAAAAGGUAAAUCAUCCACCUAGAUCUCUUUCCUUCUUGUGCAUUCUCGAUAAUAUGUAUUAUACUUUUUUUUGUUGUUUUCUUUCAUGUCUGGCAAACAACCUUAGCACAUCUUAAUUACCGUCUUGUGUUUUCUUCUUCGGAUGAGCCUCGUCCGGUUCUAGAGACCGACACCCCUCCGGUGGCCCCAGCGGUCUAGGGCAUUGUUCGACACCUAGAGGGGGUAGGCCACGGGGAAUAACUGCAUCUUCGUGUUAGUGCAUGUCAUCGCGAGAUAACAUUCCAUGUCUAGGCCCGUUCUGUCAUGGGAUCGCCCACCAAAGACUCUGUCUCGGGGACGAACGCAGCCGGUCCUCGACGUUCCCGCCCAUGUGUGUGGUUUGUGAGGCACGUGCCACGUCAAGGACGUGCGUUUCUUAUUAAAAUAGCACACCACCCCUGCAUGCAUAUGCAUGGGCCACGCGCAUCUACGGGUGCCCUCCCCCCCUCGGGCGGUCUCCAUAUUGAGCACCCAUAUGGUGGCCCCGACGGUCUAGGGCGUUAUUCGACACCGAGAGGGUGUAGUCCUCGGUGAAUAACUGCUACUCCGUGUUAGUGCAUGUCAUCACGAGAUGACAGACCAAGUCUAGGCUCAUUCUGUCACGGCAUCACCCACCGAAGAUUCUGUCUCGGGAACGGACGCAGCCGGUCCUUGACGUUCCCGCCCGUGUGUGUGGUUUGUNNNNNNNNNNAUGUCAUUGCGAGAUGACAGACCAAGUCUAGGCCAAAGCCACAGCAAGAUCCCAUCCGUGUAGACCCGACGCGUCCGUUCACUAGUAGAAAAGGGGGCUUUGGUCCAGGCCGGGUAACCCCAUUAGUCCCGGUUCAGUCUAGAACCGGGACCAAUGGGGGCAUUGGUCCCGGUUCCUGAGCCCAGGGGGCCGGCCGGGCCACGUGGGCCAUUGGUCCCGGUUCAUCUGGACCUUUUGGUCCCGGUUGGUGGGAUGAACCGGGACCAAUGGGCAUCGCUCCUGGCCCACAACCAUUGGUCCCGGUUCGUGCCUCAAACCGGGACUAAAGAUUAGACCUUUAGUCCCGGUUUGAGGCACGAACCGGGACUAAUGGGGAUGAGACCUUUAGUCCCGGUUCGUGCCACGAACCGGUACUAAAGGUCCCAUUUUCAAACUCUACCCCCCGGUGGAUCGCCUUUUCAGUUUUAAAAAAAUAAACGAAAAUGAUGGAAAUGUCAAAAAAAUAAAAGAAAAUAAGUUUCCCAUGUGAUAUCUGGUCUAGUUGUUGGGAAAAUUUGCAAAUGUGAAUUUUAACUUUAUUUGCAAAAUCUCUCUGAAAUUUGUAAAAAUGGGAAUAACUUUUGCAUACUAACUCGGAUGAAAAAGUUUUUUAUAUGAAAAAUCAUCUACUCGAAAAGGUAAAUCAUCCACCUAGAUCUCUUUCCUUCCUGUGCAUUCUCGAUAAUAUGUAUUAUACUUUUUUUUUGUUGUUUUCUUUCAUGCUUGGCAAACAACCUUAGCACAUCAUAAUUACCGUCUUGUGUUUUCUUCUUCGGAUGAGCCUCGUCCGGUUCUAAAGACCGGCACCCCUCCGGUGGCGCCGGCGGUCUAGGGUGUUGUUCGGCACCUAGAGGGGGUAGGCCACGGGGAAUAACUGCUUCUUCGUGUUAGUGCAUGUCAUCGCGAGAUAACAUUCCAAGUCUAGGCCGGUUCUAUCACGGGAUCGCCCACCGAAGACUCUCUCUCGGGGACGAACGCAGCCGGUCCUCGACGUUCCUGCCCAUGUGUGUGGUUUGUGAGGCACGUGCCACGUCAAGGACGUGCGUUUCUUAUUAAAAUAGCACACCACCCCUGCAUGCAUAUGCAUGGGCCACGCGCAUGUACGGGUGCCCUCCCCCCCCUCGGGCGGUCUCCAUAUUGAGCACCCAUACGGUGGCCUCGGCGGUCUAGGGCGUUAUUCGACACCGAGAGGGUGUAGUCCUCGGUGAAUAACUGCUACUCCGUGUUAGUGCAUGUCAUCACGAGAUGACAGACCAAGUCUAGGCUCAUUCUGUCACGGGAUCACCCACCGAAGAUUCUGUCUCGGGAACGGACGCAGCCGGUCCUUGACNNNNNNNNNNNNNNNNNNNNNNNNNNNNNNNNNNNNNNNNNNNNNNNNNNNNNNNNNNNNNNNNNNNNNNNNNNNNNNNNNNNNNNNNNNNNNNNNNNNNNNNNNNNNNNNNNNNNNNNNNNNNNNNNNNNNNNNNNNNNNNNNNNNNNNNNNNNNNNNNNNNNNNNNNNNNNNNNNNNNNNNNNNNNNNNNNNNNNNNNNNNNNNNNNNNNNNNNNNNNNNNNNNNNNNNNNNNNNNNNNNNNNNNNNNNNNNNNNNNNNNNNNNNNNNNNNNNNNNNNNNNNNNNNNNNNNNNNNNNNNNNNNNNNNNNNNNNNNNNNNNNNNNNNNNNNNNNNNNNNNNNNNNNNNNNNNNNNNNNNNNNNNNNNNNNNNNNNNNNNNNNNNNNNNNNNNNNNNNNNNNNNNNNNNNNNNNNNNNNNNNNNNNNNNNNNNNNNNNNNNNNNNNNNNNNNNNNNNNNNNNNNNNNNNNNNNNNNNNNNNNNNNNNNNNNNNNNNNNNNNNNNNNNNNNNNNNNNNNNNNNNNNNNNNNNNNNNNNNNNNNNNNNNNNNNNNNNNNNNNNNNNNNNNNNNNNNNNNNNNNNNNNNNNNNNNNNNNNNNNNNNNNNNNNNNNNNNNNNNNNNNNNNNNNNNNNNNNNNNNNNNNNNNNNNNNNNNNNNNNNNNNNNNNNNNNNNNNNNNNNNNNNNNNNNNNNNNNNNNNNNNNNNNNNNNNNNNNNNNNNNNNNNNNNNNNNNNNNNNNNNNNNNNNNNNNNNNNNNNNNNNNNNNNNNNNNNNNNNNNNNNNNNNNNNNNNNNNNNNNNNNNNNNNNNNNNNNNNNNNNNNNNNNNNNNNNNNNNNNNNNNNNNNNNNNNNNNNNNNNNNNNNNNNNNNNNNNNNNNNNNNNNNNNNNNNNNNNNNNNNNNNNNNNNNNNNNNNNNNNNNNNNNNNNNNNNNNNNNNNNNNNNNNNNNNNNNNNNNNNNNNNNNNNNNNNNNNNNNNNNNNNNNNNNNNNNNNNNNNNNNNNNNNNNNNNNNNNNNNNNNNNNNNNNNNNNNNNNNNNNNNNNNNNNNNNNNNNNNNNNNNNNNNNNNNNNNNNNNNNNNNNNNNNNNNNNNNNNNNNNNNNNNNNNNNNNNNNNNNNNNNNNNNNNNNNNNNNNNCCGGUUCAGUCUAGAACCGGGACCAAUGGGGGCAUUGGUCCCGGUUCCUGAGCCCAGGGGGCCGGCCGGGCCACGUGGGCCAUUGGUCCCGGUUCAUCUGGACCUUUUGGUCCCGGUUGGUGGGAUGAACCGGGACCAAUGGGCAUCGCUCCUGGCCCACAACCAUUGGUCCCGGUUCGUGCCUCAAACCGGGACUAAAGAUUAGACCUUUAGUCCCGGUUUGAGGCACGAACCGGGACUAAUGGGGAUGAGACCUUUAGUCCCGGUUCGUGCCACGAACCGGUACUAAAGGUCCCAUUUUCAAACUCUACCCCCCGGUGGAUCGCCUUUUCAGUUUAAAAAAAAUAAACGAAAAUGAUGGAAAUGUCAAAAAAAUAAAAGAAAAUAAGUUUCCCAUAUGAUAUGUGGUCUAGUUGUUGGGAAAAUUUGCAAAUGUGAUUUUUGACUAUAUUUGCAAAAUCUCUCUAAAAUUUGUAAAAAUGGGCAUAACUUUUGCAUACUAACUCGAAUGAAAAAGUUUUUUAUAUGAAAAAUCAACUACUCGAAAAGGUAAAUCAUCCACCUAGAUCUCUUUCCUUCUUGUGCAUUCUCGAUAAUAUGUAUUAUACUUUUUUUGUUGUUUUCUUUCAUGUCUGGCAAACAACCUUAGCACAUCUUAAUUACCGUCUUGUGUUUUCUUCUUCGGAUGAGCCUCGUCCGGUUCUAGAGACCGACACCCCUCCGGUGGCGCCGGCGGUCUAGGGCGUUGUUCGACACCUAGAGGGGGUAGGCCACGGGGAAUAACUGCAUCUUCGUGUUAGUGCAUGUCAUCGCGAGAUAACAUUCCAUGUCUAGGCCCGUUCUGUCAUGGGAUCGCCCACCAAAGACUCUGUCUCGGGGACGAACGCAGCCGGUCCUCGACGUUCCCGCCCAUGUGUGUGGUUUGUGAGGCACGUGCCACGUCAAGGACGUGCGUUUCUUAUUAAAAUAGCACACCACCCCUGCAUGCAUAUGCAUGGGCCACGCGCAUCUACGGGUGCCCUCCCCCCCUCGGGCGGUCUCCAUAUUGAGCACCCAUACGGUGGCCCCGACGGUCUAGGGCGUUAUUCGACACCGAGAGGGUGUAGUCCUCGGUGAAUAACUGCUACUCCGUGUUAGUGCAUGUCAUCACGAGAUGACAGACCAAGUCUAGGCUCAUUCUGUCACGGGAUCACCCACCGAAGAUUCUGUCUCGGGAACGGACGCAGCCGGUCCUUGACGUUCCCGCCCGUGUGUGUGGUUUGUGAGGCACGUGCCACGUCAAGGAUGUGCGUUUCUUAUUCAAAUAGCACACCACCCCUGCAUGCAUAUACAUGGGCCACAGGCAUGUAGGGGUGCCCUCCCUCCCCUCGGGCGGUCUCCAUAUCGGGCACCCUUCCGGUGGCCCCGGCGGUCUAGAGCGUUAUUCGGCACCGAGAGGGUGUAGUCCACGGUGAAUAACUGCUUCUCCGUGUUAGUGCAUGUCAUUGCGAGAUGACAGACCAAGUCUAGGCCAAAGCCACAGCAAGAUCCCAUCCGUGUAGACCCGACGCAUCCGUUCACUAGUAGAAAAGGGGGCUUUGGUCCAGGCCGGGUAACCCCAUUAGUCCCGGUUCAGUCUAGAACCGGGACCAAUGAGGGCAUUGGUCCCGGUUCCUGAGCCCAGGGGGCCGGCAGGGCCAUGUGGGCCAUUGGUCCCGGUUCAUCUGGACCUUUUGGUCCCGGUUGGUGGGAUGAACCGGGACCAAUGGGCAUCGCUCCUGGCCCACAACCAUUGGUCCCGGUUCGUGCCUCAAACCGGGACUAAAGAUUAGACCUUUAGUCCCGGUUUGAGGCACGAACCGGUACUAAUGGGGAUGAGACCUUUAGUCCCGGUUCGUGCCACGAACCGGCACUAAAGGUCCCAUUUUCAAACUCUACCCCCCCUGUGGAUCGCCUUUUCAGUUUUAAAAAAAUAAACGAAAAUGAUGGAAAUGUCAAAAAAAUAAAAGAAAAUAAGUUUCCCAUGUGAUAUCUGGUCUAGUUGUUGGGAAAAUUUGCAAAUGUGAAUUUUAACUUUAUUUGCAAAAUCUCUCUGAAAUUUGUAAAAAUGGGCAUAACUUUUGCAUACUAACUCGGAUGAAAAAGUUUUUUAUAUGAAAAAUCAUCUACUCGAAAAGGUAAAUCAUCCACCUAGAUCUCUUUCCUUCCUGUGCAUUCUCGAUAAUAUGUAUUAUACUUUUUUUUUGUUGUUUUCUUUCAUGCUUGGCAAACAACCUUAGCACAUCAUAAUUACCGUCUUGUGUUUUCUUCUUCGGAUGAGCCUCGUCCGGUUCUAAAGACCGGCACCCCUCCGGUGGCGCCGGCGGUCUAGGGUGUUGUUCGGCACCUAGAGGGGGUAGGCCACGGGGAAUAACUGCUUCUUCGUGUUAGUGCAUGUAAUCGCGAGAUAACAUUCCAAGUCUAGGCCCGUUCUAUCACGGGAUCGCCCACCGAAGACUCUCUCUCGGGGACGAAUGCAGCCGGUCCUCGACGUUCCUGCCCAUGUGUGUGGUUUGUGAGGCACGUGCCACGUCAAGGACGUGCGUUUCUUAUUAAAAUAGCACACCACCCCUGCAUGCAUAUGCAUGGGCCACGCGCAUGUACGGGUGCCCUCCCCCCCCCCCNNNNNNNNNNNNNNNNNNNNNNNNNNNNNNNNNNNNNNNNNNNNNNNNNNNNNNNNNNNNNNNNNNNNNNNNNNNNNNNNNNNNNNNNNNNNNNNNNNNNNNNNNNNNNNNNNNNNNNNNNNNNNNNNNNNNNNNNNNNNNNNNNNNNNNNNNNNNNNNNNNNNNNNNNNNNNNNNNNNNNNNNNNNNNNNNNNNNNNNNNNNNNNNNNNNNNNNNNNNNNNNNNNNNNNNNNNNNNNNNNNNNNNNNNNNNNNNNNNNNNNNNNNNNNNNNNNNNNNNNNNNNNNNNNNNNNNNNNNNNNNNNNNNNNNNNNNNNNNNNNNNNNNNNNNNNNNNNNNNNNNNNNNNNNNNNNNNNNNNNNNNNNNNNNNNNNNNNNNNNNNNNNNNNNNNNNNNNNNNNNNNNNNNNNNNNNNNNNNNNNNNNNNNNNNNNNNNNNNNNNNNNNNNNNNNNNNNNNNNNNNNNNNNNNNNNNNNNNNNNNNNNNNNNNNNNNNNNNNNNNNNNNNNNNNNNNNNNNNNNNNNNNNNNNNNNNNNNNNNNNNNNNNNNNNNNNNNNNNNNNNNNNNNNNNNNNNNNNNNNNNNNNNNNNNNNNNNNNNNNNNNNNNNNNNNNNNNNNNNNNNNNNNNNNNNNNNNNNUAGUCCUCGGUGAAUAACUGCUACUCCGUGUAAGUGCAUGUCAUCACGAGAUGACAAACCAAGUCUAGGCUCGUUCUGUCACGGGAUCACCCACCGAAGAUUGUGUCUCGGGAACAGACGCAGCCGGUCCUUGACGUUCCCGCCCGUGUGUGUGGUUUGUGAGGCACGUGCCACGUCAAGGAUGUGUGUUUCUUAUUCAAAUAGCACACCACCCCUGCAUGCAUAUACAUGGGCCACAGGCAUGUAGGGGUGCCCUCCCUCCCCUCGGGCGGUCUCCAUAUCGGGCACCCUUCCGGUGGCCCCGGCGGUCUAGAGCGUUAUUCGGCAUCGAGAGGGUGUAGUCCAUGGUGAAUAACUGCUUCUCCGUGUUAGUGCAUGUCAUUGCGAGAUGACAGACCAAGUCUAGGCCAAAGCCACAGCAAGAUCCCAUCCAUGUAGACCCGACGCGUCCGUUCACUAGUAGAAAAGGGGGCUUUGGUCCAGGCCGGGUAACCCCAUUAGUUCCGGUUCAGUCUAGAACCGGGACCAAUGGGGGCAUUGGUCCCGGUUCCUGAGCCCAGGGGGCCGGCCGGGCCACGUGGGCCAUUGGUCCCGGUUCAUCUGGACCUUUUGGUCCCGGUUGGUGGGAUGAACCGGGACCAAUGGGCAUCGCUCCUGGCCCACAACCAUUGGUCCCGGUUCGUGCCUCAAACCGGGACUAAAGAUUAGACCUUUAGUCCCGGUUUGAGGCACGAACCGGGACUAAUGGGGAUGAGACCUUUAGUCCCGGUUCGUGCCACGAACCGGUACUAAAGGUCCCAUUUUCAAACUCUACCCCCCGGUGGAUCGCCUUUUCAGUUUAAAAAAAAUAAACGAAAAUGAUGGAAAUGUCAAAAAAAUAAAAGAAAAUAAGUUUCCCAUAUGAUAUGUGGUCUAGUUGUUGGGAAAAUUUGCAAAUGUGAUUUUUGACUAUAUUUGCAAAAUCUCUCUAAAAUUUGUAAAAAUGGGCAUAACUUUUGCAUACUAACUCGAAUGAAAAAGUUUUUUAUAUGAAAAAUCAACUACUCGAAAAGGUAAAUCAUCCACCUAGAUCUCUUUCCUUCUUGUGCAUUCUCGAUAAUAUGUAUUAUACUUUUUUUGUUGUUUUCUUUCAUGCCUGGCAAACAACCUUAGCACAUCAUAAUUACCGUCUUGUGUUUUCUUCUUCGGAUGAGCCUCGUCCGGUUCUAGAGACCGACACCCCUCCGGUGGCCCCAGCGGUCUAGGGCGUUGUUCGACACCUAGAGGGGGUAGGCCACGGGGAAUAACUGCAUCUUCGUGUUAGUGCAUGUCAUCGCGAGAUAACAUUCCAUGUCUAGGCCCGUUCUGUCAUGGGAUCGCCCACCAAAGACUCUGUCUCGGGGACGAACGCAGCCGGUCCUCGACGUUCCCGCCCAUGUGUGUGGUUUGUGAGGCACGUGCCACGUCAAGGACGUGCGUUUCUUAUUAAAAUAGCACACCACCCCUGCAUGCAUAUGCAUGGGCCACGCGCUUGUACGGGUGCCCUCCCCCCCCUCGGGCGGUCUCCAUAUUGAGCACCCAUACGGUGGCCCCGACGGUCUAGGGCAUUAUUCGACACCGAGAGGGUGUAGUCCUCCGUGAAUAACUGCUACUCCGUGUUAGUGCAUGUCAUCACGAGAUGACAGACCAAGUCUAGGCUUAUUCUGUCACGGGAUCACCCACCGAAGAUUCUGUCUCGGGAACGGACGCAGCCGGUCCUUGACGUUCCCGCCCGUGUGUGUGGUUUGUGAGGCACGUGCCACGUCAAGGAUGUGCGUUUCUUAUUCAAAUAGCACACCACCCCUGCAUGCAUAUACAUGGGCCACAGGCAUGUAGGGGUGCCCUCCCUCCCCUCGGGCGGUCUCCAUAUCGGGCACCCUUCCGGUGGCCCCGGCGGUCUAGAGCGUUAUUCGGCACCGAGAGGGUGUAGUCCACGGUGAAUAACUGCUUCUCCGUGUUAGUGCAUGUCAUUGCGAGAUGACAGACCAAGUCUAGGCCAAAGCCACAGCAAGAUCCCAUCCGUGUAGACCCGACGCGUCCGUUCACUAGUAGAAAAGGGGGCUUUGGUCCAGGCCGGGUAACCCCAUUAGUCCCGGUUCAGUCUAGAACCGGGACCAAUGGGGGCAUGUACCCGGUUCCUGAGCCCAGGGGGCCGGCAGGGCCACGUGGGCCAUUGGUCCCGGUUCAUCUGGACCUUUUGGUCCCGGUUGGUGGGAUGAACCGGGACCAAUGGGCAUCGCUCCUGGCCCACAACCAUUGGUCCCGGUUCGUGCCUCAAACCGGGACUAAAGAUUAGACCUUUAGUCCCGGUUUGAGGCACGAACCGGUACUAAUGGGGAUGAGACCUUUAGUCCCGGUUCGUGCCACGAACCGGUACUAAAGGUCCCAUUUUCAAACUCUACCCCCCCCCUGUGGAUCGCCUUUUCAGUUUUAAAAAAAUAAACGAAAAUGAUGGAAAUGUCAAAAAAAAUAAAAGAAAAUAAGUUUCCCAUGUGAUAUCUGGUCUAGUUGCUGGGAAAAUUUGCAAAUGUGAAUUUUAACUUUAUUUGCAAAAUCUCUCUGAAAUUUGUAAAAAUGGGCAUAACUUUUGCAUACUAACUCGGAUGAAAAAGUUUUUUAUAUGAAAAAUCAUCUACUCGAAAAGGUAAAUCAUCCACCUAGAUCUCUUUCCUUCCUGUGCAUUCUCGAUAAUAUGUAUUAUACUUUUUUUUGUUGUUUUCUUUCAUGCUUGGCAAACAACCUUAGCACAUCAUAAUUACCGUCUUGUGUUUUCUUCUUCGGAUGAGCCUCGUCCGGUUCUAAAGACCGGCACCCCUCCGGUGGCCCCGGCGGUCUAGGGCGUUGGUCGGCACCUAGAGGGGGUAGGCCACGGGGAAUAACUGCUUAUUCGUGUUAGUGCAUGUCAUCGCGAGAUAACAUUCCAAGUCUAGGCCCGUUCUGUCACGGGAUCGCUCACCGAAGACUCUCUCUCGGGGACGAACGCAGCCAGUCCUCGACGUUCCCGCCCAUGUGUGUGGUUUGUGAGGCACGUGCCACGUCAAGGACGUGCAUUUCUUAUUAAAAUAGCACACCACCCCUGCAUGCAUAUGCAUGGGCCACGCGCAUGUACGGGUGCCCUCCCCCCCCCCUCGGGCGGUCUCCAUAUUGAGCACCCAUACGGUGGCCCCGGCGGUCUNNNNNNNNNNAUAACUUUUGCAUACUAACUCGGAUGAAAAAGUUUUUUAUAUGAAAAAUCAUCUACUCGAAAAGGUAAAUCAUCCACCUAGAUCUCUUUCCUUCCUGUGCAUUCUCGAUAAUAUGUAUUAUACUUUUUUUUUGUUGUUUUCUUUCAUGCUUGGCAAACAACCUUAGCACAUCAUAAUUACCGUCUUGUGUUUUCUUCUUCGGAUGAGCCUCGUCCGGUUCUAAAGACCGGCACCCCUCCGGUGGCGCCGGCGGUCUAGGGUGUUGUUCGGCACCUAGAGGGGGUAGGCCACGGGGAAUAACUGCUUCUUCGUGUUAGUGCAUGUAAUCGCGAGAUAACAUUCCAAGUCUAGGCCCGUUCUAUCACGGGAUCGCCCACCGAAGACUCUCUCUCGGGGACGAAUGCAGCCGGUCCUCGACGUUCCUGCCCAUGUGUGUGGUUUGUGAGGCACGUGCCACGUCAAGGACGUGCGUUUCUUAUUAAAAUAGCACACCACCCCUGCAUGCAUAUGCAUGGGCCACGCGCAUGUACGGGUGCCCUCCCCCCCCCCCUCGGGCGGUCUCCAUAUUGAGCACCCAUACGGUGGCCCCGGCGGUCUAGGGCGUUAUUCGACACCGAGAGGGUGUAGUCCUCGGUGAAUAACUGCUACUCCGUGUUAGUGCAUGUCAUCACGAGAUGACAGACCAAGUCUAGGCUCAUUCUGUCACGGGAUCACCCACCGAAGAUUCUGUCUCGGNNNNNNNNNNNNAGUGCAUGUCAUCACGAGAUGACAGACCAAGUCUAGGCUCGUUCUGUCACGGGAUCACCCACCGGAGAUUCUGUCUCAGGAACGGACGCAGCCGGUCCUUGACGUUCCCGCCCGUGUGUGUGGUUUGUGAGGCACGUACCACGUCAAAGAAGUGAGUUUCUUAUUCAAAUAGCACACCACCCCUGCAUGCAUAUACAUGGUCCACAGGCAUGUAGGGGUGCCCUCCCUCCCCUCGGGCAGUCUCCAUGUCGAGCACCCUUCUGGUGGCCCCGGCGGUCUAGAGCGUUACUCGGCACCGAGAGGGUGUAGUCCACGGUGAAUAACUGCUUCUCCGUGUUAGUGCAUGUCAUUACGAGAUGACAGACCAAGUCUAGGCCAAAGCCACAGCAAGAUCCCAUCCGUGUAGACCCGACGCGUCCGUUCACUAGUAGAAAAGGGGGCUUUGGUCCAGGCCGGGUAACCCCAUUAGUCCCGGUUCAGUCUAGAACCGGGACCAAUGGGGGCAUUGGUCCCGGUUCCUGAGCCCAGGGGGCCGGCCGGGCCACGUGGGCCAUUGGUCCCGGUUCAUCUGGACCUUUUGGUCCCGGUUGGUUGGAUGAACUGGGACCAAUGGGCAUCGCUCCUGGCCCACAACCAUUGGUUCCGGUUCGUGCCUCAAACCGGGACUAAACAUUAGACCUUUAGUCCCGGUUUGAGGCACGGACCGGGACUAAUGGGGAUGAGACCUUUAGUCCCAGUUCGUGCCACGAACCGGUACUAAAGGUCCCAUUUUCAAACUCUACCCCCCCAUGGAUCGCCUUUUCAGUUUUAAAAAAAUAAACGAAAAUGAUGGAAAUGUCAAAAAAUAAAAGAAAAUAAGUUUCCCAUGUGAUAUGUGGUCUAGUAAUUGGGAAAAUUUGCAAAUGUGAAUUUUGACUUUAUUUGCAAAAUCUCUCUGAAAUUUGUAAAAAUGGGCAUAACUUUUGCAUACUAACUCGGAUGAAAAAGUUUUUUAUAUGAAAAAUCAUCUACUCGAAAAGGUAAAUCAUCCAUCUAGAUCUCUUUCCUUCUUGUGCAUUCUCGAUAAUAUGUAUUAUACUUUUUUUGUUGUUUUCUUUCAUGCUUGGCAAAAUACCUUAGCACAUCAUAAUUACCGUCUUGUGUUUUCUUCUUCGGAUGAGCCUCGUCCGGUUCUAGAGACCGGCACCCCUCCGGUGGCCUCGGCGGUCUAGGGUGUUGUUCGUCACCUAGAGGGGGUAGGCCACGGGGAAUAACUGCUUCUUCGUGUUAGUGCAUGUCAUCGUGAGAUAACAUUCCAAGUCUAGGCCCGUUCUGUCACGGGAUCGCCCACCGAAGACUCUGUCUCGGGGGAGAACGCAGCCGGUCCUCGACGUUCCCGCCCAUGUGUGUGGUUUGUGAGGCACGUGCCAUGUCAAGGACGUGCAUUUCUUAUUAAAAUAGCACACCACCCUGCAUGCAUAUGCAUGGGCCACGCGCAUGUACGGGUGCCCNNNNNNNNNNNNNNNNNNNNNNNNNNNNNNNNNNNNNNNNNNNNNNNNNNNNNNNNNNNNNNNNNNNNNNNNNNNNNNNNNNNNNNNNNNNNNNNNNNNNNNNNNNNNNNNNNNNNNNNNNNNNNNNNNNNNNNNNNNNNNNNNNNNNNNNNNNNNNNNNNNNNNNNNNNNNNNNNNNNNNNNNNNNNNNNNNNNNNNNNNNNNNNNNNNNNNNNNNNNNNNNNNNNNNNNNNNNNNNNNNNNNNNNNNNNNNNNNNNNNNNNNNNNNNNNNNNNNNNNNNNNNNNNNNNNNNNNNNNNNNNNNNNNNNNNNGGUGUAGUCCUCGGUGAAUAACUGCUACUCCGUGUUAGUGCAUGUCAUCACAAGAUGACAGACCAAGUCUAGGCUCGUUCUGUCACGGGAUCACCCACCGAAGAUUCUGUCUCGGGAACGGACGCAGCCGGUCCUUGACAUUCCCGCCCGUGUGUGUGGUUUGUGAGGAACGUGCCACGUCAAAGAUGUGAGUUUCUUAUUCAAAUAGCACACCACCCCUGCAUGCAUAUACAUGGGCCACAUUCAUGUAGGGGUGCCCUCCCUCCCCUCGGGCGGUCUCCAUAUCGAGCACCCUUCCGGUGGCCCCGGCGGUCUAGAGCAUUAUUCGACACCGAGAGGGUGGUAUCCAUGGUGAAUAACUGUUUCUCCGUGUUAGUGCAUGUCAUUGCGAGAUGACAGACCAAGUCUAGGCCAAAGCCACAGCAAGAUCCCAUCCGUGUAGACCCGACGCGUCCGUUCACUAGUAGAAAAGGGGGCUUUGGUCGAGGCCGGGUAGCCCCAUUAGUCCCGGUUCAGUCUAGAACCGGGACCAAUGGGGGCAUUGGUCCCGGUUCCUGAGCCCAGGGGGGCGGCCGGGCCACGUGGGCCAUUGGUCCCGGUUCAUCUGGACCUUUUGGUCCCGGUUAAUGGGAUGAACCGGGACAAAUGGGCCUCGCUCCUGGCCCACAACCAUUGGUCCCGGUUCGUGCCUCAAACCGAGACUAAAGAUUAGACCUUUAGUCCCGGUUUGAGGCACGAACCGGGACUAAUGGGGAUGAGACCUUUAGUCCCGGUUCGUGCCACGAACCGGUACUAAAGGUCCCAUUUUCAAACCCUACCCCCCCUGUGGAUCGCCUUUUCAGUUUUAAAAAAAAUAAAUGAAAAUGAUGGAAAUGUCAAAAAAAUAAAAGAAAAUAAGUUUCCCUUGUGAUAUGUGGUCUAGUUGUUGGGAAAAUUUGCAAAUGUGAAUUUUGACUUUAUUUGCAAAAUCUCUUUGAAAUUUGUAAAAAUGGGCAUAACUUUUGCAUACCAACUCGGAUGAAAAAGUUUUUUAUAUGAAAAAUCAUCUACUCGAAAAGGUAAAUCAUCCACCUAGAUCUCUUUCCUUCUUUUGCAUUCUCGAUAAUAUGUAUUAUACUAUUUUUUUGUUGUUUUCUUUCAUGCUUGGCAAACAACCUUACCACAUCAUAAUUACCGUCUUGUGUUUUCUUCUUCGGAUGAGCCUCGUCCGGUUCUAGAGACCGGCACCCCUCCGGUGGCCCCGGCGGUCUAGGGCGUUGUUCGGCACCUAGAAGGGGUAGGACACGGGGAAUAACUGCUUCUUCGUGUUAGUGCAUGUCAUCGCGAGAUAACAUUCCAAGUCUAGGCCCGUUCUGUCACGGGAUCGCCCACCGAAGACUCUGUCUCGGGGACGAACGCAGUCGGUCCUCGACGUUCCCGCCCAUGUGUGUGGUUUGUGAGGCACGUGCCACGUCAAGGACAUGCGUUUCUUAUUAAAAUAGCACACCACCCCUGCAUGCAUAUGCUUGGGCCACGCGCAUGUACGGGUGCCCUCCACCCCUCGGGCGGUCUCCAUAUUGAGCACCCAUACGGUGGCCCCGGCGGUUUAGGGCGUUAUUCGACACCGAGAGGGUGUAGUCCUCGGUGAAUAACUGCUACUCCGUGUUAGUGCAUGUCAUCACGAGAUGACAGACCAAGUCUAGGCUCGUUCUGUCACGGAAUCACCCACCAAAGAUUCUGUCUCGGGAACGGACGCAACCGGUCCUUGACGUUCCCGCCCGUGUGUGUGGUUUCCGAGGCACGUGCCAUGUCAAGGAUGUGCGUUGCUUAUUCAAAUAGCACACCACCCCUGCAUGCAUAUACAUGGGCCACAUGCAUGUAGGGGUGCCCUCCCUCCCCUCGGGCGGUCUCCAUAUCGAGCACCCAUCCGGUGGCCCCAGCGGUCUAGAGCGUUAUUCGGCACCGAGAGGGUGUAGUCCACGGUGAAUAACUGCUUCUCCGUGUUAGUUCAUGUCAUUGCGAGAUAACAGACCAAGUCUAGGCCAAAGCCACAACAAGAUCCCAUCCGUGUAGACCCGACGCGUCCGUUUCCCCCCUCCAGGUGCCGGCCGUGAGGGGGGCCACACCCCGGAGAGGCGUGCCGCCUCUUCGGACAUGCCACCAAACCGUAAGGCAUGUAUGAGGGCCCCGGUGCGAUGCUCCGGUGGCAUUGCUACCCUCCCAGGGCCCCCGUCCCGCCUAACCCUGUAGCGUUUGACCACGGGAUCUAGCCCUUUGACUUUGCACGGACGGGCUUUGACCAAUGGAACUCUCCACCCGGUUGUGUUAGGUCAGCCCAUAGGAACACUUUGGAGCAACAUCCGGGCCUAAUCCACAUCAAGACCCCAUCCGUGUAGACCCGACGCGUCCGUUUCCCCCCUCCAGGUGCCGGCGGCGGCGUCGUCCGUGCGGGGGGCACACCCGGAGACACGGGCCGGGCGUUUGCAAUCGCCACAACACUUCCAGACUUGUGAGAGGCCGCCUACGCAAGAUUUGGCGGCAUGUGCUAGCCCCCGGAGGCCACCGGCCAAAGUCGUAGACACGCGAAGAGCAAUCCGCGGAGAGGGAAGUGUUUAGAUACUUCUUUAAAGUUCUCUCUCGGUGCCGGUCCAGAAAGUUGACUGGCACCGAGAGAGGGGGUAGGCCACGGUCAACAACUUCCUCUUCUCAUGUUUUUUUACUUUACACACUCUUUAAAGUUGAGUUUUGAAAAAAAUCAUCAAAAGUCAUGGAAUUUAUAAACUUUGGUCGUAAAAGCAUAUGAAAUAUGAGAUACAAAAAAGAUAGUGCAAAAAAAGACAAGGGGGGGGGGAAUUAGAGCAGUCAUUACCGAGAGUCGAUUUUUGGCUCUCGGUAAUUUCCACCUUUUUCGGGAGUGGCUCUCGGUAAAUCAUCCACCUAGAUCUCUUUCCUUCUUAUGCAUUCUCGAUAAUAUGUAUUAUACUUUUUUUUGUUGUUUUCUUUCAUGCUUGGCAAACAAGCUUAGCACAUCAUAAUUACUGUCUUGUGUUUUCUUCUUCGGAUGACCCUCGUCCGAUUCUAGAGACCGGCACCCCUCCGGUGGCCCCGGCGGUCUAGGGCAUUGUUCAACACCUAGAGGGGGUAGGCCACGGGGAAUAACUACUUCUUCGUGUUAGUGCAUGUCAUCGCGAGAUAACAUUCCAAGUCUAGGCCCGUUCUGUCACGCGAUCGCCCACCGAAGACUCUGUCUCGGGGACGAACGCAGCCGGUCCUCGACGUUCCCGCCCAUGUGUGUGGUUUUUGAGGCACGUGCCACGUCAAGGACGUGCGUUGCUUAUUCAAAUAGCACACCACCCCUGCAUGCAUAUGCAUGGGCCACGCGCAUGUACGGGUGCCCUCCACCCCCUCGGGCAGUCUCCAUAUCAAGCACCCAUCCGGUGGCCCUGGCAGUCUAGGGCGUUAAUCGACAAUGAGAGGGUGUAGUCCAUGGUGAAUAACUGCUACUCCGUGUUAGUUCAUGUCAUCGCGAGAUGACAUACCAAGUCUAGGCUCGUUCUGUCACGGGAUCACCCAUCGCGAGAUGACAGACCAUUGACGUGGGCCUGAUGGUGGCCCUAUGGGUGUUCUUGGCAAGGGCCUUGCUGGGGCCCCGACAAGGGUCUUGCCGGGGCGCCUGCUGUCAUCCCCGGCAAGGCUCUUGCCAGGGGCCUUGUGGUCCUCCUUGGCUGGGAUCCCACCAAGGUUCGUCAUCUUCUAUAGUAUGUAUCUGAUCUUGAAUGUCUUCACAAAGAUCUGCAUGCCACCACGGGGAUGUCUCCCGAAUACUUGCCCCAUGGGGGCAGUGGACUCAAGGGUGACUCGCUCCGUAGGUGUGGGGCAAGCUGCCACGGCAAGUGUCUUGCCGGGUUUGCUAAAACAACCUCCCGGCAAGGAUCUUGCCGGGGGAGUCCGCUUCGUCCCCUUUGCUCUUUGUGGUCUUGGUAUUGGUGUCGUUCUGCUCCUUUCGAGCUUCGGCCUUACCUUGGCUCACCUCCCUUGCCUUGCUCAGUGCGGUGGUGCCUGCGGCUCAGACUGCCCGUGCACAGUUAUAGGGGUAUAAAAAGUGUACCCCUCUUUUUGUGCACCGACACCUUUGUAUGAGAUUAUUCUAUUUUAUGUUAGAUCAACUAUAUUGAUGUUCGUGGUACUAUGUUAUGUUCGGGCUACUAUGUUAUGUUCGAGCUAUUUCCUCUUUGCUAAAUUUUAUUUUGGAAACAAGAAAUCCAUUUUCAAUUUUAUUUGUCCUUUCCAACAGAUUUCAAAUGAGCUUUUCCUUGGUCUGGUCAUACAAGGCAUUAAGCACACAUGACAUUGCAUAUACAAAAGCUGACUGAAAUAAUUUGUUAACAACUUCUAACGACUGAUGAUCAACAAGUAAACAAAUCCCACAACAAUUAUUGAAAAAUAAAAUCCCGCGGCCAUCAGAUUUGCCUGCUUCUUCAGAUCGAUCAACUUCCUUAAGUUCUUGUUGAUCUUCUUCACUUCCACCUUGACUUCCGCGUCCGCCACCAUCGGAGGGACAUUGGCAUAGCCCUUAUUAUCCAGUGCCGAUGGCAGAUCUAGCUGUAGGGUUGCCCCGUGCCUCAAAUCAAUUAAGCCAUCCGUUUGAAGCCUCUUAUCGUAUUCAGCCAGCCACGCAAAAUGAUUGCAUCUUUUCAGCUUCUCAAAAACGGAAGGGAAACCCUAAAUCCCAAUUCCGAGGAAAUAAAAAGAAAUCUGGGGGCAGAAUUCAUAGCAAAAAGACACAAGAGAACAUAGAUUUAACCUUCCCCGUUUCUGGUUUGCUCUCGCAUUUCACAAAUUCCCACCCAUGGUUUCCAUUCUUCUCCGAUAUGGUUGUCAAACGCUUCAGUGGCGCGAUGCGUGGGCAGUCGGGGCAUCUGGUCAUCGGCAGUGAACCAUACUGCUGCCAUGAUGACGGAGAGGCCGAACUGGACAUGGACAUCUCUCGUCUCUCACCGUCCGCCGGCGAUGGCAGGCUUCGUCGCCGGAGAAGAAUAACAAUUUGGUGGGGCAAGGGAAAGGGAGGCAAUGGUGGGUUGCGGGUAGGCACGGGCACGGCGAUGGCUCGGGCUUCUAUGAUAUGUGGUUGGACAAGCCGUUAGACAUGUUUUGGAAGCCCCCAAAAGAUCGCGCUCGUUAAAAAAACAUGCAUCGAAGCGCAUUACUUCAAAAUAACUAAUUAACCCUACAAUCAUGGAUAUAUACCUUCCCAUUCUAGCGCAUAUCUACCCUAUCCUAACCACCCCCAUCUACCUUGUUUCUCCUCACAUAGCCAUCGCCGGGAUCGCGCCAUCGCUUCUCAAGCGACCACGCCGACGCCGGAUUAAAAAGGUCUCCUCCACGGCUCCUCCCAUCUUUGCUUGCAGUGCUAAUUUUUUUUUUCAUUGAUUCGACCAAGAAGUCAUUUCCGAAGAGAUUAGAAAAUCCAGCUUUUGCCAUAGUUGAGUGGUUCUGGUGUAAUUGGAGUACAGGAUGUCAUGCAAGAGCUUUUUGAUUAAUAGUUUGUAGUAGUUGAUCGUACGAACUAGUUAUGAAUAUAUUUUGUCGGUGGUAUUGUUAGGAAUUAAUUCGAUGAGGUUGUGGAUACAGUUUUCAUACUAUGGGUAUAUGUGUUGUUGUAGGGACCAUGGUCUCAGGGGCGCAUAACAACCGUGCGGAGUACGACAAGUCUUUCCAUGAAGCGCGCCGGGAGAUCAACUUGAAGGUGCAAAAGGAUCGCGCUGAGGUAGAUAAGAAACUCAAAAAAGAACGUUCAUACGUGGACAGGAUGAUAAAGGAGGAGCAUGAGGAGUUUUCCCGUAAGAUGGCGAAGAUGCGUCUUGAGAUUGAAGAAAAGUAUAAGCGGGACCGUGAGGACAUGGAAAAAAAGUUUUUCCUUGGCUACAAGGAAAUGCAUCAAACGUUGCAAAAGGACCGGAAGCUUGUGGACAGUAUUAUACAGAUGGAGCGAGUUAGGAUGGAUGCCUAUGUGCUGCAGGCACGUGCUGAUAUGGACAGUAAGAUGCUACAGGAGCGAUCGGACAUGGAUUAUAAGGCCAUGUUGGAGAAGGUUCGCUUGGAAGGACAUAUGUUAGAAGACCGUGCGAUCUCACGGCCACCCCGACAACAUGUCUUCAAUUAUUCUCCCCCUGUAAGUAUCUCGCACCGAUUCUAUAUAUUAAGGACCUACCUAUUUUAUGAUACAACCAUCUUCAAUUUGUGGCAACCUUAUAUCGGCGAUUAUAGGCUAAGCAUCAUGAGAGGACACAAUCGCCAUUCACUCGAGACCUUGCGAUAGAGUCACCCGUUCAAUGCCACAUCACUCCACCCCAACAACAUAUCUUCAAUUCUCCCCUUGUAAGUACCUCAAAACGAUGCCAUACCCAAGAUAUGGUAUGACCUUUUAAAACUUAUGUGUAAACCCACUGUCGACGUUUCAUACGCAGAAUAAGAAACCUGUGAUGGCAGAGUCCCCAGUCACACCACAUGAAGGAUACAUUCCACAUAACAAGGUGACAAGGUUUGAGAUGGCACAAUCCCCAGUCACUCCACAUGAAGGAUACAUUCCGCAAAAGCAGGUAACAACGCCGCAAUGUUGAUAUCCACGUAAAAAAUUAUGUUUGCUCCUUUACUCAUUGAAUGUAUUAACUCUGAUAUGAGAUACUAGGUGCUGGUCAUGGAAUUUUUUGUUCAUAGGGAUGAUGAGAUGUCACAUGUCCCGAGAGCAUACUUUGAUGAACAACCGGCAGAAGUCAGAAUUAUUGAACCCGGCAAAGUGACCUACGAUCUCAUUAUGAGUGAAAUGAGAGAUACUUUUGGUUGCAAAAUGGGAGCAGAACUGUACUACUUCUUACCCCGGGUCUACGUGGAAGCUGCCAGAAGGAAUGUUCUUGAUUGCAGGACCAGAUGAUGUAGAAAAAAUGAUUUCUGAUCUGAAUGGCAGCAAGACAUGUCACCUGUACAUUGUGUACAAUAGAACUACGGGUCAUUUUCCGCAGGAUGACAUUGAUCCAGAGGUUCAAAUUUUACAUGUUACAUGCAUCUACACUACAAGAAAUAUGUCAACUUAUGACCACCACUAUUGGUCACUGAAAGGUCACAAAUUUCCAUUUAUGACCCUUUUGUGACCAAAAACAGAAGGUCAAAAGCUGGCCGUCGUAAACUGACUAUAGCGACCUUUCUUCUGGAAUGGUCAAAGAUGUUUACGACCAAAAUAUUCCUACUGUGGCGUUUUGGUCACUAGCAACCUCCCCCAGGCCACGUAGGCAUCCAGCGUGGCAAGCUGACGUGGCACAAGAUUCAGCCCGGUCCAAUUCGAUUUUCUACAUGGGCCUAGCCCAACAAUUCGGCCUUUUUACUGUAUUUUUUCUCUCAUAUUAAUUUUGGCUAGGUAGAUGGGCCUGGCCCAUUUUAUUUUCUAGGACGUGGCCUUCUAUAAUUCAUUUCUUUUUUUGGGCCUCAGCCCUUUUACAAUCCAAUUUAUUUUGGGCCUCCACAACAUACAUUUAGAAGCUUGACAUCACAAGGGCAGCUAUUCCAGCUUGACAUAUCAGCAUGUACGCAUGUAUCCAAACCAUUUUAUUUCUUUCAACAGCCACAGCCACAAAGUAGAUAGUAGAUACAUUCAACAGACUAAAUUAACAUAGAAAUGAAGCAACAAAGGGCAGCCCGAGUAGAGGAACUACAUGGUACUACAACUACAUGGGACUACAACUACCAUUUCUAUUUCUACCAGCAGCAGUAGGGACUACCAAGGAGCUAAACGAACAGCGACCGAGCUAAACUAACAACGAUCAUCCAUCAUCAAUCAGUGACAGUAGCAAUGAGUGGCAGCGGCGAUGUUCGAGAGAGCCCCUCCCCCUGCUGCUGCUUGGUUGCCUGUUACUGCUUGGUGUGUUGCAUCACUAGUCACCCUGCAUGGCAAGAAUUUUAGCUUUACAUAAGGUUUACAAGAACAGGACCCUGAUACAUGAGAUUGACAUUCACAAGCUAUUUUUCUACAGGAUAUAUUUUUCUACAAGAUAUGCAUCUGUAGAUGACCAUACAUACAAAUAAAGUAAAUUCAGUAACAGAUUGCUAUCCACAAUAACUAUAGAUUUUGAUCAUACAGAUUUUGUAGAUAAACACAUACUAGAAGCUACAGCAGAACAUGGGUGUAGAGGAUACCACUCACGAAUUAAUUAAUUUGCUAGCUGAUUGGUGGAUACAGACAAUAUAAGAAUACAACAGCAACAAUUACAGUACCGCCGUAGCAUUGCAGGAUAGAAAUCACAUAAUACUGGUAGGCACACUAUUUCAGCAGGGGAAACAGACAAUAUAUUAUAUGAUAAGAAAGGCAUAUAUAUCCUGAGUGUUGUCCAUGGCGGCCAUGGCUCAAAAUCAAACGGAAAGACGACUACAGGAACAAAACGCACAUGAAACGGGGGCUAGGAGGAGCGCAGCGUCACCGUGGGAGCGCAGCGUCACCACUUGUACUCGAAGGCCUAUAAAAUAAAAUGGAUAAGUUAGAUUGAUUACUGUAGGUGCAGCACAUUUUCUGGAAGAGGCAUAAACAUGAAUGGAGCAUUAUACUUGGAAGGAAAAAACAGCAUCCUGUCACCAAGCAAACACUACUUGACACGAAACUGUGCAUUUCGUCCUUGUAUCCAUUAGUAGCAGGAUAGCAGCGAUGAUUCACAUGACUCGAAUAAUUCAUUAUGAGGAAACAUGUUGCUAGGUAUGAAACAAACUAUUUACAGAGGUAAAAUGGACACAUGUACAAUACAUAGCUUGCUGUAAGCAAGAAACACUAGUGCUCAUAUACCAAAAUCAACGGCUAUACUUAUGGACGAUAGUAACAAGGUUAAACAUCGAAGAAAGCACUUGCUAAGAUAUCAUAAUUUAGGGGCAUUUACAUCACCAAUGUGGCAAACUGCAAAGCUGGUCAGCAGAACAUAUUUGUCACCAGUUACAAGCAUAUUCUCGUUCAUGCAUAACUAUAGUCAGCUCUAUUUCAAAAACCAGAAGCAAACCAGUUUAUCAUUAUAUAGUGUUUCCCAAUUACCAUGCUCACUAAUGGAGAAUGAGAGAGCUAAGUCAGACUCUCCGGCCAUGUGCCCAGAAAUAACCUAUCUACUGCACAUGUAUCCAGACUGAGGAUCUGGCAUGGAUCGCGCAGAGAGGACAGGGGAGCUCACCUCGCAGCGGAGUGUGUGGUCGAAGGAGCAGCAGGCGAGGUCGGGGGCGAGGUUGGAGGGGCCGAAGACGGAGGCUAGCCAUGGCUGGUCGAAGGAGCGUGUGAUCUCCAUCAUUGCAGCUUCUGGGAUAAUAAUAGACCAAAUUAACUAGAGUUGAAGCUGGUAAACACAGGAGAACAAGAGCAUUAGAUAAAGUUCCACCAAUGUCCAAGCCUUGCAACAUGUUUGGUGACUUGGUGGGCAGAUGUAUUUAUGCACAAAAAGGGUGGAAUUUUUUUCAACUAAAGAAAAAACGCACAUCAUUCAGUAACCAGUACCAACCCUUGUUCCAAGUCAACGAUGUUUUGCUAAUCAAAAACAUGGCAUGUGAUAAUGGUACACACAAUCAUUCCUAGAAGUCCAUACUUGCGUGUACGGAACAAAUUCAGUCACCUCUACAGCAAUACAGAAACAUAGUAAUCCUGGACACUAGCAGUUAAGGACAUGUUUUCUUUAGAGGGUGAGGUAACUAGGCAUACUGCUAGGAGACAAGACAUCGAAAUGGAAACCUUCUGGUUGCUUAGUGGGCAUAUCUAAGCACAGGAAAGGGGGGCAUUUCUCAAUCAAACUGAAGAAAGAUGCACAUCAUUCAUUCAUUCAGUAAGCAGUACAGAUCCCUGUAGCUGUAGGUGCAUGCAUGGUGUAACAAAGAUGAGUAAUCAUUAGCAAGCAUUUCAGAGUUGUGCAGUUACUAGUGUGUGGUCAUGUGUUUACCCCAGCGCACGCCAACCAUGGGCACGAGAAAAUUGGUACACAAGCCACUAAUAGUCUGCUAGUCUUACUUAGAACAUAUGGUGGCACAUGAUGGCAGGCAGUAGUACGUAUACACAGAGCCAUGAUUCUACUAUGACUGUAUACUAAUGCACCAGAUGAUCAACAUAGUAUAAAUGAAUCAAGAAAACAAGUUCAAUUCCUAUGAUGAAUUCCAAUCUAUUAGUACCACUUUGAUUAGCAAAAUAACGCAGUUACAACUGGCCAAAAAUCAGGUCAGGGGCACGGCAAAUUGCUAGUCGAGUGGAAAGCGCAAAAGACUCUGCCAGGUACGGAGCAAUCCGAUCCGUCGAUAAUGCAAAAAACAGAGUCUCAUGUAACCAUGAUCAUUUGAUCACCACUGUUUUCCCGCUUGCUACCGGCAACCCCGGAUCUUUCAAAAAAAAAUGCAAAAACAGAGUCUCAGGAUUAUUCAGUGGGGGUGGUCAAAGCAGAACUCCUUGUGGACACCACAAGCGCAGGUCAUGCGCACCACCACUUCGGCGCCGGUGCAGGCUGCUUGCGCAGCUGGUAUGAGAGUGGGACUAUCCCCGGCAACGCUGCACACUUCCACCUCCCGAUGCUGUGCAGUGGAGGUAAGGAUGUCAUCAGGAAACAGAUUUAUCAAAAUGAACAAAGAAACUAAGAAAACUGUAUAAACUGUAGGAAACACAUGCAAUGUUCUGUAGAUAUCUUUUUGAAUGUUCUGCAGACAUCUAAUUAAAGUGAUCUUUGAAUCAAGAAAUAUGAGGCACAUGAUUAAAACUUAUUCACAUAGAUAAUAAGAUUCAGAUAACGGUAUGUUUAGCUCUAAGUGUGUCUGCUCGAUCGGUCACUAAGCAAAGAAAUGAUCAGGUUCAAGUAUGUCAAGGAUGCAGAGUAUACUAAUCAAAGUGUUGAGCUGUGCACAUGAGACCAUAAGCUUCAGAUAGCAGUAUGUCUGUCUCCAAAAAUAUCUAAUCAAUUAUGAAGAAGCUAAGAAACGAUCAGGUCAGGUCCCCAGCACUACCUUCUCCCUGCCAAUCAGCACCGACGGACGGACGGACGAAUCUCGGGUCAGAUCCCCAACGGAAUUCGCCAAAAUAGAAGCCAAGAGCAGCAACGACAGAGGGGAUCGAAGAACUUACAAGAUGGGGGCGAGGAGGACGGGGUGGUGGAUGGUGAGGCAGCGCGCGUCGUUGAGGGCCUCGCAGACCAUGACCCAGUCCCUAGAGUCGAGCCCGGCGACGAGGCCAGUGGCCCGGGCUUUGGGGCCGAGGACGGGCAGCAGGUCCACGGACCGGACGUACUCCAUGGUCGGCUCCACUCCCAGUGGGGGAGCGGGCGACGGCGACAGGAGGUGCCGUGGAGAGCAGCUUGGCGGCCUUCUUGGGGCGCUGGUCCGCCACGGCGGCCGGCAAUGCGUUGUCCAGCGCGCGGAGCGCCAUGGGUGGGAUGCCGAGGGCGGAGAUGUAUAAGCGGAGAUGGCAGUGGAGAUGCGGCGCCGAGGGCGGGACGAGCGCGGCGGCCCUGCGGCGGAGGGCGCCGACUGAGGCCUCCGGGACGGGCGAAGGAAGAGCGGCGGACGUCCUUCGGGAGGCGACGAGGAGUGGGUGGUGGCGCGCGGGCACGGGCGGCGGGGUCAGAUCUGAAUCAGGAGGGAUGGGAUCGGGGAGAGGGAGCGCUAUGGCAUAGGGUGGGGAGAGAUGGUGAGGGGAGGGAGGGACAAGGUCGGCAGCGGUGGGUGAGGAGGAUGGCAAUGUCGGUGGUGGGUGGGAACGGAGGGGAGAGGACUGGAUUGGGAGGUGGCGGCGGCGGCGAGGAGAUGGGGACGAGGGAGGAGGGGUGCGAUGGGGGACGGGGUCGAUGGGAUCUGAGCUAGGGUUUGGGUAGCGGGUGGGGGUAUCUCUUUUUCAUUUUUUUUCUUUUUCUGCAGAUAGUUGGAUGGAUGGAUGUGGGAUGGAGAGAUGGAUGGAUGGAUGGAUGGCCGCCAUGUCAUCAAUCCGUGGGAAGAGUUGUGAUUGGUUUAAAAAAAUCAGUGAUUUAAAAUAGUUUUCAAGUAUUAAAAAUAGAUGGAUUUUGUGAAGCAGUCAUCAGAAAUAUUUUGCAAAAGGGCACCACACAAAUUUUCACUAGAGUUAGAUCGCAUUUUAUGGAUGAGGACCAAUUUGUAUACAUUUCCGAUAUUUCUAGCUAUUUUUCAUCAUUUUCCGAUUGCCCAAAAUGAGUUUUUUUAAGGACCUACAAUAUAUUUGUUGCAAAAUUAGACCAAAUCAAUUUUCUAAAAUAAUAGGACAUAUUUAAUGCACAAUUGACCAAAUGGUGGGGUGUCAAAAGUUUUUAUCCACCACUCGUGAAAAAGACAAAUUUCUGUCGAUUCAGCUGGAAGCGGGUCAAAUUUGAACUGUAGCUACCUCGUAGUUUGCUCUUUAUUUUUUUCAAAAAUCAUUUCUAGGUACAUAAGUAUCUAUUUAAUCAGUGAAACACCAAAAAAAUUCCAAGAUUCAACCACUAGCUAGGAACGGUCAUUCCCGCCGUUUUGACCGCAUUUUGAAACGGGCAUACAAAAUUAAAAAAAAUCAAAAAAUUGGAAAACCUUCGCAUUGUGUCAUUAUAUGUGGCCAAGUUACCAGGAAAAAUAACAAACUUGCAAUACGACAAUUAUUUUAAAAAAGUGUUCUCAGAAAUGAGCUAUCAUGCGUGAAGAUUUAUGGCUUUCAAGCCAAAUGAUCAAUCUUAUUGCCACAUUCUUGGCAUAGUUUGUUCAAAUGAUCUCAUAUUGUGAACAAGGGUGCAUCUUGGAAUUCCAAACAAUGUUUCCAAAGGGAGUUUUCAUUUUUUUUGCACGGAAAAUUCAUUUUCCAUUUUUCGAGUGCCCGAAAUGAAGUUUUUUUUGUGAAGGACCUACCAUAUAUUUGUUACUAAAUUGUACCAAAUCAUUUUUAUAAAAUAUUAGGACAUAUUUAAUGCACAAUUGACAAAAUGGUUUGGUGUAAAAAGUUUUGAUCCACCUCUGGUGAAAAAGACAAAUUCCCGCCGAUUCAGCUGAAAGCGGGUCAAAUUUGAACUGCAGCUGCCUCAUAGUUUGCUAUUUAUUUUUUCCAAAAAUUAUUUCUAGGUACAUAAGUAUCUAUUUAAUCAGAGAAACAUCAAAAGUUUUCCAAGAUUCAACCACUAGCAUGGAACGGUCAAGCCCGCCGUUUUGACCGCAUUUUGAAACGGGCAUAAAAAAUUCAAAAAAAUCAAAAAAUUGGAAAACCUUCGCAUUGUGUCAUUAUAUGUGACCAAGUUUCCAGGAAAAAUAAUAAACUUGUAAUACGGUAAUUAUUUUAAAAAAGGGUUCUCAGAAAUGAGCUAUCAAGUGUGAAGAUUCAUGGCUUUCAAGCCAAAUGAUUAAUCUUAUGGCCACAUUCAUGGCAUAGUUUGUUCAAAUGAUCUCAUAUUAUGCACAAGGGUGCAUAUUGGAAUGGCAAACAAUGUUGCCUAAGGAAGUUUUUAUUUUCUUUGAACGAAAAAACCAUUUUCCAUUUUUUGAGUGCCCAAAAGGAGGUUUUUUUGUGAAGGACCUCCAAAAUAAUGGUUGCAAAAUUGGACCAAAUCAUUUUUCUAAAAUACUAGGACAUAUUUAAUGCACAAUUGACAAAAUGGUUGGGUGUAGAAAGUUUUGAUCCACCUCUCGUGAAAAAGACAAAUUUUCGCCGAUUCAGCUACAAGCGGGUCAAAUUUGAACUCCAGCUGCCUCAUAGUUUGCUAUUUAUUUUAUCCAAAAAUCAUUUCUAGUUACAUAAGUACCUAUUUAAUCAUAAAUACAUGGUAUGGUGGCGAUACGUCGAAGUUUGGGCGGUGCCCGAGGCCCCCAACUCUAGAGCGUGGCUAGUGGGUUGGGCACUCCCCAGGUAGGUGCUAGGAAGAAAAUUACAACAUAAGAUUCUCACGAGGAGACCGAUCGAUGCUCAAAUAUGAAUUAGCAGCCAAGUGUUUGAUUAGCGGUACGGGAAAUGUACAUGGCUAAUGGGCGUGAGUUUUGGCUGAGGAUGAUCAGUUACUAAGAAGACCGUCUUCACAAGUUUUCAGCUCAAAAGGAGGAGCCUAGGUGGUACUUGCUUUGCAAGCUACCACACUGGACAUAAAUACGAAUGUUGAAGCUCAGCUCAAAAUAAUGAAUGGAUUGAGCUGGCAUUUGGUGGAGGAUGGUUAUUUGGGCAUAGGAAAGCACUGUAGAAAAUGGAUACUAUUUGGAGAUGCCAAAGUGGUACUUUCUUCACAAACUGUUGUUCUGAACAGAAUAGGAAAAUGAAUAUUUUUGAAUUAUUUUUGAACUAGGCAAGGAAGGUUUUACAUAUUUGACAAAGAUAUGACCCAAAGAAUUUAUGAGAUUUUUUGGGGAAUUUUGGGAAUUACAGAAAUAUAGGUUGCUUCACAACCUAGGGCAAAACUGCCACAUGGACAUGACACAUAGGAAAAACUAAUGAGGUGGCGCCUAGUCAUAUUAACCCACCACAAUUUACAAGGCUAUGACCAUCUAUAUUGGUCGUUAACAACUAGAAAUAAGGCAGCGGACUAGCGCUGUUUGCUUUAUGACCAUUUCGUGUAAGGAAAUUACGACCUUUCUGACCAAAAUGGUCGCAAUGGUUUAGGGUUUGGAGCCCCCCAGACAGCUUUUGACCAAUUGGUCUAAAAUGGUCAUAAAUUUAUGACCAAUUCUUCCAGGGUCACUGACAGAAGGUCAUAAGUUGACAUAUUUCUUGUAGUGCUAGUUUAUGGCUACGUCAUUUUUGAGUUCUUCCUAAUACCAUUCCUAUGGUUUUCUACAGGAAGUGGGGAAUCCAAGAAAUGGAGGGUCUUGCUAGAGAGUUGGCGGAGAAAGGACAAGAACAACUUCAGUUGUAUGGUUACAUUGAUGUUAAAGAGAAAAAGAUUGAAGCACACGGGUCGUCGCCAAGCCCGACGCAAUCUCCAACAUCGAAAAGCAAGAGGUCACUGGAUUUUGGCAGUGCAGAAGACCAUAUAUAGUAGGCUCAAUUGUUUUUCAACCAGUUUAAGCUUCAAACUAGGAUUAUUUUGUUUCAAACAAACAUUUUUUUUCUGUUUCACACUAUGUUCGCAAUUAUGGUACAAUUUAUUCAUGAGACAGUUCUUUGAACAACAAUGCAUGUGUUUUAUGAUCAAUCAUACAGUUGUUUCUGAUUUGUUUGUGAGAUGGCAUUGCAUCUAAAAAACUUGUAAAAAAUCAUUUAUGUUGUCUUUGUUGAAACUGUUUUUUCGUGCCUUUCAUCUACACGUGUGUAAUCAUUAUAGCCUACAAAACCACACAACGUCAAAAAACAAUUUCCAGUUGGCGUGGAUGCUUGUCAUGUUGGUACAAGGGUUUAGAAAUUUUUUUGGGUCCAUUUGAAGCAUGCCGAAAAAAUCCGUCCUUCCAGACGGAACAUCCCCUGCUACCCGAAUGGCUAAGUUGAAUGACACCAAUUUUUUCCAUCAAGCGCGCAAGCACACACCAGGGGCCGCGUGAAAUUUGAGCUAAUUCCAAUUUUUUGGUGAAACACGAUGAGAUUUCUGUUAUUUUAUGUGUCCUGCCGAACGUGAAAUUGCUGCCACGAAAUUCUUCUCAGGAUCCACGCAGUCCGAAUGGCGUCAGAAGCGGUGUCUAAAAGCAUUAGGACCCUCCCCACCGCGUCACGCCCUCCUCCCACGCGCGCGUCGUAUCCCCACGCGUGUUACGCCGUCCGUACGAGCGCGCCCCGUCCCCACGCGUGAUUCUUUAUUUUCAUUUUUUAAUUUUUUUCCUAAAAUGUCCAGAAUUACAAAAAUAGUGAAAAAACUAUAAUUUCAAAUUUUGAUUAAACUUUUAAUAAACUAUGGAUUAAAAAAAUAGUUUUCAAAAAAAAUUUAAAAUUUUAAAAAAGAUCAAACUUUGGAUUAAACUGUCCACAAGUACUCUCUCCGUCCCAAAAUUCUUUUCUUAGAUUUAUCUAGAUAUGGAUGUAUCUAGUCACAUUUUAGUGUCUUAGAUACUUCCAUAUCAAGACAAAUCCAAGACAAGAAUUUGGGACGGAGUGAGUACCAACCAUGAAUAUAACAAGAUGAAUGGGCUACCCUCCAACCAUUUUUAUAAGGCUAACCCCAAAACUUGCUGGUUUUGACGUCAAAUAAGAUAGAAAUAUCAAGGGAAGAAGAUAGAAAUAACAAGCAAAACACGGAUAACCAACGACAUAUCAAAUAGACGGGUAGAAAUCAUAACAUAGUUCUGAUAGAUAAAGUUCACGGUACAACCAACGACAUAAUUAAAUAGAAAUUUUUAAAAGAUAAAAAACUUGCCCUAACACGCUAGGGCAAGACAAGCUGACGAGACCGGGCCUUCACCACCAUCUUCAUUGCGCCUCCUCUCCAGUGCUCCUCUCCAUACCGUCCUCGCCGAUGUAGUAGGGGAGGUUGUGCAUACCGUCGCGGGUGGGGAAGACGCAGCCGAAGUUUGUGAAGAUGUUGUGGGUUGUGAAUGCGAUUAAUUCGCAUCCACACCAAAACGCCAUGCCGAGGAGGUAGUAUGCAUUAAAUCUGUUGGUGAAGGUGACGGUGAGCCCUAUCGGCCGAGACCAGGAGUUUGGACGCACUUCAUCCAGUCGGAACAUCACCGGCGAGCCCGCCGGGAGGUGGGCAAAGACCGCACGGAGGAACCACUGGGCAAACCACCUUGCACCCCUCCAGCGUGAGAACACCCACACGCGAAGCGUGCUCUCCACGACGACGCCGGCCGGAUACUGUCUCUCCGGCACGGUCGGUGGGAGACGGUAGGUGGGGCCGUUGUACUGCAUCCUCGCGGCUCGCUCUGAGAGUGCUCUGGUUUGGGGAAGAAGAGAAGGGCGGCGCAAAUGGAUGUGUGCAGAAGGUGAGGGCUGGUGGUUUAAAUAGGGAAAGGGGAAGGGAAGGGAACCGACCGCGCUUACGUUCAAACGUGCCACGCCGAACGAUCCAUAUGCCACUUUAAUUGCCACAUUGAAUAGAUGCGGGUGGAUCAAAAAAGUGUAAAACCAAGGUUUUAAUUACCACGUUGAAUCGAAAAGUGUGAAACCAAGGUUUUAAUCGCCACACUCGCAUGCAUGCACGUCCGCCACCCGCGCAUGCAAACCCACGCCGCCACCCUUCCCAUGCAUGCAGGCCUCAGGCACACACAACGAGAUGGCCCAACGGUCCAUCCAGCGACUCGGUACCUGUUAAAAAAAACAAUAUCCCAGCCAAUCAGAUUGCAUCUCGUGGAUCGCCCCCCUCCUCCCCGCAGAUUCCUUCUAGAAGGGUUAGAUCAACGGUCCUUGAUCGCCACUAGGGUUAGAUGGACGGUCCUUGUAAUAAGGUGCACGCGGGUGAGGCUGGCGUGGGACGGCCCACCCGAAUUAGGCCCAAGCGAGCGUCGCGCCGGGCACAUCCCAGGGGUGCCGGGAGUUUAGUCCCACCUCGCUGAGCGAGGGGAGCUCGCACCGGUUUAUAUAGCGGGCUGAGCAUCCCCUCUCAAGUUCCUUUCUAAAGCGGGCAGCACAUGGCCUAACCAUGUCCGUCCCUGCCCUGUGGGGCCUACUAGCUACCUGUUAUCACAAUCUGGCGGGCCUGCAUCCUGGCCCAAUAAAUGAUUGGGUUACUAGUCGUAUGCAGGCCGUUGAAUUGUGAACUAAGCAGCAAGUUGACAGGCUUUUUGUGCCAUAUUUCAUUUUUUGCAUUUGUCACCAUUAUUUCCAUUGCAGCCAGUCCAUCAUGCUACAUUUUGGCAAGAACAAGCUAGAGUUGUACACACACUGAUUUACUACUCAAAAACAUCGGUCUAUACCUCAAGGGGGCAUUGUAAAUUAUUAUUUUUCCAAAUUUUCUUUCAUAGCCAUGUUUGGCACAUGUGGGUCACCAUGUAAAAGAAAAUUUGGGUGAUUUGGAGGUGGUGGAAAAACCAUCUUUUUUCAAAAACUGGCUUAAGUUGACCAAAUGGUCCCUCCGGAACGCGGGCAUUUUUUCGACCACCUCCAAAUCACCUCAAUUUUGGCACACAUGAUCUCUUGCACAAAAAAAGCUAGGUUUACAAGGUUUUGUAUUUUUUUAAUUUUUUUGAAUUUAUAAUGCCCUCUAGACCGACUGUUGAAAACAUCGGUCUAUACCUCAAGUGGGCAUUGUAAAAUAAUUUUUUUCAAAAUUUUNNNNNNNNNNNNNNNNNNNNNNNNNNNNNNNNNNNNNNNNNNNNNNNNNNNNNNNNNNNNNNNNNNNNNNNNNNNNNNNNNNNNNNNNNNNNNNNNNNNNNNNNNNNNNNNNNNNNNNNNNNNNNNNNNNNNNNNNNNNNNNNNNNNNNNNNNNNNNNNNNNNNNNNNNNNNNNNNNNNNNNNNNNNNNNNNNNNNNNNNNNNNNNNNNNNNNNNNNNNNNNNNNNNNNNNNNNNNNNNNNNNNNNNNNNNNNNNNNNNNNNNNNNNNNNNNNNNNNNNNNNNNNNNNNNNNGCACACAUGAUCUCUUGCACAAACAAAGCUAGGUUUCCAAGGUUUUGUAUUUUUUUGAAUUUUUUUGAAUUUAUAAUGCCCUUUAGACUGACUGCUCAAAACAUCGGUCUAUACCUCAAGUGGGCAUUGUAAAAAAAAAAUUUCAAAAUUUUCUUUCAUAGCCAUGUUUGGAACAUGUGAGUCACCAUGUACAAGAAAAUUUGGGUGAUUUGGAGGUGGUGGAAAAAAUCACCUUUUUUCAAAAAUUGGCUUAAGUUAGACCAAAUGGUCCCUCCGGAAUGCGGGCAUUUUUUCGACCACCUCCAAAUCACCUCAAUUUUGGCACACAUUAUCUCUUGCACAAACAAAGCUAGGUCUCCAUGGUUUUGUUUUUUCUUUGAAUUGUUUUUGGAUUUAUAAUGCCCUCUAGACUGAUUGUUGAAAACAUCGGUCUAUACCUCAAGGGGGCAUUGUAAAUUUUUUUUUUCAAAAUUUUCUUUCAUAGCUAUGUUUGGCACAUGUGGGUCACCAUGUACAAGAAAAUUUUGGUGAUUUGGAUGUGGUUGAAAAAAAUCACCUUUAUUCAAAAACUGGNNNNNNNNNNNNNNNNNNNNNNNNNNNNNNNNNNNNNNNNNNNNNNNNNNNNNNNNNNNNNNNNNNNNNNNNNNNNNNNNNNNNNNNNNNNNNNNNNNNNNNNNNNNNNNNNNNNNNNNNNNNNNNNNNNNNNNNNNNNNNNNNNNNNNNNNNNNNNNNNNNNNNNNNNNNNNNNNNNNNNNNNNNNNNNNNNNNNNNNNNNNNNNNNNNNNNNNNNNNNNNNNNNNNNNNNNNNNNNNNNNNNNNNNNNNNNNNNNNNNNNNNNNNNNNNNNNNNNNNNNNNNNNNNNNNNNNNNNNNNNNNNNNNNNNNNNNNNNNNNNNNNNNNNNNNNNNNNNNNNNNNNNNNNNNNNNNNNNNNNNNNNNNNNNNNNNNNNNNNNNNNNNNNNNNNNNNNNNNNNNNNNNNNNNNNNNNNNNNNNNNNNNNNNNNNNNNNNNNNNNNNNNNNNNNNNNNNNNNNNNNNNNNNNNNNNNNNNNNNNNNNNNNNNNNNNNNNNNNNNNNNNNNNNNNNNNNNNNNNNNNNNNNNNNNNNNNNNNNNNNNNNNNNNNNNNNNNNNNNNNNNNNNNNNNNNNNNNNNNNNNNNNNNNNNNNNNNNNNNNNNNNNNNNNNNNNNNNNNNNNNNNNNNNNNNNNNNNNNNNNNNNNNCCUCAAGGGGGCAUUGUAAAAUAUAUUUUUUUCAUUUUUUUCUUUCAUAGCCAUGUUUGGCACAUGUGGGUGACCAUGUAAAACAAAAUUGGGUUAUUUGGAGGUGGUGGAAAAAAUCACCUUUGUUCAAAAACUGGCUUAAGUUAGACCAAAUGGUCCCUCCGGAAUGCGGGCAUUUUUUCGACCACCUCCAAAUCACCUCAAUUUUGGCACACAUGAUCUCUUGCAAAAAAAAGCUAGGUUUACAAGGUUUUGUAUUUUUUGUAUUUUUUUUGAAUUUAUAAUGCCCUCUAGACUGACUGCUGAAAACAUCGGUCUAUACCUCAAGUGGGCAUUGUAAAAAAAAUCAAAAUUUUCUUUCAUAGCCAUAUUUGGCACAUGUGGGUCACCAUGUACAAGAAAAUUUGGGUGAUUUGGAGGUGGUGGAAAAAAUCACCAAAUGGUCCCUCCGGAAUGUGGGCAUUUUUUCGACCACCUCCAAAUCACCUCAAUUUUGGCACACAUGAUCUCUUGCACAAAAAAGCUAGGUUUACAAGGUUUUGUAAAUUUUUUUAAUAUUUUAUGCCCUGGGCAAUGUCAGUUCGAAACACUCUAGAGAUACUUCCUCAACCAAUGAUGCGACCCAAGGACCUUCAUGCAAAAACCAGGCACCUGCAUGCAAGAGUGGGGGACCUGCAUGUGAAUAGUGAUUCAUCAAGGCCUUGACUGAUGAAGCUAUGUACCUAGGGUAGGGUCAUGGGCCUGUCCAAACCUCCCUACCCAAGGACAUAUCUAGAAGAAACCGCAUGUCGAUUGACUCAGAAGUGUUCCACUCGACAGACUCGAAGACACUCGACCAUGACGAACCACUCGACCAUGAAGCCAACCACUCGACAGCCAGGAGACCUAAGGUCACUCUGCACGCCAACGGUCGGUCAUUAAGUACCUUUUAUGGUCAUCAUACCACUUUACUUGUGGCGUUACCAGUAACGCCAGAUCUUAAUGUAUCUUAAACCCUACAUAACUGAGGGCGGGAGGGGUCUGGCCGACUCUAUAUAAGCCACCCCCCUCCUCAGUGUAAAGGGUUCGCACCCCUGUAACUCAUACGCAUAUAAUUCAGUCGGCCGCCUCCGGGCUCCAAGACAUAGGGCUGUUACUUCCUCCGAGAAGGGCCUGAACUCGUAAAUCCCUUGGGUAUACAACUACUCCAUAGCUAGGAUCUUGCCUCUCCAUACCUACCCACCUACACUACUGUCAGACUUAGAACCACGACAGUUGGCGCCCACCGUGGGGCAGGUGUCUUAGCGACUUACUGGAGAAGUUGCGAUUUUUCCGAUCUCCUUCAUCAUGGUUUCAGGCGGAGUUUUGGUUGAGGGUCGCGAGAUCCGUCUCGGCGCGCUAACGUUCAUCGCCGUCGACUCCGCUUGGCUUCAGGAGGCUCCGCUCGACAUCGACGCGCUCCCCGUCCACGGAUCGACGCACUUUCGCGCGUGCAUCCGCGGCGUCCUCCUACGGCAACCGUCUACCCAGCAUCGGUCGACCCCUAUGUCGUCCUCCCUCUCUGUUUCCUGCUGGCGCAAGCGCUCCGGUCGGUCGAGGCUUCAGUGGUGCGUGAGACACGUGGUCGCUCGCUAGUCGGCCACUCCCCAAGUCACGGCAAUCGAGCCUGACGAAUCUCUCUGCGGCCUGUUCGACCUGUCGACAGGCUCUACAGAGACUACAUCCGAGUGCGACAGUAGUGAUCCAGUGGCGGAGGUUCUGAUGGUCGAUGGACCACACAGUCCUCACGAAUUUCCCUGCACCGACGGAGGCCACGGUGGAGGCGAACUGUCGCAUGCCCAUGAAGAGUAUCUCCCCGAGCCCCUCACUUCGCUACAGAGGGAGGAACUUCGUCGCCGGAACAUGGAUGCGCUGCACACUCCUAUCGUUGGAGAAACCCCUAAGGCUCGUGCCUUAGAGGAGGCACGCUUGGCCAACUUGGCUGAGCGCACUCGACUGGAGAACCUCCAGCGAGCACUCGACGAGCGUGCGCGACAACGGGUUCUAGAAUCCAGUCGGCAUAAACUCUUUCCACCACCGACUCAAGUAUAUCGAACUCCAAUUCAGAAUUUAGCGGUUGCAGCCCGUAUAGCAGAGUCGAUUCAGCCUUCCCAGUCAGAGACUGGCAGAGGCUUGUUACAGAUCAGAGAUCUACUCCGGGCAGCAGGAGAUCAAAAUUCAGCUGUAUCAUAGUCGCGGAAUAGGAUUCACAACAGAUCCGUCGCUGCAAAUACAGUCCAGUUGGCUCAUAGCCCAAGAUCGCCCCCGAGGCGUGAGGAGCGUGGUGACCGGCAUGAUCAGUACAAGAACCGUGAGCAAUAUGAUCACCGAAUCGAUCGCGAUGAUCGAUGUCGAGUGCCCACCCCUCCCCCAAGGGGUGGAUCGUACGCGCCUCGACAACAGGAUGAUAGACGCCAUCACAGUGUUGGGCGAAGGAUUCCAGUCGACCCCAGGGAACCAGGCUUUGAUGCGAGAUCCAUUAUCGUUCAAGGUUUGGUCGACAGGAACAGAGCUCACCGAGAAGGUCACGACAGAGAUGUACCCACCAGCAGGAGAGUACAUGUCUCAGGACCAGAGUGUUUCAGCAGAGCCAUCAGGGCCGCGGUGAUUCCCCCCAACUUCAGGUUGGCGACUGGGGUCAGUAAGUUCACUGGUGAGUCCAAGCCUGACGCUUGGCUUGAGGACUACCGUGUGGCUGUUCAGAUUGGCGGCGGCAAUGAUGAAGUGGCCAUGAAACACCUGCCUCUUAUGUUGGAGGGCUCGGCCAGAGCGUGGUUGAAUCAGCUAGCACCCAGCAUCAUUUACACUUGGGAAGAUCUUGCCCGAGUGUUUGUCAGAACGUUUGAAGGAACUUGCAAGCGACCAGCAGGACUGACAGAACUGCAAUCUUGUGUGCAAAAGUCGAAUGAAACUUUGAGAGAUUACAUCCAGAGAUGGAUCACGUUGCAUCACACGGUAGAGAAUGUAUCUGAUCACUAGGCAGUCUGCGCCUUCAAGGAAGGCGUUAAGUACAGAGAGCUAAACCUGAAAUUCGGUCGAACCGGAGACAUGUCUUUGAGUCGAAUGAUGGAAAUCACCACCAAGUAUGCCAAUGGUGAGGAAGAGGAUCGGCUCCGGAGUGGCAAACACAAGUCAGUCGCCCACGAAACCAGAGGAGGGAACUCUAGUCGGAUGCAGAAACGGAAAGCCGAGCCAGCUGCUCCUGGAGAAGCCUUGGCCGUGACUCAAGGAAAGUUCAAAGGGAAGCCCAAAGGGUCUUGGAACCCUAAGAAGGUGAAGGACAAGGAAGAGAAUGACGUGUUGGAUUUGCCGUGCCACAUCCACACGAAGAAAGAUGAGGAGGGUAAGCUCAUUUACCCGAAACAUACCACUCGACGGUGUUGGCUCUUGAUCCAGCAAUUCCAGGGGAAACAGCCCAAAGAUAAGGAAAAGGAGUCAGACAAAGUUGAGGACAAAAAAGAUAGUGAUGAUGGAUAUCCUCAGGUCAAUUCCACCCUGAUGAUUUUUGCUGACGUUGAAAGCAAAAGUCGAUUGAAAGUUAUCAAUCGAGAAGUGAAUAUGGUUGCUCCAGCGACACCCAGUUAUCUGAAUUGGUCUCAGACUGCCAUCACAUUCGACCAUUCUGAUCACCCGACACACAUGGCCACCCCUGGGAGGCAAGCUCUGGUGGUCGACCCAGUCGUCGAAGGCACUCGACUGACUAAGGUUUUAAUGGAUGGUGGCAGUGGCCUGAAUAUACUAUAUGCAGAGACGUUGAAAGGGAUGGGCAUUCCGAUGUCCAGGCUUAGUACCAGCAACAUGAGCUUCCAUGGAGUCAUUCCUGGAAAGAAGGCUGAGUCACUCGGUCAAAUUGCUCUUGAUGUGGUUUUCGGUGAUUCCAAAAAUUACCGCAAAGAAAAGUUGACAUUUGAAGUUGUGGAUUUCCAGAGUGCCUAUCACGCCAUUUUGGGCAGGCUAGCUUAUGCACGUUUUAUGGCUCGACCAUGUUAUGUGUACCUCAAAUUGAAGAUGCCUGGCCCCAAAGGUGUGAUCACUAUUACUGGCAAUCGGAAGAAGGCGGAAGAGUGCUUUCAGACAGGCUCAAAGAUCGCCGAUGCUUAGAUAUCAGCGGUAGAGUGGUAGGAAUACCAGAAAACUGCAGACCCGAGUGAUUUGUUGCGAGCCAAGAAGCCUGCUACGGAAUUGGCGUUUCAGUCGUCUGGUGAGACCAAACCGAUUCACAUUCACCCGACCGACCCCAGUGCUGCUCCAACUCAUAUCUCUACAACGCUCGACUCCAAAUAGGAAGAAGCGCUCAUCUAGUUCCUCCGUGAGAACUGGGACAUCUUCGCAUGGAAACCUUUUGACAUGUCGGGUGUUCCAAGGGGGCUGGUUGAGCACCGUCUACGAGUCGACUCAAAAGUGAAACCUGUCAAAGAACAUCUUCGACGGUCCGCCGUCCAGAAAAGAAAGGCCAUUGGCGAGGAGGUGGCUCGACUCUCAGCAGCGGAGUUUAUCCGAGAAAUUUAUCACUCCGAGUGGCUCGCCAAUGUUGUCAUGGUCCCCAAGAAGGACAAGUCACUUCGCUUAUGCUUUGACUUCAAACAUAUCAAUCGAGCCUGCCUGAAAGAUCAUUUUCCACUCCCCCGCAUCGACCAAAUAGUCGACUCGACUGCGGGAUGCGAGCGUCUGCCUUUCUUAGACGCGUAUUCCAGGUACCAUCAGAUCCGUCUGUAUGGACCCAAUGAGAUCAAAACAGCUUUCAUCACUCCAUUUGGGUGCUUCUGUUAUGUCACCAUGCCAUUCGGCCUCAAGAAUGCUGGAGCCACGUUCAUGAGGAUGAUUCAGAAGUGUUUGCUCACUCAAAUCAGUCGGAAUGUGGAAGCAUACAUGGAUGAUAUUAUGGUCAAGUCACGGAAAGGUUCCGACCUGCUGACUGACCUUGCAGAGACAUUUGCCAACCUCAGGAGGUAUGAUAUCAAGCUUAAUCCAUCAAAGUGCACAUUCGGAGUUCCUGGCGGAAAGUUACUCGGUUUUCUCGUUUCCGAACGAGGAAUCGACGCCAAUCCAGAAAAAGUUGGCACUAUACUCUGAAUGAAACGCCCUGUGUGCGUGUGCAUGAUGUCCAGAAGCUUACUGGUUGCUUGGAUGCUUUAAGUCGAUUCAUCUCUCAUCUCGGUGAAAAGGCAUUGCCUCUUUACCGACUGAUAAAGAAGUCAGACAAGUUCGAGUGGACUCCUGAAGCUGAUGCAGCAUUUGCAGAGCUAAAAGCCCUGCUCUCCACCCAGCCGGUGCUUGCUGCCCCGAUCAGCAAAGAGCCUUUGCUGCUUUACAUUGCAGCCACGGGACAAGUCGUUAGUACAGUACUUACAGUCGAGCGAGAAGAAGAAGGAAAAGCCUUUAAAGUUCAGCGCCCAGUAUAUUAUGUUUCUUAAGUUUUGACCCCAUCAAAGCAAAGAUACCCUCAUUAUCAGAAGCUUGUAUAUGGGAUUUAUAUGACCACGAAGAAGGUUGCUCAUUACUUCUCUGACCAUUCCAUUACAGACAUCAACGACGCUCCAUUGUCAGAGAUUCUGCAUAACAGAGAUGCAACUGGUCGAGUGGAAAAAAUGGGCAAUUGAACUACUUCCCCUAGAUAUCAAGUUCGAGGCAAAGAAAGCCAUCAAGUCCCAAGCAAUAGUAGAUUUCAUCGCCGAGUGGACUGAACAGCAACUGCCGAAUCAAGUUCACUCGGAGCACUGGACCAUGUUCUUUGAUGGUUCUAAGAUGCUGAAUGGUUCCGGUGCUAGGGUAGUGUUGGUUUCCCCCCGAGGAGAUAAGCUCAGAUAUGUGCUCCAGAUUCACUUUGAUUCCUCCAAUAACGAAGCAGAAUACAAAGCACUUUUGUAUGGGUUGUGUAUGGCCACUUCACUCGGCGUCCGUCGCCUCAUGGUCUAUGGCGACUCAGAUUUGGUGGUUAACCAAGUGAUGAAGGAGUGGGACGUCAGAAGUCCAGCCAUGACUGGUUACUGCAAUGCAGUGAGAAAGCUGCAGAAGAAAUUCGAGGGGUUAGAGCUUCAUCAUAUACCCCGACUGAAAAAUCAAGCAGCCGAUGAUUUGGCAAAAAUAGGUUCCAAGAGAGAACCCGUUCCCAGUAAUGUGUUUUUGGAAGACAUCCACACACCAUCAGUUCGGGAGGAUCCUUUCACCGAAGAAGCCCUGCAGCCAAAAAGUGCUACGGAUCCGACUGAAGUUGAAGUUCCAGCUGUGGUCGACCUGAUCAUGGAAGUGUUGGUCAUCACUCCCGACUGGACAGUGCCGUACAUCGUGUAUAUCCUAAGGAAAGAGCUCCCUGAGAAUGAAGAAGAGGCCCGACAGAUCAUCCGUCAAUCCAAAGCCUUUACUGUGAUAAAGGGACAAUUGUACAGAGAAAGCGCGACUGGUGUCGGUCAGAAAUGUAUAACACCAGAAGAAGGUCAGAUAAUUCUUGACGAUAUCCACUCGGGGACCUGUGGUCAUCAUGCGUCCUCUCGGACCAUUAUGGCUAAAGCAUACCGAGCGGGGUUUUAUUGGCCAAGAGCAAAUGAAAUGGUGAAGGAGAUAGUCGACAAGUGUGAAGGGUGUCAGUUCUACUCCAAUAUGUCACAUAAACCCGCCUCAGCCUUGAAGACCAUCCCACUCGUCUGGCCCUUCGCUGUUUGGGGAUUGGAUAUGGUUGGACCACUGAGAACUGGCAGAAGCGGCUUCACCCAUGUGCUAGUGGCAGUCGACAAGUUCACUAAGUGGAUCGAAGCCAAGCCUAUCAAGAAUCUUGAUGUCGGCACUGCUAUCAGCUUCAUCAGAGAGUUGAUAUUCAGAUAUGGAGUUCCUCACAGCAUCAUCACUGAUAAUGGGUCAAACUUCGGUUCCGACCAAUUCAGAGCUUUUUGUGCUUAUCAAGGCACGCGAGUCGACUACGCUUCCGUCGCCCACCCCCAGUCGAAUGGACAAGCAGAAAGAGCAAACGACCUAAUUCUCAAAGGACUGAAACCCCGGUUGAUGCGUGAUCUCAAGCACGCAGCAGGCGCGUGGGUCGACGAACUUCCAUCAGUUCUUUGGGGUUUGAGGACUACUCAUAAUCGUUCGACUGGGCGAACUCCAUUCUUUCUAGUCUAUGGAGUUGAAGCAGUUCUACCGAGUGACCUGCUUCACAAUGCACCCCGAGUCAAGCUCUACUCUGAAGAUGAAGCAGAACAAGCUCGGCAGGACGCAGUCGACCUUCUAGAAGAAGAAAGAGAGAUGGCCAUGAUCCGGUCGACUAUCUAUCAGCAAGACUUGCGUCGAUUCCAUGCCAGAAACGUGAAGAGCCGAGCCUUCCAAGAAGGAGACUUGGUCCUCCGAGUGGAUCAACAAAAGCCACACAAACUCGCUCCUACUUGGGAAGGCCCCUUCAUCGUCACCAAAGUUCUCCACAAUGGAGCAUACCGUCUUUACAAUGUCGAUCGCCAGAUUGAUGAGCCACGAGCUUGGAAUUCGGAGCUGCUCCACCCCUUUUAUACUUAAGUACUCACUCGGAUGAGAUGUAAUAAAAAGUACCUCUGUAGUUUGUUUAUCGAAGACAAGAGUAUUAUAAUUUUCCCAGUGAUUGUUGUUGCUUUGGUUUGCAUGAGAAAUCCCCUAGUGGGUGGCUUAGCUGCGCAUCCGCUUCGCCUAAGUUUGCAAAAAAAAUCCCUACCGAGUGACGAGCAAGCCUCUCACUCGGGGGCUUAGCUGUGAAUCCGUUUCACCUAAGUAUUUAAAAAUCCUACCGAGUGACAAGCAAGCCACUCACUCGGGGGCUCAGCUGCGAAUCCGUUUCGCCUAAGUAUUUGAAAAUCCUACCGAGUGGAGAGCAAGCCUCUCACUCGGGGGCUUAGCUGCAGUCCAGUACUCGCCUAAGCAUUUGAAAAUCCUACCGAGUGGAGAGCAAGCCUCCCACUCGAGGGCUUAGCCACAGUCCAGUACUCGCCUAAGCAUUUGAAAAUCCUACCGAGUGGAGAGCAACCCUCCCACUCGGGGGCUUAGCUGCAGUCCAAGUACUCGCCUAAUCUUUACCUAAUAAUAAAGCAAAUUGGGUUUCUUUCGUCCAUCAUGACAUUUUUCAGGAAAGUCCCUCUAUUUCAGAGAAUUCAACCCACAGUCCUGUUUUAAGUUAAAACGAAUCGUUUUUUUUUCAUAUUUGACAUAAAAGUCCCUGUGUUUUGUUGAAAUCAACCCGCGGUGCGGAUUUAAGUCACACCCGAACCGUAAUUUUACAUUUUUCGAAAACCCCACUGUUGUUUUAGGUAAUUCAUCCGCGGAUCAUAUCUAAGUCAAAUAAUGUUUUUUUAAAUCAUCCAUAACUUUUAAACCGUAACUCUGAUUCGAGCAUGUUAUAUAUGAAAUUUGAUUACAAAAAUAUGUACAAUAUGAAUAUGAGAAUAUUUUCACGUGUUAAGUACUUUUAAAUAUUAUUUUGGAAUAUAUUUAAGUCAAACAAAUGAUUUUCUUAAUUAUUCGUAUCUUUUAAACCGUAAUUUCGAUUUUAACAUGUUAUAUAUGAAAUUUUAUUAGAAAAAUAUGUGGAAUCUAAAUAUGAUGUUAAUUUUACCUGCUAAAUAUUUUUAAAAUAUCUUUUUGGGAGCAAACUUAUAAUUUAUAGCGUAAGAUCCGUUUUCAUUUCGUACUGGCGGCGACCCGGAUUGCAAAUAAACACCCCACUAUAAUAAUGUAGGGAAAAGAAAACAUCGAUAACUACACAUGCAUACCUCUGAAAAAUGUUGCAGGGGAAAACAAUAGAUUUCUCAUCGCGAGAGUGAGAGAAAGCGAGAGAGAGAGGGAAGGAGGGAGAGGGAGGAGAGAGGGAGAGAGAGACGCCUUAGGAUUAAACAUUUUCAAACACGAUUUUUUUGUUUUGUGUGAACACCGAGGCCAUCGCCGGCGAGGGUGAGAAGGAGGAUAAGCGGCAACACAAAUAUGAUGCCUCGCAAAAAUAAAGGAGAUGGACCUAUUGUGGUCUUGAGUGAUGGUUGUUGGGUUAAGAGUGUGUGUUAUGUUUUCUCCCCCGUUGCAAUGCACGGACUCUUUUGCUAGUAUUUGAAAAUCCUACCGAGUGGAGAGCAAACCUCCCACUCGGGGGCUUAGCUGCAGUCCAAGUACUCGCCUAAGUAUUUAAAAAUCCUACCGAGUGGAGAGCAAACCUCCCACUCGGGGGCUUAGCUAUAGUCCAGUACUCGCCUUAGUAUUUAAAAAUCCUACCGAGUGGAGAGCAAACCUCCCACUCGGGGGCUUAGCUGCAGUCCAGUACUCGCCUAAGUAUUUAAAAAUCCUACCGAGUGGAGAGNNNNNNNNNNNNNNNNNNNNNNNNNNNNNNNNNNNNNNNNNNNNNNNNNNNNNNNNNNNNNNNNNNNNNNNNNNNNNNNNNNNNNNNNNNNNNNNNNNNNNNNNNNNNNNNNNNNNNNNNNNNNNNNNNNNNNNNNNNNNNNNNNNNNNNNNNNNNNNNNNNNNNNNNNNNNNNNNNNNNNNNNNNNNNNNNNNNNNNNNNNNNNNNNNNNNNNNNNNNNNNNNNNNNNNNNNNNNNNNNNNNNNNNNNNNNNNNNNNNNNNNNNNNNNNNNNNNNNNNNNNNNNNNNNNNNNNNNNNNNNNNNNNNNNNNNNNNNNNNNNNNNNNNNNNNNNNNNNNNNNNNNNNNNNNNNNNNNNNNNNNNNNNNNNNNNNNNNNNNNNNNNNNNNNNNGUACUCGCCUAAGUAUUUAAAAAUCCUAUCGAGUGGAGAGCAAACCUCCCACUCGGGGGCUUAGCUGCAGUCCAGUACUCGCCUAAGUAUUUGAAAAUCCUACCGAGUGGAGAGCAAACCUGCCACUCGGGGGCUUAGCUGCAGUCCAGUACUCGCCUAAGUAUUUGAAAAUCUUACCGAGUGGAGAGCAAACCUCCCACUCGGGAGCAUAGCUGCAGUCCAGUGCUCGCCUAAGUAUUUGAAAAUCCUACCGAGUGGAGAGCAAACCUCUCACUCGGGAGCUUAGCUACAGUCCAGUGCUCGCCUAAGUUUGAAAUCCAUUCUGAUCCGCAAGGACGACGAGGUGCAGGUCGACUACUACCCUCUCCUUCGGAGCUACGCCACAAAUACAACAUGCGCUUUGCAAGGAGGACGAGGUGCAGUUCAACUGCUACUUUCUCCUUCGAAGCUACGCCACAAAUACAAUGUGUGCUCUGCAAGGACGACGAGGUGCAGUUCGACUGCUACCUUCUCCUUCGGAUCUACGCCACAAAUACAAUGUGCGCUCUACAAGGAAGACGAGGUGCAGGUCGACUGCUACCUUCUCCUUCGGAGCUACGCCACAAAUACAAUGUGCGCUCCAUCUCGAUCCGCAAGGAUGCAGGUCGACUGCAAUUUGUGCUCCAUCCUUACCUGCAAGAGCGAUGAAGAGCAAGUCGACUGGAUCCUCCACCUCAGGGCUGCGUCUCAAGCGCUAAACUAGAUUCCGAAUGAAGAAACAAAGUUCGCUCGAAGGCAAAUGCAAGCAUAUUCAAUGAUAAACAAAGUUCAGAUAAUAUCCUACGGGUUCGAAAGUGCUCAGGCGUCAAGCUUGUAAAAGUUUAUCAGUUACAAAAUCACUCGGCAUUCCAAGGCAAAUUUAAGACGAAGCAUAGAAGUUUUUUACUCCUCAGGUGGAGGACUGGAGAGCGCAACAAACUGGUCCAAGUCGAUUCCGUCAGCAAUCCGAGUGGUAGCAGCAAUGAAGGUCUCCAUGAAAGAUCAGAAGUCGUGCUUCUUGGUAUUGGCAACCUUGAUGGACGCCAGAUUUUCCCCUCGCGCAUCCUUGCAGUGAACACGGACUAGAGAUAGAGCAACAUCGGCGCCGCACCUGGCAAAAGAUUUCUUCCAUUCUUGCACUCGACCUGGAACUUCAUUCAGUCGAGUCAUUAGAGACUCGAGGUCAUUUUGAAGCGUCGCUCCUGGCCAGAGGGUCGUGUCGAUUUGCGAUGCCGCAACCUUCAGUCGAGCAAGGUAGUCAACCACACCAGCAACACGAGACUCCAGUCGGAGCACGUUCAUGGCAGCUUCAUCCUUCACAAGAGAGUUAAUGGGGUCCAAGCCAAUCUCCACUCGACUGGUCUCCUCCACUAAGUUUUGGCAGAAUUCUGUGAACACAAUUCAAAGGUAAACUAGCAGUUCUACGAUAAGUCGAUGAUUACAAAUCAGUAGGGUAAGAGAGAUUACCCUCAAGCAUGAUGAAUAACUUCUUGGCGAGCCCUCCCAGAUAAGCCUCCAGAUUAUUCUUCUUCCCCACCAGCUCACCAGCCUUGUCAUUCAGAGCUAUCUUGUCAUUCUUCAGACGGCUGACUUCCUUGUUGGCUGCGUCGAGAGCAGCCUUCAGAUUGGCGUUCUCCUCUUCAAGUUUACCGACUGAAGCCAGUUUUUCAUCCGCAAGCUUCGUUUUGUCCAAAGCCGCCCUCUGUGCCUCGGCAAGGUCAUGGUCCUUCUUCUUCAGAGCCUCCUUCAUUUUAUCUGCAAAAUUACAAUGAGAUCAGAAUCAGGAAUGGGCAGUAAGAUACAGACAGUUGUCAAGUUCUCACUAAUCAUUCCUUUUGCCUCGUCCUUCGCCUUCUGAAAGUUCUCCUGAACAAGCUUCAAGUCAAGGUCAAGCUGGAUAUGUUUGUUUUCCAACUCAGUAUAGCGAGCCACGAGCUCGCAAGAUUUCUGUGAAGGGUCAGUCGACAGACAUCAAAGAUAGGUCGCUUCCGAGUGACUAAGAGAAAAAUCAUAGCAUUUCUGAGACUACAGCUGAAUCAAAAUAUUCAAAGUAGUCUCGGGGACUACACCCAGUGGGUGCACUCAGCGUGCCCCCACUGGUUCUACCGACUUGGUUCGAUCAGUCUGCCGAAAGAGACAAAGAGGUUAUGGUCCUAAAACUACAGCUGUAUAGCUAACUGCCAGUAGUUAGUCUUGGUCUCAUCAUGAUCUACCAAAAAAAACACAGGUUCUUCAGACUACAGUCGACUACCAGCAGUCCACCAUAGUCUCGGGGACUACACCCAGUGGGUGCACUUAGCGUGCCCCCACCGGUUCCAAAAUUCCAUUCGACAUGGUCCGACCAGACCGAGUGAAGAAAUUCAAAAUACAAAGACUACAGUUGACUGCCAGCAGUCCACCAUAGUCUCGGGGACUACACCCAGUGGGUACACUCAGCGUGCCCCCACCGAUUCAAAUAUUCAAUCGCCACACCCAGUGGGUGUACAUCUUCGGAAAAAAAAAAUCUUCAGAUAGCAUAUCCUAACAGAACAAGCGGUGACCAACAAACCUGGACGUUGCUCCGAAGGGCUGAGCUAGCAUCAUAGGCCGCUUGGCUGGCUUCCCGGAUCGCCUUCACCUGCUCCAUCAUGAUCCCCGCCUGGCGUAUAGCCUCGUUAGCAGCACCCGCUUGGUCCUCUGGGACGUGGUGUGUGGCGAAAAGGGAGGGCGGAUCAGCAGUCGAUGUCGAAGGCCGGACACUCGUCAGCGGCACAGCGAAGGACACAGAAUGCCGAGUGACAUUGUCACCCUCUUGAACCGAUGCCUCGGGCACUGAUGCAAUCGGAGUGGUCUUGCCAGCCGACGCCUUUUUAUUCCUCCUCGCCCUUAGUGGCACCUCGUCGUCAUCAUCAGGGAGAUCAAUGACAUGAGGAGGAACUACAGGAAAAUCCGAAGUUGAAAUCGAAAUCCAAUCGACCAAAAGUAAAACCACAAAGAGCGUACCAAGGUUGGAGGUGGCAGCGUCUUCUAUUUCCUGGUCUUCGUUCUUGGCGGAAGUCUCGGAGGUAGCAGCACUGCAGAUUUCAGAAACCAGUCGGUUAGUCGAUGAGUCGACCAAGAGUUCGUCCGUGCUAAACGAGAAAACACAAGUUCUGCUGUUACCCGGAGAUAGUGGGAAUGGCCAUUCUCAUCUUGGGCAAGGCCUUCGGCGGCUUUGAUGGCGCCGCUCGUGGAUGCUUUGGCGCUUUCUCAGUCGGCGCCGGAGAAGCCGCCCGAGGGCGCUUUGACGAUUGCCCAACGGACGCAAUCGCUUUGCCACGCUCGCUCGCGGGGUCAUGGAUGAGCUUGGAUCGCCUUUCCGUGCGAGGAGGAUCGACUUCCUCCUCCUCCUCUUUGCUGGAUCCGUCGUCAUCCUCUUCCCCCUCACCAUCAGAUUGCCACUCCUCCUCACUUUCACCUUCGCUCGCCUCUCCCUCCUCGACAUGUUCAUGCGCCCCGUUGGGCAUCGAGUACAUCUCAGUCGUGGCCUAGAAGACAACAAACAAGACAAAAGUCAUUCAACUGAUUUUAAGCAAACAGAAUGAAGAAAGCAGAAUCACAGUCAGAAAUACAGAAUCAGACCUUGUCUACUUCGUAUGAUCGGACCUUGUCUAUUUCGAGGCAAACGAAGGGCUCCAAAAAACGCCAACUACUGUAAAAGUUGUACUGAAGUAAUUAUCAUAUCUCACACUAGUGCAGAACCGGCCUUUAGUGUCGCUUCGUGACGGCCUUUAGUGCCGGUUCGCCAAUCAGUACUAAAGAGUGGGGACUAAAGGUCUUCCCUUUAGUACCGGUUCGUCACGAACCGGCGCUAAAGUGCAAACACGUGGCACGAGCCAGGCCCGGGUGCACGCAGGGCUUUAGUACCGGUUGCUAACACCAACCGGUACUAAUUGUUUGGGUGUUUUUUUAAUUUUUCCAUUAAUUUUGUGUUUUCAAUUUAAUUUAGUGAUUGUUUUACAUUAUAAUGAGUUGUUAAAUCAUUAGGUGAAAGUACCGCGGAUUAGUUUCGACUGGAUGCAUUUGGAUCUAGCUAGCUAAGUGAUAAAGUAUAUGCCAUAUCCAUAUUAUACUUGAUCACCUAAUUAGGUGAUCAAGUAUAAUAUAUAUGGAUAUGGCAUAUAUAUACUUAUUUACUUAGGUAGGAUCCAUCCAGCUGAAACUAAUCUGUGGUUUCUUUCAUUAAAUGAUAUAAUAACUCAUCAUCAUCAUUAUCAUAUUAAUAUAAAAACUCUUGCAUCAUAUCAUCAACAUGAGUAUAUAUAUAUAUAUAUACUCUAGCUAGCUAGCUAAAAAUCAUCGUGGUCGUCAUUAUCACUAUUUAAUCAUCAUAGUCAUUACCGCUAUCUAAUCACCAGCAAUAGUAGCUUAAAAAAGAAACAUUCACUUGUACCAGAAGCAAAAAUAUCAUCGAGUUCAACAUGAUUGUCAUGAUAUUAUAAGCAUUCAUAUAUAACACCACAAAAGAAAAUCACUCUUUGAGAUUAAGUUCAGAACAAAGAACAUGAACAUGAAAGGACAAGUACUAAGAGCAGCAUGAACUAGCUAAAUCACUCCUGCUAGCUACUCUCUCUCUGGUAAAAUAGCAUAGAACAUGUAUAGCUCUCCUGAUUCAUCAUACUGGAGCAUGCAGAUGAACCUGUCUCCUAAUCGUGGGCUGCGCUUCUCAUUGCUGUCCCCUAGUACUUCUCUGCGAUCGUUAACAAUUUUCCUCCAAUCUUUCACUAUUAAGCAUUCAUCGCUUGUAGAAAUCUUGAAUGCAUUCAUGUGCAAUGCAGGAUAUCUUGGCCGUAAGCUAACAAUUGACAUGCGACAUUUAGUCUCGAUCACUUGAGGCAUAACUGUCAUCGGGAGUCCCUGUUGAAGAACAUCGUAUAGUACUUAAUUAAUAUACUUAGUAAUGAAAGUUUAGCAAAAAAAUUAUGUAUGCAAAAUAUGCACUAGGACAAAUAGUAAAAAUCUUACCAUCAUUCCUAAAUAGAUGUGACCGUAGUUCAAUACCAUCACUAUUGGUCGCACAUUUUGAGUACUAAUAUUUCUAAGUGUAGGAAGAAAAUUUGUCUUGACAGUACGAAGAUCCUCAAGCCAUGAAACAUAAUGACUUAUCUUCUCGCAGUUUAGUUCAACUCCGGGACAGUAGUAGGUCCUGUCUACCAAGCGUCGGACAUGUUUGCUUGAAUGAAAAUAAGCUGUCAAUAGAAAUUAGUUGUCAAUUAUUUUUGAAUAAGCAAUAUCAAAGACAAAAAUGAAGUGCCCGUUUAACUGAUGAGUUCUCGUCCGAAACCGGUGAAGACUCAUAUUGAGUCCACAAAUUAUACACAUAGAGUUUAAUGAAGACCAAAUGCUUGUGAUAGUUUGAAAAUAACAUAUUUAAAUUGUGCAUCUGAACACAGAAAAAAUACAUUGAUCAGUACCGCCUUUCAGCCAAAACGCGCUACUGCUACAGAGAAGUACAUAUAAAAAAUACAUUGAUCAUCAAUGAUGUUUUUGUAUAAAAUCUAAAUCGUCAAUAGGAAUCUACCACCGAUUUAAGAACCGGCGAAGACUCCUAUUGCAGCCAUAGAUCCUACACAUAGAGUUCAAUGAAGACCAAAUGCUUGUGAUAGUUUGAGAAGUAAAAUAUUUAAGGUGGUCAAAUUCUUGUUAGGGGAGCGAGGUGGGACUAAAAAUAGCGCCUGCCACAACCUCUUUAGUACCAGUUCAUGCCAUGAACCGGUACUAAAGAUGCUGGUGCCCGGCCAUCACCUUUAGUACCGAUUCGUGGCACGAACCGGUACUAAAGAUUCACAAUGAACCGGUACUAAAGGUCUCCUCCCGCCUAGUCAUUUGAACCGGCACUAAUGGACGCAUUAGUGUCGGCUCAUAUGCAAACCGGUACUAAUGUUUCUCAUAUUUGACCCUUUUUCUACUAGUGUCAUGUUCAUGAACCCUUUUGUCCCAAAAUAAGUGUCAUGGUUUUAGUUUUAAAUUUAAACUAAAAGCACGACACUUAUCAGGGAGUAUAGUACGUAGUUAGUACAGAAUAUUUACCCGCAAAUAAAAGUUAGUACAGAAUAUAAGCGUCAGCAAAGCUUUCUCUUCUUGUGCUUGGAGGUUUUAGUACAUGCGCUCACCAGCCUCUUCUUAUAGGCAGACAAGUGUGCUACCUUGUCAGUGAGAGUAGAAGAGUGGGCGGUGCGCUGGGACAUCAACUCCUUCAACAGAGCAGGGCAGCUUCUGAAGACAUGAUCGAUCGAAGUCGUGUGUCGAUCGCCAUGGCCUCGUCUAGUUUUUUUUUGAGGGGGAGGCCUCGUCUAGUUUGGUGGGAGAGUUGAUGAGCAAGUCAAAGCACNNNNNNNNNNNNNNNNNNNNNNNNNNNNNNNNNNNNNNNNNNNNNNNNNNNNNNNNNNNNNNNNNNNNNNNNNNNNNNNNNNNNNNNNNNNNNNNNNNNNNNNNNNNNNNNNNNNNNNNNNNNNNNNNNNNNNNNNNNNNNNNNNNNNNNNNNNNNNNNNNNNNNNNNNNNNNNNNNNNNNNNNNNNNNNNNNNNNNNNNNNNNNNNNNNNNNNNNNNNNNNNNNNNNNNNNNNNNNNNNNNNNNNNNNNNNNNNNNNNNNNNNNNNNNNNNNNNNAACCCCCCGUCGCGCCGCCGAGUCCCCCUCCCCCUCCCCCUGCCUCGCCGCCACCCGAGGAGGCCGCCGGCGAAGGCCGCGCGUGUUUCGGGGAAGGUGGCGGCCGGGCGUUUUUGCUGGUUCUCGCGCGCGCUCGAGGAGGGGUGUUGACUCGCGGUGGAUCUGGGGGCUGAGCUCGGGUCGGGCGGCGGCGUUUGGCCCGUCAGCGCGGAGAUGGUGGCCCGUCGGUCGGUGCAGAGGUGGCGUCUCACAGGUGCUGCUGCUUCCUGGCGCCGCGGUGCUGUGGGCGGGCGUGGCCGGGCACGGAUCUGGCGCGGCGACGAGAGGCGCCUGUGGUCCGCGUGGGAUGGCGGUGGGAGGCGCGCGUGGGGCGCGGCGGCUCGCCGGCAGAGGCAGGCCUUGCGGCGGGCUACCGUGGGAGGGCAGGCUCGUGGCGGCGGCGGUGUGCCACAAGUGACGAUGAUGAUGCAGCGGCGUCACACAGGACGGGUGGCGCGCAACUUCUCUUCUGCGGCUGGUGGAGGCAUGGCUGCACUUCCUCGAGGGAGGUUGUGUGGUGAUGUGUGGAUGAGCCUGCCAGCCCUGUGGUGCGGGGGCGGGCUCGGGCAGCGGCUUCGGCCGCGAGGGGCGCGGCAGGACGUCUAGAGGACGCCCUGGUGAUGCGCGGGUCGGGGGCCCGGGUUGUCGGCAAAGAGCGCCACAGCUGUGGGUGAUGCUGAUUCGUGUUGGGCAGCUCCGAUGGUGGUGGUGGUUGGUGGGCUCGCUGGUGCUGGUGCGGGAUGAUGUGUGGCUGAGGUGGUGUGGGAGCUUGGGUGAAGACCCUGUCCCGGUCUUGUGCCGUGACCAGUGAUGGUGGCGGCUGUGGCCGUCGUUGACCUUCCUGGAGGCAUCGCUGUUUUGUUGCCACUCCCCUCCUGCACGGAUCCGGCCAUCUCGGCCUCUCCGGGGAGAAACCCUUGAUCUGUGAUCGGACGAUGGCGGCGCCUUGGUGUCGUUUUCCCCUCUUGGGGGCUUCGUCUUGGGAGCCCGGCAUCGGUGGGCGGGACCCGUGGAUGGCGGCAGUUGUGGCGACCAGGCUUCUAUGGCAACGAUGACGGUGGGAGCGAUGUCGACGACGCGGCAAUGGUUGCGGUAGUCGUCUCUUCUCCGGCGUGUCCGCGGUUUUGCCUCAGGUUGUUUGUUGCUGUGGAGUCGAAGCUGCGGUGGCGGCGCCCUGUGAUAUACGAUGACCGGCUGCAGGUGGCCCGUUCGGCGAUCUCCCGUGGCGCCAGCCGUGCCUGGUUUUGUUCUUCAGAGUUCUCCGUCAGAGUCGGAGUUGUGCUGUCUGGCCGCAGGUGGCUGAGAUUUGGUGCAGAUCUUCAUGUAGCUUCACACGUCCACUUUGGUGUGGGUUGAGUCGACGAUCGCCUGUGGCGAAGUCGGAGUCGUUUGCUCAGAGUGUAGGGAUGGCGAUGACGCCUCUAGGGGAGGAGUAAUGACGAUGACGCCUACGUGUUGUCUCGACGAGACCCUCUUUAGAGUGGUGUGUGUGGGGUAUCUUAUGUGUGCCGCUCAGCUGUUGUGAGGGUUUUCGCUCGGUUCUCCAUAAUUAACCGUGCAAUCUGGUUUUCGCUCGGUUUUCCCUAAUUAACCGAGCAACUCUAUUCUGCUUAUUUAAUCGAUGAGGCAAAACUUUUGCCUCCGUUUCAAAAAAAGCACGCGUCCUUGAGCCCUUGGCCAGUGAUGCUGCUCAGCGUGGUUGCCACGGUGCUCACGUCCAUGUGCGGAUGUGCCUGCACAAUCUAUCCUCGCAAACCAGCUUGAGCCUCUCCACACUACUGGAAUUCUGUCCUACGCCGAGUGCCACGGACACUCGGCAAAGGGCCGAAAACCGCCGGCAAAGCCUUUGCCGAGUGUCACCCUUGGCAAAAGCCACCCAACGUACACCUCUUCGGCAAACAGGAGUUUGCCGAGAGCCAGAACACGGACACUCGGCAAAGACUUUGCCGAGAGCCAAACAGUACCACUCAGUGAAAUAAAGUAGCUAACGGAUAGCAGACGGUGACGGCGGUUCCUAACACAUGGGACCAGGGGCCAUCUUUGCCGAGUGCACCUCUCGGCAAAGCCAGCCAGUAGGUGGCCGACACCAUGUAGCUCCUGACACGUGGGACCAGGCGAACAGGCUGAGGGCCAUCUAUGCCGAGUGCCCCUCUCGGCAAAGCCAGCCAGUAGGUGGCCGACACGUGUCAGCUCCUGACACAUGGGACCAGGCGAACAGGCCGAGGGCCAUCUUUGCCGAGUGCCCCUCUCAUCAAAGCCAGCCAGUAGGUGGCCGACACGUGUCAACUCCUGACACGUGGGACCAGGCAAACAGGCCGAGGGCCAUCUUUGCCGAGUGCCCCUCUCGGCAAAGCCAGCCUGUAGGUGGCCGACACGUGUCGGCUCCUGACACGUGGGACCAGGCAAACAGGACGAGGGCCAUCUUUGCCGAGUGCCCCUCUCGGCAAAGAGUGCCACCUUUGCCGAGGGUGGCUCUCGGCAAACUCUAUAUUUGCCGAGCGCCACUCUCGGCAAACUCAGCCAAUAGGGGAAUGCCACGUCACUUCUCCUAAAAGCCGUGAAAAUAUUUUGCCGAGAGCCACCGUCGGCAAUUAUUUUUCCUUUACAGAGAGCACUCUUGGUAAAGUUGCCAGGAGGGCUACAUGUUAUUACCCUUUACCGAGAGACCUCUUGGUAAAGUUGCCAGGAGGGCUACAGGUUAUUAUCCUUUUUCCGAGAGUUCUCUCGGUAAAGGGUGCGUUCUGGUCCAGUUUCAGAGUUAUUGCCGAGAGCAGCCCUCGGCAAUGGUGUGCCCAGGAGCCUUUUUCCCUGUUUCUAUUUCUUUCCUGCAGCGAAACAUAUACAGCAGCAGCAUAUAGUUCAUCACACAUACAACAUGUCACAUAUAGGCAUCAUUGAACAAAAGAAGCAAUGAUUGAUUCUGAAAAACAUUCCACAUAAAAGCAAUAGUGCAUCAAAGCAAUAGACCACAAGUUUACAAGUCUCAAGAUGCAAGAGUUCUCAACAUACAAGGAACAGUUUCAAACAUAACAUGAAGUUCAUGCAAUUUUGGAGAUCGGAGUGAUAACAUCGACAUUAGAAGGCAUCAUUCCGUUUGCUGCCCCAACUCCAUCAACCGGAGUGAUAAAAUCAACAUUAGAAGGCAUCAUUCUCUUUGUUGCCCCAACUCCACAAACUUGAGGUGGAACUACCGGAACAUUGUUCGACCCUUGUGAUUGGUUGAGCUGUGAUGGAUUGACCCAAUAGUGAGAUGAAUGCAUAUGGUAAUGCCGAAAAUGGUGAUAGAAAUAGUUUGAACAAAACUCGCAAUGUUCCACUCUGGCGUCGGUGGCAUCUCUGGCACUGGUUGGCCUUGCAUGGAAUAAAGAUUGGCCACCAUAUAUUGUAAAGAAUUCACUAGAUCAUCUUGUGCCUUCAGCUUGGCCCGGUUUUCAUCUCGUUCUUUCUCGGUGUCCAUCAGUCGAGUCUACAAUAUGGCAAUGCAAAUGUCAUUCAUGUUGAAAUGCAAAUAUCCUCAAUAAUGAAGAAGGAUCAAUGAAGAAGGACCAUGAAGGAUCAAUGAAGAAGCACUGACCUGAAUAUCCUCAAUAAUGCUCACGGACUGUGGUACGUGACGCUCUACGGUAGGAGUAGAGCCAGUACUCAUAGCACGGAGCGUGUUGACUCUCGGAAGGGAGGAGGUUAUGACAAAAUCAAGGUGAACCGUCAUCCGGCCAUUUGGUCUACCGCCUGCCGCGGCAAUGGCCAUAAGUGGGUCAAACGGUAGCACGUGAGGAUCAGCGUCAGGCCCGUACGUCUCCUUCAAUUUUUUGGUGUAGUUCUCUCCAUCUGACUGGGCUUUAGAGCUGAUCCAGUCCCUCUACGGGUGGAGAGGGUCCUUGUCCUUGUCGUCUUUGGUACAUUUGAUGGUCCAUGCCUCGAAGUAAGUGAUAUCCUUGCCAGUGUCUUCUUUCUGCAAAAGAAAGUGAUCCAAACAAUCAAGGGAAUGCUCACAAAUGAAAGAGAACAUGAUGAAAAGAAAAGGAUGUGGUUGCCUACAUGUUUUGAGACAACACCUGGGAUGGUGAGGUUGCCUUGACGGUGUCCUCGACCCCCCAUCAACUUACGCCGUUCAGAUAUUACUUUGUGUUCAUCCUGCCACCCUGGAUCUGUCCACCGUUCGACGAUCUUCUCCCAGCACGGACGUUUGUCAGCGCACCACCGAGGAAUCACCUGUAGAUUAAACAAAUACAUCUUAGUAAGGAUUCUAAUUUUGCUGUAGUGUAGGAAAUAGCAAGCAUCCAUCGUCACUUGCCUUGAAGUAAUUGUCCCGUGAAAGGUGUGUCCCUUGAGCCUCCUGUUUGGAAAUCCUAUGGUUGAGAUAGUCCGCGUGAUACUUGACCACUAACCGGACGCGCUCCUCAUAGUGCAUGCCGUGGACUAGUUUCUUGGCAAUAUUCUCAACCACCACAUUUGCACGAUCCUUCUGACCCUCAACGCAUGUAUAGAAAUCCUACAAACAUGCAUACAUGUGAGAAGGGUUAAAUCAUGACUAUGGAAAAUUUAAACCUUUUGGUAUUGACAUUUAGGUGUUUGAAAGGACUUACCCAGAAAUCGUUGACCACUCGCAUGGCUCUGUUAUCAAAAACCCUCUGACACAUAUCCAGGAAAUCCGGUGCAAGUUUUUAGUGAUCCCAUGACCAAGCUGGCUCAAUGAUACCGUUCGGCAAAGUGACCAGUCCAGGAUAAUUUAACCUUCAAAGACCCCCAAUGAUGCCACUCGGCGACCGUGGCAGACGCCUCUCACCACCUUUUACUAAGCUUCUGCAUUUCGAGUAGUGAAGUCAUAUUAUAUGUGAGGAAAUGACAAAAGGUACAAUUUAUAUGGGAUGAGUCGAGAUAACCACUUACUUCUCUCCCAUUGGUUUAAUCAACACGUCUCUAUGCACAUAUGGACGUCUUGGAAGCUUUGAAGGACCACGCAGCCACACUUUUCCUCUGGAAGUAGUGCUAAUAGUCGAACCGCUCGGCAGCGAACCACUCACCUCGUGGUGCUCUGUCACCCGUGAGGGUCCAUCCCCACCCUCAGAAACCUGACAAACAAACAACCUCCUCUCGGCGGCGGCGUCCUCCACCACCACCUCCUCCUCAUCCUCCACCACCUCCUCCGCAAAAUCCUCCUCCUCCUCCUCACACGCCUCAUCCCCAUCCUCUGUUUCCUCCUCCUGAGCACGGUGAAGCACUGCAUCAGAGGGUCGAGGAGAAGAAAGAGGUGCUCUAAUCCGGGCUGCACGUACUCCUCGUCCACCUCCUCCUCCUGCCUCACCUACUCCCCCUCCUCGUCCGCCUCCUCGUCCGCCUCCUCCUCCUGCCUCACCUACUCCCCCUCCUCAUCCACCUCCUCGUCCGNNNNNNNNNNNNNNNNNNNNNNNNNNNNNNNNNNNNNNNNNNNNNNNNNNNNNNNNNNNNNNNNNNNNNNNNNNNNNNNNNNNNNNNNNNNNNNNNNNNNNNNNNNNNNNNNNNNNNNNNNNNNNNNNNNNNNNNNNNNNNNNNNNNNNNNNNNNNNNNNNNNNNNNNNNNNNNNNNNNNNNNNNNNNNNNNNNNNNNNNNNNNNNNNNNNNNNNNNNNNNNNNNNNNNNNNNNNNNNNNNNNNNNNNNNNNNNNNNNNNNNNNNNNUGCCUCACCUACUCCCCCUCCUCGUCCGCCUCCUACUCCUCCCCCACGUGGUACUCGACCUUGUUUCACACGUUUUGCCAGACGGGUGUCUAGACCCGCGAAUCCUUUGGCCUUCUUGGCGGUUGUGGCAACCGAUGAAGGAGCGGUCACCACUUUCACCGGGCGAGUAGGUUGAUGAUUGUACAGAUCAUUCACUUUUUUCAAACUUUCCUUUGGAAUCUUCUUGCUACCUGUCAUGUUCAAUCACCUGAUACGAAGAAGAACAAACCAGUUAGUACAGAUGAUACAACUUGAUGUAAAUACAAUAAAUAUAUCACAUAUGAAGAAUAAAUGGAAUUGUCACAAUAAUACAUAUAGUUGUUACACACACAAAUACAUGGAGUUGUUGCACACACGAAUACAUAGAGUUGUUACACACACGAAUACAUAGAGUUGUUACACACACGAAUACAUAGACUUGUGACACACAUACAUAGAGUUCUCACACGAUUACAUGGAGUUGUUAGAAAUAAGGGUCAAUAUUAGGUGCAUCAUUUGGAUCAGGGCUUUCAUCAUCGCUAUCACGCCCGUUCAUACAUUCAUCCUCGAAGUCUUCAGGGGGGCCCUCACCCUCAUCUAGCCCCAUGUGCCAUCACAUAAGUAAUGCCAAAUCUUGAGGGUCAGAAACAUCCUCGUAUUCGUCCUCUACAUUAUCUACUUCCAUGUCAUCCAUGGCCUCAUGUUCCAUAGCAUCAUGUUUGUGAUGCACGCCAUCAUCUUCCUUUGCAUCAUCUUCAUCUUCAUCAGUGUCUGCUUCUUGAAAGAACUCUCCCUUGUAUGUGUUAGGGUUUAUAUGGUAAUCGUCCUUGUUUGGGGUAGGUACCUUGAUAUGCGGGGAUACCUUGUACACGACAUCCCACUUCAAGAGAUCGAUAUAUCCCGUAGAUGUGCACGCGUAUGGGAGAAAAAACACUUGUGUAGCUUGUUGAGCCAUAAUAUAGACAUCAUUUCCUACAUAUUUCGAAGCUCGUUCAACUUCGGCAAAGCCAAUACUAGGGGUUCGUCUCACUUUCUCAGGAUGGAGCCAGCUGCAUCUGAAUACGAUGGGCUUCACUCCUUGUAAACCACAAUACUUCAACUCAUAAAUUUCUUCGAUGGUUCCAUAGUAGUGACGUCCAUCUGUCCCUAGACAAUAGACCACACUAUUUAUUGACCUUCGGUUGGGCCUCUCACGCGUGUGUUUAUCAGUGUGGAAGCGAUACCCAUUCAUGUCGUAAGCCUUAAAUAACUUGGCCUCGUAUUCAAAACCUUUGGCUACUUCUCUCGCUUUGGCGUCCAUAUCAACCUCCUGAUAUGCCUACAAGAUUAAUAGGAAAUUGUCUGGUUCAUUAGUGGAAGCAUUACAGGCAAGUAAGAUCAACUUGAAGUAACAUAAAGUUAGAAAAGUUACUUUUCUUGAGAACCAAGAAAUGAAACCGCCAACAACAUUGGUAUCUUCAAGAAGGUUUGCUGAUUCUUCGUCGCUAGGAGGCCAUGGUAGCUUCCAGAAUUCGUUCUGCAAUUCCCUAGAAAUAUGAAGAAUUCGAGUUAGAACUCAAGACUAGUGAUAGUUGUCAAUAAAGGUGAUCUACACUUACUCUAUGUACGGUUGCACUUCUUCCAUGUUGGUCAAGACAUAGAUCAUAAUAGUCGACCACUCAGUAGGUGAAAAGUUCUUGGGCUUCGGUCCACUUGCUUUGCCACCUUGGCCUUCGAAGAGGCUAAGGUCGGAAACAUUACUGGUGGGUUCUUCAUUGUAACGAGGAGCUGGAUUUAACCUAGUCUGAAUACUGUCAUGAUAGUACUUUGUCGUGGUCAUGGCCACCUCCUCGUUCAGGUAUGCCUCGGCUAUGGAGGCUUCAAUGCAGGCUUUAUUCUUACAUUUCCCAUGAAGAUGCUUGAACUCCCGUUCAGGUGCAUACUGCCAUCAGAACUGCACAGGUCCUCCCAUUCUAGCCUCAUACGUGAGAUGUAAGAUCAUAUGUUGCGUCGGAUUAAAGAAACCUGGUGGAAAUAUCAUCUCUAACUUGCAUAGCAACUCAGGUGCUUGUUCCUCCAACUUUGCAACCACUUCAUAAUCUAGUUCUUUGGCACAAAGCUGACAGAAGAAGUAGCUCAAUUCCGCCAGCACUCGCCAAAUAUCCUCUCUGACAUACCCUCGAGUCAUCACAGGCAUUAUCCGCUCAAGCCAUACAUGGUAGUCAUGACUCUUGAGGCCUCCUAUUCACUUUGUAGCCAUAUUCACUCCCCUCAUGAUAUUAGCUGCAUAUCCAUCAGGUAAGUACAAGUUGUUCACAAUCCAUUGGAGAAUUUCCUUCCUUUGGGGCAUUGAAGGGGUGAAAGGGGUGGGUGGCUUCUUCCAAGAAUUACCUUUUGCACGAGGCACCAAAUUUAAUUUUGGCCUGUUGCAUAGUUUGGCUUGAUCGAUCCUAGCCUGAAUGUUAUCAUUUGACUUCUCGGUGUCGAGGAGCGUCCUGAGUAAGGCCUCCGCAAUAUUCUUUUCAGUGUGCAUUACAUCAAUGUUGUGUGGAAGUAGAAGAUCUUUAAAGUAAGGGAGCCUCCAUAAGCUUGGAAUGUGAGUCCACUGGUGUGUCUCUCCAUACCCCACAAAACCUUUCCCAUCGAGCUUUUCCCCAAGAGCAUCUAACUCAUCCUUAAGCUGGGCACCGGUCAUAAUAGGUGGUGGCGGGUCAUCAACAAUAACACCUUUUUGGAAGUGCAUAGCGUCUUGCCUGUAUGGGUGAUCAAGACGAAGGAACUGCCGAUGUUGGUCAAAGCAUACAUACUUGCCACCCUUAGCCAGCCAAAUGAAAGUCACACGUUGUCGACACACUGGGCAAGGCCACUUCCCCUUUACACACCAACCACAAAAUAUUGCACGUGCCGGUAGGUCAUGUAGCGAUGUGUGGUACUAGAUAUGCAUAUUGAAGUGCUUCUUUGAAACGGCAUCGUAUGUCCGGACCCCGUUGUUCCAAGCAACAAGUAAGUCGUCCACCAAUGGCUCCUUAUACACACUCAUAUGCUUCCCGGGAUAGUUAGGACCUGGAAUUAUCAACGUCAGGAACAUGUGAUGUCGUUGCAUGCAAACGCCAGGGGGCAGAUUCAGGGGGAUAACAUAUACUGGCUAACAACUGUAUAUGGCAGCCAUCAAACCAUAUGGAUUGAACCCGUCGGUUGUUAUCCCAACAACUACACUCUUCCAGUCAUCUAUUUUAUUAUGAAUUUCAACAAAUUUCUUCCAUGCUUCACCAUCCCGUGGAUGUUGCAUCUUUUUUGUAUUGUACAUCUUCCCUUCGGCGGUCCAUCUCAUAUACUGGGCAGUUUCCUCGGUCAUAUAAAGCCUCUGGACCUUUCUGUGAAUGAAAGAUACCGAAGGAUAUUGACGGCAAUUGUGAGCUGCCUCUUGCUACCAUCAUCAUCUAUUACCGCAAUAUACCUAGAGGAUUUGCACUUGACACAAUAAUUUGUAUCUUUAUGUUCAUUUCUAAAUAGCAUGCAUCCGUUUGGAAAAGCAUGUAUCUGCUCAUACGGCAUCUUAAGUGAACUGAGGAUUUUGUUCAACUCGUACAUGUUCUUUGGCAAUAUAUGUUCUUUAGGCAAUAGGCCAGCAAUAACUGACAAUAAAUCAAUGAAGCAAAUUAUGCUCAUGUUAUGGUUUGCCUUCAGGGCCAUUAAGCGUGCAAUGCCAUCUAGUUGAGUAACCUCUGUAUGGGCGUGAAGGGGUUUUUGUGCCGCAAACAAAGCUGCAUGAUACUCUUCAGGGCUUUCCGGCGGCUCCUCGGAGUUCGGGUCCUCUCGCGGAUCCGCACGGCGGAUGUCAUCUAAUAGGUUUUCAAUCUGAGUAUCAUAUUCGUCAGCGCGUUGUCGCACCACCUCCGCCCUGGACUGUUCUGUCUCACCGUGAAAGAUCCACCGGUAAUAGCUUGGCGUAAACCCAUAUUUGCCUAAGUGUUUACUCAUAGUAAUCUUAUCUCUUUCAUUCUGGUUAUCACACUCCGUGCAUGGGCACCAAAUUCCACGAACUGGCGUUUCUCCAACAAAUACUAAUUCCAGGAAAUCAUUGGUCUUCGACCUCCACUCAGGGGUCAUACCCUCCAUGCUGGGAUGUCCGGUGUACAUCCACUCACGUUCUUCCAUCCUCUGAUAUAAAUUUAAACACACACAUAAUUUUUUUAUGUAACAAGUGGUUCCAUCAAGUUUUAUGACAUGCACUGAGCUAUGUAAUAGGUAAAGAUAGGUCCUAAUCCCACCCGAGAAUGUGUAGGAUGGGUCCGCUUUCAUGACGUACUCCGACCCGAGACAAAAUUUCGGCAGCACCUCCCCGCUGUUCUCCAAAUACACGUCUCAGCAAUAAGCCAAGAGGAUGCGUAUCUAGAGAACAACAAGGAGACACCGUCGAAAUUCUAUCUCGGAUGUUAGUAAUCAUGAAAACGACCCGCCUACACAUCCUCGGGUUGUCCAUGGAAAACGUGGACAAUUCGAAAGAGUCAAGGUUAUAAAUAUGCAAAAACAUGCAUAUUUAUAGAUACAACCCUUCCGAACGGGAGACACCUAGGUUACGCGACUAUUUAGGUGAUCUACAAAUAAUGAAAACCUACACAUGAACGGGAAGAGAUUACCCUUGAAGCGUGCAACGGAAUUCACUCUCUCUUGUCAAAAUAGAUGCAUGUCCUGCAUGAAAAAAUGAAGUUGUGUCAAUCAUAUGUCAAACAAACAAACAUCAAUAACACUCACUCACACACACCCCACACACAAACACACUCACAUAUCCAUACACACAUCACACACUCACUCACACAUGCACACACACAGUGGCCCGCGCCGGCUCUCGCGGUGCCAACCGCGCCUCCCGCNNNNNNNNNNNNNNNNNNNNNNNNNNNNNNNNNNNNNNNNNNNNNNNNNNNNNNNNNNNNNNNNNNNNNNNNNNNNNNNNNNNNNNNNNNNNNNNNNNNNNNNNNNNNNNNNNNNNNNNNNNNNNNNNNNNNNNNNNNNNNNNNNNNNNNNNNNNNNNNNNNNNNNNNNNNNNNNNNNNNNNNNNNNNNNNNNNNNNNNNNNNNNNNNNNNNNNNNNNNNNNNNNNNNNNNNNNNNNNNNNNNNNNNNNNNNNNNNNNNNNNNNNNNNNNNNNNNNNNNNNNNNNNNNNNNNNNNNNNNNNNNNNNNNNNNNNNNNNNNNNNNNNNNNNNNNNNNNNNNNNNNNNNNNNNNNNNNNNNNNNNNNNNNNNNNNNNNNNNNNNNNNNNNNNNNNNNNNNNNNNNNNNNNNNNNNNNNNNNNNNNNNNNNNNNNNNNNNNNNNNNNNNNNNNNNNNNCCCCAGCGCCGCAGUGGCCGUACUGGCCCGCGUCGGCCCCGGCCGCGUCAACCGCGCCGGCCGUGCCGGUCCAGCUAAUCAAGCAAAGAAGCAAUCAUUAUUUGCUCGUCUUCCCUUAGGGAGCCGGGAGACCUAACCCUAGUCGCCUCUUGCGUCGCCGCCGCCUCUCCCUCUCGCGCAUGACAGCGCCUUGCCACCGGCGACCGCGAACUUCGCCACGUCCAGCCCCCUCCUUCCCCUAAAACCUACGCCCUAGACCCGUUAGGGUCCGAACACCUACCACUAACACACACACAUACAAAGCACACACUCACACACACACAUACAAAGCACACACUCACACACAUUAUUCACUAUAUAUGCAUAUAUAUACACCUUUUGUUGUAAUGGAGAGGGGGGAAACCCCUUUUAUUUCAAAAAAAAUGAGAUUGAGUAUGGGGCUCACCAACGGGGCAGGGGGGCGGCGGGGGAGGUGGAUGCCGGACGAGGUAGAGCUCAGUGGAGGGGAUGUCGUGCCUGUGGUGCUCGCUGAAGCUUGGCCGAGACGGUGACGGUGGACGAGCNNNNNNNNNNNNNNNNNNNNNNNNNNNNNNNNNNNNNNNNNNNNNNNNNNNNNNNNNNNNNNNNNNNNNNNNNNNNNNNNNNNNNNNNNNNNNNNNNNNNNNNNNNNNNNNNNNNNNNNNNNNNNNNNNNNNNNNNNNNNNNNNNNNCACUAGGGGGCGGCGGCGGACAGAGGGGGCGGGGGCGAGAGAAACAGAGAGAGAAGAGAGGAGUGAGCGCGCGCGAGGGGGAAAUUUUUGCAUAAGUCCCCGCGGGAAACAUUUCCAAGAGCCAACAUUAAGCGACACUCGGUAAAAGUCUUAACCUAGAUCUCGGGGGCUUUUCUGAGAGCCGCACUGAGAGUAGUUACCGAGGGCCGUCCUGCAGAACACCGCAAUGACCUCAUUUUCCGAGAGCGACUCUCGGAAAUUCAUCCUUCUUGUGCAUUCCCCAUAAUAUGUAUUAUACUUUUUUUUGUUCUUUUCUUCCAUGCUUGGCAAACAACCUUAGCACAUCAUAAUUACCAUCUUGUGUUCUCCUUUUCAAAUGAAGGGCCUCGCCCGGUUCUAGAGACCGGCACCCUUCCGGUGGCCCCGGCGGUCUAGGGCGUUGAUCGGCACCGAGAGGGGGUAGGCCACGGGGAAUAACUGCUUCUUCGUGUUAGUGCAUGUCAUCGUGAGAUAACAUUCCAAGUCUAGGCCCGUUCUGUCACGAGAUCGCCCACCGAAGACUCUGUCUCGGGGACGAACACAUCAGGUCCUCGAUGUUCCCGCCCAUGUGUGUGGUUUGUGAGGCACGUGCCAUGUCAAGGACGUGCGUUGCUUAUUCAAAUAGCACACCACCCCUGCAUGCAUAUGCAUGGGCCACGCGCAUGUACGGGUGCCCUCCCCCCCUUGGGCGGUCUCCAUAUUGAGCACCCAUCCGGUGGCCCCAGCGGUCUAGGGCGUUAUUCGGCACCGAGAGGGUGUAGUCCACGGUGAAUAACUGCUAUUCAAUGUUAGUGCAUGUCAUCGCGAGAUGAUAGACCAAAUCUAGGCUCGUUCUAUCAGGGGAUCACCCAUCGAAGAUUCUGUCUCGGGAACGGACGCAGUCGGUCCUUGACGUUCCCGCCCGUGUGUGUGGUUUGUGAGGCAUGUGCCACGUCAAGGACGUGCGUUGCUUAUUCAAAUAGCACACCACCCCUGCAUGCAUAUACAUGGGCCACAGGCAUGUAGGGGGUGCCCUCCCCCCCCCUCAGGCGGUCUCCAUAUCGAGCACCCAUCCGGUGGCCCCGGCGGUCUAGGGCGUUAUUCGGCACUCAGAGGUGUAGUCCAUGGUGAAUAACUGCCUCUCCGUGUUACUGCAUGUCAUUGCGAGAUGACAGACCAAGUCUAGGCCAAAGCCACAGCAAGAUCCCAUCCGUGUAGACCCGACGCGUCCGUUUCGCCCCUUCAGAUGCCGGCCGUGAGGGGGUCCACACCCCGGAGAGGCGUGCCGCCUCUUCGGACAUGCCACCAAACCGUACGGCAUGUAUGAGGGCCCGGUGCAAUGCUCCGAUGGCAUUGCUACCCUCCCAGGGCCCCCGUCCCGCCUAACCCUGUAGCGUUUGACCACGGGAUCUAGCCCUUUGACUUUGCACGGACGGGCUUUGACCAGUGGAACUCUCCACCCGGUUGUGUUAGGUCAGCCCAUAGGAACACUUUGGAGCAACAUCCGGGCCUAAGCCAGCAAGACCCCAUCCGUGUAGACCCGACGCGUCCAUUUCCCCCCUCCAGGUGCCGCCGGCGACACCGUCCGUGAGGGGGGGCACACCCCGGAGACGCGGGCAGGGCGUUUGCAACCGCCACAACACUUCCAUACUUGUGAGAGGCCGCCUACGCAAGAUUUGGCGGCAUGUGCUAGCCCCCGGAGGCCGCCGGCCACAGUCGUAGACAUGCGAAGAGCAAUCCGCGGAGAGGGAAGUGUUCAGAUAGUUCUCUAAAGUUCUCUCUUGGUGCCGGUCUAGAAAGUUGACCGGCACCGAGAGAGGGGGUAGGCCAUGGUCAACAACUUAUUCUUCUCAUGUUUUUUUACUUUACACACUCUUUAAAGUUGAGUUUUGAAAAAGAUCAUCAAAAAUCAUGGAAUUUAUAAACUUUGGUCAUAAAAGCAUAUGAAAUAUGAGAUACAAAAAGGUAGUGCAAAAAAGACAAAAAUAGGGGGGGGGGAAUUAGAGCAGUCAUUACCGAGAGUCGAUUCUUGGCUCUCGGUAAUUUCCACCUUUUCCGAGAGCUGCUCUCGGUAAACCAUCCACAUAGAUCUCUUUCCUUCUUGGGCAUUCUCUAUAAUAUGUAUUAUACUUUUUUUGUUGUUUUCUUUCAUGCUUGUCAAACAACCUUAGCACAUCAUAAUUACCAUCUUGUGUUUUCUUCUUCGGAUGAGCCUCGUCCGGUUCUAGAGACCGGCACGCUCCGGUGGCCCCGGCGGUCUAGGGAGUUGUUCGGCACCUAGAGAGGGUAGGCCAUGGGGAAUAAUUGCUUCUUCAUCUUAGUGCAUGUCAUCAUGUGAUAGCAUUCCAAGUCUAGGCCCGUUCUAUCACAGGAUCGCCCACCGAAGACUCUGUGUCUGGGACGAACGCAGCCGAUACUCGACGUUCCCGCCCAUGUGUGUGCUUUGUGAGGCACGUGCCACGUCAAGGACGUGCGUUGCUUAUUCAAAUAGCACACCACCCCUGCAUGCAUAUGCAUGGGCCACGCGCAUGUACGGGUGCCCUCCCCCCCCUCGGGCAUCUCCAUAUUGAGCACCCAUACGGUGGCCCCGGCGGUCUAGGGCGUUAUUCGACACCGAGAGGGUGUAGUCCUUGGUGAAUAACUGCUACUCCGUGCUAGUGCAUGUCANNNNNNNNNNNNNNNNNNNNNNNNNNNNNNNNNNNNNNNNNNNNNNNNNNNNNNNNNNNNNNNNNNNNNNNNNNNNNNNNNNNNNNNNNNNNNNNNNNNNNNNNNNNNNNNNNNNNNNNNNNNNNNNNNNNNNNNNNNNNNNNNNNNNNNNNNNNNNNNNNNNNNNNNNNNNNNNNNNNNNNNNNNNNNNNNNNNNNNNNNNNNNNNNNNNNNNNNNNNNNNNNNNNNNNNNNNNNNNNNNNNNNNNNNNNNNNNNNNNNNNNNNNNNNNNNNNNNNNNNNACCCACCGAAUAUUCUGUCUCGGGAACGGACGCAGCCGGUCCUUAACGUCCCCGCCCGUGUGUGUGGUUGUGAGGCACGUGCCACGUCAAGGACGUGCGUUGCUUAUUCAAAUAGCACACCACCCCUGCAUGCAUAUACAUGGGCCACAGGCAUGUAGAGGUGCCCUCCCCCCUCGGGCGGUCUCCAUAUCGAGCACCCAUCCAGUGGCCCCGGCAGUCUAGGGCAUUAUUCGGCACCGAGAGGGUGUAGUCCAUGGUGAAUAACUGCUGCUCCGUGUUAGUGCAUGUCAUUGCGAGAUGACAGACCAAGUCUAGGCCAAAGCCACAGCAAGAUCCCAUCCGUGUAGACCCGACACGUCCGUUUCCCCCCUCCAAGUGUCGGCCGUCAGGGGGGCCACAUCCCGGAGAAGCGUGCCGCCUCUUCGGACAUGCCACCACACCGUACGGCAUGUAUGAGGGCCCGGCGCAAUGCUCCGGUUGCAUUGCUACCCUCCCAGGGCCCUCGUCCCGCCUAACCCUAUAGCGUUUGACCACGGGAUCUAGCCCUUUGACUUUGCAUGGACGGGCCUUGACCAGUGGAACUCUCCACCUGGUUGCGUUAUGUCAGCCCAUAGGAACACUUUGGAGCAACAUCCGGGCCUAAGCCACAGCAAGACCCCAUCCGUGUAGACCCGGCGCGUUCGUUUCCCCCCUCCAGGUGCCGGCGGUGGUGCCGUCCGUGAGGGGGGGCACACCCCAGAGACGCGGGCCGGACAUUUGCAACUGCCACAACACUUCCAGACUUGUGAGAGGCCGCCUACGCAAGAUUUGGCGGCAUGUGCUAGCCCCUGGAGGCCGCUGGCCACAGUUGUACACACGCGAAGAGCAAUCCGCGGAGAGCGAAGUGUUCAGAUACUUCUUUAAAGUUCUCUCUCGGUGCCGGUCUAGAAAGUUGACCGGUACCGAGAGAGGGGGUAGGCCACGGUCAACAACAUCUUCUUCUCAUGUUUUUUUACUUUACACACUCUUUAAAGUUCAGUUUUGAAAAAAUCAUCAAAAGUCAUGGAAUUUAUAAACUUUGGUCGUAAAAGCAUAUGAAAUAUGAGAUACAAAAAAGAUAGUGCAAAAAAAAUACAAAAAGUGGGGGGGGGGAUUAGAGCAGUCAUUACCGAGAGUCGAUUCUUGGCUCUCGGUAAUUUCCACCUUUUCCGAGAGCUGCUCUCGGUGAACCAUCCACCUAGAUCUCUUUCCUUCUUGUGCAUUCUCGAUAAUAUGUAUUAUACUUUUUUUGUUGUUUUCUUUCUUGAUUGGCAAACAACCUUAGCACAUCAUAAUUACCGUCUUGUGUUUUCUUCUUCGGAUGAGCCUCGUCCGGUUCUAGAGACCGGCACCCCUCCGGUAGCCCCGGCGGUCUAGGGCGUUGUUCGGCACCUAGAGAGGGUAGGCCACGGGGAAUAACUGCUUCUUCAUGUUAGUGCAUGUCAUCGCGAGAUAACAUUCCAAGUCUAGGCCCGUUCUGUCAGGGGAUCGCCCAACGAAGACUCUGUCUCGGGGACGAACGCAGCCGGUCCUCGAUGUUCCCGCCCAUGUGUGUGGUUUGUGAGGCACGUGCCACGUCAAGGACGUGCGUUUCUUAUUCAAAUAGCACACCACCCCUGCAUGCAUAUGCAUGGGCCAAGCACAUGUACGGCUGCACUCCCCCCUUGGGCGGUCUCCAUAUUGAGCACCCAUACGGUGGCCCCGGCAGUCUAGGGCGUUAUUCGACACCGAGAGGGUGUAGUCCUCGGUGAAUAACUGCUACUCCGUGUUAGUGCAUGUCAUCGCGAGAUGACAGACCAAGUCUAGGCUCGUUCUGUCACGGGAUCACCCACCGAAGAUUCUGUCUCGGGAACGGACGCAGCCGGUCCUUGACGUUCCCGCCCGUGUGUGUGGUUUAGGGGUGCCCUCCCUCCCUAUGGGCGGUCUCCAAUUCGAGCACCCAUCCGGUGGCCCUGGCGGUCUAGAGCGUUAUUCGGCACCGAGAGGGUGUAGUUCACGGUGAAUAAAUGCUUCUCCGUGUUAGUGCAUGUCAUUGCGGGAUGACAGAACAAGUCUAGGCCAAAGCCACAACAAGAUCCCAUCCGUGUAGACCCGACGCGUCCGUUUCCCCCCUCCAGGUGCCGGCCGUGAGGGGGGGCACAUCCCGGAGAGGCGUGCCGCCUCUUCGGACAUGCCACCAAACCGUAAGGCAUGUAUGAGGGCCCCGGUGCGAUGCUUCGGUGGCAUUGCUACCCUCCCAGGGCCCCCGUCCCGCCUAACCCUGUAGCAUUUGACCACGGGAUCUAGCCCUUUGACUUUGCACGAACGGGCUUUGACCAGUGGAACUCUCCACCCGGUUGUGUUAUGUCAGCCCAUAGGAACACUUUGGAGCAACAUCCGGGCCUAAGCCACAACAAGACCUCAUCCGUGUAGACCCGACGCGUUCGUUUCCCCCCUCCAGGUGCCGGCGGUGGCGCCGUCCGUGGGGGGGGGCACACCCCAGAGACGCAGGCCGGCCAUUUGCAACCGCCACAACACUUCCAGACUUGUGAGUGGCCGCCUAUGCCAGAUUUGGCGGCAUGUGCUAGCCCCUGGAGGCCGCUGGCCAUAGUUGUACACACGCGAAGAGCAAUCCGCGGAGAGCGAAGUGUUCAGAUACUUCUUUAAAGUUCUCUCUCGGUGCCGGUCUAGAAAGUUGACCGGUACGGAGAGAGGGGGUAGGCCACGGUCAUCAACUUUUUCUUCUCAUCUUUUUUACUUUACACACUCUUUAAAGUUGAGUUUUGAAAAAAAUCAUCAAAAGUCAUGGAAUUUAUAAACUUUGGUCGUAAAAGCAUAUGAAAUAUGAGAUACAAAAAAGAUAGUGCAAAAAAAUACAAAAAGAGGGGGGGAAUUAGAGCAGUCAUUACCGAGAGUCGAUUCUUGGCUCUCGGUAAUUUCAACCUUUUCCGAGAGCUGCUCUCGGUGAACCAUCCACCUAGAUCUCUUUCCUUCUUGUGCAUUCUCGAUAAUAUGUAUUAUACUUUUUUUGUUGUUUUCUUUCUUGAUUGGCAAACAACCUUAGCACAUCAUAAUUACCGUCUUGUGUUUUCUUCUUCGGAUGAGCCUCGUCCGGUUCUAGAGACCGGCACCCCUCCGGUAGCCCCGGCGGUCUAGGGCGUUGUUCGGCACCUAGAGAGGGUAGGCCACGGGGAAUAACUGCUUCUUCGUGUUAGUGCAUGUCAUCGCGAGAUAACAUUCCAAGUCUAGGCCCGUUCUGUCACGGGAUCGCCCAACGAAGACUGACUUGGGGACGAACGCAGCCGGUCCUCGAUGUUCCCACCCAUGUGUGUGGUUUGUGAGGCACGUGCCACGUCAAGGACGUGCGUUUCUUACUCAAAUAGCACACCACCCCUGCAUGCAUAUGCAUGGGCCAAGCGCAUGUACGGCUGCACUCCCCCCCUCGGGCGGUCUCCAUAUUGAGCACCCAUACGGUGGCCCCGGCGGUCUAGGGCAUUAUUCGACACCGAGAGGGUGUANNNNNNNNNNNNNNNNNNNNNNNNNNNNNNNNNNNNNNNNNNNNNNNNNNNNNNNNNNNNNNNNNNNNNNNNNNNNNNNNNNNNNNNNNNNNNNNNNNNNNNNNNNNNNNNNNNNNNNNNNNNNNNNNNNNNNNNNNNNNNNNNNNNNNNNNNNNNNNNNNNNNNNNNNNNNNNNNNNNNNNNNNNNNNNNNNNNNNNNNNNNNNNNNNNNNNNNNNNNNNNNNNNNNNNNNNNNNNNNNNNNNNNNNNNNNNNNNNNNNNNNNNNNNNNNNNNNNNNNNNNNNNNNNNNNNNNNNNNNNNNNNNNNNNNNNNNNNNGUGAAUAACUGCUACUCCGUGUUAGUGCAUGUCAUCGCGAGAUGACAGACCAAGUCUAGGCUCGUUCUGUCACGGGAUCACCCACCGAAGAUUCUGUCUCGGGAACGGACGCAGCCGGUCCUUGACGUUCCCGCCCGUGUGUGUAGUUUGUGAGGCACGUGCCACGUCAAGGAUGUGCGUUGCUUAUUAAAAUAGCACACCACCCCUGCAUGCAUAUACAUGGGCCACAGGCAUUUAGGGGUGCCCUCCCUCCCCUCGGGCGGUCUCCAUAUCGAGCACCCAUCCGGUGGCCCUGGCGGUCUAGAGCGUUAUUCGGCACCGAGAGGGUGUAGUUCACGGUGAAUAAAUGCUUCUCCGUGUUAGUGCAUGUCAUUGCGGGAUGACAGAACAAGUCUAGGCCAAAGCCACAGCAAGAUCCCAUCCGUGUAGACCCGACGCGUCCGUUUCCCCCCUCCAAGUGCCGGCCGCGAGGGGGGCCACACCCCGGAGAGGCGUCCCGCCUCUUAGGACAUGCCACCAAACCGUAAGGCAUGUACGAGGGCCCCGGUGCGAUGCUCCGGUGGCAUUGCUACCCUCCCAGGGCCCCCGGCCCGCCUAACCCUGUAGCGUUUGACCACGGGAUCUAGCCCUUUGACUUUGCACGGACGGGCUUUGACCAAUGGAACUCUCCACUCGGUUGUGUUAGGUCAGCCCAUAGGAGCACUUUGGAGCAACAUCCGGGCCUAAGCCACAGCAAGACCCCAUCCGUGUAGACCCGACGUGCCCGUUUCCCCCCUCCAGGUGCCGGCGGCGGCGUCGUCCGUGCGGGGGGGCACACCCUGAGACGCGGGCCGGGCGAUUGCAACCGCCAAAACACUUCCAGACUUGUGAGAGGCCGCCUACGCAAGAUUUGGCGGCUUGUGCUAGCCCCCGGAGGCCGCCGGCCAAACUCGUUGAUACGCGAAGAGCAAUCCCCGGAGAGGGAAGUGUUUAGAUACUUCUUUAAAGUUCUCUCUCGGUGCCGGUCUAGAAAGUUGACCGGCACCGAGAGAGGGGGUAGGGCACGGUCAACAAGCUCCUCUUCUCAUGUUUUCUUACUUUACACACUCUUUAAAGUUGAGUUUUGAAAAAAAUCAUCAAAAGUCAUGGAAUUUAUAAACUUUGGUCAUAAAAGCAUAUGAAAUAUGAGAUACAAAAAAGAUAGUGCAAAAAAAGACAAAAGGGGGGGCAAUUAGAGCAGUCAUUACCGAGAGUCGAUUUUUGGCUCUCGGUAAUUUCCACCUUUUUCGAGAGUGGCUCUCGGUAAAUCAUCCAGCUAGAUCUCUUUCCUUCUUAUGCAUUCUCGAUAAUAUGUAUUAUACUUUUUUUAGUUGUUUUCUUUCAUGCUUGGCAAACAACCUUAGCACAUCAUAAUUACCGUCUUGUGUUUUCUUUUUCGGAUGACCCUCGUCCCGUUCUAGAGACCGGCACCCAUCUGGCGGCCCCGGCGGUCUAGGCCGUUGUUCGGUACCAAGAGGGUGUAGUCCACGGUGAAUAACUGAUACUCCGUGUUAAUGCAUGUCAUCGCUAGAUGACAGACCAAGUCUAGGCUCGUUCUUUCAUGGGAUCACCCACCGAAGAUUCUGUCUUGGGAACGGACGCAGCCGGUCCUUGAGGUUCCCGCCCAUGUGUGUGGUUUGUGAGGCACGUGCCACGUCAAGGACGUGCGUUGCUUAUAUCAAUAGCACACCACCCCUGCAUGCAUAUACAUGGUCCACAGGCAUGUAGGGGUGCCCUCCCUCCCCUCGAGCGGUCUCCAUAUCGAGCACCCAUCCGGUGGCCCUGGCGGUCUAGAGCGUUAUUCGGCACUGAGAGGGUGUAGUUCACGGUGAAUAAAUGCUUCUCCGUGUUAGUGCAUGUCAUUGCGGGAUGACAGAACAAGUCUAGGCCAAAGCCACAGCAAGAUCCCAUCCGUGUAGACCCGACGCGUCCGUUUCCCCCCUCCAAGUGCCGGCCGUGAGGGGGGCCACAACACGGAGAGGCGUGCCGCCUCUUCGGACAUGCCACCACACCGUACGGCAUGUAUGAGGGCCCGGUGCGAUGCUCCAGUGGCAUUGCUACCCUCCCAGGGGCCCCGUCCCGCCUAACCCUGUAGCGUUUGACCACGGGAUCUAGCGCUUUGACGUUGCACGGACAGGCUUUGAGCAGUGGAACUCGCCACCCGGUUGUGUUAGGUCAGCCCAUAGGAACACUUUGGAGCAACAUCCGGGCCUAAGCCACAGCAAGACCCCAUCCGUGUAGACACGACAUGUCGGUUUCCCCNNNNNNNNNNNNNNNNNNNNNNNNNNNNNNNNNNNNNNNNNNNNNNNNNNNNNNNNNNNNNNNNNNNNNNNNNNNNNNNNNNNNNNNNNNNNNNNNNNNNNNNNNNNNNNNNNNNNNNNNNNNNNNNNNNNNNNNNNNNNNNNNNNNNNNNNNNNNNNNNNNNNNNNNNNNNNNNNNNNNNNNNNNNNNNNNNNNNNNNNNNNNNNNNNNNNNNNNNNNNNNNNNNNNNNNNNNNNNNNNNNNNNNNNNNNNNNNNNNNNNNNNGGAGACGCGGGCCGGGCGUUUGCAACCGCCACAACACUUCCAGACUUGUGAGAGGCCGCCUACGCAAGAUUUGGCGGCAUGUGCUAGCCCCCGGAGGCCGUCGGCCACAGUCGUAGACACGCGAAGAGUAAUCCGCGGAGAGGGAAGUGUUCAGAUACUUCUUUAAAGUUCUCUCUCGGUGCCGGUCUAGAAAUUUGAUCGGCACCGAGAGAGGGGGUAGGCCAUGGUCAACAACUUCUUCUUCUCAUGUUUUUUUACUUUACACACUCUUUAAAGUUGAGUUUUGAAGAAAAUCAUCAAAAGUCAUGGAAUUUAUAAACUUUGGUCGUAAAAGCAUAUGAAAUAUGAGAUACAAAAAAGAUAGUGCAAAAAAAAGACAAAAAGAGGGGGGGAAUUAGAGCAGUCAUUACCGAGAGUCGAUUCUCGGCUCUCGGUAAUUUCCACCUUUUCCGAGAGCUGCUCUCGGUAAACCAUCCACCUAGAUCUCUUUCCUUCUUGUGCAUUCUUGAUAAUAUGUAUUAUACUUUUUUUGUUGUUUUCUUUCAUGAUUGGCAAACAACCUUAGCACAUCAUAAUUACCAUCUUGUGUUUUCUUCUUCAGAUGAGCCUCGUCCGGUUCUAGAGACCGGCACCUCUCCGGUGGCCCUGGCGGUCUAGGGCAUUGUUCGGCACCUAGAGAGGGUAGGCCACGGGGAAUAACUGCUUCUUCGUGUUAGUGCAUGUCAUCGCGAGAUAACAUUCCAAGUCUAGGCCCGUUCUGUCACGGGAUUGCCCAACGAAGACUCUGUCUCGGGGACGAACGCAGCCGGUCCUCGAUGUUCCUGCCCAUGUGUGUGGUUAGUGAGACACGUGCCACGUCAAGGACGUGCGUUGCUUAUUCAAAUAGCAGACCACCCCUGCAUGCAUAUGCAUGGGCCACGCGCAUGUACGGGUGCCCUCCCCCCCCCUCGGGCGUCUCCAUAUUGAGCACCCAUACGGUGGCCCCGGCGGUCUAGGGCGUUAUUCGACACCGAGAGGGUGUAGUCCUUGGUGAAUAACUGCUACUCCGUGUUAGUGCAUGUCAUCGCGAGAUGACAUACCAAAUCUAGGCUCGUUCUGUCACGGGAUCACCCACCGAAGAUUCUGUCUCGGGAACGGACGCAGCCGGUCCUUAACGUCCCCGCCCGUGUGUGUGGUUUGUGAGGCACGUGCCACGUCAAGGACGUGCGUUGCUUAUUCAAAUAGCACACCACCCCUGCAUGCAUAUACAUGGGCCACAGGCAUGUAGAGGUGCCCUCCCCCCCUCGGGCGGUCUCCAUAUCGAGCACCCAUCCAGUGGCCCCGGCGGUCUAGGGCAUUAUUCGGCACCGAGAGGGUGUAGUCCAUGGUGAAUAACUGCUUCUCCGUGUUAUUGCAUGUCAUUGCGAGAUGACAGACCAAGUCUAGCCCAAAGCCACAGCAAGAUCCCAUCCGUGUAGACCCGACGCGUCCGUUUCCCCCCUCCAGGUGCCGGCCGUCAGGGGGGCCACACCCCGGAGAAGCGUGCCGCCUCUUCGACAUGCCACCACACUGUACGGCAUGUAUGAGGGCCCGGUGCGAUGCUCCGGUUGCAUUGCUACCCUCCCAGGGCCCCCGUCCCGCCUAACCCUGUAGCGUUUGACCACGGGAUCUAGCCCUUUGACUUUGCAUGGAUGGGCUUUGACCAGUGGAACUCUCCACCCGGUUGUGUUAUGUCAGCCCAUAGGAACACUUUGGAGCAACAUCCGGGCCUAAGCCACAGCAAGACCCCAUCCGUGUAGACCCGAUGCGUUCGUUCCCCCCUCCAGGUGCUGGCGGUGGCGCCGUCCGUGAGGGGGGCACACCCCAGAGACGCGGGCCGGCCAUUUGCAACCGCCACAACACUUCCAGACUUGUGAGAGGCCGCCUACGCAAGAUUUGGCGGCAUGUGCUAGCCCCUGGAGGCCGCUGGCCACAGUUGUACACACGCGAAGAGCAAUCCGCAGAGAGCGAAGUGUUCAGAUACUUCUUUAAAGUUCUCUCUCGGUGCCGGUCUAGAAAGUUGACCGGUACCGAGAGAGGGGGUAGUCCACGGUCAACAACUUCUUCUCAUGUUUUUUUACUUUACACACUCUUUAAAGUUGAGUUUUGAAAAAAAUCAUCAAAAGUCAUGGAAUUUAUAAACUUUGGUCGUAAAAGCAUAUGAAAUAUGAGAUACAAAAAAGAUAGUGCAAAAAAAGACAAAAGGAGGGGGGGGGGGGAUUAGAGCAGUCAUUACCGAGAGUCGAUUCUUGGCUCUCGGUAAUUUCCACCUUUUCCGAGAGCUGCUCUCGGUGAACCAUCCACCUAGAUCUCUUUCCUUCUUGUGCAUUCUCGAUAAUAUGUAUUAUACUUUUUUGUUGUUUUCUUUCAUGAUUGGCAAAAAACCUUAGCACAUCAUAAUUACCGUCUUGUGUUUUCUUCUUCGGAUGAGCCUCGUCCGGUUCUAGAGAUCGGCACCCCUCCGGUAGCCCCGGCGGUCUAGGGCGUUGUUCGGCACCUAGAGAGGGUAGGCCACGGGGAAUAACUGCUUCUUCAUGUUAGUGCAUGUCAUCGUGAGAUAACAUUCCAAGUCUAGGCCCGUUCUGUCACGGGAUCGCCCAACGAAGACUCUGUCUCGGGGACGAACGCAGCCGGUCCUCGAUGUUCCCGCCCAUGUGUGUGGUUUGUGAGGCACGUGCCACGUCAAGGACGUGCGUUUCUUAUUCAAAUAACACACCACCCCUGCAUGCAUAUGCAUGGGCCACGCGCAUGUACGCCUGCCCUCCCCCCUUGGGCGGUCUCCAUAUUGAGCACCCAUACGGUGGCCCCGGCGGUCUAGGGCGUUAUUCGACACCAAGAGGGUGUAGUCCUUGGUGAAUAACUGCUACUCCGUGUUAGUGCAUGUUAUCGCGAGAUGACAGACCAAGUCAAGGCUCGUUCUGUCACGGGAUCACCCACCGAAGAUUCUGUCUCGGGAACGGACGCAGCCGGUCCUUGACGUUCCCGCCCGUGUGUGUGGUUAGUGAGGCACGUGCCACGUCAAGGAUGUGCGUUGCUUAUUCAAAUAGCACACCACCCCUGCAUGCAUAUACAUGGGCCACAUGCAUUUAGGGGUGCCCUCCCUCCCCUCGGGCGGUCUCCAUAUCGAGCACCCAUCCGGUGGCCCCGGCGGUCUAGAGCGUUAUUCGGCAUCGAGAGGGUGUAGUCCAUGGUGACUAACUGCUUCUCCGUGUUAGUGCAUGUUAUUGCGAGAUGACAGACCAAGUCUAGGCCAAAGCCACAGCAAGAUCCCAUCCGUGUAGACCCGACGCGUCCGUUUCCCCCCUCCAGGUGCCGGCCGUGAGGGGGGCCACACCCCGGAGAGGCGUGCCGCCUCUUCGGACAUGCCACCAAACCGUAAGGCAUGUAUGAGGGCCCCGGUGCGAUGCUCCGGUGGCAUUGCUACCCUCCCAGGGCCCCCGUCCCGCCUAACCCUGUAGCGUUUGACCACGGGAUCUAGCCCUUUGACUUUGCACGGACGGGCUUUGACCAGUGGAACUCUCCACCCGGUUGUGUUAUGUCAGCCCAUAGGAACACUUUGGAGCAACAUCUGGGCCUAAGCCACAGCAAGACCCCAUCCGUGUCGACCCGACGCGUUCGUUUCCCCCCUCCAGGUGCCGGCGGUGGCGCCGUCCGUGAGGGGGGGCACACCCUAGAGACGCGGGCCGGCCAUUUGCAACCGCCACAACACUUACAGACUUGUGAGUGGCCGCCUACGCAAGAUUUGGCGGCAUGUGCUAGCCCCUGGAGGCCGCUGGCCACAGUUGUACACACGCGAAGAGCAAUCCGCGGAGAGCGAAGUGUUCAGGUACUUCUUUAAAGUUCUCUCUCGGUGCUGGUCUAGAAAGUUGACCGGUACCGAGAGAGGGGGUAGGCCACGGUCAACAACUUCUUCUUCUCAUGUUUUUUACUUUACACACUCUUUAAAGUUGAGUUUUGAAAAAAAUCAUCAAAAGUCAUGGAAUUUAUAAACUUUGGUCGUAAAAGCAUAUGAAAUAUGAGAUACAAAAAAGAUAGUGCAAAAAAAGACAAAAAGAGGGGGGGGGGAAUUAGAGCAGUCAUUACCGAGAGUCGAUUCUUGGCUCUCGGUAAUUUCCACCUUUUCCGAGAGCUGCUCUCGGUGAACCAUCCACCUAGAUCUCUUUCCUUCUUGUGCAUUCUCGAUAAUAUGUAUUAUACUUUUUUUUGUUUUCUUUCAUGAUUGGCAAACAACCUUAGCACAUCAUAAUUACCGUCUUGUGUUUUCUUCUUCGGAUGAGCCUCGUCCGGUUCUAGAGACCGGCACCCCUCCGGUAGCCCCGGCGGUCUAGGGCGUUGUUCGGCACCUAGAGAGGGUAGGCCACGGGGAAUAACUGCUUCUUCGUGUUAGUGCAUGUCAUCGCGAGAUAACAUUCCAAGUCUAGGCCUGUUCUGUCACGGGAUCGCCCAACGCAGACUCUGUCUCGGGGACGAACGUAGCCGGUCCUCGAUGUUCCCGCCCAUGUGUGUGAUUUGUGAGGCACGUGCCACGUCAAGGACGUGCGUUUCUUAUUCAAAUAGCACACCACCCCUGCAUGCAUAUGCAUGGGCCACGCGCAUGUACGGCUGCCCUCCCCCCGUGGGCGGUCUCCAUAUUGAGCACCCAUACGGUGGCCCCGGCGGUCUAGGGCGUUGUUCGGUACCAAGAGGGUGUAGUCCACAGUGAAUANNNNNNNNNNNNNNNNNNNNNNNNNNNNNNNNNNNNNNNNNNNNNNNNNNNNNNNNNNNNNNNNNNNNNNNNNNNNNNNNNNNNNNNNNNNNNNNNNNNNNNNNNNNNNNNNNNNNNNNNNNNNNNNNNNNNNNNNNNNNNNNNNNNNNNNNNNNNNNNNNNNNNNNNNNNNNNNNNNNNNNNNNNNNNNNNNNNNNNNNNNNNNNNNNNNNNNNNNNNNNNNNNNNNNNNNNNNNNNNNNNNNNNNNNNNNNNNNNNNNNNNNNNNNNNNNNNNNNNNNNNNNNNNNNNNNNNNNNNNNNNNNNNNNNNNNNNNNNNNNNNNNNNNNNNNACUCCGUGUUAGAGCAUGUCAUCGCGAGAUGACAGACCAAGUCUAGGCUCGUUCUGUCACGGGAUCACCCACCGAAGAUUCUGUCUCGGGAAUGGACGCAGCCGGUCCUUGACGUUCCCGCCCGUGUGUGUGGUUUGUGAGGCACGUGCCACGUCAAGGACGUGCGUCGCUUAUUCAAAUAGCACACCACCCCUGCAUGCAUAUGCAUGGGCCACGCGCAUGUAGGGGUGCCCUCCCCCCUCGGGCGGUCUCCAUAUCGAGCACCCAUCUGGUGGCCCCAGCGGUCUAGGGAGUUAUUCGGCACCGAGAGGGUGUAGUCCAUGGUGAAUAACUGCUUCUCCGUGUUAGUGCAUGUCAUUGCGAGAUGACAGACCAAGUCUAGGCCAAAGCCACAGCAAGAUUCCAUCCGUGUAGACCCGACGCGUCCGUUUCCCCUCUCCAGGUGCCGGUCGUGAGGGGGGCCACCCCCCGGAGAGGCGUCCUACCUCUUCUGACAUGCCACCACACCGUACGACAUGUAUGAGGGCCCGGUGCGAUGCUCCAGUGGCAUUGCUACCCCCCAGGGCCCCCGUCCCGCCUAACCCUGUAUCAUUUGACCACGGGAUCUAGCCCUUUGACUUUGCACGGACGGGCUUUGACCAGCGGAACUCUCCACCCGGUUGUGUUAGGUCAGCCCAUAGGAACACUUUGGAGCAACAUCCGGGCCUAAGCCACAGCAAGACCCCAUCCGUGUAGACCUGACGCGUCCGUUUCCCCCCUCCAGGUGCCGGCGGCGGAGCCAUCCAUGACGGGGGCACAGCCCAGAGACGCGGGCCGGGCGUUUGCAACCGCUACAACACUUCGAGACUUGUGAGAGGCCGCCUACGCAAGAUUUGGCGGCAUGUGCUAGCCCCCGGAGGCCGCCGGCCACAGUCGUAGACACACGAAGAGCAAUCCACGGAGAGGGAAGUGUUCAGAUAGUUCUUUAAAGUUCUCUCUCGGUGCCGGUCUAGAAAGUUGACCGGCACCGAGAGAGGGGGUAGGCCACGGUCAACAACUUCUUCUUCUCAUGUUUUUUACUAUACACACUCUUUAAAGUUGAGUUUUGAAAAAAAACAUCAAAAGUCAUGGUAUUUAUAAACUUUGGUCAUAAUAGCAUAUGAAAUAUGAGACAAAANNNNNNNNNNNNNNNNNNNNNNNNNNNNNNNNNNNNNNNNNNNNNNNNNNNNNNNNNNNNNNNNNNNNNNNNNNNNNNNNNNNNNNNNNNNNNNNNNNNNNNNNNNNNNNNNNNNNNNNNNNNNNNNNNNNNNNNNNNNNNNNNNNNNNNNNNNNNNNNNNNNNNNNNNNNNNNNNNNNNNNNNNNNNNNNNNNNNNNNNNNNNNNNNNNNNNNNNNNNNNNNNNNNNNNNNNNNNNNNNNNNNNNNNNNNNNNNNNNNNNNNNNNNNNNNNNNNNNNNNNNNNNNNNNNNNNNNNNNNNNNNNNNNNNNNNNNNNNNNNNNNNNNNNNNNNNNNNNNNNNNNNNNNNNNNNNNNNNNNNNNNNNNNNNNNNNNNNNNNNNNNNNNNNNNNNNNNNNNNNNGAUUCUUGGCUCUCGGUAAUUUCCACCUUUUCUGAGAGCUGCUCUCGGUAAACCAUCCACCUAGAUCUCUUCCCUUCUUGUGCAUUCUCGAUAAUAUGUAUUAUACUUUUUUUUUGUUUUCUUUCAUGCUUGGCGAACACCCUUAGCACAUCAUAAUUAACGUCUUGUGUUUUCUUCUUCGGAUGAGCCUCGUCCGGUUCUAGAGACCGGCACCCCUCCGGUGGCCCCGGCGGUCUAGGGCGUUGUUCGGCACCUAGAGGGGCUAGGCCACGAGGAAUAACUGCUACUUCGUGUUAGUGCAUGUCAUCGCAAAUGACAGACCAAGUCUAGGCUCGUUCUGUCACGGGAUCACCCACCGAAGAUUCUGUCUCGGGAACGGACGCAGCCGGUCCUUGACGUUCCCGCCCGUGUGUGUGGUUUGUGAGGCACGGGCUACGUCAAGGACGUGCGUUGCUUAUUCAAGUAGCACACCACCCCUGCAUGCAUAUACAUGGGCCACGUGCAUGUAGGGGUGCCCUCCCCCCCCCCUCGGGCGGUCUCCAUAUCGAGCACCCAUCCGUUGGCCCCGGCAGUCUAGGGCGUUAUUCGGCACCGAGAGGGUGUAGUCCAUGGUGAAUAACUGCUUCUCUGUGUUAGUGCAUGUCAUCGCGAGAUGACAGACCAAGUCUAGGCCAAAGCCAUAGCAAGAUCCCAUCCGUGUAGACCCGACGCGUCCGUUUCCCCGCUCCAGGUGCUGGCCGUGAGGGCGGCCACACCACUGAGAGGCGUGCCGCCUCUUCAGACAUGCCACCACACCGUACGGCAUGUAUGAGGGCCCGGUGCGAUGCUUCGGUGGCAUUGCUACCCCCAGGGCCCCCGUCCCGCCUAACCCUGUAGCGUUUGACCACGGGAUCUAGACCUUUGACUUUGCACGGACAGGCUUUGACCAGCGGAACUCUCCACCCGGUUGUGUUAGGUCAGCCCAUAGGAACACUUUGGAGCAAUAUCUGGGCCUAAGCCACAGCAAGACCCCAUCCGUGUAGACCCGACGCGUCCGUUUCCCCCCUCCAGGUGCCGGCGGUGGCGCCGUCCGUGAGGAGGGCACACCCCGGAGACUCGGGUCGGGCGUUUGCAACUGCCACAACACUUCCAGACUUGUGAUAGGCCGCCUAAGGAAGAUUUGGCGACAUGUGCUAGCCCCCGAAGGCCGCCGGCCACAGUCGUAGACACACGAAGAGCAAUCCGCGGAGAGGGAAGUGUUCAGAUACUUCUUUAAAGUUCUCUCUCAGUGCCGGUCUAGAAAGUUGACCGGCACUGAGAGAGGGGGUAGGCAACGGUCAACAACUUCUUCGUCUCAUGUUUUUUUUACUUUACACACUCUUUAAAGUUGAGUUUUGAAAAAAAAUCAUCAAAAGUCAUGGAAUUUAUAAACUUUGGUCGUCAAAGCAUAUGAAAUAUGAGAUACCAAAAAAAUAGUGCAAAAAAAGACAAAAAGAGGUGGGGGUGAAAUUAGAGCAGUCAUUACCGAGAGUCGAUACUUGGCUCUCGGUAGUUUUCACCUUUUCCGAGAGCUGCUCUCUGUAAACCAUCCACCUACAUCUCUUCCCUUCUUGUGCAUUCUCGAUAAUAUGUAUUAUAAUUUUUUGUUGUUGUUUUCUUUCAUGCUUGGCAAACAACCUCUUAGGUAUAUAGGAUGUCAGAUAAAAAAAGAUAGUGCAAAACAAAAACAAAAGGAGAAGGGAAAAAAUUAGAGCAGUGGUAACCGAGGGUCGAUUCUCAGCUCUCGGUAAUGGACACCUUUACCGAGCGCUGCUCUCGGUAAAGCAUCUAACCUAGAUCUUAACCUUUCCCCUUUCGUUUGUAUCUUCACUCACCUCUCGUCUCUUCCCACCGCCGGCGCCGCCACCCCCUGCGGCCGCCGCCACCCGCUCCUCCACCGCCGCCAACUGCGGCCGCCGCCAUCGCUNNNNNNNNNNNNNNNNNNNNNNNNNNNNNNNNNNNNNNNNNNNNNNNNNNNNNNNNNNNNNNNNNNNNNNNNNNNNNNNNNNNNNNNNNNNNNNNNNNNNNNNNNNNNNNNNNNNNNNNNNNNNNNNNNNNNNNNNNNNNNNNNNNNNNNNNNNNNNNNNNNNNNNNNNNNNNNNNNNNNNNNNNNNNNNNNNNNNNNNNNNNNNNNNNNNNNNNNNNNNNNNNNNNNNNNNNNNNNNNNNNNNNNNNNNNNNNNNNNNNNNNNNNNNNNNNNNNNNNNNNNNNNNNNNNNNCUCCGGCGCCAUCCCCUCCUCCACUGCCCUCCACCGCCACCAACUGGGGCCGCCACCCCUCCUCCACCGCUCCCCACUGCGGCCACCGCCACCCCCUCCUCCACCGUCCCCAACUGCGGCCACCUCCCCCAAGCUUCAUGGCCGACAACCGGCGUGGAGAUUCUUCGAUGUGGCCCAAGGACGGCCGCCGCAGCAGAGCUUCUCCGGUAGCGCGGCAGCUGGAGAUGCCCUCAGGUAUGUAGAAUAUUUUGCACAAAUGUAUGAAAUAUGAACAAAUGUGAUUAAAAGUAGUAGAUGAAGAUGGUCCUGCUUAGUAGAUGAAGAUGGUCCUAUUUAGUAAUGCCUAGAGUAGUAGAUGCAUGUCCUAUUGCUUGAUUGGAGUGCUUUUUUAGAUAUGUAGAAUAUGCCUGAUGCAUAUUGCUGUUCCUUAGAUAUGCAUAAUGCCCUCAGGUAUGUAGAAUAUGCCUGAUUGGAGUGCUUUUUUUAGAUAAAUACUAGAGUAGAUCAAUGAAACUAUAUACUUGUGCUUAUUUCCUUGUCAGUGGUGAACUCUGAUCUUUGGUUGCCUUUGCUUUUUUUAAUAAAAAGUUGGGGCAGGGGGGCAACCCCUUUCGUUUUAGAAUCUGCUUUGGAACUGAGAGUAACCAUAUAUAUUUUUUUAUUCAGACUCUGAUGAGAGCACUCAUAAUAAGUACCGGAGAGUCCCGAUUGGUAGGGCCGAGUCGUCCGCCUCCCAUCAGGCCACAACCGAGGCAUCAUCAUCAUCGGAUGGCGAUGUCGGAGUGGACCUAGAUCCGCUCGCCACCGAGUCGGGCGACAUGGAGGCCUCGGACGGCUCGGGGUCUACCUCGAGCAACAUUUCCAAGAGGAAGAAAUCCAGGCGUGGUCCGGGGAAGGUCCCGGAACCAACUGCUGCCAGCAACCGUACUGUCAUUUGCCCGACAGGAGAGGGGUAAGCAAGCAUUUCAUUUGCAUCAUAUUUUGGAUGCCACAGUGUCGGUGUCAAAACCGGCGGAUCUCGGGUAGGGGGUCCCGAACUGUGCGUCUAGGCGGAUGGUAACAGGAGACGAGGGACACGAUGUUUUUACCCAGGUUCGGGCCCUCUCGAUGGAGGUAAAACCCUACGUCCUGCUUGAUUAAUAUUGAUGAUAUGGGUAGUACAAGAGUGGAUCUACCAUGAUCAAGGAGGCUAAACCCUAGAAGCUAGCCUAUGGUAUGAUUGUUGUAAUGUAUGUUGUCCUACGGACUAAAGCCCUCCGGUUUAUAUAGACACCGGAGGAGGCUAGGGUUACACAGAGUCAGUUACAAUGGUAGGAGAUCUACAUAUCCGUAUUGCCAAGCUUGCCUUCCACGCCAAGGAAAGUCCCAUCCGGACACGGGACGGAGUCUUCAAUCUUGUAUCUUCGUAGUCUUGGAGUCCGGCUGAUGAUGAUAGUCCGGCUGUCCGGACACCCCCUAGUCCAGGACUCCCUCAAUAGCCCCUGAACCAGGCUUCAAUGACGAUUAGUCCGGCGCGCAUAAUGUUCGGCAUUGCAAGGCGGGUUCCUCCCUUGAAUAAUCCAGAGAAGAUCAUGAACACCAGGAUAGUGUCUGGCUCUGCAAAAUAAAUCCCACAUUCCACCGUAGAGAGAAUAAAAUAUACACUAGUUCAAUCUGCUGACGUAUUAUGCGGCGUGACAUCACACCGCUACCAAGCCACCGUUUGAAUCAUUUUUUACUAUACCGCCUCAGCACGUUUAGCGAAACGGUUUCCUUGGCACGUCUUGUCGAAGCAGAGAUCGUGUUCCCCUUAUUCCGGGAUUCUCAUCAAUACGAACGUGGGUAACCCAACCGCGCCAUUGAUGGUGGCGCUUGGGAGAUAAGCGAGUUUUACCAGGCCGGUGGGGGACGCACAGUUUCGUCCGCCUAUAUAUAAGGGAUAAGGAUUUACCUUCUCUCCUACGCCUUCUUCCUCCUUUGCUUAUCCAUCUCCGCGCACUCACGCUCCAACGCCCAAGCUCGCGCAUCUCGCCUCGACCUCCUCCGAAUAUGUCCGGAGCGGGAGGCAAGUGGUUGGCCUCCACCAUUAAGGAGGAGCACAUCACCAAACUGCGCAGCGCCUGAUACCUCUCCGGCGAUAUCGCGCAUCGGCUGCCCGACGAGGGGCAGCUCAUCCCUACCCCUGGGCCUCACGAGAGGGUCGUCUUUCUUCCCCACUUCCUCCGUGGACUGGGCUUUCCGCUCCAUCCAUUUGUCCGGGGGAUCAUGUUCUAUUACGGCCUGGAUUUCCACGAUUUGGCGCCGAACUUCAUCCUCAACAUCUCGGCGUUCAUCGUCGUGUGCGAGGCCUUCCUCUGCAUCCGGCCCCACUUCGGCCUGUGGCUCAAGACCUUCAAUGUCAAGUUGAAGGUUGUGAAGGGCAUGCAAGCGGAAUGCGGAGGCGCCAUGUUGGGUAAAUUACCCAAUGUCCUUUAGCUCGAAGGGGCCUUCGUGGACUCCGUCAAGGGGUGGCAAUCGGGGUGGUUCUACAUCACCGAGCCGCGCAAGCCCACAUGGGCGGCGGCCCCCGAGUUUAGAUCUGGCAUCCCCAUGCAGCUCACCUCCUGGAAAGAGAAGGGCUUGCUGUGGGGCAAUCCGAAGGAGGUGACGGGACUCCGAGCCUGCAUCCAGAAGCUGGUGAGCAAUAAGCUCGGGCUCGUCGACGUGGUCCAAGUCAUGCUCAUCCGCCGGAUUCUCCCAUGCCAAGAACAGGCAUUCAAUCUGUGGGAGUUCAAUCUGGAACAGCACCAGGCGCUGAGCGGGCUCUUCGAUACGACAUACGAAGGCGCCUGGAGGGUGCUGUUUAAGGGCGCCGAAGCCCCCGCAUCCGCGACGGAAGAUCGCAGAUUCAGCUCGCAGCAUCCAACUGACGAGGUAAGUGAUUCGACCCCAUUACGGGACACUUUAUAGUAAUCGAAUUGAUUAUAGGAGGGUUUCAUUCUUUCCUUUCCUUUGACAGGAAUGGAUGGAGAAGGCCAGGCAGCUUAUCAGCCCGACUCCCAUGCCAGAAGACCCAGUGGACGCCCGUUUAGCAGGGCUGCUGGUUCCGGCACCGCAUGUGGUGCCGGAGAAGAAGGCCAAGAAGGUGGUCGCGGGGACUCGAAAGAGUUUCCGCAAUCAGGUGUCCGACGACGAGGCGGACUCCUCCCCCGAAGACGACGAGGAGGAGGAGGACUCUCUCCCGGAGGAGGGAGAGAAGAAGAGGAAGGCUUCCCCAAUAGGGGAGGCUGAAGGGUCCAAGAGGGGGAGGACAAUCCCCCCGGACAGUUUCGCCAACACCUCCGUUGGCGAGGAUGAGCGGCCUCCAAGGGCCAGGCGUCCGGCAAGAUCAUAAGUAUCCGGAUUCUUGAUAUGCAAUUUCUUUCGUGCCGUGUAGUGUCCUUCUAACACCGCGUUCUGUCCGUAGUUCGGCCGAUGAUGAUCUCCCCGCUUCAUCAAGCGGGUCAUUGGCCCCGUCGGAUGUGGAUUCACUUCUGACCGCCACUACCCCCCGUGGCGAAGACGCCGAGGUGGGAUCCCAGAGAGGGACCCGUCGGGAGGAGGCUCCGGAGGCGCCGUCAGGCUGCCUCCCGGACUUUGUGCCGAACUCUACAUCGGAACCCGCAGUGGUUCCAGAGUCCGGCGAGCGGCCCCUUCAAAGGAAGGGCAAGACCGUGACACCGGCAACCUCCGUCCAACCGGAGGCGCCGGAUAACUUGUUGGAGGCGCUUAAAGGCGCUUCCAUCGAGGAAGAACACCGCACUAUCAUGAGUGCGGUGAUUCAGAAGGUUCAGCUUGCUAAGAGCGGGCUGACCGAAGCCUGCAGCAGCCUUUUAACAGGCUUUGAGGUAAGAAGUUAAAGUUAUGUAAUGUAAUACCGCAUAGACAGUAGCCCCUAAUGCUCAGUUCGGUGUUCGGAAAGAAAAAGCCGGACUGAGGAUCUAACAAGAUAUACGCAGGGUUGCUAAAAAUAUGUCAAUAUGAGUUUGCAGGCUGCGCUGCUGACCUCUGCCGCACUAACGGCGGAGGUCGAUGUGCUGAAGAAGGAUCUCGAGCGGUCCGAGCAAGAGCUCGGCCAUGCCAAGAGGUAGCUCGAGGAAAAAGAAGGUGAGUAACACCACUUUGAAUAAUUACCUUACAGAAAAGGGUUUUGGUUGCGAUAAAGUUAGUGAGGAUAAUACGGGUAUUGCAGGGGCCACUAACGAGGUGGCAGCCCUGAAGGAGGCUGUGUCCGCGGCUGAACGCAGUGCGUCCGCGGAACGGGCGGAGCGAGAAAAGCAGGAGGCACGGGUGGCGGAAGUUCGGCAAGAGCUCCAGGCUCUCAUGGAGAAACAUGAGCGUUUGGAGCGUGACUCCAAGACUCGAGAGUCCGAGCUUGCCUCGGCUCUCGAAAGUGCCAAGUCCGCCAAGGCCGAGGCCCAUAAGGCCCUUCAGGAGGUUGAAGAUAUAAAUAAGAUAGCGGCGGGUAAGGCAUUUUUCAUGCAAAGCAGGCAUGUUAAUGUAAACUACCUGACACUUACCCGCAUUCGGAGCUCUCUAGGGGCGUUUGCAGAUCUGCCGCGCAGUGCGUCUGAUGCCGCCGCAUUCUAUCGUGGCGAGGAGGGGAGCUCGACGGAGAAGGUCUUCUGGUCUCAGUAUGCUGAGGCCGGCCAUCCGGUGCCCCCAAGCGACCAGCUGAAGCAGCUGGUCGAACUCCACAAGGUAGCUGAGGAGGCCAUAAAGGGCCUUAUAGUCCGGCUGUGGCCUAAACAGGCCAUGCCUGGGAGCUACUUUGGCCUCAUGCGGCGGCUGGUGGAUGUGUGCCCCUGGGUGGAGGUCAUCAAGUGCUCCGCGUGUAUUGAAGGUGCUCGUCGUGCCCUUGCCCGCACAGAGGUGCACUGGGGCAAGUUGGAUGCGGAUAAGCUUCUCACGGAUCCACCGCCACCGGGCAAGGAGUAUCGCACGCCUGAAAUGUAUUAUAAAACUGUCCUGAAGGGAGCCUGCGAUAUUGCGGAUGAGUGCCCCAGAAAUGUAAUCUUUGAGUAAACUCGUUAUGUAUUAUCCUUUGCGCUGAAACGUUGUUCAUGUGCGCAUUAAGCAACGCUUGUUUCAUUUAAAAUAUUACCUUCUGUGCGGCCGUUUGUAAAAUCUGAGAGAUGGCAAGUCGUUGGCUUCAGCCCCCAAGCCACAAGUGCUGGGGUGUUCGGGAUAAACUUGAGCACUCUUGUUCCCAUUUUUGGGUCCAUCUAGGGAGGCGCUCAACACAACGAACAAGGAAACCGGACUUAUAAUGCUUGAACACUCUCACUUAGCCAUAGAAUUCUAUAAUUUUAAAUGUUGGCGAAGCCCAUGGUAUUCGGAAGACCGAAUCCGGGGAGCUAUCCACGCCUUCAUCGGACAUUGUCCGGAACUUCGCUCGAAGCGGCGUGAGUCUUUAAGGACCCGAAGAAACCUCUCGAACAGCGACCAGUCUCUCGCCUUAUCAUGCCAGUCAGUUUUAGCUUUCUCCACUGAGGUGCUCGCCCGGCUCAACCGGGGCGCAAUCACAGUGGUUCUCACAGUGCCACCUUAGCCGACAGAACGGAACGUAAGGCACCAAAACGUGGGAGCCGGGCAAACCCAACUAUUGACCCAAGACAUGAUUCGGAGCCGAUUCAUAUAAUGCUGUAAGUUCGGGGUGCCGUACUUAUGAAAGUGUUCGGACUUUAUCACACCAUAAUUUGGGGAACAGAAGCCCCUGGUGUAUUUGGCCGUACCAAAAUAUACGGGUGCAGGAUGUCGUAUAAUGAGCAUAUAUAUAAAAGAUAAUGCAAUUGCAAUGAAAAAGGUGCUGCAUUAUUUAUGAAAGCAAGUUUGCUAUGAGAGCGGACUGAUACAAAUAGUGCGGUAAGCAAGGGAUUUGGACUAAGUAAACAUGUCCCCCUCCAGGGGUGAGCUGCCGACUUGGUGUAUAUAAUCGAAUUUAAUGCUCGUAAUUGAGACCACCUGAUUGUUCGUCGCAGCCUUCUUUAGCCCCUGACUGUUGCAUCAUGAGUUCGGCAGGUUCAUCGCCGGACAGGGCCUCUGGUUAACGGAGUCCUGUGUACAUAAAGGAGAAAAAUAAAGAAAAAAUAAUAAAAAAGGGGGGGCACAUUUGCGAGCUCCCGGUGUGGUCGAACCGCACUCUAGGUUCAUUACGAUCGUGCCCCCUCCCCUGUGCCCAUGGUAUCUCCAAAGCGUAAUGAUGUACGCGGAGUGUUAUUCUUGCGAUCAUGCACGGGCGAGGGUUGGGGCCGCAUUGCUACACGUGCUCUGAUCGUGCCAGGUGGUCUUGGUUGGCAUUGCUUCGUGCGCGUUUUGCUGUAUCCGGCCGUUUAAUGGCCGGACUCGAGAAUUGCCUUAAGAGGCUGCUCUGCACUUCUGCCGCGAGAGCUGCUGUAUGUUCCUCCGUUCGGAGGGAGCGCUCUGUAUUCCCGUUGACCGUGAUGACUCCACGAGGGCCUGGCAUCUUUAGCUUUAGGUAUGCAUAAUGCGGCACCGCGUUGAAUUUUGCAAACGCGGUUCGUCCGAGCAGGGUGUGAUAGCCGCUGCGAAACGGGACUAUGUCGAAGAUUAACUCCUCGCUCCGGAAAUUAUCCGGGGAUCCGAAGACCACUUCCAGUGUUACUGAGCCUGUGCAGUUGGCUUCCACACCUGGUAUGACACCUUUAAAGGUCGUCUUUGUAGGUUUAAUCCUUGAGGGGUCUAUGCCCAUUUUGCGCACUGUAUCCUGAUAAAGCAGGUUCAGGCUACUACCGCCGUCCAUCAGGACUCUCGUGAGGUGAAAUCCAUCGAAGAUUGGGUCUAAAACCAAUGCGGCAAAUCCGCCAUGGCGUAUGCUGGUCGGAUGGUCUCUUCGAUCGAAAGUGAUCGGACAAGAGGACCAUGGAUUGAACUUCGGGGCGACUGGCUCCAUUGCAUAGACGUCCCUUAGUGCGCGUUUCCUCUCCCUCUUGGGUAUAUGGGUCGCGUAAAUCGUGUUCACCGUCCGCAUAGUGCGUGUUUCCUCUCCCUCUUGGGUAUAUGGGUCGCGUAAAUCAUGUUCACCGUCCGCACUUGUGGGGGAAAACCCUUCUGUCCUCUAUUGUUCGGCGGUCGGGUCUCCUCCUCGUCGUCGCUGUUUAGCCCCUUGUCAUUGUUUUCGGCAAUUAACUUGCCUGCUUGCUUGAACACCCAGCAAUCUCUAUUAGUCUGAUUGGCUGGUUUUUCAGGGGUGCCAUGUAUCUGGCAUAAGCGGUCGAGUAUUCGGUCCAAAUUGGACGGACCCGGAGUGGUUCUUUUAAAUGGCUGCUUCCGUGGACCGGGUUUAGAGCCUCGGAAUCCGGCGUUGACUGCCGUAUCCUCCUUAUCGUCGCCAUUAAUGCGGCGUUUGUUUUUGUUUCGACGUGACCUGCCAUUGUUGUCCUUAGUAUCCGGACUGCCAGAAUUUUUACAGAGAUUGUUGCUGCGGGCUAGCCAGCUGUCCUCUCCCGCGCAAAAGCGGGUCAUUAACGAUGUGAGGGCUGCCAUGGAUUUCGGCUUUUCCUGCCCCAGGUGCCGGGCUAGCCAUUCGUCCCGGAUGUUAUGUUUGAAGGCUGGAAGGGCCUCUGCAUCCGGACAGUCGACGAUUUGGUUUUUCUUUGUCAAGAACCGUGUCCAGAAUUGUCUGGCCGAUUCGUCUGGCUGUUGGAUAAUGUGGCUUAGGUCAUCAGCGUCUGGUGGUCGCACAUACGUGCCCUGGAAGUUGUCGAGGAAUGCGGCUUCCAGGUCUUCCCAGCACCCAAUUGACUCUGCGGGCAAGCUGUUUAGCCAAUGCCGAGCUGGUCCUUUAAGCUUGAGUGGGAGAUACUUGAUGGCAUGGAGAUCAUCACCGCGGGCCAUAUGGAUGUGGAGAAGAUAAUCUUCGAUCCAAACCACGGGGUCUGUUGUGCCGUCGUAGGAUUCGAUGUUGACGGGUUUAAACCCUUCGGGGAUUUGAUGAUCCAUUACUUCGUCAGUGAAGCAUAGCGGGUGUGCGGCGCCUCUGUAUUGAGCAAUAUCACGAUGCAGCUCGAGAGAGCGCUGUCUACUGUGUUCGGCCCGGCCGGGGUUAUUGUAUCCGGUGUGACGGUAUUCGUCAUGGGUCGUGGGGCGCCCACGUGAUCCGUAGAUGGAUCUGGAUUGUCUUGCCUUGUCCUCCAAUAUGUCUCGCAAGUCCGGUGCGUUCCCUCUUGGCUUCGUACUUUUGGAGCGAUGCCGGGGUACGGUCUUGGCUGGGGGCCUGGAUGCCUCUCUGUCACGUCCACGGGGUGGUCGGUUAGCCAUAUCUUGCGCUGGUGAUUGAGGUAUGUAUGCCUCCUCCUCUAAUCGGGGGAGCAGCUUGCGUCUUGGGUAACUUUUGGAGGGGCGUUCGAGUUUAUACUCUUCGGCCGCGAGGACCUCGGUCCAUCGAUCGGGCAGCAGGUCCUGAUCAGCUUGAAGCUGUUGCUGCUUUUUCUUUAGGCUGUUUGCUGUGGCGAUAAGCCUGCGUUUGAAACGCUCUUGUUCGACGGGAUCCUCAGGUACGACGAAUUCGUCAUCGUUGAGGCUUGCUUCGUCUUCGGAGGGAGGCAUGUAGUUAUGAUCCUCGACCUCUUCGUCUGCCGCCCUCUCGUGAGGGCUUGCUUCUGCAUCCUCCUGCGCUGAGUCGUGCUGGAGGGGAUUGUCUUCGGCACUCUCUGGGGUAUUAUUAUCUCCUGUGCCGGAAUCUCCAUUCUUGCUGUGGCGGGAUUUAGAGCGGCGCCGCUGACGCCGGCGUUUGGGCUGCUUCUUUAAAGAGUCUGCCUCCGCUGCUUCUUCGCCGUCCCCAUCUUUUGGGGUGUCCACCAUAUAUAUGUCGUAUGACGAGGUGGUCUUCCAGUGCCCUGUAGGCGCUGGUUCCUGUUCGUCUCCAGCAUCGUCGUCCAUAGCAUCGAUGUCGUCGGAGUCGUAGUCUAGCAUGUCGGUUAGAUCGUCGACAGUGGCUACAAAGUGGGUGGUGGGUGGGCUCUGAAUUCCUUCGUCAUCCGUACCCCAACCAUCCUGGCCAUAGUCCGGCCAGGACUCUCCCGAUAACGAGAGAUACUUUAGCGAAUUUAGGAUGUCGCCAAAGGGCGAGUAUUGGAAGAUGUCCGCGGCGGUGAAUUCCAUAACCGGCGCCCAAUCCGAAUCGAUUGGUAGGGGCGCGGGAGGUUCGGAGUCCGGCACCUCGGAAUCAUGAGUUUCGCGGGGGACAAGAUCAAUGUUCGGCUCCAUCGCCGUGGAAGUUGAAGCCCCUGAGGCGGCGUCUAUCCACCGAUCCUCGAUCUGGGCGAUCGGCUCCGGACUGAUGGCCGAAGCGGAUUCAUGUGUGGCCACCAAGGCACUGUUCGGCGGCAGAGCUAGAUCUUGCCCAUCGUAACAGUGCGGCACGCUCGGCUGCGGCUCGAGUCCAUCGAAGAUCAAGUCUCCGCGGACGUCGGCCGUGAAGUUUAGGCUCUCGAAUCUGACCUGACGGCCAGGGGCGUAGCUUUCGAUCUGCUCCAGAUGGCCAAGCGAAUUAGCCCACAGUGCAAAGCCGCCGAAUACGAAGAUCUGUCCGGGGAGAAAAGUCUCACCCUGGACAGCGUUGUUGGUUGAAGAUGCCAUCGGGCCUAUCGGUGACGGCACAUAGGAACUCUCAAUGAAAGCACCAAUGUCGGUGUCAAAACCGGCGGAUCUCGGGUAGGUGGUCCCGAACUGUGCGUCUAGGCGGAUGGUAACAGGAGACGAGGGACACGAUGUUUUUACCCAGGUUCGGGCCCUCUCGAUGGAGGUAAAACCCUACGUCCUGCUUGAUUAAUAUUGAUGAUAUGGGUAGUACAAGAGUGUAUCUACCACGAGAUCAAGGAGGCUAAACCCUAGAAGCUAGCCUAUGGUAUGAUUGUUGUAAUGUAUGUUGUCCUACGGACUAAAGCCCUCCGGUUUAUAUAGACACUGGAGGAGGCUAGGGUUACACAGAGUCGGUUACAAUGGUAGGAGAUCUACAUAUCCGUAUUGCCAAGCUUGCCUUCCACGCCAAGGAAAGUCCCAUCCGGACACGGGACGGAGUCUUCAAUCUUGUAUCUUCGUAGUCUUGGAGUCCGGCUGAUGAUGAUAGUCCGGCUGUCCGGACACCCCCUAGUCCAGGACUCCCUCACACAGCUUUGACACUCACAUAUGCUUGUCUUUUAUAUCAUGAAGUCAGUGGGAAUUUAUCCCGACACAACCUAAGGGGGCACGCCCGCCGAACCACGUCAUCGGCUCCCUCUUGAGGAAGCACUUCCCAGGAUUGUCCAAGCCGGAUGAUGACGAUCUGUCGUCGCCAGGUUUAACCUGGGAGCAUUACAUACACAACAAGGAUGAGCACGAUGUCACCAUGGCCACUCGGGUCAUCAAUGCUUUUUUUUUGUAAGUAUCUUAGCUCCGACCACUGUAUUUUUUCAUAUCCAAAUCCUUGCUUGCGUGGAUGGUGAGAAGAUGCCAUAUGCUUUCUUGUAGCAAACAUUUGCUUGCGUGGAUGGUGAGAAGCAGAAGGCGAUCAAAGGCAUCGUGAAUUCUGCCCGAAAGAUACUCUCUGACACCAAGCAUGCACUGCGGUACAAAGCCGUGAUGCAGUGUCGGCCGCUGGACUCGAAGGGAGAGAAGAUGACAAGGAAGACUGCUUGCCAGACCAACUUGUCGCGAGAAGAAUACCUGUUAGUGGUAAGUGACUACAUUAGUUGCUAGUACUUUGAUUCAUCCCUCUUGUUCCUCAAUUAUUCGAUUUUGUCUGACUAGGUGAAGGAACCCUGGAUGAAGGACGAUUGUUGGGAGGCCCUCGUUGACAUGUGGUGUGACCCAGCAUGGCAGGCGCAGCAUGUGGAGAAGGGAAACGAAUGAGCCAAAAUGUCAGGCCCGGCUCAUGUCCAGGGGAGCCGGAACCUAACCGCUCUCAAGCAACACAUGGUAUGUGGAUUAAGAUGUUAACUUUUUCGCAUGGUGCAUCUUGGUUCAUUCAACUUGAUGGUUAAUUUUGCAGGAGGCGAAGGUUGGUCGACCAGUCCACAUCCUGGAAGCCUGGAAAGAAGGCCACAAGGGGAAGGAUGGCGCCGAGUUCUGCAGCGAGUCGGCGGAGGAGAAAUGGGGGACCUUUAAAGAGGUCUUCCAGGAGGUGCACGGGGAGGAAGCCGAACCUACGUCCAAGCCCCUUGACCCUGAGCUUCUCAUCAUUGCUGGCGAGGGGAAGGGCCAUGGCCACCACCUCCUUUGCAACGGGGCGAUCGCCACCUCCGGGCACCGCAAGCUGCACGAGAUACGCGCGUCGAGCACCAGCUCAACUCCGUCCAUACGGAGUCGCCCAACCGCCGCAUAAAGUGAGAUAGCGCGUCUCAAGGUUAGCAUCCUAACCUUUUAUUUAUGUCGAUGCCUCGAAAUAGCACUGUUCCAACCUAUAUGAGCCUAAUGCCAUGUUACAGGAUUUAAUGGCGCAGCAGGCUGUUGAAGAGGAGCAAAGACGGAAGGCUGAGGAGGAGUCCAGAGAAAAGGAACGGGCAGACACUAACAAUAGGUUGAAGAUGCUUGAGGAUCAACUACAGGUAGAACAUUAUCUAAGCUAGAGUAGAAGAUUCAUUACAUAGGGACGAACCACCCUCACGUGACUCUACUCGUAUAGGUUCUUAUGCAAUCUCGAAGCAGUGCAAGUGAUGCCCCUCCUCCUCCUCCUCCGGAAUGUUAAACCGAUGGCCUCUCCUCCUCAAGAUGAUCUAUAUAUGAACAAGUGUACUUCUAUUGUGACGUGCACGUGUUUUGCAAGUAGUGACAAUAUGUAUGAAUUUGCGACUUGUGUGUGAUGUCUACUAGGAUAAUACAUUCGACUUGUGUGUGACAAUAUGUGGACUAUCCCUAAUUAUGCGUAUUUAUGUGGACUGGAUCAAAUUAUGCCUAUAUAUGAUCAAAUUAUGCCUAUAUAUGUGUGGACUAGCUCAAAAUGCACUGUAGUGGUUUUUAUCUGCAGGGAUCAGAAAAGAAAUAGAUUGACAGCCGAAUGGACGGGAAAGAUUUCCGAGAGCUACACUCGGAAAAAGGCAGACUACCGAGAGCCACUCUUGGAAAUAUGGUCGUCUGGGACACUACUGUUGUGCCACAACUUUUCCGAGAGAAGCUCUUGGAAAAGAAAGAGAGCAUUGCCGAGCCUAGCUCUCGGCAAAGCUAUGUAAACUGUCAGCUCCCAUGAAGGAUUGCUGAGAGCCACUUUGGGCAAGCAUAUCGUCAUUUUUUUUACUGAUAAAUGUGACCAGUGGGACCACAUGUCAGUUAGAAAGAACGCACAAACAAAAAAGGAUGUUGCAUGUGCUUUGCCGAGAGCCACACUCGGGAAAGUAGACAGUAACUGACGGAGCCGUCUGUUACGGACAGGCAUGCCACGUGGCUACUCUUUGCCGUGAGCGGCUCUCGGCGUCUGGAGGGUUUGCCGUGCGGUGUCUCUUUGCCGUGAGGCAGUGACGGCAAAGAGUGUAGUUUGUCGUGAAGGUGGGUUUGCCGAGAGUGACACCGAGUGUCCGUGCUUUAGCACUCGGCGAAGAGCAUUACACCCGGCGUACGUGAAAAUUCCAGUAGUGCCAUGUCCGCGACCUCCAUGAGAUGUUGAGCCAUGGCGACCCCAUCCCCUUCUUCUUCUUCUUAUUCUUCUUCUGGCAGCGAGUCGGUGUACACGAAAUGCAGCAGAUGCCUGAAAACCUCUGCUCGCAGGACCGUGGACCGUGCCGCGAGCACGCACCGAAGCCGAUCACGUCCGCCGCUCCGGAGGAGGCCACGGAAGUGGUGAGGCCAAUCAAACGGGGGCACCACCACGCCCUGACCGACGACGGACCAUUCGUAUUCAUAUGCGAGGACCUCGAUGACCGUGAAGCAGUCGUCCUUGAGGAGGUGUGGCGCUCCAGGUCGGCCCUCUCGACCAAGUCGUCGCAGCUCCAGUAGGCGCCGCUGGUCCUAGCGUAGCGCGGCACCGGCCGGGUUGGCGUGGUGGUCGAGCACGUCGAACGCGACCACGGCCUUGAUAGGCGGCGUCGAGGACGGCCUUGACAGACACAAAACCGGUGGUUUCCGGGGUGGUGCCGCUGGGGUAGAAGCCGAGGUGCCGUCUCCGACGCGGAAGGAAGGAGAUGAGACGCCACAGCUCAGCUGUUGGGGUUGCUCUUCCUCAUCCACGCAGGUACGAGUAGCCUUGGAUCUUCAUCAUGCAUGUGGUGCGUCGUCGGCGUCGUAGCACAGAGAAUGGAGGCCGAGUCGCCGUUCGCAGCAGCCAUGACGGCAGGCGUACCUGGGUCCGGUCCGGCGGCCGUCCAGCUCUGACGACCUAGGACUAGGAGCGAGCGAGACAGCUUGAUGAGGCCCGACUUGUCUCCGAUCGACGAGUCUCCUCCCUUGGCUUAUAUGGAUGGAGAUGGACCUCAGCUCAGCACCUACUCCCUCCCAGUCCGACCAAGGGAACUGAGGUCAACACGGACUGAGGCCCGGGGCGACGCCCUAGGGCCAAGCCCGCUUUCCCCUAAAAAAAAUGGAAAACUCGUUUGCGGCAAGUUGUCCGGACUAGGCCCACGACAGAGGAGAAAGGCUUUUACAUGAUGAUUAGGAUCUUUUCAAACUAACUAACCACUCCUCCGAUUUUCAUGGGGACUUAAUCUUCAAUCAAAACUCACCUUUAUGUAAAAGCAUGUAUCUUUUUGUAUAUUUUUUUUGGAGAAAUCUCGCCCACUUUUAUUGAUUGAUAACAAUGUUCAUAGGUACACGGUUCGGUUUAUAAGGGUUACCCAACCACACAUGUCUACCUAGCUACUCCUAAAUUACAAGCAAACUUGAUGAGAUUAUGAGCCUCGAAAUUAGAAUUCCUACACUCAUGAAUAAAAGACCAAGACGUACAUAUAAGAAGAUAUACGCGCCGCAAUCUCUUAGAUGAUAGCCGUAUUAGGACCUCCCAUCCCCUUGUUGAUAUCUUUUAUCACUUCUUGGCAGUCUGAUGCUACUACCAUAUUCUGAAUAUCAAGAUCAUCUGCUAGGGCAAGAGCUUCACUGCAUGCAAAAGUUUCGAGCAUCAUUGGAUCACCAGUUUCCUUUUGUACGUGUAGCAUUACUGGAAGAAAGACGAGCGUUCAGGAGGGGCUGGCCCGUUAAACGUUUCAACCAUUCCGGUUUUGGGAAGGUUUAGCCGAUUUUUUUCCCCGGUUUGGGAAUCUUCCUUCUAGGAGGUUCCUAAAGCGGGUUUUUUUUCCUGUUCCUUUUUCUUUUUUAGUUUUUUCCUGUUUCUUUUUCUUUCUUUCGGCGCCCUGUAUCUUCAAAAAAGAAAGCUAUUAAUGACUGUUUCGAUCAACAAGCACGCCGGCGGCUGUCACUUCCAUUUUCUUCUUUUUUCAUGUUUAUUUUCUUUUUAAAAAAGUUUACUGAGCUUAUUGAAAAGAAGCGUAAAUUUUCAAAAAUGUUUGUGUUUUUCUUACAUUGUCCAAAACUUCAAAACAAAUCCUGUUUUCCAAUUUUGUUAACAAAUUUAGAAAAAUUGUCGCCUUUUCCCCAAAAAACAGGGCUUCAAAAAUUGUUCACAAACGCAAUUUUUGUUUAGCAUUUUCAAAGCUUUUAUUUAGAGUUUAAAAAAAUCUCUCUCUUUUUUUUCAAAAAUGUCCGUGCUUUCAAUUUUGCUAAAAAAUCUCCCCUUUCCCAAAAGUUGUUUAAGAUUUAAAAAUAUUUGAGGUUUCCAAAGAAUGUUCGUGUUUUCAAAUAAAUUACAAUUUUAAUAAAAUAAAUUAUUCAAAAAUUUUGAAAUGAUUUUGUUUCAAUAAAUAUUCUAUUCUCUCAAUAAAAUCAUGUUCAAAAUCCAAAAAGUAUUUAGAUCUGUUGCCACUCAUAGUUCUUAUGCACCGCAAUGCAUAUUGAGACACCAAUAUUAUGCGGCUUUCCAUUGGCGGCUAUGUAUGUGUCGUGCCCGACUUUUUUAGGAAUUUUAUUUUAUGCCGCUGGAGUUGGUCCUUACAAGUUUGCGCUGCUUAUUAUUAAUAAAAAAUAAAAUUUAUUCAGCUCUUGCGUCUUAGGACACGCAGUCAUGAGUCAUGCGCCGCGAGUUCGGUCCCACUUUAUCACCAAGUAUAUAUUUUUUUCGGAUGUUUUUGGGGAGUCGCUACCAACUUUGGGCAAUGCGACGUUAGUUCGGCACCCCAAGAAAGAAGGCUAUCCGUGAAAUGAAGAACUAUUGUACAGACAUGGGGAUGAACACGAAUUAAGCGAAAACUUUGCACCCGUUCUACCUUAGGAUGGAAGCGAAUUGUAAAUAUGAGACGAAAAUUAAAAUUAAUUUGGGAACAAAAGCGGAAACGAAAAUGAAAUUGGGGAACAUAAUUUUCGUAUCUGAACAUGCAUAUUGUGUUUUUUCAUGUAUAUAUAGCCAACUCUAGACCAGCCUAGAUACGUACAUGGGCUAACUCAAAUGUCCUUGAACUUAAUUAUACUUGUAUAUGCUGCCAAAAAUAAAAAUCACGCAUAAUAGUAUUAUCACGCAUAAUAAAAAUAAAAAUCACGCACGCACGGAAGAUGGUGGUUUAUAUUUAUUUAUAAAGCGGAGCGAAAGCCUAUUUCGAGAAAAUUACUUAUGAAAGGUGGUUGCUUUAUUUAUAAAGCGGAUAUUUCUAAAAAAAAUUGUAAAACGGGGCGAAAAUCUAUUUCAAGAAGAACUACCGAUGGAGUACCUUUUGAGCCUUUGCUUGUAGAAGGCUGGGAUGUCGAUAGAAGGGCUUGGCUUGAAGAAGCGGAAGGUCUCGCCGACGAGGGGGAAGCCCAUGGAUCCGGGAGGGAGCCUCCCGGCGUUGCACGGAGGAUUCAUCCACCUGUACACGAGCCAACCUGCUACAAUCACCGCAAGGGCGCCGCAGAGGGAUGCGUACGACAAGUAGUAGCCCUCCUCCAUCUUCAAAUUAAGCUAGCUAAGCUGCCUGUGGUUUUUCUGGCAUUGCAGCCUUAGCUAUAUAUAUGAGUGUAAUGCUCAUCUCCUGCUAUAUAGGAGUAUAGUGUUUUCUCUGGCUAGUCUUUAGUUAGUCUCUUGCUAUAGUGUCUUCUUCGUCUCUUCCAUGUAUGUGAGCGCGCAAUUGACGGUGUUGCGUUGGAUUCACCAGUCCACAGCACACGCUAUUUUUUCUUCUGGUCAGCAAACCCAAGAGAAAAGUUGAAUUUUCUUCUGGUCGAUGUGGUGGAGAUGAGAGCGACUUCAUCAAUUUCUAGUGACAAUGUCAGGCUGUGUCAUCAAUUAGUACAACUCAAGUUCAAUUCAGUCCCACCGCCACCACACAUAGUUAGUCUUUAGCUAAUCUUCUUGGUCUCUUUCCAUGUCAGCACGCGCGCGAUUGGCGCCUUUAAUUGCCUUGGGUACACUAGUCCACGACACACGCCGUAGCAUUUUCUUCUGGUCAGCAGCCAGCACACCCAAGAGAAAAGUUGAAUUGUCUUGUGGUCGAUCUAGUGGACAUGAGAGCGACUUCAUCAAUAUCAGCGUUAGCUGCGCCUGCAUUAGCACUCAAGUUCAGUUAAGUUCCACCGUCGUCACCACACAUAGCUAGUCUCUAGCCAGGGCCGUUCCUGAGAUCUCGGGGGCCUGGGGCGAAGCUACAACCCAGGCCCUUUAAUGUAAACGUCAAAAUAAUUACCAAUGUAGAUAUGUAUACAUGAAAUCUUACUGAUAAACAUUUUCAAGUACAUCAACGGCAGUAUUCAUAUCAAAAAUACCUUCUGCAAUUCACACAGUCUUGUCUAAGCGACUCGGCCUCUAACCUCUUGACAUGCUCGUGUGUGGGCCGGCAAUGGGAAAUCCAUGCAUGGUAGAUCCUACAGGUUGGAGAUCAAACAUCACACACAGGUCUGAUCGCAUGGUCGGAGAAGAAAAGGGCGAAUCCGUCUGUCAUUUCUGAAAAAACAACGGUCAAGAUUUGAUUGUUUAUCAAUAAUGGUUGUGUGGUAAGUGGAAUUGGCAAUUAUGUACCAGGAAAAUGGGAUCCAACAAUACCUCUCACUUUCUUUAGAGCUACACAACAGGGUUAAUAGGAGUUAAUCAAAUGUCAGCAUACUAAUAAACUCCAAGUUGUGAUCUUCCUUCAUAAAAUCCAGACAAAAACAUAGUAUUGCCCAUCCCUUUCUGAUGUCGCUGCUGCCCUGUAUGUUCGCUUCCUGAAUUGUUUAGGAACGAAGGAUGGGUUCAUGGCGUACAAUAUUGAUUCGGCGCGGCCGCGCGGAAGAGCUGCACGUAGUAGUCGACGAAUUUGUCCCGAGUUUCAAGGUCCACUUGAAAAUGCUCGGUAAGUUUCAAGGUCUUGGACUAGCUUAUUUAACUUUCCAUCUUGCUUGGCAAUUUCACAUCUUUGCCCCGAGCUGGAGGAGCAGGUCACGUCUGUUGCGCUUCAUAUCGGUCGGUGUCCAAAUCGGCCCUUCCGACACUUAAAGCCUUUUGUUCUCCUGAGUCCAACACAAACUGUACGGUCAUUUUUUAUUCUGAUAAUAGUUUUAAAAUUUGUUAUUAUAUUUUGAAAUUGUGAAUAUUUAUUUACAUUUAUGUACAUACUUUAAUUUCUGCUUUCUAAAAUUCUUGAACAUUUUCUUGAAUUCAUGAAAAAAAUUUAAUUGUACAGACUUUUUUUAAUCUUGCCUUUCACUUUCUCUGUUCUAAAUUAAGUGUUGUUGAUUUAAUACAAAAUAAAUACGCCUAGAAAAUCAAAGGAAAGUAAACUGCUCAGGCAAGUGCUCCAUUGGCGAGUGGUCCGACCCACCACAUCGCACAUGUGCGUUUGUCGCAACGAGUGUCCUAUAGGGAGUCUCGUUAAGGGGUGUGUUCAUAACUCACCCACCAGGUACAUUAUUGUUGUUCAUAACUCCUCUGAGCCAUGGCUUAAGGGGAAUGUGUUGGGCUAAUAAGCCGUGGCGACGGGUCGAACGCGCCCGGCACUUGUAUGGGCGCGCGCUGGGUGUGUUGGACGCGUCGGGUCCGCGGCAGGGUCGUGUGUGUGUGUGUGUGUGUGCGUGCUGGUGCAGCACGGCGUGUCCAUGCGGGUGUGCAUCGUGUGCGUGUGUUUAGGUCUACGGUAGCUGUUGGUGAGUCGCGUGGCGCGAUCGAGGGUGUUGCCGUUGGUGCUCACCGUGGGUCCCGCGUGUUGAGCGCGACACGGGCACGAUCAGAGCGGGUGAAGUGCGAGCGAUCGGGGGGAGUGGAGGCGUGGGUGCGUGCCCAGUGCGUCGGCUUGUGUAUAAAGGCACGCGAUGGCCAUUCUAACAUCUUGGGAGGAGCUCGUGUUUGUGCUUCAGGGAAGCGGUCGUAGUUGCGGAUGCGGCAUUCGUGCGCCGUGAACUCCACCGUGUCCACUGCCUCCUUCGUUUUUCUUCUUCUUCUCUUCAGCUCGGGCUAGCGGGAAGUAACAGAGAGAGGGAGAGGUAGGUUAGAGGGACAGCUAGGGCAAGGUUAGACACCAACACCGAAUCUACCAAUACCAUCACCAGCUUAGCUAAGCUAGCCUUGAAUGCAGCUUGGACAACCGGCGUCCAGCUUACCUAUGUUACUAUAACCCUUUCUCUCUUCUUUAAUUGUUUGCCACAUAAGCAUGUUUGCGAGUCCCAAGUGCAUGAUAUCGCUUAUGUUACCCCCACUAUGGCCAACCGUGCACCGCGACCAAGGUGGGAGGAAAACCGAGAGAGCUUAAUGUUUAUUUGCUAAUUAAUAGCAUUACAUGCAAUGAACUAACCACUGCAUGUCGUUCUUGUUAGUCUCAAAUCAUUGAAAGCAUACACGCCCAUAUAUCUUAUUGGUUAAUUCCUUUACUUAUGAAAAGAAACAAGAAACGAGGUGGAAGUUAAUGCACAUCGACUAAGUGUUUUAGGUUUAUUUGAUUUUAUAAGUUGACUUAUACACCUAGAUGGAGGGAGUGGUAAAUCACAUGGUUUCAUCUAUAUCUAGGCACGACAUAAACCUCAUAGGCGCGCAUGCACACCACGUUCUUUUAUAAACAUAGUAAAUGGGCUUAGUUUUCUUUUGUGAGGAUAUAUAUGGAUGCUCAGAGACACAUAUGCACACACUUUAUAAUGUGAGGCAAUGCAAUAAUGCGGUUUGCCGUGAGAAAACCUUGGCAGUGUUUGUUUGGAUAAACCCGUUGGACGAUUGAUAAAAUUUGAAACCUAUCAAAAAAGUCAUGAAACUUAUUAUUAUUAUUGUUGUUGUUGUUGUUGUUGUUGUUGUUGUUGUUGUUGUUGUUGUUGUUGUUGUUGUUUUGAAAUCAUAGCCAGAACCCCGCAAAAAUAAAAUCAUAGCCAAAAAAUCAUCUUUUAAAAAUUUAGUGCUCAAUUUUUUUAAGUCUUUGAUUUUUCUUUCAGAAUUCUAUGUGCAAAGUUUAUUGAAUGCCACUUUAAAAUUCUAGCCCAUGUAGUUGCAUAGGUCGAUGACUAGUUAUUAAUAAUGCACUAAGUGAAUGUGAAAUUCAUACCCUGGCUGCUGCCUUGUAGGAGCAUACAGGCAACUAACGUAAUUCAAUUAAGUCCAUAAAAAACUUGUAAUGGGAUUCAGAUUACAAAUGAAUUACAAGAAUAAGUAAACGAAAGUCUGCUGGGCUUCUACUUGAAAGGUACAAUAAAUAUUGAGGCUGAAUUUUGCGGUUUCUGAAUUGUGAUGUAAUGUGCUAACUUUAAAAUCUAUUAUGCAAAAUUAGUUAUACUAGUAAGUAAGCCGUGUGUUGGUAUGAACAGAUAUACAUACAUAGGGAGAAUAUUAUUGUCUGUAGAGAGAAUAUUAUCAUGGCGUGGCACGGAGGCGUGUGGUGGUGGCGAUGGCGUGAUAGACAUGUUGUGUCAAGAAAUGGUAUAUCACUCAUCGCAUUGUAGACCAAAACCGGGCACGGCUAUGUACCGCCUACUGCAAGCGCACGGUCGGUUCACCUAUAGGGCGCCGGUGGAAGGUUGGCUCAGUAGGACGUGGCUUGUCAUGCUAACAUCAUGCUGAUGUCACCUGAAUUUCUUGUUUCUCCGCUUUACUUUGAUUUACAUUUAAAUUAAUUGCAUAUAUAUCAGAACUAAUAUUCACUGAUAAAUUUAUAAAACUUAAUAUGAAAAACUGUUAGCAUAAUAUAAAAAUUGUUAGCACGGUUUUACAAAAUGUUCAUAACUUUCAAAAAAAACAAGACUAAAAAAUAUGUUUGCGUAAUGUAAAAAAAGUUUCAUGCCAUUUAAAAAAUGUAUAUCUGAUAGGAUGGAAAUAGCUUCACAAAAAUGUUAUAUCCAAAUAUAAAAAAAUGUUCGCAGAGGUUGAAAAUUGUAUCAUGACAUUUUAACUAAAUAUUUUCAUGUUUCAAAAAAAUGUCCGUGAAAUUUCGAAAAUAUUUAUACAAUGUAAAAAUGUCCACGUAGUUUUUAAAAUGUUUAUUGCUAUUUAAAAAUAUACAAUGUGUAUUUUUCAAACAAUGUUAGCAUGUAUUUCGAACAUGUAUUUUUCAAAAAUGUAUAUCAUGUAUUUGAAAAAUGUCCAAUGUUUACUAAAAAAUCGUUUCUGCUUUAAAGACGUACACUGUGUGCUGAAAAAAAGUAAAUAUGUGUUGAGAAAAAAAAGAUGAAGACCAACAAAAAACGAAAGAAAAAACCAAAGAAAGAAGAAAAAUAACCAAAAGUAUAACAAAGAAAGAAAAAAAACAAAGAAAAUCAGUGAAAAAACAAAAUAUAUUAACAAAGGGGGGAAGAAAAAUCAAAGAAAAACUAGUAAAAAAAUAAACACAGUGAGAAAAAGAAAAGAAAAGGUAAAAACAAAGAAAACCAGAGCAAGCAACCGAACCUACAAUAAAGCGUUAGCGGCAGUGAACGGUUGCGCGAAUGGACAUGUCCAAGUCGCUUGUCCGUAGGCGAUCCAUAUUUCCUAAUAGGAAUCGGUACGGGCGAGACAUAGGCUUGGAGCAACGCCAAUGAUGCUCCCACAAACAACUACAAGGGGCACACGGCUGCCCAUGCGAGUGGUUAACCAACAUUGGUACUCCAGGAGUCGGGUCGGCUCGGAGAGCACCCGUGAGUGAUUCAUUGUGGCGGAACGACGGGGCAGGCGGAGACCAUCCAGUGAGAGGAGACCCAAGCCCUGGUCGGCGUCCGUCGUUAUAUAAUGAUAACACGCUUAACGAGAUUUGGGUAUUUGAUCUGAGAUUACCAUUGUCAUAUACGCACUAACCGUCGUGCGGGUUAAUGGUUAUGCGGCCCUCGAAGCAGUUAGUUCCUCUCAAAAGCUUUGUCAGAUGUAACAGUUCAGAGACGCUGGCUGAUUGUUGGGGUGAGCAGAAACUACUUGCUGUGUAUACAGAGGUGGGCUUGGUCGCCAGCCAGUCUCAUAACGUGCCCGGAGCGGGUUGGGUGAGCGGCCAAACAACACUUUCACGCUUAGGAUGUAGACUGGCGAGUCACCUAUUUGGAGAGCCUAGGUACGACUUUAGCGUGCUGAUUAUCCGAGGCCGGGCAUUACCCAGAAAAUUGUGUCCGACCAAAGGUAAUCGAGUGUAUCAGGUUAUGUAGUGCACCCCUGUAGGGAAUAUAAACUAUUCGAAUAGCUGUGUCCAUGGUAACAGGACGACUCGGAGUUGUCUCCCGACCUCUUACAAUUAAAACUGGAUGCUCGCUAAAGUACACCAAGAUAAUAGACAGGAAUACCUGCUUUCUCACAGGAAGACAAGGAAAGGAUCUCACGCUCCUCUCUUCUGUUGUUGCAAGAUGCUGGUAGUCUUUGUUAAGUUGAUAUUAUCCUCUUUAUUCUCGCAUUCUGCAGUAUAGUCCAAAGAUAUAGCUCCAUUCCUUUGAUACCAAUUUAUAUCUAGUGUAGAUCUGAUAUAAGUCUUGCGAGUACUUUGGAUGAGUACUCAUUGUUGCUUUGCUAUUCUCUUCAUUCAAUCUGGUUGCUGCAACAGCUGGUAGCCCCGAGGAUGCAGCUAGUUCCGAUGGUGCUUACUACGUGGAGACCGAUGUCGACGAGUAGUUUGGAGGUCCCAGGCAUGAGACCUGCGCCUUUUUGAUCUAGUAUCGUUGUUUUGCUCAACCUUCUUAUGGUAAAAACUUUUUAACUCGCAUGUACCAGGACUUAUGUUGUUUGUUGACUGUUGUAUUAUGGAUCCUCGUGGGAUUUACGUUUAAUUCGUGUCAUAGAGUUGUGUUGUGAUAUUAACAUGAAGUCAUCGUUCGUGAUCGUGGAUGAUGCAUGUAUGAUUAGUGCGCGAUUAUGAAUGGGGCCAUUACCCGGCGUGAAUAACGUCUCACAUAACACAUACAGUGCGUGGCAGCCAACCGGGAGAGCUAUAUCUCGCUCAUAGCGAGACGGAAGAAGCUCUCGCCUGAAGCAUCUGUAGUAGUGGGCCGGCCCAUUAGAACACUCUUAAAAUAAGACGCAGUCCACCGUGAGGAGAGAAAUAGAGAAAAAGAGUGCCAGUUAGGGAUUGAACUCUGUUUGUUGCCAUCUAGAGUUGCUCGCCAUUGAGCAACUGUCAGAUUUGUGGAAGAAUAGAAGGCACGAACUACCUGAGGAAAAGGAACCGUUCUUUCCACUGUCAGGUCUAUUUAAUUUUUUUUAUUUCUUCAUUUUUUUCAACAGUUUUCUUCUUUACUUUUCUCUGUUUUCGCUGGUUUUUUCCCUUUCCUUUCUUUUUUUCUUCAUUUUUCUUCCGUUUUCAUGGUUUCUUUCUUGGUUUUCACUGCCUUUUUUUUUCAUUCCCAUCCCUUUUCUUAGGUUUUUUGUUUCUUUCUCGUUUAUCAUUGGUUUCUUUUUUCAAGUACACAUGCAACAAAUUUUUAAUACCUCAGAAACAUUUUCUGUAUACACGUUUAACAUUAUUGGAAUACAUGAUCAACUUUUUUUUUGAAAACUUGAUGUCUAUUUUUGUCAUACAUGUUCUACAUUUUUGUAUAUAUCUAAUACAUGCUUAAUAUUUUACAAAUACAAGUUUAACAUUUUUUUAGAACAUGGUCAACACUGUUUCCGUAUACACUUUAAACUUUUUUCAAAUGCUUGAUUAAUAUUUUUUCAAUACAAGAUUAAUAGUUUUGAAAUACAUGUCGGUAUUUUUCCUAUACAUUUUGAACAAUUUGAAAUGCUUGAUUAACAUUUGAAAUACAUGAUUAACAUGUUUUCCAAAUACUUGAUUAACAUUUCAAAUAUAAGAUUAAUAGUUUCUUUUAAUAAAUGGUCAAAAAAUUAUAUACGUUUUGAAACGUUUGACUAAAAUUUGAAAUACAUGAUUAACAUUUCAAACACAAGAUUAAUAGUUUCUUUCAAUAAUACAUGGUCAGCCCAAUUAUCAGCCCAAUUAUCUCGCCUGGUCGGCUUGGCCAGACGAAUAGUACAUUUCAAAAGAAGAAAAAAGACAGACGAAUGCUUCUCCGUUCAACAGUCAACUCAAAGCUGAGGUCCUGAGCACGUACAUGAACACAAGGAUUUUUCUCUACUCGUGCCUCAUGGCGUGAACUGGUCUAUUGCUCACGUGUGUCACUGAUUAAUUCAUGUUCGGACGGAGCAGGAAGAAGAUUGAUCAUCAUAGUAAGUAUUUUGUUCAUAAUAUGGUCGAUCGUCCUGCUAAUCCGGUGCAGACAGGACGCAAUCAGGGUAGCAGCAAGCCUGUGUGGGCUAAUGCUCACUGUGAACAGACGACACUGGUAACUUGCCGGCUGCUGCAAAGGCCCGCAUAACACACACGGCACUAUGAGUCCCUGACGUGUAGGCAAAAUGCAACGUGUUUUCUUAUAAAAUGACAAGAGGGUUAGACAGCUAACGUAUCAGCUUCUAGCCACACACGCCACGCGGUGGGAAAUUUCUCAGCUACGACUGGCCAACCAACCAAGUCCUCUCGUUGCUCCAAGUCUUAUCAGCAUCUCGUCCUGGCCAAACAAAAUGAGAACACCGCCCGGUGCCCGCCAGAAAACCGGCUAAGGAAAGUCCGUCUAGUAUAGCUCCUCGCUGCAAAGCUCAAUGGCCUUGCAUCUGGCUUGCGGCAUGGGGUGCUGCUUCUCUCGGUUGGACGGCCGGCGCCGAAGGCUACUCGUCAUGGGGAGACGCCAGCGUCAGGGGCAGCUACUGUCCGGAACUACAUCGAGUGGGAUGGUAAGCUAAGGUGUACGUACGUACUAUCAUUUCCGAAACUUGAUUUUCAUUCUUAUGCACCUGCUGGGUCAUUCAUUGUUCGCACAACUAAUUAAUCAGGCUUAGCGGCUACUCGUCAGGAACGUCCGCCACCCGCGGAGUCCCGCCGUCGAGCCGCACCAUCGCAAGCCGAGGAGCACCGCUGCCACCCACCGACGCCCAAGCAGAGGGAGGCCACACACGGGGACAGGCAGGCUCGCCGCUGCCGGCACCACGCGCGCAGGCGGCGGCGGGAGGAGGGAGGAGCGCUGGGGGGAACGGGAAAGGGGCCCCCAGUCGCCUCGCUCGGGGAGGCGACGCGGGGGUAUGGGGGAGGGAGGGGGUGGGGGCCGCGAGCGAGAGCUAGCGGUAGUCCUGGCCAUGGGAAGCCCGGCCCGGCCGACCCGGGCCGGGCUCGGGCCUAGUUUUUGAGCCCGAAGGCCGGGCCCGGGCCCGUCGUUUUCCAUUUUUCUGAAGGUCGGGCCGGCCCGGCCCGAAGCCCGAUGGGCUUUUACGUGCUCGGGCCGGGAUCGGGCCCAGAAACACAGGCCCGAUGGCCGGGCCGGGCCCGGGCCUGAGUUUUUUGUGUCGGGCCCGGCCCGAGGUUUGGCCAGGUAUAGCUAGCGGCGGUGCGCGCCGGUGGCUACCCGCGACGGGGAGCCGGCGGCGGCGUAGGAGGAACCCUAGGGAGGGGAGCGCUCAGGGAGCCAGACGCUCUGUCCAGUUAUGCAUGUUAUCUGACACCUUUUGUGAGAGAGAAAAGAUGGACACAUUUAUGACAUAACAUUUAAAUACGCCUCACUCUUAUAUGGAGGGGCAAUUAAUAUAAGUAAUGAGACAACUACAUAUAACCGUUGUUUUUACUAUUAACCUUGCAUUUAGGCUGGAUUAACGAGCUGCUCGGCUUGUUAUCAUUAAGCUCAUUAUUGUUAAGCUCGUUAGCAUUAAGCUUGUUAAUAUUAACGAGCUAAAACCUCUGUUCAACUCGGUUCGUUAUGGACUCGUUAUGCUCGCGAGUAUUCACGAGUGCUCGUUAAUGUAUUGAACAACAUAGAAGAAUCCCAUGAUCCCAUAAAAAAAAUCACAAUUGACUAAAUUAAACAAGAACGUUAAGAUAAUAAACAACCCAGAAGAAUGCCAUGAUCCCAUAAAAAAUUCACGACGGCAUAAAAUAAAUAAGGAUGUUUGGUUCCCUGCGGCUGGCUCCUGGUUGACUCUAGGGUCUCCUGGCUGCUAGCUACUAGGUCUAGGAGAAGUGUUGAAGCUGGGUUGAUUUGAACUAGGCAUAUCAUGUCAAACUUUUGAAAAUUAGUUAGCUCAUGAAACUCGUUUGCUCACUCGUUAAGCUCGUUAAUCUUAACAAGCAAAAAACAUUCAGCCUGGUUCAUUAACUAACAAGCAACGAGCCGAACUAUCGAGCGCUCAUUAUGCUCACGAGCUUCGACCUUUUCGUCCAGCCUACUUUACCGUGAAAAAAAAACUUGCAAUGAUUUAGCAGAGCUUCGUUUUUUCUUUUACCUGUCGUCCCGUGCGUAUGUACAACGCGCAUGGCCAUGACGUCAGCUGGUUACGGGGUAAAAAAGGCGUAGCCAUAUGAGAGAAGAACAAAAGCCAGCCUCUUAGUAUUUGCGUUAAUUAGAUAUAUAGCGAGGUGCAUGUUAGAAAAGUUUUUGUCUCUUUGCAGGCAGAAGGGAUACUAGUAGAAACGAGAACGGUAGAAAAUCGCUUUCAUUCCAAUAGGCACUCAAUUCCCAUUUCGCUAGCUAUGUCAGAAAGCAGAAAAAGAAAGAAAGAAAAAAUGCACCGACGGAGUUACCCCUUUACGCAGCCACUCUUGUUAAAAGGCAUCUUUGCAAACCCUAGCUUAGCAGCAAACACCCUCCGCUUUCCAUUGCCGAUCGACCAGCAAAGCAAAAGCAAGAGGGCGACGACGAUGCGGAGGCUUGGCGUCGGCGCAGCAAUCGCAGGAGCCGGUCUGUCAGCUACCUUCUCCUCUCAUUCCAUUUCCGCCGCCCUUCCCUGCCUCCAACGUUGUUUUGCUGCUGGUUAUUAGUAUACUGUAUACUCCCAGAUCUGCUGGAGUAACUUGAUUGAUGUGUGGGUGGAUUCCCAGAUCUGGCUUGUUCGUAGCUGUCUAGCUACUUCCCUCUAAUUGUUUUUUGUCCUGCAAUUGGGAGCGAAUAGUUGGAGACGACAGAUCCCUCUUUCUCCAGCGAAGAAGAAGACAUUUCUAUCAAGGCAAUUACUGGAGAGAUAGUUUUCCGAUGCAUACUGCAUCAAUCUUUAUUUCACUUGAUUUUGAUGCACUUUUCUGCUACGUAUACAUGGGAUCAAUCGAUUCGGGCAAAUUUCGUGAUAUAUUUACGGUCAAAUAGUGCACAAGACAACCACGAUGUUCGAUAUAUACGGGAAUGGAUCGGUUGCGUUAGGGUGCUGAGCGUAACAGCACCGCCAGAUGUCAGAGUAUGGAAGUGGGGAACGAUGAAGGAAAACAACGAUUAAUAGUUCGGUACAGAGUAUAAACACGAGAGGUAUGUACGUGAGGAUGGAGCACACACUCAGGCCUUGUUAGUUUAAUCCUCCUCCCAAAGGGAUUGAAGAGGAUUUUGGCUUGUAGAGGAUUUAAUCCCCCUCAAUCCCUUCCAAUCCCCUUCAAAAUCCACCUCAACCGAACAAGGCCUCAUGCAGAUGAAGCCUAGCUAGAGUACGCAUGCAUAUGUGUCAGUAUAUGCAUAGCCAGAACGCAUACACGGCCGGGUGCGUGUGCGUUGCCGUCAUGCAUGUGUACCUAUAGUAUGCAAAAACACCUGCAUAGAGUAUGUAGUUUCAAGCCAACCAGCCUCUGUCAUCGAUUUCCAUCAAAGAAAACAAAAUUAUCCCAGGAAGUAUGUAAACAGCGGACGUGAGCACUGCACAAUGAGAACACACUACUAUAGGACACACUCACACUCCACAAAGAAAUGUCCAAUGAAGCAUGAACGAAGAUCAUUGUAUGAACAGAAAUGCCCCGAGGAGGUUGCUGUACGUCACCCUUAUUCGCAUCAUAGGGUUCCAAUCGUGGCUUCACAUGUACGCCUCCCUCUUCACCUUAAUUAAUCACACCUCUUCAAUUGUUUUUUUUUUAUCCCGUCCUUUUGCAAAAUGCUCCGGCUGUUAAGAUCAGGGAAAAAUUCAAUCCAUAUUUACUUGUCACGAAUUUAAUACAAAUUUGUACUGAAGCUGUGACAAGUAAUAUGGAUCGGAGGGACUACUAGAGAACAUCAGUAGGAUCAUAAAGCAAACCCCAUUCCUAUCUUUCGAUAUAACGAGUAUAUUGCUACCCCCACCACGGAGGAACAGUUUACGACGCACCAUUGGAAAGGAUUGGAUCCAGUCUGCCAGUAAGUCUUUAACGUCGUCAUGUGGUCUAUUGAGACCUAAGGCACAUAGUAUCACCUGCCAAACAAGUCUCGCCAAGCUGCAGCCUAAGCACGGAUGUUUCACUGUUUUGAUUUGCCCACAAAAUUUGGCAUUGUUCAUUUCCAGUGCACCCCCUUUUCACCAAAUUAUCUUUGGUUAAUAUGCUAUUUUAAGCAUCAGCCACAACAAUAUCCUGAUCUUAAGGACAAGGAGGGGUCUUCAGCUUCUAGAUGAAUUUGUAUCCCACCAACGUAGUAGUCUUCAAGUGCAAAUACAGUCCAUACGGGGCUGUUUGGUUUGGCACCGUCGCCAUCCCUGCCAAAACAUGGGCGUUGAGCGAGGCUUCGCCUGGUGUUUGGAUGAGAUCCAAAAUUUUGGCACGUCAGCGCACCUUCACUUUUCCCAUGUAGUUUUACGCCAAUUCGUUGGCUGGGCGAGGGCGGAUGAAUCGCUCGCCAAUUUUUUGACACGCCCACGGCGCCUAUGAUUUGGCAAGGCGCACAUGGGCAUGAACCAAACAGCCCCUAUAUACCAAAUAUUUUAUAUUUAAAGGGACAGAACAACAUAGACCCUCUCUUUGCACCAUAACUGUAGGGCUGGAUUAACGAUCUACUAGGCUCGUUCGGCUCGUUAUCAUUAAGCUCAUUAUUGUUAAGCUUGUUAUCAUUAAACUCGUUAAUAUUAAUAAGUUAAAAUUUCUGUUCAGCUCGGUUCGUUAUGGGCUCAUUAUGCUCGUGAGUGUUUACGAGUGCUCAUUAAGGUAAUAAACAACACAGAAGAAUCAUAUGAUCCAAAAAGUUCACAAUGAAAUAAAUUAAACAAAGACGUUAAGGUAAUAAACAACAUUGAAGAAUCCCAUGAGCCAGACAGAAGAUGUUGUUUGCCGUGAUUCUUCUCAAUAGAAUUCAGCUGUUUAUAUACAGCUCGUACAACUUCAGUUACACAUCAAGAGAUGGUGGAUAAUUAAGAGUGAAGUCUCUAGACCUUCUAUAUAGCACUAAGCCAUAAUGCUAGAGCACUAACGUAAUACAGCUAACACACCCCCUGUCGUGGUUCUAAGCCUGACAGUAGAGUGGGGGGUAGGUAUGGAGAGGCAAGGUCCUAGCUAUGGAGAGGUUGUAAACACAAAGGAUGUACGAGUUCAGGCCCUUCUCGGAGGAAGUAAUAGCCCUACGUCUCGGAGCCCGGAGGCGGUCGAGUGGAUUAUGAGUAUAUGAGUUACAAGAUGCCGAACCCCUCUACCUGUGGAGGGGGGUGGCUUAUAUAGAGUGCGCCAGGACCCCAGCCAGCCCACGUAGGAGAGGGUUUAAGGUGAGUUAAGUCCGGGGCGUUACUGGUAACGCCCCACAUAAUAGUGUCUUUACUAUCAUAAAGCCUACUUAAUUACAGGCCGUUGCAGUGCAGAGUGCCUCUUGACCUCCUGGUGGUCGAGUGAGUCUUCGUGGUCGAGUCCUUCAGUUCAGUCGAGUGAGUCCUUCGUUGGUCGACUGGAAGGCGACCUCUUCUAAGGGUGUCCUUGGGUAAGGUACUUAGAUCAGGUCCAUGACCCUACCCUAGGUACAUGACCCCAUCACCCCCUCAAUCUCAACCGCCAGACACAAGAUUGAGAUUGCGACGACACCGGUCUAGCAUAAGCUUCGUGCAUGGCUUGGUGAAGAUAUCCGCGACCUGAUCUUUUGAAGCUAUGAACCGGACCUCUAGAGCCCCUAGUGCCACCUUCUCUCGGACAAAGUGGAAGUCGACCUCGAUGUGUUUUGUCCUUGCAUGAAAUACAGGGUUCGCUGUAAGAUAGGUAGCUCCGAGGUUGUCACACCAUAGAACUGGAGGGCGCGUUUGCGAGAUGCGCAACUCUUUGAGUAAUGAUUGUACCCAAGUAACUUCAGCAGUCCCAUUUGCCAACGCCUUGUACUCUGCUUCUGUAGAUGAGCGUGACACGGUUGACUGUUUCCGUGCGCUCCAAGAAAUUAAGGUUGGCCCAAAGAAGACCUCAAAGCCACCGGUUGAGCGCCGAUCAUCAACACAUCCAGCCCAAUCCGCGUCUGUAAAAACGCUCAAGAGUGUAGACGGUGAUCUCCGUAUAUUGAGUCCAGAGGAUAUUGUCCCUUUGACAUAGCGGAGAAUUCGUUUUACAGCCUCCCAAUGGACCUUGGUUGGUUGAGCCAAGAACUGGCAAACCUUGUUAACAGCGAACGAAAUGUCGGGUCUGGUGAGUGUCAAGUAUUGCAGACCGCCAACAAUAUUGCAGCAGACAAAGGCAUCCUCAUCAUUGAGUGCUUCGCCAACGUCGCGUGAUAACUUUUCUUGCACAUUCAUGGGGGUUGAUACUGGCUUGCAAUUUUCCAUGUGUGUGCGAAGAAGAAGGUCGGUAGCAUAUUUCUUCUGAGUAAGACUGAGCCCCCCAGAAUCGGAAGCCACUUCAAUGCCCAAGAAAUACCGCAAUGGCCCAAGGUCCUUCACCGGGAAGGACUGGGCUAGCUGAUCCAAUAGACGCCGAAUAGUAGUCGGGCAUGAACUAGCGAUGAUGAUGUCAUCGACGUAGACGAGCAUAUACAUGGUGAUGCCGGCAUGAGCGAAGAUGAAGAAGGACCUAUCUGCUGCUGCAUACUACAACAAGAUGAAGGGCUACGCCGAUGCUAUGGCGUCAGUUGGCAAGCCCAUCUCCGAUGAGGAGGUUCUUGGCUACAUGCUCGCUGGUCUGGGCUCAGAAUAUGAGCCCCUUGUUGCUUCAAUCACGGCACGUGAUGAGCCAGUGAGCCUCGCUAGCUUCUAUGCGUAUUUGCUUAGCGCCGAGCUUCAUCUUGAGCAGCAGACUUCAAUCGGCGAGAUCUUCUCCUCCGCCAAUGCAGCAGCUCGCGGUGGAGGUCGUGGUGGCCAGGGGCAGGGCCGUGGCCGUGGAGGCCGCAGCCGCAACAAACCCACCUGCCAAGUCUGCCAGAAGUAUGGUGUAUGCUACCAACCUUCUUCUUCUGGUUGGAGAGCAUGUAGCGGAUUUGCAUCACAUGUGCACGAUUUUGCGAGGAAAACAUCAUGUGCAUGUUGGGGAACGUUGCAGAAAAUUAAAAAUUUUUCUACGGUUUCACCAAGAUCCAUCUAUGAGUUCAUCUAAACAACGAGUCAUGGGAGAGAGAUUGCAUCUACAUACCACUUGUAGAUCGCGAGCAGAAGCUUGCACGGUGAUGGUGGAGUCGUAUUCGACGUGAUUCAAAUCACCGAUGACCAAGUGCUGAAUGGACAGCACCUCCGCGUUCAACACACGUACGGUACGGGCGACGUCUCCUCCUUCUUGAUCCAGCAAGGGGAAGGAGAGGUUGAGGAAGAUGGCUCCAGCAGCAGCACGACGGCGUGAUGAUGGUGGAGUGACAGUUCUCCGACAGGGCUUCGCCAAGCACACGCGGAGGAGGAGAGGUGUUGGGGAGGGGAGGGGCUGCGCCUUCAAUGGUGUUUUGCAGCCCUCCCCUCGCCCCUCUAUUUAUAGGGGAAGGGAGAAGGGGGUCGGCCCCUCUAGAUGCAUCUAGAGGGGGGGCGGCGGCCAAGGGGAGGGGGGACUUGCCCCCCAAGCAAGGGGGGCGCCCCCUCUAGGGUUCCCCCCUCAACCCUAGGCGCAAGGGCCCAAGGGAGGGGGUGCGCCCAGCCCACCAGGGGCUGGCCAACUUGUUGGGGAAUGUUGCAGAAAAUUAAAAAUUUUCCUACGGUUUCACCAAGAUCCUGUUGGGGAACGUUGCAGAAAAUUAAAAUUUUUCCUACGGUUUCACCAAGAUCCAUCUAUGAGUUCAUCUAAGCAACGAGUCUAGGGAGAGAGUUUGCAUCUACAUACCACUUGUAGAUCGCGUGCGGAAGCUUGCAAGGUGAUGAUGUAGUCGUACUCGACGUGAUCCAAAUCACCGAUGACCAGCGCCGAACGGACGGCACCUCCGCGUUCAACACACGUACGGGACGGGAGACGUCUCCUCCUUCUUGAUCCAGCAAGGGGGAAGGAGAGGUUGAUGAAGAUCCAGCAGCACGACGGCGUGGUGGUGGAUGCAGGGCAUCACAGCAGCAGGGCUUCGCCGAGACUACGAGGGAGAGACGUAACGGGGGGAGGUGGAGGCGCCAGGGGCUGGUGUNNNNNNNNNNNNNNNNNNNNNNNNNNNNNNNNNNNNNNNNNNNNNNNNNNNNNNNNNNNNNNNNNNNNNNNNNNNNNNNNNNNNNNNNNNNNNNNNNNNNNNNNNNNNNNNNNNNNNNNNNNNNNNNNNNNNNNNNNNNNNNNNNNNNNNNNNNNNNNNNNNNNNNNNNNNNNNNNNNNNNNNNNNNNNNNNNNNNNNNNNNNNNNNNNNNNNNNNNNNNNNNNNNNNNNNNNNNNNNNNNNNNNNNNNNNNNNNNNNNNNNNNNNNNNNNNNNNNNNNNNNNNNNNNNNNNNNNNNNNNNNNNNNNNNNNNNNNNNNNNNNNNNNNNNNNNNNNNNNNNNNNNNNNNNNNNNNNNNNNNNNNNNNNNNNNNNNNNNNNNNNNNNNNNNNNNNNNNNNNNNNNNNNNNNNNNNNNNNNNNNNNNNNNNNNNNNNNNNNNNNNNNNNNNNNNNNNNNNNNNNNNNNNNNNNNNNNNNNNNNNNNNNNNNNNNNNNNNNNNNNNNNNNNNNNNNNNNNNNNNNNNNNNNNNNNNNNNNNNNNNNNNNNNNNNNNNNNNNNNNNNNNNNNNNNNNNNNNNNNNNNNNNNNNNNNNNNNNNNNNNNNNNNNNNNNNNNNNNNNNNNNNNNNNNNNNNNNNNNNNNNNNNNNNNNNNNNNNNNNNNNNNNNNNNNNNNNNNNNNNNNNNNNNNNNNNNNNNNNNNNNNNNNNNNNNNNNNNNNNNNNNNNNNNNNNNNNNNNNNNNNNNNNNNNNNNNNNNNNNNNNNNNNNNNNNNNNNNNNNNNNNNNNNNNNNNNNNNNNNNNNNNNNNNNNNNNNNNNNNNNNNNNNNNNNNNNNNNNNNNNNNNNNNNNNNNNNNNNNNNNNNNNNNNNNNNNNNNNNNNNNNNNNNNNNNNNNNNNNNNNNNNNNNNNNNNNNNNNNNNNNNNNNNNNNNNNNNNNNNNNNNNNNNNNNNNNNNNNNNNNNNNNNNNNNNNNNNNNNNNNNNNNNNNNNNNNNNNNNNNNNNNNNNNNNNNNNNNNNNNNNNNNNNNNNNNNNNNNNNNNNNNNNNNNNNNNNNNNNNNNNNNNNNNNNNNNNNNNNNNNNNNNNNNNNNNNNNNNNNNNNNNNNNNNNNNNNNNNNNNNNNNNNNNNNNNNNNNNNNNNNNNNNNNNNNNNNNNNNNNNNNNNNNNNNNNNNNNNNNNNNNNNNNNNNNNNNNNNNNNNNNNNNNNNNNNNNNNNGAAAUAUAAUAAUACUUUUAUUAUUGCCUCUAGGGCAUAUUUCCAACAGUCUCCCACUUGCACUAGAGUCACCAAUCUAGUUACAUUGUGAUGAAACGAACACCCAUAGAGUUCUGGUGUUGAUCAUGUUUUGCACGCGAGAGAGGUUUAGUCAGCGGAUCUGCGACAUUCAGAUCCGUGUGCACUUUGCAAAUCUCUAUGUCUCCAUCUUGAACAUUUUCACGGAUGGAGUUGAAACGACGCUUGAUGUGCCUGGUCUUCUUGUGAAACCUGGGCUCCUUUGCGAGGGCAAUAGCUCCAGUGUUGUCACAGAAGAGUUUGAUCGGCCCCGACGCAUUGGGUAUGACUCCUAGGUCGGUGAUGAACUCCUUCACCCAAAUCGCUUCAUGUGCUGCCUCCGAGGCUGCCAUGUACUCCGCUUCACACGUAGAUCCCGCCAGGACACUCUGCUUGCAGCUGCACCAGCUUAUUGCUCCACCAUUCAACAUAUACACGUAUCCGGUUUGUGACUUAGAGUCAUCCAGAUCUGAGUCGAAGCUAGCGUCAACGUAACCCUUUACGACGAGCUCUUCGUCUCCUCCAUAAACGAGAAACAUGUCCUUUGUCCUUUUCAGGUACUUUAGGAUAUUCUUGAUCGCUGUCCAGUGUUCCUUGCCGGGAUUACUUUGUUAUCUUGCUACCAAACUUACGGCAAGGUUUACAUCGGGUCUGGUACACAGCAUGGCAUACAUAAUAGAUCCUAUGGCUGAAGCAUAGGGGAUGACACUCAUCUCUUCUUUAUCUUUUGCCGUGGUCGGUGACUGAGCUGAGCUCAGUCUCAGACCUUGUAACAUAGGCAAGAACCCCUUCUUGGACUGAUCCAUUCUGAAUCUCUUCAAAAUCUUAUCAAGGUAUGUGCUUUGUGAAAGACCUAUGAGGCGUCUCGAUCUAUCUCUAUAGAUCUUGAUGCCUAAUAUAUAAGCAGCUUCUCCAAGGUCCUUCAUUGAAAAACACUUAUUCAAGUAGGCCUUAAUGCUGUCCAGAAAUUCUAUAUUAUUUCCCAUCAGGAGUAUGUCAUCUACAUAUAAUAUGAGAAAUGCUACAGAGCUCCCACUCACUUUCUUGUAAACGCAGGCUUCUCCAUAAGUCUGCAUAAACCCAAACGCUUUGAUCAUCUCANNNNNNNNNNUGCCCGAGACUUGAUCGUCGGUAUCCCAAUACCUUGUUCAGUCUCGUUACCGGCAAGUCACUUUACUCGUACCGUAAUGCAUGAUCCCGUGUCCAACACCUUGGUCACAUUGAGCUCAUUAUGAUGAUGCAUUACCGAGUGGGCCCAGAGAUACCUCUCCGUCAUACGGAGUGACAAAUCCCAGUCUCGAUCCGUGUCAACCCAACAGCUACUUUCGGAGAUACCUGUAAUGCACCUUUAUAGUCACCCAGUUACGUUGUGACGUUUGAUACACCCAAGGCACUCUUACGGUAUCCGGGAGUUACACGAUCUCAUGGUCGAAGGAAGAGAUACUUGACACUUGCAAAGCUCUAGCAAAACGAACUACACGAUCUUUUAUGCUAUGCUUAGGAUUGGGUCUUGACCAUCACAUCAUUCUCCUAAUGAUGUGAUCCCGUUAUCAACGACAUCCAAUGUCCAUAGUCAGGAAACCAUGACUAUCUGUUGAUCACAACGAGCUGGUCAACUAGAGGCUUACCAGGGACAUAGUGUGGUCUAAGUAUUCACACGUGUAUUACGAUUUCCGGAUAAUACAGUUAUAGCAUGAAUAAAAGACAAUUAUCAUGAACAAAGAAAUAUAAUAAUACUUUUAUUAUUGCCUCUAGGGCAUAUUUCCAACAGUCUCCCACUUGCACUAGAGUCACCAAUCUAGUUACAUUGUGAUGAAACGAACACCCAUAGAGUUCUGGUGUUGAUCAUGUUUUGCACGCGAGAGAGGUUUAGUCAGCGGAUCUGCGACAUUCAGAUCCGUGUGCACUUUGCAAAUCUCUAUGUCUCCAUCUUGAACAUUUUCACGGAUGGAGUUGAAACGACGCUUGAUGUGCCUGGUCUUCUUGUGAAACCUGGGCUCCUUUGCGAGGGCAAUAGCUCCAGUGUUGUCACAGAAGAGUUUGAUCGGCCCCGACGCAUUGGGUAUGACUCCUAGGUCGGUGAUGAACUCCUUCACCCAAAUCGCUUCAUGUGCUGCCUCCGAGGCUGCCAUGUACUCCGCUUCACACGUAGAUCCCGCCACGACGCUCUGCUUGCAGCUGCACCAGCUUACUGCUCCACCAUUCAACAUAUACACGUAUCCGGUUUGUGACUUAGAGUCAUCCGGAUCUGAGUCGAAGCUAGCGUCGACGUAACCCUUUACGACGAGCUCUUCGUCUCCUCCAUAAACGAGAAACAUGUCCUUUGUCCUUUUUAGGUACUUUAGGAUAUUCUUGACCGCUGUCCAGUGUUCCUUGCCGGGAUUACUUUGGUAUCUUGCUACCAAACUUACGGCAAGGUUUACAUCGGGUCUGGUACACAGCAUGGCAUACAUAAUAGAUCCUAUGGCUGAAGCAUAGGGGAUGACACUCAUCUCUUCUUUAUCUUUUGCCGUGGUCGGUGACUGAGCUGAGCUCAGUCUCAUACCUUGUAACAUAGGCAAGAACCCCUUCUUGGACUGAUCCAUUCUGAAUCUCUUCAAAAUCUUAUCAAGGUAUGUACUUUGUGAAAGACCUAUGAGGCGUCUCGAUCUAUCUCUAUAGAUCUUGAUGCCUAAUAUAUAAGCAGCUUCUCCAAGGUCCUUCAUUGAAAAACACUUAUUCAAGUAGGCCUUAAUGCUGUCCAGAAAUUCUAUAUUAUUUCCCAUCAGGAGUAUGUCAUCUACAUAUAAUAUGAGAAAUGCUAUAGAGCUCCCACUCACUUUCUUGUAAACGCAGGCUUCUCCAUAAGUCUGCAUAAACCCAAACGCUUUGAUCAUCUCAUCAAAGCGAAUGUUCCAACUCCGAGAUGCUUGCACCAGUCCAUAAAUGGAUCGCUGGAGCUUGCAUACUUUGUUAGCGUUCUGAGGAUCGACAAAACCUUCCGGCUGCAUCAUAUACAGUUCUUCCUUAAGAUGCCCGUUAAGGAAUGCUGUUUUGACGUCCAUCUGCCAUAUCUCAUAAUCAUAGUAUGCGGCAAUUGCUAACAUGAUUCGGACGGACUUUAGCUUCGCUACGGGAGAGAAUGUCUCGUCGUAGUCAAUCCCUUGAACCUGUCGAUAACCCUUAGCAACAAGUCGAGCUUUAUAGAUGGUAACAUUACCAUCCGCGUCCGUCUUCUUCUUAAAGAUCCAUUUGUUUUCUAUCGCUCGCCGAUCAUCGGGCAAGUCUGUCAAAGUCCAUACUUUGUUUUCAUACAUGGAUUCUAUCUCGGAUUUCAUGGCUUCAAGCCAUUUGUUGGAAUCCGGGCCCGCCAUUGCUUCUUCAUAGUUCGAAGGUUCAUUGUUGUCUAACAACAUGAUUUCCAGGACAGGGUUGCCGUACCACUCUGGUGCGGAACGUGUCCUUGUGGACCUACGAAGUUCAGCAGUAACUUGAUCCGAAGUACCUUGAUCAUUAUCAUGGUUUUCCUCUUCAGUUGCUGUGGGCAUCACAGGAACGGUUUCCUGUGCUGCGUCACUAUCCCGCUCAAGAGGUAGUACUUCAUCGAGUUCUACUUUCCUCCCACUUACUUCUUUCGAGAGAAACUCUUUUUCCAGAAAGCAUCCGUUCUUGGCAACAAAGAUCUUGCCAUCGGAUCUUAAGUAGAAGGUAUACCCUACAGUUUCCUUAGGGUAUCCUAUGAAUACGCAUUUUUCCGACUUGGGUUCGAGCUUUUCAGGUUGAAGUUUCUUGACAUAAGCUUCGCAUCCCCAAACUUUUAGAAACGACAGCUUAGGUUUCUUUCCAAACCAUAAUUCAUACGGUGUCGUCUCAACGGAUUUAGACGGUGCCCUAUUUAAAGUGAAUGUAGCUGUCUCUAGAGCGUAUCCCCAAAAUGAUAGCGGUAAAUCGGUAAGAGACAUCAUAGACCGCACCAUAUCCAAUAGAGUGCGAUUACGACGUUCGGACACACCGUUUCGCUGAGGUGUUCCAGGCGGCGUGAGCUGUGAAACGAUUCCACAUUUAUUUAAGUGUGUACCAAAUUCGUGACUUAAGUAUUCUCCUCCAUGAUCUGAUCGUAAGAAUUUUAUCUUUCGGUCACGUUGAUUCUCCACCUCAUUCUGAAAUUCCUUGAACUUUUCAAAGGUCUCAGACUUGUGUUUCAUUAAGUAGACAUACCCAUAUCUACUCAAGUCAUCUGUGAGAGUGAGAACAUAACGAUAUCCUCCGCGAGCCUCAACGCUCAUUGGACCGCACACAUCGGUAUGUAUGAUUUCCAACAAGUUGGUUGCUCGCUCCAUUGUUCCGGAGAACGGAGUCUUGGUCAUUUUGCCCAAGAGGCAUGGUUCGCACGUGUCAAACGAUUCAUAAUCAAGAGACUCUAAAAGUCCAUCGGUAUGGAGCUUCUUCAUGCGCUUGACACCAAUGUGACCAAGGCGGCAGUGCCACAAGUAUGUGGGACUAUCGUUAUCAAUUUUAAAUCUUUUGGUAUCUACACUAUGAACAUGUGUAAUAUUACGCUCGAGAUUCAUUAAGAAUAAACCAUUGACCAUCGGAGCAUGACCAUAAAACAUAUCUCUCAUAUAAAUCGAACAACCAUUAUUCUCAGACUUAAAUGAGUAGCCAUCUCGUAUUAAACGAGAUCCAGAUACAAUGUUCAUGCUCAAACUUGGCACUAAAUAACAAUUAUUGAGGUUCAAAACUAAUCCCGUAGGUAAAUGUAGAGGCAGCGUGCCGACGGCGAUCACAUCGACUUUGGAACCAUUCCCGACGCGCAUCGUCACCUCGUCCUUUGCCAGUCUCCGUUUAUUCCGCAGCUCCUGCUGUGAGUUACAAAUAUGAGCAACGGCACCGGUAUCAAAUACCCAGGAGUUACUACGAUUACUGGUAAGGUACACAUCAAUCACAUGUAUAUCAAAUAUACCUUUGGUGUUGCCGGCCUUCUUAUCCGCUAAGUAUUUGGGGCAGUUCCGCUUCCAGUGACCCUUCCCCUUGCAAUAAAAGCACUUAGUCUCAGGCUUGGGUCCAUUCUUUGACUUCUUCCCGGUAACUGGCUUACCAGGCGCGGCAACAUCUUUGCCGUCCUUCUUGAAGUUCUUCUUACCCUUGCCCUUCUUGAACUUAGUGGUCUUAUUGACCAUCAACACUUGAUGUUCUUUCUUGAUUUCAGCCUCUGCUGACUUCAGCAUCGAGAACACUUCAGGAAUGGUCUUUUCCAUUCCCUGCAUGUUGUAGUUCAUCACAAAGCUCUUGUAGCUUGGUGGGAGCGACUGGAGGAUUCUGUCAAUGACCGCCUCAUCUGGGAGGUUAAUGUUCAGCUGGGUCAUACGGUUGUGCAACCCAGACAUCUUUAGGAUGUGCUCACUGACAGAACUGUUCUCCUCCAUCUUACAACUGUAGAACUUGUCGGAGACAUCAUAUCUCUCGACCCGGGCAUGAGCUUAGAAAACUAGUUUCAGCUCUUCGAAAAUCUCAUAUGCUCCGUGAUGCUCAAAACGCUUUUGGAGCCCCGGUUCUAAGCUGUAAAGCAUGCCGCACUGAACGAGGGAGUAAUCAUCAGCGCGAGUUUGCCAAGCAUUCAUAAUGUCUUGGUUCUCUGGGACGGGAGCGUCACCUAGCGGUCCUUCUAGGACAUAUUGUUUCCUGGCAGCUAUGAGGAUGCUCCUCAGGUUCCGGACCCAGUCCGUAUAGUUGCUGCCAUCAUCUUUCAGCUUGGUUUUCUCUAGGAACGCGUUGAAGUUCAUGUUGACAUUAGCAUUGGCCAUUGAUCUACAAGACAUAUUUGCAAAGGUUUUUAGACUAAGUUCAUGAUAAUAAAGUUCUAAUCAAAUUAUGAACUCCCACUCAGAUUAGACAUCCCUCUAGUCAUCUAAGUGUUACACGAUCCGAGUCGACUAGCCCGUGUCCGAUCAUCACGUGAGACGGACUAGUCAUCGUCGGUGAACAUCUUCAUGUUGAUCGUAUCUUCUAUACGAUUCGCGUUCGACCUUUCGGUCUCCGUGUUCCGAGGCCAUGUCUGCACAUGCUAGGCUCGUCAAGUUAACCCUAAGUGUUUUCGCUGUGUAAAACUGUCUUACACCCGUUGUAUGUGAACGUAAGAAUCCAUCACACCCGAUUAUCACAUGGUGCUUAGAAACGACGAACUGUAGCAACGGUGCACAGUUAGGGGAGAACACUUCUUGAAAUUUUAUAAGGGAUACCGUCGUCCUAAGUAAACAAGAUGCAUAAUACAUAAUAAACAUCACAUGCAAUUAUAUAGUUGUGACAUGAUAUGGCCAAUAUCAUAUAGCUCCAUUGAUCUUCAUCUUCGGGGCUCCAUGAUCAUCUUGUCACCGGCUUGACACCAUGAUCUCCAUCAUCAUGAUCUCCAUCAUCGUGUCUUCAUGAAGUUGUCACGCCAACGACUACUUCUACUUCUAUGACUAACGUUUAGCAAUAAAGUAAAGUAGUUUACAUGACGUUAUUCAAUGACACGCAGGUCAUACAAAAAAUAAUGACAACUCCUAUGGCUCCUGCCGGUUGUCAUACUCAUCGACAUGCAAGUCGUGAAUCCUAUUACAAAGAACAUGAUCUCAUACAUCACAAUUCAUCAUUCAUCACAACUUCUGGCCAUAUCACAUCACAUGAUCAAUCGCUACAAAAACAAGUUAGACGUCCUCUAAUUGUUGUUGCAUCUUUUACGUGGCUGCAAUUGGGUUCUAGCAAGAACGUUUUCUUACCUACGAAUCACCACAACGUGAUUUUGUCAACUUCUAUUUACCCUUCAUAAGGGCCCUGUUCAUCGAUUCCGCUCCAACUAAGGUGGGAGAGACAGACACCCGCCAGCCACCUUAUGCAACUUGUGCAUGUUAGUCGGUGGAACCGGUCUCACGUAAGUGUACGUGUAAGGUUGGUCCGGGCCGCUUCAUCCCACAAUACCGUUGAGCAAGAAAAGACUAGUAGAGGCAAGUAAGAUGACAAAAUCCACGCCCACAACAAAGUUGUGUUCUACUCGUGCAAAGAGAACUACGCAUAGACCUAGCUCAUGAUGCCACUGUUGGGGAACGUUGCAGAAAAUUAAAAUUUUUACUACGGUUUCACCAAGAUCCAUCUAUGAGUUCAUCUAAGCAACGAGUCUAGGGAGAGAGUUUGCAUCUACAUACCACUUGUAGAUCGUGUGCGGAAGCUUGCAAGGUGAUGAUGUUGUCGUACUCGACGUGAUCCAAAUCACCGAUGACCAGCGCCGAACGAACGGCACCUCCGCGUUCAACACACGUACGGGACGGGAGACGUCUCCUCCUUCUUGAUCCAGCAAGGGGGAAGGAGAGGUUGAUGAAGAUCCAGCAGGACGACGGCGUGGUGGUGGAUGCAGGGCGUCACAGCAGCAGGGCUUCGCCGAGACUACGAGGGAGAGACGUAACGGGGGGAGGUGGAGGCGCCAGGGGCUGGUCUGUUCUCCUCCUCUCCCCCCCCCACUAUAUAUAGGGGUGCCAAGGGGGGGGGGGGCGCCGGCCCUAGUAGAUGAGAUCUACUAGGGGGGGCGGCGGCCUAGGGGAGGUUUCCCUCCCCCCCAAGGCACCUAGGGGUGCCUUCCACCACUAGGACUCCUCCUAGGGGAAAACCCUAGGCGCAUGGGCCUAUAGGGGCUGGUGCCCUUGGCCCAUGAUGGCCAAGGCGCACCCCCUACAGCCCAUGUGGCCCCCCGGGACAGGUGGCCCCACCCGGUGGACCCCCGGGACCCUUCCGGUGGCCCCGGUACAAUACCGAUAACCCCGAAACUUGUCCCGAUGCCCGAAAUAGCACUUCCUAUAUAUAAUUCUUUACCUCCGGACCAUUCCGGAACUCCUCGUGACGUCCGGGUCUCAUCCGGGACUCCGAACAACAUUCGGGUUUCUGCAUAUACAUAUCUUCAUAACCCUAGCGUCACCGAACCUUAUGUGUGUAGACCCUACGGGUUCGGGAGACAUGCAGACAUGACCGAGACGCUCUCAGUCAAUAACCAUCAGCGGGAUCUGGAUACCCAUGAUGGCUCCCACAUGCUCCUCGAUGUUGUCAUCGGAUGAACCACUAUGUCGAGGAUUCGAUCAAACCCUGUAUGCAAUUCCCUUUGUCAAUCGGUACGUUACUUGCCCGAGACUCGAUCGUCGGUAUCCCAAUACCUUGUUCAGUCUCGUUACCGGCAAGUCACUUUACUCGUACCGUAAUGCAUGAUCCCGUGUCCAACACCUUGGUCACAUUGAGCUCAUUAUGAUGAAGCAUUACCGAGUGGGCCCAGAGAUACCUCUCCGUCAUACGGAGUGACAAAUCCCAGUCUCCAUCCGUGUCAACCCAACAGCUACUUUCGGAGAUACCUGUAAUGCACCUUUAUAGUCACCCAGUUACGUUGUGACGUUUGAUACACCCAAGGCACUCUUACGGUAUCCGGGAGUUACACGAUCUCAUGGUCGAAGGAAGAGAUACUUGACACUUGCAAAGCUCUAGCAAAACGAACUACACGAUCUUUUAUGCUAUGCUUAGGAUUGGGUCUUGUCCAUCACAUCAUUCUCCUAAUGAUGUGAUCCCGUUAUCAACGACAUCCAAUGUCCAUAGUCAGGAAACCAUGACUAUCUGUUGAUCACAACGAGCUGGUCAACUAGAGGCUUACCAGGGACAUAGUGUGGUCUAAGUAUUCACACGUGUAUUACGAUUUCCGGAUAAUACAGUUAUAGCAUGAAUAAAAGACAAUUAUCAUGAACAAAGAAAUAUAAUAAUACUUUUAUUAUUGCCUCUAGGGCAUAUUUCCAACAGAUCCAUCUAUGAGUUCAUCUAAGCAACGAGUCAUGGGAGAGAGAUUGCAUCUACAUACCACUUGUAGAUCACGAGCGGAAGCUUGCACGGUGAUGGUGAUGAUGGAGUCGUACUCGCCGUGAUUCGGAUCACCGAUGACCAAGUGCUGAACGGACAGCACCUCCGCGUUCAACACACGUACGGGACGGGCGACGUCUCCUCCAUCUUGAUCCAGCAAGGAGGAAGGAGCGGUUGAGGAAGAUGGCUCCAGCAGCAGCACGACGGCGUGAUGAUGGUGGAGUCACAGUUCUCCGGCAGGGCUUCGCCAAGCUCACGCGGAGGAGGAGAGGUGUUGGGGAGGGGAGGGGCUGCGCCUUCAAUGGUGUAUUGCAGCCCUCCCCUCGCCCCUCUAUUUAUAGGGGGAAGGGGCAAGGGGGCCGGCCCCUCUAGAUGGGAAUCUAGAGGGGGGGCGGCGGCCAAGGGGGGGGCGGCUUGCCCCCCCAAGCAAGGGGGGCGCCCCCCUUAGGGUUUCCCCCCCCAACCCUAGGCGCAUGGGCCCAAGGUGGGGGGCGCGCCCAGCCCUCUAUGGGCUGGCUGCCUCCCCUUUGCGACCCAUGUGGCCCUCCGGGAGGGGUGGCCCCUCCCGGUGGACCCCCGGAACCCCUCCGGUGGUCCCGGUACAAUACCGAUAUGACCCCGAAUUCUUCCGGUGUCCGUAUGACAACUUCCCAUAUAUAAAUCUUUACCUCCGGACCCUUCCGGAACUCCUCGUGACGUCCGGGAUCUCAUCCGGGACUCCGAACAACAUUCGGUAGUCACAUACUAGUCUUCCUAACAACCCUAGCGUCACCGAACCUUAAGUGUGUAGACCCUACGGGUUCGGGAGACACGCAGACAUGACCGAGACCACUCUCCGGUCAAUAACCAACAGCGGGAUCUGGAUACCCAUGUUGGCUCCCACAUGCUCCUCGAUGAUUUCAUCGGUUGAACCACGAGGUCGAGGAUUCGAUCAAACCCUGUAUGCAAUUCCCUUUGUCAAUCGGUACGUUACUUGCCCGAGACUCGAUCGUCGGUAUCCAAAUACCUUGUUCAGUCUCGUUACCGGCAAGUCACUUUACUCGUACCGUAAUGCAUGAUCCCGUGGCCAACACCUUGGUCACCUUGAGCUCAUUAUGAUGAUGCAUUACCGAGUGGGCCCAGAGAUACCUCUCCGCCAUACGGAGUGACAAAUCCCAGUCUCGAUCCGUGUCAACCCAACAGACACUUUCGGAGAUACCUGUAGUGCACCUUUAUAAUCACCCAGUUACGUUGUGACGUUUGGUACACCCAAAGCACUCUUACGGUAUCCGGGAGUUACACGAUCUCAUGGUCUAAGGAAGAGAUACUUGACAUUAGCAAAGCUCUAGCAAACGAACUACACGAUCUUUGUGCUAUGCUUAGGAUUGGGUCUUGUCCAUCACAUCAUUCUCCUAAUGAUGUGAUCCCGUUAUCAACGACAUCCAAUGUCCAUAGCCAGGAAACCACGACUAUCAGUUGAUCACAACGAGCUAGCCAACUAGAGGCUCACUAGGGACAUAUUGUGGUCUAUGUGUUCACACGUGUAUUACGAUUUCCGGAUAAUACAGUUAUAGCAUGAACAAAAGACAAUUAUCAUGAACAAUGAAAUAUAAUAAUACUUUUAUUAUUGCCUCUAGGGCAUAUUUCCAACAGUCUCCCACUUGCACUAGAGUCACCAAUCUAGUUACAUUGUGAUGAAUCGAACACCCAUAGAGUUCUGGUGUUGAUCAUGUUUUGCUCGCGAGAGAGGUUUAGUCAACGGAUCUGCGACAUUCAGAUCUGUAUGUACUUUGCAAAUUUCUAUGUCUCCAUCUUGAACAUUUUCACGGAUGGAGUUGAAACGACGCUUGAUGUGCCUGGUCUUCUUGUGAAACCUGGGCUCCUUUGCAAGGGCAAUAGCUCCAGUGUUGUCACAGAAGAGUUUGAUUGGCCCCGACGCAUUGGGUAUGACUCCUAGGUCGGUGAUGAACUCCUUCACCCAAAUCGCUUCAUGCGCUGCCUCCGAGGCUGCCAUGUACUCCGCUUCACACGUAGAUCCCGCCACGACGCUCUGCUUGCAGCUGCACCAGCUUACUGCUCCACCAUUCAACAUAUACACGUAUCCGGUUUGUGACUUAGAGUCAUCCGGAUCUGAGUCGAAGCUAGCGUCGACGUAACCCUUUACGACGACCUCUUCGUCUCCUCCAUAAAUGAGAAACAUGUCCUUUGUCCUUUUCAGGUACUUCAGGAUAUUCUUGACCGCUGUCCAGUGUUCCUUGCCGGGAUUACUUUGGUAUCUUGCUACCAAACUUACGGCAAGGUUUACAUCAGGUCUGGUACACAGCAUGGCAUACAUAAUAGAUCCUAUGGCUGAAGCAUAGGGGAUGACACUCAUCUCUUCUUUAUCUUUUGCCGUGGUCGGUGACUGAGCCGAGCUCAAUCUCACACCUUGUAACAUAGGCAAGAACCCUUUCUUGGACUGAUCCAUUUUGAACCUUUUCAAAAUCUUAUCAAGGUAUGUGGUUUGUGAAAGACCUAUGAGGCGUCUCGAUCUAUCACUAUAGAUCUUGAUGCCUAAUAUAUAAGCAGCUUCUCCAAGGUCCUUCAUUGAAAAACAUUUGUUCAAGUAGGCCUUAAUGCUGUCCAGAAAUUCUACAUUAUUUCCCAUCAAAAGUAUGUCAUCUACAUAUAAUAUGAGAAAUGCUACAGAGCUCCCACUCACUUUCUUGUAAACGCAGGCUUCUCCAUAAGUUUGCAUAAACCCAAACGCUUUGAUCAUCUCAUCAAAGCGAAUAUUCCAACUCCGAGAUGCUUGCACCAGCCCAUAAAUGGAUCGCUGGAGCUUGCAUAAUUUGUUAGCGUUCUUAGGAUCGACAAAACCUUCCGGCUACAUCAUAUACAGUUCUUCCUUAAGAUGCCCGUUAAGGAAUGCCGUUUUGACGUCCAUUUGCCAUAUCACAUAAUCAUAGUAUGCGGCAAUUGCUAACAUGAUUCGGACGGACUUCAGCUUCGCUACGGGAGAGAAUGUCUCGUCGUAGUCAAUCCCUUGAACUUGUCGAUAACCCUUAGCGACAAGUCGAGCUUUAUAGAUGGUAACAUUCCCAUCCGCGUCCGUCUUCUUCUUAAAGAUCCAUUUGUUUUCUAUCGCUCGCUGAUCGUCGGGCAAGUCUGUCAAAGUCCAUACUUUGUUUUCAUACAUGGAUUCUAUCUCGGAUUUCAUGGCCUCAAGCCAUUUGUUGGAAUCUGGUCCCGCCAUCGCUUCUUCAUAGUUCGAAGGUUCACCGUUGUCUAACAACAUGAUUUCCAGGACGGGGCUGCCGUACCACUCCGGUGUGGAACGUGUCCUAGUGGACCUACGAAGUUCAGUAGCAACUUGAUCCGAAGUACCUUGAUCAUCAUCAUUUGUUUUCUCUUCAGUUGGUGUGGGCAUCACAGGAACAUUUUCCUGAGCUGCACCAUUUUCCCGUUCGAGAGGUAGUACUUCAUCGAGUUCUACUUUCCUCCCACUUACUUUUUUUGAGAGAAACUCUUUUUCCAGAAAGCAUCCGUUCUUGGCAACAAAGAUCUUGCCCUCGAAUCUUAAGUAGAAGGUAUACCCGACAGUUUCCUUAGGGUAUCCUAUGAAGACGCAUUUUUCCGACUUGGGUUCGAGCUUUUCAGGUUGAAGUUUCUUGACAUAAGCAUCGCAUCCCCAAACUUUUAGAAACGACAGCUUAGGUUUCUUUCCAAACCAUAAUUCAUACGGUGUCGUCUCAACGGAUUUAGACGGUGCCCUAUUUAAAGUGAAUGUAGCUGUCUCUAGAGCGAAUCCCCAAAAUGAUAGCGGUAAAUUGGUAAGAGACAUCAUAGACCGCACCAUAUCCAAUAGAGUGCGAUUACGACGUUCGGACACACCAUUUCACUGAGGUGUUCCAGGCGGCGUGAGUUGUGAAACGAUUCCACAUUUCCUUAAGUGUGUGCCAAAUUCGUGACUUAAAUAUUCUCCUCCACGAUCUGAUCGUAGGAACUUUAUUUUUCGGUCACGUUGAUUCUCUACUUCAUUCUGAAACUCCUUGAACUUUUCAAAGGUCUCAGACUUGUGUUUCAUUAAGUAGACAUACCCAUAUCUACUCAAGUCAUCAGUGAGAGUGAGAACAUAACGAUAUCCUCCGCGAGCCUCAACGCUCAUUGGACCGCACACAUCGGUAUGUAUGACUUCCAACAAGUUGGUUGCUCGCUCCAUUGUUCCGGAGAACGGAGUCUUGGUCAUCUUGCCCAUGAGGCAUGGUUCGCAUGUGUCAAAUGAUUCAUAAUCUAGAGACUCCAAAAGUCCAUCAGCAUGGAGCUUCUUCAUGCGCUUGACACCAAUGUGACCAAGGCGGCAGUGCCACAAGUAUGUGGGACUAUUGUUAUCAACUUUAUAUCUUUUGGCAUCCACACUAUGAACAUGUGUAAUAUUACGCUCGAGAUUCAUUAAGAAUAAACCAUUGAACAUCGGAGCAUGACCAUAAAACAUAUCUCACAUAUAAAUCGAACAACCAUUAUUCUCAGACUUAAAUGAGUAGCCAUCUCGCAUCAAACGAGAUCCAGAUACAAUGUUCAUGCUCAAACUUGGCACUAAAUAACAAUUAUUAACGUUCAAAACUAAUCCCGUAGGUAAAUGUAGAGGCAGCGUGCCGACGGCGAUCACAUCGACUCUGGAACCAUUCCCGACGCGCAUCGUCACCUCGUCCUUCGCCAGUCUCCGUUUAUUCCGCAGCUCCUGCUGUGAGUUACAAAUAUGAGCAACGGCACCGGUAUCAAAUACCCAGGAGUUACUACGAGUACUGGUAAGGUACACAUCAAUUACAUGUAUAUCAAAUAUACCUUUGGUGUUGCCGGCCUUCUUAUCCGCUAAGUAUUUGGGGCAGUUCCGCUUCCAGUGACCCUUCCCCUUGCAAUAAAAGCACUCGGUCUCAGGCUUGGGUCCAUUCUUUGACUUCUUCCCGGCAACUGGCUUACCGGGCGCGACAACAUCCUUGCCGUCCUUCUUGAAGUUCUUCUUGCCCUUGCCCUUCUUGAACUUAGUGGUCUUAUUGACCAUCAACACUUGAUGUUCUUUCUUGAUUUCAGCCUCUGCUGACUUCAGCAUCGAGAACAAUUCAGGAAUGGUCUUUUCCAUCCCCUGCAUGUUGUAGUUCAUCACAAAGCUCUUGAAGCUUGGUGGGAGCGACUGGAGGAUUCUGUCAAUGACCGCCUCAUCUGGGAGGUUAAUGUUCAGCUGGGUCAUAUGGUUGUGCAACCCAGACAUCUUUAGGAUGUGUUCACUGACAGAACUGUUUUCCUCCAUCUUACAACUAUAGAACUUGUCGGAGAUGUCAUAUCUCUCGACCCGGGCGUGAGCUUGGAAAACCAGUUUCAGCUCCUCGAACAUCUCAUAUGCUCCGUGAUGCUCAAAACGCUUUUGGAGCCCCGGUUCUAAGCUGUAAAGCAUGCCGCACUGAACGAGGGAGUAAUCAUCAGCACGAGUUUGCCAAGCAUUCAUAAUGUCUUGGUUCUCUGGGACGGGAGCGUCACCUAGAGGUCCAUCUAGGACAUAUUGUUUCCUGGCAGCUAUGAGGAUGUUCCUCAGGUUCCGGACCCAGUCCGUAUAGUUGCUGCCAUCAUCUUUCAGCUUGGUUUUCUCUAGGAAUGCGUUGAAGUUCAUGUUGACAUGAGCGUUGGCCAUUUGAUCUACAAGACAUAUUUGCAAAGGUUUUUAGACUAAGUUCAUGAUAAUAAAGUUCUAAUCAAAUUAUGAACUCCCACUCAGAUUAGACAUCCCUCUAGUCAUCUAAGUGUUACACGAUCCGAGUCGACUAGCCCGUGUCCGAUCAUCACGUGAGACGGACUAGUCAUCGUCGGUGAACAUCUUCAUGUUGAUCGUAUCUUCCAUACGACUCGUGUUCGACCUUUCGGUCUCCGUGUUCCGAGGCCAUGUCUGUACAUGCUAGGCUCGUCAAGUUGACCCUAAGUGUCUUCGCUGUGUAAAACUGUCUUACACCCGUUGUAUGUGAACGUAAGAAUCCAUCACACCCGAUCAUCACGUGGUGCUUAGAAGCGACGAACUGUAGCAACGGUGCACAGUUAGGGGAGAACACAUCUUGAUAUUUUGUAAGGGAUCAUCUUAUUUACUACCGUCGUCCUAAGUAAACAAGAUGCAUAAACAUAAUAAACAUCACAUGCAAUUAUAUAGUUGUGACAUGAUAUGGCCAAUAUCAUAUAGCUCCAUUGAUCUUCAUCUUCGGGGCUCCAUGAUCAUCUUGUCACCGGCUUGACACCACGAUCUCCAUCAUCAUGAUCUCCAUCAUCGUGUCUUCAUGAAGUUGUCACGCAAUGACUACUUCUACUUCUAUAGCUAACGCGUUUAGCAAUAAAGUAAAGUAAGUUACAUGGCGUUCUUCAAUGACACGCAGGUCAUACAAAAAAUAAAGACAACUCCUAUGGCUCCUGCCGGUUGUCAUACUCAUCGACAUGCAAGUCGUGAAUCCUAUUACAAGAACAUGAUCUCAUACAUCACAAUUUAUCAUACAUCACAACUUCUGGCCAUAUCACAUCACAUGAUCAAUCGCUGCAAAAACAAGUUAGACGUCCUCUAAUUGUUGUUGCAUCUUUUACGUGGCUGCAAUUGGGUUCUAGCAUGAAUGUUUUCUUACCUACGAAUAACCACAACGUGAUUUUGUCAACUUCUAUUUACCCUUCAUAAGGGCCCUUUUCAUCGAAUCCGCUCCAACUAAAGUGGGAGAGACAGACACCCGCCAGCCACCUUAUGCAACUAGUGCAUGUCAGUCGGUGGAACCGGUCUCAUGUAAGCGUACGUGUAAGGUUGGUCCGGGCCGCUUCAUCCCACAAUACCGUUGAAGCAAGAAAAGACUAGUAGAGGCAAGUAAGUUGACAAGAUCCACGCCCACAACAAAAUUGUGUUCUACUCGUGCAAAGAGAACUACGCAUAGACCUAGCUCAUGAUGCCACUGUUGGGGAACGUUGCAGAAAAUUAAAAUUUUUCCUACGGUUUCACCAAGAUCCAUCUAUGAGUUCAUCUAAGCAACGAGUCAUGUGAGAGAGAUUGCAUCUACAUACCACUUGUAGAUCACGAGCGGAAGCUUGCACGGUGAUGGUGAUGAUGGAGUCGUACUCGCCGUGAUUCGGAUCACCGAUGACCAAGUGCUGAACGGACAACACCUCCGCGUUCAACACACGUACGGGACGGGCGACGUCUCCUCCGUCUUGAUCCAGCAAGGAGGAAGGAGAGGUCGAGGAAGAUGGCUCCAGCAGCAGCACGACGGCGUGAUGAUGGUGGAGUCACAGUUCUCUGGCAGGGCUUCGCCAAGCUCACGCGGAGGAGGAGAGGUGUUGGGGAGGGGAGGGGCUGCGCCUUCAAUGGUGUAUUGCAGCCCUCCCCUCGCCCCUCUAUUUCUAGGGGGAAGGGGCAAGGGGGCCGGCCCCUCUAGAUGGGAAUCUAGAGGGGGGGCGGCGGCCAAGAGGGGGAGGCUUGCCACCCAAGCAAGGGGGGCGCCCCCCUUAGGGUUUCCCCCCCAACCCUAGGCGCAUGGGCCCAAGGUGGGGGGUGCGCCCAGCCCUCUAGGGGCUGGCUGCCUCCCCUUUGCGGCCCAUGUGGCCCUCCGGGAGGGGUGGCCCCUCCCGGUGGACCCCCGGAACCCCUCCGGUGGUCCCGGUACAAUACCGAUAUGACCCCGAAUUCUUCCGGUGUCCGUAUGACAACUUCCCAUAUAUAAAUCUUUACCUCCGGACCCUUCCGGAACUCCUCGUGACGUCCGGGAUCUCAUCCGGGACUCCGAACAACAUUCGGUAGUCACAUACUAGUCUUCCUAACAACCCUAGCGUCACCGAACCUUAAGUGUGUAGACCCUACGGGUUCGGGAGACACGCAGACAUGACCGAGACCACUCUCCGGUCAAUAACCAACAGCGGGAUCUGGAUACCCAUGUUGGCUCCCACAUGCUCCUCGAUGAUUUCAUCGGUUGAACCACGAUGUCGAGGAUUCGAUCAAACCCUGUAUGCAAUUUCCUUUGUCAAUCGGUAUGUUACUUGCCCGAGACUCGAUCGUCGGUAUCCCAAUACCUUGUUCAGUCUCGUUACCGGCAAGUCACUUUACUCGUACCGUAAUGCAUGAUCCCGUGGCCAACACCUUGGUCACGUUGAGCUCAUUAUGAUGAUGCAUUACCGAGUGGGCCCAGAGAUACCUCUCCGUCAUACGGAGUGACAAAUCCCAGUCUCGAUUCGUGUCAAUCCAACAGACACUUUCGGAGAUACCUGUUGUGCACCUUUAUAAUCACCCAGUUACGUUGUGACGUUUGGUACACCCAAAGCACUCUUACGGUAUCCGGGAGUUACACGAUCUCAUGGUCUAAGGAAGAGAUACUUGACAUUGGCAAAGCUCUAGCAAACGAACUACACGAUCUUUGUGCUAUGCUUAGGAUUGGGUCUUGUCCAUCACAUCAUUCUCCUAAUGAUGUGAUCCCAUUAUCAACGACAUCCAAUGUCCAUAGCCAGGAAACCACGACUAUCAGUUGAUCACAACGAGCUAGCCAACUAGAGGCUCACUAGGGACAUAUUGUGGUCUAUGUGUUCACACGUGUAUUACGAUUUCCGGAUAAUACAGUUAUAGCACGAACAAAAGACAAUUAUCAUGAACAAUGAAAUAUAAUAAUACUUUUAUAAUUGCCACUAGGGCAUAUUUCCAACACAACUCCCCACGCAGCCCAAGUGGCCCCCCGGGAGGGGUGGCCCCUCCCGGUGGACCUCCGGAACCCUUCCGGUGGCCCCGGUACAAUACCGGUACGCCCUCGAAACUUUCCGGUGUCCGUUUGACAACUUCCCAUAUAUAAAUCUUUACCUCCGGACCCUUCCGGAACUCCUCGUGACGUCCGGGAUCUCAUCCGGGACUCCUAACAACAUUCGGUAGUCACAUACUAGUCUUCCUAAUAACCCUAGCGUCACCGAACCUUAAGUGUGUAGACCCUACGGGUUCGGGAGACACGCAGACAUGACCGAGACGACUCUCGGGCAAUAACGAACAGCGGGAUCUGGAUACCCAUGUUGGCUCCCACAUGCUCCUCGAUGAUUUCAUCAGUUGAACCACGAUGUCGAGGAUUCGAUCAAACCCUGUAUACAAUUCCCUUUGUCAAUCGGUACGUUACUUGCCCGAGACUCGAUCGUCGGUAUCCUAAUACCUUGUUCAGUCUCGUUACCGGCAAGUCACUUUACUCGUACCGUAAUGCAUGAUCCCGUGGCCAACACCUUGGUCACCUUGAGCUCAUUAUGAUGAUGCAUUAUCGAGUGGGCCCAGAGAUACCUCUCCGUCAUACGGAGUGACAAAUCCCAGUCUCGAUCUGUGUCAACCCAACAGACACUUUCGGAGAUACCUGUAGUGCACCUUUAUAAUCACCCAGUUACGUUGUGAUGUUUGGUACACCCAAAGCACUCUUACGGUAUCCGGGAGUUACACGAUCUCAUGGUCUAAGGAAGAGAUAGUUGACAUUGGCAAAGCUCUAGCAAACGAACUACACGAUCUUUGUGCCAUGCUUAGGAUUGGGUCUUGUCCAUCACAUCAUUCUCCUAAUGAUGUGAUCCUGUUAUCAACGACAUCCAAUGUCCAUAGCCAGGAAACCAUGACUAUCUAUUGAUCACAACGAGCUAGUCAACUAGAGGCCCACUAGGGACAUAUUGUGGUCUAUGUGUUCACAGGUGUAUUACGAUUUCCGGAUAAUACAGUUAUAGCAUGAACAAAAGACAAUUAUCAUGAACAACGAAAUAUAAUAAUACUUUUAUUAUUGCCUCUAGGGCAUAUUUCCAACAGUCUCCCACUUGCAUUAGAGUCACCAAUCUAGUUACAUUGUGAUGAAUCGAACACCCAUAGAGUUCUGGUGUUGAUCAUGUUUUGCUCGCGAGAGAGGUUUAGUCAACGGAUCUGCGACAUUCAGAUCUGUAUGUACUUUGCAAAUUUCUAUGUCUCCAUCUUGAACAUUUUCACGGAUGGAGUUGAAACGACGCUUGAUGUGCCUGGUCUUCUUGUGAAACCUGGGCUCCUUUGCAAGGGCAAUAGCUCCAGUGUUGUCACAGAAGAGUUUGAUUGGCCCCGACGCAUUGGGUAUGACUCCUAGGUCGGUGAUGAACUCCUUCACCCAAAUUGCUUCAUGUGCUGCCUCCGAGGCUGCCAUGUACUCCGCUUCACACGUAGAUCCCGCCACGAUGCUCUGCUUGCAGCUGCACCAGCUUACUGCUCCACCAUUCAACAUAUACACGUAUCCAGUUUGUGACUUAGAGUCAUCCGGAUCUGAGUCAAAGCUAGCGUCGACGUAACCCUUUACGACGAGCUCUUCGUCUCCUCCAUAAACGAGAAACAUGUCCCUUGUCCUUUUCAGGUACUUCAGGAUAUUCUUGACCGCUGUCCAGUGUUCCUUGCCGGGAUUACUUUGGUAUCUUGCUACCAAACUUACGGCAAGGUUUACAUCAGGUCUGGUACACAGUAUGGCAUACAUAAUAGAUCCUAUGGCUGAAGCAUAGGGGAUGACACUCAUCUCUUCUUUAUCUUUUGCCGUGGUCGGUGACUGAGCCGAGCUCAAUCUCACACCUUGUAACAUAGGCAAGAACCCUUUCUUGGACUGAUCCAUUUUGAACCUUUUCAAAAUCUUAUCAAGGUAUGUACUUUGUGAAAGACCUAUGAGGCGUCUUGAUCUAUCUCUAUAGAUCUUGAUGCCUAAUAUAUAAGCAGCUUCUCCAAGGUCCUUCAUUGAAAAACAUUUGUUCAAGUAGGCCUUAAUGCUGUCCAGAAAUUCUAUAUUAUUUCCCAUCAAGAGUAUGUCAUCUACAUAUAAUAUGAGAAAUGCUACAGAGCUCCCACUCACUUUCUUGUAAACGCAGGCUUCUCCAUAAGUCUGCAUAAACCCAAACGCUUUGAUCAUCUCAUCAAAGCGAAUAUUCCAACUCCGAGAUGCUUGCACCAGCCCAUAAAUGGAUCGCUGGAGCUUGCAUACUUUGUUAGCGUUCUUAGGAUCGACAAAACCUUCCGGCUGCAUCAUAUACAGCUCUUCCUUAAGAUGCCCGUUAAGGAAUGCCGUUUUGACGUCCAUUUGCCAUAUCUCAUAAUCAUAGUAUGCGACAAUUGCUAACAUGAUUCGGACGGACUUUAGCUUUGCUAUGGGAGAGAAUGUCUCAUCGUAGUCAAUCCCUUGAACUUGUCGAUAACCCUUAGCGACAAGUCGAGCUUUAUAGAUGGUAACAUUCCCAUCCGCGUCCGUCUUCUUCUUAAAGAUCCAUUUGUUUUCUAUUGCUCGCCGAUCAUCGGGCAAGUCUGUCAAAGUCCAUACUUUGUUUCCAUACAUGGAUUCUAUCUCGGAUUUCAUGGCUUCAAGCCAUUUGUUGGAAUCUGGGCCCGCCAUCGCUUCUUCAUAGUUCGAAGGUUCACCGUUGUCUAACAACAUGAUUUCCAGGACGGGGUUGCCGUACCACUCUGGUGCGGAACGUGUCCUUGUGGACCUACGAAGUUCAGUAGCAACUUGAUCCGAAGUACCUUGAUCAUCAUCAUUGGUUUCCUCUUCAGUUGGUGUAGGCAUCACAGGAACAUUUCCCUGAGCUGCACCACUAUCCCGUUCGAGAGGUAGCACUUCAUCGAGUUCUACUUUCCUCCCACUUACUUCUUUCGAGAGAAACUCUUUUUCCAGAAAGCAUCUGUUCUUGGCAACAAAGAUCUUGCCCUCGGAUCUUAAGUAGAAGGUAUACCCGACAGUUUCCUUAGGGUAUCCUAUGAAGACGCAUUUUUCCGACUUGGGUUCGAGCUUUUCAGGUUGAAGUUUCUUGACAUAAGCAUCGCAUCCCCAAACUUUUAGAAACGACAGCUUAGGUUUCUUCCCAAACCAUAAUUCAUACGGUGUCGUCUCAACGGAUUUAGACGGUGCCCUAUUUAAAGUGAAUGUAGCUGUCUCUAGAGCGUAUCCCCAAAAUGAUAGCGGUAAAUCGGUAAGAGACAUCAUAGACCGCACCAUAUCCAAUAGAGUGCGACUACGACGUUCGGACACACCGUUUCGCUGAGGUGUUCCAGGCGGCGUGAGUUGUGAAACGAUUCCACAUUUCCUUAAGUGUGUGCCAAAUUCGUGACUUAAAUAUUCUCCUCCACGAUCUGAUCGUAGGAACUUAAUUUUUCGGUCACGUUGAUUCUCUACUUCAUUCUGAAAUUCCUUAAACUUUUCAAAGGUCUCAGACUUGUGUUUCAUUAAGUAGACAUACCCAUAUCUACUCAAGUCAUCAGUGAGAGUGAGAACAUAACGAUAUCCUCCGCGAGCCUCAACGCUCAUUGGACCGCACACAUCGGUAUGUAUGAUUUCCAACAAGUUGGCUGCUCGCUCCGUUGUUCCGGAGAACGGAGUCUUGGUCAUUUUGCCCAUGAGGCAUGGUUCGCAUGUGUCAAACGAUUCAUAAUCAAGAGACUCCAAAAGUCCAUCAGCAUGGAGCUUCUUCAUGCGCUUGACACCAAUGUGACCAAGGCGGCAGUGCCACAAGUAUGUGGGACUAUCGUUAUCAACUUUACAUCUUUUGGCAUCCACACUAUGGACAUGUGUAAUAUUACGCUCGAGAUUCAUUAAGAAUAAACCAUUGACCAUCGGAGCAUGACCAUAAAACAUAUCUCUCAUAUAAAUCGAACAACCAUUAUUCUCAGACUUAAAUGAGUAGCCAUCUCCUAUUAAACGAGAUCCAGAUACAAUGUUCAUGCUCAAACUUGGCACUAAAUAACAAUUAUUAAGGUUCAAAACUAAUCCCGUGGGUAAAUGUAGAGGCAGCGUGCCGACGGUGAUCACAUCGACUCUGGAACCAUUCCCGACGCGCAUCGUCAACUCGUCCUUCGCCAGUCUUCGUUUAUUCCGCAGCUCCUGCUGUGAGUUACAAAUAUGAGCAACGGCACCGGUAUCAAAUACCCAGGAGUUACUACGAGUACUGGUAAGGUACACAUCAAUUACAUGUAUAUCAAAUAUACCUUUGUUGUUGCCGGCCUUCUUAUCCGCUAAGUAUUUGGGGCAGUUCCGCUUCCAGUGACCCUUCCCCUUGCAAUAAAAGCACUCAGUCUCAGGCUUGGGUCCAUUCUUUGACUUCUUCCCGGCAACUGGCUUACCGGGCGCGGCAACAUCCUUGCCGUCCUUCUUGAAGUUCUUCUUGCCCUUGCCCUUCUUGAACUCAGUGGUCUUAUUGACCAUCAACACUUGAUGUUCUUUCUUGAUUUCAGCCUCUGCUGACUUCAGCAUCGAGAACAAUUCAGGAAUGGUCUUUUCCAUCCCCUGCAUGUUGUAGUUCAUCACAAAGCUCUUGUAGCUUGGUGGGAGCGACUGGAGGAUUCUGUCAAUGACCGCCUCAGCUGGGAGGUUAAUGUUCAGCUGGGUCAUACGGUUGUGCAACCCAGACAUCUUUAGGAUGUGUUCACUGACAGAACUGUUUUCCUCCAUCUUACAACUGUAGAACUUGUCGGAGAUGUCAUAUCUCUCGACCCGGGCGUGAGCUUGGAAAACCAGUUUCAGCUCCUCGAACAUCUCAUAUGCUCCGUGAUGCUCAAAACGCUUUUGGAGCCCCGGUUCUAAGCUGUAAAGCAUGCCGCACUGAACGAGGGAGUAAUCAUCAGCACGAGUUUGCCAAGCAUUCAUAAUGUCUUGGUUCUCUGGGACGGGAGCGUCACCUAGCGGUCCAUCUAGGACAUAUUGUUUCCUGGCAGCUAUGAGGAUGAUCCUCAGGUUCCGGACCCAGUCCGUAUAGUUGCUGCCAUCAUCUUUCAGCUUGGUUUUCUCUAGGAACGCGUUGAAGUUCAUGUUGACAUGAGCGUUGGCCAUUUGAUCUACAAGACAUAUUUGCAAAGGUUUUAGACUAAGUUCAUGAUAAUUAAGUUCUAAUCAAAUUAUGAACUCCCACUCAGAUUAGACAUCCCUCUAGUCAUCUAAGUGUUACACGAUCCGAGUCGACUAGCCCGUGUCCGAUCAUCACGUGAGACGGACUAGUCAUCGUCGGUGAACAUCUUCAUGUUGAUCGUAUCUUCCAUACGACUUGUGUUCGACCUUUCGGUCUCCGUGUUCCGAGGCCAUGUCUGCACAUGGUAGGAUCGUCAAGUUAACCCUAAGUGUUAUUGCUGUAUAAAACUGUCUUACACCCGUUGUAUGUGAACGUAAGGAUCCAUCACACCCGAUCAUCACGUGGUGCUUAGAAACGACGAACUGUAGCAACGGUGCACAAUUAGGGGAGAACACUUCUUGAAAUUUUGUAAGGGAUCAUCUUAUUUACUACCGUCGUCCUAAGUAAACAAGAUGUAUAAACAUAAUAAACAUCACAUGCAAUUAUAUAGUUGUGACAUGAUAUUGCCAAUAUCAUAUAGCUCCAUUGAUCUCCAUCUUCGGGGCUCCAUGAUCAUCUUGUCACCGGCUUGACACCAUGAUCUCCAUCAUCGUGUCUUCAUGAAGUUGUCACGCCAACGACUACUUCUACUUUUAUGGCUAACGCGUUUAGCAAUAAAGUAAAGUAAGUUACAUGGCGUUCUUCAAUGACACGCAGGUCAUACAAAAAAUAAAGACAGCUCCUAUGGCUCCUGCCGGUUGUCAUACUCAUCGACAUGCAAGUCGUGAAUCCUAUUACAAGAACAUGAUCUCAUACAUCACAAUUCAUCAUUCAUCACAACUUCUGGCCAUAUCACAUCACAUGAUCAAUCGCUGCAAAAACAAGUUAGACGUCCUCUAAUUGUUGUUGCAUCUUUUACGUGGCUGCAAUUGGGUUCUAGCAAGAACGUUUUCUUACCUACGAAUAACCACAACGUGAUUUUAUCAACUUCUAUUUACCCUUCAUAAGGGCCCUUUUCAUCGAAUCCGCUCCAACUAAAGUGGGAGAGACAGACACCCGCCAGCCACCUUAUGCAACUAGUGCAUGUCAAUCGGUGGAACCGGUCUCACGUAAGCGUACGUGUAAGGUUGGUCCGGGCCGCUUCAUCCCAUAAUACCGUUGAAGCAAGAAAAGACUAGUAGAGGCAAGUAAGUUGACAAGAUCCACGCCCACAACAAAAUUGUGUUCUACUCGUGCAAAGAGAACUACGCAUAGACCUAGCUCAUGAUGCCACUGUUGGGGAACGUUGCAGAAAAUUAAAAAAAAUUCUACGGUUUCACCAAGAUCCAUCUAUGAGUUCAUCUAAGCAACGAGUCAUGGGAGAGAGAUUGCAUCUACAUACCACUUGUAGAUCGCGAGCGGAAGCUUGCACGGUGAUGGUGGAGUCGUACUCGCCGUGAUUCGGAUCACCGAUGACCAAUUGCUGAACGGACAGCACCUCCGCGUUCAACACACGUACGGUACGGGCGACGUCUCCUCCUUCUUGAUCCAGCAAGGGGAAGGAGAGGUUGAGGAAGAUGGCUCCAGCAGCAGCACGACGGCGUGAUGAUGGUGGAGUGACAGUUCUCCGACAGGGCUUCGCCAAGCACACGCGGAGGAGGAGAGGUGUUGGGGAGGGGAGGGGCUGCGCCUUCAAUGGUGUUUUGCAGCCCUCCCCUCGCCCCUCUAUUUAUAGGGGGAAGGGAGAAGGGGCCGGCCCCUCUAGAUGCAUCUAGAGGGGGGGCGGCGGCCAAGGGGAGGGGGGACUUGCCCCCCAAGCAAGGGGGGGCGCCCCCUCUAGGGUUCCCCCCUCAACCCUAGGCGCAAGGGCCCAUGGGAGGGGGUGCGCCCAGCCCACCAGGGGCUGGCCAACUCCCCACGCAGCCCAAGUGGCCCCCCGGGAGGGGUGGCCCCUCCCGGUGGACCUCCGGAACCCUUCCGGUGGCCCCGGUACAAUACCGGUACGCCCCCGAAACUUUCCGGUGUCCGUUUGACAACUUCCCAUAUAUAAAUCUUUACCUCCGGACCCUUCCGGAACUCCUUGUGACGUCCGGGAUCUCAUCCGGGACUCCGAACAACAUUCGGUAGUCACAUACUAGUCUUCCUAAUAACCCUAGCGUCACCGAACCUUAAGUGUGUAGACCCUACGGGUUCGGGAGACACGCAGACAUGACCGAGACGACUCUCGGGCAAUAACCAACAGCGGGAUCUGGAUACCCAUGUUGGCUCCCACAUGCUCCUCGAUGAUUUCAUCGGUUGAACCACGAUGUCGAGGAUUCGAUCAAACCCUGUAUGCAAUUCCCUUUGUCAAUCGGUACGUUGCUUGCCCGAGACUCGAUCGUCGGUAUCCUAAUACCUUGUUCAGUCUCGUUACCGGCAAGUCACUUUACUCGUACCGUAAUGCAUGAUCCCGUGGCCAACACCUUGGUCACCUUGAGCUCAUUAUGAUGAUGCAUUACCGAGUGGGCCCAGAGAUACCUCUCCGUCAUACGGAGUGACAAAUCCCAGUCUCGAUCCGUGUCAACCCAACAGACACUUUCGGAGAUACCUGUAGUGCACCUUUAUAAUCACCCAGUUACGUUGUGACGUUUGGUACACCCAAAGCACUCUUACGGUAUCCGGGAGUCAUGGUCUAAGGAAGAGAUACUUGACAUUGGCAAAGCUCUAGCAAACGAACUACACGAUCUUUGUGCCAUGCUUAGGAUUGGGUCUUGUCCAUCACAUCAUUCUCCUAAUGAUGUGAUCCCGUUAUCAACGACAUCCAAUGUCCAUAGCCAGGAAACCAUGACUAUCUGUUGAUCACAACGAGCUAGUCAACUAGAGGCUCACUAGGGACAUAUUGUGGUCUAUGUGUUCACACGUGUAUUACGAUUUCCGGAUAAUACAGUUAUAGCAUGAACAAAAGAAAAUUAUCAUGAACAACGAAAUAUAAUAAUACUUUUAUUAUUGCCUCUAGGGCAUAUUUCCAACAGUGCAGCGCAUCCCAGACGGCGCGAGAGGUGUGGAGCUGGGUCAAUUGCCCGAUGAUGUCCUCAGUCAUGGAGGAUAGCAGGGCGAUGAGGACCACCUGGUCCUGUUGAUACCAGCGAAGGAACGCCGGAUUGGCCACGACACGGGCAGCAUCGCCGGUGCCCUCGGUGAUGGUCUCCGGUGGAGCAGGGAUAGAGCCAUCGACAUAGCCGAAGGAGCCCUGCGCGCGAAGGACGGGGACGGCCUGAGUUUUCCACAGAAGAAAAUUCUCCCUCGUGAGGCGGAUGGUGAUCAAGUUGGCGAUGGCAGCAAUGGAGGCGGAGCCGGACGAGGCCAUCGCGCCGGAGGUGCCAUCACUGGAAGCAGGGGCGGUGGACAUGGUGAGGAAAAGGGUCGAGCUCUGAUACCAAGACAGAAGAUGUUGUUUGCCGUGAUUCUUCUCAAUAGAAUUCAGCUGUUUAUAUACAGCUCGUACAACUUCAGUUACACAUCAAGAGAUGGUGGAUAAUUAAGAAUGAAGUCUCUAGACCUUCUAUAUUCUAGCACUAAGCCAUAAUGCUAGAGCACUAACAUAAUACAGCUAACAGAGCCCAUCGAGAAUUCACAAUGACAUAAAUAAAACAAGGACGUUUGGUUCCUGGCUGGUUCCUGGUUGACUAGGGUCUCCUGGCGGCUAGCUCCUAGGUCUAUGAGAAGUGCCGAAGUGGGCUCGGGUGCUAGGCCCCUGGGCUGGGCUAACUGGCAACUCUUUUGUUAGUGGGCUGAUUUGAAGUAGGGGUGUCAUUUCAAACUUUUGAAAAUUAGCGAGCUAAAUGAGUUAGCUCGUGAAACUCAUUUGCUCGCUCGUUAAGCUCGUUAAACUUAACGAGCAAGAAACUCUGUUCGGCUUGGUUCAUUAACUAACGAGCACGAGCCAAAACGAGCCAAACUAUCGAGCACUCAUUAUGCUCGCGAGCUUCGAGCUUUUCGUCACAUAUUGUGCAAAAUAAUUUCAAAGUUCUAUUACCUUGGUGAAAAUAACAUGGUCGUGGAAAGUCAGUAUUUCUGAGAACAUAGGUUCCUUAAAAGCCAUAUCUGCAGCCUCAACAUGGGACCAUGCCAGAGUUGCAUCGGCACCAUCUUCUUUGCAUCCCCUUUCAAUGCUUAAGGCGAUCCAGUGAGUAAAAUAGACAAUACUAUCACCAGGAAGUUCCUUUUGGGGACCAAAACAUGACAUCAAAUAAGCAUUGGUUAUUAUGUUGGGGUCGAAUACCAGAGAAACAUAGGAGAGAAUUACUGAUAUAGAAAUACUAAUGUUCUAAACUCCACGAAACUUCUUACCCCAAACUGGGUUGAGCAAAGCUCAUAUUCAGGCUGCAGUAUAAACUGGGUCUAUACUUAUAAACUGGGUUGACAGCUACAAGACCAUCCCGGCAUCCUUUUCGGUUCUGCAUGUAGUGAGUAAGCUCGUAUGCCAAGAGCACGUUAUCAGUAAUCAUACGUCCCGGCACGAAGGCACUCUGUGAAGGAGAAAUGAUAUCGGGCAACAACACCUUCAGCCGGUUUGCGAGGACCUUGGAAAUGAGCUUGUAGAUGACGUUGCAGAGACUGAUCGGGCGCUUUGAGGUCUCCAACAGAGUCAAGGGCCUGCUUCACCUCCUUAGCAGAAAACGUCCUGACAAGGCCAUCAUUCAUUGCCGGUGUAACGGACACUGGGACAUGUUGGAGAAUAUCAUCGUUUAAAGGACCUGCAUGAGAGGUGAACAAACUUUUGUAGUGGAUACAAAAAAGGCUUGCUACAAGGUCAAACUGAUUUGGCUGUAGAAAUAGAUUUGGUUUCAUUAAUGAACUCAGGGAGCCCAUCCCUUUCAAUAAAAAAAGAGUAGCCUAGGGCACUUCUAAAUGUGUCCUAGUUAUCGCACAUCUAAAUGACUCAAUCAAAUUAGAGAGAAAAAAACAACAACAAAUGCUUGCACAAAUCUUUACAUAAAAUAAAUGACAUAGGACUUAGAUAUGCAAUACUUAGAGCACAUCUAGAUAUGCUUUAGCAAAACUGAAGAGAAAAAAACAAGACCGAUCUGAUUGUUGGCCUUUAGAUUAAUCCGUCCAGUUCGGCUACACUUAAUACCACACCGUGCGCACGAGCCCAAUAAUGUUGUGUGGUGGCCAGCGUAUGCACUAUGCAACAUCGGCCAGAUAUGCAAGCAAUCCGGUGGUCCGUGAAGACUUGUGAGCGGCUAGGGUUGACGAGGCGCUGCUUGAUGAGUUGCGACGGAUGGUAUGGAUGAAGGCGUGGGGUGACCCGGGUAGCUAUGGGCUGAAAAAUAGUAUAUGUUUAUACCCAUAUUUAUUACUUUGAUUUGAAAAUAGUAUGCUUAUUAUAUACGGAAGUCUCAUGUACACAAGAACGUCAAACAUACCAAGACUAUUUCCUUGUAGGUUUUAUUACAGAAUAAGUAAUUUAUAUGUUGCUACGCUCUAUGUUUAUAUAGCCAAAAUUAUCCUUCAUUAAUGAAUGUUUAGGCGUUUAAAGGAUUUCAUGGUUUUUUAGUUGAAAAGAGCUCAUGUUGGAGCUGUGGUCUUGGAUGAGUCAACUAAAUUUUAGUGGUUCUCACGAUUUUAAUUCCCGACCCCCCUCGGGCAUUUGGUGAUGCUACUCCCGAAAGUUUAGUACAGAUGGACAUACGGUCUAUAUUAUGAACUAAAAAAGAUGUUCUAUGUCAAACUAGGGGUACUUAGAAGUCAUUUUCCUUUAAGCAAACAAAAAUCCAUUUGGAUUUCUGGAUAGAGAAAGUUUAUUGCAUGCGGUGUCAUUGUUGGUGUAUCUAUAGCAACCAAUCAGUGUCAGGUAAACACAUGUUGCAGUAUAGAUGCGCACACAUGUUUCUAGCUCCAGUUUACAUAUCCGUUGGAUUGGAGGUACAGGCUUUCCAUCAUGGUCUUACGGUUUACUUAGAAAAAAGAGUUUAUGAUCAUCACGUGUUCAUCCAGAUGUUUUUUGUUUAUUUGGUUUAGAGCUAGCAUCAGUUAGUCAUGCUCUCUCAGAAACAACAAAUAUAUAAUAAUAGCAUAGCUACAUGUCUCAGUGGCACCUUGCAUCAUAUUUUAACUUGCUCGAUUCAAAUGUGUGCAUGCUUUUUCAAAAUGUGUUAAUAACACUGUAUAUUAUGUAAGAUGGUUUUAAAAUUACACUUGUCCAUGAUAAGUUUCCCACGGCUCCAAAAAUAAAUUGUAUGGCGUUAUCUCAGAUAGCUGAUACUUCAGCUCAUCUAUAUAAAUCAUUGCUAUUCGACAAAAUAAAGUAACAACAAAAACAAAACCUUUAGUACCAUACAAGUUAGGGUAGGCUAGAUGUAAAACCCAUAAGAUCUCGCGACCAACUCAUGAUUCUAACACAUAAAUAGCAAGCUUCCACUCACCCAUGUCCAUGGCUAGUUCCUUGAUGAUACUCCAAUCCUUCAGUUCUCUCUUUACAGACUCCUUCCAUGUCAAAUUCGGUCUACCCAGACCUUUCUUGACAUUAUCCGGACGCUUUAGCCGUCGGCUAUGCACUGGAGUUUCUGGAGGCAUGCGUUGAAUAUGCCCAAACCAUCUCAGACAAUGUUGGACAAGCUUCUCUUCAUUUUGUGCUACCCCAACUCUAUUUCGUAUAUCAUCAUUCCGGACUCGAUCCUUCCUCGUGUGGCCACACAUACAUCUCAACAUGCGCAUCUCCGCCACACCUAACUAUUGAACAUGUCUCAUUUUAGUCGGUGAACACUCGCGUCAUAUAACUUUGCGGGUCGAACCGCCGUCCUAUAUAACUUGCCUUUUACCUUUUGUGGCACCCUCUUGUCAUAGAGAAUGCCAGAAGUUUGGUGCCACUUCAUCCAUCCGGCAUUGAUUCGAUAGCUCACGUCUUCAUCAAUACCCCCAUUUCUGCAGCAUUGACCCAAAAUAUCGAUAGGUGUCCUUCUGAGGCACCACCUGCCCAUCAAGGCUAACCUCCUCCUCCUCGCGCCUAAUAGUACUGAAACCGCACCUCAUGUACUCGGUUUUAGUUCUACUAAGCCUAAAACCUUUUGGUUCCAAGGUUUGUCUCCAUAACUCUAGCUUCCUAUUGACCCCCGUCCAACUAUAGUCAACUAGAACCACAUCAUCCACAAAGAGCAUACACCAUGCAAUAUAUCCUUGUAUAUCCCUUGUGGUCUCAUCCAUCACCAAAGCAAAAAAGAUAACGGCUCAAAGCUGACCUGUGAUGUAGUCCUAUCUUAAUUGGGAAGUCAUCAACAUCGACAUCACUUGUUCGAACACUUGUCACAAAUCAUCGUACAUGUCCUUGAUGAUGGGUAAUGUACUUUGUUGGGACUUUGUUUUUCUCCAAGGCCCACCGCAUGACAUUCUGCGGUAUCUUAUCAUAAGCCUUCUCCAAGUCAAUGAACACCAUAUGCAGGUCCUUCUGUUGCUCCAUGUAUCUCUGCAUAAAUUGUCGUACCAAGAAAUUGGCUUCCAUGGUCGACCUCCCAGGCAUGAAACUGAACUGAAUUUUUGUCAUGCUUGUCAGUCUUCUUAAGCGGUUCUCAAUGACUCUCUCACAUAGCUUCAUUGUAUGGCCCAUCAGCUUAAUUCCAUGAUAAUUAGUACAACUCUGAACAUUCCCCUUGUUCUUGAAGAUUGGUACUAACAUACUUCGUCUCCAUUCUUCCGGCAUCUUGUUUGCCCAAAAAAUGAGGUUGAAAAGUUUGGUUAGUCAUACUAUUGCUAUGUCCCCGAGGCCUUUCCACACCUCAAUGGGGAUACAAUCAGGGCCCAUUGCCUUGCCUCCUUUCAUCCUUUUUGAAGCCUCCUUGACCUUAGACUCCUGGAUUCGCCGCACAAAAUGCCUGUUGGUAUCAUCAAAGGAGUCGUCUAGUUCAAUGGUAGACCUGUCAUUCUCCCAUUGAACAACUUGUCGAAGUGCUCCUUCCAUCUAUGUUUAAUGGCCUCGUCCUUCACAAGGAGUUGGCCAGCUCCGUCCUUAAUGCAUUUGACUUGGCCAACAUCUCUCGUCCUCCUCUCCCAGAUCUUGGCCAUCUUAUAGAUGUACCUUUCUCCUUCCUUCCCGCCUAAACUCUAGUAGAGUUCUCAUACGCCCGAUCUCUUUCUUCACUGACCGCUCGCUUUGCGUCCUUCUUCGCCAUCUUGUACUUCUAUGUUGUUUGCACUCCUAUCAAGUAUAGGUGUCUGAAACAAUCUUUCUUCUCCUUAAUCGCCUUCUAGACAUCAUCAUUCCACCACCAGGUAUCCUUAGCUUGGCUUAUCCUUCCCCUGGACAAUCCAAACUCCUGUGAGGCCACCUUACGAAUGCAAGUCACCACCCUUCAUCCAUAGACUGUCUACAUCCCCUCCUUCCUGCCAAGGGCCCUCCUUAAUGACCCUCUCCUUGAACGCCUGAGCUAUCUCCUCCUUGAGCUUCCACCACUUCGUUCUAGUGACUCUGGCAUGCUUAUCCCGUUGUACAGGAAUUGGAAAGCGGAAGUCACCAACCACCAACUUAUGCUAAAGGGACAACACUCUCUCCAGGUAUCACCUUACAAUCUAGGCAUGCACGCCUAUCUUCUCUUCUCAAGAGGAUGAAAUCAAUCUACCUAGAGUGUUGACCACUACUAAAAGUCACUGGAUGUGGUUCUCUCUUUUUAAAGAGGGUGUUAGCUACAAUCAUGUCAUAGACUAGAGAAAAGCUUAACACAUUAUUUCCUUCUUGAUUCCUGAUGCCAUAGCCAACAAAGCCCCCAUGCACCCCUUCAAAACCUCUGUUAGAUGCACCCACGUGACCAUUGAGGUCUCCUCCUAUGAAGAGUUUCUCUUCAAUUGGUACGCUCCUAACCAUGUCCUCUAGCCCUUUCCAGAAAUCCCUCUUGGUGUUCUCAUUGAGGCCUACUUGUGGGGCAUACGCGCUGGUAACACUGAGAACUAGGUCCCCAAUUACCAGCUUGACCAAGAUAAUUCGGUCCCAUGUCUCUUGACGUUUACCCCUCCAUACUUGAGGCUCUUGUUGAUCAAGAUGCCUAUGCCAUUCUAUUUGCAGUUGUCCCCGUGUACCUCAACUUGAAACCAGUAUCCUCCACCUCCUUCGCCUUAUGUCCCCUCCAUUUGGUUUCUUGGACACAAAGGAUAUCAACACCUCUCAUCACCGCUGCAUCAAGUAGCUCCCCAAGCUUCCGUGUCAGAGACCCUACGUUCCAGCUACCUAAGCGGAUCCUCCUAGGCUCGGCUAGAUUCCUUACCCUUCGCACUAGCCGAGUCAAAAGUGAAAACCCUUGCUCAUUUUCCACAACAUCCGGGUGCCAAUGUAGCGCGCCACUGAGGAUGUAACGACCCGAUCCUCGCUCAUUUCCCACCGUAUCCAGAUCAAGAUACGGCGCGCCACUGGGAGGGGGGUGUGACAGCCCGGCCCUUGCCCAUUUGACAACAUACUCGGGUUCCGAUGUGGCGCAUCGCUGAGAGGGUUAUGCGCCAAAGAAAAUCUUUUGGGUUUCAUCUCCAUAAGAGUGGCUGAGUUUUCACAUUGGCUUGCCAAGCCUAUCACAACCCUCCGUCUUUAGCCGGGCUUAGGGCCGACUAUAUUGAGACAACAUAGGCAAAGUUUUUGCUUCGCUUAAUGUGUGAGUUUUUUUGCCGUCGUAUGACAAAUUGAGAGAGUUAGCCAAAUAUGGGUCUUUCAGCACAAGUUUACUCUAGCAACCACUUGAUUUCUAAUGAUAUGACUCCAGUGUGCUAUAUAUAAGCCGAUUGUGUCGUGUAUGGCGUUUGGAUCGCGGCCUCCAUGGAGGCCGAAUUUUUGAAAAUAUCAAAAUACAAAGUUUUUUGUUUCAAAAAAAUCUGAAAAAAAUUGUACAAGUAAGCAAGGAUGUGAUGUGUAUGUGUGUAAAUUUCAGGAUGAAAUACAUUUAAAUGCGACCUGUACAAAAAGAUAAAUUUGUGGCCAGACCUUUGAACAAUUGAUAGGCCAAACCUUAGUCCUAAAGUUUUGGCAAUCAGGACGUCAGCACACUAAUCAACUUUCCAGUUACCUCCGGCAAUGCAUUUCCUGCUAGCAUCUCCUAAAACUGCACUAGUCGAGCCCCUAAGCAAGUCUUGAUCAAAAGAUACAUCAAUAUUAAGUUUAACAAAGCCCAAAGGUUGUCGAGUACAACCCCUUUGUGCAUGGUAGCAUCAAGGGAAAGAGCAAUAAUAUAGUUUGCCACCAGGGUAUGAAUCCCCAUGGUACCCAUGGUAGUCUGAUUAACAUCUUGAUCAUUCUCCUCAUGGACCAGCUUACACCUUUCCUGCCACAAGUACCAAGUGGUAAUGGCUAUAAACUCACGAGCAUUAUCAAUACCCAAAAUAGACAGAUCCUAAUCCAGCAUAUGAAAUAAAAAUUCAAGGUCAGCCUCCAUAGCAUGAUCAAUUUCAAAAGCUCAUUUAAUCAGUACAUCUAACCCCAAAACUCUCCAAAUCCCUUAGCUUUGUUGGCAUUGGAACAAAACGUGCUUAAUAUCCUCAGGUCCAUUGGCAUAAGAGGGGCUUUGAGGUGAAAUUUUCAAUGUCUAUUGACAAGCGUAACACGUCAAGGAAGAGUGCCAUGCAACAUGCCACAAAUAAAGAUUUUUACCAUGUCAGACAAGAUAAUUUCCAAGUCUUACACCAAAUGGGAUAGUAAUAAAUUGUCCCAUUGCAUUAGUUCCUCUGAGUUUCCUCUCAUGUUGAUGAGCCCAUUCCACUAAAUAGAAUGAACGAACAGUGAAUAUCCCAUUUGUGAAACUCCACACAAUAAAGUUAGACAUAUCAUGAAACAAAAGAGAAAUCACAAGAACUCAUUGUGCAUCAAUUGGCCACAGCGCUCGUCUGAUCAAGUCAUCAUUCCAAUUUGGUAACGAGAUAAAUAAGAUCAAAAACCUAAGACAUGAGAUGUCCCCCUUUAGGAGUGACAAUUCUUCUAUUAGCACAAUUUGGGAUCCACGCAUGGUCACAAAUACCAAUAUUCUACCCAUUACCAACUCUCCAUAUAUUAAUAUCAACAUUCUACCCAUUACCAACUCUCCAUAUAUAACGGUGAUUCAAAGAAUUUACUCCCACCAUUAUACUUUGCAAAGUAAAAGAUGAGCCUUUUUUUAGUUUUGUAUUCAGCAAAUCAUCAUCUGGGAAAUACUUGGCUUUCAAAAUUGGAGUACAUAAAGAUUCUUGGUUCUCAAGAAGAUGCCACACUUUUUUAGCCAGUAUCGCCAAAUUGAAGCAAUGGAUAUUGCAAAACUCACCCAUCCUUGAUAUUUUUUGGGACAUAUUUUCAAACAAGCCAUCCAGUGUGUCUUCUUCUGAAUCCUCGUCACCCCACCAAAAAUGCGACACCGUGUCAGUGAUUCCUUUGCAAGUCGACUUAGGAUUUUAAAGACAUCCCUCCAUUCCUUUAUAUAAACGAGUGCAUGUUUGACCGAGUUUUAGAAAAAAAUUAUCGAUAUCCACAAUACGAAAUUUAUAUCAUUUGGUUCGUCAUGGAAAGUAGUCUUAUAUUUUACCUAUUAGGUAUUGCAAAUGUUGUUAUUUUAUUCUAUAAUCUUGGUCAAACAUUCAAGUGGUUGACUUGCAUGAAAAUCAAUACACCUUAUAUUUUGGAACGAAGGUAGUACAUAGCAUAGGUGGGAAAAGCUUUUUAGAUGCUAUUAGUCGACUACAAGAGCACAUAACUAUGGAUAAUUAACUUCUUUUACAUGUGGUAACUGAUCUACUAAUUAAGUAAUAACAUUACAGUGUUGUCUAGAAAAUGCUACGGUCAUUUUCAUGAUGCAUGCACUGUAUAUAUGCUGUUCUGUUGUAAUGACAUUAUCAUAUAUCCCUGCAAAAAAAAAUAUCACAUUAUCUAUCAUAUAUGAUGCUAAUUAAAUAAUUUCGAACAUGCAUGUAUUACAUAUGUGGUUCUGCUGCGCGUAAUAACAUUUCGUGUAUGGUGCUAAUUAAAUUAUUUUUGGAACUUAAUUACGCGCAGGUGGCCAAGGGACAGGAACACAGAAUAAUAUGGACUCGACAAGGGCAAGCUUCUCGCAGAUGUGGCAUGAGCAGGGAAUCCAGUUAAUGGUAAUCAUCAGCUUAAUGCUACAGCUCAUCCUGCUAUUCACUGGUAACCACCGGUGGCGCAGAAUCAGGUGGCGCAAAAUCAGUGGGUUCAUGAGGUUCAUAGUGUGGCUGGUUUACGUGGGGGCGGACGCUAUUGCCGUCUUCACCAUUGGCCUCUUCUCCCAAUACGAGGAAAAAUACAAACUGAGAAGCCACGACUCUUCUGCGCACGAUCGCAUGCUGCCUUUCCUCUGGGCACCCUUUCUCCUUCUUCAUCUGGGCGGCCAGGACACCAUCACUGCGUUUUCCAUUGAGGACAACAACCUAUGGCUGAGGCACUUGUUGAACCUCCUGAUCCAGGUCUCUCUGGCCAUGUAUGUCUUCUGGAAGUCGUUGGACAUACUCAACUCACACCUGCUAGCCGUUGCGGUGCCCAUAUUUGUUGCUGGAAUAAUCAAAUAUGGCGAGAGGACAUGGGCUCUACAGAGAGGGAGCCGAGAUAGCCUCGGAAGUCGCAAGGUGGAGGAAGAGGAAUCACAAGAUGAAAGUGUUGCUGGUGAUGUCGUGGCAGCUUAUGCUCUUAAAUCGGUACUUCAAGGCAGAGGGCUGCUUGCGGGACGGACAAUGUUCCAGCUGGGAGAUGGGGUCAAGGGGCAUCUGGUGGAUAAUUUUGCAGACAUGGGCCAAAGAGAAGGGAAGCUCAAGGUCGUAACGAUGGAGCUUCGUAUGAUUUAUGAUAUCCUGUACACAAAGGCUAUGGUGCUGCAAAGCUGGACGGGCCGGGUGCUCCGGUGCGGCGCCUUGAUCGCCAUGCUAGUCGCCUUUGUGCUCUUCUCGAUGAAUCAGGAACUACAAGGCCACAACAAAGCCAACGUUACCAUCACCUAUGCAUUGUUUGUCGGGAGUAUCUUCAUGGAAUUUUAUUCAGCCUCCAUGGUGAUAGUGUCGCCAUGGACAAGGGCAUGCUCGAAAGAGGGCAGCUUUCUCUGUUGGCUGGGCCGCGCUGCUUCCCGAAAAGGUUUGGCAUGUCCGUCCAUGGGGCAAUUUAACCUUACAGACUACUCCUUGUACGAGAAAUCUGUGCCAAGAUUUUCCAAGGUCAUCGCCGCAUUGGGUCUAGAGAAGCAAUGGAGAAACUUAUGGCACAUCAAGCACGUCGAAGACAAGGAGAUCAUGGAGUAUAUUGUGGGAUUUUUUGACGACACAGAUUCUGGGCAGAGAUACCAGCGCCUAGAGCUUGGCCGGAAAUUGAACUACUUGCUAAGUCUUCCCUUCGAGCAUGCCCUUUUUCGCCUGCAUAUAUUCACAGACAUGCACAUAAGCAGACACUUGCAGCUGGGAGGUGAUGCAAGUCAUUCGGCCCUGCUUGUGGCAGAGUGCAGAAAGAUAUCAGACUACCUCAUGUACCUUAUGGUGGUUCACCCUUCCAUGCUACCAGUCAGCACGGCUGCCCAAGACCUUGAACCCUGCUUCGCCGAAUGGAUCAGGCACAACCACAGUGACAACAUGACCAAGAGAGAGAUUCUGGAGGCAUAUGCAAAUCAAAGGCUCUACAAUGAGAGGUUCUCAUCAUGUCCCUUUGAAGAAUUUCCUUCCAUGCAUUCGUUGAGUGAGUUAAAGGAGGUAUUGGUGAGGGUGCUCAUAUACGCUGCUGGUAAGUGCCCCAUGGAACUACAUGCGCGCAAGCUCAGCGACGGAGUGGAGCCUCUCACCGUGGUUGCGUCAAUCAUGAUGCAUCACGGUCUAGGGGAUGUGGGAAGGGAGUUCAAGCUGUUGGCAUCUGAUGAUCCUCAUGUGCCCACACCAGGGUCGCUGGUGUCAGUGGAUCAGAGCAGCUGGAUCCGGCGGCCACAAGGGCCUCUCUACGCGUUUGAAUUCUACCAGCAUGCGUAUGAAUAUGAUCAUCAGACGUGGUCGCUUCUGCAGCCUUCGCAAGAAUACCCACGCUUAUUUGUUAGGGCUUGGGCACCGCGAGACAUGGUGUAUCAGUCAUGGAUGUCACGAUGGGAGGGAGGGCAAGCUGGGUGGUCAACAUCCGAGAGAGAACAAACUGAUUGGUCCUCAUCAGAUAUCCAGCAGCAUGUGGUCAACAUGAACGGACUCAACCUACCACUACCACUGCACACACAGCCUGGACAAUUUCCGUCGCUGCCGGUAACUAACUCCAUCAUAUAUAAUUCGUUUCUUGUUUUUCGUCAUGUCUCUUAUACACAUCUGGUGGAUACGUGCAGAAUGCCUCCCCUGAUACUGAUGUGGGAUCGGAGGUGUAUUGGUCGUCAUCGGAGACAUGGCAAGCUAAUCAGUCACCGGAGACGGAUAUGCACCGAAUUGAUAUACCAACUGACCCACAAAUCCAACAAAUUGCAUCGGGAACGGUAAAUGUUUCUAGCACUACUCCAGCAUGCAUAUAUAGUUGCUUCUUAGUUUUCCAUGUCUAAACCUGGAAAUGGUUUUGAAUUAUUUUUUUUUUUUUUGCGGGAUGAAAAUGGUUUUGAAUUAACCAGGUUAAAUGGUUUGGUCCUUGCUUUGGGUUUGCUUGGUUCGGUUUUUCAUGGGGAUAAACUUUUAACAGUUCGGUUUGGUUGGUUUAAGGAGGAAUGAGUUCGAUGUGGUUGGGUGUGGGCCUAUUUAGUUUGGUCCCUAACAGUUCCUAGCUAUGUCUGAUAACAGAUUUGUUAGAUCGGUUCCAUGCGUCCAGGCUCCGACGCAGGAGCACUGUUUCUCCAAGCGAGCGUACGUGCGCAGGAGUGCUGUUUGACAUGCUGCUUCCCAGCUAGCACAUGAUUAAGCCGGCGGGUUAUUAGGUGAUAUAUAUUUGUAUAGAUAUACAACACGCGUGGGUUAAAAAUCACAAGCUAAAACCACGGUUCGUUUACCAGUUUAGUUUGGUUUGGGUUCAGAUUUCUUGUGAUUUAGUUUAGGUUAGGUGUCAAUACACAUUUUUGUGGAUUGGUUUGGCUUGGUUUUCUUAAAUUUGUCACGUGGGUUUAGGUUGGGUAUGGUUAAGUUACCCGACCAUUGCCGGAUUUUCCCAUGUCUUACAGUGUACUAAUUACGGCACAAAUAUGGAUGGGUGUUCUACGUAAUAUUAACAUUUUGACCCAUGCAUGAACAGAAUACCUCACCUGAAACUGAUUUGGCAUUGGAGGUGUAUCUGUCAUCACCAGAGAUUGAGCAAAUUUAUUCGUCAUCAGAGAUCCACCAACUUGACGUACCGAUGCCCCCACAGUCCCAACAAUUUGCAAUACAACAGGUAACUACAUCUUUGCUAAGCUUGCAAGCUGUAAUGAAUCUAAGACCUUGUGCUUUUUUCGAGACUUUUAAUAAGAUGUCCAAAAAAAAAAGCUACAUCACCAUUGCUUGAGCAUACAUAUACAUAUACAUAUACAUAACUGACUGUUGCCUCUUAAUAUCUCCUCCUCCUCCUGCUCCUUCUCCUCUUUUUUUGGGUAUUAAUUGUUCCUCCGUCGUACUCCAUAUUUAUAGCUGACACCGUUCAAAAAAAUAUAUAUUUAUAGCUGACAUCGUUGUCCAUGGACAGAAUCUUGAAACUGUUGUGGCACCAGAAACAGAGCAAAAGCAAGUAGAUGGAGCACUGGAGAUUGAGCUUGCUGAUGUAGCGUCGGAGAUAGAGCAAGCUGGUGGGGUACUGGAGAUAGAGCAGAAGGACAAUGUGGGAAGUAGCACAAACUGAAGGUCGAUCUCGUGCCGUCUGUAGGAACAAAAUAUAUAUUUUGCAUUUCCACAAAAGAUAUCAGUAUUACUAUUACUUGGUUGUAAUGGUCCAAGAACUUGUGUAAGAUGUCGCUGUGUCAGCUCGAUCAGCUACCGUGGUUGUUCUUUUACUAGGACAUUUAUUUAUUUGUUCGCGUAUUUGCACUUUUUUUUCAUGCUUAGUCUGCCUGUACUCUAUGUAACCUAUAUAUACUUUUAUUCUAAAAAACCUAUAUGCUUCUAUAUGUUUCCUUUCAUACUCUGUAAGUGUUAAUGCUAGUUUUUAUGUAUUUAAUAGACUGUGCUAACUUUCUACUAAUCGGAAGAUAGUUACAGAUCCGAACACUUUUCUAGUUAAUUCAUUUAACUAAGUCUGCAUGCAUGCAUAGUACUCCGUCUGUUUUUUUUUAGUCUGACAUAUAAGAUUUGGUCAAAGUUAAACUUUGUAAAGUUUGACUAACUUUAUAGAAAAAACAUUAACCUCUGCAAUACUAAAGUUAUAUGUUAUGAAAAUUAAUUUAAUUAUGCAUCUAGUAAUAUUGAUUUCAUAGUGUGAAUGUUGAUAUCUUUUCCUACAAAACUAGUCAAACUUUACAAAGUUUGACUGUCAUCAAUCUUUUAUGCAAACCAAAAAGAAACAGAGGGAGUAUGUGUGCAUCUACAUGCAUGUCCAUACUCUUGAAAAUGUGCUAAUGACAUUUUUCUGUUAACUGUUCGGAAAAAUGCCAAAAUUGUUCGCAUACUAUGUUAAAAAUGUUUGUACCAUUCAAAUAUUUUUUUCCUGGCAUUUAAAAGAUGUUAACACGUUUAGAAAUGGUACAAACAUUCUACCCUUAACGGGAUGAUAUUUAAGGAUGAGCCCUGGACUGGGCCAUGUGUGCGCGCUUUGACGUGUUACUUUACACACGGUCUAUUGCAAGCUCUUAACGGGUAUUUUGUGUUGCUUUGGGCCUAAGCACUGGGCUAAAAGCCCAUUCUACCCUUGGUGGCCAAUGUGUCAGCGAAGGUUAGAAGUUUUAUUUGGAAGGUCAAUCCUUAUCUCCACAAGGUGAGAAUGGUUACAAACUACAUCUCUCUAGUUUAUCAUCUGAAAGAAGCUUAUCCGGGGCCAUCUGCCAUGAUUAUCCAUGAAGUUUAGUCAAGGAAGCGACACUUCGUAGGUUCUAGAAAUAAUGCAUGAAGGAAAGAGAGACGAACUUCGAAGCUCAUGAACAGGCAAAAACCGCUACCACUCUUGCUAGCGGACGCCAUGUCCGGUUAUCCGUGACACCUGGCAUUAUGCAUGUAAACCACAUUAUUGAGCAUUAAUAUGGUGGUGAGUUUAAAAAAAUGGAUACAUUGGUGCAUAUCCAUCACACCUUGCCCUCGCGAAUUCAGCAGAAUAUGUUCUUGAGGUUUGAUUAAUACUCAUAUUUGAGGUGAAUAUGGCACUUGGGCUUUUAUUUUAUUUUUUGUUCCGCAUAGUGCAUCCACAAUAUGUUUUUGGUGUGGUGGCAUGGCCCUUCCUCCCAUGGUGGCUUUGUUUCUCUCUCUUCAUCGGCGAUGGUGUUUGCGGUUUGGUGCGCGGUUCCUUCGGUUUGUUGGUAUGUUCGUGUGAGUGAUGGGGUGUCUGUUUUGGAUUCUUUCGCUUCAUAAUCGGUGAAGAGCCUUGUCCUCUUUGUAUCUGGUUUUCACCCGCUUUUCCCUAAUUAACCGGGCAACUCUCUUCUUCUAUAUAAAAUGUAGGAACCCCUACCCCUCUUUUCAGGUGUUACUCGAAGGAAAAAAAAAUGUGCAUCCACACCCCCAUCCAGAAGCUCUAGAUUUGUCUUGUGACCAGCGAGGCUUCUCAACAUCUGCAAAAAUAAAACUAAAAAUAACCCGCAAAACAAAAGGCUUCGCAACAUCCGUGUUUUUUUAUUCUUAACGCAAAUGUGCACGUUUUUUGUGUGUGUAUUACUACUUUGAUCUUCUCUAGUUCCUCCCGACGAUUAUUGUUAUUUUUUGGGAAGGCCAUUAUGGUUAGUUUUAUUGGAACUCAAAAUAGGUUUACAUCGUCUACGAGCUUGCUGACAACAAUGUCAGGAGGCUCGUUCCCGACGAUUAUUGUUAUCUUCUCGUUGCCAUGCAUAUACCUCGGUCUCUUUCAUCCCUUGAUGGGCAAACCAACCACGUACGAGCAUAGCAGGGAGGCCGUAGCGAUCGAGCGCAGAAGAUGCAUGCAUGGGCUAGGAAGAUAUUGAUUCAACGUUGCCGAACCUACCAAUACCAUCACCAGCUUAGCUAAGCUAGCCUUGAAUGCAGCUCUGACAACCGGCGUCCAAUGCAGCAGCCUACAAAUAGAGGCCACCGUCUCACAUCCACGGCAUCCAUUCCACUUGCACCCACAGAUCGACCCCCAUGGCAACCGGCUGUCGCUCCACCUCCGCCACCCGGGCCAUCGUCCUCGCGCUGCUGCUCCUCUGCUUCGCCGCCACUACGGUGCAGUCGAGGAAGCCUUCGGCCAGGUACAUCUCGUACGCGGCCCUCCCAAGACCCGACUGCCUGCGAGCCGGCCGUCCCGUUUUCUGCCGCGGGGUCUCGGCCAUCUCCGGCAAGCCUUCACCCGGGUGGGCCUUUAUAUCUUACAGUGCUCGUUGAUGCUGUCGUUUACAAAUUGAUUCUCUGGACUAUAUAGUACGUAUAUGAAUCCAAGCUUAAUUUGUUAGGUUUUGUUUGUUGCAGAUGUGCAUGUCACGACUCGACGCGGAGAUGGCGGCGGAUCUUCACAGAGAUCCCUGAGCCCCUAGCAGCAUCGAUCGUCCGUGCUUUGUAGAACUGCAAGACAAGAGGAAUAUAUAUGUUGGAAUUUAUGUUUACCUUUAACUUGUAAUCUCAACAGCAUAUCUCCUCCCCCUCUCUCUCGUAGCUAUCUCAAUCUUUGUAACGACCGUAUCGUUGGCGAUCGGUUCAACUUGUAAGCCACGGCAGGGCUUCUGCCUCAUAUCAAUAUAAAUCAUCGCGGCUCCCUUACGAGGGAGUAGGAACGCUUCCCAAUCUAACAUGGUCAUCAGAGCCACCUCUUCCUAAUACAUCUAGCUACAACAAAACCACAACCACAACCACCGCCGCCACCGCCGCCAUGUCUUCCUCGUCGUCCGCCUCCCUCAACCUUGGGGCACCGCCGACGGAGAAGCUCGCGAGAGGAAACUUCAUCCUCUGGAAGGCACAAGUCCUACCAGCACUGCGAGGCGCGCAGGUGACUGGUUUACUGGACAACAGCGAUGCAGCUCCGCCCAAAACGGCGGAGAUCACGCAGGCGGACAAAACCACGGCCAUGGCGCCGAACCCGCUGUAUGCGGCAUGGAUCGCCAAAGAUCAACAGGUGCUCUCAUAUCUGCUAAAUUCCAUGACCCUAGAAAUACUUGCGCAGGUCAUCGGAAAGGAGUCCACCUUCGAGGUGUGGACAGCGGUGACAACCAUCUUCGCCUCCCAAUCGCAAUCUCGGAUCACAAAUCUGAGAAUUGCGAUCACCAACACCAAGAAGGGCACCAUGUCUAGCUCCGCCUUCAGGCCAAGAUGAAGAGUCUUGGCGACGAGCUAGCAGCCGCCGGUCGUCCCGUCUCUGACCCGGAGAUGGUGGACUACAUCCUGGCUGGGCUGGACCGCGACUACGACCCUGUGGUUGCGGCGAUCGGCGCCAUCAAGAACACGAUCACUGCCGAAGAUCUGUUUGCCCAAAUCUCCGCCUUUGACCAGAGAAUGGAGAUGUUGGGCGAUGCUCUCCUGGUGGUUUCCACACCUCUGCAAACGCCGCCUACAGAGGCCGCGGCCAAGCCCGUGGGAGACCCUACCGUGGGCGAGGCACAAGGGGGCGCGGCCGUGGAGAUCGGCAGCCCUCUCCUGCUCGCGGCGGGAACAGCUACAGAGGACGCCAGCGCCAGAAUCAACCACAACAGUCGCGCGAUCAACAGCAGCGCGACAACCCCGAGUGCCAGAUAUGCCUCAAGUAUCAUCCGGGGGGCGCGGCUCUGCUGGUGGCGCUAUGAAGAUGGAGAACCAGAGGAGAAGGCGGCGCAUGCAGCCACCUACGGCGUAGAUACCAACUGGUACGCCGACACGGGAGCCACAAAUCAUAUCACAGGAGAACUUGAUCAGCUGACAAUGCGGGAGAAGUACAACGAAGGCGAUCAAAUCCACACAGCAAGCGGUUCUGGUAUGGCAAUAACACAUAUUGGUAGUUCAAUUGUUAAAAACCCCAUCAAAAACUUGCAUCUGAAAAAUAUUCUCCAUGUUCCUGAAGCAGCAAAAAGCCUUCUUUCUGUUCAUCGAUUCACUCGUGAUAAUCAUGUUCUCAUAGAGUUUCAUCCCUAUUUUUUCUUGGUUAAGGAUCUGGCCACACGGAGAAUCAUUCUUAGAGGACGGUGUGUGGGAGGCCUCUACCCACUCAUAUCAUCAUCAUCAUGAGCAUCAAAUAAACAAGCGUACCUUGUCGUCAAGCCAUCUUCAGCAAAGUGGCACAGUCGCUUGGGUCAUCCGUCCUCAGUAAUAGUUAAACAUGUCCUUAGCAAGAAUAAGCUCCUCUAUGAGCCUAGUGUUGAGUCAGUUUGCGAUCCGUGUCAACAAGCAAAAAGUCGUCAAUUACCUUACCCUAUCUCUACCAGUGUGUCCACUGCACCUUUGCAACUCAUAUUUUCAGAUGUCUGGGGGCCAGCCCCCACUUCCGUUGGUAAAUUUUCCUACUAUGUAAGUUUUAUUGAUGACUAUAGUAAAUUUACUUGGAUUUACUUAUUAAAGAAGAGAUCCGAUGUAUUCCAAGUUUUCAUCAAUUUCUAAAACCUUGUUGAACGCAAACUGAGCUCUAAAAUUAUUGCUAUGCAAACAGACUGGGGAGGUGAGUAUGAGAAACUCAACUCAUUCUUCCAAAAACUUGGCAUUUCCCAUCAUGUUUCUUGCCCUCAUGCUCACCAGCAAAAUGGGUCUGCUGAAAGAAAGCAUCGUCACAUUGUUGAUGUAGGGCUUGCAUUGCUAGCAAAUGCAUCCAUGCCACUUAAGUUUUGGGAUGAAGCCUUCUUAACUGCUACAUACCUUAUCAACUUGCUCCCUAGUAAGGUCAUCAAGCUUGAAACACCCAUCACACGGCUCCUUGGUAUAACGCCAAAUUACACAUCUCUUCGUAUCUUUGGUUGUGCAUGUUGGCCGAAUCUUCGGCCCUACAACACACGUAAACUUGCUUUUCGUUCAAAGAGGUGUGUGUUCUUAGGGUAUAGUCCCAUGCACAAAGGAGUCAAGUGCUUGGAUGUUCCUACAGGAAGAAUCUACAUAUCUAGAGAUGUUGUAUUCGAUGAGUCCAUCUUUCCAUUUGCAUCUCUACAUCCUAACGCUGGUGCACUCCUUCGAAAAGAGAUUCUUCUCCUUCUUGAACAUCUUCGGAGUUUUGAUCAAGGGGGAGACAAUUGCACUAACCAAAAUGAUGAUAUUGCUAGCACCAGUUCUGCUCUUGUUCCUGUGCAGGUCGGCAAUGGAAACGGCGCUCAAAACGGUGCUCAGAAUGAUCAAAACGGAGGGUUAUUUCAUGUGCUGCAAGAAGACGAAAACGGCGCUGAAAACGGAGUUGAUCCGGCUGCGCCAGCAACUCCUGUGCGGCAGUUGGCAUCGGAUCGCGGGACAGAAUCGUCCUCGGAUCACGGGCGCGACAGGCGCGGACGCGCUCCCUCGAUCAGCUAGCCCGGAGUCGCCACGUCGCCAGCCAGCGGGACCGCCAGCGGGGCCGUAUCCUCCUCGUGCUCCACACCACGGUCCCGCGCUCCAGGCAGCCAACCCUGAGCCGCCACAUCAUCUACAUGCGGGGCCGCAUCCCCUUCGGGCUCCGCGUCGCUGUCUCCCUGCAUGCAUGCGCCGGGCGAGGCGGGAUCUUCUGCAUCCGACGCCCCUGUGGACACCAGGAUGACUGGUGGAGACGGGGCCACACCUGGCUCAUAUGGAUCUCCUGUGGCAACGCCAGCGGGGUCGCCUGGAUCUUCUGUGGCAGAUCCUCCUAUGCAGCGUGUACAGCCAGCAACCUCUACACGAGUCAUGACACGUCUACAGAAAGGUAUAAAGAAUCCAAAAAUACGUACUGAUGGUACUAUACGAUAUGGUAUGUUGUGUAUCUCAGUUGAACCAACAACGUUGAAUGAGGCACUUGAUGAUCCAAGAUGGAAGAAAGCCAUGGAUGAAGAAUACUCUGCACUCAUGAAAAAUAAAACCUGGCAUCUUGUGCCAGAUCAGAGAGGUAAAAAUAUUAUUGACUGCAAAUGGGUGUACAGAGUUAAAAAAAGGGCAGAUGGAACUGUUGACAGGUAUAAGGCAUGGUUGGUUGCAAAGGGUUUUAAACAACGCUAUGGUAUUGACUAUGAAGAUGCCUUUAGUCCUGUUGUAAAAGCUGCUACAAUAAGACUUGUUCUAGCUAUUGCUGUGUCCAGGGGAUGGAGUCUGCGUCAGCUGGAUGUACAGAACGCGUUCUUGCACGGUGUUCUGGAAGAGGAAGUCUACAUGAGACAGCCACCUGGGUAUGUGAGUAAGAAAACACCACAUUAUGUAUGCAGACUUGACAAGUCACUUUAUGGGUUAAAACAGGCACCUAGAGCAUGGUAUUCUAGGUUGAGCACUCAAUUGAGAUGUCUUGAUUUCUUUGCAUCAAGAGCUGAUACAUCUCUGUUUAUUUACAACAAGGCAAAAGUGAUUAUUUUUGUGCUUAUCUAUGUUGAUGACAUUAUUGUGGCAAGUUCAUCACAAGAUGCUACUAAUGCUCUUCUACAUGACUUGAGCUCAGAGUUUGCCUUGAAGGAUCUGGGAGAUCUACACUUCUUUCUAGGUAUUGAGGUUAAGAAGACUCAGGAUGGCAUAGUUUUGAAUCAAGAAAAGUAUGCCAAUGAGCUUCUGGUGCGCAUGGGCAUGAAGAGCUGUAAACCUGCACUUACUCCAUUGUCCUCUUCAGAAAGACUCUCAGCUUAUGAAGGUGAGCCUCUUCAAGAGACAGAAAGUACAAGGUACAGAAGCACUGUUGGAGCAUUACAAUACUUGACACUUACACGUCCAGAUAUCUCAUUUGCUGUUAACAAAGUCUGUCAGUAUCUGCAUGCUCCUACCACUGCACACUGGACAGACGUCAAGAGAAUUGUGAGAUAUGUAAAGCACACUGUGAGCUUGGGUCUCAAUUUCAGACGUUCUAAUUCUACACUUGUGAGUGCAUUUUCUGAUGCUGAUUGGGCAGGUUGUAGUGAUGAUAGAAAAUCAACUGGAGGCUUUGCAGUCUUCUUUGGAUCCAAUCUCAUCUCUUGGUGUGCAAGAAAACAGGCAACAGUAUCAAGGUGAAGUACAGAGGCUGAGUAUAAAUCUUUGGCCAAUGCCACUUCAGAAAUUAUUUGGUUGGAGUCACUACUUGAGGAACUGGGAGUUAAGUUAAAUCGUAUCUCGUGUCUGUGGUGUGACAACUUGGGUGCAACAUAUUUAUCUGCAAAUCCUGUCUUCCAUGCCAGAACAAAACAUAUUGAAAUUGACUUUCACUUUGUACGUGAAAGAGUUGCAGACAAGAAACUUGAGAUACGGUUCAUCCCUUCCAAAGAUCAAGUAGCUGAUGGGUUUACCAAAGCACUGCCUACAAAACCAUUUGAAGAAUUCAAGAGGAAUUUGAAUCUAGGAUAGUUGAGAUUAAGGAAGGGUGUUGGAAUUUAUGUUUAUCUUUAACUUGUAAUCUCAACAGCAUAUCUCCUCCCCCUCUCUCUCGUAGCUAUCUCAAUCUCUGUAAUGACCGUAUCGUUGGCGAUCGGUUCAACUUGUAAGCCACGGCAGGGCUUCUGCCUCAUAUCAAUAUAAACCAUCGCGGCUCCCUUACGAGGGAGUAGGAACGCUUUCCAAUCUAACACCGAUUCCGUGAUCUGUAGUAGCCAGUUUGAUUUGUGUAGUACGUGCUGAACGUAAACGUGUGCUCCUCGAACUCUUCUUCUGGAUGAUAAUUAAAGGAACUGAACCGUUUUGUGGGUGCAUGCAUGGCAUGGCAACUUAAUUUUGGGUGCCAUGCAUGCAUACGCCACGAAAGUAUCACUUGAUGGAAAUGGGUCUUCGACAAAAUGAUCUUCUUCAUAUCAUAUAUAGAUAUAUCAGUAAUAAAUCACAUGUGGUUUCAUCGGCGCACAUGCACAACACAAUUUUCUUUAAUAGUACUACAUAUAUAGUGUAUAGAUUGAGAUAGACGCUCAAAAGCACAUAUGCACAAACUUUGUAAAAGUUGUGAGGAAAUAACACAUAACAGAAACAUCAGAAGAAAAGGACUUGUUAUUAGGCGGCCAAUGCUCCGCUCAAAGGCUUACUCGUACACAACGCCCAUGUACGUAUCCUAUAGGAUGAGCCAUUUCAGGGGAUUCAAGCAGACGUCGUUCCCGAUUUUUGAAGUUCCAAGCCGAUUUUAUAAGCUUCUGUACCUUUUUUUUUUUUAAUUUCUGCUCCUUUUCUACUUGGUUUUUGUUUCAUUGUCUCCUUUUUUAUUUUUUUUCCAAUCAGUUUUUUGUUCUUUCCUUUGUUUUUGUUUCUUUAUUUCCUUUUUAAUUCUUCAACUUUUUUUUCAAAUUCACAAACCCUUUUCAUACCCAAAAAAUUUAUCCAAAUCUCAAAUAUUUUAAAACUUGUGAAAAUUUUCAAAUUCUUGAAAUGUUCCAAAUGCUUAAAAACCAAAUUCGUGGACUUUUAAAAAAUAUUCGUUCUGAAUUCACAAACUUUGUGAAAAUAAAAAAAAUUACAAGAAAAAGUCAAAUUGAUUUUUAUAAAAUUGUACGAUUUUUCUCUCAGAUUUAUGUUUUCCCCAAGAGUCAACGGCCAACCGGUCACUUGCGAAUAGAGCGAAACAGGGAACCAGCGACUUCCUCGCCCCAUUUUAUUAGGCCAGCCACGAGCAGGUGGCAUGUAAGGACUCAUUCUCCAGCUAGCGCACAAGGCGCUAAUUACGAGCUUUCCAGAAGAAAAAAAAGAAACAGGUCGGUCGGUCAAGCACCUAAACAGCCCUUUUAAAUACAGCAGGCCAAAUGUUUGAUUUUUACUUUUUUGGUAUAUGAACGUUUUUGUAAAACUGUGAACGUUUAAAAAUUUGCUAAUUGUGAACGUUUAUGAGCGGGUUUAAAAAAUUGUGAACGUUUUUUUAAAAAAUAAUUAUGAAUUUUCUUUCAGAUUUAUGUUUUCAUUGAAAGUCAACCGGCCAAUUGUGAAUCGAGAGAACAAGGAAUGAACGAGUUGCUUCCCCCGUUUGUUGGGCCGGCCGAUGAGUGAGCGGUGCGUGAGCACUCGUUCUCCAGCUGGCGCAUAAGUUGCUAAUUAGGAGCUCUCCAGAUGAGAAAGAAACAAGUUUCUUUUUUAGUUGCUAAUUAGGAGCUCUCCUGAAGAAAUAGAAACAAGUCAGCCGGUCACACACCUAAAUAGGCCCAUUUCAUACAGAUAGGCAGAACUUCAUAGAUUUUGAAGCAACAAGAAACCCCAAACGACCUUGACAUGGGAGUCGACCGCACACCUCGCCUGUAGCAGUAUUUGCGCUUUUGUAAAACUGUGAGAGAAGAAGCAUACACUACACUACUAGUUACUCCCUCCGUUCCUAAAUAUAUGACGUUUUGGGCGUAUUUUAUUUUGCGUGUUGAACGUAAACGUAUGGCACAUACCUCACACUCUUCCGGAUGGUAUCCCCAUGCAUACACGAGGAAAGUAUCCACUUGAUGGAAAUGGGUCUUCUUCGGCAAAAAAUACUACAUGAUCUUCAAUGACACCAAGUUUUCUUCUGACUUCGUUUUUUUUUGUCGGGUUAUAUAUAGACUUAAUUAGACGCUCACAGAACACAUGCACACACUUUAUAAUGUUGUGAGGCAAUGUUAUAAUGGACGGUUUACCGUGCGACAACCUUGGCAGUGUUUGAUUGUAGAAACCCAUUGGACGAUUGGUAAAAUUUGAAACCUAUCAAAAAAACGUGAAAUUAUCAUCAUCAUCAUCAUCAUCAUCAUUAUUAUUAUUAUUAUUAUUAUUAUUAUUAUUAUUAUUAUUUGUAGUCAUAGCCAAGAAAAUCAUCUUUGAAAAUCUUAGUGUUCAAUAUUUUGGUUGUUUUUUAUUUUAUUUUUCAGGAUUCUGUGCGCAAAAUUUAUUUUGAGUUUUGUUGAAUGUUAUUGUUGGCAUUUGCCGUUCUGCUAAAACGGAACCACAAGACGCACAAAUUCAAGGAACGAUGAGAAGACAUGAGAAAUACUGUGUUGGGUGGGAAUUUCAAUUUGUUAUUAGGUUUUGUACUAGUGGCCGAAUUGGGGAUGGCGUUUGAAUUGGGUGCUAUGGUUUGAACUGGGACUAGGGUUUGACUACUGUAAUUAAUUUGUAUUUCAGAUGUAGGUUGAAAGAUGAGAAGUGGGGCAUUUACACUGUACUACAUUCAGUUUGAAGGUAAGAAGAUUAUAUCAAUACUGUACUACUAAGAUGUGCGGCAAGGAUAUUAGAUAUUUCACUCUCAGCGGUUGAUUUGUCGAGUAGCCUCCGCCACCUACUCCCUCCGUUCCGAUUUACUCGUCGUGGUUUUAGUUCAAACCACGACGAGUAAAUCGGAACGGAGGGAGUAGUGCUUAGUACUAGCAUGGCAGGAUAUCAUACGCAGACGCUCGUGGAUUUGUCGCGUCGUCCGGUUCUUUUCAGAAGGGGAAAAGGUUGUAGCCGGCGGACCGGCCGAAGCUUCGGCCGGUCACGCGCGGGUCGUCCGAUUUAUUAGCGAUCGAAGCGCCUGUUUAGCCACGUCUUCCACACAGGGGUCAAACGCGUGGAUGUUGGGGCCCACGAACCGCCCGCAACCUGCAGGCCUUCUUUUCCUUAUCCCUUCGUCGCUCAUCCCCUUCCAUAUCCAGCCGCAUCUCCCUCUCCGUCCACCCACAGCCUGGGGCGCACUCGCCGCCAUGGCCGCCGGCAACUCGAUACUCUUCGUUUUGAAUCGUGCGCAGAUCACCUGCACUGGAUGCAUCCCUCUCCAUGGCCGCCCACAGCCAGGCGCUUGCUCGUCGCCUUGUCCGCCGGCAACUGGACGCGCCCCCUCUCCAUGACAACCGCAGCCAGAACUUCUCUAGUCGCCAUGACCAACCAGCAAUCAGCCGCGGCGGCGACGAGUUUGUGCUGGAGUCGGGGGUUUGCUGGAACCAGGUUUUUUUUGCUGGAUCCACCCAUUUUUUUUUUGCUACAACCCCUUUCUUUUUUGCUACCAUCCCCAUUCGAUUUGAUGAACUCUUUUCGUUUUUGCUGGAACCGGUGUCCUGAUUUGCUGGAACCAGUUGGUGGACGUGCUGCAAGGUUGACACCUCGCCGGAGGAAGCUGCAUCCAGCGGCGAGGAGGGAUGCAUCCAACGUCAUUCAAACACAGGGAGUUGCAACCAUGUACGCCGGAGCUACAACCGGUGACUGGGGGAGUUGCAAGAGGGAGCGACCGUUUUUGCUGAUGCGUCUUUAUUUGGUGAACCAUUUUUUUGUUUUUGCUGGAACCGAUGUAUUUCUUUGCUGGAAUAGAUAUAAUUUUUUGCUUCAUCAGCUGCAGAGCUCUCAAAUGUUUCAUGUGGUUUUUGCUGGGACCUAAGUUUGGUUUGCUUCAACCGACCACCGGAGUUUCUGUAGGUACGAUGCAUGUCAAUGCAGGCCAGCGAGACGGUGACGCCUGCGCCAAGGACAGAGGGGGGUGGCGCACCAGAUGCUGCAACCGCGAGGGGUGAGGGAGCGGCGAGCUCGCCGGGUGCGCACGCACAACGGCGGGAGGGGGAAGAUUGGUUGCGGGGUUGGGGGCAUUUUUUCUGGAAACUUUGACCGAAGGAAGCAAAACGAGUGGGGGGUUGAGUUGCCAGAUCGGAGGUUCCAGCUGGCUGCAUCGGGCGGCUGGCGUUCGACCGGCCCAACAGUUGGGCCGGUGCGCCGGCGCCAGCGUUUUGAUUUUCGGCCGAAAAAACUAAAUUUCGGCCGAAUUUCGGCCAUCUCGCCUGGGCCCGGUAUAUGGGCCUUUCGUCCGAAUUAUUUGGCCCAGUUUGAAUUUAUUUGCCCGGCCCAGCUUCUAGGGCCUUCAUGUUACGCUUCUGCUCAUAUAAAAGCACGAACGCAAAUGUCCCAACCCUAGAAUCGCUGUUUUUCCUCUCGCUCCUCCUGUGGGCGGCGCCGCCGCUGCGCACAUAACACAUCCUCGCCAGCGUAGCUUCUCCGGCGUCCGGCCAACGCGCUCACUAGCCUCCCGCCUUCCUCCACAUCUCCUCGCCUCCACCCCAUCCAGUUCGUGCCAUUCGCUGCUCCAAGACAAGGGCAUGGCGCUCGGCGGCUGCGGCAACGAAGCUGAUGGUGCACGAGCCAACCAUGAAGGCAGUAGCACGGGGCAGCGACAGCAGCAUGGAGGGCGUCCUCUUGUUUGGGAAGGUACAAGCUUUCUUGAUGCGUAUACAUCUCAAUCAAGUACGUAGAUGCAGUUUCAGUUUCAGUACGUAGAUGCAGUUUCAGUACUUGUGCUUCUUUAGAUGAAUGAGAGGCUGCAAUAUCAUACAGGGGUAAGAAAAACUCAGUCUUGAUGAUUUGAACAGAGUAGUGGCAUCAUUAAUCUGAAAUACACAUGCAUCUUGUAGUCACCAAGGAUUCUGACAAUGUUUUGACUUGGUAUAUAAUCUGAAACGUACAUGCAUUUGGUAGUCAGAAAGGUUGCCCACGAUCUGGUAAUAGAAAAGUGGUUACAACCAGUGGCUUGUGCACAAAAUUAAAGCUUUUAUUAUCACAUCCAACCACUGGCUUGUAUAUUUGCAGAAGCAUCCCAUGUUUGAAUCGAUCAUUUAUUUAGAUCUACAACGCGUCCAAUAUAAACUUCAGUUGUGUUUGUGUAUUUAACUAAGUAGUUGUUGACCACUGAUUAAUUUCAAUGUCCAGCGGUACUAGAGCAUCAGCUUGUAUAUAAAUUAUUUAUUCCUUAGUAUCUAAACUAGAUAAUCUGUCUGUACUGUUUUUGUUCCUCAUUCAUAUCAGGACACCCUAGUAAGAAAGGUUUGCUUUCUUAGCUGUCUACUCUUUAUAACUAACCGUCGUUCUUUUGUCAUGUGAUUUUCAGGUAAUGGAACUGCAAAUAGGAGUGGCAGCGGCGACCAGGAUGCAAAUGGAAGUGGUUCUAUUGUUUUUCAGCUGCUGUCCUUGACCCAUAUACACAUUACAAGCUGAACCUUUGCAACCACACAAAUUAUGCCACUUCACUAACAGAUGCGAUAGUGAAGAUAUUAGACGCAGUGAGUGCUCUUUCAGCCAUUGAUGAAGUGAGCAAGUUCAGGGAGUGCCAAGGGAGGUUUGGGACCAGAUUGGCAGAAGAAGCUGCGGCGAGAAUGGGGCCAAGUAAGUUAUGGUGUUUUAGUUUUAGAAUUUCCAUUUCCUUUUGGUUUGCAUUCCUGAAAAUUUCAUUGGUGUUAUCUUGCAGCCCAAUGGUGGUUUCAGUUUGGAGGGGAUGUUCCUGCAUUGCAGAAAUGUGCAAUGAGAAUUUGCUCACAAUGUGUCUCCUCUAGUGGGUGUGAGAGAAAUUGGAGCGCUUUUGCUUUGGUGCACACAAAGCAAAGAAGUCGUCUUCUAUAUGACAAGGUCCACAAGCUAGUUUCUGUACGCUACAACUUAAAGGUAUAAACCAUCACUUUUACUUUCUACUUUGUGUUGUCCUUGCAUGUCAUAUAAUUUACUUGUUUACUAUUCAAACCUUGAAGAUACGUGCUGAAGAAGAUCAAGAGAAAGAGAGAGAUAUAGAUAAAGAAAUUGAUCCAAGUGCAUUGCUAAUGGAUACCACAAUGUUUGAUGAAACAAACCCAAUAAUGGAGUGGCUGAAUGAGGAUGUAGAGGAUCCGAUUGUGGAUGGAGCUGAUGCAGCUAGUGCUGUUUUUGAGCAAAUAAGGCGCCUCAACUCAAGCAGGAAGGCGUCUUAUGUUGGUUCAAAGGGUAAUAACAAGAAAAGAAAGAGGAAUGAUGAUGAUGAGAAUGAGUUUCUUGAAACUGAGAGUGAGGAUGAUGAAGAAGAGAAUGAAUAUGUUGAUAAUGACAUCGAGGAUGAUGAUGGGGUGAGUGAGGAUGAUGAGGAUGGUGAACAAGAUCAGCUAGAGACACAAAUGCAACUUGAAGAAGAGACACAAGUACAAGUUCAAAAGGAGGCACCAACAAGCACUGGCCAUUUGGAGACUAGAUCUGGACGACUUAUUAGGAAGAAGACCAAGAACGUCAACAGCCUCUACUCGUAAAUUUGGUAAGUCUCUUCUUUUUGGUGUUUCUGAUUCAGGUUUGUUACUUAGAAAAAUCUAGCUUGAUGUAUAUGUUCAAAGCGGCUGAUCUUUAAAUAGCUUGAUGUAUAUUGCUUUCUUUAAGUAGGUUGAUCUUUAAUUGUUCUCGUGCUCUAAUGUUUAUGCUCACUGUGUAUGAUUAGUACUGCUGUUCUAAUUGCUCACCUAGUAGUGUUGCUGUAAUUGAUACUUAUCUUCUUGUAUUGUUGCUAUAAUUGCUACUUAUCACAUACCAGUGAUGUUCUAGUUGCUACCAAUCACUUAGUAGUGUUGUUCUAAUUGCUACUUAACACAGUAUUUUAGUUGCUACUUGGAACUGCUAGUUACUUAGAUGUAUGCACUCUGUAUCAUGACCCUUCCUCUGUUUUCUCCAAACCAGAAAUGGCAGGUGAGCAAAGGAUAUCAAGAAGCUUUUGGAUGUUGGGAAGCUUGGAGCUGAUGCUUCAAAUAAGCUGAUGGUUGUCUUUUGGAGAUGUUUCUAUGUUUAAUGCUUUAAAGUCUUUUGGCUGUACUGGACUAUUUAAACUUUGAACUAUGCUGUGAUGGUUGAACUGAUGCUGGACGGUUAAGGGUUUAUGUUAGAGGCAACUUUAUAACUAAUGUGUGCCUGUUAUGUUGGACUGUUAAGGGUUAUGUUGGAGGCAAUUUUAUAACUAAUGUGUGUCUGCUAUGUUGGAUUGUUAACUGUUAUGUUGGAGGCAACAUUAUAGCUAACGUGUGCCUGUUAUGUUGGGCAGAUUCAAUUUUCUUAAUCCCUAGAGCUUAUGUGCUAAAGUUUAUAAGAUCUCUCCUGAUGGUUGUUGUGCUGAUAUGUUUUGCUCUAUUUUAUUUAAAGUUUUGUUCAAAUUUCGGCCGAAUUUCGGCCAAAUUUCGGUUAAAUUUUGGCCAAAUUUUCAAAUUUUGAUUUUGCAAUUUCGUCCGAGAUUUUGCCGAAUUUUUUGAAAUUCCCGAAAUUCGGCCAUUUCGGCCAAGGACGAAAAAAAACACAAACCGAAAAUCAUUUCGCAGGCCGGCGCAGAUCAUCGCCCUUUCAGAAGGUAUCCAAAGACGAUGGUGUCGACAUCCAUGCUCCUACUCUACUAGUGUUGUUAUACUCCUACUAGGUAAAAGUCAUGUCGAUGGGGCACGCAAACAAGACAAUUGAUGCACGCAUGCUCACGCGCCACCAUCGAUACAGACAAGACAUGCACACCUUGCAUGACACCGAUCGAUCACUCACCCAUCACCAGCCUUACUCCUAUACAUACAUACGCGUGUCAGCACACCGACUGUGAGAGCUGGCUAGCUGCCUUCAUCGAGCGGCAAUGGCCUCCGACCGCCUCAGCGCGCUCCGGGCCUUCGACGACACCAAGGCCGGCGUCAAGGGCCUCGUCGACGCCGGCGCCACCGCCAUCCCGGCCAUCUUCCACCACCCACCCGACGCCUUCGCCCCGUCCACUCUCGCCACCGACGUCGCCGUCCCGGUCGUCGACCUCUCCUGCCAGCGCUCGGACGUGGUCGGCGCGGUGAGGGCCGCGGCGGAGACGGUGGGCUUCUUCCUGCUGACGAACCACGGCGUGCCGGAGGCGGCCAUGUUGGGGAUGCUGGCGGCGGUGCGGCGCUUCAACGAGGAGCCGGCGGAGGCCAAGGCGCCGUACUACACGCGGGAGGCGGCGAGGCGCGUGCGCUACAGCUGCAACGCGGACCUGUUCCAGACGCUGGUGGGCAAGUGGCGCGACACCGUGUACAUGGACGACGCGGACCGGCCGGCGGCGGGCGAGGAGACGGAGGAGGAGCUCCUCCUCCCGCCGGCGCUGAGGGGCGUCGCGCCGGAGUACACGGGGCAGAUGCGGCGGCUGGGGCGCGGCCUCUUCGAGCUGCUGUCGGAGGCCCUGGGGCUGCCUCGCCGUGCCUACCUGGAGGAGGAGGCCGGCUGCAUGGCGGCGCUGAGCGUGGCGGGCCACUACUACCCGGCGUGCCCGGAGCCGCACCUCACGAUGGGCACCGUCCCGCACUCGGACCCCAGCUUCCUCACCGUGCUGCUCCAGGACGGCGUGGGCGGCCUCCAGGUGCUCGUGGACGACCCCCUCGAGGACGGCGGCGGCGAGCGUUCGGCGUGGGUGGACGUGCCGGCGACGGGGGAGGCGUCGCUGGUGGUGAACGUGGGCGACUUCCUGCAGCUGGUGUCCAACGACAGGUUCAAGAGCCCGGUGCACCGCGUGGUGUCCAGGAGCGUGGGGCCGCGGGUGUCGGUGGCGUGCUUCUUCAGGGCGGACGGCGCGACGGUGUGCGCCCCGGUGGUCGUCGACGGGAGCGGCCCGCCGCGGUACAAGAGCGUCAAGGCGGAGGAGAUGCUCUGCGUGUCCAACACACAGACCCGGCUCAACAACUUGAGGCUCUAGCUAGCUAGCUAGCAUCCGUCCGUUCAAAAGAAAUAACUAGCAAUAAACUUCCUAUUGAGGCAAAACCGAAUAUAUUUACAGUUUAGGUGUGAUUCAUCGGAUCUCAGAUCAUUGUAUAUAUAUGCGAGUACCUACCUACUCCCUCCGUCCGAAAAACCUUGUCCAAAGCUAUUCCUCAAAGGCCACCACUAGGCGCCGGUGCGCCGGCCGAAUACUUUCGGCCGGUCGGCCCCCAGCCGCCCGAUACAUACAUCCACAACCGCUCGAUUGGAUCCCGCAACAUUUUUUUCCUUCGCCGUACGAAAAAAAAAGACGUCCACUCGCAAGGCCGUGCCCUGCGCCCGUCCCGCUGACAAAUUGAAGUCCCCCUCCGACUUGGCUCACUGCCGAUGCUCGUCCCCGUCUGGAAAGAAGUUGUUCUAACAAAAAAAUCGCUGGUUUCAACAGAAUAAAUAGCUGGUUCCAACAAUACUAUAGAUCCAAAAAAUCAAAAAGACAGGCGGUAGCACAAAUCAAAGGCAGUGGAAGCAAAAAACAAAACGACGGUAACAAAAUUUUGAAGUGAUUCCAGCAAAAAGAUGGAUCGAACAAAACACAUCAAAAACAAGGUAGUAGCAAAAUAUGAAGACGAAGACGGUGGUAGCAAAAUUCAAAGACCGUGGUAGCAAAAAUUAGAGUGGUUCCAGCAAAAUUAUGGAUCCUGCAAAAAAAUCAAAAAAAAGGAUGGUAGCAAAAACUAAGGCGGAGGUGGCAAAAAUAAAAGACGAUGGUAGCAAAACUUGGAAUCGUUCCAGCAUAAAGAUGGAUGGAGAAAAAAAAAAUCAAAAAGACAGGGGAUGCAACGGUUGUAGCAAAAAACAAAACCAUGGAAGCAAAAUUUGGGAGCCGUUCCAGCAAAAAGCACUUUAAAAUGUGGAUUGUAGCAAAAAAUGUUGCUAAUUCCAGCAAAAGUAGUAACCAGAUGUAGCAAAAAAUGCCAUCGACUGCGGCUUCCACCACGGCCGAUUCCGGCAUCUCAUAAGCUAGUGCACGAUGGAGCCGCCGUUCCAGCACAGGUGGAGACGCGUCACUCAUCGGAGCAGAACGGGGGCAGGUGGAGACGAGGGGCUCGCCAUAGCAGCGUCGUGGGAGGUGGACGCGCCCGCUUGGUUGUAACAAAAAUCUGCAUCGAUUGUAGCAGAUUUCCCUGCCGGUUGAAGCAUCGUCAGUUGCAGCACCCUGCGGCGUGCACCUCCGUCGUCGCAGCUCCAGUGCGAAUGGUCCAGAAAAGAGCGCUGCCGGCAGAAACCCAUCGAGUCGGCAAAACACUCGUCGCAGCUCGGCACGCGAGCUAGCGGCCGUCUAAGGUGGGCAGGAAAGGAGGAAGAAGGGAUGGGGAGGGAAGGAAGGAACUGCAAGGCGGUGAGGUUCUGCCGCGGAAGGGUCAGGUCGUCUCGCCGGAGGCAGAGGACGGGCGUCUCGCCGGAGGCAGAGGACAACAAUGAGGCGCAGAGUUGUGGCUUUGUGAUCAGGAUGAAUGGUCGAGAAUAGAUACCGUGAAUGGAUAAGGAAAUGGGAUAAUAAAGAAGAGCAGGGCAGUGCGUGCGUCCAAAAGAAAAGCGUGGCAGCAGCUCGCGACCGGCGCCUUGCUUCGGCCGGUCAACCGGAAGCCAACGUUUCCCUUCCUCAAAUGGAUGUAUCUAGUACUAAUUUAGUGCUUGAUACAUCAAUUUGAAGGACAAGUUUUUCAGGACGGAGGGAGUACGUCUUAUUUCUGCAAAAUCCUUUCAUUGAUAAAUUACAAACCAAGUUACACAAAUAUUAGGAGCCGUUUCCGCGCUCUCACUUCUUCUGCUUUGAACUACCCUUCCUGUCACACUCGAUUUUAUCGCAAGCUGCUAAAUCAUGCAUGAUGCUUGAUCAACGGGUCAUCAUCGCGUAUAGAAUCCCUCUUCCAACUACUCAAAAAUCAUUGGCUAGAGGUUGCCAUUAUGGGCCCUUCCAAUGCCAACAAAGGAUUUGAGCUCAAUAUAAAAUCAUGAUAAUGUGAUCUAUGGACUUAAAGUUUACUUUCAUAAAAUUGAAUUGUUUCAUUUCUGAGAAGUGAAAGACGCGUGCGUCUGCAGACCCGUUUGGUUGUGCAGAUGACCGAUUUUUUAUUAAAUGUUUAAAUUCCGAUUCAUUACCAACAUCUCACUAAUGCAGAGUGGAAACAUGUCGGUUGUAUUGCAAGAUGCUAAAUCAUGCAUACGGUUCAUCAUUGGGUCAUCAUCGCGUAGAGAAUCCCUCUUCCAACUACUCCAAAAGGCAUUGGGUAGAGGUUGCCAUUAUGGGCCCUUCCAAUGACAACAAAGGAUUUGGGCUCAAUAAAAAUUUUCAUGAGAAAGUGAUCUACGACCUUAAAAUUCAUUUCCAUAAAAAUGAAUUGUUUCGUUUCGGAGAAGCUCAAGACACGUGUACACAAUACAUGAACAUGUUUGGUUAUACAGAUGGCCAAUUUUUAAUUAAAUAUUUGAAAAUUCCGAUUUGUUAUCGAUGUUGUUCGAUGAGAAUUUGUACUACAAAUAGUAUGAAAAUAUUUUGUACCAAUAUUUUAUGUGGAGCAAGGAGUGCCCACGGAUAUUGCAUGCGUGUCAUACACGUGCACGCAUGUACAUUAAAAACUGUUGGCUAAAAGAAAUUUUAAUAGGCGAAUGGCCGGCUAAUUGAUUAACUGUAUAUUAAGCUAGCUCAAUGUGUACGUGGGUGCAACUGCACUGCAUGGCCAUGCAAGUUUGAGAAGGGGGAGGGCAGGAGGAGGAGACGCGCCCAUGCGGCCACGUCGACGAGUAGCCCAGCCAAGAGGCGACGCGCCAUGGUGGCAGCGUCUAGAAGAUGGAGAACGUGCGCAUCCAGGCUUUGGCAACGACACGUCGUUGGCGUCCAGGACCGGGCGAGCACGGCACCCAUGAGGAGGUGCCCACGACGGCAGCAUCGGAGAGAUAUGCCGGGCAACUCACACGACAUGCCCGCACCCAGGAGGCAACGGCGCGCGUGCCUUACCCCUGGCGCCGGACCGACGUCCUACAGUCCAGAAGCGGUGUUCUUCUGAGGACACGCCGACGGCGACAACCGCGCGCCGAGGAGAAGGAUUUUGCUAUGCAACGCCAAGGUAUGGAGGAUCUUAUGUUUGUUAAAUUGCAGGUGGCUAACAUAUAUGCUGAGGCACGUAUGCAUGGGUCGUUCAUGCGGACGUACACACCCGACACGGCGAAACUCGAGCAACCGCCUGCGUGCAGUCCGACCACGCCGGGAGCUCGGCGGUUGUCACCCGGCUGGAGGGACGCGGCCAGCAGGGGAGGCGCCGAGGGCAGCGUCGAGGGGACCUGGAGGGAACCCACGCAGAGAGGAAGAACGCGUCCGUUGCGGCGGCGCUCUCGACGGGCAACACACACGUUGCCUGCCCUGUCCGGCGGCUGCGCGCGUGCCGAGGAGGGCGCACGGCAGCGAGUCGAGGGAGCCCGCGUGAAGGAGCAUGCCGAGUCGUCUGAGGUCAGAGCAUCUCCAACAGACGCCGAACGCGGCGCGCGCAAAAAACAGCUUUAGCGCGCGCCCAUCGCCUGGUUUGGCGCGGCGCGCUGCGCCCGCUCCAGCAGCCGCGCUGAAAUGCAGCGCGCGCGCCCCGCUCCAGCAGCGCGCUAAAAUGCAGCGCGUGCGACCAGAAAUGUAUGCAUUUUUGAAAGUAGAAAUUUUAAAAAAACUAGAUAGAUUGCAUAGAUUAAACGAUACAAAGGUAUUUUACAUCCGAAACAUAGAUUGCAUAAAAUAAAAACUACAAACGAUAAACAUAGAUUGCAUUAACAAAAAAAAACUACUCUAAGUCGCUAUCAUCAUCACCAUUAUCAUCCUCGGCGGUGUCGUCCGAGGUAGAUAGCCAGAUGUCCAGCCACCGCUCAUCGUUCGACGUGAAGAACGACCGCCCACCUGCUGCAACGAGGUCGGACUGCGCAUUCUCCAACGCCUUCCGCCGACGCCUGUCCAACCGCGACGCGCGGCGCCUUUGCGUGUCCUCCUCGCGGCGCCUUGCCCAGUAGGCUUGCUCGUAGGCGACGUCCUCCGGGUGGCGCUGGCGCCAGUCCGCCAUGACCCGCUCGUCCUCCUGGGCAACGAGGAGGCGGCGUUGCCGCUCGGCGUGCUCCGCACGGUCUUCCGCCGUGUUCAGACGAGGCAGAGGGGCGAGGUUGAGCGCUUGCUCGAGCGUGUACACAUCUUGGAAGUUCAUCUGGCCGCGCGGCCGGCCUAGGCGCCACGCCGCCGCGUCGUACGCGCGGGCGGCCUGUCGCACCGUCCCGUACGUGCCGAGGGCGAGCCGGAGUUCGCCGGAGCGUAUCUCCGCGGUGUAGCUGCCGUUGGGCCGCAGGCGGACGCCGCGGUAGCCGGACGCUCCUCGGCGGCGCGGCGCGGCGGUGGCGGGGCGCUGGAGCGGCGCGUGGCAGAGAGGGAGAGGGAGAGGGGAAGAGAUGUGUGUGGAGAAGGCGCGUGGCCCGCGCAGCUUUUAUAGGCGCGCGCGAAGCGGCGCGCCAAAUCUUGCGCGCGAGCUGGCGCCUUUUCGCGCGCGCGCAAACGGUUCCCGCGCGCGCUUAUUUCCCGCGGCCGCUGGAGCGCGGCAAACCGCCCCGCGCGCGCUAAAAGCUGGGUUUACCGUGCGCGUGCCGUUUGUGGCGUCUGUUGGAGAUGCUCUCAACAUAUACAUGUAUCUACUCUUCUUGUACGCAGGCCGUGAUACACAUACGCAUGUGCGUGUAAGCGUCACAAGCUCUAGGAGAAGCAUCUCCUGGGCAUGGCGGAGCGUUCGCUAGGCGUGGGCAUAAGGAGAAGGCAGCAGCGCCUCCCACACACGCCUAGUCCUACGGCCAGCCGGUGGCAACCGGAGAACUCACGCACGCAGGAGGCACACAUCCAUCCAUCUACCCACACGCAUCUGGGACUGGGAAGAAGGAGGAGCCCAAGGCUGCUCCCGACUCACGCAGAGGGAGUGCUCGCGCGGGCGGCCAAGACUCCUGUACGCAGCCGGGCGACGCUCAGCGGAGCCGGUGACGAAGAUCGACAUCAUGCUGAUAGUCUUUUCCCAAGGUGAGAAACGAUGCUAAUCUCUCCUAACCCUUCUCUUUUUGCACAUCUCCAUGGUGGGCAUCGGAGCUGCGGCCGCACGGCCGGAGACGGAGCCGGCCGCUGGCUCUAUCUGUUGCCGCUGAACACGACAAAGCCGUGCCGGGGCGGCCUCGGUGCACCCUCCGCACGUGUGCAAUGACUUGCACCUUGCACCCCUCCACCGGCGACCCCGUGGGGGUGAUGAUGACGCAUCGGGCUGCCGUUGGCGAGUAGCUCCAGGCGCACUCCUCGCCGGCGACACCCACACGCCGGCAUGCCUUCAAGAUGAUGACGCCGGGGUUGCCUCUCAUGUCAAACCCGCGGCGUUCUUUCACGCCUGACUCACCACCGGCGACGACGCGCUGGGGUUGCCCUUCAUGUGCAGUCUCCGGUGAUCCCUUCAUACCGGACUCCCAACCGGCGACGACGCGCCGGGGCUACCGUCCAUGUGCAGCCCCCGGCGAUCCCUUUAUGCCGGAGUCACUACCGGCGACGACGAGUCGGGGCUGUCAUAGCCCCCGGCGCACCCUCUCUUCAUGGACAACUACCGCGAGGAGGACAACGACGUACCGGGGCUACCGUCCAUGCACGGUCCCUGGUGCACCCCGCACCACCUAGUCCGCCAACAACACCAUCGUGCCGGACUCACCAACAGUGACGACGCAUCGGAGUUGCCCUCUGGCAAGCCCGCCGCUCACGGUGACGACGUGCCAGGGUUGCCGUUUCGUGUAGCCCCUCGGCGACCCCUUCAUGCCGGACUCACCGCCGGCGACGACGCGUCGGGGUUACCGUUUCGUGUGCAACCCCGACGAUCCUUCACAUCGGGCCCAUCCCGACAACGAUGAGCCGGGGUUGCCGUUUCGUGUGCAACCCAUGGCGAUCCCUCACGCCGGACCCAUCACCGGCGACUUACGCGAGGACAACGACCAUGCGCCAGGGCCUAGUAGCCCCCGGUGCACUCUCCACGGGCGACUCUCGCAAGGACGACGGCGGCGGCGGCGGCGGCGGCAGGGUUGCCUCUCGUGUGCAGCCCCCCGCGCACCCUUCACUUGCGACGACGAUGUAUCGGUGGGGCACCAUCUACACCUCUGUCGACAUCAAGCGCCCCCAAGGAGGGCCAUCGUAUAUGCCUCGACCGAUACGGAGCUCGGCCAGGGCGAUGAGCCAUGUACAUCGCCACCAUUGCAGAGCCCGUGCAAGGCGGGCAUCAUUUGCAUUGUCGCGGACACGGCCCAUCGUUGGGCUUAGUCCGCGCUGUCUCUCAGCUCGACAAGGCCAUUGGCUAAAGUGACACAUUUUUCGAGUGGGCAAUACCACCCAAGUCUACUCCAACAUCCACACCCACGCACAUCAUCAACAUCGUCCUAUAGUCGGCGAGGCGAAGCUAUACUCCACCGACAUGUCUUUAUCCGAUGAAGCAAACUACCACUUGAUAUGCCGACGAGGCAAUGUCAAGUCAUCCAGUCCGACACCGACAAGGCGGACAUCACUAGGCCAGGCACCGGCGAGGCGAAGGCCACCCACAUCUUCAUCAUCGGACAUCGACACUGCGGAGGGAUAUGGCUAAGCAUAGCCGGAGUGAUGGGCAUAUCGCUCUCCGUUUCACUUUGUCGCCACAUCAUCACCAUCUACACCAACCUCAUGGAGAAGAUGAGACCAGAAGACGACGACCAUUGCAGCAGCUUAAUCGGAGGUGGUUCACGAGCUUGACUCGCGGACGUAAUUAAGCGGGAGCUUUCCGAGGCCCCGUGAACAAGAACCUCACAUCGCUGAAGUCACUUUGGCCGCGCCAGCAGGCCAUGGAGCGCAUCCUUAAUAGGGACUUUGUAAUUUUGUUUCUCGACACGAGGUUAAUAAAAAUACAUAUUUCCUUAUGUCUUUUCUUUGUGUACUUAGUACAUUGGCACGCUCGCAUUUGUUUUUUUUUGUGUCAAACAAAUUGGCACGCCCGGUGGGACGGGGUUCUCCUCCCGUCGGUGUCAAAACCGACGGAUCUCGGUGUCAAAACCACGUGCUCACUUGCACAUCAAUAUUCCUUUUCCUUUUUAUGAAAUAAAAACAAUAAGGAGUCAUUAUUAUUCAUAGCAAUGAUUUAUUUGGUUAAUUGUCUCAUAUGCCUGCUCUUAAUCGUAUUUCAAUAAAAUUUGAGCUACAAAUUCCCGCUGCAACGCGCGGGGAAUCAUCUAGUUAACCUAGAGCCCAGUGCCAGUUCCUGUUUUUCCAUGUUUUUAACCUUUUUCAGAUAGGAAUAUCAGACGGAGUCCAAACGGAAUAAAACCUUCGCUGUGAUUUUUUAUGGAAAAUAUCAAAAAUACCAGAAAGAAAAGAUACCAGAGGGGAGUCCCGAGGAGAUCACAAGCCAGGUAGGCGCGCCCACCCCCCCUGGGCGCGCCUGAUGGGCUUGUGACCCCCUCGUGGGUCCCUCCAACUUGUUCUCGACGCCAUCUGGUCUUAUAAAUAAAGAAACCUCCAGAAAAAACCUAGAUCGGGAGUUCUGCCGCCGCAAGCCUCUGUAGCCACCAAAAACCAAUCGGGAGCCCUUUCUGGCACCCUGCCCGAGGGGGAACCCAUCUCCGGUGUCCAUCUUCAUCAUCCCUGCGAUUUCCAUGACGAGGAGGGAGUAGUUCUCCCUCGGGGCUGAGGGUAUGUACCAGUAGCUAUGUGUUUGAUCUCUCUCUCUCUCUCUCUCUCUCUCUCUCGUAUUCUUGAGAUGUAAUGAUCUUGAUGUAUCACGGGCUUUGCUACUAUAGUUGGAUCUUAUGAUGUUCUUCCCCCUCCCCCUUCUUGUAAUGAAUUGAGUUUUCCCUUUGAAGUUAUCUUAUCGGAUUGAGUCUUUAAGAACACUUGAUGUAUGGCUUGCACGUGUCUAUCUGUGGUGACAAUGGGAUAUUCAUGUGAGUACUUGAUGUAUGUUUUGGUGAUCAACUUGCGGGUUUCGUGAUAUUGGGAACCUAUGCAUAGGGUUUGGCGCAUGUUUGUCUCUCCAGUAGAAACUUUGGGACACUCUUUGAAGUUCUAUGUGUUGGUUGAAUAGAUGAUUCUGAGAUUGUGUGAUGCAUAUCGUAUAAUCAUGCCCGCGGAUACUUGAGGUGACAAUGGAGUAUCUAGGUGAUAUUAUGGUCUUGGUUGAUAUGUUUCUUAGGGUGUUAUUCUAGUAUGAACUCUAUGAUAGAUUGAACGAAAAGAAUAGCUUCGUGUUAUUUUACUACGGACUCUUAAAUAGAUCGAUCAGAAAGAAUAACUUUGUGGUGGUUUCGUACCCGACAAUAAUCUCUUCGUUUGUUCUCCGCUAUUAGUAGAUUUGGAGUGACUCUUUGUUGCACGUUGAGGGCUAGUUAUAUGAUCCAAUUAUGUUAUCAUUGUUGAGAGAACUUCCACUAGUGAAAGUAUGAACCCUAGGCCUUGUUUCCACACAUUGCAAUACCGUUCGUGCUCACUUUUAUUGUUAUUUACCUUGCUGUUUUUAUUAUUUUAGAUUACAAAAACCUACAUCUACUAUCCAUAUUGCACUUGUAUCACCAUAUCUUCGCCGAACUAGUGCACCUAUACAACUUACCAUUGUAUUGGGUGUGUUGGGUACACAAGAGACUCUUUAUUAUUUGGUUGCAGGGUUGCUUGAGAGAGACCAUCUUCAUCCUACACCUCCCACGGAUUGAUAAACCUUAGGUCACCCACUUGAGGGAAAAUUGCUACUGUCCUACAAACCUCUGCACUUGGAGGCCUAACAACGUCUACAAGAGAAGGUUGCGUAGUAGACAUCAGGGCAGAGGUGAAGGUCGACGGCGGCGGCAGCGCUCGAGUGCUGAGGUGACGUGAGGUGGAAGAAAGACGAAGAGGCAAGGGGAGAAAAGGAAAGGGACCCUCGGCCCUAUUUAUAAGACGAAGAGAUAAGCGACAGGCGCAGGAAUCGAGGAGCCCAAAAAAUGGAUAUGUCCCAGAGUUGUUUCCUCGAUUUUCGGAGGCUCAUUAAUAAAAGUAAGGUAUAUACAGUUUUUUAAUGAACAAGUGACCUCAUGGCGAUUUAUUAUAAUCCUGGAAGAUGACGUCAUGGCAGUUUAUUAUAAUCCUGGAAGAUGACGUCAUGGCGGAUUACAAGUUUUACUCGAAGGUACUAAAGAAGAAGUUUUUCUAAAGUGUUGAAGAUUGACAUGAACAGGUUCAAAUCAAUCUGGGGCCUAAUGUUGGGGAUAUAACUACUGAGUAUAAACCGCCCAGGAGGGGCCGGAUUAUACCUGUAAUGAGUUAUUCAUAUUGAAGCCCAUGAAGACAAGGUGUAUGCCACUUUAAUAUAAGAGAUCUAAAAGCCCAGGGCCCAAAGGCGGAUUAGGGCCCAUAGACAUAAACCGCCAUAAGGUGUGUAACUUGUGUUGUAAGAUAGGAAAGAGUAGAAACCGAGCCGAACACGUUUAUGAGUCGGUCGGGAUUCUGUAAAUCGCCGGGCGUCAAGCUGUGUAUAUAAAGGGAUGACCCGGCGGCGGUUCAAGGACAAGAAACAACAACUCGAGAGCCAGGCAAAGCGUAUUCGCUCCCUGGUCAUCGAAACCAUAGCAAUCCCAUCAUAACUGGAGUAGGCUUUACCUUCACUGUAAGGGGACGAACCAGUAUAAUUCCUUGCGUCCUUUGUCCGCUUUAACCCCUUUAAGUUCACUACGUUGCAAUGGCUCCACGACUAAGUUCUCACACUAGGACAUCUGCCGUGACAAUCCCAUGACAAGCGGCGAAAUAUUUAGCAGAGAAAUAAUAAAUCAUAUCCUGGGGACUACGCACACAACCAGGAUCAAGAGAAUUAAACCAUGUUUUAGCAUCACCCUUUAAUGAGAACGGGAAUAACUUAAGGAUAAAGUAAUAGCGAGUUUUCUCAUCAUUAGUGAAUAGGGUGGCUAUAUCAUUUAAUUUAGUAAGAUGUGUCACAACAGUUUCAAAUUCAUAGCCAUAGAAAGGAUCAGAAUCAACCAAAGUAAUUAACUCAGGAUCGACUGAGAAAUCAUAAUCCUUAUCGGAAAUAAAGAUAGGUGAAGUAGCAAAAGCAGGGUCAUAUUUCAUUCUAGCAUUCAAAGACUUUUCUUUAAGCUUAGCUAAUAAUUUCUUAAGAUCAGAUCUAUCAUUGCAAUCUAAGAAGUCUCUAGCAGUUUCUUCAUCCAUAACAUAACUCCCAGGCACAAUAGGCAAUUCAUAUCUAGGGGGGAGAAUCUUCAUCAUCACUUUCGUCAAUAUUAUCAGUUUUAGCAAUUUCAUUCUCUCUAACCCUAGCAAGUUGUUCAUCAAGAAAUUCACCUAAUGACACAGUAUUAUCAAGCAUAGAAGUAGUUUCAUCAUAAGUACAUGCAAAGCAGAAGUGACAUCAUCAAUAACAUGCGACAUAUCAGAAUGAAUAGCAGGAGUAGGUGUCGCAAGUUUACUCAAAACAGAAGGUGAAUCAAGUGCUGAGAUAGAUGGCAGUUCCUUACCUCCCCUCGUAGUUGAGGGAAAAUCUUGGUUAUUUUAUCUUUCAAGUUCUUCAUAGUGAUCAGCAGAUAUAAAUCCCAAGUGACUCAAAGAAUAGAGCUAUGCUCCCCGGCAACGGCGCCAGAAAAUAGUCUUGAUAACCCACAAGUAUAGGGGAUCACAACAGUUCUCGAGGGUAGAGUAUUCAACCCAAAUUUAUUGAUUCAACACAAGGGGAGCCAAAGAAUAUUCUCAAGUAUUAGAAGCUGAGUUGUCAAUUCAACCACACCUGGAAACUUAAUAUCUGCAGCAAAGUAUUUAGUAGCAAAGUAAUAUGAUAGUAGCGGUAACGGUGGCAAAAGUGACGGUAGCAGUUUUGUAGUGAUUGUAACAGUGGCAACGGAAAAGUAACAAAGCAAAGAUCGAUAUAUGAAAAGCUCAUAGGUAAUGGAUCAGUGAUGGAUAAUUAUGUCGGAUGCGAUUCCUCAUGCAAUAGUUAUAACAUAGGGUGACACAGAACUAGCUCCAGUUCAUCAAUAUUAUGUUGGCAUGUAUUCAGAAUAUAGUCAUACGUGCCUAUGGAAAAGAAAUUGCAUGACAUCUUUUGUACCACCCUCCCGUGGCAACGGGGUCCUAUUGGAAACUAAGGGAUAUUAAGGCCUCCUUUUAAUAGAGUACCGGGAAUACAUGAACUCCUCAAACUACGGUCAUCACCGGUAAGUAUCCCGAUUAUUGUCACUUCGGGGUUAACGGAUCAUAACACAUAAUAGGUGACUAUAGACUUGCAAGAUAGGAUCAAGAACUCACAUAUAUUCAUGAAAACAUAAUAGGUUCAGAUCUGAAAUCAUGGUACUCGGGCCCUAGUGACAAGCAUUAAGCAUAGCAAAGUCAUAGCAACAUCAAUCUCAGAACAUAAUGGAUACUAGGGAUCAAACCCUAACAAAACUAACUCGAUUACAUGAUAAAUCUCAUCCAACCCAUUACCAUCCAGCAAGCCUACAAUGGAAUUACUCACGCACGACAGUGAGCAUCUUUAAACCUCGCCUCAGCAACUUGCAAUACCCGUCACGAAGCUUCAGAAGUAUAUCACCUCAGCGCAGGAAGGGACGUUCAUUCCUGACAGAGAAAAGGACGGCCUGACUGAGGCCCUAGGGAAUGCUGAGCAUCCUGGACGAACACGAGGCACUCCAAGCUCCGUUCUGUGGAAGUUUGGGUUUCCCGACGCAGGCGAUUACAAAAGCCGGGAGAGAAAGAGGAAAGAGGAGCUGAGCGACAUGUAGAAGCUCAAUGCAAGACUACAAAAGCUAGAGGAAGCUGAGAGCAAGCGAGCUGCCGACCAACCAUUUCAGCGGCAUGAAGCUAACCCAGAAGCUACCCCGCCAUCUCAGCGGAGAAGCAGCAUGGCUUCCAUGAAGCCCGUUCAUCCUGACUUCACGUCUCAUAGCUACCCCGUGGAUACUAUCACGGAGGCUCAACAUUGCGAGCUUAUGACGAAAUGCAGGAGCCUCACUUUCAAGGCGUCUACAGGUGAAGGGGAGAAUUGGCUGGUUCAUGCUCUGAGGAGUACAUGUCUAUGGCAGAAGGAGUACAUCAAGCUUCCAAACUGGACGCCUCUGCUUCCUGCUCCUCCUCCGACGAGUCAGGGCACUCCGCCUCCUCCUCCUCCGGCGAGUGAUCAGGGCACUCCGCCUCCUUCUCCGACUCCUCCGACACGUGAGGGCAUGGGAAGCCUCUCGUCAAACCUUAUCAUCCUCAUCUAACAACGAUGAUGCAAAAAUUGCAUGACUGGUACAUGGAAACCUACAGGAAGUCUGGGAAAGACAUUUGUUAGUCGGAAUUAAAAAAGAGCAUGACUUCCCUGGAAUCGACCUGCUGCUUGUUGAAUUUGUGGAGUUAUUUCAAUUAUACAAUCAAAAGGCCCUCGACAAACAACUCAUGACUUGCUACUGUCUGUAAGUAUUACUUCUAUAAUUAAGUAUCCAGCUCAGCUCGUUCAUUGCAUGUAUAUAUAAUUAUCCUCACUAUAUUAUGCAGAUUGAAGAUGGUCGAAUGCAAAAAAAUAGGAAUCUUCGACGUUGGGUUCAUUAGCCCAAAUACCGUAAAUGAAUGGUCGGUACGAAAGGCGGCUGAAGAUACCGAGAACAACUUACUACAAACGUUCCUUACACAUCAAAACAAAAGGGAAAUACUCUUUCCUUACAACUUCAAGUGAGUGUUACUGUCUUCUGCAUAUUCGGUUCCGCUUACUCGUGGUUAAGUAAUGUAAUUGAUGAGUUAUGUGUGCGCAGCUUCCACUAUAUUCUGCUAUCCAUUAACCUUGACGGGGCAUUAGUAAUUGUCUUAGACUCGCUCCGUAAAGAUCCCAAGUAUUAUGCGGACAUGACUGCAAUGCUCCAGAAGUAAGUUCAAUCAAUAUCGGGACCAUAUUGGCAACUUUUAUUCAUUUCCUGAUAUCAAGUAAUCAUUUUCUUUGCCUGCCAGGGUUUGGAAAACGUUCACUGCUAAGGUUCCGGGUCUGAAGAAGGAGCUGCGAUUUACACACCCCAAAGUAAGUAGUACAAGCUAGUUUCUCGCAUCUCUCAUUGAUUCUAGUUUAAUCAAUAUCAUUAUCAUGCUUGCUUAUCAGUUUGAUUGAACUCUAUUCUCGUAAAGUGCUUUUUGCAGGCACCCAACACUCAUUUAUGUGGAUACUACGUAUGCGACUUCAUUCGCUACUAUACCUCUGAACGGGCCUCCUAUGAGAAACAAUUUGAAGUACGGAAACAAUAUUCAGAAUUUUAUUUUAUAUAUUACCAUCAAUUGUGUUGAGUUUCAUUCAUAUAUAUGUAUUGACCCCUUCUUUAAAUUAGAUCUGGCAGAUGCGGGAUGAACUCCUACCACAUGAUCGCAUACGAGCAAUUCAAGAGGAAUUGGCGGGAUUAUUUCUUGACCACGUCAUACCUGAACAAGGAGAAUACCAUGUGAAAUUGAAAUUGUUGUAAGGGAUGUUAUAUAUUGUACAAAUGUAGCAGCGUCGAAUAGAUAUACGAAAACUUGUUGUUCGACCAAGCACGAAGAAAGAGAUGUCACUUCUCUCUAUAUAUGUUCGUGACGAUCUUGUGUAAUUAAUGGUUUCCUUUAGUUGCUUACUAGCUAGCGCCGAGUUCUCUCUAUAUGUGUAGUAGCUAGAGUCGACCAAGCACGGAAAAACAAAGGUCACUUCUCUCUAUUAGCUCGCUAACACAAUAUGAAACCCCUAAAUUAACCCUCCAAAACCCCAACCCCCCCUCCCUUCCAAAAAAACAAAACCCCCAGCGACUGUGAGCUGCUGACGCGUGGCCGCCUUUUGGUCCUGGUUGGUGUUACCAACCGGGACUAAAGGUCCUCCCUCCCCCGCCCCAGGCAGCACCACGUGGAGGGACUUUGGUCCCGGUUCGUAAGCAAACCGGGACUAAAGGUUUUGGGUAUUAGUCCCGACCCUUUAGUCCCGGUUCCAGAACUGGGACAAAUGGCCCUUUUUCUACUAGUGACUUCUCAUAGGAGAUACUUUCAGAUAGACAUAAUCUCCUACUUUGAAAAUUAAUUCUCUUCUUCGAUUAUCUGCAUAGCUCUUCUGACGAGUUUGUGCCACUCUCAAGUUCUCUCUAAUCAACCUGGCUUGUUCCUCGGCAUUCCUGAGCACAUCUGGUCCAAAGACUUAACUUUCACCCGUUUGAUUCCAGAACAACGGUGUUCUACACUUAUGCCCAUACAAUGAUUCAAACGGUGCCAUCUUUAGACUAUUCUGGUGAUUGUUGUUGUUGUAAGAGAACUCCACAUACGGUAAACUUUUAUCCCAACUAGUACCAUACUGCAAUGCACAAGCUCUCAACAUAUCAUCAAGAAUCUGAUUGAGCCUUUCUGUCUAUCCAUCAGUCUGAGGAUGAUAUGCUGUACUGAAAUUCAACUUCGUUCCCAAAGAUUUAUGCACUUUCUGCCAAAAGAUGGACGUGAACUGCAGACCUCUAUCAGACACAAUGUUCUUAGGAACUCCAUGCUGACAUACUAUUCUUUCCAUGUAUAGCUCUGCCAAUCUUGCCCCGUUAUAAGUAGUCUUGACAGGCAAAAAGUGAGCGACUUUAGUGAGACGAUCCACUAUUACCCAUAUAGAAUCAUAACCUUGCUGAGUGUGUGGUAAUCCCACUAUAAAGUCCAUUCCGACUUCUUCCCAUCUCCACUCAGGAAUCUUCAUUGGCUGCAACAAACUAGCGGGUCUCUGAUGCUCAGUCUUUACCCUCUGACAAGUGUCACAUAUAGCUACAUACUCAGCCACAUCUCUUUUAAAUCCAUACCAGCAUUACUUCUCCUUAAGAUUUAGAUACAUCUUAGUACUUCCAGGAUGGAUAGAAUAGGCUGACUCAUGUGCUUCACGCAAAAUUGUAUCAUGAAUGGCUUUCACAUCAGGCACGCAUAUCCUUUUUCCAAACCAUAAGGUUCCAUUUUCAUCAAUUCUGAAGCCAGGUGCUUUACCAGUCACCACAUUCUCAGCUAUCUCCUUUAGCUUUUCAUCUUCUAGUUGACCCUUACGUAUUUCUUGCUCCAACGUAGGAAUCACUUUUAUCUCCAUAGCACUAGCAACAAUACCAAGGUUCAGAUGUUGCAACUCCGCAUACAACUCUUCUGCCUCUGGUCUCAACUUACGAUUGUUGUCAUAUUCCUUCCCACUGAGAGCAUCAGCUACAACAUUCGCCUUACCUGGAUGAUAAUGUACCUCCGGUUCAUAAUCCUUGAUUAACUCUAGCCAGUGACAUUGUCUUAAAUUCAGACAUGUCUGAGUGAAUAUAUACUUCAAGCUCUUAUGAUCGGUGUAGAUAUCACUCUUGUGACCAAUCAGAUAGUGUCUCCAGAUCUGCAAUGCAUGUACCACAGCUGCUAGCUCCAGAUCAUGAGUAGGAUAAUUUAACUCAUGCUUCCUCAACUGUCUUGAUGCAUGCGUCGGUGGUGGUGAUCUCAUGUCCGCUUGCACCGUGUUCGAUGAAACGCCAACGAGGGUCAAAAGCUUCGAACCGCAUCGGCAUCACUCGGGGUAGCAGCGGGUACACGCUGGAGUGCUGGAUGUGAUGCUUGGCCAUCUCCAACUCACGAGCGUGUAAGAGAGAAAUCAUGAGACAGUAAUGAUUUAAUUUGGUUUUGCAAUGUUUUUAUUUUAAAAAUAGUUGGUUUAUCUUUGUAAAAUAGUUAUUUACAUGAGAAUUAUUGAACAAAAUAGUUUUUCAAGAGCAAUUUGCAUUCAAGCAGUCUUCAUUCUUAACGAAGCUACGAGUUCACAUUUGCUCUAACCAAACGGUCUUCAGUUUUUGCCACCACAGGAGCCUUGUAUUAGCUCUUGCGGUGCGAAUGGGAGCUCGGAUGUCCGUGUGACGAAGCUGGUCUAUGAAAGUGGCCUUGGUGAUCAUGUGCCCCGGUUGGUAGGUUGGGAGACAGCAGGGAUGCAAGCCAGCGCCAACGAUGGGCGAAGAUUGCACGACGGAUGAGCGGCGCUAGAGAUGGAAAGUCUGCUGGAGCAGUUUAGGUGAAAGGAUAAAGAUGUAGUUUUCAUUUUCUUUUUCUAAUAAUGAAAGUCGGACUCAACUUUAUGGAACUGGGCCAUAUGACACGUAGGGCCCAUCUGAAGCUUCUAGAGUUGUUAAUCCUGUGGUUGAGAAUGUGUGUGACAAAGCCUGUGUUUGAGUAUUUACUAUCUAGGGAAGUAUAAACAAUUUACAAUCUCAGUGGACCCAUAAGCCAAUAUCCUUGAAUGUUUUUUUUCUGUUUGUGUGUAUAUGUCGCAAGUUUUCUUGUUUUAUUUUAGGUUUGGUACUCUAGCUAGGUCUAGAAUAGUUUUUUUUGUUCUUUUUUUAAUUUCAAAAAAAUCGAGGGAUGUCUCAGUUUUUAUUAAAAGAAAGAAAUAUUUGGUCCAAAGUUGAAUGAGCGUGUCAUGCAGGGUUAAAUCACAAGAUAAACUGAUGAAACACAUGAUGCAUUAGUGGAUAUAUAUGUAAAUCACACGGGUGAUUUGAAGACAAAUUGAAAAAAACAUGAUGUGUUAGUUAAAUAAAUAAAUAUCAUGAUACAAUUAUAAGUGACCAUGCAAUAAACUAUAUGUCCAAUACUUGCACUCACGGGCAUUUUUGCUACUAUUAAUAAUUUUUUUUGAGCAGAUGCUACUAUUAAUAAAUUGGUAAAAAUCAGAGAAUGCGAGGCCUGGCCAAAUGGGCCGGCCCGGCCCGGCACGGCCUGGGUUAAACGGGCCCGAACCCCUCUUGCCCUCUCUCCUAUAAAAGCCGCCCGCCUAGGGUUGGAUCUCUGUGCUUUUACCCCCGCACUCGAUCGCCUCGCCGCCGUUCCCCGCAACCCCCUGUCUGUCGACCCAAUUCAUCUCACGGAUAUCACCCGACGCCUCGUCCUCCUCUCCAGAUCAGAUCUUACGCCCGCCCGCCCGAGGUGAGCACAUGCUUGUACAUCCCGAUCAGCUUGGAGUUCGUUCCGAUUGGUUGGUAGGCGCGGCGCUGGUUCGUAGGUCUCGCAUCCAGCCAGCGUGGUCUCCCACCGCCUCCGGAGUUGCUCGUUCCGAUUGUGGUUGGUAGGCGCGGCGCGGCGCGGGUUCAUAGGUCUCGGAUCCAGCGCCGUCUGUAUCCUAUUCGUAUGAGGAACCUCGGCUAGGAUAGGAUUUAAUUAGUUAGGUUUUGUAUUAGGGUAACACCACCUAGGGUUGGAUUGAUUAUCCGUAACAAGGAAUCAAUCUGACGUUCUAGUUAGGGUUUGCUUGGUUGGUUGUGGUCAGAUUUUGGUUUCUCAUGAAUUCUUCAACUGUGCCUGUCGCGAUUUUGGGCGGAAAUUGAUGAUUUCGGGGGCAAAAUCCGAGGGAUUUUGUGGAUGAAAGAUGGGGAAACUUGGGGAAAUGCUAGAUCCACUCGAAACCAAGCAAAUCCAUGGAUCAAAAUCAACAAAACUUCAUCAUGCCAACAAAUCACAAAUAAAUAAAUAAAUAAAUAAAUAAAUAAUUGGGGGGCUAUUUUUGGUGGGGAAAUUUCGAAUUAGGACGAAAAACAACAAAAUCAAAGCUACUGAAAAAUCAAAGCUACGAAAAUAAAUAAAUAAAUACAUGUUAGAGAAUGAUGUGCCUGAUAAAGGAUUUGAGAAGCUACUGAAAAUAAUGAAGAAGAAGCUUCCAAAGGAUAACGAAUUGCCCGACAGUACAUACGCAGCAAAGAAGGUCGUAUGCCCUCUAGGAUUGGAGGUGGAGAAGAUACAUGCAUGCCCUAAUGACUGCAUCCUCUACCGCGGUGCCUACAAGGAUCUGAACGCAUGCCCGGUAUGCGGUGCAUUGCGGUAUAAGAUCAGACAAGAUGACCCUGGUGAUGUUGAUGGCGAGCCUCCCAGGAAGAGGGUUCCUGCGAAGGUGAUGUGGUAUGCUCCUAUAAUACCACGGUUGAAACGUCUGAUAAGAAACGGAGAGCAUGCCAAGUUGAUGCGAUGGCACAGUGAGGACCGUAAGAAAGACGGGAAGUUGAGAGCACCCGCUGACGGGUCGCAGUGGAGAAAAAUUGAGAGAAAGUACUGGGAUGAGUUUGCAAAGGACCCAAGGAACGCAUGGUUUGCUUUAAGCACGGAUGGUAUUAAUCCUUUCGGGGAGCAGAGCAGCAAUCACAGCACCUGGCCCGUGACUCUAUGUAUGUAUAACCUUCCUCCUUGGAUGUGCAUGAAGCGGAAGUUCAUUAUGAUGCCAGUUCUCAUCCAAGGCCCUAAGCAACCCGGCAACGACAUUGAUGUGUACCUAAGGCCAUUAGUUGAAGAACUUUUACAGCUGUGGAAUGGAAACGGUGUACGUACGUGGGAUGAGCACAAAAAGGAGGAAUUUGACCUAAAGGCGUUGCUGUUCGUGAACAUCAACGAUUGGCCCGCUCUCAGUAACCUUUCAGGAUAGACAAACAAGGGAUACCACGCAUGCACGCACUGUUUACUUGACACCGAUAGUAUAUACCUGGGAAGCUGUAGGAAGAAUGUGUACCUGGGCCAUCGUCAAUUUCUUCCGACCAACCAUCAAUGUCGAAAGAAAGGCAAGCAUUUCAAAGGCGAGGCAGAUCACCGGAAGAAGCCCGCCAUGCGUACCGGUGAUCACGUACUUGCUAUGGUCAAUGAUUUACACGUAAUCUUUGGAAAGGGUCCCGGCGGACUAGCUGUUCCGAAUGACGUUGAGAAUCAUGCACCCAUGUGGAAGAAGAAAUCUAUAUUUUGGGACCUACCCUACUGGAAAGACCUAGAGGUCCGCUCUUCAAUCGACGUGAUGCACGUGACGAAGAACCUUUGCGUGAACCUGCUAGGCUUCUUGGGCGUGUAUGGGAAGACAAAAGAUACACCUGAGGCACGAGAGGACCUGCAACACUUGCACGAAAAAGAGGGCAUGCCUCCGAAGCAGUAUGAAGGUCCUGCCAGCUACGCUCUUACGAAAGAAAAGAAAGAAAUAUUCUUUCAAUGCCUGCUCAGUAUGAAGGUCCCGACUGGCUUCUCGUCGAAUAUAAAGGGAAUAAUAAAUAUGCCAGAGAAAAUGUUCCAGAACCUAAAGUCUCAUGACUGCCACGUGAUUAUGACGCAACUGCUUCCGAUUGCAUUGAGGGGGCUUCUACCGGAAAACGUCCGACUAGCCAUUGUGAAGCUAUGUGCAUUCCUCAAUGCAAUAUCUCAGAAGGUGAUCGAUCCAGAAAUCGUACCAACGCUAAGGAGUGAUAUGGCGCAAUGUCUUGUCAGUUUCGAGCUGGUGUUUCCACCAUCCUUCUUCAAUAUCAUGACGCACGUCCUAGUUCAUCUAGUCGACGAGAUUGUCAUUCUGGGGCCCGUAUUUCUACACAAUAUGUACCCCUUUGAGAGGUUCAUGGGAGUCCUAAAGAAAUAUGUUCGUAAUCGCGCUAGGCCAGAAGGAAGCAUCUCCAUGGGCCAUCAAACAGAGGAUGUCAUUGGGUUUUGUGUUGACUUCAUUCCUGGCCUUAAGAAGAUAGGUCUCCCUAAAUCGCGGUAUGAGGGGAUACUGACUGUAAAAGGCACGCUUGGAAGGGACUCAAUAAUAUGCAGGGACGGAUAUUCUUGGUCUCAAGCACACUACACAGUUCUACAGAACUCUACCUUGGUGACCCCGUAUGUCGAUGAACACAAGAACAGUCUGCGCUCCAAACACCCGGAGCAGUGCGACGACUGGAUUACAUGUGAACACAUCAGGACUUUCAGCAGUUGGUUGGAAACACGUCUCAGAGGUGACAACACUGUUUGUGAUGAGCUGUACUUGUUGUCCAGGGGACCAUCUUCGACUGUAAUGAUUUGGAAAGGAUACGAGAUAAAUGGGAAUACAUUUUACACGAUUGACCAAGAUGAAAAGAGCACCAACCAAAAAAGCGGUGUCCGCUUUGAUGCAGCAACCGACAAUGGAAAUGACACAUAUUAUGGUUACAUAGUAGACAUAUGGGAACUUGACUACGGAGUAGAUUUUAAGGUCCCUUUGUUUAAGUGCAAGUGGGUCAAUCUAUCAGGAGGCGGGGUACAGGUAGACUCACAGUACGGAAUGACAACAGUGGAUCUGAAAAAUCUUGGGUACACUGACGAACCGUUCGUCCUAGCCAAUGAUGUGGCACAGGUUAUCUAUGUGAAGGACAUGUCUACCAGACCGAGGAAAAGAAAAGAUAAGGAAGCGAAUACAUCAUAUAAUGAGCCAAAGCGCCACAUAGUUCUUUCAGGAAAAAGGGACAUCCUGCGUGUGGAGGGCAAGACAGACAUGUCUGAAGAGUAUGAAAAGUUUCAUGAAAUUCCCCCCUUCAAAGUCAAGGCUGACCCAAGCAUCCUGAUAAACGAUGAAGAUUAUCCAUGGUUACGGCGCAAUAAGCAAACGACACAAGCGAAGAAAAAGUGAAGACUUUCUCCCGCAACUAUUAUGAUGAUACCAUGCCAACUUUGUAACAGACGAGUAUGAUACCAUUGUCCGGUUUGUACAUGCACAUGCUAUGCCAACUUUUUCAGAGUUCAUUUGAAAACUAUGAAUUUGAAAACCUUGCCAACCGAAGGGCGCUCACACCGGUUUAUAAGCCCGUCCCUCUACACGCCUUGUUGAGCUCACAAACUUGUGAUUCACAUAAAUUUCAAAGAAAACUAAUGGCACAAACAGAAAGUUUAUAAUUUUGCUGACCUAAAAGCAAAAAGAAUUUAAAAAUAAAGCAAAAAACCAAAAGAAAAUAAAUAAUGCAGAAAACAAAACAAAAAAACUUGAAAAAAAAAUAAAAAUAGCACUAAAGAGUUUCCAAAUAAAAUAAAACAAAAUAAAAUAUAAUAUAUAAAGCAACAAAGAAAAAAAAGAGUUUCCAAAUUUGAAAACUAAUGGCACUAACAGAAAGNNNNNNNNNNNNNNNNNNNNNNNNNNNNNNNNNNNNNNNNNNNNNNNNNNNNNNNNNNNNNNNNNNNNNNNNNNNAUAGUUUUUCUAAAACUAAAAGCAAAAAGAAUUAAAAAAUAAAGCAAAAAACAACAAAAACUAAAUAAUGCAGAAAAGAGAACAAAAAACUGGAAAAAAAAAUAAAAAUAGCAACAAUAAGUAUUUUGUUGUAAGUAGAAACAAAAUAAACUAAAUAAAGCAACAAAUAAAACAAAAAAACAAAAAAAAGUGCCACCUACUGGGCACCCACGGCCUGAAUACGACUAGAAACCCUACCAUGGGCCAGGAUUCAGGCCCGCGGGAGGCCCAGUAGGCCCACAUGCACAUAUUGCACGUUUAGGCCCGAAAGCCUGCUUUAGAGAGGAGCUUGAGAGGGAAGGCGCACCGCACCUUAUAAACUGGUGCGGCUCCCUCUCAACAAGCGAGGUGGGACUAAACUUUUCGGCGCGGGGCAGCACAAGGCCUAUGGUCCCGGUUGGUGGCACCAACCGGGACUAAAGGGGGGCAUUAGUCCCGGUUGGUUCCACGAAUCGGGACCAAUGCUCAGUGUAUAUAAACAACACUUGUGAAAAUUUUCAGUUUCAUCGCGCAUUUGCCCCCCGACGACGCCGCCAGGCUGCCCCGCCGCCAUCGCCGUCGCCCGUGCCCCCGAGCCCACGCCGUCGCCGGCCGCGCCCUCGAGCCCAGANNNNNNNNNNNNNNNNNNNNNNNNNNNNNNNNNNNNNNNNNNNNNNNNNNNNNNNNNNNNNNNNNNNNNNNNNNNNNNNNNNNNNNNNNNNNNNNNNNNNNNNNNNNNNNNNNNNNNNNNNNNNNNNNNNNNNNNNNNNNNNNNNNNNNNNNNNNNNNNNNNNNNNNNNNNNNNNNNNNNNNNNNNNNCUCUUCCUCGCCGUCGCCUCUGCCUCGCCCCGCGCCGCUUUGGUCAGGGCCGGCACCGCCCCCCUCUUCCCCCUUUUUUUUGCAAAUAUAGCUUUUUUUCCUGAUUAUGUGUGUAUAUGUAUGAGUAUAUAUGUAUAUGUGUAUAUCUGUUUAUAUGUCUUUUUUUAGAUUUUUUUGUUUUUUGCAUUUUUAUAAAAAUGUAUAUAUGUUCUCUGUGUAUAUAUAUGUUUUAUGUUCAUAGAUUUUUAUUUGAACAUUAUUUUAAAAAAACAAGCAAUACUACUUCAUGUAUUUUUAAGAAGGAAGAAGAAGAAAAAGAAUGAGAGGAAAAAGGAAAAAAGAAGAGGAAGAAAGGAGAAGAAGAGGGGAGGAAGAAGAGGAGAAAUAAAUAAGAAGAGGAAAAAAGAAGAGGAGAAGAAGAAAGGAAUAGAGGAGAAGAAGAAAAAAUAGGAGUGCGGCUAAUCUGCACCCGGGCUCAUCUGCACCCACGCUUAGAAAAAAAUUCAAAAAAAUACUAAAAAAAUUCAAAAAAUUCCAAUUUUUUUUGUGAUGGUAGAUAAUUUGACGCGUGAGGUGCGCCCCAAAAAUCAGCUCACUUGAGCAUCUGAGCAGCUCUCAGCAAAAAAGACAAAAUCAGGGUCUGUAAAAAUGUGUACUGUUCACGCACUGUUUUGACCCGAUUUGUCUUUUUUGCCGAGAGUUGCUCAGAUGUCCAAAUGAGUUGAAUUUUGGGGCGCACCUCACGCGUCAAAUUAUCUACCACCACAAAAAAAUUGGAAUUUUUUGANNNNNNNNNNNNNNNNNNNNNNNNNNNNNNNNNNNNNNNNNNNNNNNNNNNNNNNNNNNNNNNNNNNNNNNNNNNNNNNNNNNNNNNNNNNNNNNNNNNNNNNNNNNNNNNNNNNNNNNNNNNNNNNNNNNNNNNNNNNNNNNNNNNNNNNNNNNNNNNNNNNNNNNNNNNNNNNNNNNNNNNNNNNNNNNNNNNNNNNNNNNNNNNNNNNNNNNNNNNNNNNCCCCUCCCGAUAACUUCAAUACAUGGAGGGUCGAUAUACCCCCUCCCCGAUAACAUUAAUUUCUCCCGUGUAUGUAUCUCGUCAUUGUCGAUAUUACCCCCUUGAAGCGUUGUCGAUAUUAUCCCGGGUCGAGGGUUCUAGGGUCGAGGGAUCGAGGGUUCCAGGAUCGCCCAGGGGUCAAGGGUUCUAGGGUCAUCGAGGGUUCAAGGGGUCGAGGAUCGCCGAGGGGUCGAGAGGGUUCCUAGUGUCAAAGUAUUGAAGAAAUCCAUGGCUUCAUCAUUAGCCGGAAGUAACCAUGGCAUGAUGGUACGAAGUCCUCCAAAGUUAUUCUGGAAUGGAGUCCCGGAUAGGAUAAUUUGCCUUUUUGUACGAAUUUCAGCAAAGGCCUUUCAGAUAAUGAUAUUCGGAAGGUUCUUGCUGAACUUUGUACCAAAAAGUGAAUUAUCCUAUCUGGGACUCCGUUCCAAAAUAACUUUGGAGAGCGUCGUACCAUCAUGCACCUGUUACAUUCGCCUAAUGAUGAAGACAUGGUUUUGUUGAAUCCUUUGACACUAGGCAACCUCCCAACCCCUCGGUGAUCCUCGACCCCUUGACCCUCGACCGCUCAGCAAUCCACGACCCUCUACCCUACCGCGGGCGUCGAUGCCCACGUCACUUGUGGGACAUAGAUGUAGUGUUCAACGCCGACCCCCUCCCGAUAGCUUCAACACGUGGGGGGGUCGAUAUUACCCCCUCCUUGAAGCGUUCUCGAGGAGGCCCCUAACCCUUGAAGCGUUGUCGAGGCCACCCCAAACCCUAGAGAAGCAGCGUCGAGGCCAGUAAUAUGAUUCCUUAUUGUGAUCCUCUAGCUAGUUCUACGUUUGCCACUAAUAUAUCCAUAUAUGUCAUGUUUGAAUAAUAAUUGCCAUGUUGUAAAUAUUUGUAGAAACUAUGGACACGGCCCGAGACAAAGCACAAGAAGCGUUGUUGAGGGACAUAAUCGCACAAGGAAGUGAUGCCCUCGACUCGUUGAUGUUUCUCAACGACAACGAUGGUCUGGAAGGAGAGGGUGAAGAAGCAGCUGGCUAUGAUUUACAUGGCCCCGAUGACCCAAUGCCGGUGCAAGAAGGAGAGGGUGAAGAAGUAGACCGUGAGGACGGCUCCGGUGAUCACCAAACCGAGUCCGGCCAGGUAUAUAUAUUAGUUAAGCCUGUGCUGACUAGCUAAUUGAUGCAUUCAUUGUUUUGGUAUGUACACAUAUUAAUUAACUCUCGUCUUUGUUCUUUUUUCUAGCCCUCCGGAUCGAGCACAACUUUGGUAAAGAGACGAGGCCCGAAGAAAAAGUUGAGCUCGGAUGAAAAGUUUGAGAUCAUACAAAUCACGCGCGACGGCCAACCGAUUGAACCCUACCGGACAAAGAAGGCAUUUGUUGCUCAGUGCGGGGUUCUGGUUAGGGACAAGAUCCCGAUCAGCAUCCAGCAAUGGUAUAAGCCUAAGAACGAAGACCCUGAGGUGUCUUAUGUCAAUGAGAUGCAGAAAAAUAAUCUUUGGACUGAGCUGAAGUCAAAUUUCACCCUACCGCCGGAGGAUGAUCCGGAGAAGCCAGUUAUAGAGCCAUUAAUCAAGUCUUUUGCUCUGGGGAAGAUGGCAGACCUAUUCAGGAAUUGGAAGAAAGACCUCAAUAGGUAUGUCGAAAAAAAUGAGACACCAGAAUUCGUGGGCAAAUAUGAGAAGAUUAGAGAUGACUGGCCCGCAUUUGUGGCCCACAAGACAUCGGAAAAGAGUAAAAAGAUGUCGGCGACAAACAAGAGAAAUGCUCAGAAGAAGAAGCUUCACCAUCGCACGGGGUCAGGUGGCUACCUCGUUGCCCGGCCUAAGUGGGCCAAGGCUGAGAAUGAUCUCCUUGAUAAAGGGAUCGAACCAGAGACAAUGAACUGGCCAGAACGUUGCCGGACUUGGUUCUUUGGGGCCGGCGGAUCCUUAGACCCUAUAACAGGGAAGUGCAUUUGGACGGACGAAAAAUUGGACAUACCAGUCAAGAAGCUUCAGCAAUAUAUCGAAGCAGCGCAGCAAGGGAAGUUCAUUCCAGACAGGGAGAAGGACGAGCUCACAAUGGCCCUCGGCAAUCCUGAGCACCCUGGACGGACACGAGGCACGCCAGGCUCCGUUUCGUGGAAGGCUGGAUUUCCGGAUGCAGGGGGUUACAAAACCCACGAGAGGAGGAAGAAACUGGAGCAGGACCAAAUGCAGGCGCUGCUUGGAAGGGUAAUGGGGCUAGAGGAUCGAGAAAAGGAACGAGAAGCAGCAGAUCGCAACAAACGACAUGCCGAAGCUUCCCCCGAAGCUACCCCGCCAUCUCAGCGGAGAAGCAGUGUGGCUUCCACCAAGCUGCUUCAGCCAGAGCAUGCCUUGACGGCUCCUACCAGCUAUCCCGUGGAUGCUAUCAGGGAUGCUGAAAAUUGCCACCUUAUGGCGCAAUGGAGCAAUUUGAAGGUCAAGGCGGCUGUUGGCUCUGUUUAUCCUACUAAACCCGACUCAACUUUUCACUGCCGGCCGAUUCCAGAAGGAUAUGCUAAGGUGAUGGUCGAUGAAAUAACGGAGGGAUUUGAGGACCUCCAGCUUGACCACCCUACCGGUGAAGGGGAGUAUCGGCUGGGUUCUGCUCUGAAGACUCCAUGCCUAUGGCGGAAGGAUCUCAUCAACCUUCCGAACUGGACGCCUCCGCCUCCUCCUCCUCCGGUGAGUCAGGGCACUCCGCCUCCUCCACCGCCUCCUCCUCCGGUGAGUGACGAUCAGGGCACUCGGCCGGCUCCUUCUCCGGCGCGUGGCGGCACUCCGCCUCCUUCUCCGCCUGCGCCGGCGCGCCUGAGCAGCCAGCCUCCUCCUUCUCCGCCUCGUCAGCAAGGGAGGAAGAGACCCGCCGCCGCUCCGGCUUCUCCGGCGCGUCACAGUCCUUCUCCUCCACCUCGUAAGCAAGGAAAGAAGACAUCCGCUCCGUCUACUCUGCCGGCGUCUAGCAGUACAGCCAAAGGCGGGAGGAGAUACAGAUUCGGUCCUUCUCUGAAGACUCCAGAGAAGUUACCGUACGAGAGGAGCGAGGAGGAAAACGCGAAGAUCCCGCAGACCGAAGUGGAUGACUGGUUUCAAGGGUUGAAAGCAAAGAGACAUCCACCUCCGGAGGAGAAGGUAGAUCCGGUGAAAGCGAAGCGCACUCUGGCUGCCCUGACAAAACCACCCAAGUCUCCGCCGAAAGGCAACUAUGAGCGCAUUAUUGGAAAGGCAUUUGCCGAAGCGGAGAGGUCGGGAAGUACUAAAAGUGAUCAAAGGAUGAAAGAACGACGAGCUGGGAAACAAAUUGCCCAGCUCGGCGAGCAAGCGAAGCAAUCGUGCCCCCCGCUCAAGGUGCCUGCUAGCGACAUCGUCGAUCCGAGGAUGGUGCCCGGUUAUGGCAAUCCUGCAGAUUACCUGCCCGACGAUGUACAUUAUGAUAUCUUGGAGGUGCAGAUACAAAGAUACGAGUACGGGAAGCCUCUCGUCAAAGAUGAAAGUUCUCUAUCAACGAUGAUGCAAAGAUUGCAUGAUUGGUACAUGAAAAUCUGCAAAGAGUCUGAGGGGAGGAGUACUUUGUAUGUGAGAGCUAAAAAGGAGCAUGACCUCCUUGAAAUUGAACUGUUGCCUAUUCCAUUUGAGGAGUUCUAUCAGUUUUUCAAUCAAUUGGCCAUCGAUAAAGCAACGGUCAGCUCCUACUGUCUGUAAGUAGUACUACUUCCGUCAUUAAGUCUCUCUAUAUAACUCAGCCCUUUCAUUGCAUGUAUUUAUAAUUAUCCUCACUAUAUUAUGCAGAUUGAAGAUCGCCGAAUUGAAAAAAAGACAAGUGGGAGAUAUUGGGUUCAUUAACACGUAUCUCAUAGAUGCAACUGAGGUUCAAUAUCGUGCCCAAGAAACCGAGGCCAACUUGCUACGAUCGUUGGAAAUAAAUGAACACAAAGAUAUAAUACUCUUUCCUUACAACUUCAAGUGAGUGUUACUGUCUUGUGGCAUAUUCGGUUUCCUUGUUAGUCCAGGUUAUAGUAAUGUAAUAUUGAUGAGUUAUGCAUGUGUGCGCAGGUACCACUAUAUUCUCCUAGAGAUUAAGCUUGAGAAGGGAGUAGUAACUGUCUUAGACUCCAAGCGAAAAGAUCCCAAGGAGUAUGCGGACAUGACUGAAAUGCUCGAGAAGUAAGUUAAAUCGAUCAUUAUCCACCAUAUCAUCAACUUUAUUCAUUUUUUAUAUCAAGUAAUUGUUUUCUUUGUAUGGCAGGGUUGGAGAAAAUUCACCAAAAAAGCUCCGGGACUACCGAAGAAGCUGCAAUUUAGGCACCCAAAAGUAAGUACUAUAUAGUAGCAUAUUCCAGGCAUCUCCUAGUGAUUCAAGCGCUAGUUUCAUCAAUACCAUUUAGCAUGCUUGCUAAUUAUCAGUUUGAUUGACCUCUAUUUCUUGUAAAGUGGCUGUGGCAGGAACAAGGGAAUGAUUUCUGUGGAUACUACAUUUGCGAGUCCAUCCGCCACACGACCUGUGAGCGGGGCUACUCCAACAAACAAUAUGAAGUGCGUAAAUAACAAUAUUCACAAUUUUAUUUUAUUACCAUCAUUUGUGUUGAGUUUCAUUCAUUCAUAUAUAUAUGUAUUGACCCCCUUCUUAAAAUUAGAUGUUUCGGAUGCGGGAUGAACUCCUAGCACCAGAUCGCAUGUGAGCAAUUCAAGAGGAAUUGGCGGCAUUCUUUCUUGACCACGUGAUCGCUGAAGACGGAGAAUACUAUGUGGACCACGCGUCCGUAUUUUAGGAGAUUAUAUAUUUGUAAAAGAUAAUUAUUGUAUAUAUGUAGCCGGUAGUGUCGGAUAGAUAUACGAGAACUUGUUGUUCGACCUCGGAGAAGGAGAGGUGGUCGAUAUCACUUCUCUCUGUAUGCAUAUAUGUUCAUGACGAUCUUCUGUUUGCUUACUAGCUAGCUAGCGUGUCUAGCUAGUCCUCUCUAUACGUAUGUAUGGUACGUAGCGUCGACCAAGCACGGACAAAAGAGAGGACACUUCUCUCUAUUAAUUAGCUAGCUAUAGCACAAUAAAUGAAACACCUAAAUUAACCCCCCAAAACCCCCCAAACCCCCCCCCCCUUUUAAAAAAAAAACAAAAACCCCAGCCACAGAAAUGCUGACGCGUGGAUGCCUAUUGGUCCCGGUUGGUGCCACCAACCGGGACCAAAGGCCCUCCUGCCUGGGCUCAGCGGACAGGCCACGUGGAGGCCCAUCUGUCCCGGUUCUGGAUUGAACCGGGACUAAAGGGUCAGGGCAUUAGUACCGAACCUUUAGUCCCGGUUCAUGAACCGGGACUAAAGGCCCUCACCAACCGGGACUGUAGGCCCUUUUUCUACUAGUGUUACUGAGGCAGCGCUGGGCCAUGUUGUGGUGAGAACAUACGAGAGAUAAUUGGGGUGUGUGGCUGAUUGCUUCAUAUGCUGCUAAUGAUAUAUGUAGACUGCUGAUUGCUCCUGAUAUACAGUGUCGAUUGCAGCUGAUAGUAGGAUUGUACUCAAUUUGAUAGGUAAAGUGGGAUGUCUUGAUUGUAUAGUGCUCAUAAGCCAGUCCGGGCAUUGUCCUUCCUCGAAUGAAUCUGAGACUACUCCUCAUAUGUUAAUCAGUUGCUCCUCCCUAGCUUUGGUUUUGUCUGAACUUCCAAGUUUUCAUCCACCCAAUGUUGAUUCAGUCAAAGAUCUCUUGGAAAAAUUAUUUCGACAAGAUUCACUCUAUAAUGUUGUUAUCAUUGUCCUCUGGAAUAUAUGGAAGCGCAAAAACUCCAAGGUCUCCCGGGAUGUUUUUGAGGAAUUGCACAUUACUGCUAGCAAGAUUGCUGAUGAUUGAUACCAUGGUCCAACAGGUAUUCACAUGAAAUUAAUAAAUGGCACCUUACGGAUUGGAGUACUCUACUGUAUCACUAUCUGGGAGAUUUUAAUUUUUUCCUUCUAUUAUUUAUCUUAAUCCCUGUGUACUCAUUGGACUUUGUAUAGUUCUUAGUUUUAUGAAGUGGUUCAGGCUGGCGUAAGCCGCCAUAGUCCCAGUAAAAAAAGGCUACAAGCUUCGCUUCGGCCUUUCGGAACUGAAUAUUAUGUAGUUUUAUUGAGAUUAUUGAUAACGCUUCUCUACUAUCAAAGAAGGUAAUAGUCUCUUAUGUGUUUCUUUUUGUCCAUUUGAAUGCACUCCAUUUUUUAGUGUAUUAAUUAACAUCAAACCUCCCAUUCUUUCUAGAGUGCUGAUGUAUUAUUAUUUUCAGCUUAACACAUUUAACUUCCUAUAGAUUUCAUGGUUUAUGCAGAUUAACCGAGCUAAGAAUUUUUGUGAAGCUAAACCUGGUGUUAAGAUGAACGCUGCUAUGUAUAUAUUUGAAACAGUUAGAUACAUGCUUGACAGACUAUAUAGGGGUGAUCAAAACCAUGCGAAGCAUUAUGGGACAAGUUUCUCUACCUUAAAUAAGUGUUCGUUCUCUCGUGUUUACUAUUCGUUUAAGGGUCAUCAACCCGUGUAUUUAUUUUCAUUGACCAAGUUUUACAUUUUUCUUCUGUAGUGUUCAUUGUGCAGUUCUAGAUUGUUAAGAGAGUAGAGUUUAUUGAUUUAUUACAUGGAGAGACCAGUAGUGUCGUAGUGGUCUUGACAUAAUUGCUAACAUUUUCUACUAGACAAAGUUUAAUUGCACUAAAUACAAAUUAGAACAUGCAUAGACAUUUAUCUUCUUUCUACAGAAUGGUUAGUGUAAACGUACUUUGAGUUGUACAUGAUUCUGUAUCUGACCAUUUUAUCUCAUAUGUUGAUGUGGUUGCAGAUAUGAACUUCAAAUUAUCCUGCAAUGUAUUGACUGCUCGGAGCUAACUUGACUACGCCAGUUUUCUUUUAUGGCUCAAAGUAGUUAGUGUCCCCCCUUAUUAUGAGAGAGGUACUACUUCAAACAUCUCUUCUUAAUGUUUUAUGUCAUGGCAUACAAUAUGAGGGAGUGUUAGUUGGCUUGACUUUCGUGGCACUCAUUAACAACCUUUCAGUUUAGGAGUUUUUGUGGCCUCUUAAUCCAUGAGAGUAUGCUCAUGUUGAAGAAGUUAGUCAUAAUGAGGGGCACCAUAAAUGUUUGUUAUCUGGCACAAAUUCCUAAUGAAUAUCACAUGUGAACCUUUUACUGUUGUGUUAAUCAAAUUUCAUUGUACUAUUCAUACAGUAAAAUAUGAGUGCCAUGUCAGAAUAUGGUUCUCGAUCUGAAAGAUCAUAUUGGAAAUUGCAGGUUCUAUGGCAGUGGAGUAAUGUUCGUAAAUUAUAUAUUGCUUUCAUGUUUGGAGCUGGAAUAAUAUAUGUGAUGCAUUUAGUUAUAGUCUUAUAGAUAUACAUGAACAUCCAUUGUAUAUUUCUUGCACGACAUGAUAACUACUAUUAUUUUGAUUGUUUCCGUGAACUAUUUUGACCUUGAUUAAGAAGUAAAAAGUUUUUAGCCUCGUAGGUUGUUUGAUCUACUAUAUCAAGUGGCACCUGGCUUCUCAUGGCUCUCCUCGCAUUUGCCAAAACAAAGUUAGCACACACUACCUAGAGCUCUGGAAAUUAGAACUGAAAAAUGGUCCUGUGGUUUAUUAGCUGAUAUAAAUCAUGCACAAUCCUCUACAUUUAAAAAUAACCGGACACAAAGCAGUAUACUUUUUUCCGAGUACUAUCUUGAGAGAGCCAAGGGGUUCUGCAUUUUAUAAAGAAGAAGAAAGUUGCGUGGUUCCAUACAUGCUUAUCUAAGAAAUAUAUCUUAUCUAUUUAGUGGAAACCAGGCAAAAACCUACAGAUACAAAAGGCACAAAGUCCCCCACCGGUUGUGACCGAACUACUGUUUUUGGAAAUAUCACAUGAGCUAGAUUACUAACAUUGAUGUAAUGCUUGUAUGGCAACCUAUUCCUUUAUUGGUUCAAUUACAGAGUUUUGUUAUUAUGUGAAUGGAGUAAUGGAGAGCUAAGAAAAAACAAGGUAACAGUUAGUGUUACUCUUGCGAGGUAGUUUCAAUCAUAUCAUUGUUUGCUUUCCCUUUUCUCCUGCCUAGGUAUGUACAAUUAUUCCAACCCAGGUUUCUUUCAAGAAGCAUAGGUAUGUGUUUGAGGAAUGUCUACAUGACAAAACACACCUUCAAGUUUGGUGAUAGUUAUGCUAUCAAACUUACAAUGGGGGUCUUAAUUUGUAUUUUUAAUAGAGCACUGGGUUCAUUUGUGAGACUUGUGAGGAUGUGCCUAGGCUAAAGAUGGCUGCUAUGUCGGUACCAAGUGGCAUGUGUUUAAAUGGAGUAUCCUUGUCAGGAGAGCUGAUUUCUGAAAUAUGGUACUUUAUGGGUGCAAGGAUUCACCAUGUUGCGGUCUUCGUCAGCGGAGUGGACUCCUAGGAAUUAGUCAAGGCCGCUAUGUUGUUUUAAGCUGAUAUUCUAUCGUACUUGUAUAUUUUUUUGCUUAUCUAGCUGUUUGCCAUGCAGUUCUCGUUGUUGGUGGGAACAUUUGUUGUCUAAGAUCGACCUCAAAUAUCUGGUGGCACUAUAGCAUGGCUUUUGAUAUUCUAAUGUAUAUCUCUUACAAAAUAUUUCAAGAGCCCGUGGCAACGCACGGGCAUUAUACUAGUGUAAGUAAGGAUGGAGAUGAAGAUGGUGUGGCGACAAGGAUAUAACAAAACGACUGGUUCCUUCAGCCAAAAGUUGGCGACGUUCCUUGUUACACACGCUCCGCCCAACAAACGCUCCAAAAGCCAAAAUACAAUUCCUCAAAUAAUGGCCAAAGACUACUUCCCCACAUGGAAAAGAAAUACGCACAUGGCGUUACAAUGUUAGCUACUCAUGUCUGAGUUCCUAAACCCUUGCAAAACAGAAAGAAAGGUUGUUUGCUAAACAAAAGAAAGGCCAACACAAUCCUAUCCAAACACUCCACAUUUUUACUAUGUGUCAAAAAUAUGCAACUUUUUUUUGGUUUUUAGGUACAUGCCAAUUUUUUUUUUGAAAAACACAAUUUUUUUAUGUUCACACGCCAAGGUAUUUUGUACACAUGGCAAAAUUUUCCGAAGAAGAAAAAUCUCACGACCCCAUGGAUAAUUCAUAACUUUUUGUCUUUCAAACAGGGCAAUUUUAAGUCAUUUUGUAAUGCUAUUGUGGCAAACGAUGGGAUUUUUAAUCAAUUUUCAUGGCGAAUUUGGGAUUCUUUUCCCUACUUUUCCACAUGGCAAUUUUAUUAUGAUCAAAAUGGAGAUCUUAUUAUUCAAAACAUGGCAGCUUUACUAUUAAGAGCAUGGAAAUUUAAGUAUGAUAGAAUCUCCUCCCCUGCUCGGUCUACCCCACAUGCAUGGCGUAUAACAUCCUCUAGCCCCAACUGCCGCCAAACCUCUCUAGCCUUAUGGCAUCGAAAUAGUACAUGAAACACAUCUUCUGCUCCUUGUUUACAUGCAGGACACGUCGGCCGGACUGGUAUGUGUCUAUUAGCAAGAACCACAUUGCAUGGCAGUGUUCCGUGUAAGGUUCUCCGAAGAAAUUUUUUAACUUUCGCCGGACAAUUCAGUUUCCAAACCUUUUCCCAUGUUGGGUUAGCACUAGUGGCUCCCAAACCAUCUGUCCUCUGCAAUUUACGGCCAUGCUGAAAGUACCAUAGAGCAUGGUAGGCCGAUUUCACUGUAAAAAUUCCAUGUUUAUUCAAACUCCAUGCUACAAAGUCACUCAUAUCAUGUGUAGGUAGUGGUAAAGCAAGGACCCGUUCAACAUCAAUCGGCCAGAAGGUUUGCUCCACAAGUGGCACAUCCCAGUGACCUGUAGCUGAAUCAAUUAAAUCACUCACCUUUGAUAGUAACUGGUUACCUCUUGGGGCAAUAAUCAUUCUGGAUGGUGAGUUAGGAAUCCACACAUCCCUCCAAAUAUUUAUUUUUUCACCAUCCCCAACUCUCCAAAUGUAUCCAUGUUUCAGGGUAUUCACCCCUUGCAUAAUGCUCUGCCAAGUGUAGGAGGAAUUAUUUUUUAGCUUAAUUAAUUUACCAGCACAAGAAGCGGCCGUGCUGGGAGUGAAAAACUUCCAUGACUUGAUGUUCACUUGCUGCUGGUACCUUUGGUGGGAGAGGAGAAAGCUUGUGCACAAUGAGCCGGUACAAGAUGCGAAGAGAACUGCACAAGCGGUAUGUGCUUUAGCUGCUAACUAUGCUAUUGCAUGUGAUCCAAAGGCCUCGUUAAAGAGGGGAGGUUGGUGCAAACCCCCUAGUGGAUAUGUUAAGUUAAAUGUUGAUGCGGCCUUUGAUUGGGAUUUGCUUCAGGGGGCAAUGGGAGCAGUCAUCCGAGAUGGUAGAGGACAUAUGGUUGUAGCUGGAAACAAGCUCAUUGAUUCCUGUUAUGAUGUACUAACUGUUGAGGCAAUGGCUCUGAAGUUUGGGUUGAAUAUGGCGCUCACAGCUGGGUGCAAUAGACUGAUUGUCAACUCGGAUAAUCUGGAACUCAUGGAAAUAAUGAAUAAGGAUGGCCAAUAUGCUGGAGAUGUCGCGGCCAUUGUCGAUGAUUGUUAUCAUCUGGCUUGCGAAUUUAGCUCUAUUGUCUUCGAAUUUUGCCCCAGAGGGUCGAAUGGGGUUGCACAUGAACUAGCUAGGAUUGCUAGAAGUUCGCUUUGUAAUGAGUGGUUAGAUAAUGCUCCUUCUGAGCUUCUUCCCCUACUACUUAAAGAUGUAAGUCUGAUCACGAAUGAAUAAAGAGGAAGUAAAGUUGUCAAAAAAAAAAGAGCAUGGCAAUUUUAUUUUUAAUGGCAUGUCAUUCUUACCUUUUUUUUGAGAAAAGCAUGUCAUCUUUAGUAUGUCCUUCUCGCCUGCUAUAUGAAGUAGGCGGACCCUAGAUGGGCUUUCCCAAUAUGGGUUCCUGGGACCGGGUUCCUGCAGAGUUUCUUUUCCUUGUCGUCUUGUGUGUUUCCUUGGCCAAUUUUCAUAUUUUUGUUUGGUUUUCUGUCUUAUGUGUUUCUUUAUGGAUUUUAUUUCUUUCUCAAUACAUGUACAUUUUUCUAAAUACACACUGUAAAAAUUUACACAUCUUGAACAUUUUUUAUUAAUUGGCAUAAACCUAGUUUUGGAGUGUGUGAGCAUUUUUUAAUUGUCAUGUACAUUUUUCUGAAAGGCAGUAUUUAUUUUGUUGAAUUACGUGAGCAUUCUUUACACAUCUUGAACAUUUGUCCAUAUUUUUUUGAAACACAUGAACAUAUUUUUGAAUGCUAUAAACAUUUUUUAUAUCAUGCUGCAUUUGGUCUAUAUUAGUUUAAACUAAGUCAGUGACAAUUAAUAUGGAUCAUAGAGAGUACAAUUUUGUACAUGAUGUUUAUACUUUUAUAUUUCACUUCCAAUAUUUUUUAUUUAUUAAACUCUAUUGUGUUUUUGGAAUAAGUGUAUUUAGAACAUAUUUUUUAAAAUUUAAAUAAAAUGGAGCGAAUGAAGAAGCAGAGAAGAAAAACGAAGGCCGGCCAAAUGUAUGGCGUUCCCUGCCUCAUACCUGCAAAUCAAGCUAAGCAGCGGGUGAUAAUUUUUUACACAAUGUUUAUAGUUUUCUAUUUCACUUUGAACAUUUCAAAAUUUUAAGGAAAUUAUUAUUUUUAAAUAAAUGUUUUUAGUUUUUUAAUAAAAAGGUGAAAAAAAGGAAAUUGAGCGAAUGAAGAAGCAGAGAAGAAAAACGCCCUUUCUUUCAUCAACUGAACUGCGUGCGUGCAUGGAAGGGCUAUCAUCUGCACUUAAGAGGAGUGACUUACCUAUCAUUGUGGAGAUGGACUCUAUUCUUGCAGUCAAACUGAUCCAAUCGAGGGAUUUGGACAAAUCUAUUUAUGCUUGGGUAGUUAAGGUGAUCAAGUAUGUUUUGGGGAUUCGUGGUUCUUGUAUUACUCAUGUUAAUCGCUCUCAAAAUAAAGUUAGCGACUGCUUAGCUAGAUUUGUUAAAUUAGAAGGACAAACCAUGACUUGGGUUGGUUUUGGUCCAGAUGUUGCUGUUGAGCUAACUGUUGCUCAAUGUAUGGACACCAUGAGUUGAGUAAUGCAAAAAAAAAGUUUGCGCAGAAUUAUUUUCGAUUUUUUUGAAAAUUUUAAAUAUGUUUUUUUUUCUUUUCAAAAAAAUACCACACAAAUUUGGCAUUCAUUCCCUGCUUCAUAUCUCUACUCCUAAUGGACGACUUGGUGAAUAGUCUCCAUGGUUUAUUUUCGCCGGGUUUUUUUCGUCAUCCUCCCACCUCACGGUUUCAAAAAAACAACCAAAACCAGAGGCCCGUCCCACGAAACGAAACCCAAUUUGCCCCCGUACCACCACUCCUCCCUCCCCCUCGACCUCCCUUGUCUAGGAUUCCCCGCCACCACUGCGGUAGCCGCCGCCGAAUCCUAGGUCGCCGCACACCGUCGCCGCUGCCGCGAAUCCCCAGGGACGCCGCACGCCACCGCCGUCGUGAAUCACCAGAGACGCCGCACGCCGCCGCCGCGGAUCCCCAGGGAUGCCACCGCCACCGCCGCGGAUCCCCAAGGGCGUGGUCGCGUUGUACUAGACAAAGUGUGGUCGCCGCCGUCCUCUCCUCGUCCGACCUUGACCUCAUCCCUUCGACUCCGGUGACUCCUCUGUGGCCCGGUGGAUGCCAACUGUCAUGGAAUUUUCACGGCAGAUGUUGUAGUGUGAGGACUUCGUCGUGAGGCCAACACAUCUACGCGGUAGCUUGAAGGGGUUGGUCGAAAUCGAGAGACGCGAGGCGGAUCAACAUACAAGACAAGGAUUUAGACAGCUUCGGCCCCGGGAAACAUCAUCCGUUAAUAGCUACAUGUUGUUUGUGGCUAGGUCUCAUUAUGCUCGCGAGGGAGUCACCGUAAACCGGCUCUCCUAGUUAUGUCUAGCCCUAGAGAUUGUUUCUUGUUGCUUGUGCCUCUUUGGGGAGCCUUGUCCCUCCUUAUAUAAGUUAGAUGGGCGGGUUACAUGUGCAGUCCUAUUAGGAUUAGGACUAGUCUACCUUCUAAUACAAACCGGAUACAAGUCCAGGUCUUAACUCCUUGUAAGACAAAUAUUUCUCACGCCUUUCCUCUUAAACCGGCCCACCAUAACAUGAGCCGGCCUUCUGGGCCUUGGGCCUUGUCAUCCGUCUGUCCCGCCCGUCGGGUUACCAGUGAAUCAUAAUGUUCAGUCAGGUUGCUUGUAAACCAUCUGGUCAGUGUGGGUCGCCGGUGAAUCGCCAAGUCCGGCCAGGUUACGCCGCGGGGUAUAUCCCCGACAUCUCCCGUGAUAUCUGACGAUAUAUUUACAAGUAAUGCGCAUGGAUGGUUCAUCCGUGAUUUUAGGGUGGGUUAGUCGGUUGGAAGAUUUGUUAGUUAGCCUACUUAAAGGUAGCACGACGCUUUGGUGCUGUUGUUAGGGUUUGCUAACCCAGCGGAGGAGUCCCUAGUUCUUCUCUUACCCAAAGGAUUACGACCACCGUCUGUCAUUGCCGCAGUCGCCUGACACCAAAUCAACCAUGUCAUCGUCGAGCUCGAUUAGGUGCGCGCUGAGGGGCCGAUCAGUUGAUGUGCCCCUGAUCCCUUGCCCUGACUGUGGCGAAACGGGUAGAUUCUAUCUCUCUAGUACCGAAGAGCAUGAUGGUUGGGUGUUCUACAAGUGCAAACACCACGAUGUACAAUCCCUUUACACUUUGGGUUGACAUUUACUGCAUGAGUAAUUUUUUCUACUGUUUCGUUAGUGCUGGUUUGAUUUGUGUUCACUUGAUUCAUAGGAUCCAUGUGAUUUCUGGCGCUGGGAACUAGAGUACGUGGAUCAUCUUGUUGGUACAAGUGUCCUUGUUGGUGCUUAUGCCCUUGAUGCAAUGGCUGCGACACAGGAUAGAAGGGAACAGCUACAUCGCGCAAAACAACAGUGGGAAAAGACUGCAUGUACCAAGAGUGGCAACAUUGGAGGCAGGACAAAUUACAGCCAGAGAAAUGUGGCAACCAUUACGAAGCACCAAGCUUAUACGAUGUUAGGACUAGGGAGACAAAUUGUUUUCAUGCCGAAGCUGUUGACGGCUAGUGUAAUGGUGUUGUGUGUGUGGUGUGUGAUGUUGAUUGUGAAGAAAUAAUAUAUUUGUGAUCGUAUCAAGGCGAUUAUCAUGGUUACAUGUAAUAACAGCUUAAUAAGAAGAUGUGUUCUAACAUGAUAACUCUUAUAUGCCCCCCAACCCUAUUUUAACAUGACAGGUAAGAGUAAGAAAUAAAUCUUACACGAUGAUUCCAUGAAAUAGUUGUUUUGAUUAUUUCUUACCUUCUUGACUAUUAUGAGAAAAUAAGAGGUAAGACGGAGCAUGUUAAAAUUGCUAAAAAAUAAUGAAUAAACCGAGUUGCAAUGAAGGCAAACGAAUGGAAAAACGUAAACGACCAUUUAAAUUCUUGCCCACUAUGUUGUGCACGAACACAAGAGUACCAUGAAAUAAAAAUAAAGUAUGUCAUUACACCAAUGACUUAAAAAUCCCUUAAUUUAUUUUCGCACACUAUGUUUUGCCAAAACUACUCUAGAGGCACAUCAGGAACAUGGGAAACAAAUAGAUAAAUCCCAUGAUCUCCCUAGUACAACAACAUUAGCACCUUCUGUCCUAACAGCAAGAGGUUUUCCUUCUUCAUGAACUCGUUCCAUUUGUUGACGCAUACAUGACCAUCAAUAUCAGAAAUGGUGUAUGUACUUGACACAACACUGUGUGGAUGAUAAACAAUGGUUAUGGCACCAUAUUCCUCCAUUUCUUCAGGGACAACACGAUUAGGCAGUUUCUGUUUGAAAACAAUAUUUGUUACAUCAGCACGUGGCAACUUAAUGUUAUGUAGUAAAGGAAGAACAAUUAAUUUGGAACAAAGCUAAAAACAUAUUGAAAUGACACAAAGUGAAUGAAGUACCAAAAGAUGGUUACCGAGAAGUUCUUGUUGCAAUUUGACCAUGUCAACGUAUGGAGGAAUGCAUAUGCUCUCCCUGAUCAUAGUUUCCAGCAUCAUGACACUCCACUAACUUUUAAGGUCCAUCACUUGGCGUAUGACAUACUCCAUUAUUCUCCAGUUUAAGCUUGUCCCCUCAGUUACAACGACAUUGUCAAUAAUAUCUCUUUUCUCAUUGGACAAUUGGUAGUAUGCUACAAUAUUAUAGCACAGACAAUUUAAUUUAUUAUAUAUGGUAUAUGAUAAAGUUAGAGUAAUAAAACUUGCAGGAGCAAAAAAGUAUCUUACUCAGAUGUAUGAUAGGCAAAUUCCUAGUUGUCAAUACGCUACUUGGUACUUCUGAAUUGUCAGUACUGAACAUAAUCUCCUGACCCACAUGUAGCGUGUAAACUCUAACAAAUUCCUUCCAAGACUUCCCUGAAAUGUAUGUCAACUCAUUGUCAUUGGUAAUCACACAUGGGAAUUCAAACCCCUCAUUGGUACUGAAACUUGCUUCAAAGUUCCCAUAUUUUCCCAAGGACACGCCAAAUUUCUGUGUGAAACUGUAUCUGUCGUAGCAGGGAUUACCUGAGUAGCAUAUCUACGAUUGUUAAUAUAUAUGAACUGCCUGUUAAUCUAAAGAAUUUGUCUAAUCAUAGAUGACUAGCAUAGUAUAGUUCACUACUUCUUAGCAGUAUUAUCAUAUAACCCCAUAGAAGAUUUAAAUUAACAUGCACGUACACAAAACCAUUUUAUCAUCUAAGAAAUCAAGAUGCAAUAUAACUCUUUUUGCAGUAAACAUUACGAACAACUGAGAGAGUACAAAGGGUCCGAGUACAAUAUUCGUUCAAUAUUACUGCCUCCGUCCAAAAAUUUGUGGACAAAAUUUUGUACAUACGGAUGUAUCUAUGUAGAAAACAUGACGAGAUACAUGUGUAUCUACAUGGAUCUAACACAUUAAUUUUGGAUCGGAUGGAGUACUAAAUUUCUCAUGAUAUUUGCUACGGGUCAUGUCAGACUGGAUCUUACUGUCUUGUUUGCAAAUCCCUCGCGCACGGUGACGGUACAAAACUCCCUCAUACAAUGCUCACCGGGGCACAAACCCUUGGUGUCCAAACAAAUGCCACACUCCAAAUCGAGAUCAAUCUCAUUACUAGUAUGUACAGUCUUAAAGAUUAGUGCUAGCAGUUGAAUUUAGAUCUGACAGAUUCUAUAGUGCAAAUACGUACCGCGCUGAUCUCCUUAACCAUUUUCACAAAGGUUCUCAACGGCGGCAGCGCGUGUACCGCAUCGACUCCAUGGAUGGAAUCCAGUUUGAACCAAUGUUCGCACUUGGUAUGGUGUCAAUUAGGUCCACCCUUAGGCAAAGAAGCUUGAAGGCAUCAUGUGCUACCACUUUCGAUGGUUGUCUAGGGGGGUAGACCGUCUGGGAGGAAAUGAAAAAAUCAUGAAAAUCAUGUGUAACCUUGAACACACUGUGCAUGCAUGCUUGAUUUGGUUCAUGGGAUGGCAUCAAAAUAACUCAGAAUCCUAUGUACAUGGUGUAUUGAAGGAGAUGGCCCGAGACGGGCCCUUCCGGGCUAUCCUUGUACCCUCCGAAAGCACGUGUUGGUUUAUUGACCUAUAUUAAAUGACCGUCAAGUUUGUAGGGUUACAAUCCAUGGCCAUGUUAGGGAUACAUAUGCCAAGUUUGAAGCAUUUUCAUCUAAGUUUGCAAGUUUUUUCUUGUGUAAAUCUUAGUCUAAACUGAGAAGCAUCACUACAAGAAAUAUGCUAUCUUGUAACCUCCACUAUUGGUCACUGAAAGGUCAUAGUUUUUCAUUUGUGACCUUUUUGCGACAAAAAAUAGAAGGUCAAAAGCUGAGGGUCGUAAACUGACUAUAGUGACCUUCUCACAACGACCUUCUCUAUGAGAAGGUCGUGGACGUUUAUGACCAAAAUAUUCCUACUGUGGCGUUUUGGUCACUAGCAGCCUCCCCAGUCCACGUAGGCAUCCAGCGUGGCAAGCUGAUGUGGCACCAGAUUCAGCCCGGUCCAAUUCGGUUUUCUACAUGGACCUAGCCCAUUAAUUCAGCCCAUUUAGUAUAUUUAUUUUUGUUAAUUUUGUUCAGCUACAUGGGCCAAGCCCAACUAGUCAGCCCAUAAAUUUUUAUGCACGUUUGGCCUUUCAAGAAUAUAUAUACAAUUUUGUGCAGCCCAUUUCUGGUUUACAUUCAGCCUUUUUAUACAUUCAAAUAAUAAUUCAAUCCUGAUGUUGGUCCAAUACUCUUUUCAGCCCAUUCACAUAUUCGUACAAAUGAUCCUCCUUUUCGACAAAAUUUGCAAAUAAUUUCAUAUUUCAGCACUAAAUAUGUUUACAUCACAGGCCAUAAAGCCGUACAAACUAGUAUCACUUGUUCCUAUACAAAACUAUCAAAUGAUACAUACAACAAAACAGAAUACAGAAAAUUUAGUUCAACAAAAAUAAGUUUUCUUCCUCUUCCAUCUUCCAGGACACAAAACACCUGUGAAAGUAAAGAUGCCACAACAAAAAUGGAAGGAUCAGCCAUUAGAAGCAUAUUGAGUACAAGGGAAACACGCACUGUGAAAUUUUUGACAGCACGAAUAUUUUUUAUAUUAUAAUAACAAACAGAAAUGUAAUCUGAUUGCAUAAGACAUAUGGCAUUAUCAACAAGACAAAGCAAAAUUUAUAGUGCCAACUCGGGAAUAAGAUAAAGCAAAAUUUAUAAAUCUAUAGCAUCGCACACGAGGUCUAAAUUUAUAAUAUGUUCCUUUAGAAGCAAGAGUUGGUUCGUGUCUAGCUUUUAUUGCAGAUAACUAGUAAAUUUCCACAAAAAAUAGGAGCGACAUAUGUUUUAAUCUCGUGUUUGCAGUAUAUAUUCACAACAUGUAAGAAUACUUUGAUUAACAAACUAACCAACCAUCAACUAACACUUCACAGUACCAACUAACACUUCAUAGUACCAACUAACACUUCACAGUACCAAAAAAAUGGGGUGGCGCUCACCAAUUCAGAUGUGCAGCAGCCAUGAGGGCUUCUUCGUGUUCCACCUACAGCAACGGCAACUUCUACAAAUCUGAGACACAAAACAAACGCAUGCAGAAGGAAUCAGAGGGAGGGGAGAUGAAGAACAUGGCAGGCAUUUAUAUGAUGGCAGUACAUAUGGAACAAACAGCAGUCCAUACUUGCAUCAUCAUGUGUAUAACAAAAUCACGGUCGCCUCUACAGAUAGCACUACUAGAGUAGAGAGCCAAGCAUAAUAAUUCUACCAGGAGACAAUGUAAACACAGAGUCACACCAUUGACAGAUUAAGCCUUACAACAUGUUUGGUGGCUCAGUGGGUGAUGUAUGCAUGCACAAAAAGGGGGGCAAUUUUUCAAUCAAACUGAAGAAAAACACACAUCAUUUAGUAACCAGUACAAAUCCCGGUAGCUGUAGGUGCAUGCAUUGUGUAACAAUGAGUAAUCAAUAGCAUUUCAGAGUUGUGCAGUUACUAGUGUGUCGUCCUCUGUUUACCACACCACACAUGGGCAUGAGAAAAUUGCUAAAAACCACUGAUCGUGUGCUAAUCUACUUGGAAAAUUAUAUGUUUGAAAAAGAGCAGCUUGCAUCCUUUUUAUUAACCUACAAAGCAUAUGCGGUCACAGAAAGCAGUACUAAAAUAGAAAACACAAAGCAGUAGAAUAAACUAUGCACAUGUACUCGGCAGCCCACUCACAUUACCAGCUCCCUUAUAGAAAUAGCAAUCAUUUUAAAAGCAUCAUGACAGAUGUUAGCAACUGAACAUCUAAGGCUAAUCCAGCAGCAAAUGAACAUAGUGAAGAAUUUAUUUGCAAAGAACACAAAAGGCGGAAGAAAAAUUACAUGUUGAAGCAGCCGUGUUACUUGACGUCCUGCAACAGAUAACACUUGACGAUUAGAACCACUAUAAUUCAAACAGAGAAACAAAAAUGCCAAACUUAAGCAUAACGAAUGCACUGACCCUAUUGCGGCCACAUUUUAACCACUAGUGUUGUGAUAUAGACAAGAUAGUCAGCCGCUUACAUGGUAAAAGGAACAUGGCAGCACUAAGUUACACAGGAAUGUCCAGUAGGAGAUAUGAUCUGAUAGAUCCACAGAAACAACUCAGACCAGAACAGCACUAAGUGUUCACUCACAAAUUGGUACUAGCAUAGAGAUUUUCGUAUGCCUAGAACCUGUGGCAAUACAUGUUGACGUAUAUGCAAGGGUAUAUAUAUACUCGUAUUUGAUAGGACUAACAACACAUGAAUCAAAGAUAAUCACAAUCAGCCGCGUAAUCUACCACAAACCCAUGGUAACAGACACCAUUACACAGCUACACCAACAGCCUACCGAAGCAAAACUCCAAAUCGGAUGAAAAAUUAACUAGGAUGGGAUCUGACACUGGCAUCAACUAACUAGGGAACAGCCUAAACAAACACCGUUGAGAAUGGUGCCGAAAUGGAUCAGAUGACGAAAUUGGCUUACCCGGCCUCCGGGUACUGCUGCUUGAACUCGAGGUGGUGGGAGGCGACGGGGCUGGCGUGGCGGUCGUAGAUGAUGAACCUGGUGCUGGUGGUGCCCUGGUCGAUCGACGCCACGUACACCUCCUCUGCCUUCCCCUUCCCCGCCAUACUCCUUCCCCUUCCCCUUCCUCCACACGCCCCAGAGCAUGCUCGCCGGAAAAACAAGUGCCGAACCCUCUGCCGGCGGGCAAACAGAGGGGGGCGGCCGGAGCAGCGGACUGAGCCGGUGGAACAAGCGAGGAGGCGGUCGGCGUUGAAGUGGGAGGCAGUGGGACGCAGAUCCUGGUCGUCCUCCUCCUCAUUGUCGAUGUCGUCCAUGGAGGUCACCUGCCAGUUCAAAUCCAACCCAAUAAAGGGGAUCAGACAAGGAAGUAGAGAGAGGAUCUGGGCUGGGGAAGGGGAAGUAGAGACAAGGAAGUCAGCGUCGCGCUCGGCGUACUUGUCGGCCUUGAGGUAGCGCGUGAUGCGGCCGACGGGGAACUGGAGCCCGGCCUUGGACGACCGCGACACCGACUUGGUCUCCUUCGCCUUGCCGCGGCCGAGGUAGCGCGCGAUGCGGCCGAGGGGGAACUGGAGCCCGACCUUGGACGACCGCGACACCGACUUGGUCGCCUUCGCCUUGCCGCGGCCGAUGACGCCUCCGGUGGAACUCAUCACCGAUUCGCCUUUGGGGGAGGUCCGGACGCGGUUGGUGACGACGAAGGAGAAGACGAUGAAGACGCGGCAGGAGCAGCGCCUCCAGCGCGAUGACCGGCCGCUCCAGGAACCGCUCGCAGUCGGUGGUGGCGGCCCGGUGGCUCAGCCAGAUGCCGCCGCCGAGGACGACGAGAGGGACGAGGGGGAUCUGGAUCGGGGGAGAGGAGGGAGGGAGAGAACGAAAGAAAGAAAGAAGGCGGGGGGUGGAUGGAAGAUGCCAGCUAGGGUUUCGCCUCAGGCGGGGACGCAAGGAGCGACGGCUACCGUAGGAUCCGGGAGGAUCUGAUGGUGUUUUGUGCAUGAUCCGUGUGCCUUGUCCACGGACCAAUCAGAACGCAAUACAAUAUUAUGUCCAAUUGAAUUGGUCGUGAUAAAUUUAAAAAUAAGAUGUUAGAUCAUCUUAGCUAUUUACUUGACCUGAUAAAUUGGAAAAAUAUGAAACAAAUGAAAAACCUUCUCAUCAUGUCAUCAAAUGUGACCUAGUUUUUAGAAGAAAAAAAUAACAAAAUAGUAAUAAGGAACUUUUCAUUUUCUUUGCACGAAAAUUCAUUUUUCAUUGUUCGAGUGCUCAAAAUGAGUUUUUUGUGAAGAACAUACCAAAUAUUUGUUGCAAAAUUGUAUCAAAUCAUUUUUCUAAAAUACUAUACCAUAUUUAAUGUACAAAUAACCAAAUGGUUGGCUGUCAAAACUUUUAAUCCACCUCUCGUGAAAAAGACAAAUUUCCGCCGAUUUAGUUGAAAGCUGGUCAAAUUUGAACUACAGCUGCUUCAUAGUUUGCUAUUUAUUUUUUCCAAAAAUAAUUUCUAGGUACAUAAGUACCUAUUUAAUCAGAGAAACACCAAUUUUUUUUCAAGAUUCAACCACUAGCUAGGAACGGUCAAGCCCGCCGUUUUGACCGCAUUUUGAAACGGGCAUAAAAAAUUCAAAAAAAAUCAAAAAAUUGGAAAACCUUCGCAUUGUGUCAUUAUAUGUGACCAAGUUUCCACAAAAAAUAAUAAACUUGUAAUAUGGAAAUUAUUUUAGAAAAGUGUUCUCAGAAAUGAGCUAUCAUGUGUGAAGAUUCAUGGAUUUCAACCCAAACGCUCAAUCUCAUGGCCACAUUCAUGGCAUAGUUUGUUCAAAUGAUCUCAUAUUGUGCACAAGGGUGCAUCUUGGAAUUCCAAGCAAUGUUGCCAAAGGGAGUUUUCAUUUUCUUUGCACGGAAAAUUCAUUUUCCAUUUUCCGAGUGCCCGAAAUGAGGUUUUUUGUGAAGGACCUACCAUAUAUUUGUUGCAAAAUUGUACCAAAUCAUUUUUAUAAAAUACUAGACCAUAUUUAAUGCACAAUUGACAAAAUAGUUGGGUGUCAAAAGUUUUGAUCCACCUCGGGUGAAAAAGACAAAUUCCCGUCGAUUCAGGUGGAAGCGGGUCAAAUUUGAACUGCAGCUGCCUCAUAGUUUGCUCUUUGUUUUUUCCAAAAAUCAUUUCUAGGUACAUAAGUACCUAUUUAAUCAGAGAAACACCAAAAAAUUUCCAAGAUUCAACCACUAGCUAGGAACGGUCAAGCCCGCCGUUUUGACCGCAUUUUGAAACGGGCAUAAAAAAUUCAAAAAAAACAAAAAAUUGGAAAACCUUCGCAUUGUGUCAUUAUAUGUGACCAAGUUUCCAGGAAAAAUAAUAAACUUGUAAUACGGUAACUAUUUAAAAAAAGUGUUCUCAGAAAUGAGCUAUCAUGCAUGAAGAUUCAUGGCUUUCAAGCCAAAUGAUCAAUCUUAUGGCCACAUUCAUGGCAUAGUUUGUUCAAAUGAUCUCAUAUUGUGCACAAGGGUGCAUCUUAGAAUUCCAAACAAUGUUGCCUAAGGAAGUUUUCAUUUUCUUUGCACGGAAAAUUCAUUUUUCAUUUUCCGAGUGCCCAAAAGGAGGUUUUUUGUGAAGGAACUACCAAAUAAUUGUUGCACAAUUGGACCAAAUCAUUUUUAUAAAAUACUAGGCCAUAUAUAAUGCACAAUUGACAAAAUGGUUGGGUGAAAAAAGUUUUGAUCUACCUCUGGUGAAAAAGACAAAUUGUUGUCGAUUUAGUUGGAAACGGGUCAAAUUUGAACUGUAGCUGCCUCAUAGUUUGCUCUUUAUUUUUUUCCAAAAAUCAUUUAUAGGUACAUAAGUAUCUAUUUAAUCAUAGAAACACCAAAAAAAUUCCAAGAUUCAACCACUAGCUAGGAACGGUCAAGCCCGCCGUUUUGACCGCAUUUUGAAACAGGCAUAAAAAAUUCAAAGAAAAUCAAAAAUUGGAAAACCUUCGCAUUGUGUCAUUAUAUGUGACCAAGUUUCCAGGAAAAAUAAUAAACUUGUAAUACGGUAAUUAUUUUAAAAAAGUGUUCUCAGAAAUGAGCUAUCAUGCGUGAAGAUUCAUGGCUUUCAAGCCAAAUGAUCAAUCUUAUGGCCACAUUCAUGGCAUAGUUUGUUCAAAUGAUCUCAUAUUGUGCACGAGGGUGCAUCUUGGAAUUCCAAACAAUGUUGCCUAAGGAAGUUUUCAUUUUCUUUGCACGGAAAAUUAAUUUCUCAUUUUCCGAGUGCCCAAAAGGAGGUUUUUUUAUGAAGGAACUACCAAAUAAUUGUUUCCAAAUUGGACCUAAUCAAUUUUAUAAAAUACUAGGCCAUAUAUAAUGCACAAUUGACAAAAUGGUUGGGUGUCAGAAGUUUUGAUCCACCUCUGGUGAAAAAGACAAAUUCCCGCUGAUUCAGCUGGAAGCGGGUCAAAUUUGAACUGCAGGUGCCUCAUAGUUUGCUAUUUAUUUUUUCCAAAAAUCAUUUCUAGGUAAAUAAGUAUCUAUUUAAUCAGAAAUACAUGGUUUGAUGGCGAUACAUCGAGGUUUGGAGGUGGCCGAGGGCCCCAACUCUAGAGCGCAUAAGCUCGGAUGCCCGCCGCGUGGUCACCGCGUGACCGUGGUGUUACCAUGCGUUCUGGGAGGCCUAGGCAUGUCUAGUGGGUUGUUCACUCCCCAGGUAGAUGCUAGGAAGAAAAUUAUAACAUAAGAUUCUCAUGAGGAGACCAAUCGAUGCUCAAACAUGAAUAAGCAGCCAAGUGUUUGAUUUGCGGUACGGGAAAUGCACAUUGCUAAUGGGCAUGAGUUUUUGCUGAGGAUGAUCAGUUAGUAAGAAGACCGUCUUCACAAAUUUUUAGGGAAAUCAAGAAUAUGUAAAUAACACUUCCUUCACAAAGUGCUGCUCUGAACAGAAUAGGAAAAUGAAUAUUGUUGAGUUAUUUUUGAACUAGGCAGGGAAGGUUUUUGACAUAUUUGAUGAAGAUAUGAUACAAACAAUUUAUGAGAUUUUUUUGGGAAUUUUUGGAAUGACAGAAAUAUAGGUUGCUUCACAACCUAGGGCAAAAACUGCCACAUGGACAUGACACAUAGGCAAAACUGAUGAGGUGGCGCCUAGUCAUCACAACCAACCACAAUCUACAAGGCUAUGACCAUCUAUUUUGGUCGUUAACAACUAGAAAUAAGGCAGUGGACCAGCCCUGUUUGCUUUGUGACCAUUUGGUGUAAGGAAAUUACGACCUUUCUGACCAAAAUGGUCGCAAUGGUUUAGGGUUUGGAGCCCCCCGAACAGCUUUUGACCAAUUGGUCUCAAAUGGUCAUAGAUCUAUGACCAAUUCUUCCAGGGUCACUGAUAGAAGGUUACUAGUUGACAUAUUUCUUGUAGUGCAUUUCGCAUGGUAGCUUGUUUUGGUCAUGGGAUUCCAUGGGAAACAGUAGGCAUAAUUUUGUAUUGUAGAUGAUCUACUAAACAUGGGGGUGCCCCCAAACACGUCCUUGCGGCCUUGACUUGCACCCUCCGAAAUCACAUGUUGGUUUGUUGACCUACCUGAAAUCAACCCAACUUUGCAGGGUUGCAAGCCAUGGUAAUUAUUGGGGUACGUACAAAUUUCAACUAUUUUCAGCAAAGUUGCAAGUUUUGUCACGUACGGACAAUUUUCGGGCAUUUUCAGAACAAACAACAUAUUUUAUACCACUUAAAAAAUGCAUUCCUUUCUCGACGACACAUUUGCUUUUUCUUCGGAACUUUACAUUUGUUUUGGCCAAUUACACAUGCUAAUGUUUCAACCUCCCAUAACUCACGCCACCCAGAUCUCCCGAAAUCCCACGAUUACAGCUCCUCCCUCGUAACCACCCGCGGCAUCCAGGUCCCGUACCACCUCCCACGACUGCUGCAAGAUCAGAUUGUAGCCGCCGCCCACCAGGAACUCGCCUGAGGGGUUGGACGACAGUGGUGUUGUCGCCGUCUCCUACGCGCGUCAACGCGCUGCUCCUGUUGCUGCCGUCGAGCACCACACAUCAACAUCUAGUGUGGGACGCACUAUCCGUGUGGAGCAUUGGGCCGCCACCGUCGACGACAGAAGGUUACGUGAUCAUAGCUCUUUUUGUAAUCUUUCUCGAACACGCACGUCUACUAGUAAAGCCCUAAUAGGUUUCCCACAAGUUAUUCCAGUCGUCAAGAUUACCUAAUCACAGCUCUCAUUAAUAACUAUCAACACGAUCAAUCUUGGCACACUACACAAAUGUCCGAAGAGGUAAUACCACAACAAGGGUAUCUCUUUCAUGAAAUAACAUGUCGUAUGUUUAUGCAAUCCCAAAACCCUAGUUGAACUAUCCCAAUGUUAUGCAUGACCAAAAUCUGUAGUGUGCUUAAAGUUACAUGUAGUUCAUAUUAUUUAAUAAACUCAUCCGUGCCUGCGUAUAAGAUUCUAUUUUUGUUACACAUUUCUCAAUGUGAAGGUCAAAUAAAUUGAACCGGUUUUGCUUCUGUUCCAUAGGUGCAGUAAAAUGGAAACUACUGUUAAAAGUGCUACUAAUGGAGAAAAAUACGUCUCCGAAAUGACCGAUGAGGUACAUUGUUGACAUUUCGUUUGAAAACUGUACUUGCAUACACUUCUUUCAUACUCGAUAAAAUCUAUUGCCACUUUUGCAGGUAAUCUUGAGGAAGCACGGCCAUACAAAGUUAGUGUGCUCACCGUCAAGGCUCGCCAAAGUCAUGAAAUUGUUGUCACUAGAACACAUAGAGAAAAUCAUAAGCGAUACCGGUCUUGGGUGUCUAAACAUGAUUCGUGAGUUUAAAAUCCGGCGCAUUAUGUUGGUAAGACUAACAAAGAGCUUCAAUAGUGAGACAUCGUUCAUUACCAUAUGUAAAACACCCAGUCCUAUCACCGCAAAAGACGUGCACCAUAUAUUUGGCCUUGCGAUAGAAGGGGAGGAUAUUGAUGAAAAGCUGCAAAGCACGCCGGAUCCAAAUUUGUUUUAACACAUUUCAAAACAAUGGGAGCAUUGAUCUGGCUGACCUUGAGACAGCGAUCUUAAGUUCCAAAACUCCGGACAAUGACUUCCUGGCGCGGUUCGUUCAAUUUGCUAUUGGCACAGUUUUAGCACCAACGGCACAAUGUUAUGUCGACGCAAAAUACCUUAAACUUGUUGCGGAUAUUAAAAGCCUUCGAAAAUUGAACUGGGGAUGUUUCACAAUGAAACACUUGUUCAGGUACAUACACAAAUUUAGCUCUCUAGAUCAAGUGUCUCUACAGGGAAAUCUACCUCUACUUCAGGUUAGUGCAACAUCACUAGUUAACAUUGUACAAUUCUUUUUCUUUUCUAUAUCUCUCUCUAUAUUGACGAAGUAAUUUAUUGUGAAGAUUUGGUACUGGGAGCACCUGCGUUCCGGCAAAUUGAUGUAUACUCCUAUACCCCCACCAUUGGUCGCACGAUGGGACGAAUGCACGUGUGUAAUAAGAGCAGAAGCUUACACCUCAGGAGGUCUUCAUAAAGGACUGGUGUGUUUCUAGAUUUGACCCAUGUAUAUAUCCGGUUAUUUAUUUGCUACUACUGAUUCAUUGUACCUGAUUCAAAGGUUGUGAUGGAAAUUUGUGCUCGACAACCAGAGGCCAACAAUAGAAAGGAUCCAGGAAGAAAAAAAAUUGUACGUGAGGAUGAAGGUGAUUCAUCUCGAGCACAAUCACAAGGUCAAAAUAUGAGUAGCCACCAAGUAAGCCCAACAAAGACAAUUUUCAUUUUCCAAGAUCAGUAAAAGGUUGCAUCGAAACUCAUUCAUUUUGCUUUGUUCUGAAUAGGGUGUUAUUUCGUUUGCACAGGUGCAAAUGAUAGUUGCAGCCCUGAAUGCAUGUUGUGUUGAGCAAGAAAAGAAGAUAGACAGAUAGUUAAUGGAAAUUCAGCGUAGAUUUGAUGCGAAAUUCCUCACCCUGAGCGAAGAGUUAAUCUACAUUAAGAGUAAAUCUGGCAGUAAUCCUAGGCUCUUGCUGCUCGAGGACAAAAUUAAGAACUUAAGGAGGGACCCGAAGGUAUGUCAUGUUGUGCAUUUUUUAUUGUUAUGAAUAUGUUCCUCCAUAUUCAUUAUUGUUAUAGUUGUUGUAGGAAUUAAAAAACCAAACUAAAGUCAGCCGACAAUCCGAGUCACAGAAAGCAGGUGUCGAGGUAAUAAUUAUGGCCCACCACAUAAGUAGUAUUACCAAACUAAUUAUAAUUGACCAUUUUUGUUGUUGUAGGAACAAGUCAAUGUGUGCAGUGAUCCCUUCAUGGCGACUCCUAAGUUCGACGCAUCCACACCACGUACUUCGACUCCAACACCAAGUGCUAGACACGUCCUGCCAAACAAGGACGAUCCUCGAAUCACACCGUUGAAGCCUCUAUUUGAUAAUGAUUACGUGCUCACCGCUGAGGACAAAGAGGCAGCCAUUUUCAUCCGGGGAACACACGGCCCUGUUGAAGUCAUUCAAAUCGGAGACAUUCCCCUAAGAGCGGAAUAGCUGAAGCCAAUUUACGAUAAAAAAUACAUUUGUGGUGAUGUAAGCCCCUUGUACUCCAUUGUACAUCAACUAUUUGAACUGUUGGCACAUCAUUAUAUGAUUACAAAUUUGGCAGGUUACUAUGGCGUAUGCUCACAUCAGCGGAGUUGAGACUGAUACUACCUCAGUCAUAUCCCCCAAUGAAACCAGAAAGCUUUACAAACAAAAGGGGUUAUUCCAGAGGGCCGUGGAAGCUCAUUGCUUCAGCGUAUUGCAAAUAAAUUUGUAGGACGCCGGAAGGUACCUGUUUUCCUCACUUUCAUAUAUCAUAAUAGAUAGUGUAGAUGAAAUAUUUCAGGGGUCCCCCGAACCAUAAUUGUUACCUCAUAUACAUUAUUUCGUGGAAUGAGUCCUCUUUGACUUUAUGGCAGGUCCACAUCCCGUUUAAUGUGAAUGAUAACCAUUGGAUGGCAAUGGUGUUCAAUUUCGACAAAGAAGAGAUUCAAAUCCUAAACUCCUUGAAAAAUCAAUUUGCUGAGUCAAAGGAAACUGCUCUUGUAAGCUUUAUCUUGCUGCCUCUUUACUGUCGCAUGGCACAUGAACUCCAAAUCACCGUAACCCUUCGUAAUACUCGUAUUAUGCUAGGUGGCGGCGAUUCAGGCCUGCAUGGACGGAGCGGUGAAGGAUGGCUUGGUAACACCAGAUAAGCCCAUCAAAUUUACCGACUGGGAAGUAGUACACUAUGACGACAUACCGCAAUAGAAUGACGGGUACGUACGACCUCCUAAAUUAUUCCUCGUUGACACGUCAAGUUUACUAAAACCUAAACUAAACACUACAUGCAUUCAUGUGCGUUUUUUACACUGAAGUACAUGUUGACAUGGAACAGUGAAGUAUUUACCGACAAAGUGGAGCAGGUGAUCCAAACACUAUAUUUUCUUGUAGAAUAUCUUAUGACUGAACGAUGUGCUGACAUAUGUGUCGCUUAUCAAAUGUAGUCAGAGAUAGAUAUAUUUAGCUAGAAAAUAGUUUCAAGCUUGCUGCAUUCAGAUUGCAACAGUCUUCGCAUGGAAACAUACAAGUACCCCAUAACGGUUAGCGAAAAGCACAGAUAUUUUAUUGUAUUCACAUGUGUCAUGACGCUACCGAAUGCACUGAUGUCUGCUGUACAGGCAGAGACGUAUGAAGCCCACAUUGCAUCGGAACCUAUCAAUUCACAAGACGAUGUCCAAGAAAUUAUCGGUACUAUUGAGUGCAAGAUAUCAGACACGUCGAGCUCCCCAAAGGAUCCCGACACCCCGAGCUCCCCAAAAAAGCGAAGAGCACGUGGACGCCCGAGGAAGCUUGUUGAUGAAGUGCAAGCUAAAAAAACAAAAAACUAUGGAAGAGCUCAGAGUGAAAUUUGAUAGCAAGACCAUUGUUAAACAAGUGUCUUCUUCGAUAUCAAGACGAUCAUGCAAGCCAUCACAUGCUAUAUCGAGCCCAUUCAAGUUAACCAAAUGGUAGUUUAGGUACGUACUGGGUAGCACUGUAGUUAGCACUACUUAUGAUACAUUUUUUCAUUUACGAUUUGGUGAUUGAACUUUAUCAAACGUGCAUCAACGAGCGGUGAAAGAUGGCUUGCUAACAACAGCUAAGACCGUAAAAAGUAGGGUAUGAUAACAUACCUCAAUAUAGCAAUCUAUGUUGUCGAAGUACAUACUUUUGGCAAUCACGAACAUUAUAUAAUUUCAGCAAUUAGGGAUACAUGCUCAGUUCUUUUGGUUGAACUGCCAAUAGGUCAGUCUGCCAAUCAUUUGCAUGAUGUACUUUUGGCAAUAUAUUAUACAACCUAAGUGCAUGUCAAAAAUGGCAAUAGGUACUUUUGGCAAUCAUGUGCAUGCUACAUAUCUGGCAAUUACUAAUGCGUGCUCAUUUGUUUUGCUUGAAAUGGCAGUAUGUACUCCUGGCGAACAUUUGUGUGCUCUACUUUUGGCAGCUAUUAAUACAGGAUCAUUUAGAAUGAUUUAACUAUCCAUAGAAAUAACUAGAAUGUCAUUAUUUCUAAACAUACCAAAUUCAGUACAAGAUAUAGCAUUAGCAUCUUUAGUUAGAGUCAUAACAUAUAUGUACCAUAUAUCACCAUAGUGGAGGUAUUAGGCAAGGUUGACCGCAAUGCUUACAAGAUAAACAGUAGUUUAAUGAAGAAACAACACUUAUUAGUACAGGGUAGACGCUUAAUUAGGCGCCUAUCAUGUACAAAUUGGCACUGCUGCUUCCGAAAACCAUGUUUAAUAUAGUUAGCAUGUACCUAAGCACGUAGCAUUGGAAGUUGGCCAUUACCAGAAAUGAGCAAUGUACUACCAAACACUUAAACAUAGCAUGUUAAACACUCGCGACCCAAAAGAUAAACCGGCACAUAAGUUCAAGCAGUACGGUGGGGCAGAAGUAUCACACGACAACCAUAACAUAAAAACAGUCUUAACUAGGGCGGGCCAGUAGUAACAACCAAGUAGCGCAUCAGAUCCUCGACAUCUUGGCCGGACAAGGAGGCCUCGGGGGGUAGAAUGGAAGAUGCCCCUUCGCGUACUUCCCGAGGAAGGCACCAAAAGCGGAAUGCUCAGCCCGGCAGUGGGGCUUGCGGUUCCUCCCAUUACCAUGGCUGAUAUCGGUGCCAUGCAUGAUCAGGUUGUCGUAGUCGCUCUUGAUUCUCGCGCAGCAGAAGGGGCAGGCUAUGUUGCCGUAGAGCCCGUCGGAGCCGCUGCGGUAUGGGAUUUCCCCAUUCCGCAGCCUCCUGAGGACGUAGCGGCUCUUGCUUUCCCUCCUCUCCUUACUAUCAUCCACGUCUUCGUCAUCUUCAUGUGUGUUAGUUGAUUGACAGCUAUGUUAGAUUAGGAAUAUAGAAAUGUAGCAUUUCAUAAGAGUAUCAAGUACAUUCCAAAAGUAGGAACACAAAAAUAUGAUCAAUUAGAUGAUUCACACAACAUGUACCUCAUGUAUUGCUAUAUAUGUUUAUGUAUUAUUUGUUAUCUUUCUUGUUGUUUUUUCUUUGCUUUGCAUGCGUACCUGUUCUCCCCUGUAAAGAAGUACUCCUAUUUGUACAGUCUAAAUUGACAAUUAACUAAAGGGUUCGGGUUUUAGGGUAUGAACAAAUCAUUUUACUGCAUUCAAGCACAUAUUUUAUUUCAUACUGAAAAUAUAUAAUUCCAAAAACAGGAUCAUUUCUUGCCAUUUCUUGCAACAAUAUUUUGUAUGAUCUGGUUUUAUCAUAAAGAGAUACCAGACAAUAUCUAAUUUAAUUAUAUUCAAACUAGAUGAGUACAUACUACAAAGUAAAACUACCGCAUCAACAAAGAAAUGAUUGCCCUCACUUGAUAUUUUGAAGACAACAAAUCAUAUGAAUCAUGUCAUGAAUUAUGUAUAAAAAGAGAAAUUUUUGACUGAGGUACAUCGGUUGGGAACAUAAGAAAUUAUGGCUUUAAUUACUCCUUGUUGCUAAUAAUUACAUAGGGUGCAUACAUAAGAAACUCCACAACGAAUUACUUACUGCAAUCAGAAAAUGUCUUCACAAUAUAGCUGUAAGGCUUCAUGAUUUUCAUCAAAUAAACUAGUUUUUCUGACAACUAAAUAAAUGUACUGUUUACUAGGUCUCAACAGAUUUGGCAAUCAGAUUGAAAAUAAGAUGCAUAGUCCACUUCAUUAUAUGGAAAUCAUGAAGCAGAUCGAAAAGGUUUGCACUGUUAAGGCAUGAAAGAUUCUAUAAGAAAGGAGAAAAUGUGGUAUCAGCUUUGUGCAUAUGGAGCAUUAUGAUUACACUUAGUAAUGAAAAAUUCUAUAUAAUAAGAAUGCAAUGGAAAUCUUGUUGCUAGAAAUGUACUAUUGCAUGGACUUGGCAUGCAUGAUUACUGAUGUGGCAUAGUUUCAUGGAUUGAUUUGUGCAAGAGAAGAACUGAUCCAUGUUUGUUGUUAAUGGCAGGCAAUGGCCGUAAAUUGUUACUACAUGCAUCACUACUGACCAGAUGCAUAACUCGAUGAUGUGGCCCAGUUUCAUGCAUACCAAAACCAGAUAAUGGGUUGCCACUAUUGAAGAAAGGAGCAUAGUUUCAUGAAUAGCAAAACCAGAUAAUGGGUUGCACAAUUGAGGAACAGAGCAUAGUUGUAACAGGGGUUCUCUAAUUUAAAAUCUCAUCAUUGAUAGUAUUGUUGGUUACUAGCGAGGCACACGUGCAUUGGGCGUGAAAGCAACAUUUAAUGUCAACUAUUUUAGAUGCACUUUACAUUGCUAUGUUACUGUAGCAAUGGAUUUUUGUGUGUGUUUUCUUUAAUAAAGAGAUAAUGUUUGUGCAUAAUAUGCAUUCGGAUUCACAAAGGUCAAAGCAUUAGCAAUUCAUUUAGAAGAAAAGAGUUUGCGCUGUUAAAGUAUCCAAGAUUCUAUAACAAUGGAGAAACAUAGUGCUAUGAGGUUGUUUGUGCAUAGGUCGCAUUGUGCUUAAGCUUACAAAUGGAAUAUUCUAGAUGGUACGCAUGCUUGGAAUUUUUCUUUUGUAGUAAAUAAGAUAUCGAAUGGCCAACAAUGCUGGGAUUUACCAUCUGUCCACCGUUGGAUUGGCUUCAUCCAACAGCAAAUAUUCAAAGUUGUUUCCAAAGUACAUGUUUUAAAAGUUACCAUUUAUAGAAGCUCAAGCACCAUCGAUAAAUAUUUACUGUUGCAUGUCAACUUUUCAAGUUCUAGAUAUUAAUCAUUGAUCCUCUUGUUGAAUGUCAUGAAAUAAACAAAUUUGUAGGAAAUUUUCCAUCCACUCAAACAUGUGUGAAAGAAUCCUACGUUUUUAGUAUGCACAAUCAAACACUCAUACAAUCCUGUAGGAUUCAAGAUGACAUGCCACUCUAAUCCCACGUUUUCCCUAUUCCUGUGUUUUGGAAAUCGUACGAAUCAAAGAGGUGAUACCUAACAAAUACACCGUUUUCUACAGCAGAACUGGUUCAUAAUCAGUUUCUAAAUCAUAUUCUUACUCAUCUUCACAAAAUAAUUGCACGCACAGGGGGAUUUUAGGCCUACAUGACUACUGUUCCAUGCCAGGUUUCAGAUUGAAGGGGUUUCCUUCCAAAUGUAUGAAACAACUAGUACUAAUCCUAACCCUAAGGGAGAGAUCAAGAAACAUAACCUAUCUGGACAAAAUCUAAUCCGUGCUGCAUGCAAUUUAGGAGAAAACCCCAUGGGAGAAAACCCCCAAAACAGAGUAGGAGAAUAGAGCAGAACAGAGUAGUACCUCCGAGAGCUCGUCGUCGACCUCCUCGUCAAACUCGACUGCCUCGUCCUGCACUUCCUUAGUGUCGAGCUCGGCCCCCUCGUAGUACUUGUCGAUGAGCUCGUACUGCUCAUGCUUCCGCUUGGCCCUUUGCUCCUCCAAAUCCACUGCCACCUCCUCCUCCACCUGCUCCCCGACCGCAGGCUCGGACGCUGUGACGGCGGCCGGAGCAGUCACAACAGAUGGUGCACCGCCUCCCAUCGCCACGACGGCGCCGUCGGCCACACCAAUCGCGGCGGCAAUGACCACAACAGGCUUCUCCACUGCUUCUACCACUGCAUCCUUCUCCACCGCUGUGUCUUCAUGGCCAGCCUUCAUCUUCCGACGACGAAGGGCAAGGGAGAUGGUUGCUGGCUCAUAGGAGGUAGGGUUCAAAGUGAGAGGAGAGGGUUUUUGCUGAUUUGGGGAAGAAAAGCAGCAGGGGUGGGGGAGUGGGGGAGACGGGGGUGGGGGAGGCGGCCUUUAUUUGGCGUGUGGGUGGACGUUUCGAGUUACCGAGGCUAGACGCGUGGCAUCAUGCGCUCGUGCACGCCCCAACCACUUUAAUUUUUUUGUCAUGAAUUUGUAUAUUUUUUGACCUGUGAUUUAGCGAGGAAUUACACAACCACCUACUUUUGGUGUUACUUUUUCAUAGAACACCUACUUUACAGGUUUGUUGCAAAAAAACACAUAUUGGGGUAAUUUGUUGCAGCAAGGUCUAAUUCGCCAUUUUGGGUGGGUUGACAUGAUUUCUAACAAGUGAGUCCAGUUAGUAAGUGCACCACGGGAAAAAAACAUUCCACAUCAGCACCCAACUAGAGCUGUGCAAAAUUUACAAAUAGGUACUCCAGAAAUAAUUCUCAUUGUUUCUGGGCCCACAGAAAUGAACUAUUGACAUUUUUUUUGUUCCCACAUAACAUGUUAGCACGCAAGAGCAUGCACCAAACUUGUUCUCCUUCGACACACAGACGCUAUAACGACGGACAUGUACCAGUAAUUUUCACACUGCACGUGUCGAUACCAUCUUGACCAACACGCAACAACAUUGGUCUCAUUGGACUCACACAUGCCAAAAGGGGUCCAAAUCAUUCACCAAUUCUUCUAGUCACAUUCCACUCCAAGAUGCGAUAAUGGACCGACAUGUAUCAAUCUUGAUCUAUUUGCACAAAUAAUUGGUAUAAGGGCCAGAUGCACCAAUAGAGGUCACAAUGCACUGACACAUGUCACUUGGGCCAACACGCACCAUGCCCACAUACAAGGGACAAAUAAGCCUAUAGGAUCCACAUGCACCGAUAAACUACGUCUCGACAUGCAACAACUUUUUGUAGUCACAUUGCACGCACAGUGCAUACCAAGACACGCCAAUGGCCCGUCAUCUAGCAAUCUUCAUGUGUUUUCACUAAUCAUGGUCUCUUUGGCCUCACGGAUGCCAUAAGGGCCAAAUGCACCAAUAUUGACACGUUGCACUCAAACGUGCCACUUGGGCCAACAUGGAUCAUGGUUUGUUUACUAGCAAGGAUCACAUAAGCCAUUAUAUAGUGUUGGUACCCUAGCUAAUAACAACAUAUAUCAACAUUGGUCCUAGUUGCAGCUACAUAGGACCACUUAUGCCACACAUGGAGCGCAGCCUCGGUGCAUGGUUUUUUUUCUGUGCGUCUGUGUCUGGAUAAAUGUCUUAAGGAGAGGCAAAUUUGUUCUGCCGAACACACUGUAUCAACCGAACUGGCUAGACCCUUUACUUCACACCUGCAUGGCCCUGGUUCGAAUCCCCGUGAGGCAGUUGGAAAUGCCAAUUUUUUUAUGGGUACUGACACGUGGGGUUCCCUUGUCAUCCACACAAAUGCACCAGCACAUGCACCACAUUUGGCUAAGUGCACCUACUACUCCACAUCAUUUUCAACUUUCUUAUUCCCCUUCUCGACAAGCGUCGCCGCCGCCAUCUCCAGACGACGCCUCUCUUCGCCGUCGGAUCUGCGUGGCCGCUGCCAACUCCGGCAAGUAGGUAAGAUCUCCCCUCAUCCCCCUCGUGAAUCUUCUUCCCUUCCCCAACCGCGUGCGUCUCCCUCCGGACGCGGAUCUGAUCCAGAAAUUUUAAUUGGUACAUGCGGUAGAUGAUUUGUUGAUGGAUAUGAUGGUUCUUUCAUAGAUUGAUGGAUGUCGUAGUGUAGGAUCUGAGUUGUGCCAGGGAAAAGUGAGGCCCCAUGCAAAUCAAAAUGCGGCCCUAUGUGUGAAAAAAUAAAUCAAAAUAAUUCAUCUGUUCUUCACUAUAGUAUGUAGUACUGACAUUGGAUUGGAUUGGAUUGGGAUUUAUUAGGUAGAUGAUACUGGCAUUGCCAUUGUCAUUGGCAUUGCUUUUUAGGUAGAUGAUAGUAAACAGAUUUAAUAGGUAUUGCAUUUUAGGUUAUCACUAUGAUUUAUUAUAUGUAUGAUCUUUGUAUUGUACUAUGGUAGCGUACAAAUCAACUUAGAGUUGAACAUGUUCUGUGUACAAUGGAGGAAGCACCAUGUGGACGGUGCAAGUCACGGUGCCGGACCAGCCUUUGUACUGCCAUGCUAUUCGGCAUCUACUUCCAGCCUACUUUUGUUUUGCAGCAGUAACAAUUUAUAUGAACCUUCUGACGGUUCAUCUUUUUCUAUUUCCACUAAUGCAUUGUGUUUGUUAUUUGUUUUUUUCUUGCACAGAUCAUCCCAUGCAAUGUGAGAUUGACAUUCAAUGAGCUCAUCGGAGAUACCGUGACCUUCGACACUCUUGGGGGGCGUACACUAUGCAGGUUGAUAAGGGGCGAACGAUAACCCAGAUUGGAGGAGAUGAAUGGGAUCGUUUCAUCGCCCGCUUCCGUCUUAGUGGGGGUGAACGGAUCCUCUUCUCCUUAAGAGGAGAAAGGCCCAGGAUUUCUGUUAUCUAUCUGAAUUUGAUUGCCGAUAGUGAGGAUGAAGUUCAUGAGGAGGACGAUGGUGAGGAUUCAGAUGAUGAUGAGAACCCACUUGAUGAAGCCCUCUAUGCCCAAGGAGUGAGGCUGAGCAACGAGGAAACCAACAACCUCUGGGACAUGCUUCCGCUAUGUGAAGACUACGUCGGGAUGCCAUUCGUGACCAGCCUCACAAAGACGAAUGUUAAACAACAUCUCAUGGUAUGUUACUUAGUUUGGUAAUUACAUGAUAUGCAUGCUUAAUUAGUGUAGUAGUUGAUAUGAUAUGCAUGUUGUAGUACUGUGAUGAUAUGCCUAGUGUAGAAUUCAUUUAGUGCAGAAUUUUAUGGUAUGCAUGUGUUGUAGUAAUGCGAUAUAUGCUUAUGUAGUGUAGUAAUAUGUGAUGAUAUGCUUAGUGUAUGUAGUAUAUAAUCUAAUGAUAUGCUUAAUUACUGUAGUAAUUUGAUGAUUAGCGUGUAGUGUAGUGGUGUGAUGUGAUAUAUGUGUCUUGAAGUGUAUGGUUUGUUCAUAAUUGCACGUGACAUGGUCAUAUAUCAUAUCAACUAUUUUCAAAAAUUACCUAAGAGGUUAUCUGAUAGUUGUGGCAUCGAGCCGGAUGAAGAAGGCAUGGUUGCUGGACUACGCCUUACCAAAAUGGGCUCCAUCACCACCUGUGCCUAUGCAGUGGACACGGACGGUCGCACUAUCUUCAACCGGGCGGGGUGGAAGAAGUUCCUUCAUGGAAAGAAUCUUCCGAUAGGUCAGGGCAUCCUACUCACUGUUGCGAAUACCCGUCGCCGUGACUUGAGGAUGAUGAUCACCAUCAACCUCAUUUAGAACUGGCUGGGCCAUGUUUCGAUGUGAAAUGAACUUGGUAUGUUAGCUCUUGUUUUAGAGUACUUGCCGUGUAUUAUCGUACCUAUCUAUCUAUCUAUCUAUAUAUAGGUUCAGUAAAUGGGCCAUGUAUCGAUGUGAAAUGAACUUGUUAUGUUUGGGGCUUGCUUUGCUGUUGCCAUAGCGGUUAUUUGUGACUUCCUUGAACUUGAAUCUGUCUUGAAAUGUUAUUGGAUGCUUGGUGCUGUUGCUUUAUAGUAUAAAGCUGGGGGCGUUGGGGGACCUUUUUAGUAGGUUUGGUUAAUGGAGUUUAGCUCUUAUUGUACUUAUUGUUUUCUUUUCCAUACAAUUCUGAACCCAAACUACACAUGGCACAACCUUCUGUGAUUAGUUCCUUUGAUAACUAGUACUCCCUCUGUAAACUAACAUAAGAGCGUUUAGAUUACUAAAAUAGUGAUCUAAAUGCUCUUAUAUUAGUUUACGGAGGGAGUAUUGAAGAGCAGCCAUAGAGUUCCAUUCACAGUUUACUUGAAUAUUUUUUGAUGAAUAAACAAAAUAGGAAGCUAGCAAACUUAUUUAACGAGAUAAGCAAACUAUGUACUUGAUUACAUAAGCAAACUUGUUCAACCCUGACAAACUGGACAUAAACAAACAGGUUCAACUAUGACACACAUGACAUAUACAAGUUGGUUUAACCCAAGAAAAGCAAACUACAAAUUUCAAACAACAAGAUAAAGGAUAAGCACAAGCGCAAGCAACACGAAGGCAAAUUUUGAUGUCUCCUCAUCCCGCAUAGUGGCAGUUGUAGUAGGGAUCCUCUUCCUGCUCUUUUGAAAUUUCCAGACCUCUUUUGAUGUGUUGAUUAUCUUCCACGACUUGUAGGUGGCGUACGCAUCUAUUGCUGCAUACUCGAUGAAGUAAUCUGGCGGUGGGCUGACCCCCCACAGUUUAUGGUCUGCCUGCUUGUUGAUCUUGUUCUCAUCUUGCUGUAGAAUGGGUGGAUGACGCUGUCUGCAACAUCAACCAAGGAGUCAUAUGGUUUUCCGUUGUAUGGAACUCUCCACUUGCGCUGAAUGUCGAUGUGCUUGUUGGGGUUUAUCUCCAAACCAGACAUCUUCAACUUGUCCAUGUCAUUUUUAAUGCUGAAACCGGCAAAGGUGAACAACUUCUCCUCCUGUAGGAACUCUUUGAGGCGCUUUGGCCUACUAGGGGAGAGACAAGUGAUGAAUACAUGGAGUACUAGUGUUUAUUUUCAAGAUUUAAUCAUCUGUUUUUUACGGUUUACAAGUGAAUAAUACAUGGAGUAGAUGCUUAUACAGUAUAAGUCAUGGAUGAAUAUAGUUCAGAAACUAGUACACAAAGUUCUGAAAUUAAAAUCAAGUACACCAUGUUAUUUUUCUUUUUGGAAUAUAUAGUUGAGUCAAUGAUCUAUUUGCUUUCUUACUGCUAGUUUAGUUUUAUUUUGUUGAAUAAAAUAACAUAUACAUCUGCUUCACCAAGUUCUUAAGUGUUUUUGGUGGUGAAAAUAACACCAGACCAAGUUCAGAAACUACUUCACUACAUCAAGUUCAGAAACUAGAUUAAUGAAUCAAGAUGAGAAACUACACUGGUACAUCAUGCUCACAAAUUAAUCUUGUGCAACAAUUUCAGAUACUAUUCAAGUGCACCAGGUUCAAAAUAUAUUCUAGUGCAUCUACUUUGAGGAACUGCACUAGUGCAUCCAUUUUCACAAACUACACUAGUACAUCUAGUAUGAAACUAGUCUAAUAAAAUUUCGAGGGAGCAGUAUUGAUGAAUGGAAGAGGGUGAAUGAGUAGGAUUUUUCACCAUUUUGUGGCCGCAGCAAUGUGGUACACGAGGCAGAGACCCUCCACGCAGAACUGCAGAACUGCUGCCAUCUGUGGAGGUUCAUCAUCUUUGGUAAACUGCACAUCAACACCGAUGAUGUGGGGAUAUGAGCCGCAUGCGCUCCUCCUGAUCCAAAAGAUCAUCUCGUCGGCCUUGUCUGGUUCGCUGGUGCAGACGACCUCCGUCGUCUCCUUGCCGUGGAGCUCAACCCCUUUGAGGGUUACGGUGUACUCGCGCUUCUAACCGAGAACGUGAACGAUGUCGAGGUUGCCGCUCUGGUCGGACGUCUGGCCACAAUGACGCUUGGCAGACGCUUCCUCCGCCAUUGCCCUCCUCCUACGACUGCGGGCUUCGAAGAGAGAUGUUUGUGGGUUGUUUGUAGAAGAGAUGGAAGCGGCAAUGGAGGUUCUCGGAAUGAGGCAGUGAUGUAGUCGAUUUGGGGCUUUUUCACGCUUGGGAUGGGGACGUGGGGGAGGUGGUUUGUGUGUAGGACGUGGGGGUAGUGGUGGUGGGGCGCAGUUGCAAUCCGACGUGGCAACCGCGCUCUGUGCACUGCUGGGUGCGCGUGCAUCUGAGUUUAGUCCCACCACGGGCCUGCAUCCUGGCCCAUAUCACUGGGUUUGUUGUCGUAUGCGGGCCUUGGUGUGCGAAAUAUCAUGUUAGGUAGGUGGGCUUUUUUUUCUAUAAAAUCUUUUUUUGCCUAUGUGACAUGUUGACUUAUACUAAAAUAACACUUCCUUUUUUUAGGUACACAUGUCUUAUGUGAAAAGUUUAAGUUUGAUAACAAUUAAAAACAUUUAAAACCUUGCCACAUUGGCUUUCUUGGACAUGUGUAAAAAGUUUAAGUUUGAAAACAAUUGAAAAACAUGUAAAACCUUGCAUCAUCGAAUUUUAAUUUUAAAAUAAAUUUGAAAUAUUGCAGUUAAUUUGUAGACCAUCUCUAAAUCAAACCAAAUUUGUUUUACAUUGUCACAUACAUGUGACAAACAUUGUUAUUUACACAUCAUGUGUGCAAAAACUGAGGUGAUUUAGAUGUGGUCGAAAAAAGGUGAUUUUUUCACCACCUCCAUAUCACCUAAAAUUUAUUCUACAUGCUCAAAUAGAUGAGCCAAACAUGUCUAUGAAAGAAAUUUGAAAAAAAUGUAUCCUACAAUGCCCGCUUAAGGUGUAGACCGUUGUUUUGAUCAGUCAGUCUACAAGGCAGAUUAAAUUCAAAACAAAUUAAAAAAUUAUAAAACAUUGAAAACCUAGCUAUGUUUGUGCAACAUAUCAAGUGUGCAAAAUUAGAGAUGAUUUAGAGGAGGUCAAAAAAAAUCACGCUAAAACACGAGGGGCUAUUUGGUCUCACUUAAGCCAGUUUUUGUAUAAAAUGUGAUUUUUUCCACCACCUCCAAAUCACCACAAAUUUGUUCUACAUGCUUAAAUAGAUGUGCCUAGCAUGUCUAUGAGAUAAAUUUGGAAAAAAUGUAUUCUACGAUGCCCGCUUAAGGUGUAGACCAUUGUUUUGAUCAGUCAGUCAACAGGACAGAAUAAAUUCAAAAAAAAUUAAACAAUUAUAAAACCUUGAAAACCUAGCUGUGUUUUUGCAACAUAUCAAGUGUGCAAAAUUAUAGGUGAUUUAGAGAAGAUCAAAAAAUCAUGCUUAAACACGAGGGACCAUUUGGUCUCACUUAAGCCAAUUUUUGUAGAAAAUGUGAUUUUUUUACACCACCUCCAAAUCACCCCAAAUUUGUUCUAGAUGCUCAAAUAGAUGUGCCAAGCAUGUCUAUGAAAGAAAUUUGGAAAAAAUGUAUCCUACAAUGCCUGCUUAAGGUGUAGACCGAUGUUUUGAUCAGUCAGUCUACAUGGUAAAAUAAAUUAAAAACAAUUAUAAAAUUUUAAAACCUNNNNNNNNNNNNNNNNNNNNNNNNNNNNNNNNNNNNNNNNNNNNNNNNNNNNNNNNNNNNNNNNNNNNNNNNNNNNNNNNNNNNNNNNNNNNNNNNNNNNNNNNNNNNNNNNNNNNNNNNNNNNNNNNNNNNNNNNNNNNNNNNNNNNNNNNNNNNNNNNNNNNNNNNNNNNNNNNNNNNNNNNNNNNNNNNNNNNNNNNNNNNNNNNNNNNNNNNNNNNNNNNNNNNNNNNNNNNNNNNNNNNNNNNNNNNNNNNNNNNNNNNNNNNNNNNNNNNNNNNNNNNNNNNNNNNNNNNNNNNNNNNNNNNNNNNNNNNNNNNNNNNNNNNNNNNNNNNNNNNNNNNNNNNNNNNNNNNNNNNNNNNNNNNNNNNNNNNNNNNNNNNNNNNNNNNNNNNNNNNNNNNNNNNNNNNNNNNNNNNNNNNNNNNNNNNNNNNNNNNNNNNNNNNNNNNNNNNNNNNNNNNNNNNNNNNNNNNNNNNNNNNNNNNNNNNNNNNNNNNNNNNNNNNNNNCCAAGCAUGUCUAUGAAAGAAAUUUCAAAAAAAAUGUAUCCUACAAUGCCCGCUUAAGGUGUAGACCGUUGUUUUGAUCAGUCAGUCUACAAGGCAGAAUAAAUUCAAAAAAAUUAAAAAAUUAUAAAACCUUGAAAAUCUAGCUAUGUUUGUGUAACAUAUCAAGUGUGCAAAAUUGUAGGUGAUUUAGAGAAGGUCGAAAAAAUCACGCAUAAACACGAGGGACCAUGUUCUCUCACUUGAGCCAUUUUUUGUAGAAAAUGUGAUUUUUUUUCCACCACCUCCAAAUCACCCCAAAUUUGUUCUAGAUGCUCAAAUAUAUGUGCCAAGCAUGUCUAUGAAAGAAAUUUGAAAAAAACAUGUAUCCUACAAUGCCCGCUUAAGGUGUAGACCGAUGUUUCGAUCAGUUAGUCUAUAGGGCAGAAUAAAUUCAAAAAAUAAAAAAUUAUAAAACCUUGAAAACCUAGCUAUGUUUGUGCAACAUAUCAAGUGUGCAAAAUUAGAGGUGAUUUGGAGGAGGUCGAAACAAAUCACGGUUUAAUUUGUGUGUGUGGGGGGUAGACCUCCCGAGAGCCAUUUACUGGUCAUUUUCAUUCCGUAUAUGUGUAAACAUUCCAAAUUUUACCAAACAUGAAAAGCAAAUUAUGCGUGCAUGCUCUAUGUGGUCAAGGGAUGCGAUGCAGCAAAAUUGGGAUCAUUAGUGCAUGUAUACGCAAGUAGGGUCUCUGAAACGCACUUUUCGGGGAUAGCCUGUCACCACCCCGAGAGCACUAGCUCAGUUUCUCACCUGUAUGAAACCAACCAAAAAAAUCAGGAUGACAAGUCAUGGCCAUGUUAGGGCUACUUGCCAUGUUUCAACCAUCUUCAACAAAUUUUGAAAGUUUCGUCACAUGCGGGAUUUUUUUGGUCAUUAGUACAAUGUGGACCAUUUUCAACAUUUAUUGCAAGUUUUGUCACGUAUGGCAUUUUUCGGGCAUAUGCGACACGAAAAAUCCAUUUUUAAUACUUAAAAACAAGGACAGUAUUUUCUAUAUUUGUUGGGAUAUCAUUGUGAUAUUAUUGAAAUCUCGCAUAACUCACGCGGCCCACCCCUCCCUAAAUCCCGCGAUUACAGCGCCUCAUUCUAACCACCCGGCCGUGCCAUCCGCAGCUCCCACGACUGCUGCAAGAUCAUAUCAGAGACGCCGGGCUCACACGGAUUACAGGAGGCGCCGGCCAACGCCCACCGCCAUGAGGGGUCGGACUUCAGUGUUCUUCUCGCUGCUCCCUCCGUUUAUCCUUGCCACCGUCUACCGCGCUAUAGGGGCACUUCUAGUUUGCGACGCACUGUCCGCGGCCAUCAACUCGGCGCCGCCGUCUCCGAGAGAAGGUAUGUCCUGAUCGUAGCUUUUUUUAAUCGUUGUCGGCCGCUCCUUUAGUAGUUGAACCCUCAUAGGUUUUGCACAACUUCACGUGGUUAAGCAAUUGGAUACCCUUGUUAAACUGCGCUUAUUUUAUGCACGACCAACUAGGUUGUGUGCUUAAAGUCAUAAGUGGAUCAUAUGUUAAAUGACCCACUUAAUUUUUUUAAUAUUAGUUGACUGCUAAUUUUGUUAUACAUCUUUUAAUUAUUGUCUUCAGAUUAAUUGACCCGGUUUUCAUCAUUGCAUACAAGCCAGCAAUGUCAGUUUCAGAUAAAAGUCUUUGAACAGAGAAAAGCCUCGAAGAACUCAAACUAAAUUUUGACAGCAAGACCAUAGGCAAACAAAUGUUUUUGUUAUCAUCACGGUCACGCAGAGCCAUGAGAAGCUAUGUUGAGCCCAUUCAAACACAAAUAGGUAGCAUCAAUUGAUACAUGAUCUUGCUCAUGCUCUACUUUUAGCAUCAUUUGAUACAUGUUCAGUUCUUAUCAUAAAGUGUAUAUAUGUACCUUUGGCAAUCAUGAGCAUCCUCUACUUACUGCUAUAACUAAUGCAUCCUCAGUACAAAAAUUGAAUUGGCAAUACAAUUGUAUUGGCAACGAUUUGCAUGCUUUACUUUUGGCAAGAACUAAUGCAUAGUUGAGUUAUAACUGGUCAUAGAUAUGGCUGGAACAUCUAGAGUUAUCAUCACGGUCACGCGGAGACCCUAAACCAUCACUAGAUAUGCUGAGCCCAUUCAAACACAAAUAGAAGCAGCAAUUGAUACAUGUUAAUGCUCAUGCUCUACUUUUGGUAUAAUUUGAUACAUGUUCAGUUCUUACCAGAAAGUGGAAACAUGCACUUUUGGGAAAUAUGAGCGUCCUCUACUUAUUGCAAUAACUAAUGCAUCCUCAGUACAAAGCUUCAAUUGGAAAUAGGUAGAAUUGGCAAUCAUUUGCAUGCUUUACUUUUGACAAAAACUAAUGCAUAGUUCGGUUGUAACUGGUCAUAGAUAUGGCUGGAACAUCCUGAGUUAUAAACUGAACAUAAUCAUGCUAAGCUAUAACUACCAUAUUUAUAGUAGUAGAGUUCCUAGCAUGCAUCACCGUACGAUUCUAGAACGGUUGAAUUAACACAGCUAACAUAACAUAGACCAAUGUACGAUACUUGACUUGCUAUGGCCUUGUACAAUGCAAGGUGAUUAGGCGAGGUGUUUAGAGAGAUAAACCAGGCUUUUCUUAAGCACCGGUGCUUAUUUGUACAGGGUAGACGCAUAACUAGGCGUCUGUCCUGUACAAAUAGGCAAUGGUGCUUCAGAAAAACCUGGUUUCUUUUUCUAAGCACCACCCUUAGCAUCUACCAUUGUAUGAUGCCUAACAUGCAUCAGAAAAAUAGUACUAAUAACAACUUAGACAACUUAAGCAGGUUAGCAGCAAACACUUAGAUAAACGGCAGAUUAACCACCGCACACCAUAAGUUCACACCCACCAUAGACCAUAGGACAUAAGUUCUUACACACCAUAGACAAUAAGUUUUAGAGUCGACCAGCAAAUACCGAUAACAUAAAAGGACACGGCGGUCCUGGGGCAGCAGCAGCAGUCUAGCAGCACAUCACUUGUCUCCCAUGUUUAGCGGCGGCGCGGCGGGAUGUAGUAGGGCUCAUUGACUUUGACAAUCUUUAAAGCGCUCGUAGGCCGCAAGUUUGGCCAGAGUACUGGCCUUUUGCUUCCUACUGUAGGAGUUGCCAGUGGUGACGGCAUGUUGCAUCAAGCCAUCAAUGCCGCCCUUGAUCGCCUUGCCAUAGAAGGGGCAGCCAAGCUUGCCAUAGAAACGGUACUUGAAUUUUUUCAGCAAUCAGCUGCCUCAUGAUGUAGUGGCUCUUGAUGUGCCUGCUGUCCAUGUCAUACCCCACAUCAUCGUCAUCCUCCUGUGAAUUAGUACACAAAGAAGAACUCAGUUAAUCUAUUCUGCUACAUUGCUCUUAAUUAGAAUGUGUGAAAAGUACAUACGUGUAACAUGACAAAUAUCUAUUUGCUGGAAAUAAGGCGUAUAUGCACAUACAUAAUUGACCCAAAUAAUUUGACAUGCAUAAGUAUGGACGGUGGAAUAGUUGCAUUGAUAGAUUAGUGCACAAGAAGUACAUAAUUAACACAUGAAAGAGUUCAUGAUGUGGCUUGGUUUAAUGAUACUUGAUACUUGUUACAGGUGUAAUUCUGAUUGGAAUCAGAAAAAAAGGCUUCAUUAUACUCCUCCAUGUUACACACAAGGGGGUAUUCUUCUAUCUAUUGGAAUCAAGAAACCAUUAUUCUUUCUGAGAGCAGCAAUACUAAUUCUCCAACAUUGUUAGCCCCUGAUAAGUUUUAGAAGGAAAUUGAUAAAGGAGCUAUGGGCUACUAUCUUUAUCCCUUAACUUAUGACUCUGAUGAUACCGGUGUGGAAAAUACUUUGGAGGAACUUAACUUGGAAAAGGAAAUUUUGUCAUGCAAAACAAAGUGUUUUUUUGUCUAUUUAUUGGAAUCAGAAAUUGAAUUCUAGUUUUACAAAUAUAUGCUAAAAAAUAUUCAUUCCAGUGGUCUAAAAAAAGAUUCAUAAAUUGAAUUCUAGUUUAACAAAUACAAGUUGAGUAUUUAGGGCAUGUUGUCUAAAAAACAUUCAUUCCAGUGGUCAGAUGCUGAAAUUGAGGCCUUCACAACAUUGAAGAAUUGUCUGGUCACUGCUCUUGUUAUGGCUUUGCCUUAUUUGACCCUACCAUUUACUUUUUAAAUAGAUGCAUCAGGUGAAGGUAUUGGUUCUGUCCUCAUGCAACAAGGCAGACCAAUUGCUAGAAAAGGAAAUGUUGUCAUGCAAAAUAGGGGUUCUCAAAGAAAUAAUCAAGUGGUCAGAACAGGAUUCUUACCAAUUAAAUCUGAAUGUAGAUGCAUCAUAUGAUAGUUAAGAAGGAGAUGAGUCGACGGGUGGUGUUUUAAGGGAUCAGUAUGGCAACUUUGUGUCAAUCCAGUAAAUUACCAUUAUAUUCCAAAUGCAUCAUCUGCCUGCUUGAUGGAUUCGGUGGCAAUGAAAGAAGGCCUAUCUUUGGUAGCACCUGUAGGCUAUCAUCAAAUUAUUGUAGAAUGGGAUUGCUUACAAGUUGUUCAAGCUUUUACUCGAGGUAACACAUGGUGGAACGAAGGAUCGCGUAUUAUUGCUGAUAGUUUUGAUCUAGUUCUGGAGAUAGGAACUGCGCAUUUUCUCACUGUCCUCGGGAAGCCAAUGGUGUCGCACAUGAGAUCGCUAGAAAUAGCUAUGAGAAUCAUCUAUCUUGUAUUUGGGUUGAUUACGCCACUUCUUUCAUUCAUGUAUCCCUUGUGAACGAUGUAAGUUUGCUUAAUCAAUAAAGCAUGCCGUGAUGGAAUCAUAUAAUGAAUCUCUGUUUUAGCUAUACUAGUGGGUUUUUUCUUCUGUCUAUUCGAAUCAGAAAAUGAAUCAGAUUCUAAAACCGCCAUCCAACAAGAAAAUAUAUGCUAGAUCCCUAGCUACAAUCCUACAUGUACGCAAACAUUAUGGCUGGGCCAGUACAUGAGUAGAAAUACCUCAUCAAUACGUGAAGAAAAUGAUUCAGAUUCAAAAACCACCAUUCAAUAUGCAAGAAAAUCUAUGCUAGAUCCUUUCAACUAGCACACCCAUAUGAAAUUGAUGCUAUGAAAAAACAGGGUACUUACAGGGUACUUACAGGAAAUAUAAAUCUAAUAAAAUCAGAUUAGUACCUCAGAUAGCUCGUCGAUGACGUCCUCAUUGUAGUCGCUGCCCUUCCUGGGAUCCACGGCCAUCUCGAACUCUAUUUCCUCCUCGUCGUUCCCCUCGUAGAACUCCUCCUCGAUUUUGUCAUAGAGCUCGCGCUUCAGCCUCGCCUUCUGCUCAUCCAGAUCUUCAUCGACCUUCUCCUGCAUAGGCUCGCCGUCGGGUAGCUCGCCGGCUGGGAUGAUACCGAGAGGAGGCACAACAGUUGCUGCACCGCCUCCGUCGCCGCUACGGCGGACUCAACCGCUGCAACUGCGGCGGCAGCCAUGACAGCAGACUGCUCUCCACCGAUGGUUGCCUCCGGCUCGUCCAUCACAUCUUCACGGUCGUGCUUCAUCGGCGGUUGACGAGAGGACGAGGGACGUGUUGGAAGGGAGGAGAGGUGUGGAGUGGUGAGGAAGGGAAGAGGGUUUGGGAGAGGACGAGGUGGUAUGGCUGGAGUGGGAGAGGACGAGGAUUUUCUACCCGAUUUGUGGAAGAAAAUGAAUGCGGCUGCCUCUUGGAGUUACCGAGGGGUCGAGGGGGGUGAUUUGUCUCACCUACUAGGGCCUUCCACAGUGAGGACACGUGGGGUUUGCCCCGCGCCAUGCACCUCGCGUGCGGUUUGCCCCGCGCCGCCCUUCAAACUGCUGACACGUGGACACCAGCAGUGGUUACACAUGAUAGAUAUGGUAAAUGAAUUUCUUAAAUCUGAGGGCAUGUAAUUUGUAUCAAAAUGCAUCAUCAGCUUAGCGGUAACACCCUCACGAUCACAUACUAAUGCCCUUGGUUCGAAACUCCGUCGUGCAGUUUAGUUCCCUCUUUUUUGCCUAUGUGGUUUUUACAUGUGGAUCCCACAUGUCAUUCACAUACACGGAGAACACGUACAAACAAACUUGCCGGACAUGAUGUAAAUGGGCCCAAAAAAUUUCUACUUUGUAUCAUUCUUGUAUGGAUUUGUAUGGAUUUUCUAGUACGAUUAAGUGCUUAAAAUACUUCUCGGAGGUGAUGCGACAAGCGCACGUUGUCGAUCCACUGGGGUGGCCAUGCCCACAACAAGGAAAAAUUUGGUGUCAUUCUUAACAUGGCCAAAAAUUCACCUCCUUCACCGGCGGUUGUUCGGAUAGGAGGUAAGGGUCUGUGUGGAAGGACAGUUUUUUCUCGACAUGCUUCAAAUGGACCUAUAUUCUUUCUACACCCUUGUACCAACAUGAGAAGCAGCCAUGACUAGUUCCAUUGAUUUUCGAUAUUUUUAUUAUUUUUCUAGGGUUAUCACGAUGAUAAAACCCUAAAAUAUUUCCAACCAGCGCCACCCUUCCCUCUGAUCACUCUGACUAGCAUGUACUUAACUUAGCAUCAAGGCCAUGAAAACAGGAAUCAGAACCGUAUUAGAUUUUGAUCCCACACAUACAAAACAGAUAACACAAAUCACAGAUUGCAGGUACUACGAUUAUCUGAGUGAACUUCUAAUGCAUAACAACUUCUGGUAUUCAAAUACAUCACAUGAAAUACUGAGACAACUAGAAAUGCAAAACAGCUUCUGUGUUGAGAUUGAGCAAGGGAUUUUUAUUGUGAGGCGCAGCAUCUUCAGCAACCUAUCCAUGAUUCCACCUGUAGCAUAUAAGUAACUGAAAAUUUUAGAUUGAAUACAGUUGGUAUUGGAAAAAUGAUAGUACGGUAAUUUGAAGAUGCCAAGGAAAUCUGUCGCAACAACUGUAGGAGUAUACAAAUUUGAAUAUAAAGUUCAUAGAAGUCAAUGUUGAAUUAAUAAGACCUUUGCAAGAUGCAAAAUCACUGCUGUGAUGAGAGUAAACAGCAUGUAGGCCAUAGCACAUGCAAGAAGCACUUACAGGAAGUGAAGCAAAACGUUGUAGAGCACGGCAACAUGAGUAAGCCAACAUCCCUACUAAAAUUAUUUCACUGCUUAUGUCUAGCUUUUUUUCUUGAAUCAUUAGGAAGCCCUAAAUAUUUUGAUGCAAGAUCACCGACAGGGCACUAUUGAAAUAUUUCAAUGUCUACAUCUCUCUACUGAAAGUGCGUUACUGAAAUAUUUCAGUGGCUACGUGUGUGUGUACUGAAACAACACCACUGAAAUAUUUCAGUUGCUACAUGCGUGUACUGCAACAGCACCACUGAAAUAUUUUAGUUGGUACUUGUGUGUACUGAAAGUGAACCGCUGAAAUAUUUCAGUGGAUACGUGCGUGUACUGAAAGUGCACUAGAAAAAUAUUUCAGCGGCUACUUGCUUGUAUUGAAACAACACCCCAGAAAUAUUUCAGUGGCUACGCGCGUGUCCUCAAACUACUAAACUGAAAUAUUUCAGGGGUUGCGUGCGUGUACAGAAACUACAGUAUUGAAUUAUUUCAGGGGUUGCGUGCGUGUACUGAAACUGCAGGACUGAAAUUUUUCAGUGUCUACCCGUGUGUACUGAAAUUGCAUUGCACUACUGAAAUAUUUUAGUGUGUACCCGUGUGUACUGCAAUUGCACUACUCAAAUCUUUCAGUGUGAACCGGUCAGUAGUGAAAUAUUUCAAUGCCUACAACUAUCUACUGAACUUGCAGUAUUGAAAUAUUUCAGUGUCAACCCAAAGUCUAUCACUCUAAAACUGUGUACUGAACUUGUCUGGAGGCACUUCUUGCAGCCUCGAUGGUGCAAGUUCAAUUUACACAGAUUGCAUCACGUAAUUUGAACACAACUCUUGAGGUGACAGAAAAAAAUUCCUAUCAUGGAUACCACUCCAGCACAUCAAAACAUAGCAAUGAUGGAGAAUCGGAGUAUAGAUCUGAAGCCAAAAAAUGACUAAGUGAGGAAGAACAAGUUUCACAGUUUCACAUUAGAAUUUUAGAUCUACCGCACGACAGGAAAAGGAAAAUAUUUAGACCUAAAGGUUGGUGCUUGAGCAGUUCAUGAAGUUCCAGAUCGGGUUUUUAUACACAAAAGAGAUGAUCUGAUGGCAAAAGAAGGAUUAUCAUUACUACCGCAUAAGAGUAUAUCACGUUUGGAGUCUAUCCUAUAGGCCUUAAUGAAGAACAGGGGAAGAACACCAUGAAGCUUCGAGGAGCCCGUGCGAAACCUAAACAGAUCUAUGGAGGAAAGGAAGAAGAACUCACCAAAAAUUGUUGAACAGCGGAGAGGCGCCGCGAUUUUCUGGUAUGGGCAGGGUGAUGCAGUGGCCAAGGUCGGGGCAUGAUACGUCUCCAACGUAUCUAUAAUUUUUUAUCAUUCCAUGCUACUAUAUUAUCAACUUUGGAUGUUCUAUAUCCAUGAUUAUGCUAUUUUAUAUUAUUUUUGGGACUAACCUAUUAACCUAGAGCCCAGUGCCAGUUCCUAUUUUUCCAUGUUUUUAACCUUUUUCAGAUAGGAAUAUCAGACGGAGUCCAAACGGAAUAAAACCUUCACUAUGAUUUUUUAUGGAAAAUAUCAAAAAUACCAGAAAGAAAAGAUACCAGAGGGGAGUCCCGAGGAGAUCACAAGCUAGGUAGGCGUGCCUGGUGGGCUUGUGUGACGCCCCCGAUUCAAUCGUACACUAAUCAUGCACGCAAACGUGUACGAUCAAGAUCAGGGACUCACGGAAAGAUAUCACAACACAACUCUAAAAACAUAAAUAAGUCAUACAAGCAUCAUAAUACAAGCCAGGGGCCUCGAGGGCUCGAAUACAAGUGCUCGAUCAUAGACGAGUCAGCGGAAGCAACAAUAUCUGAGAACAGACAUAAGUUAAACAAGUUGCCAUAAGAUGGCUAGCACAAACUGGGAUACAGAUCGAAAGAGGCGCAGGCCUCCUGCCUGGGAUCCUCCUAACUACUCUUGGUCGUCGUCAACGGGCUGCACGUAGUAGUAGGCACCUCCGGUGUAGUAGUCGUCGUCGACGGUGGCGUCUGGCUCCAGGGCUCCAGCAUCUGGUUGCGACAACCAGGAAGGAAGGAAAGGGGAAAAAAGGGGGGAGAAAGCAACCGUGAGUACUCAUCCAAAGUACUCGCAAGCAAGGAGCUACACUACAUAUGCAUGGGUAUAUGUGUAAAGAGGCCAUAUCAGUGGACUGAACUGCAGAAUGCCAGAAUAAGAUGGGGAUAGCUAAUCCUGUCGAAGACUACGCUUCUGGCAGCCUCCGUCUUGCAGCAUGUAGAAGAGAGUAGAUUGAAGUCCUCCAAGUAGCAUCUCCAAGUAGCAUAUCCAGGUAGCAUCUCCAAGCGCAUCUCCAGUCGCAUCGCAUAGCAUAAUCCUACCCGGCGAUCCUCUCCUCGUCGCCCUGCGGAAAAGCGAUCACCGGUUUGUCUGUGGAACUUGGAAGGGUGUGUUUUAUUAAGUAUCCGGUUCUAGUUGUCAUAAGGUCAAGGUACAACUCCAAGUCGUCCUGUUACCGAAGAUCACGGCUAUUCGAAUAGAUUAACUUCCCUGCAGGGGUGCACCACAUAACCCAACACGCUCGAUCCCAUUUGGCCGGACACACUUUCCUGGGUCAUGCCCGGCCUCGGAAGAUCAACACGUCGCAGCCCCACCUAGGCAAAACAGAGAGGCCAGCACGCCGGUCUAAACCUAAGCGCACAGGGGUCUGGGCCCAUCGCCCAUAGCACACCUGCACGUUGCGAGGGCGGCCGAAAGCAGACCUAGCCUAGUGGCGUUCCAGUCCAAUUCGGCGCGCGCCGCUCCGUCGCUGACGUCUGAAGUGCUUCGGCUAAUACCACGACGUCGGGAUACCCAUAACUACUCCCACGUAGAUGGUUAGUGCGUAUAGGCUUGUAGCCGACUCAGAUCAAAUACCAAGAUCUCGUUAAGCGUGUUAAGUAUCCGCGAACGCCGAAUAGGGCUAGGCCCACCUCUCUCCUAGGUGGUCUCAACCUGCCCUGUCGCUCCGCCACAAAGUAACAGUCGGGGGCCGUCGGGAACCCAGGCCCACCUCUACCGGGAUGGAGCCACCUGUCCUUUCAGCCCCCUUAUCCGAAUCACUUGCGGGUACUCAACGAGCUGACCCGACUUUAGUCACCAUCUAUAUAGUAUGUAUGUAUGUAUAGUAUAUACCCGUGAUCACCUCCCGAGUGAUCACGGCCCAAUAGUAUAGCAAGGCAGACUGACAAGAAUGUAGGGCCAAUGAUGAUAAACUAGCAUCCUAUACUAAGCAUUUAGGAUUGCAGGUAAGGUAUCAACAGAUGUAGCAACAAUGUCAGGCUAUGCAUCAGAAUAGGAUCAAUGGAAAACAGUAACAGGCUACACUACUCUAAUGCAAGCAGUAUAGAAGAGAAUAGGCGAUAUCUGGUGAUCAAGGGGGGGGGCUUGCCUGAUUGCUCUGGCAAGGAGGGGUCGUCAACUCCGUAGUCGAACUGGGCAGGAGCAGCGUCGGUCUCGUAGUCUACCGGAGAGAAGAGGGGGAAGAAACAAUGAAUACAAUGCAAACAUAAACACGAUGAUGCGUGACGCGACAAUGAGCGGUGCUAGGUGUGCCCUAACGUGGUAUGAGGUGGUACCGGUUAAGGGGGGAAACAUCCGGGAAAGUAUUCCCCGUGUUUCGCGUUUUCGGGCACAGGAGCCGGAGGGGGAAAGUUGCGGGUUCGAUAGGUUAGGGGUGUGUGGCGGACGAACGGACUGCGUAUCCGGAUUCGUCUUGUCGUUCUGAGCAACUUUCAUGUUGAAAAUAUUUUAAUCCGAGUUACGGAUUAAAAGAUAUGAUUUUCUAAAGAUUUUAUUAAUUUCUGGAAUUUAAUUAAUUAUUUAAUUAAUUCGAAAAACAGAUUAAUGACAUCAGCAUGAUGUCAUGCUGACAUCAGCAGUCAACAGAGUUGACGUGGUCAACCUGACAUGUGGGUCCAGUGGGACCCACCUGUCAUUCUCUGUUUAGGUUAAUUACAGAUUAGUUAAUUUAAUUACUAUUUAAUUAACAUAACUAGUUAACUAAAUUAAUUAAACCGGAUUAAUUAACUUAAUUAAUUCAUUAGAUAAUUAAUUAAUUAAUAAUUAAUUUUAUUAAAUCAUUUUUAUUUUUAUUAAUUAUAUUUAUUUUAAUUAAUUUUAAUUUUUUUAUUAUUUUUUUUAAUCCCUCUUUUUUUGUUCUGGGGCGUGGGCCCCAUGUCUCUGUGGCCCAGAGGGGCUAGCGGGCAUGGGUGCGGGCGCUNNNNNNNNNNNNNNNNNNNNNNNNNNNNNNNNNNNNNNNNNNNNNNNNNNNNNNNNNNNNNNNNNNNNNNNNNNNNNNNNNNNNNNNNNNNNNNNNNNNNNNNNNNNNNNNNNNNNNNNNNNNNNNNNNNNNNNNNNNNNNNNNNNNNNNNNNNNNNNNNNNNNNNNNNNNNNNNNNNNNNNNNNNNNNNNNNNNNNNNNNNNNNNNNNNNNNNNNNNNNNNNNNNNNNNNNNNNNNNNNNNNNNNNNNNNNNNNNNNNNNNNNNNNNNNNNNNNNNNNNNNNNNNNNNNNNNNNNNNNNNNNNNNNNNNNNNNNNNNNNNNNNNNNNNNNNNNNNNNNNNNNNNNNNNNNNNNNNNNNNNNNNNNNNNNNNNNNNNNNNNNNNNNNNNNNNNNNNNNNNNNNNNNNNNNNNNNNNNNNNNNNNNNNNNNNNNNNNNNNNNNNNNNNNNNNNNNNNNNNNNNNNNNNNNNNNNNNNNNNNNNNNNNNNNNNNNNNNNNNNNNNNNNNNNNNNNNNNNNNNNNNNNNNNNNNNNNNNNNNNNNNNNNNNNNNNNNNNNNNNNNNNNNNNNNNNNNNNNNNNNNNNNNNNNNNNNNNNNNNNNNNNNNNNNNNNNNNNNNNNNNNNNNNNNNNNNNNNNNNNNNNNNNNNNNNNNNNNNNNNNNNNNNNNNNNNNNNNNNNNNNNNNNNNNNNNNNNNNNNNNNNNNNNNNNNNNNNNNNNNNNNNNNNNNNNNNNNNNNNNNNNNNNNNNNNNNNNNNNNNNNNNNNNNNNNNNNNNNNNNNNNNNNNNNNNNNNNNNNNNNNNNNNNNNNNNNNNNNNNNNNNNNNNNNNNNNNNNNNNNNNNNNNNNNNNNNNNNNNNNNNNNNNNNNNNNNNNNNNNNNNNNNNNNNNNNNNNNNNNNNNNNNNNNNNNNNNNNNNNNNNNNNNNNNNNNNNNNNNNNNNNNNNNNNNNNNNNNNNNNNNNNNNNNNNNNNNNNNNNNNNNNNNNNNNNNNNNNNNNNNNNNNNNNNNNNNNNNNNNNNNNNNNNNNNNUUUUAUUUUAGUUUUAUAACUAUAAAAGUAGUCCCUAAUUUAGUGUUAGUAUUUAGCUACUACCACAUAAGUUUGGGCAACAAAAUAAAUUAGUUUAAUAUUUUAUCUAUUGUAAAAGGCAUUCAACUAAUUGUCUUUGCUACUGUUUAAAACAUUUUAGAUUAUUUUACACUUUUAUAAAAGUGUGAUUUCUCCACCAUAUCUCCCCAUGCAUUAUUUGGCUCACUCCGAACAUUAUUUGGCUCACUCGGGAGGUGAUCACAAGUUGGUAUCAGAGCCGACUGCCUGUAGGAAUCCCCCUUUCACACUUCUUGGCCGAAGUCGAGUCUAGACAUUGCAAAACUUUUACUAACUUGGCUGUGUGCCUUACGGGCCCACGUCGCCAUUGGGUGGUACUAGGAUCUUUUACUCCUCGACCUUUACUCUGGGACUCUGAUCUCUCUUCUAUUCGGGUUAAAGGAAUUUUGCUAAAUCUAACAUUAGGAUCUCGUUAUCACUUUCACCCGAAGAGCCCCUUAUUACUGAUGAUCGUCUGCUGCACGUGAAGACCCUGAAGAUACUUUCCGCUGUUAACCCGAGAACUUGUGUUCAUCGCGUUUGCAAUUCCCCUUCCACCGUCAACCCUUAUAGAUAACUACUUGCAGUUGAUAUUCUUACAUUAAUCCCCGGUUGCUCUUGUUAUUACAAGACACCCCGAAACACCCGUCGUUGUUUCGAUAAUCGUUUGAGCUUACUGCCUUGCUAUUCCUUGUCACCUGAAUACCCCUACGGAUAAUUCUCGCACUUAUCGAGUAUCCGCUCAUCCCCCAGUUGUUCAUGUGUUUCACAAUGGUCUCCGAAAUACUAUUCGAUCCUCCAAAAAUCCUUAGUAGCUUAUUGCUCUGCAAUACUGAUCUAGUUGCAUGAUGGAUGCUUUCCAUAUAUCUGGCAAUAUUUGUUAGUAUCCUUAGGCACCGUCAUUUUGAUCCUUUUGAUUCAACAUGAGUGCGAAUGCACGCAAUCAUCAGUUGAUCCUUUUAAAUUAUCUUUUUGGCUCAGACGUCUUUCAAACAUGAGUUGGUUCUCGACCAAUCCAAUUGUCGUUGGUUGUACCCUAAGGCUAUUCAACUUAUCCAUCCCUAAUCAGAGCAUUGCUUUUGAUCCUUUGAUUUGGAAAUCAUAAUUCCUUUGCCUUUGACAAUUGAGUUAGUCAGUUGUUUCUAUAAUCUGAUCUCCUUGCAUUCUUCUUCCUCUAGUUGAGUACUGAUACUCGUAUCAGAUCCCUUGUGGACCAUCAAGUCCUUUGUUGGAUUUAUCUGACAACGCCCUUCAUAUUCAAUAACCUUGUGAGCCUUUCCUCGGAUACAUAAUGCCUUUGGUAAAUUGUAUCCUCUGCUUUUCUCAACCAUGCUCUGCCAUCGAGUUUGUGUUAUUUACUCUUGAAACUUGUGGUAUAUGUUUCUAAGAAGCCCCUAUGGGUUGAACAUAUGCCUUCUCUAAACCGUGUGAACCCGAAAGUUUUCACGAGUCAUACCCUUCUGGUGCUUCACCAGACAAAAUUUCAACACUACAACUUCAUCGAACGUGAGAAGUGAAUGAAAGGUUAUGCAUAGGAGAAGUGGGAGUCGACCUUGAACUUGUGUUCAUGCCCAUGGACGCGAUAUAUAUCCUAUCAUGAAAGCUUCUUGUAACAAUAACUAUUUCCUUGAUAACUAACCUAUGGUAUCUGUGAAUUGAUCCCUUGCAACCGUGGUUCCGACCAUGAUUGUUCUUCUUUGAUCUCAUUUCUCGGACAAGUUAAAACAAUUGUCUUCUAUGGAUCAAUACACCAGUCCAACCUUUACUUUGAUCUUGUGUCAAGUAUUACCCCCCUGGUAUCUCGAGAUUAUCGUGGAACUGCAUAACUUUUUAUGAGUUCUUCAUCAAGUGCUACCUUCCCACCGAUUUCAAUUUUUCGCGGGCUCUGAGUUAUUGAACACUCAAAGACACCGAUAACUGAACUAAGUCCGCUCUUCGGUUCAACAACUCUUCAGUAAACUUCUAUAAGUACGAGUUUGUACCCGAUCACGCCAUUCCUAGCCUGUUUGGCUAUAUCAUUGCCGUGACGAUUCUACCUGUGCUACCUGGUCCUUAUUCUCGGAGCACCAAUUUGCGACGAUAGCUAAGCUUACGUCGAUUUUCCUCGUCAUACCCUUUCACCUUAAACAACCAGCUUGGUUUCGAGUUUGUGUCGUACCCUUGGUUCCAAUAACCUUUCACUUCAUCAUUACUUUGACUUGAUGUCGUCGCCGAUCGAUUACAUCUUCAUGAACUCUCGCGACAAAGGUGUCGUGAUCGUCAACAUUCUGAGCUCAUCCAGGAUAUCAAUUGGAUUCAUGAUAAGAAAUACCAUCCUUGCCUCGAUGAAUUGUAUUAUCAUCGACCACUUUAUUGCCUUCCCACCAACACAAGCUUGUUCAUGUUUGGUGUUAUACCUUGAGUUCCUUGCUGUCCAGCAAAUGAUCUUCCUUACCUCGGAAGUAUUACCAUCUCUUUUUGUCAAGAAUGUGGUGAGAAUUUCACCACCUCUUAAUAAUUCUUGAUAUCAUAAUACUUCUUGCCAUCUUCGUUCACUCCUUGGUCCCCGUAUUGUUUUCAACCGUAAUACCGACAAUGGAGCUAUGACGUGUGAAUUCAAAACUUCUAGCAACCCUAUUGCUUUGAAGUGAAUGGGCGAUAGUUCAUUCUAAGUCCUUCGCUAAUUGAAUCACCAUUCUGACAUUGGUCGUGCAACCCAACCCAUAUUUCGGGCGCACAUUUCAACCAAUGUUUAAUUAUGUAUGUUUUCCUCGAGCAUACUUCCUUAUAUCAUUUGAUCUGGCAAAUGUUAUCUCCUUGUUCACUUAAUGGUGGAAAUCCAUCUUUUGGGGAAUCUCGGCGAAUUGCCGUUGAGUUCACCAGACACCUCCUUGUCCACUCCUUGGGUUAAUGAUGAACUCUUGUUAAUGGAAGUCACUUCAUAGUUCAUUUCCCGAGAAUCUUACAGUGUCAUCCCAUCAAUUGGUGUUGCACCUUUCUUCCCAGGCAUCCUGAGCCUGAGGUAUCCUGACACCAAUCAUACCUGAAUCUCCGUCAGAUAUGAUGGUUAGGACAACUUUCCAAGAGUUAUGAUAUUGAUCCUUUGAUGACCCGGUAACAUGAUGUCAUGCCUAGCACCCCCCCCCCCCNNNNNNNNNNNNNNNNNNNNNNNNNNNNNNNNNNNNNNNNNNNNNNNNNNNNNNNNNNNNNNNNNNNNNNNNNNNNNNNNNNNNNNNNNGAAAUUGUAAGACUUAUUCUACAAGUUAUUCUUGAUGGAUCCUUCGUGUUUCCAAAGUCUGAUCUUCACCUGAAGACCAUGUCACUGCUAUCUCGAAGCAUGUCAAUGGUACUCCGAUUUUCAACAGGCACGUUUGAAGCACGAUGCUAUAUUUUAAUUAUCAAUUAUCCUAACACCGUUGUAUGGGUAAUUUCAUGAGAUUCCUCCCCCCUUACCUAAAAGGUUUUCUACUUUAUAUCCUGUCUUGGAUAUCAUCCUCUGCUUGACUUUGGGGAGGAUAUACCCUUGAAAUAUGUGUUUAAACAUAUUUUCCUUUCCAUUGUUCUGUUUAAUCUGAUGAUCAUAUUUUCCUUCCAUUGGUUUGUUUAGACCUUUUCUAUGAUCUAUAUGAUAUAAGCAGUAAUAAUCCACUGCUUGUGCAAACACCUCGAUGUACAACUCUGUCAGUAAGACCCUGUUUUUAUUGUUGAUGACAUUCCGGUAACCACCGAUGGAUGAGAACUUUGCCUAUUGGUCCGCCUCGUUCAACGAGCGGGAAAAAUGGUUCUCUUCGUCCCUCACCCUUGGUACAAUGGUUGUUGCCGACAUAAUCGAUAGUCCAUCCUCUGACAGGCCUUGCUUACAUGAUCAUGCAAGACGUCAUCCCCUUCCUACUUUUACCCACAUGGUGGGCCCAUAACCCACAGUUCCACAGGAUCGAAACCUGACUCUCCUGUACACCUUGUUGACAAAGUUAUCCCUUACUCUUGGUUUCGUGUGUAAUUCAUGAGCCACCUUCCUAAUGCUCUAUUCUGGUAUCACACGCCAUACUUACUCUCGCUACUCUGAACCCCUUUCUCACUCUGGUUCAGACUUCGAGCAACUAUUUAUCCGCUUGGAACCUCUUAUUGUACCUUCGUACCUUACUCUCGAGGUAUUUUAUAUGUUCAACUCGAGAGAUAAUCUUAUGCUCAUUCAUGGGUUAACCCCCAGGUUGUAUCCCUCACAAGCAUUCUGUCGUAGUCAAGCUGCCCCUUACCUAUUUGUAAGUACGUUGGAGAUCCUGAAGCAAAGGAAGCAAAGGACGACAUCACCAUGAUGACCUGAAGCAGAGAAAUGAAGAUGUCAAUGUAAUGGAUCGACCUCUUCAAGAAGAGCAACCAAGACUGAGAAGAUUCGUUAGGAUUUCGUAACCAGACCUUCCCCCUUAUACCCCCUCUUAAAUCUCGGGACGAGAUUUCUUGUAGUGGAGGAGAAUUGUGACGCCCGGGUAAUUAAGCUACAGUGAUCCUCUGCUAGUGAUGCCACGUCACCUCGAUUAUAGUUGCUAAUCUCGCGUUAGUUCGAAAACGAUUCGCGUUCAAAUUCAAAAUCAAGCAAACAAUAAAAGAUUUCAAAUAUUGAAACUAAAAUGUUCGGAGUGAGCCAAAUAAUGCAUGGGUAAGUAUGGUGGAGAAAUCACACUUUUAUAAAAGUGUAAAAUAAUCUAAAAUGUUUUAAACAGUAGCAAAGACAAUUAGUUGAAUGCCUUUUACAAUAGAUAAAAUAUUAAACUAAUUUAUUUUGUUGGCCAAACUUAUGUGGUAGUAGCUAAAUACUAACACUAAAUUAGGGACUACUUUUAUAGUNNNNNNNNNNNNNNNNNNNNNNNNNNNNNNNNNNNNNNNNNNNNNNNNNNNNNNNNNNNNNNNNNNNNNNNNNNNNNNNNNNNNNNNNNNNNNNNNNNNNNNNNNNNNNNNNNNNNNNNNNNNNNNNNNNNNNNNNNNNNNNNNNNNNNNNNNNNNNNNNNNNNNNNNNNNNNNNNNNNNNNNNNNNNNNNNNNNNNNNNNNNNNNNNNNNNNNNNNNNNNNNNNNNNNNNNNNNNNNNNNNNNNNNNNNNNNNNNNNNNNNNNNNNNNNNNNNNNNNNNNNNNNNNNNNNNNNNNNNNNNNNNNNNNNNNNNNNNNNNNNNNNNNNNNNNNNNNNNNNNNNNNNNNNNNNNNNNNNNNNNNNNNNNNNNNNNNNNNNNNNNNNNNNNNNNNNNNNNNNNNNNNNNNNNNNNNNNNNNNNNNNNNNNNNNNNNNNNNNNNNNNNNNNNNNNNNNNNNNNNNNNNNNNNNNNNNNNNNNNNNNNNNNNNNNNNNNNNNNNNNNNNNNNNNNNNNNNNNNNNNNNNNNNNNNNNNNNNNNNNNNNNNNNNNNNNNNNNNNNNNNNNNNNNNNNNNNNNNNNNNNNNNNNNNNNNNNNNNNNNNNNNNNNNNNNNNNNNNNNNNNNNNNNNNNNNNNNNNNNNNNNNNNNNNNNNNNNNNNNNNNNNNNNNNNNNNNNNNNNNNNNNNNNNNCCAGAUGCUGGAGCCCUGGAGCCAGACGCCACCGUCGACGACGACUACUACACUGGAGGUGCCUACUACUACGUGCAGCCCGUUGACGACGACCAAGAGUAGUUAGGAGGAUCCCAGGCAGGAGGCCUGCGCCUCUUUCGAUCUGUAUCCCAGUUUGUGCUAGCCAUCUUAUGGCAACUUGUUUAACUUAUGUCUGUUCUUAGAUAUUGUUGCUUCCGCUGACUCGUCUAUGAUCGAGCACUUGUAUUCGAGCCCUCGAGGCCCCUGGCUUGUAUUAUGAUGCUUGUAUGACUUAUUUAUGUUUUUAGAGUUGUGUUGUGAUAUCUUUCCGUGAGUCCCUGAUCUUGAUCGUACACGUUUGCGUGCAUGAUUAGUGUACGAUUGAAUCGGGGGCGUCACAGCUUGUGACCCCCUCGUGGGUCCCUCCAACUUGUUCUCGACGCCAUCUGGUCUUAUAAAUACAGAAACCUCCAGAAAAAAACCUAGAUCGGGAGUUCCGCCGCCGCAAGCCUCUGUAGCCACCAAAAACCAAUCAGGAGCCCUUUCUGGCACCCUGCCGGAGGGGGAACCCAUCUCCGGUGUCCAUCUUCAUCAUCCCUACAAUUUCCAUGACGAGGAGGGGAGUAGUUCUCCCUCGGGGCUGAGGGUAUGUACCAGUAGCUAUGUGUUUGAUCUCUCUCUCUCAUGUUCUUGAGAUGUAAUGAUCUUGAUGUAUCGCGGGCUUUGCUACUAUAGUUGGAUCUUAUGAUGUUCAUCCCCCUCUCCCUUCUUGUAAUGAAUUGAGUUUUCCCUUUGAAGUUAUCUUAUCGGAUUGAGUCUUUAAGAACACUUGAUGUAUGUCUUGCACGUGUCUAUCUGUGGUGACAAUGGGAUAUUCAUGUGAGUACUUGAUGUAUGUUUUGGUGAUCAACUUGCGGGUUUCGUGACAUUGGGAACCUAUGCAUAGGGGUUGGCGCAUGUUUGACUCUCCGGUAGAAACUUUGGGACACUCUUUGAAGUUCUAUGUGUUGGUUGAAUAGAUGAUUCUGAGAUUGUGUGAUGCAUAUCGUAUAAUCAUGCCCACGGAUACUUGAGGUGACAAUGGAGUAUCUAGGUGACAUUAUGGUCUUGGUUGAUAUGUGUCUUAGGGUGUUAUUCUAGUACGAACUCUAUGAUAGAUUGAACGGAAAGAAUAGCUUCGUGUUAUUUUACUACGGACUCUUAAAUAGAUCGAUCAGAAAGAAUAACUUUGUGGUGGUUUCGUACCCGACAAUAAUCUCUUCGUUUGUUCUCCGCUAUUAGUGGCUUUGGAGUGACUCUUUAUUGCACCUUGAGGGCUAGUUAUAUGAUCCAAUUAUGUUAUCAUUGUUGAGAGAACUUCCACUAGUGAAAGUAUGAACCCUAGGCCUUGUUUACACACAUUGCAAUACCGUUCGUGCUCACUUUCAUUGUUAUUUACCUUGCUGUUUUUAUUAUUUCAGAUUACAAAAACCUAUAUCUACUAUCCAUAUUGCACUUGUAUCACCAUAUCUUCGCCGGACUAGUGCACCUAUACAACUUACAAUUGUAUUGGGUGUGUUGGGUACACAAGAGACUCUUUGUUAUUUGGUUGCAAGGUUGCUUGAGAGAGACCAUCUUCAUCCUACGCCUCCCACGGAUUGAUAAACCUUAGGUCACCCACUUGAGGGAAAAUUGCUACUGUCCUACAAACCUCUUCACUUGGAGGCCCAACAACGUCUACAAGAGAAGGUUGCGUAGUAGACAUCAGGGCAGAGGUGAAGGUUGAUACGUCUCCAACGUAUCUAUAAUUUUUGAUUGCUCCAUGCUACUUUAUCUACUGUUUUGGACUAUAUUGGGCUUUAUUUUUCACUUUUAUGUUAUUUUUGCAACUAACCUAUUAACCGGAGGCCCAGCCCAGAAUUGCUGUUUUUGCCUAUUUCAGUGUUUCGAAGAAACAAAAUAUCAAACGGAGUCCAAACGGAAUGAAACCUUCGGAAACGUGAUUUUCUAACCGAACGUGAUCCAGGAGACUUGGACCCUACUCCAAGAAGUAACAGAGGCGGUCAUGAGGGUGGGGGCGCCCCCUCCCCAGGGCGCACCCCCCAGCCUCGUGGGCCCCCUGUUGCUUCAUCGACAUACUCCUUCCUCCUAUAUAUACCUACGUACCCCCAAACAAUCAGAACAAGAGCCAAAAACCUAAUUCCACCGCCGCAACUUUCUGUAUCCACGAGAUCCCAUCUUGAGGCCUGUUCCGGAGCUCCGAGGGGGCAUCCACCAUGGAGGGCUUCUACAUCAACACCAUAGCCCCUCCGAUGAAGUGUGAGUAGUUUACUUCAGACCUUCGGGUCCAUAGCUAGUAGCUAGAUGGCUUCUUCUCUCUUUUUGGAUCUCAAUACAAUGUUCAACCCCUCUCUCGUGGAGAUCUAUUUGAUGUAAUCUUCUUUUUGCGGUGUGUUUGUUGAGAUCGAUGAAUUGUGGGUUUAUGAUCCAGCUUAUCUAUGAAUAAUAUUUGAAUCUUCUCUGGAUUCUUUUAUGUAUGAUUGAGUUAUCUUUGCAAGUCUCUUCGAAUUAUCCAUUUGGUUUGGCCAACUAGAUUGGUAGUUCUUGCAAUGGGAGAAGUGCUUAGCUUUGGGUUCAAUCUUGCGGUGUCCUUUCCCAGUGACAGAAGGGGCAACAAGGGACGUAUUGUAUUGUUUCCAUCGAGGAUAACAAGAUGGGUUUUUUAUCAUAUUGCAUGAAUUUAUCCCUCUACAUCAUGUCAUCUUGCUUAAGGCAUUACUCUGUCUUUAACUUAAUACUCUAGAUGCAUGCUGGAUAGCGGUCGAUGAGUGGAGUAAUAGUAGUAGAUGCAGAAUCGUUUCGGUCUGCUUGUCUUGGACAUGAUGCCUAUAUACAUGAUCAUACCUAGAUAUACUCAUAACUAUGCUCAAUUCUGUCAAUUGCUUAACAGUAAUUUGUUCACCCACCAUAGAAUAUCUAUGCUCUUGAGAGAAGCCACUAGUGAAACCUAUGGCCCCCGGGUCUAUUCUCAUCAUAUAAAUCUCCAUUACUAUAAUACUUGCUUUGUUUUUACUUUGCCUUUUACUUUUCACUUUGCACCUAUAUACCAAAAAUACCAAAAAUAUUAUUUAUCAUCUCUAUCAGAUCUCACUCUCGUAAGUGACCGUGAAGGGAUUGACAGCCCCUAAUCGCGUUGGUUGCGAGGAGCUAUCAUUUUGUGUAGGUACGAGGGACUUGUGCGUGGCCUCCUACUGGAUUGAUACCUUGGUUCUCAAAAACUGAGGGAAAUACUUACGCUACUUUGCUGCAUCAUCCUCUCCUCUUCGGGGAAAUCCAACACAGUGCUCAAGAGGUAGCAAGAAGAGUUUCUGGCGCCGUUACCGGGGAGGCUCACGCAAGAGCAAGUCAACCAUACCAAGUACCCAUCACAAUCCCUAUCUCUCGCAUUACAUUAUUUGCCAUUUGCCUCUCGUUUUCCUCUCCGCCACUUCACCCUUGUUGUUUUAUUCGCCCUCUCUUUCCCAAUCUCCUCCUCUUUUUCCCGCUUGCCUUUUUGUUUGCUCGUGUGUUAGUUUGCUUGCUUGUCGUCCUGACUAGUCUCAUAUCUUCUCCGUUAUCUCCCGAGAAUGAAGUUCUAAAUUUUAAACAAAGGGAGGGAGAAAAUCUAAAAGACUCUUGGUAUAGAAUUUGCAAUGCUCAAAAUAGAUCUACCAGGAAGCAAUCUACUUUAGUUCUUCUUCGUAAUACGUAGGUGCUAAUCCUUGAUAUAGAUAUAUCCUUGAUACCAUUACCGGAAGGAAUUUCUUGGGUAGCCAUACUUUUGAUUCUUAUCAUGCUUUAAUAGAUUUAUUUGGCUCACCACCUCUUUUGAUUAAUGGAAUUAUGUUAACUUUGGAGCAUGUUAUGCAAAGACUUGAAAUUAUUGAGAAUAAAGUUGCUACCAUUGAAUCAAUUGAAAAUCUUGAUAAAAAGAUCCACAAUCAAAUUACCCAAUAUGGAUCUAAGGUAGGAAUGACUUUGAAAAAUAUUAAAGAAAAAGAACCCAUAGUUAAUGAGAAAAUAAAUCUAGAUUCCACAAGAAUCCAUAAACUUGAGGGUAUCAUUACCAACUUGGGAACCGCUUUUUCUUCCGUACAAAACACUCCAAGUUAGUCUACUAAAAAUACUAAGCUUAUUUAUGUUCCUAAGAAUAAGGGUGAAUCAUCUAGUAAGGAAUCUGCGGAUCUUAAAUCUAUAAGUGUUCAUCCCGAUCUUUUUGCCAUCAUUAAGGAACCAUUUGCUAUGAAUGAAUUUUUCGAUCUUUUGCCUGAAAAUUCGACAAUUACUAGAAAGAAAGAAAAUUCUAAAGGAGGUAGAUGCCUCAUUGAAGAAUUGCCUACCAAAGAUGGCAAUACCUAGAUCUAUCCUUGCUUUUAUGCCUAGCUAGGGGCGUUAAACGAUAGCGCUUGUUGGGAGGCAACCCAAUUUUAUUUUUAGUUUUUAGUUUUUGCUUCUGUUUAGGAAUAAAUAAUCCAUCUAGCCUCUAUUUAGAUGUGGUUUUAUGUUUUAAUUAGUAUUUGUGCCAAGUAGAACCUAUAGGAUAACCUACGAUGAUAGUUGAUUUGAUUCUGCUGAAAAACAGAAACUUUGCGCGCACGAAUAUAAUUUUGUUAAAUCAUAGAAACAUGCUUUUGCGUUGAUUAUUUUUGCUGCUGUUCAAUAAGCAAAUUGUACAGGACUUCCUAUUUUGGUAGGAUUGUUAGAGUUGCAGAAGUUUGCAUUAGGUACAGAUUACUACAGACUAUUCUGUUUUUGACAGAUUCUGUUUUGCGUGUGUUGUUUGCUUAUUUUGAUGAAUAUAUGGCUAGUAAAAUAGUUUAUGAUCCAUAGAGAAGUUGUAAUACAGUAGGUUUAACACCAAUAUAAAUAAAAAAAGAGUUCAUUACAGUACCUUAAAGUAGUCUUUUGUUUUCUUUCUCUAACGGAGGUCACGAGAUUUCUAUUGAGUUUUGUGUUGUGAAGUUUUCAAGUUUUGGGUGAAUUCUUUUGAUGGAUUAUGGAAAAAGGAGUGGCAAGAGCCUAAGCUUGGGGAUGCUCAUGGCAACCCCAAGAUAAUACAAGGACACCAAAAAGUCAAAGCUUGGGGAUGCCCCGGAAGGCAUCCCCUCUUUCGUCUACUUCCAUCGGUAAUUUACUUGGAGCUAUAUUUUUAUUCACCACAUGAUAUGUGUUUUGCUUGGAGCGUCUUGUAUUAUUUGCGUCUUUGCUUGUUAGUUUACCACAAUCAUCCUUGUUGUACACACCUUUUGAGAGAGCCAUGCAUGAAUUGGAAUUUGCUAGAAUACUCUAUGUGCUUCACUUAUAUCUUUUGAGCUUGAUGGUUUUGCUCGUAGUGCUUCACUUAUAUCUUUUGAGCGUGAUAAUUUUUGCUCUAGUGCAUCACUUAGAUCUUUUAGAGCACGGUUGUGGAUUUGUUUUAAAGAAACUAUUGAUCUCUCAUGCUUCACUUAGAUUAUUUUGAGAGUCGUUAAUAGCAUGGUAAUUUGCUUAAUAUUAAUAUACUUGGUAUUCAAGAUAUGUGAAACUUUCUUUUGAGUGUGUUGAAUACUAAGAUAAGUUUGAUGCUUGAUAAUUGUUUUGAGAUAUGGAGGUGAUAAUAUCAAAGUCGUGCUAGUUGAGUAAUUGUGAAUUUGAGAAAUGCUUGUGUUGAAGUUUGCAAGUCCUGUAGCAUGCACCUAUGGUUAAAGUUGUGUAACAAAUUUGAAACAUGAAGUGUACCUGGCUUGUGCAUCCUUAUGAGUGGCGGUCGGGGACGAGUGAUGGUCUUUUCCUACCAAUCUAUCCCCCUAGGAGCAUGCGCAUAGUACUUGAUUUUUGAUGACUUCUAAAUUUUUGCAAUGAGUAUAUGAGUUCUUUUGACUAAUGUUGAGUCCAUGGAUUAUACGCACUUUUACCUUUCCGCCUUUGCUAGCCUCUUCGGUACCGUGCAUUGCCCUUUCUCACCUUGAGAGUUGGUGCAAACUUCGCCGGUGCAUCCAAACCCCGUGAUAUGAUACGCUCUAUCACACAUAAACCUCCUUAUAUCUUCCUCAAAACAGCCACCAUACCUAUCUAUCAUGGCAUUUUCAUAGCCAUUCCGAGAUAUAUUGCCAUGCAACUUUCAUCAUCAUAUACAUGACAUACAUUACUUUUGUCAUAUUGCCAUUGCAUGAUCAUGUAGUUGACAUCGUAUUUGUGGCAAAGCCACCAUGCAUUAUUUUUCAUACAUGUCAGUCUUGAUUCAUUGCACCAUCCCGGUACACCGCCGGAGGCAUUCAUAUAGAGUCAUAUCUUGUUCUAGUUUCGAGUUGUAAUCCUUAUGUUGUAAUCAAUAGAAGUGUGAUGAUCAUCAUUAUUAGAGCAUUGUCCCAAAAAAAAGAAAAAAAGAAAAAAAGGAAAGGCCAAAAAGAAAAAAAAGGAAAGGCCAAAAAAAGAGAAAAAAAGAAAAAAAAAAGAGAAAAUAAAUAAAAAGGGACAAUGCUACUAUCUCUUUUUCCACACUUGUGCUUCAAAGUAGCACCUUGUUCUUCAUGUAGUGAGUCUCAUAUAUUGUGCUUCAAAGUAGCACCUUGUUCUUCAUGUAGUGAGUCUCAUAAGUUGUCUUUUUAUACUAGUGGGAAUUUUGAAUUAUAGAACUUGGCUUGUAUAUUCCUACAAUGGGCUUCCUCAAAUGCGCUAGGUCUUCAUGAGCAGGCGAGUUGGAUGCACACCCACUAGUUUUCUUUUGUUGAGCAUUCAUAGCUCUAGUGCAUACGUUGCAUGGCAAUCCCUACUCCUCAUGUUGACAUCAAUUGAUGGGCAUCUCCAUAGCCCGUUGAUUAUUAUCCUCGUCAAUGUGAGACUUUCUCCUUUUUUUGUCUUCCCCACACAAUCCCCAUCAUCAUAUUCUAUUCCACCCGUAGUGCUAUAUCCAUGGCUCACGCUCAUGUAUUGCGUGAAGGUUGAAAAAGUUUGAUAUUAUUUAAGUAUGAAACAAUUGCUUGGCUUGUCAUCGGGGGUAUAGAAGUUGGGAAAAUCUUUGUGUGACGAAAAUGAAGCAUAGCCUAACUAUAUGAUUUUGUAGGGAUGAACUUUCUUUUGCCAUGCUAUUUUGAGAAGACAUGAUUGCUUUGAUUAGUAUGCUUGAAGUAUUAUUAUUUUUAUGUCAAUAUGAACUUUUGUCUUGAAUCUUUCGGAUCUGAAUAUUCAUGCCACAAUUAAGAAGAUUUACAUUGAAAUUAUGCCAAAGUAUCACUCCGCAUCAAAAAUGCUCUUUUUAUCAUUUACCUACUCGAGGACGAGCAGGAAUUAAGCUUGGGGAUGCCUGAUACGUGUCCAACGUAUCUAUAAUUUUUGAUUGAUCCAUGCUACUUUAUCUACUGUUUUGGACUAUAUUGGGCUUUAUUUUCCACUUUUAUGUUAUUUUUGGGACUAACCAAUUAACCGGAGGCCCAGCCCAGAAUUGUUUUUUUUCUAUUUCAGUGUUUCGAAGAAACGGAAUAUCAAACGGAGUCCAAACAGAAGGAAACCUUCGGAAACGUGAUUUUCUCACCGAACGUGAUCCAGGAGACUUGGACCAUACUCCAAGAAGUAACAGAGGCGGUCACGAGGGUGGGGGGCGCGCCCCCUACCUCGUGGGCCCCCUGUUGCUCAACCGAUGUACUCCUUCCUCCUAUAUAUACCUACGUACCCCCAAACGAUCAAAACAGGAGCCAAAAACCUAAUUCCACCGCCGCAACUUUCUGUAUCCACGAGAUCCCAUCUUGGGGCCUGUUCCAGAGCUCCGCCGGAGGGGGCAUCCACCACAGAGGGCUUCUAUAUCAACACCAUAGCCCCUCCGAUGAAGUGUGAGUAGUUUACUUCAGACCUUCGGGUCCAUAGCUAGUAGCUAGAUGGCUUCUUCUCUCUUUUUGGAUCUCAAUACAAUGUUCUCCCCCUCUCUCGUGGAGAUCUAUUCGAUGUAAUCUUCUUUUUGCGGUGUGUUUGUUCAGACCGAUGAAUUGUGGGUUUAUGAUCCAGCUAUCUAUGAAUAAUAUUUGAAUCUUCUCUGAAUUCUUUUAUGUAUGAUUGAGUUAUCUUUGCAAGUCUCUUCGAAUUAUCCUUUGGUUUGGCCAACUAGAUUGGUAGUUCUUGCAAUGGGAGAAGUGCUUAGCUUUGGGUUCAAUCUUGCGGUGUCCUUUCCCAGUGACAGAAGGGGCAGCAAGGCACGUAUUGUAUUGUUGCCAUCGAGGAUAACAAGAUGUGGUUUUUAUCAUAUUGCAUGAAUUUAUCCCUCUACAUCAUGUCAUCUUGCUUAAGGCGUUACUCUGUUUUUAACUUAAUACUCUAGAUGCAUGCUUGAUAGCGGUCGAUGAGUGGAGUAAUAGUAGUAGAUGCAGAAUCGUUUCGGUCUACUUGUCUUGGAUGUGAUGCCUAUAUACAUGAUCAUACCUAGAUAUACUCAUAACUAUGCUCAAUUCUGUCAAUUGCUCAACAGUAAUUUGUUCACCCACCAUAGAAUAUCUAUGCUCUUGAGAGAAGCCACUAGUGAAACCUAUGGCCCCCGGGUCUAUUCUCAUCAUAUCAAUCUCCAUUACUUUAAUACUUGCUUUGUUUUUACUUUGCCUUUCACUUUUCACUUUGCAUCUAUAUACCAAAAAUACCAAAAAUAUUAUUUAUCAUCUCUAUCAGAUCUCACUCUCGUAAGUGAUCGUGAAGGGAUUGACAACCCCUAAUCGCGUUGGUUGCGAGGAGCUAUCAUUUUGUGUAGGUAAGAGGGACUUGUGCGUGGCCUCCUACUGGAUUGAUACCUUGGUUCUCAAAAACCGAGGGAAAUACUUAUGCUACUUUGCUGCAUCAUCCUCUCCUCUUCGGGGAAAUCCAGCGCAGUGCUCAAGAGGUAGCAAAGGUCAACGGCGGUGGCAGCGCUCGAGUGCUGAGGCGACGUGAGGUGGAAGACAGACGAAGAGGCAAGGGGAGAAAAGGAAAGGGACCCUCGGCCCUAUUUAUAAGAUGAAGAGAUAAGUGACAGGCACAGGAAUCGAGGAGCCCAAAAAAUGGAUAUGUCCCAGACCCGUCUCCUCGAUUUUCGGAGGCUCAUUAAUAAAAUUAAGGUAUAUACAGUUUUUUUAAUGAACAGGUGAUGUCAUGGCAAUUUAUUAUAAUCCUGGAAGAUGACGUCAUGGCGGUUUAUUAUAAUCCUGGAAGAUGACGUCAUGGCGGAUUACAAGGUUUACUCGAAGGUACUAAAGAAGAAAUUUUUCUAAAGUGUUGAAGAUUGACAUGAACAGGUUCAAAUCAAUCUGGGGCCUAAUGUUGGGGAUAUAACUACUGAGUAUAAACCGCCCAGGAGGGGUCGGGUUAUACCUGUAAUGAGUUAUUCAUAUUGAAGCCCAUGAAGACAAGGUGUAUGACGCUUUAAUAUAAGAGAUCUAAAAGCCCAGGGCCCAAAGGCGGAUUUGGGCCCAUAGACAUAAACCGCCAUAAGGUGUGUAACUUGUGUUGUAAGAUAGGAAAGAGUAGAAACCGAGCCGCACAUGUUUAUGAGCCGGUCGGGAUUCUAUAAACCGCAGGGCGUCAAGCUGUGUAUAUAAAGGGAUGACCCGGCGGUAGUUCAAGGAUAAGAAACAACAACUCGAGAGCCAGGCAAAGCGUAUUCGCUCCCUGGUCAUCGAAACCAUAGCAAUCCCAUCAUAACUGGAGUAGGCUUUACCUUCACCGUAAGGGGACGAACCAGUAUAAUUCCGUGCGUCCUUUGUCAGCUUUAACCCCUUUAAGUUCACUAUGUUGCAAUGGCUCCACGACUAAGUCCUCACACUAGGACAUCUGCCGUGACAAUCCCACGACAAGCGGGGAAAUAUUUAGCAGAGAAAUAAUAAAUCAUAUCCUGGGGACUACGCACACAACCAGGAUCAAGAGAAUUAAACCAUGUUUUAGCAUCACCCUUUAAUGAGAACGGGAAUAACUUAAGGAUAAAGUAAUAGCGAGUUUUCUCAUCAUUAGUGAAUAGGGUGGCUAUAUCAUUUAAUUUAGUAAGAUGUGUCACAACAGUUUCAGAUUCAUAGCCAUAGAAAGGAUCAGAAUCAACCAAAGUAAUUAACUCAGGAUCGACUGAGAAAUCAUAAUCCUUAUCGGAAAUAAAGAUAGGUGAAGUAGCAAAAGCAGGGUCAUAUUUCAUUCUAGCAUUCAAAGACUUUUCUUUAAGCUUAGCUAAUAAUUUCUUAAGAUCAGAUCUAUCAUUGCAAUCUAAGAAGUCUCUAGCAGUUUCUUCAUCCAUAACAUAACUCCCAGGCACAAUAGGCAAUUCAUAUCUAGGGGGGAGAAUCUUCAUCAUCACUUUCGUCAAUAUUAUCAGUUUUAGCAAUUUCAUUCUCUCUAACCCUAGCAAGUUGUUCAUCAAGAAAUUCACCUAAUGACACAGUAUUAUCAAGCAUAGAAGUAGUUUCAUCAUAAGUAUCAUGCAAAGCAGAAGUGGCAUCAUCAAUAACAUGCGACAUAUCAGAAUGAAUAGCAGGAGUAGGUGUCGCAAGUUUACUCAAAACAGAAGGUGAAUCAAGUGCUGAGCUAGAUGGCAGUUUCUUACCUCCACUCAUAGUUGAGGGAAAAUCUUGGUUCUUUUAUCUUUCAAGUUCUUCAUAGUGAUCAGCAGAUAUAAAACCCAAGUGACUCAAAGAAUAGAGCUAUGCUCCCCGGCAACAGCGCCAGAAAAUAGUCUUGAUAACCCACAAGUAUAGGGGAUCACAAUAGUUCUCGAGGGUAGAGUAUUCAACCCAAAUUUAUUGAUUCAACACAAGGGGAGCCAAAGAAUAUUAUCAAGUAUUAGCAGCUGAGUUGUCAAUUCAACCACACCUGGAAACUUAAUAUCUGCAGCAAAGUAUUUAGUAGCAAAGUAAUAUGAUAGUAGCGGCAACGGUGGCAAAAGUGACGGUAGCAGUUUUGUAGUGAUUGUAACAGUGGAAACGGAAAAGUAACUAAGCAAAGAUCAAUAUAUGAAAAGCUCAUAGGCAAUUGAUCAGUGAUGGAUAAUUAUGUCGGAUGCGAUUCCUCAUGCAAUAGUUAUAACAUAGGGUGACACAGAACUAGCUCCAGUUCAUCAAUAUAAUGUUGGCAUGUAUUCAGAUAUAGUCAUACGUGCUUAUGGAAAAGAAAAUGCAUGACAUCUUUUGUCCUACCCUCCCGUGGCAAUGGGGUCCUAUUGGAAACUAUGGGAUAUUAAGGCCUCCUUUUAAUAGAGUACCGGGAAUACAUCAACACCUCAAACUACGGUCAUCACCGGUAAGUAUACCGAUUAUUGUCACUUCGGGGUUAACGGAUCAUAACACAUAAUAGGUGACUAUAGACUUGCAAGAUAGGAUCAAGAACUCACAUAUAUUCAUGAAAACAUAAUAGGUUCAGAUCUGAAAUCAUGGCACUCGGGCCCUAGUGACAAGCAUUAAGCAUAGCAAAGUCAUAGCAACAUCAAUCUGGGAACAUAAUGGAUACUAGGGAUCAAACCCUAACAAAACUAACUCGAUUACAUGAUAAAUCUCAUCCAACCCAUUACCAUCCAGCAAGCCUACAAUGGAAUUACUCACGCACGUCGGUGAGCAUCUUUAAACCUCGCCUCGGCAACUUGCAAUACCCGUCACGAAGCUUCAGAAGUAUAUCACCUCAGCGCAGGAAGGGACGUUCAUUCCCGACAGAGAAAAGGACGAGCUGAUUGAGGCCCUAGGGAAUGCUGAGCACCCUGGACGAACACGAGGCACUCCAGGCUCCGUUCUAUGGAAGUUUGGGUUUCCCGAUGCAGGCGGUUACAAAAGCCGGGAGAGAAAGAGGAAAGAGGAGAUGAGCGACAUGUAGAAGCUCAAUGCAAGACUACAAAAGCUAGAGGAAGCUGAGAGCAAGCGAGCUGCCGACCAACCAUCUCAGCGGCACGAAGCUACCCCAGAAACUACCCCGCCAUCUCAGCGGAGAAGCAGCGUGGCUUCCACGGAGCCCGUUCAUCCUGACUUCAUGUCUCCUAGCACGGAGGCUCAACAUUGCGAGCUUAUGACGAAAUGCCGGAACCUCACUUUCAAGGCGUCUACAAGCGAAGGGGAGAAUUGGCUGGUUCAUGCUCUGAGGAGUACAUGUCUAUGGCAGAAGGAGUACAUCAAGCUUCCAAACUGGACGCCUCUGCUUCCUGCUCCUCCUCCGGCGAGUCAGGGCACUCCGCCUCCUCCUCCUCUGGCGAGUGAUCAGGGCACUCCGCCUCCUUCUCCGGCUCCUCUGACACGUGAGGGCACUCCGCCUCCUCCUUCGCAUACUACGGCGCGUCGGAGCAGUCCGCCUCCUCCUCAGCCUCGUCGGCAAUGGCGGAAGACAAACACCGUCGCUCUGGCUCCUUUGGUACGUCAGAUUUCUCCGCCUCGUCGGCAACAAUGGAAGAGAGACGCCGCCGCUCCGGUGGCUAGCAGUAUAAGCAGAGGCGGGAGCCAAUUUAGAUACGGUCCAUCUCUCAAGCCUCUGGAAAGUUACCAUAUGAGAGGACCGAGCAGGAAAAUGAGGACAUAUGUCGUGCCCAACUAAGGGACCAUUUUGCAAAGAAAACUCCACCUCUGAAGGAGAAGGUAGAUCCGGUGAAAGUGAAGCGCACUAUCAAUGCCCUGAAGCGACCACCACUGCCUCCGCCGGAUUCCAACUAUGGCCGCAUAAUUACUAAGACACAUGCUAAAGCGCAGCAGUCGGGAAGUACUUCCAGUGCUGCAAGAGCGAAAAAACGAAGAAGUGGGAAAACAAUUCCUCAGCUCGGCGAACAGGAGAAGCAAUCGUGCCCCCCGCUCAAGGUGUCUAGCGAUAUCGCUAAUCAUCCGAUGCUACUGCCCGAUACCACUCUUGAUGAUUACCUGCCCAAUGAUGUAUAGUUUGAAACGGCUGAGGUAGUAGACGUCUUUAGAUACGAGCAUGGGAAGCCUCUCGUCAAACCUGAUCAUCCUCAUCUAACAACGAUGAUGCAAAAAUUGCAUGACUGGUACAUGGAAACCUAGAGGAAGUCUGGGAAAGACAUUUGUUAGUCGGAAUUAAAAAAGAGCAUGACUUCCUUGGAAUCGACCUGCUGCCUGUUGAAUUUGUGGAGUUAUUUCAAUUAUACAAUCACAAGGCCCUCGACAAACAACUCAUGACUUGCUACUGUCUGUAAGUAUUACUUCUAUAAUUAAGUCUCUAGCUCAGCUCACUCAUUGCAUGUAUAUAUAAUUAUCCUCACUAUAUUAUGCAGAUUGAAGAUGGUCGAAUGCAAAAAAAUAGGAAUCUUCGACGUUGGGUUCAUUAGCCCAAAUACCGUAAAUGAAUGGUCGAUACGAAAGGCGGCUGAAGAUACCGAGAACAACUUACUACAAACGUUCCUUACACAUCAAAACAAAAGGGAAAUACUCUUUCCUUACAACUUCAAGUGAGUGUUACUGUCUUCUGCAUAUUCAGUUCCGCUUACUCGUGGUUAAGUAAUGUAAUUGAUGAGUUAUGCGUGCGCAGCUUCCACUAUAUUCUGCUAUCCAUUAACCUUGAUGGGGCAUUCGUAAUUGUCUUAGACUCGCUCCGUAAAGAUCCCAAGUAUUAUGCGGACACGACUGCAAUGCUCCAGAAGUAAGUUCAAUCAAUACCGAGACCAUAUCGGCAACUUUUAUUCAUUUCCUGAUAUCAAGUAAUCAUUUUCUUUGCCUGCCAGGGUUUGGAAAACGUUCACCGCUAAGGUUCCGGGUCUGAAGAAGGAGCUGCAAUUUACACACACCAAAGUAAGUAGUACAAGCUAGUUUCACGCAUCUCUCAUUGAUUCUAGUUUAAUCAAUAUCAUUAUCAUGCUUGCUUAUCAGUUUGACUGAACUCUAUUCUCGUAAAGUGCUUGUUGCAGGCACCCAACACUCAUUUAUGUGGAUACUACGUAUGCGAGUUCAUUCGCUACUAUACCUCUGAACGGGCCUCCUAUGAGAAACAAUUUGAAGUACGCAAACAAUAUUCACAAUUUUAUUUUAUAUAUUACCAUCAAUUGUGUUGAGUUUCAUUCAUAUAUAUGUAUUGACACCUUCUUUAAAUUAGAUCUGGCAGAUGCGGGAUGAACUCCUACCACAUGAUCGCAUACGAGCAAUUCAAGAGGAAUUGGCAGGAUUCUUUCUUGACCACGUCAUACCUGAACAAGGAGAAUACCAUGUGAAAUUGAAAUUGUUGUAAGGGAUGUUAUAUAUUGUACAUAUGUAGCAGCGUCGGAUGGAUAUACGAAAACUUGUUAUUCGACCAAGCACGAAGAAAGAUAUGUCACUUCUCUCUAUAUAUGUUCAUGACGAUCUUGUGUAAUUAAUGGUUUCCUUUAGUUGCUUACUAGCUAGCGUCGAGUUCUCUCUAUAUGUGUAGUAGCUAGAGUCAACCAAGCACGGAAAAAGAGAGGUCACUUCUCUCUAUUAGCUCGGUAACACAAUACGAAACCCCUAAAUUAACCCUCCAAAACCCCAACCCCCCCCCUCCCCCCCGUCCAAAAAAAAACAAAACCCCCAGUGACUGCGAGCUGCUGACGCGUGGCCGCCUUUUGGUCCUGGUUGGUGUUACCAACCGGGACUAAAGGUCCUCCCUCCCCCGCCCCAGGCAGUGCCACGUGGAGGGCCUUUGGUCCCGGUUCGUAAGCAAACCGGGACUAAAGGUUUUGGGUAUUAGUCCCGACCCUUUAGUCCCGGUUCCAGAACCAGGACAAAUGGCCCUCUGGAACCGGGACAAAUGGCCCUUUUUGUACUAGUGACUUCUCAUAGAAGAUACUUACAGAUAGACAUAAUCUCCUACUUCGAAAAUUAAUUCUCUUCUUCGAUUAUCUGCAUAGCUCUUCUGACGAGUUUGUGCCACUCUCAAGUUCUCUCUAAUCAACCUGACUUGUUCCUCGGCAUUCCUGAGCACAUCUGGUCCAAAGACUUAACUUUCACCCGUUUGAUUCCAGAACAACGGUGUUCUACACUUACGCCCAUACAAUGCUUCAAACGGUGCCAUCUUUAGACUAUUCUGGUGAUUGUUGUUGUAAGAGAACUCCGCAUACGGUAAACUUUUAUCCCAACUAGUAUCAUACUGCAAUGCACAAGCUCUCAACAUAUCUUCAAGAAUCUGAUUGAGCCUUUCUGUCUGUCCAUCAGUCUGAGGAUGAUAUGCUGUACUGAAAUUCAACUUCGUUCCCAAUGAUUUAUGCACUUUCUGCCAAAAGAUGGACGUGAACUGCGGACCUCUAUCAGACACAAUCUUCUUAGGAACUCCAUGCUGACAUACUAUUCUUUCCAUGUAUAGCUCUGCCAAUCUUGCCCCGCUAUAAGUAGUCUUGACAGGCAAAAAGUGAGCGACUUUAGUGAGACGAUCCACUAUUACCCAUAUAGAAUCAUAACCUUGCUGAGUGUGUGGUAAUCCCACUAUAAAGUCCGUUCCGACUUCUUCCCAUUUCCACUCAGGAAUCUUCAUUGGUUGCAACAAACUAGCGGGUCUCUGAUGCUCAGUCUUUACCCUCUGACAAGUGUCACAUAUAGCUACAUACUCAGCCACAUCUCUUUUCAAUCCAUACCAGCAGUACUUCUCCUUAAGAUUUAGAUACAUCUUAGUACUUCCAGGAUGGAUAGAAUAGGCUGUCUCAUGUGCUUCACGCAAAAUUGUAUCAUGAAUGGCUUUCACCUCAGGCACACAUAUCCUUUUUCCAAACCAUAAGGUUCCAUUUUCAUCAAUUCUGAAGCCAGGUGCUUUACCAGUCACCACAUUAUCAGCUAUCUCCUUUAGCUUUUCAUCUUCUAGUUGACCCUUACGUAUUUCUUGCUCCAACGUAGGAAUCACUUUUAUCUCCAUAGCACUAGCAACAAUACCAAGGUUCAGAUGUUGCAACUCCGCAUACAACUCUUCUGCCUCUGGUCUCAACUUACGAUUGUUGUCAUAUUUCUUCCUACUGAGAGCAUCAGCUACAACAUUCGCCUUACCUGGAUGAUAAUGUACCUCCGGUUCAUAAUCCUUGAUUAACUCUAGCCAGCGACGUUGUCUUAAAUUCAGACAUGUCUGAGUGAAUAUAUACUUCAAGCUCUUAUGAUCGGUGUAGAUAUCACUCUUGUGACCAAUCAGAUAGUGUCUCCAGAUCUGCAAUGCAUGUACCACAGCUGCUAGCUCCAGAUCAUGAGUAGGAUAAUUUAACUCAUGCUUCCUCAACUGUCUCGAUGCAUGCGUCGGUGGUGGUGAUCUCAUGUCCGCUUGCACCGUGUUCGAUGAAACGCCAACGAGGGUCAAAAGCUUCGAACCACAUCGGCAUCGCUCGGGGUAGCAGCGGGUACACGCUGGAGUGUUGGAUGUGAUGCUUGGCCAUCUCCAACUCACGAGCGUGUAAGAGAGAAAUCAUGAGACAGUAAUGAUUUAAUUUGGUUUUGCAAUGUUUUUAUUUUAAAAAUAGUUGGUUUAUCUUUGUAAAAUAGUUAUUUACAUGAGAAUUAUUGAACAAAAUAGUUUUUAAAGAGCAAUUUGCAUUCAAGCAGUCUUCAUUCUUAACGAAGCUACGAGUUCACAUUUGCUCUAACCAAACGGUCUUCAGUUUUUGCCACCACAGGAGCCUUGUAUUAGCUCUUGCGGUGCGAACGGGAGCUCGGAUGUCCAUGCGACGAAGCUGAUCUAUGAAAGUGGCCUUGGUGAUCCUGUGCCCCGGUUGGUAGGUUGGGAGACAGCAGGGAUGCAAGCCAGCGCCAACGAUGGGCGAAGAUUGCACGACGGAUGAGCGGCGCUAGAGAUGGAAAGUCUGCUGGAGCAGUUUAGGUGAAAGGAUAAAGAUGUAGUUUUCAUUUUUUUUUCUAAUAAUGAAAGUCGGACUCAACUUUAUGGAACUGGGCCUUAUGACACGUAGGGCCCAUCUGAAGCUUCUAGAGUUGUUAAUCCUGUGGUUGAGAAUGUGUGUGACAAAGCAUGUGUUUGAGUAUUUACUAUCUAGGGAAGUAUAAACAAAUUACAAUCUCAGUGGACCCAUAAGCUAAUAUCCUUGAAUGUUUUUUUUUUUCUGUUUGUGUGUAUAUGUCGCAAGUUUUCUUGUUUUAUUUUAGGUUUGGUACUGUAGCUAGGUCUAGAAUAGUUUUUUUUUUGUUCUUUUUUUAAUUUCAAAAAAAUCGAGGGAUGUCUCAGUUUUUAUUAAAAGAAAGAAAUAUUUGGUCCAAAGUUGAAUGAGCGUGUCAUGCAGGGUUAAAUCGGAAGAUAAACUGAUGAAACACAUGAUGCAUUAGUGGAUAUAUAUGUAAAUCACACGGGUGAUUUGAAGACAAAUUGAAAAACUAUAUGUCCAAUACUUGCACUCACGGGCAUUUUUGCUACUAUUAAUAAAUUGGUAAAAAUCAGAGAAUGCGAGGCCUGGCCAAAUGGGCCGGCCCGGCCUGGGUUAAACGGGCCCGAACCCCUCUUGCCCUCUCUCCUAUAAAAGCUGUGCUUUUACCCCCGCACUCCAUCGCCUCGCCGCCGUUCCCCGCAACACCCUGUCGACCCAAUCUCACAUCCUCCUCUCGCCCGCCCGAGGUGAGCACUUGUAGUUCCUCUGGAUUGGUUGGUAGGCGCUGGUUCGUAGGUCUCGGAUCCAGCCAGCGUGGUCUCCCUCCGCGUGCAUCCGGAGUUUCUCGUUCCGAUUGUGGUUGGUAGGCGCGGCGCGGCGCGGGUUCAUAGGUGUCGGAUCCAGCGCCGUCUGUAUCCUAUUCGUAUGAGGAACCUCGGCUAGGAUAGGAUUUGAUUAGUUAGGUUUUGUAUUAGGGUAACACCACCUAGCUAGGGUUCGAUUGAUUAUCCGUAACAAGGAAUCAAUCUGACGUUUUAGUUAGGGUUUGCUUGGUUGGUUGUGGUCAGAUUUUGGUUUCUCAUGAAUUCUUCAACUGUGCCUGUCGCGAUUUUGGGCGGAAAUUGAUGAUUGAUUUCGGGGGCAAAAUCCGAGGUAAUUUGUGGAUGAAAGAUGGGGAAACUUGGGGAAACCAAGCAAAUCCAUGGAUCAAAAUCAACAAAACUUCAUCAUGCCAACAAAUCACAAAAAAAAUUUGGUGGGGAAAUUUCGAAUUAGGACGAAAAACAACAAGAUCAAAGCUAGAAAACGAAUAUUAAUUUGGAUGGAAUUCAUGCUAUGUUGUUCGAUUUCAGUUUAUGCCUGCCAGAAUGUUUAAUUUUUUGUUUUAUCAACUGUGUUUGAGCGUACUAGAUUUUUUGUUGCAUAUUCAUCUUCUUGCUCUGUUUGGAUAGGUAACAAUUAAUAUUUGGGAUCCUAAAAUAUUUAUGCACUGGCAGCACUUAACCUGCAGCUGCUGAUUAAUGUUGUAUUCAUAUGUGCUGCUUUCCAGCUCUCUUGUUUCGAUAGGUAUUUGGUUAUCGUUUGGGUCUAUUUAUUAUCGUUUGUAAAUGCUGGUUUGGUUUUCUGUGCUCACUAUCCCCUUGCACAUGGGAUGCAAUUUUUUUAUUUCCCUGCUGUUUAGUUUAUUGUUUCCUUUGAUGGUAAAGAGGCAUUAAUUCUGGAGAUAGAUGCAAUUUUCUUGCUCACAAUAAUACAAUGAAUGAUGGCAUCUCUAUCUACUUUAACCAAAUUAUAUCAUAUUCCCCCCUCUGUUAAUUAUUUUUCUGUUUUGGGUAUUCAUUCAUUUUGUUUAGUUGCCUAUCAGUAUAAAUACAUGGCUGCAUUGCUUUCACUUCAUAUUAAUAACUAUUCUGUCGCACAAUGCAAAUAUACAUAUGCUGUCCUAACUAAUUAAGUAGAAGCUUGGAUUGGUGCUGUAUGGUCUCUUCCUGACAUUAAAUCCUCCUCUGUUUGUGCUGUCUGUUUCUGCUGCUGCAGUCUUCUUCGCCGCCAAAAGGAAAUGAUGCUCUACAAAAUCCACUCCCAUGCCCAAAUCCAAGACCUGCAGGCCCGCUCCGAUGAGCUGGGCCACUCCAAUAAGUCCAUGCUUGUGAGUCUUGUCUCUCUGGAGUCGGUGCGCAUAGCGUGGGAGUCGUAUGCGCUCCUCCGCCCGCUGAUCAUGGAGUCGAGGUCCUGGGAAUGCCCGCAGCUGGAUUCCCUCUCGGACGUGGCAGGCUUGUCGCUGGAAAUCCAAAAGCUUGAGCAUGAUGUGUUACCCCAGCUCAAGCUUCAGGAGGGUAAGCUGGAACGGGGUGCCCUGGAAGCCCUCCUACUCAUUAAGAACUCAGCAAGUAAGCUCUUACAUUUGAGGAAGUGCUUUGAGGAAGCCUUGGGCGUAUUGCUUGCCAAGGAGGAUCUGGUCUCAGCCAAAGUCAAAAGGCUGAGCAUGAUGCUAAACGAUACUGCUGUUCAUGUACUCAAAGCUAACAACACUCGCUUGUUUAAGGAGUGUGUCCUGUUUCUGGUCCAGCUGGUCACCGAUGUGUUGGAGACCCCGGUUCGUUUCUGUGAUACUCGUAAGUGUAAGCAUUCUGAUGAGUAGACUUAUCAGCCAGCUCGAGGCUGUUGUGAUGAGUAUUUCUUAGGGGCGUGGCAAACAGUUUAGAAUCAACCCUUUAUGUUUGGAUGUGUUAUUAAUGGAUUUUAAAUGAUAUGUAUCUUGGGUAGUGUUCUCUCAUUCUGUGCUAGUCGGGUACAACUUGCAAUUACUUUCAGUUUUUUUUUUGAGAAAUACAG
rnacentral:lncRNA from 1 species